rnacentral:lncRNA from 1 species
UUUUUUUUUUUUUUUACCCUCAAGUCGAGAUUAAAAAUGUUCAUUUCUCAUAUGUAUUUCUUGAAACUUAAUAAAUGCGUAUAAAAUCACUUUUUUGUUGAAUAAAACACAAAAAAGUUGCUUCACUUUGGUUUGGGUAAUUUACAAAAUGAUCUACUAUUUUUAUCCUAGCUCCAGCCAAGUUAAGAUCGAAGCCUCGUCAAGAUUUACUCGUAUUUUCCUAUCACUAUAACCUUUUAACUCAAUUUCCUAAUCCUCUUUGCAAGUAAACGUCGUAUCGAUUAAAAAAGGGGGCAAAAAGAAAAAGUGUGAUCUGAAGUUUUAAGUCGCGGCCUAUGAAUUUAGACAAACCCUAUUGGUUUCUCUUUUUUUUUAAUGGCAGAAAUAAAAGAAAAUUUCUGAUGCUCUCUCAUUCCCCACUCAUAGACAGCGAUAGAUUGGACAAAAUGAUUUGUUUUAUACUUGCUUUCUCUACUGCCUUGUUGUCAUGUACACCUACGUCACAUCGGUUGCCAUUUACAACAUUGUCCUUGCAUUUGCCAUUUUAGACUUUGUUUUGUGAGUUUAUUAUAAAUGGGUUGAAAAACGAACUAAACUACUCGAUACUUGAAUCGAACUCGCCUUGAUAAGAGCUUGUUCAAGUUUGAUUCGCCAAUUAGUCAAACCAAUUUUGAACAGGAUUUUAUGUUUAAUACCAUUCAAGUUCGAUAAAAGAACUCGUUUAAACUCGAUUCGACAAAUAAACAGAUUAAACUUGAACAUAAUUUCAAAUUCAUUAAAAUAAUCAAACAAAUUUGAACAUUAGGGUGUUCGAGUUGAUUGGACUUGUCUAAACCCCUAAUUACCAAGAACAUUAUGCCAUGAAUGGAUACCUUUGUAGUUUUAAUUUAUUAGAUUUUUUGUUUCAUUAUUUAAAGUUUAGGGUUCAGGUUGAAUCCUAUACACCAAGGUUUUUACUUGAAGAAUCUAUACAACUCUUGAUGUUCUUGUUAUCAUCCAAACAUAAGAAGAGCUAAAAAGAGAAAAUGUGAAAAAAGGUUUGUUUAACCUACUCUUUUGAUGUCUAGAAAGCCUUAAUUCUACAAAGGUUAGAAAUAAUUAUCAUAAAACUUUUGUAAUUUAACCGUGCGAUACGGAUUUCUUAUAGUUUCAAAAUUAUUAAGUUCAUAGGCUAAUCAAUUCCACAUGAGAUUAGGUUCACAUUAUAUAAGUGCUUAAUGUAUAGAUACAAAAGCUUGCUAAUUAAACUUAAGGAUGAAAGUUGGGUUUUGAGGUCUUUUAUGUCUGCUCACUUAAUUAAUUGAUUUUCUUAACCAAAACUAUAUAUUACUUAUCCAUAGUUUCAUGUAAUUAUCUAAAUUUAAAGACUUAAACUUAGUAUUAAAUACGAAAUAAGUAGGUUUUAUCAAGUAUCAUGACGUACCGCCAAUGAGCAUAUAUGUGGCUAUUUCUCUAGUCAAGCAAAUUUUUGAAGGAUUACGGUGAUGUGUGUUGAUUUUACACCUAAUUUUGACAGAUGGUAAUAUCAUUAGACAUUAGUCUUUUGAUGCUCAAAAUAUGGAUAAAUAGCUAUUGUUUUCUUUUUUUUUUUGCUUCUGUAAAUAUACUAACAUCACUAGAGUAGCUAUUUUUAAGGCACUACUAAAUGUUGUCAUUUUCCGUAUGCUAUAAGAAGCUGACAUAGGGGUGCACUAAUUUUGUAUGUUUAUUUUUUGAAGGAAAUUGAUUAAAAUACUAAUGUACUCCAUCCAAAACCAUAGCAAUGUGAAAACCACUAAAUAGUUAAAAGAUAGUAUCUCUUUGAAUAUUAGUCUGCUUUGGAUAUCAACUCCGCUGAGCUUACAAGUUACUUAAGCAACUCGAUAGCCAUUUCUCCAUUUUAGUGAACAAGAAAUUCACAAAUUCCUCUGUAGACGCUUAGGAUGCGUUCGAUAAAACUGAAAUCUGAAAAAUGAAAUUUAAAGUCUAAAUCUGUUAAGUUGCGGAAUUAUUAAGUACUAAAUUUGAUACAUUUAAGUGUAUAUCAUAUUAAGUGAUAAAUGAAUAAUUUAUCACUUAUUCUUUAAAAUAAGUUUUCUCCAGAAAAUUCAGUACUAUUUAAUUAAUUUAGAUACUCUAUUUUUUAUUAUAAAAUGCGUUUGAACAUGUUAAGACGUGAAUAUAUUAAAUUUAAGUCCUCAAACAGCAUCUUACUUAAUAAGAGAUCAAAUUUGUUGGAGCGGGGUAUUAUGGUCAUUAAACUCAGUUGACAAUAGCAAGCAGAUCUAAGAAUUCCCAAAAAUGUUAGCCGCACAGCUGCUAGGGCCUACUCAUGUCUUCUUAGUUCGAACCCACUAUCAAUAUCAUAUCAUUUUAUUUGCCAUCAAAGUCUUUCAUCCUUUUCACAAAGCCCCCAACGGGCAAAUUGUUCGAUUUUAGUCCCUAACCUCUUCUUGAAUUUCAUCUUAGCCUUUAACGUUUCAAAUGAAGCAGUUUGGUCUCCAAAAUUUCAAAGUACAUCAUAAUGGUCCUUGGCCUCAAUACUUAUGAAUUUUCCCACGAAAAAAGUAAGUGAAAAGAAUAGAUAUUCCCAAUGUUAUUAACUUAUAUUGCUUAAAGUUUCAAUGGGAAAGAUAUACACUCAAUCUUAGCCAAAAGGUCAAGAAAGUUAUGGAGAUACGGAUACCUUAUCUAAACUAUUAUUCAAAGUGUAAUGAGUCAUUGGACUUAUUUACUAUUGAUUAUUUUAAAUGAUUAUAUAUUAUGAUUUUGGAUAAUCAUUUUUUUAUAUAUAUAUUUAUUUUUAUAUUUAGAUUAUAAAUUUUGCAAAAACCAAAAAAGUUAAAAUUUAUAACCUAUUAAAGAGUAACAUUUACAGAUUCUGAUUAUUCUCUAUGAUCAAUUUUCCUAAUCAAAUUUUGCAGAAUCCGAAACCAACUAGAACAAGGCCACAUGUUUUCUCAUUUUGGUCACUUGUGCUACUCACAACCUAUUACACAAAUUAUUUCGAGGCCAAGGACGAAAAUUCAAAUUGAUUUACCCGAUAUGUUAAGGACAUAGAUAAAACUUUACCAAUACGUUAGGGACUCUUUUCCAUAAUUUGCCCAAUGCGCAAAAUUGGCUCUCGCAACCCAUUUUAUAGGGAAUUGAUAUUCGCACCCCUAUUUUAAUCUCUCUCAAUUCACUCACCGAAUAAUAUGACUCCUUGAAGUUCAAAAGGCUAAUUUUCGAGCACAAUUCCACAAAUAUCACUUCCCCCUUUAUAAUCUCGAGACUUUACACUACUCUGACAAGAAAGUUCCAAACAACAAUCGAACAGGCAUUUUACCGGAAAUCAUUCUCCUCUCCUCUCCUCUCCUCUCAUCCACUUCAACUUCAAGUCUUCAACUCUCCUUUGUCCAUCUGUUUUGCCCCUUUCUCCACUCCUCUUUGUUUAUAUCUCUUUUUAAUCGAGACUUGUGAAAAAACGGGUGCAAAAUCGAUGAUGGAUGUUGUUACAGGCAGCAGGUGUUCUCACACUUCUCACAUCACAGAGAUCAUCAUCACUAGCUUCUUUCGCCACAAAUAUUAAGCCUUUUUUUUUCACAUAUUGAUAUAAUUGCAAAACUAGACAAAUCCCAAGAAGAUAUUUAAACGGUUGGUGAGGAAUUAGCUGUUCAAUACUAUGGCAGCAGCUCCUUGAGAUUGAAAAGAAAAAUCUAAUCUUUGUGCUUUAAGAAAUAUAUCCCUGUAAGAAAAGAUAAAGGGAUUAUUGAGGUGUUGGUGAAGGGUGAUGGCAGCUUGAGGAGAGUGAAAAAGGGUAUAAAAAUCCCAUCUUUGGACUCCCAAGAACUAGCAGCUAUGGCAGGUAGGACUCUGGUUUAUGGCCAGGGUGGUGCUGGUGGUGCUUCGAAUAUGAGUAGUUUUUUGCUUCAGAAUCAAAGAGUUGGUUGCUCUUCAUCGUCUCAGCCUCAUCAUGAUUCCCUCUUCAUCUCCAGCUCUUCGCCUUCUUUUCUUGGUAAAAAAUUGCUUCAGAUUCUAUCUCUCAAUUGGCGUUGACUUUGUGAUGAUUGUUGAUUCAUUUGUGCUGCUUGGUGGUUGUUUUCUUCUAUUUUCUUUUUCUGGUAUUGGAUAUGUGGAAUUUUGAUUUUACUGUCUUCUUUGUCUUAUUUUGAUAAUCAAUGCCUUAAUAUUGCGUUAUUGGAUCAUUCUGCUAGAUGUUGGACUAAAGAUCUUAUCAUGUGGACUUGAGUCUUUUAUCUUUUGCUGUCCAUUCCAUAAAUGGAAGUUUUUUCUACCCAUGAGUCAACUCCCGUUUCACUGCUAGUAGUAGCCUAUAUACUGAUCGGCAAUUUGGAAUUAGAUUGCUAAAGUCAAUGUUUUUGUCUCUCUCGUGUUUGUCCAAGAAUCCAGGGUUUUAUCCUUGUAUAUUUAAGCAAUUAGUAGGCUUAAUUAACACGAUUGAAUAGAUGUGUUCUGCAUGCUCCAUUUACUGUAUAUAUGACUGCAUCUAAUCUAAAUUCAUCUGAAAAAAAUUCAUUUUUGAUUGCUCUUUCGUUGAAUCUGUCAAGUAUCUUUUAACUCAAGGUGUUGGAAGAAGAUUGAAAAGUUCUUCACCUGUCACAAAGAUUAAUUCCUUUGUGUAAGCAACCUGUGGUUAAUUUAUGUCCAUGAACAAUAAAUGAUUGAAGAAAAAUGUAGGAUGUUCUGCUUUUAGAGAUUGGUGAAAUGGUUUAGCAAUUUUCAUGAUCAUGUGCAAAGUGGUCUUACAGUUUUAUCUUGAUUUUAGGUUCCCGAUCAAUGGUAAGCUUUGAAGAUGUUAAUGGGCGGAAGAGAUCAAACAACUCAUUCUAUCACUCGUAUGAUCAAGAGGAGAGAGUGGAUGAGGAAUUGGAGGAGUACUUUCGACAACCAGAGAAGAAGAGGCGGCUUACUGCAGACCAAGUUCUGUUUCUGGAGAAGAGCUUUGAGGACGAGAACAAACUUGAACCAGAAAGGAAGGCUGAACUUGCUAAGGAGCUUGGCUUGCAACCCCGGCAGAUUGCAGUAUGGUUUCAAAACCGUCGUGCACGAUGGAAGACAAAGCAGCUGGAGAAAGACUAUGAGACAUUGCAAGCUAGCUAUGAUAACCUGAAAGCAGAUUAUGACAAUCUACUGAAGGAGAAAGAGCAGCUAAAAGCUGAGGUAAUAGCCCUCUGUUGCUCAAAUAUUAGUCUUGCACUUUAAUUUAGAGCUUUCAACUGUGCUAAUAUAAUUUAUCAAAUUUACUCAGGUUGUUCACAUGACAGAGAAGCUCCUCCUCAAAGAAAAAGAGAAUGAAAAUUCAAAAUUGUCUCAUAGCAGCAGCCUCUCUGCUGCACCGGCAAAAGGAUCCACUGCUGAUUCAGCUUGCGAGGAUGAAGUAUCAAAAGUAUCAGCUGUGGCUCUGAAGCAGGAAGAUCUAAGCUCUGCUAAAAGUGAUGUAUUGGAUUCAGACAGCCCUCAUUACACUGAUGGAGUUCACUCUUCUCUCCUGGAACCAGGUGAUUCUUCAUAUGCCUUGGAACAGGAUCAGUCUGAUCUCUCGCAGGAUGAAGAAGAUGACAUAACUAAGACUCUAAUGCAUCCAGCAUAUCUUUUCCUGAAGAUGGAAGAUUCUGAUUAUCACGACCCUCAAAGCUCAUGUUACUAUGGAUUUCCCGUUGAAGAUCAGGCAUUCGGUUUCUGGUCAUACUGAAUCACGAAUAGCUCCAUAUCUUGCUUUUUGUUCACUUUUCUUGCGUAAUGUAGUAGUUUUGUCUAUAAGCAAUAAGUUGGAAUCUAUGGCUCCAAUCCAGAGUGGUGGAGGUAGGUUCUGGUCAGUGUUUUAGAAUAUUGAUUUCUGCUUUUUCUGUAAUCUGGAAAUGAAAGACACUUUCUGUUACUGUAUUUGUAUAUUUCCCACUAAAACUUGCAUGAAAUGCAGCAUCUAAGCAUUAUGAAAUCUCGUAUGAGUUUCCAGUCUAAGUUCUCAAGUCCUAAAGAUGCAAAAAUGGAUAACUUAUUCCUUGCAUUAUUCCAUGCACAUGUAGCAUGGGCCUGAGAGAGCCCUGAUCUAAAGCUGGAAAGAUCUGAUAGGGCUUCUCCUCUCUGAAUUCUCAAUAUUCCUGAGAACUAUUCCAUUGUUUGCAGUGAAUGAGCAGUUCCUUGGGCAAUCUGUUCAUUUUAACAUGGCUAAGGAUUUAUGCAAAAUGAUCUGAUAAAACUUAAAUGGAAUCCAUCAUGUUUAUUGCCAUGUUCAUGGAGGCAUCUAACAUGCUUUUGCACCCCCCAUUCUUGGCCUGUCUGACAACUUGCUUGCCAUAGCACUUCAGGUAUCAAAACGCUAGGUUGAUUAGUAGCCAACCUGAUCUUCUCUGUAUUGGUGUCAACAAGCAUAAUUUGUCAGCAAUAGAUCUUCUUUCAAGAAUCCCAUCUGACAAAAAAUUGCCUAAGCUUUUGUGACCAAACAUUUGAUUAGAUUAGGAACCUAAUCUAAUCCCCCCAUCCCAUGUACCAAAUUUACCUAAAAAAGAGUUACUUGUACCUCUUUACUUUUGAGCUUGGCUUCAAGACCAAAGCUUCUCUUGGUGGUGGUGUCGUGGUAAGGGGUUGAACCCUUAUCUCUCACCUUAUCACUUAAUUGUAGCUUUCUCCGACGGAAAAAUUCCGUCGACUCAUUCUCCUUUUAGACUGAAUUAGAGUAAGUUAUACAAAUAUUAUUGUUGCGACAAAAAAAAAAAAAUCAAGACCAAAGCUUUUCUACGCUACAAUAAUAAAAUUUUUUAGUUUUCUUAUUUCUAGUCCCCUUGACAUGAAUUUGUUGUUAUCUUUAACAUGAUCACUUUCAUCUUUCCAUUUGUCCUUUUCAGUCUACUAUUGAGGCUCCCAGCCUUCUUUAGAACCUUUGCUUGACGGCAUCAAACACUGAAUGCAAAGUGUCACCUGUUGUAUUGUAUCUUACCGGCCAAGUGCUUAUCGUGUAUGAUGAUAGCCUUUCAAGAAAAUGAAAGGCUCAUUUGAAAAAACAUCAAAGAACCAAAAAAAAAAAAAAAAAAAAAGAUUGUAUGAGCCCUACCCUACUGGAAAUGAAAUAUUCCCUCCAUCGUAUGUAUGUCUAUGUAGUAAGCAUGACAUACUUUCUACAUUGAAAUAUCCUAAUAUACUUGCUACCUUCCUUUAAAAGCAAUUAAUAUUCGACUCUAUCGCAUUUGACAACUACAGUUUUCUUGAACGUUGAGCAAAAUCAAAUAAUCAGGAUAGGCAGAGAGAGUAAUUGAUCUUACGAAAGAUUGCCACAUCUAAAGGUGUAAAUAAAUCGAACGUACUCAGGGUCUCAUGAAUUUGCUCGAUCAAAAUUCGAGCACGAGUUCAUUGAUUGAACUCGAGCCAAGUUUGAGCAUCUCAAAUAGUUUGAUGAAUUCAACAUCCAAGUGAGGCUCGAAAGGUUGUCACGUUUAAUGAAACUCAAUCAAUCUUUAAAAAAAAAAUACAUACAUACAUAUACAUAUACAUAUAUAUAUAUAUGUAUGUAUGUAUGUAUUUAUAUCUUUAAUUUUUUGGAUAUUUAUUAUAUAUAUGUAUAUCAUAGUGUAAGACAUUCAUUUAUACUAGUUAAGGUUGAUUGAGUUCAACUCGAUUUCGAGUAAGCAAAAAUUAAACCAAAUUUGAAUUCAAUUUUAAUAACUCGGCAAAUUUGAAUCUCAGCUAGAACUCAGUUCGUUUACACCUUUGUCCACGUCCAACUAAGCUAAAUCUUGUGGACAAAAAAUUAACUUAACUGCAUUUUUUUUUUGGGUCUAAAUGUAAUACUAACUAAGAUCUAGUCUAGGUACAAAUGAUCAACGAUCUAGAUCAGUUAUCAAUAUUAAAUCCUGUUUUACCCAACAAGACUUGGUCAGCCACCUGAUCACCUCACCUCACCUCACCUCACCUCACAAGUAGCCAAAUAACCUUGCCAUGGUGGGCAAUACUAUUGUACAGCAGUUGCCUUCAAAGACCAUAGAUCAUGACCCAUCACAAUCAAGGACACCGUCCACCUAGCAAAAACUCACUAGUGUACUUUGGAAUCUUCCUUAGUUACGUUUUGCAGGACCACACCCGAUGUGGACUUUGGUUCAUUGACGUGGCAAUUCUUGCAGACUUGUCCUUUCUCCUAUUGGUUGUUUGGUUUUGCGGUCCACAAGAGCUUGGGCCCUCCCGACUUUCAACUAUCUUCCAUGUACUCGUUUGUCUGUUGAUUCUUUGAUAGUACAAGUACUAGUAUUUUAUUCUUUUCAUUGAUUUUCUUUUUCUUUGAAUUCUUUUGAUGGCAAAUGGCACCCAUUCCUUUCGCAAUCCAAUGUCUUGCUUUUGUUAUCCCUUCCACUAUAAACAUGUUUUUUUUUUUCUGCAGAAGAACUUGAUUUUUGUAGAUCAUUCAUUUCUUUUCGGAAUUGUUCUCAAUUGAUUCUUUUUUUUUUUUUUUUUUGUAAAGAUUAAUUUUCGAAAAGUCAGAAUCAGAAUCCAAACAAAAAAAGUAUUUUGUAAUUUUUGAUUGUUUAUGAAUAAUUUUUUCAUACACUGUUGAUGUACAAUUUUUUUUUUUUAAUACUAGCAGAUUUUGAUCAUGUCAUACUAAAUGCAGAGAGCCCUUCAAAUGAGACCCAAAUCCUUAGUCCUCUUUUUUUUUUUUUUUUUUUUUGUUAAAUUAAAUCUUUAUGUUUAUGAUUCUGUUUAGAAUUAAUCUUAUAUAUACCGUCAUUGUAUAUACGAUCACUAUUAGAUAUAUGACACAUAUGCAAAAUUUGGAGUUUAAAAUUCAAAAUUUGCUCAUGUGUCAUUCAUCCAACCAUAAUAAAUAUAUAUACUGACAGUGUACAUAAAAUUUACUCUUCUUUCUAAGGUAGAAUAUUUCCUUUUUAUUUGUUUAAUUAUUAAAAAACGAUUGAAACUUAUACUUGGUGAUAGAUUUCCAAAAUUCCAGCACUAGCCUUGACUUUCUUAUUUCUAAAUUGAAGACGAAAGAGAUCAUUCUUAUACAAAAAUUGAAGAUUGCUAAUAUAAAUAUGGAAUAAAUUCUUCUACAUGAAAGCCUAAAAUACCAUUGAAUUAAAAUAUUUUAGCACUAUGUGUUAUUAAAAAGAAGGCAAAUGGUAUUUGCAUUCCAAAAUGAUUCUCUGGCACUUCACUUUCUUUUAAUAAAUAAAGUGUGAGACUGAAUGUGGUCAGAAAACUAUUUUUAGAGUGUAAAUAUCAUUUACCUUAAAAAAGGUGAAAAAGAUACAUAUCACUCUAUCAUCCAUUUAUAGAUCAUAUGGCAACUUUAGCAAUAAAUAAAAUAAACAAAUGUCAACUUUAGCCACAGUAUCUAUUUUAUUCUUUCUUUGUGAUCAAUCAGUCACUUGUCAAUGAUACGAUUCAAUCUCAAUCCCAAAUUUGUGGAUAAUUAGCAAAACCAUGUCUACCUAAGAAAUUCUUGGAUGGAAAAAUUAACCAUGAAAAUGAAUCAAAGGUUGAUGUUUCCUUGAUAUAUUAUAGCUGAUUAUAUUCUUCCUAAAUUUUUAUUUAUUUUUUAAAAAAAAUUCCCACAUUCUUCCCUGACUGAGAAUAUUUUCGUUGAGGACAGUUUCUUGUAUAGGUAAUUAGUUAUGUUCAUCAUUCAUUUUAAAUUUCUUCAUGAUUGUAUUGUUUGAUCUUUUCUACAUAUUGUUGCACAUGAUCAUAUUUCUUGAUGUCCCUUUUCUAAUUGUUAUGUGUUUUUCUGAAGGUGAUUAACUCCAGACAAGGGGUAAUUCAGCUAUCUUAGUCAAUAUAUAUAUAUAUAUAUAUAUAUAUAUAUAUAUAUAUAUAUAUAUAAUAUAAAAUCUUCUAAUGUAAUUUUUUUUUAAUGGUUAAACAAAUUGCUAUAGCUAGGCAUCUCCGUUUAGAGAUUUGUUACAGUAUGCUGAUCCUUUUGUUUGAACAUUGUGGAGUACAAUUUCAUGCACAGAAUCAUAAAAAUCAAGUCAACUGAGGGAGCAGAAAAGGAAACAUUCUCCUCAUUGUUGAUUCAUUCCCUGAUCAGCUGACUAUAUACAAGAAAUAGAAGCCAUGAAAACUUUGCCCAGCUCUUCCUCUUGAUUAUUGAAUGGAGUGCAAAAUUUUUAGGACUUCUGGAUUGAGGACUUUCCCAUAUCAAAAUUUGAAAUUAUCCUUCAGGUAACAAACCAUCUCUUGCUGCAUCAGUGUGAAAAUAAAGUAACAUGAGAAGUUUUUUGUGUCACUUGUGAAUGCAAGACUACAUGUUUCUGGAUGCAUGAUGAACAUAGGCUUUGGACAAAUAUUCAUAUGUGCCAGAUGAGUAAAAUCCUACCUGAUGAUCCUCCUUCAAGCAACAGUUACACAUGAAUACAAAAGCAUCUGAGAGAAGUUUAUGUUUGAAGUAAAAUGAGGUAAAGAGAGAAGCAGGAAGAAACCGAGCUAUGCCAUUACUGGAAUGCAGAAGCUCAAGCUAUUUGUAGCAAAAUGGAGCUAUUGAUUUCCACAUGAAAUGCACAUUGGCUACUAAGAGAAACCGUUAAUGUACUUUGAACACCACAGAAAAGAAAAUCAUUUGGAUGAUAGAAAGGAAGAAACUUACAAUUAAACAUAAGAGAAUGCAUGCAGCAGCCCCGGGGAACAGAGCAUACCAAAAGUUGAGGCGAUGCAGUUUAGGAGCAUCAAUGAACAACAGAGGUAAGCCGGCAGCUGCCAUUAGUACAUAUGAUCUCCCAUUUUAGUACAAGAACAAGAUUUGGCAGGCAAAGGCUACUGAGAUUCGUGAGUGUUUAGUUAGAUACCAGGUGGAUGUACGGCACGAGUGCAGAUCAUGAAUGCUAUGGCUGCGGCUAGGCCACUGCUCCUAGCCAACCAUCCUGGACCAAAAACUGUAAAGGCUAUAACACCAAUAGCUGCACAACCAAUUUGAGCCAUGAACAGAUUGUACUUCUGCACAGUUGAACUUGAAACUCAGAUAUCUCGCAUAGUAUAGGGGAACUAGACAUUAGAAAACAUAGCAUACUCAAUCAAAAUAUCCUAAAACUUGGAGAUAGCAGCAAAAUUAAUUUCCAACUGAUUCUUUACAGCUGUCUGUUUAUCAAAUAGUCAAAAUUAGAAACAAAAUAAAAGGUAACACAUGUAGUGAUCAAUGAUUUCGGUUUCCAAUAUAACUGAGGGAGCAUACGUAAGUAUUUAGCUGUUGCCCAGAUACAAAACUCCCUAUAGAAGGAUUAGCAGAAUACAAGAUUGUAGCAAAGUGACACCAAAUAAGUAAUCACAGAAGGUCUUUACGUUUCAUGAGGCUAGGCAUUUCUUAACCGUUUCAUUUAUUUGGUGUGGAUAUUUAUUGUUGGCAAGCACCUGGUUGUCAUUUCUUCUAGGUUCAGACACCAAAUCCAUAUUAAAGGUAAAGUACUUGAAGAUGGUCCUGUUCUGAGGUUCUCACUUUGUAUGCAUGUCAUAAAAAUGACAGGAAAAUGGAGCAAAUUUUGGAAUAAACUUGUACAAGAAAAGAGAAAUGCAGCUUAAUCUUUUCGAAGAUGCACUCCAUCGAACAACGGUCAGUUUGGAGAACUGAAGAUAGUCCCACGGACUUAAUUCAGUUUGGAGAUUUCACCAGUGGUUCACCAGGAUUAGAUAAUAGGUUAUGACAUUUAUAUUAAAGACAAAACAAAAAUCAGCAAUGAUCUUUUCUUGACAUACAGAGAUACAGAGUAAUAAGGCAUCAAAUUACAUGUAUGACAUUGGUCCACAUCCUCAAGAAUGGGACUAUGUUUCUCACUGUUUACUUCAUCUUUUUUUUCCUUUGGGAGCAAAAAGAGCAUCUUACAUAACAUUAGGCUUACUUCUUACAAGAAAGCCAACCAUUAAUAUCUUUAAACAAGUGUAAACAGGUAACAUUCUCCAUCUUCCAUGCCAAAAAAUCUUUUUUUUUUUGUUUUCCCACGCUUAUAUGUUUCAAUGACUUGCUUUUUGUUUGUUCUGAACCUCAGUGCUGAUAGCAGUUAGAUGCAUGCAUAGAUCAUAUAAAGGCCACUAAAGCCACCAGUAAAUACUGCAUAUAGGGGACAUGUGCGGAGAUGCUAUCGAACCAUACAGUUGAGUCUAAUUUCUCCAAACAACUUUCAAUUUCCUUUACUGCUACUAGAGCCAUAUACAGCACUUCCCUUUCAAAGAACUAGUACUUCAGGUUUUUUGUGGAAGUUAUCCAGUAAGUCAACUUCAAAAGUAAUGCUGCUAUCAAGUUCCAAUUGCACAGAUUAUGAUAGGAAGGCUCUGUAGUACUUUCUAUGUGCUCUAUCUAGUCAAUGUUACACUGCCAAACAUUAUACUGAUAAGAAAUGCUCUCAGUGCUUGUUGGAUUCCUUUUAAGGUGAAAAUGACUUCCACCAUCAUUUUAGAUGGCAAUCAACAGGACAAGUCCUCAUUACCUUUUCUACUAUCCACAUUUAAGCACCUAAAAAUCUCUGAGUUGAAAGUUAGAUUAAGCACGGCCAAUACAAAGAAAAGAAAUCUUGGACAUUUUACGAUGACCUCUUAUUGUUGAUGCACGAUUGCACAUGUAUCAUCUUACUGCAAAAUGCAUUAUACAUCUUCAUCUCUUUGAUUUAGUCUACAAGUAAAACAGAGCAAAAGCAUCCAAUCCAUAUUCUGUUGUGUAAGUUGUGGCAUUUUGUCAUGUUACAGUUUUUGUAUUUCCUCUGCCUGGCGAACUCAAAGAGAGGAGGUAACCUCUUAUUUCAAAUACUACUAGCACAAUCAGAACCUCAAACAUUGAAAUAACACACCUCUCAAACCUGUGAUGUCACUAGAUCCAGAAUGUGCCCGAAACAAGCAUCAAAUUUUGUAAAUGAGCAUUUGGAAAUAUGUUUCUUUAAAUUUUGAAUAACUUGCUUCAACUAGCAUUAUUUUCACUCGUCAAGGUUCAGAGUACUUAAACAGCAUUCAAUGUAUCUUGCAUUUCCUGGCACACCAAAAAGCACAAAGUUUAAUAACUAACAUACAUAAAAUCACGUAUGCAGCAAUAUGUCACACAAUCCCCAUUAACCGAUAAAGGAAGUUGCAACUUUCAAGUAAACAAUCCAAUGUGGGAACAUAGACACAACAUCCUAGUAAACAGUAAUUUGUCUAAACUAAUCUAAUAAUCAAUGAUAAGCUUCUUUAAUCAGCUACCACGGUUAACAUGCAAAAUGAUUCAAAUAAAAAGACUGACGAAGAAUUCAUUCGAAAGUCGCUCUUUAGAUAUAACUUUUGACAAAUGAUUUUCAGAAGUGCUUGGUUCUAGUUUUGAACUUGUUGAUGUCAUGUUACCAGAUUCUGUAAGUACCUGAUUACUGGUUAUCACAAAUAAGGCCACCCUUCUUCAAGUCAUGACUAAAUAAAUAAAUGUGGGAUUAAAUUGAAUCCUUUGUCCACCCAGCCAAGGACAUUUUGUUAGUCUGACUUUAAUCUAUACAUGAAAGUCCAUGACUUACAAUACAACAUACAAAGUUAGUGAAGAUAUUAACAGAGCGGGAAGAAGACAGUACCCUAGCACCUGGAGCAGAGGGGGUGGCAAAUAGGACUGCACAAACAGCUCCUAGUGGGGCAAUAGUCAUUGAAAUUCCUUUUGGUGCCAAUAUUUGGUCAAUCUUUCCUAGUAUUGCCAUUGCAGCAAACGCCCCUGAUUUGUACAUAAAACUUCAACCAUUAGUCCUUUACCAACAUAUUACCAUCACUAGCUAAUCAAUGUAUAUCAAUAUCAGAAAAAGACAACAAAAAGAAGAUCAUAUCCUAGAACAUCCAAAAUACGCAUCAUACUUUCUAGCUACAAAAGCAGUCACAAUUGAACUUUCUUGAUAGAUAAAAACAAUAACUCAUUACACUACCAGGCCUUUUAAAGAACAAGAGAAAAAGUCUACUAUAAUAAUGCUUUUGUCUUGCAGGUGAUAGUAAAAUUGAACAAUUGAUUCUGUCAAUUUUUUUGUAGUGUGUAACCUGCAGAAGGCCAGAAAAUGUCGCUGAGGGAAGGAGCUUGAGUGCCCUUUUGAGGUGCCCAACUAUCCCAGAAUGGUGCAGGUACAUUGCUUGAUGAUGAUGAUGAUGAUGCUACAAUUCUGAGCUCCCCUUUUCUUCUUACACUUGUGAAUCUCUUUCCAUCAUGAGAAUGCAAUCCAAGUGAAGUUACAAGAUUGCAGAGUUUCGUUUGCUUCUUAUUGCUCUUGCAGCUAUAGAUGUUACUGCAAGAAUGUACUAUUAAUUGUGAAUUCAAUGGAGGUGCUGAUGAUGAAACUGGUGCUGGUGGCUUCAGAAGAUAAUUCUGCAACCCCAUUUCGUUGAGUUUCUCUGCUGAUGUGAUGAUGUUGGCUGGCUGUUUCGAGGGAAGACUCUUCUGUUGCAGAAAUGGUCGGAGAAAGAAAGAGACCGUUUGGGAUGUUGAAACUCGAAAAGGGCCCCUUGGGAUGAUCGAAAGGCCAUCGUUGGAUAAGAUGGGGUCCUGAAAUCCCCCCAAAAAAAAAAUCCAAAAUAUUGUGUGUAUAGAAGGAUAAUUUCAGAAACCACCCUUAAGGUUUCUCACAAUAUCAUAUAGCGCUUCUAAAGUUUUAAUAUCACUUGUCUUCCUUGUUUUUAAACUUUUGUGACAUUGUCAACCCGAUUCAAAAUAUAAUACUAUAACAUUCAGAUUUGGAGUAUAUAGAUUAUUUUAUUUCAAAAUUUCCCUUUUGUUAUGUUCUUUUAACUUUUAUGACAAACUAAUUUGAAAUUCCUCAACAUUUAAAAAUUUACCAAUUUACUUCUUUAAUGGAAAUUAUAAGUUUUUUUAUUAGGGUUGGGAGAUCCUUUAAGAAAAUUUAUUUUAUAAUUUGGACAAAGGAUGUUAAAGCUUUACAACUUAUGAAUAAUUGACAAAACACAUAAAAAUCAUCUAUUAUACUAUAUAAAUGAAAUAACUUUUUUUUUUUGCAUCGUGAGUGCAUUUCCAAUUAAUGUUUUUUACCCAUUUCAAACAAUUUAUAAAUAAAAUUUUAAACACUUUUUCUUUUCUUUUUUUUUUUAAAAAAUAUUUCCAGGCCAUCGUUAUAGAUAAAAAAUGAUAAUGCUAAAUAAUUUAUAAAAUUUCUUAAAUUAACUCAAAAAUAGUUUAUAUAAAAGGAAAAAUUUCUUUAUUUGGUAACCUAAAAGACACCUAAUUAGCAUAUCAAAAAAGUAAAGGUGGAACCAACGUUAAAGUUUUAAAAUCAUAAUUAAUCCCCUAAAUUGCAACACUUUAGUAGAAUAAAUCUACCCUUCUGCUAAAAUGAUCGACCCCCUAUUGUAGCACCAAAUAAUUGAACCCUAAAGAAGACAAAAAUAAUUUUCUUUUCCUGGUUUGAAAACAUUUUAAAUGAAUGUUUCCGGAGAACAAAACACAUAGUAGAGAUUUAACAAGGGAAGGGGAGACGACUGAUGAGAGGGACGACGAGUGGGUAGGAUAAAAUCCGAUGCAUAUGAUAUAUGUAUACCCUUGUCUAAACAUAUAGUUUAUUUCACACUAUUAGCUAGUGUGGCCUUAUAGGUGGCAUGUUAUAGAGUAUUACAGAUCUGAAAAAUUAACAAAAAUUUUCACUAUGAAGAUCCAAAUAUAUUCAAAUAUUAAGUCGAACAUUGCAUCUCCAAGAACAUCAGUGAAUAUCUCCAAUAAACGUUCCAAAUACUUGACCCUUUUUCAGGAAUGAAAUCAGAUCUUAUGUGGUGCCUCCAAUCCUCAUUCUUGACAGCCUAUGGUUCCCGGAGGAUCCUUAUACAAGUGGUGGCAAAUUGAAACAGCAAUCAUUCUUUCUUUCAUCAAAAAGCAUAAUAAGUUUAUUUAAGAUUCAACGUAAUCGUUAAGAAAUAAAACCGCCAUCAACAGCUAGGUUAGUCCCAGUAAUACAGGAAGACUCAUCUGAAGCAAGGAACAGAACAGCAUCAGCCACAUUUUUAGCCUUUACGUUCAUCCCUCUCAAAUUUGGAAGCUUGAAAACCUCUUCUAGUUCCUCGACAGUCAUGUUAAAGGCCCGACGAGCCGUCCGCGUCGCCACCACGUAAGGCGACACACAGUUCACCCUGAUUCCAUGCUCUCCGAGCUGCUUACUGGCGCAUCUCAUCAGCCCCAACACCGCAUGCUUAGACAUGCGAUAGUCAGUCCAAUUUUCAGCACCACGGGUUGCUGCAACGCUAGCCAUGCAUACUAUGCUGCCCUUGAUGCUCUGAUCUAUCAUCGCACGGGCUGCAUGUUUCAAGCAACUAGCCAUGCCACCAACAUUGACGGAGAAGAGAUUGUAGUACAUCCCGGAUAGAUCAAGGUCAAGAACUUUCUGAGCUGAUUGGCUGAAUAUCCCUCCGUUGCUGAACAUGAUGUCAAGGUGGCCAUGAGUCUUUAAAGUCCAUUCAACCAUGGCUUGAACUUUGUCUUCGAUGGAAACAUCACAAUGGAUAUAGCUGCAUAGGUUUGAGCCAAUUGAUUCUGCAACUUUUUGGCCCUUCUCGUCCUCGAUAUCGCCAAUCACGAUUUUUGCCCCAUGGGUGCAGAGAAGUCAUGUCGUUGCCUCCCCUAUACCGCUUGCCCCACCGGUGAUUAUGGCUACUUUGCCUUCUAAUUUUUUCUUUUGUAGAGAGGGCUCUGCCAUUUUUGUUUUUGGGUGGAGGUUGGAAUUUAUUCUAGACCUUGAGAAGAUGGAGCAAGAAAGAUGCAACUAGCAUGACAGUGACUGCCUUUAUUUGCUAGCAGAACAAGUAGCCAAAUGGUAAAUGAUAUGCAAAAAAUGUAAUUGGUCUUGAUCAUUGCGGUUGCAACCAGCUUUUAAUAUGCGCAGUGCCAACUUGUGGGAUAACUCUUUAAGGUAUAGUGGCAUAUUUUGUAAACUCCAAGAGGAUGAAUUAUAUGGCAGACCGUUAGUAAUGGUUCUUUCCAGAAACGGCAAGAAACGAAAAAGUCAAGUGGCCCUACGAGCUAUCCAAAAUAAGCUAAACAAUAUCACAAAGUACAAAAACAAGAACAUGCUUUUGAUCAGGAUCCCAUCCUAUCCUAUCUUAUCCCAUCCAUCCUUCCAAGAAUCCAAUCAUUGAUUCACUUCCUAAAGGAAUCUUUCAACCAUUUUUAGCGUUUUUAAACUCGAAUUGAGAAGCGAAGCAGUCUGAUUAACGGGUAAAGAGCAAAACCAUGUAAUAGUGAACCAAUUAUUGGAAAAUCAGAUGACUCAGAUGAAUCGGCAGUAGUCAUAAAUUUCGGCAUAGAUAAAGGGAAACACUGAGACACAUGCAAGUAUAUACGAGUAUCUAACGCUACCCAGAUAGCAUAUACCGUGCAUAACAAUGACUCAUGAAUGCAAAUAACCCUUAGUAAGCUCUGGUUCGUUUGGAUUAGUUGUUUUUGGGAUAUUUUUGAAAUAAUUUAUUGUAACAAUACAUAUGAAAAACUUUUACUGUAAAUAUUUUUGAUGAUGUUUUUGGGAUAUAUUUUGAAGUAUUUUUAAAAUUUAAAAAUUUUAGAAUAUUUUUUUAAAAAUUAAUACUACCAUCUAUCAUCACCACUGAUCACUGCCACCACCCCCUUCGUCUUCUUCUUCCUCGCUCUCUUUCUUCCUCCUCCUCUCUCUUUCCCCUCCUUCCCUCCCUUUUUCCACCACACCCCACCUCUCCCCUCCUCUAAUACAUGGCCUCGAUGGGUGUGGUAGGAAAGGGGAGGGGAAGGGGAAGAGAGGAGGGGAGGAGGAAAGGGGAGGAGAGGAAAGAGGAAGAGGAGGAAGAGGGAGGGAGAAGAAAGAGGGGGAAGAAGGGGAUGGUGGAUGGUGGUGAUAGAUGAAAAAAGAAGAUGGUGUAAAUUUUGUGUAUACUUUUUAAUUUUUUUGUAUAUGUUGCACCCCUUUUUGAAAAUAAAAUAAAUGAUGUUAAAAAAUGAGUUUUUGAUUUUAGAAAAUAAAGAAAAAGAGUCUAAAAUGGGAUUUAAAAUAUCCGACGGUUUAGGACCAAAAUAACAGUCUAAAAGGGAUUUUUAAGAAAAAAUAGGAGUCGCCACUUAUUGAGUUUAGGUGUACCAAAUCACUUAAAAAUUUUUAAAUAAAUAAAUAAUAAAUAAAACCCUUUUUAGACUACUCCAAAUCUUUGAAAACAAGAGAAAAGAGUUCGAGAGUCACAGUUGAAGAAGGAAAGACAAAGAUUUGAUAAGUUCGAACCUAAGGCAAUCUAGCCAAGGUUAGUUGCGUGAUUUAGUCGAAAAUUUUCCUAAUCUAACUUAUAAAUUUUAUCACAUUAGAAUUCUUCUAUAUGGAUGCGUAUCUAGACUUAGAGGUCACGAAUAUGCAAAAGAUGAGACUCAAAAGAGGAAAUUAUAAUAUAGAUAAAUAUACAUGACUUAAAAGAGGGAAAUGCAACAUAACGGGUGCGGAAAACUAAGAUUCAUGAUUCAAUUUUUCUUUUAUAAAGGGGAUGAGAGCGUGCUAAGGCUAAAAAAUCAUACUCGUUCAUUUCCCAUAUUUGAAGGAUGACUAAUUUAACUUAUGCAAACAAAUGGAUUAACCUACUUCUAGUUUCCUAAAAUGAGAUGCAAUUCUAAAUGAUAUGGUCCAAUCACAUAGAGGGUAAGAGAAUAAUAGUAGGGGAAAUAUCAUGCAAAUGAAAUUAAUCUAAAAAUAAAAAUGCAUGAAAUGUAAUAAAUGUCACACAAGGUAUGAAUUUAGCACAAAAAACGGCCUAAAGAGUCUAGUACUGGACUAACUCAUUUCUACAAGUCCUCUUUAGUAUUGGAAUAUUGAGAAAUCGGAAAGAAAGAACAAAAUUAGCAUUGGAAUAGUGUGGUGACAUCAUGUAUUUAUUAUAAGUAAAUAAAGCAUAUAAAGUAUAAUUAAAGCAAAUAAACACAUAAAGCACAUAUAUCACAUAACACAUAGGCAUAAUGUCUAAAUGCAAAAUCCUAAAGAAAGCAAAAAAAAAAAAAACACACAUUAGUACACAAGCACACAAGCAUGCAAACAAAUAAGCAAAUGAAACCUAACUAUUACAUUAAGGACUCUAACCACAAUUUAGAAGGGGAAUUUUUGGAAAUAAUAAACCUAUCUAUUACAUUUAUCUAACUAAUUACAUUUUUGAUAAAUAUAAAAUCUACCUAUUACAUAGCCUAACUAAAUACAUUUUUUGGGCAACUAUCUAUUACAAUUUGACAUUUAAAUGCUUCCCAAAUAAUCAUCAAAAUUAAAUAGAACAAAUAAAAAUUUAAAAUGAAUAAAAUGAGUAAAUAAAAGAAAAAGCACUCAAAACAUGCAAUCACACAUAAAAAAACACAUAGGAGCACAUAAAAGAAUUUAAAAUAAUAAUAGAAGGUACCUCCCUUGAAGUAGUAGUUAAAUAAGGUGGAACUUGCCCUAUUUAUAUUUCAAAAUCAACAAAAUAGUCAAGACACCAAUUUAAUUAACAAUUAAAAAGAAAAUGUAAACAUGUAUCAAAUUCACUUUUACUAUAAUAAGAAAAUAUGAACAAACAUAGAAUCCCUAAAAUUUACAAAUUAAAUGCAUUUAAAUGAAACAUGAUUAACAAUUAAAGGAGAUAAACAAAUUAUACUUAAGAAAUCAAAGCUAUUAGGGACCUAAUUAUAAUAAUUAAAAAGUUUUUAGGAUCAAAUUAAAAUUAUUAUGAAGAUUAGAGGUCAAAAUUAAUCAAAAGAUAAAAUUUAGGGACCAAAUUGAAAUUAAAUUAAGAACCUAAUUGAAAGAAAUCCAAAGUUUCAGGGUCACAAUAGAAUUAUGCAAAAGAAAAGGGACCUAAUUGUAAAUUACGUUUCUGGUUUGUUAAGCAACAAGGUCACUGGGCCAUUUCUGAUUAUUUUCGUGAGCCAAACUUGCCUUUGGCCCAAUGGAGAACCCAUAAAAAGAAGGGGCUAGCCCGUUUCUGAUUAAGCAAAAUCAACCAAAAAGGGUUGGGCUUUAACUACCAAAGCCCAUGUCUUUACCCAAAGAAAAUGAAGGCAAAUCCACUCUCCAAAACGCAACAAAUAACCCUAGCCCAACUAUUAAAUUGUUUUCCUAAACCCAGAGAAGAGAAGAACAUGUCCUUUUAGGAAAAUAAAUUCAACAAAAUUAUUUAGGCCUUAAUCCCACCCUAAAACCCAGAAAUAAUUUACUCAAAACAUUACAUAAAAUGUGCAACAAAGUCAAGGCUUGAAAAGUAGGGAUGACAAUGGGCCGGUCACCUGCCCCUCGGGGGACUGUCGAGGCGGUGGUUGGGGCGGGGGCGGGGGUAAUUUUAUUCCCCCGUUUAGAAACGGGGCGGGGGACGGGGAUACAUUCCCCCACCCCAACCCCCGCCCUGUUCCCCGCUAAAAAAAUAUACAUAUAUAUAUAUACACACACACACACACAAAUAACAAAAGAACAAACGAAGAAACGAACCUCCAUACUUCUCACACCCUCUCUGCACAUAAUAACAAACCAUGACCAGAGUUUGAGUCUUCCCCCGCAGACUUCUCAUCAUCAUCAACAACUAGUGCAUAAUUUAAACUAGGCCCACUAGCUACUUUGCCAACAUGAGUAAAAUUGUCAGCGUCUACCAAAUCAUCAGCAACAUUGAAAUGCAAACUAGGCUCACCGCAACUUUGUUGAUAUUUCUGCUUCAAUCGUUGUUGAUUACCAGCACCAAAUCUUCUAGAACAUCCAGAUGCUGGGCUCUUCAGAUUUGCCCUCAAAUCAGAAGAAAGUUUCGACUUUUGGGAAGAAGUUUUUGAAGCGGGCCUUCUAGCGGAUUGCCACUGGGAAAGGAAAGAAGGGCUCUUUCUAAAACUUUGUGAAGACGAUUUUUUGGGCACAUCAUUUUCGUUAGCAAUUGAUUUAUUAGAUCUAGGCCUGGCGGAAUUAGGAGUUGAUUUUGGGGCUGACUUGGCAACAAGGGGUUUAUUUCUGAGUUUGAAAUUGGGAUCCUUCUAAAGAUGGGAACUCGAAGAAGAAGAAGAGGAGCGAGGUCUUGAGUUUGACGUAGAGGAAAGCAGAAACUUGAGGCAACGGGGGACAGUGGGGAAACGGGGCGGGGGCGGAGCGGGGGGUGGGGGGCAAGGUCCCCCUCCCCACCCCCGUCCCAUUGCCAUCCCUGUUGAAAAGGGAAAAUUUGAUCCAUUUUUCACAAACCUUUGGGCCUUAGUAUAAUUAUGUAAAAGUCAGGAGGUAAAAGUGCAAUUUCCAAUUUUCUCCAUGCAAGCUGUUCGAAGCUUUUCUGCAAAUCUGGAAGCUUAUCAAACCCAAAAACCCUACCAAAAUAAUUUCCAAAUUUCGGAUCUAAACACGUGAGGCUAUGCAAUCUCAAACAUUAACACAAGAUUUCUAGUUCCAAACACAAGCACAUGAUCAUGCAUCAUGAACCAAAGAGAGCAAGAUUUCUGAACUUUUACUUGCAAAUGAGUUGGAGCAAAGAGAGAAAAGUGAAUGAGGGUUACCUCUGAGGCUUAUAGAAGUCGAAAACAGCAGUGUAAAUUUCCAAGAAACGUGCAAACUUCACCCAAAGAGCAAAAACCAGGUUGCCACAGUUGUGCUAAGAGCUGUAAGGCGAGGACAUUGGAGCUCGAAUUCAAGGAAUUUAGGGAUGUUUUUUUGGGACGGUUUCAAGACAAAAGUUUCUCCUCUAACACUGUAUAUAUUUCAGAAAAAAUAAUAUCCUCAAAAUGAGGUCGGGAUUUGUGGAAAUAGGGUGACGAACAGGAUUGGUUCGUCAACCCUGGCUCAAUUUUCUGCCCAAAAAAAAAUUUGAGGAGCCCAGUUCGGGCUUCGAUUUGAGGGGAUUAUGGUGAUUAUCUGGGCAAAGUUUCACACAAAAUUCUUUCUCUCUAUCCCUAGAAGGUGCAGAAAAAAUAAAUACUCUAAAAAGAGGUAAAAUGAAAGAGAAAGUCAGGUUGGAAUGGAGCUGGUUCACCAGCUCAUUUUUCCAGAUUUUUGCAGAAGAACUCUUCCUUUUUCUCCUCUGUUUUCCUUUCUUUCUUUUCUCUUCUUCCGCCGUUUUUCCCAUAACCCUCCUUGCCCUAAAGCUGUGUUUUGUUCCUAUUUAAAUGAAACAAAAGCUCCUAAAAUCCUCCUCUCAAUGGUUGAGAUGAGGUGGGUUUCGUUGGCUCAUUUUGAGCCAUUUGAUGAUCCAUCUUCCAGAAAUUUCUUGAUACUUCUUGAUGAGUGAGGUGCAUUGUACUGAUAAUGCUUAGGAAAUAAAGAAAAGGCAGAAAAAUCGAACCAAAAUUUGUUCCAAAAAUGCCAGCUGCAUCUUCGUACUUGCAUGCUGGUUUUGUUGGCUUGAAGAAAAUUGCGCGCGCCUGUAGCCAAAAAAAUUUUUUUUUAAUAGAAAAACGGCCUUUUCUUCUUUCUUUUUCUUUUUUCUUCUUCUUUUCUUCUCUUUUUUUUUUUGCUGUUUUUCUUGAUCCCCUUUAUCUUCUUUCUUUGAUUUUCCUACAAAAUCAAUCAAAUAAAAAUCAAAUGAGAUAAAAAUGAUUUUUCUUAGAAAAAUAAAAAUAGAGAUAAAUAAAAAUAAAAAUAAAAAUGAUUUAUAAAAAUUUUGGUGUCUACAGUAUAUUUGGAGUUCCUUUUGAUAUAUUAUAUAAGUGUGGUGUUUUAUAGUUGUUUUUGUUUAUGUAUUAUUGUAGUAUUGUAUAUGAAAAACUUAUUUUUCAAAAAAUAAAGAAUCCAAACAGAGCAUUUUUUCUUUGUUUAGACAUUUCUACAAACACUUGAUAGGGAAAUAAACCAUGAAUUACAAAAGAAAAUUUUUCUUUUUUUUUUCUUUGCUUCACAAGCUCGGGUAAAGGUGAACCCCGAAAUUUUUGAAUAGCAAUAAGAAGGCCCCUAUAGAUCCCAUUAAUUUUAGAUUCAAUCCAGUAAUUUAAAAUUCUGUAAUGAAAUGGGAGCUUAACUAAAGACAGGGGCAAGAGCUAGGUAGCAGGAACAAAGGAAGCGUGAAUGUCAGCAGAAGAAGGCGUGAUCACUGGACCAGAAGGUCAUCGAAGGCGUGAUUCUUUAAUUCAGCUGCUCUAACAGAAAUUCAAAAGCGCGGCAACUCGCAGAUGCAUUGGACACGUGUCUUAUUCUUAUUAGUCUAGCUAAUAAUCUGUUAGGAUUUGUUAACAUUAAAAGCAGGCCUGUCUGCUUUAUUUUGGUUAGCUUUUUGAAAUUAUUCUUUCAGAUUCAUCUGAAUUAGCUUGAGGAGCAAUCCUCAGUUUCCCUCCCAUUUUUCCUUCGAUCUUACCCCUUCUUAGCUAAAUCCAUUAUUUCUGUUCUUGUAAUUUUGAUUUCCAAGAUUCAAUUAAUGAAAGAUCAAGUUCAUUCGUUCACUGUUUCAUUGAUUCAUUGUUAAUUGGUUUCCUUUAUUUGAGCUUGUUUCCUUCUGAUUCCUGCAAACUCUGGCUUCUCUGGUUUCUGUACCAUAACAAAUUCAAAACCAAUCCAGACAAACCAAUGUUGUUUCAAUUGAAGACAAAACAAUGCCAAAUAGCAAUCAAUCUAGAAUCGAUGCUGCUGCGCCCUUGAGAUGUUGAUAUUCUCGUGUCGAUUGGAGAGAUUUUGCCAAAAAAAAAAAAAAAAAAAGCUAAGAUUGAGUAGCCUUUCCAUAAUCUACACUAAAGGUUGAUGCUAAUGGCCUUUAAAUACUUUGCAGAAGUGUUCUCUAUUCUAGCUAUACUAGGAGAGGAACACCGCACUAUGUGCGGUGUGAAGUUACAAGUUUAACAUGCCCAGUAGGAAGUUAAAAGGUUAAUAUGACCAGAGCCCUCAUUGGCUUUAUUUUCCAACUAAAAAUUAUUUUUCUAUCAUUUUCUGUAUGUGGUAGCUAAUGAAGCAUUUUGUCAACAUUUCAAUUAAGAAAAGAAAUAAUACUAAUAAAGUUAAAGAGCAUAAUCACACAUAAUUGAGAUAAGCUCUCCAACUGUAUGAUGUAUCUCAUUAGCUGUGAAAAGUAAAAUUUAAGAUAUAAGAUACAUUAAUCCAGAAAUAUUGACUGCUAUAUCUAAAAAAUGCCUCUCGUCUUUUCUUAUCUAGCAUCGCGUUCAAUCAGCCAAUUAUAGUGGAACUAUGCAUUAGUGGUCAAAAUUUAAAAAAAAAAAAAAUCAUCACACAGUUUGAUAUCUAUACUAUAGCAAGUGGUUGUUGAAGUAAAUAAUGACUUUUGGUAAAGAUAUUGGAAAGGAUAAAACAAAGUAUCAAGCAUUCAUGACAAAAUUCCAUGAGCUUCCAUUAGCUUCCAAGUUCUAGCUAUCUAAAUAUCAAUCAGAUCUGCCAAGAAGGAAUCAUAUUAGAAUUUAAUAACAUUUUGUGUAAAUAGUAGAAUGACAAUCUUGUUAAAUCACAGGUAACGCAUCCGUAGUUUUUGCCACACUUCAUGGCAAAAUUGUAAGGAAAUACUAAAGCAUGAAAUAUAAAACAAAGUUGUCAAGAACACAUUCCCUACUCCUAAGUUUGAGCCACCAAUAUAUUUGAAUAAUACCUCUUGCCAUUCAACUUUUUCUCAAACAUUAAUGUUGGAUAUAUAAAUAAAGAAUAGAAGGCCAAUAAACAGCAGAUGCAUUUUGAGCCACCAUCUUAUUUGGAUAAAUACCUCCUGCCAGCCAAUUUUUUCUCAAACAUGAAUGCUAGGUAUAAAUAAAGAACAGAAAAUCAAAAACAACAUAUGCAUUUGAGCCUAUAAAUCAUGUAGUUAUAUUUCAUUCAUGCCACAUUUUCGCCAAGACAACAUGAAUGAACAUAGGACAUCAAUUUAAACUGAAAGAAAAUUUUCUCUUCUUUCUUAAAAAGCUCAAUGACAAAACAAAAAGCUCCAAAAAAUCAAGCAAAAGCUACAGAGAAAUUUCAAUAUAUUAGUUUGGUAUUUGUUAGAGUUUAUUUUUUAAAUCCUAAAACGCAAUUUAUUCUCUAUGUAAUUCUUAGAUUUUAAUUUUCUUUUUUACAUAAAGGUAUUAGAAAAUUCUAGUUGCCUAAUUGAGAAAAGGUGGAGAAGGUAAGGAGUAAUCACCACCUAUUGAUCAUUCCCCACUAUACACAAUUUGGCUAGAAAUUUAGGGCGGCAAUAUUUAAACUUACAACUGGGAUGGAGCACAUGAACAUUUUUUUUCUACAUACAAAGAUCUUAUCUUAAGGUUCUUUUAGCCAUUUCAGUUACAUCAUUCCGACUACUCAAACAUGAAAGCAUUAGGAGGGACAGGACAGCGAGUAACAAAAGCUACAAUCAAUCAAUGUACAUCAUUUUCUUAGAAAUUACUACAUCUAAAGAGUUAUUCAAAAAUGACACCAUCAAAGUAGAGAAAAAAUUUAUAAUGAUUUCAUCAGUAAUCAUAACUUUAAAUGAAAUAGGGUGAAAACAAAUGCUAUUAAACCUGGACUAAAGAUCUUAAAGGAAUGGAGCAGCCAAAGAAGACUUGCAACCUCUUAGUGAUGAAUUUACUAAAAUAGGUAAAAUACUAAAGAAACUGACUCUAAAUCAAAAGGAAAUGCAGUAUCUUCACAAAAUUUCAUACUCCACUUUUUCCAAGAAUAGUAAAUAGGGUAAAGUGACCAGAAAAUUAUAGUAAAAUGCUAAGAAAAAAAUGAAGAGAACACUAAAACAUCAACAACAUACCAUUAAGGCUAAAUGGAAAAAUUAGCCUCCUUUUUGCUUUGUUCCUUCAUCUAACAAAAAUUUAGUAUACAUAAAUAUCAGAAAAAUCAAAUUUAUUAGGAAAAAAAAAAGGAAAAAUGAAAUCAUAUUAACUUUUCUCUAUGGGAAAAAGACAGAGAGUCGAUAUAAUGCUCACCUUGAGAAAAGAAUUCGCAAAUCUUAACAUCUCAAGCUACAACAAACAUUUGAAACUUAUGAGAGAGCAUAAAUAAUUAAUAUGCUAGACCAUCAAAUCUAUCAUAGGAUAUGUGAGACCACAGUAAGGAACAAGAAAAUGACAAUAAAGCAUAAGGAUUAGCAUGAAGUGAAGAAAUUGUGUUUCCCAAUUAAUAACCAAACAUUUAGCACUAAACAUCUAAAAUGCAUUUCCAAAAUUUCACAUCCAGUUCAUACCGAUGCAAUACUUUUUCAAGUUGAAUAUAUUCCUUUUGUAAUAAAAUCCAAAAGCAUAACAUGCAAAGGACACAAAGGAAGGGAGAAAGGUGAUUUGUUGCUUUUAGCCAAGCAAAAAUCAGCAAAAAAAAGUGCCAGAAAAAAAAAAACCAAAGGCAAACCUGAAGUGAACAUUUUGCCAAAAACUGAACUAUUCUUUCCUUCUUCAAGAUAUGCAUUAGUCUUCAUUAGUCUUCAAGAUAAUAAGAAAACAAAAUCACCUUUUUUGUCGAUCUAGGUAAUAAGAAAACAAAACAAAAUAUUAACAGAUCGUGAUAUGUUUAGCGAGUUAAGGAGACUUGCCUGUUUUUUUUGGAACACCCUUUUAUUUCCUCUUUUUAGAGGCCGAGGGAGAUUUUUUGUGGCUCCCAAAAGAAAAAAAAAAGAAUUAUACAGAAAAGUUAUGGCAAGCAAAAAAGGAAGAAAUUAUACAUAAAAAAGGGAAAACAAAGGUGAGAAGAUAAAACCUUUGAGUAGUCAGAUGAAAAAAUAGUGAGCGAUCUACAAGAUCACACAAAAAAUUGUGGUCCAAAAAAAAGUAACAAUUGAUGGUCAAGGAUGCAAGUAAUAAUGCAUCAGAAAAUGCAUGUCAAGGAUGUACAAAUUAAAGGAUAGAAUAUAGAGAAAAGGGUAAAAGAAAAGCAAAAUUAGAAUAACUAACCAGUGUGUAUGAAGAAGUCCAACACCGCACAACUGAAUAAUAGCAGAAGCUAUCAAAGAAACCACGAUCAUGUAAAAGAUAAUAAGAAAGGUGACAAAAAAACAGGAGAGUAAAAAGAGAAGCUGAUUCGGUGAUAAUAAUUUUGAAGGGACAGAAAAAAAUUAAAAUGGUCGAACCAGUGCUUGAGAAAAACAGAGAAGCAAGCAAGAAAUAAGAAACAAAGCAGUAUGACAGCAAUUCCGAAAUAUUUGAAGAAUUAGAGAAAAACAAAGGAAAGCGAAGCGUAAAACCAACAUGCUCACCAGGAAGCAGCAACGGCAACACCAGCGCAAACCAAAACCAAACCAAUAAAUUGGGAAAAAGGAAGGUUCAAAAUAGCUAAAGAAAAAUGAAGAACAAUACUUAUGAGGUAGGUCUUUCUGUCUAGCAAAGGAAAAGAGCAAUAGAAUAGGGAAAAGAAAGCAGUAGAUGCAUCGUUACCACUGAUCAUGAUGAUGAUCAGUAGAAAAUCUGGUGUGGAAAGCCAGAGAAACUGCAUAACCAUUGCAUCAUGAUCAGUAGAAAAUCUGGUGUGGAAAGCUAGAGAAACUGCAUAACCAUUGUGCAAAUGUAAUACACAAAACAAUGUCAAUCAACGGGAGCAAAAGAGCUGAUAGUUGACAACGGGGAAAAGUUAUUUUUUUGCAGAUUUACAGACAUAACCCAAGUAAAGAACAAAAAGACUAUAAGAGCUUUUGAGUGGAAGCGUAAAUACAGUCAGAAGGGAUGGGUAAUAUAGUGAACAGCUCAGGUACAAUCAACCGUCAACAAAAAGAGGCUGAUGACAAGAAGUGUGAAGCGGCGGAUGAAGAAAUCGAGAAAGUAUGCAUCAAAACCAAACAAACAAAAUACCGGCUACAAACAAAUGGUCCAUAAUUAAUUGCAAAGAAUUGGUAAUUAAGCAUGUUAAUUUAGAAAAGUAGUUAAUUACGAAUCAAUUAAUUAAGACCACCAAAAGCAAAGAAGAAAAAACUAAUGAGAAGCAUUUUCUGAAGCUGGAACAAGGUAGACAUAUUAAUUAAAUAACAAUUAAUUGCAACAAAUUGGUAAUUAAUUGCGAUUUGUUAGGCAACAAAAAAGUAACGUUAUUAAUGAAUUAAUUAACAAUUAAUUGUUAAAAAAGGAAACCAAAUGUGAUUUGAUUGGCAUGCAAAAAAAAGAGGUUAAAUUUUGGCUAAUAACUACACAGAAUUGGUAAUUAAAAGCGAUUUGUUGGGUAAAAAAAAUAUUAAUAAUUAUAAAAACAGGUAAGUAAAUGUGAUUUAUCAAGCAAUAAAACUGCGAAAGUAUAACUUAAUUUCGGUGAAAUUAAUUGCAAAAAAAUUGUAAUUAAACCUGAUUUGUUGGCCAACCCAAAGUAAAAGAGGACAUUUUUUAAUAAAUUUUAAAAAAAAGGUAAUUAAAUGUGAUUUUUUGGACAAGCACACAAAAGCUCAUUUUUUGUUAAUAAUUGCAAGAAAGUUAUUAAUUAAACGUGAUUUGUUGGGUAAAAAAACGACACUAUUAAUUAGUUAUUAACAAUUAACUGUAAAAAAUUGGUAAGUAAAUGCGAUUUAUUGGGUUAAAAAAAUGGAGCCAAAAUAAUAAAUAAAUAAAUAAUAACAAUUAAUAGUGGGGAAUCAAUAACAAGCUGCCAUUUUGACGUCCAAUAACAAGCAGUUCCAAUAACUGGCACGUCUUUUUUUAUGGCACUUUCAAGCACGAGCACUUCCAAUAACAAGUUAUGUUAGUAUAAUAACUGGCAAUGCCAUUUGGAAGUGCUUGUUAUUGAGCUGCCAUUUUUUUCCAAUAACAAAGCACUUCCAAUCCAAUAAAAAAAAAAAAAGAAAAGGAAAAAAACCAAAGGCACGUGGGGCCAGAAUUUAGCGGCAGACUUCCAAGCCAGACGUCCAAGCAAAACAAAGAAAAAAAACAAUCGGCUGGACGACCAAUUCACGCGAGCGAAUUCACACGAAGCGACGACCACCAAUCGUCCAAUGGAAGCCUGCCACGUCAGUUAUCAGAACCCAAUUGAAAACCUCCCCAUUCCCGCAUAGACUAGAUAUGUUAAUAAACAGGAGAACUGCCCAGUGCCCAUCAUCAAUUAGCGGUAUAUUUCAUCAUAAUACUGAAGUUCGUCUGCUAAAAGCUUUUAUUCUUUUGGGUUGGGCGAUUUAAAAUAAGUCUUACAUAUAGCCUACCAAUGCACUCUAAUCGCAAAUGGGAUUCGAAUACAAUUGCUCCUAAUAAAAAAAAUUUCAUUAAAUCUUGCGUGUAAAAAGUGCAAUGCUUAAUUUUACCGCAUGGAUGAUUCAAAAUAGAGUAAAUUACUUUUUACUUCUUGCGAUUUCACGCUCGAUCACAUAACCCCCUAUAAUUUCAAUAUGACCACAUAACCCCCCUAUGGUUUCGUGGAAUGUGAAAAGUAGACGGAAACAUCCCUUCGUCACGUGAAGUGGCAGACACACACACAAAAAAGUAUUACGAAAAUAAUGAAUAUACUUGAAAAAUUCCCAUAUUUUGGCCAGAAUUACCCUCAACCCUCACUAUCAUUAGUAUAUAGAGAAUGCAAGCCCUACAAUUUCCAAUUUGCCACCGUUCUUCCAUCUUAUCAAAAUUUUCUUUGUCUAAUACAUCUUCUAACACAUUAAUUGAAGGCCGGUGAAGAACUGGCUUCUGCAAGCACUGGCAAUGGAGGCAACAAGGAUUUAAGGUACCAAUAUCAAAAUGUGAAUGUGGCAAUAAGGCUGUGCUAAAGAUUGUUGAUUCGGAAAAAGCAUGUAGAGCAUUGUUAUAUUUUGUUUGUGAAAGCAAUCAGUAUGGGUUCUUUGGAUUGUAUCAUAAAGGAAAAAAUGCAACAAAGUAGUAGAACCUAUCCCACAAGUAGAGAAAUAGUGAGCAAAGACAGUUCCAUGGACAGUCCAAUUAUUGAGAGGCAAAAAAUGGAAGAUGGUUAUUAUUUGGCACAUAUGCAUGUUUUGGAAGCAAAUCUGAAUAUGUUAAAGAUGUUUAUGAUUACCUCUAUCGUCAUUGCAAUGGUUUCAUUGCUAAUCUCAAUGAAAACAAAAAGCAGCCAAAAUUAGUGAAACACUCUCAUCAAAACACAGUCCAAGUUCAUACAUUUGUGGCCAUCUUGGCAUUGUUAGCUCGUAUAUUUGCCAACACAGAUGACACAGUUGGGGUAGGCUUUGGUAUCCUUGAUGUCCUCCUAGACUCCAAAUGUGUUUCACCAAUUCGUCCAGUAGCUUGAAAAGUGGUUUGAUUCACUUCACUUGCAACAGGUUGCAUCACCAAAAAAACAUUCAAACAAGUUUCAGGUAAGUGAACUUUUUGGUUUCCAAUGUGAUACAAAUUUCAUCAAGUUAAUACCUGGGAGAUGGACUGAGGCACGUACAUGUUUGUCUCAUAAAUUUGCUUAAGAGGAGGCUGGGAUGAGGGUCCAGCAUGUGGGGUCUUCUUUUUUCUAUCAAGAUUACUAAUUACAUUAGCAGCAUUUGUAGUUGGUAUGGUAGUUGAAGCUUCAAUUCUCACAUCAAAUCCUUCUUGAACUCUAUGUUCAGCAUUGUUAACUUCUUGUUCAACACCAUUUGAAGGUACAACAGACCCUAUUGGACCCUAAAAUGCACCCAAAUUCAGUAAAUUAAUGUAACACAUAAUGACUGAAAUUAAUAUCAAAAUGAGUGCAUACUCUAUUGAACUUCCUAUUUGGAUGAAUUGGUUGCUUACAGCUCUUAGAAUUAUGUCCGGGCCUCAAACACCUUUUGCAAUGAGCAGUUAACCAUUUUCUUGUAGAUGUGGAUGAGGUUGUGGUUUCAUCAGCUUGCCUUCUCCUCAAAUUUUUAAGCCUCCCAGCUUGCUUUCUCACGAAUGGUGGAAGAAUUUGCUCAGCUUCUGGGUGGCCAUCCCAAUAAUGCAUCGAUGUCAUAGGAGAAAUGUGGUAUUUAUACACAGCCAAAUAGGUGUCCUUGCUGUAGCACCUAUCAACAAAAUCUUCAGAAGAUAAUCUGGUUGUUUGAAUAGCUAUAACUCCAUGGGAACAGGGAAUUCCUGUUGACUGGAACAGUCCACAUGUGCUGGAUCUUUUCUUCAAAUCUACCACAAAAACCCUAUCAACACCACAAUCUACUUCAUAUUAGCCUGGAUGGGAAUAUUAAGAAAAAAAAAACCCUAGUUGAGCACCUGUUCUUCUCAAGUCUUUCUUGAAUAUUCGGGCUAAUAGCACCUCCAAGUUGUUCCAUUCUAGCCUUCUUAAUUUGAAUUAUCUUCAUUAGUUUCCUUUAUCUACUCAAACAUGCUGAUAAUGGCAAGUGACCUUGUUGGAAGUAUGUAGUUGAAAGAUUCAUUUAAAUUGUUGACUAAAAUGUCACCUUUACAGUCGUAUGUAAAGUAAGCCCUUGACCAUAAACCAUUCUGCUGCAUUAAGUACAUUUCCUGGUUUCGGAUCAGCCCUCUCCAAUGCAACCAUUGCCCUCUUGAAGUUAUGUAUGUUACCUGUAGAUGCUACUAACCAAAAGUGGUCUCUUAACUCCAUUCCUUUGAACCUCAACUUAAAGUUUUGAUAGAGAUGUCUAACACAAUAGCUAUUGGCAGAAUCUGAAAAAACAUUAUCGCCUUCUUCUUGUCCUUCGUCUUUUGUUAUCUUUGUCUUGUCCCCUACUUCUUCCUUUGAGUUCUAAAAGACUAAUUAUUAAAUGCCACAUCCACUAACUUUUUUUUUUUUUUGCCUCUUCCUCCAAACUCCAAACUCCAAACUUUUUUUUUUUUUUGAAGUUGCAAUAUCUAAAUCCUAAAAAAGUGAAUUAAAAUUUAAACUCACAAUGUCUAAUUCUCAUAGACGUGAAUUUUGUAUAAUUUCAUAAUAUUAUGGUAUUUUUGGAUUGGAUUUAAUAUUAUUUUUUUUGGUAGAUAGAAUUGAGAUUGAGAUUAAAUUUAUUUGUUUCAACUUAUAAUUUAAAAAUUUUAUUUGUGAAAAUUCAAGUUCUUUGAAAAUAUUAAACUUUUCAUCAUAUAAAGUUUUAAAUUAGUCCAUUGCAUGUCUUAUUUUGUGCAUAUAUAUUUAUAUAAAUUAUUUUUUUUAAAAUUCAUUAAACUAGGGUUGAACCGAUCUAAUCAAUUGAAUCUCGAUCCAAACACCUCGUCGGUUCAAUUAACGGUCCAAGUUUUAAAACAUUGGUCAUCAUCACAUCUUUCAACAUAUAAGGUCAUGUAUUUUAGCCCUUCAUAUAACUUUAGCAGUGUGUCAAUGUCCUUGUCAUUGUUAAUUUUGGCUACCACCACGUCCAAACUAUGAAAAGGAAUUUGAUACCAAAUCUCAAUUUGCUUUGCUUCUUUGUCUACUCUAGAAUACAAGUGACAUAGACAGGCUCUAGUUAACUUCUUUUUAAGGUUAUAACCACUUAACUUUUCUAUCCUGUUUCCACUGUAUGAGAUCUCAGGUUCUCAUGUAAACCUUCCACCUAUAUAUAUGCAUGUUACCAGGGGUGGUCGUCAGCAUAUUUUUCAUGUUAUCAAAGCCUAUAGAUGACAAAAUGUCUGCAUAAGUAAUUGUCUUCUUCCAACUUGUCAAAAUAUAUAAAACACAUUCAUGUUUCAAGGACCAGCCAAUAAUACUACAUUAUUACCCCCAAUGAAUUUUUUUUUUUUGUCGAUACGAUAGCUUUUUAUACUAUGGGAAGGGAGAGGGCUUGAAGAGGUCCUGGAAUAACCCGAAAAGGACUGAACUACCACUAAAUCAGACGAGUGCACUACACACCCGCUUAAAUUUUUUAAGUAAGAUCACAUUUAAUUAUGACAAAUUGAUGGGAGACAAAGUGAACAAGCCUUAAUGCAUUGGUGUGGUCACCAGUCCAAUGACUGGUGGUUACCCCCAGUGGACCACUGAAUUUUUUUUUUUUUCCGAAACAUUAGAAAUUUUAUAUCACAAUCAAGCUAUACACUGUUGGAGCAAGGGCUCCUAUUUUAACAUUAGUGCAAUUAGCACUCUGGGGUGGAGUAAUUCCACUCCAUGUCACAAAAGUUUAGAAGAGCAAUUUUGCUCAAACUAUAGCAUAAGCUAUCAAAGGACCACUGAAUACUAAACAUCAACAUCUGCUUAGGGACCACAGUGUUACCCAAAAAAUAAACAACUGAUAUUACUUUAUACCUACUACUUCACCAACUUUUUUUGGCAGAAUUUGUUUAAUUACAUGCAUGUGUACACAACAGUAGAAUACCCGACUAGUGAAAUAACACAAAAUUUGAUAUGCUACCGACAAAUUUUAGACCAUAACAUCAUUCCAUAUCAUAGGGAGUUAAGAAAAUUAUCAUGAAACCUUGGAUCUGCAAUUUAAAAAAAUAUGCUAACACCAGUACGAAAGCUAUUUAGCCAUUCAAAUUUCAAACUUCCAAAUUCAGACCUUGAAAUACCAAAACUCUAAAAUCGCUAAAUCAGAUUAAAAAAGAAAGUAGUAUUUACUUACCAAAUCAGUGUUAUGCGAUGUUUUACUACUACAGAAAACCCUUGAUUCGAUAUUAGCUCCAACUUCGAUCUUGCUACGCAGCCCUUUAUUGUUGAUUCUCUUUCGGUUUUUCACUCUCUCUCUCUAAGAAGAAUAGGAGAAAAUUCCUAAGCGUUCAAGGAUGGUUGCUUGAUCUUAUUAUUUGGUAUAUACAUGGGGACAUUUUAGAGAAUUCAUAUUUAGACGUUAUGGAGGAUGUUUCCGUCCACAUUCCACAUUCCAUGUAACCAUAGGCAGGUUAUGUGGUCAUAUUGAAACUAUAGGGAGUUAUGUGGUCGAGCAUGAAACCACGGAAGGGGGGUAGAUAGUAAUUUACCCUUCAAAAUUAAGUUCACAAACUUUCAAAAUGGAUGCUCUUUCAUACGACCACUUUGGACAAGGGCAUCCAAUGCAUCGAUAUUUUCGAUCCAUGUAACUAUAGUUCUGUUGGUCAAGAAAGAACAUUUAAAAUCCUACCCGCAGGAUCUAAAAUCUGCUAAAUGUGAAACUUGAAAGACUCCAAAAUAUGCAUUAUAUUUUGCUGUUAAUAGGUGCGGUGGUGGUUUAAAUCCCCUUGCAGUUCUGUUUUCCGUGAAAUAUUGGGUGCCCUUAGGUUAAGACUAUGAAGCACGAAUAGUGCCACUACUGGAAUCUUCCACUAGAGUAGCACUCUAUAUUUUGUACAAUAACAAAUCUUAGCCCGUGUGAUGUAAAAUUGACUUCGACACCUCAAAGGUGUAGAGUUCCUACUUCCUAAUCUAGGAAUUCUUCAGCUCCUUGUUUGAUCAUCUUGCUUAUUCAGGCAAUAUCUAUCAUACGGGACAGAAAUCUAAUCUUUGUCACAGAAAUGCUCCAGUUUGUGUAAUUAGAUGCAGUGUGUCCUAUAUAAUAGGGAAUCUAGGAAUUUUCUUUUUGAGAGUUUGGAGUCAAUAAGAUCCUGAACCCAUGUAAACGAAGACAUAUUAAUCAUUUCUAUUACAACACAAAAUGGAAUGCUAGAAUUUCAGCCUUUCUUGUUUGCAGAUUCCUGUUGAUAGCAUAAGUGGCUCUUCUGUGUGAAAACCUGUUCUACCUAGGGAUAAAAAUCGAAUCAAACUACUCAAUGUGUAGAUCGAGUUCGAGUGGACAGAAGCUCAUUUGAUCUUGGUUUGUCAACUAAUCAAGACAAGUCUGAAUGGUAUUUUGUAUUCAGUAAACUUUCAAACUCGACUCGAUUAUCAUAAAAGUAGAAUUUACAGGUUGAAAAUUCAAGUUACUUGAAUAAAUAAAAAUUCAUCUGAAUUCGCCUCAAAUAAAUAAGUAAAGCUUGAACAAAACUUUAAAUUUAUUAAAAUGAUCAAUCAAAGUGAAACAAAGUUGAUUAUUAAAAUAAUGAAGCUUGAUCAGCUUGAUUAGAUUCGUUGACGCCCUAGUUCUACCAAAGUAAAUAUCCUUUAGUAAUCUGGUCCACCUGGGAUUUACAGGAUACUAACACCGUAUACAAAAAUUAUCUGAGCUGAAACAUCAAAUCAAAAGGGUACCCAUUAGACAGCAGCGAGCGAGGUUAAAAAUUCCCCAUCACCAAGAUAUUUUCAAAACUACAGGGGCCACUUCUCUAGAAUUUUCACAUGUGACCAACAAAUUCUGUAAGUAACAACUAUUAUAUAUAUUUGGUUGAGACAAACAGUCCGUUAAAAUGCUCUUGAUGACAAGUACUUGAAAAUUACAGCAUUUAGAUUCCUAAAGACGCCACACCAAAGUGAUCAAACCAAGCAACUCUAAAACAUUGAAUUAUUUGGUUGAGAUUUACCUUUUCCCUGCAUCCUCGCAAAGGUUUUGCUUAAUAUUUUGAAACCAAAAGCUAAUGAUAUACUGUCAAUAAAAUGAUACAAAACCAUGGCUGAUCCAAAGAAGGUUUUCUGAAAUAUUGACCACAAUAUAUCACUGGCUCCCAAUACAGCGACUAAUUAAUAAGGGAAACCUCAUCUGAUGACAUCGACUUCGUUUGCAGACAAAAUCAAUCAAUUGUUUGGACCAGGAAGACUAAUCAAUCCUCCAUCCACCGACAAAUCAUGACCAGUGAUGAAUGCAGAGUCCUGAGAAACUAAGAACAGCACUGCUUCUGCAACAUGUCUAACUGUCAAGGCAAUUCCCUUCAAGCUAGUAAGCGGCCCGUAAACCUUCCCAAUAUCCUUUCCUCUUGUUCUUCGCACACAAGUAGAUGUCAACGGCGUUGCAAUGGCAGAAGGGGAAACGCUGUUUACUCUAAUUCCAUGAACUCCAAGUUGCUGACUCCCGCACCUAACUAGUCCAAGAACUGCAUGCUUAGCCAUUAUGUAAUCGGUCCGACUAACUCCUCCCCUGCUGGCUGCCACACUUGUUGUACAAACAAUGUUUCCCUUCACCCCCUGCUCCACCAUUACUCGUGCAGCGUGCUUUACACAGACAGCCAUACCACGGGCAUUGAUAUCAAACAAACGAUCGAAUUGUGAGAAAUCGAGGUUAAGUACGGUCUGAUCAGAGGGACUUACUAUGCUGGCGUUGCUAAACAUGAUAUCAAGCUGGCCAUAGGUUUGAACCGUCCACUCCACCAAGGCCUUGACUUGAUUUUCAUCACUAACAUCACAAUGGAAAUAGCUGCACUGGUGUGAACCAAUGGAUUCAGUGACGAGUCGGCCCUUGUCAUCUUGUAUAUCGGCAACUACAACAGCCUUCACACCAUUUUCAGCAAAAAGAUGUGCUGUUGCUUCCCCAAUUCCGCUGGCUCCACCGGUUACUAUCGCAACUUUGCCUUCUAGCUUUUUUGUUGCUAAAGUCGAUGCUGGUUCUGUCAUUUCCUUUAAUCAGAAUAGGCCAAAAAUGUGGAUGGUGUUUAUAUGUUCCGCAUGUUUUGGCUCUUACAAGUGAUCCUACUAGGUUUUUAUUGGCCACAAAUAAUGUAUCCAGAUUCAGAUAUCAUAUAAUUUUCUACGGUAAGGCAGGUCCAAACCCCACCAUGUGUCACUUACUAGUUGGUUUGUGUCAAACUCUUGUAACAUGGUUGCAUUUAGAGGGAGAGGGGACAUGAGCAGGUGCUGUUGUGUUUUAAUGUGGUUGGAUCCGAUUAUUUUAUUUUUCAUAAUAAUUGAAAUUCGACUUGUUUCUCCAAAUUUCCAUUCAAAGCAUUUGAAAUUCGACUUGUUUCACAACUUGAACACUGAUUAGGAUUUGAAGUUCGACUUGUUUAUGAAAGCCUUUGAUCAAACAAGGUUGGCCUAUGGACCACAUUUUUUUUUUCUCUUCCCUUCUUAUGUGUCUCUUAUAAAUACUCUCCGUUGAUAGAUUCAAAUUUAGGAGUUACAAGUCCAGAUAUUAAGUAGUCUGAACACAGAUUUUUCAGGUACAGAUUCUACGUACAGUCAAUAAUGGUCAUUAUAUCGUUAAUAGGAUUUUUACAACCACUGCAUACUUUACACAUUUAUGAAAAGAAUUGUAACUGAAAUUUCUUAGACAACUUUUGGUAAUAAUCAUAUUUGUCCGUAUUCAUUUUAUAAAAGGUCAAAUCGACAUUAAUAUGACUGUUACAACCUUUAAAAAUAUUCAUAAUUUUUUAAAUGAAAAUAAUAAUUGAAAAUCUGAUUAAAUUAUUUUGAGGUUUUGGUUUUUUUUUUUUUUUGAUAAGGCAUUCUAACACCAUGUGUAUUCUAUGCUUGAAAAUCACCUGUCCGGCCUCCAUUUGAGUCCACAGUCAUCAUGAAUUGAGGUUAACAUCUUGUGUUGUCUUAUUUUUCAUUCUUGGUUGCUUUUUGCCGAUAGUAUGUAAUGACAAUUGUCAGGUUUUCUCGCCGGACGUCAGAGAAUCAGGAGCCUUGGUCUGGGUAGGAUUUUAGGCAGCAAAACAUCAUCCAGUAACCAUGAUAACCAAAACAAUCAAGGAAAGCCUAACAAAGCCAUUGCCAAGAGGGCAAUUGGAGAAAUAAGAAUAUGUCAGGGUAUAAUUUAACCAAGCUACUCGACUCAAAUUCACGAGUAGCUUAGUUCAAGAUUCGAUUUGAAUUUGAUGUUGAUCGAGUUUGAGUGGAAUUCGAGUUACUUGAUAAGGUAUUCGAAUCAAGUACAAAUAGCAAAAAUCAAAGGGUUAUUAUCACUUUAACCCCUUAAUAUUUUGUACCUACAUUACUUUUUAGUUAUUUUACCCCCAAGACUAACUGUCAAAUUUAACGAAGUUUGUUAAUCAAAUGAAAAAACAUAUUUAGCUCUUAAAAUUAGUAUUACUUUACCUCAUAAACUAUAACCUUAUUAUCAAUUUAACCCCUAGAGUUAUUUUUUAUACAAUUUAUCCCACCAUUAAACACACAUAGCAAGUUGAAGAAUUUUAGAAGAAAGUACCUUCUUUUUUGUAUAAUAAAAAUAAUAAAACAUUUAGAGUGGCUUUUCUCUUUUUUAGUAUCGAAACAAAAAAGUCAAAGUAUUAAUCUCUUUCUUCUUCGCAAUCUUAUUAAUAUUGAAAAAAUAGAAAGAUGGGGGGGAAGAGAGAGAGACAGAUCAAUUCUUUUUUGAAAAAAUAUAAAUAAGAAAUUGAUAAUAGUGAUAUAGUUUAAGAAAGUAAUAUAUUGAGUUGAAUUACUUAUGGGGGUAAAAUGAUUAAAAGAUAACAUUGGAGAGUAAAUUGAUAGCAGUGAUAUAAUUUAAGAGGGUAAAAUGAUAAUAAACUAAAAUCAAAACUCAAGUACUUAUUAAACCUUAUAAGCUAAAAGUUUAUGAAAUUUACCCCAAAAAAAAAAUCAAACUUCAAGAUUUGAUUGAACUCAAUUGAGUUCGAUUUAUCUUCUGAUUAAAAUAAAUAAAAUACUUAUGUUUGUGUUAAAAAAAAAAUCUUUUGAUUGAGCUUAAUUUGUUUGAAACUCAAGCUCGAGUCUCAAUUUUUAAGAAUUCAACGAGCGACGAGAUGGAGAUCAAGUUAAAGAAAUUUUAUUGAAGCAGAGUUCGAACAGUGUAGCCCUAAAUGUGACGUUGAAGGGUGGCACUAAGAAUUCAAUAACUCUUGGAAUGACGAAUGAUCCCCUUUCCAAGGCUACAUGAGUGCCCCCGUUCCGCAGCUGUUUUCACUUUUCAGCUAGUCCAUCACCUGCUACCGGACAAAGUUGGCACAAUCAGUGCCCCCACUACAUCUCCACCAGAUUGCCAGCUUGACUUGGUCAUUGCAAGUCAUCCCUCCGCCCAUGGCCGGCUCCUAUUGUGGUCUCAUCUCAUUCCUAAGAUCCUUGCCUUUUGACUGUCGCCUUAGUGGGGUACGAAAGCGAUGAUGAACCUCUGUUAAUUAGUUCAGGUUUUAUAAAAAAUAUUUAUAUAUAAUAUAAACGUGUUCUAGUCUACACAAUACCAAGGUUGGACCAUAAGUCCAAUACUAUAUGACCUUAUCGAAUUUUAGAUUGGACAAGGCUCUCAAUAUAUUUGCACAUAGAUGGAGUGCCAAUAGAUUUGUUAACAAGGAUCUAUACGUAUAGAAAAGGGAUGAAUUCACUCUAUUUAAUUAUCCUACCUCCAAAUUUUGAAAAUUACAUUAACCUCUUUUGAGGUUUAUUAUCUUGUAACAUUUAGAUCCAACUAACAAUUAAAAAGUGAUAUUAGGAGAGGGAGAGAGAGAGUAUGAUUCCACCAUUGCUUUUGAUCUACUAAAUUGUUUAAUUAAUGUAAUACCAAGCCAAACAUUAAAGAAAAUAUUAGAAUUUGCUAUUUAUUAUCAGGCAAUGUUUUAAAAGGCGAAAGUGUUGGGCAGGGCAUUUGGUAUCCGUCCCAACGAGGUAAAAGCCCCACAGCGUGAGGCGUAAGCCCCACGAAUUUUUAUUUUUUAAAUAUAUAUAAAUAUGAUAUAUAUAUUAUAAAAGUCAUUUGAAGAUAUAAAUAAAUAUAUUAAAAUUAGAUAAAAUUAAGAAAAUUUAUACAGAAAAUGAAUUAUUAUUGUAUAACUCUAACUAAUAAUUUAAGGAAAAUAUAUAUAUUGAUAUUAGCUGCACAAAAAGUAGAAUAAUUAACAUUACAAAAAGUUCAAUCUUAGAAACAACUAGUCACAACUUAGAAGUCACCACAUUAUCAAGCACUUAAAUCACAAACACAUAAAUUCAAGUAAACACAAAUUUCAAAGGUUAAUUGUUUCAAUAAACACACUUAACUAGUAUGAAAAAUAGAAUACCAAAUUAGCAACCAUAUUGCUUAAUUAUAAUACAUAACAAGGAAUAGCACCAAUAAUUAGAAACAAACUGACAAAUAAAAUGAUACUAUUCAUCAAAAUCAAUAUCAUCCAUGUCAUCAUCUUCAUCUAGUGUACAUACACUAGGUAAUUUUCUUCCAAUAGUUAAUGAUAGUUCCGAAAUUUUCAUCAUAUUAUAGGAUCCAAUCUACAGGUAAUAAUCUCUUUUCCUUUACCUUUCUUGCCUAACCAUAUAUUAUAUUUCAAAUAAAUUCGUAUCAAAUUCACUCUAUGUCUCAAUAUAAUAGAUAGUAAAUUAGUAAUAAAGUUGAAUAUUAAAAGUUAAAAACUUAAUUGAUGAAGUUAAAUCUUUUUUUUCCUUUUUUUUAAAGAUAAUUUGUGAGGUGCAUGCUUUUAACGCUCCACUUCAGAGACACACCCAAACACCUGGAUGCAUGCCAUAGAACACUUUCGCCUUUUACGACCACCCAGGGGCAGUAUUGGAACGCUUUACCCUGACACUCACCUUACGAACGCCUUUUAAAACAUUGUUAUGAGGAAUUAAAUCACAUAUGCUAUCAAAUAUAGUAUGUCAUUCUAUAUAUUUCAUUUAAUGUAAGAUUCAAAGUGCUCUUUUUAGUUACAAAUCCAUUGUCAAAUAAGAUCAACAACAAAUAAUUAAAAGAAUCUAUAAUCAAAAUAUUACAAAGAGCAAACUUUAAUACCAUAAAAAUCUCAACAACUAACCUUAAUAUGCUGACAAGAAUAUUUAUGAUAUUAAGUUUGUUCUUUGUAAUAUCUUAGUCGCAAAUUUUUUGAUUAUUUAUUGUUGAUCGUGUUUGACAAUGAGUAUGUAGCUAAAAAAAGUAAUUUGGAUCUAAUAUUAAGUGAAAAAUAUAACAUAAUAUACUAUUUUUCGAUGCUAUAUAAGAUUUGAUCCCUAAUAAUAAAUAGCAAAUUUUAGUGUUUUUCCUUAAUGUGUGGAUUGGUAUUGAAUUAAUUAAAUAAUGCCAUAGAAGAGGGGCAAUAAUGGAAUCAUAUUAUCUUCUCUUUCCUAAUUUCACUUUUUAAUUAUUGAUUGAAUCUAAAUGUUACAGGAUAAUUAAUCAAGUGAGGUUAGUGUAAUUUUCGAAAUCUAGAGGAAGGCCAGUGAAAUAAUCAAAGGUUUUUGAAAUUAUCCCUGUAGAGAGAGCAAGAGAAUCACCUUGAUAAUUAAGAGAUCGAGCCCGGAUCUUCUUGCAAGUGAGAAGGUCUUGGAUAGACGGCCAACCUCUUGAAGAGACUGAUGUGCAGGAUCAGGUGAUAAGGAUGCAGCUUCGUGGAUUGAGUAACCCGUAAGAACUUGCCCUUGAGAGGGGUACCAAAAUGUGAAUUCUUGGAUGGGCAUUUAUUUAUGGGCUUCCUCAAAAGAGGAAAAUAGAACUUCGCAAAAUUUCGAGGAAUUCAUAUUGCAGCACAUACAUUGGUGUUUGAGAAUGUUGCAUUAUUGGCAAAAUGGCUUUGCAGGUGGGGCAAUGUGGUGGUGGUAGAUUGCAGGAAUGGUGGUGGCUUGCAGAUAGGUUGCAUGAAAAAGAAAGGGACGUUUUGGUCCUUUUAGUUGACAAACAACAAAUUUUUACUAGUAUUUUCUUUGCAAAAAUUUGAACUUUUAACACUUACUUAAAUAUUUUUUACCAACUAUUUAGUUAAAUGAUAUAUAAAAUGCAUCUUAUUAUUAGUAGCAUUAGCAUUAUUUAUUGAAUUUUUAAGACUUUAUUUAUUAUGUCAAGAAAAAAUUGUUUAAUGUUAAACUACAUACGCCUUUUGAUUAAUUGUUUGAUUUUAAUUUUAAUUUUUGAUCAACCAAAUUUCAAAUUUAAGUACUUAAAUCUACUACAUAUGAUCUUCUAAAUGUGAAGUUGAAACUAAUAGAAUUUGUAUACAUUCAAAGUUGUCUCUGUAAAUAUAUAAAACCAACAUUUGCAUCUAAUAGUAAUAGGGUUAAUUACCAUAUAUCCACCUAAUAUAUAUCCUAUUUGUCUGUUUACCUCUUAACUUUCUUUUUAUGUCAUUUAACCUCCUCUAGAAGAACUCUACCACUCUAUUAUGUCGAUAUUUUAUUUCUUUUCUCCUUUCUCUUUUCCUUUUUCCUUCAAAUCAGUAAUUUUUAAAUUCUUAUUGUUAAGUAAAUAAAAAAUUGUUCUAUAUAAUAUAUUUCUUUGUUAAAUUUUGUAUUCAAUUCAAAUCUUAAUUGAAUUGAUUUUUUUUAUCAUUGUUUUACAUAUCACAUUUCUAUACUAAUUUGUGUUCUUUUAUUUGUCAAAAACCAUCUUGACUAGUUUUAUGUUGUUUGUUCUAUAACUGCAUGGAGAAACUAUACAUACAUAUACAUACAUACAUAUAUAUAUAUAUAGACACACACACACACACACACACACACACACAUAUAUAUAUAGUAAAUUACCAAUCAAUUGUAUUUAUUUAGUAUCAUUAUAAUUAGACAAGUUGAAAUAAAAGAUUAAUUUUUGACAAUCAUGUUAACAAGCUAAUUAUUUGAACAUCUUUUUGGUCUAUUUCCUUUAUUAAAUAUUUUCUUAUAAUAUUACUUUCUUUACUAUUUCUUCAAAAGUAAUCAAAUAUUAAUAUGUUCCUAGUAAAUCUACUUCUAUCUUUUGGUACUUUACCACUACAAAUUAGAGUAAUCAAAAUUUAGCCACAAUUUAAGAUUAAUAAAGAAAAGAAAGAAGAAAAGGAAAACUAAAAAUUUAGCAUAAUAGAGGUGUAGUAUUGUCUCUUAGGGUUUAAAUGAGAAAAAAAAUUAGGGGUAAAUUACAAAUCUAACUAUAACUUAAGGGAAGUUUUUGUGAAAAUAUCAUCUGUCUACUUUCUAUUUGCACUUUGAGAUUUGAUUGCUCUUCAAAGUUUGAUAGUAGAAAAUAUUCAAAUAUUUUUUUUCCCUUAAGACUGUUAGAAUGAUAAGAUAUAAUAAUGAAUAAUGAGUUGUUAUAGAUAACUAUUGCUCAUUUCAAUUUAUUAAUAAAUAUACAAAUUCCUUAACAAAGUUCUAUACAUUUAAGUUAAAAUAAUCUAAUGAUUAAAAAAAGACUUCUUGAUAUAGAAACUUAAUUUGAAACUUUUUAUUUUGGGUGUAAUAAGACAUCGAGAUUGGAUAAUUAAGUGUCAAAAAUAGAAAAGAAUUAUCAUACAAUCCAAAAAUCUAAAUUUCCACUUGCCAAACUACAAUUAUCCACACACACACACACACAUAUAUACAUGUCACUUCCCCCUCCGCCUUAGGAUAAAACCAAAAUCCUGACUCAGGGUUCUACAGCAUGUGUAAAUACAUACAAACUAUACAGGGAGGUGUACAAUGUACAUGUUAGUCGUAGGGAGUAUAAAUUUUUAUAUCUUUGUUUAUCUGUUUAGUCCACAAUUCGGUAUAUAUGCUUGUCUAAGUGCAUUUUCGGGGGCGAGGUGGAAUUACUAGAAUAUAGGAAAGUGAGGCAGCUCUAUGGUUGGUUGCUAAUAACUGACCAAGUUCUUCUCCAUCAACACCCUUUUUUGAGUUGAAUACAUAUAGUAGUUGAAAUGACACUAAAAAGCACCAAUUCCUCAAAGUUAAACGUAACUAUUGGUGCUGCAGCGUUUUCCGUGACCUUUCAACAGACGCGACUGAAACACGGUGCAAGAAAAUUGGAGAGUACUAUUGACCUUUUCUUUCCUUUUCUUCUCUUUCUUUUUUCUCUUUUUCAGUUUUGUUUUGUGUGCGAAUUAUAUAUAACCUUUAAGCAGAUGCAUAUUUUGCUCAUCCAAAAUUUGAAACUUGUUUCAGCCAGUCCCGAAAUUUGCCCACUUAGUUGCACUUGUUCCAUUUGCGUUUCUGCAACGUCCUGUGGCUCUUUUAUUCCAAUUGUCCCCAGAUUCUUGCAUCAUCUCCUUAAUCAAAUUCUUGAUCAUAAUCGUAAAAACCUGGUUCUCGUCUCCAAUUUACUCAUCAAUCCACCAUGUAAAGUUUCUAGCGUGUAACAAACUGGAUAACACCAUUCUUUCUAUUCCGUAGCUGCACAUUUAUAAAAAACUUGUUCAGCAUGUAAUUUUGAUCAGCUCCAUAUUCGGCUCUUCCAAAACCAAAAAAAAAAAAAAAAAAAAAACGUAGUAUCAGUUUUUUCAUUUAGGUACCUUGUUUCCCUACAGUAUUGUGCUACAGAGCUGGCUGGGCGUGGCUCAGGAGCUCCUGUAGCCAAACCUGUAUAAAAAUCAACAAAUCACGUAAUAUCGUUCUCUCAAGUUUCUUAAUCUAGGAUCUAAUCAAUCUCCCAAAAAAAAAAAACUUAUACUUGAAGUUUUGAAGAAGAAAAUGGCACAAUCAGCGCCCGGAAGUCCGCGAGGGACGGCGUCUACAACGCCAGGGAGUACUCCAACACCGCUGUUUACCGCAGUGCGAAUUGAUUCAAUGGCUGAUGAUCGGAAGCCAAUGCCUGCGUGCAAGUGCUUCCCAGUAUUGGCUGGACCUCAAUCGUGUAUCACCAACUUCCCCGCGCCAGAUAUCUCGCUCCCCCGCAAGGUAUGACUUCUGCCUUUUCUUGUUUUCUAUCCUUCUUCCUCUCCUUGUAGGUGCCAUGCAUGCGCUGUACAAUAUUCUCAUUCCAUCCUAACAAGUUCAGCAGAGAUUACAUUCUCAUCUAGCAGUUUUAUAUAAAUCCACAUAUUAGUUCGUGGAGAGCAUACAGAAGUAAUUGAGGAAGAUCAUCAUUGUUCUUGGUUGAUUUUGCAACGAUUCUUUUCUUUCUUGGUUUUACUUUUCAAAUGUAUACAACUAAUGCGCAGUAGUAGGAUCAAUAUUUAAUAAGUUACGGUUGUUAACAUUGCAAUUAACUCACAAAAUUGAGGCAUAAAAACUAAGGAGAUGUUUGAUAACCCAAUUCAAUACUUAAUAGAUUUAGAUCUUAAUAUGUUUAGACGCGUUUGAUAACUAAAAAUUGAAUAUUUAAAUUAAUUAAGUAGUAUUAAAUUUUUUAGGCAAAACUUGUUCUAAAAAAAUAAGUGACAAGUUAUUCAUUUAUUAUUACUUAAUAUAAUAUACAUUCAAAUAUAUCAGAUUUAAUAUUUAAUAAUUCAAUAAUUUAAUGGAUUCAAAAUUCAAAUUUUAGUUUUCAAAUUUCAAUCUUAUCAAACACACUCUAAAUUCAUGAUUAAAAUCCCAACAUCUAAUGUCUUAACCUUGGUUAUUUAACCACGAUUAGUUGAAGACGUCAUUGAUAACUGUGUAAAAGUCAUGUAUUACUGAAUUUAAACUUGAUACUGGUGGCUAUGAGAGGACUGUUAAAAUUACCCAAUCCUAAACUUGACUGUUGGAGGUUGGAAGGAUGUAAGAAAAAUAAAUAAAUGUCAAUAUGCUGGUCUUAAAAUUUACCUUCAAGGAUAAUGUAGUAAAAAAAAUGUGGUUUAUUAUCCGUGUACACUUUGUAAAUGGAAAGCUCAAAGUGUUUGAAUCAAUCAACUCCUUUAGCUACAACAAGUGGGAAGAACAGGACGAGAUCCAUUUGUUGACUUGCAGUUUAUAUCACUUCCAAUCUCAGUAAUGAUUAAUGGAUACAAGAGUAUAACUUAACCUUGAAUUGGAACUUUUGCAACUGGCGAAAUAUGAAUACAGGUGGGAGCAGAAUUCUUGGGGACUUUCAUCCUUAUAUUUGGAGCCACAGCUGGACCCAUUGUAAACCAAAAGUACGACGGAGCAGAAACGCUAAUAGGGAACGCAGCUUGUGCGGGGCUAGCAGUUUUGAUAGUGAUCUUGGCAACUGGGCAUAUCUCGGGAGCUCAUCUGAAUCCCUCCGUAACUAUUGCAUUCGCGGCACUUCGCCACUUCCCAUGGGCUCAGGUGCCUGCCUACAUAGCAGCUCAGGUUUCAGGAUCGAUCUGUGCUUCUUUUGCUCUCAAAGCUGUUUUUAACCCCUUUAUGUCAGGUGGUGUCACGGUUCCGUCCGUAGGCAACGCCCAAGCCUUCGCCCUUGAGUUUAUUGUAACCUUCAUUCUCCUAUUUGUUGUUACAGCGGUCGCCACAGACACUCGCGCAGUAAGCACAUCAUCCUUGCUCCUCAGACUUAAUCUGUUCAACUGCGAACCUAUAUAGCCUUCGUAGGUUAGCUAUGAAUUUUGGCCUCUACAUAGUUUAUUUUUAACAUGUGCUCAUACUGUCGCUACACAUGUAAAUAGGUUGGAGAACUGGCAGGAAUAGCAGUCGGAGCUACAGUCAUGCUCAACAUUCUUGUUGCCGGGUGAGUUUUGGCUAGGGGUUUAUUUGAUAACUACUCUACUUAAUGGUGAAAAUUAAUUCAUUGAGAACUUUUUGAAUUCAACGUGUUUGAUUGCAGAAAUCUCCUAUCGCCUAUAGUAUAUUAAGCAUUGUUUAACUAGUGUACAAACUUUCAAGUGAAAAAAUUUUACUGAAUUUUUCGAAUUGACUAUACAUGCUAUAACUCUCACACAUAUAACACAUUCUUGUACAAUCUCUCGUACAAAGUACACCUCUUUUUGUUCACACACUUAUACACAUUGCAAUAUACACUAUCACACAACCACUAGGCCAUUGGCUUAGUGGCCACCACCAAAAUGCCACAUUUAAGUGGCUUGUUUCCAAAAAAAAUCCAGACGGGUGUGCUGUGCACCCGUCUGAUCUGGUGGUGGUUCAGUCCCUUUCGAGUUAUCCCUAGGUCUUCUUAGGUCCGCCCCCUUCCCCUUAGUGUAGGAUAGAUUAGGUUUAUCGUCUCCGGAAAAAAAUAUAUAUACACUAUCACACAGAAUUAUGCACGCUUAAACACCACCUCUAACUUUUUUUUUAUCACACACACAAGCACACACAAUUUUUCUCUCUCUAAAUACACAAAUAAAGGUAAUUUUUUUAAAGAUAACAACAUAAUAUUUCUGCGAUAUUUCAAUUCAGCAUUAUAAUUCUGUUAAUUAUUAAAUAGAUAUAAUCUAAUCAAUUGAGCAACUUAAUACUGAAAAGCACUUCAUUUUUUAGAUUUUAAAAAUCAGAUUUCAGACUUCAAUUUUAUAAAAAAGGGGCCUAAGUAGGCCAAUGAAUUAGUGCUUGUUACAAAGUAAAUAAAGAAUGGAAUGGGUUCGCUUCAUAUGCACCCACGAGUGGUUAAUAAAGGCUGUAAGAAUUUUGCUACCAGAGCAAUUUUGUCUACGAUGACCGAAUCACCUUUAUAGAUCAUUUUAAAAUUCAAACUUCCAGUCCAAUCUGGAAGGAUAACUACUGAGUACUAACUUCUAACUAUUUGACAUUUUAGUAUUGGUUUAUUGCAUUACGUAAUUGGUUGGAGUUUGGACAGCAAAAGUGGCAAGAUGCAAUAUUGACUUUUUUUUUUUUGUUUAUUUAAUGUGAUGCUGAGUUGAUGAUUGAUGUGCUGAUUUUUUUUUCAAUUGAAUUUUGUUGGAAAAAACAUAUGGAAUAUUAUUUUGGAGCAAUUUUUUUUUUAGAGAAAAUUGAAAUAUGUUAACUUACUAUUGGCAUUUUGGAUUUCGGAUAUUACCAAAUUACUGGUUCUCCGGCCAAAAUCCAAUUACCGGUAUCCAAUUUACCAAACUAAAGUUUGGAUGCGAAUCGAAUAUUGGUGUUGACAAACCAAUUACCGAAUUCCCAAAAUUUUUUUACCAAAUUUUCGACCACCACCCAAUAAACACCCCUAUCUGAUCCAUUCCUCUUUAUGGGCAAACUAAUUCAUCGUCUCCAUUUUAAGAAGUCUACAAUAGUGCACUUAGGAGCAAUUUGAAUGCUUCUGCUAAUGGGAGGAUAUGCUACGAUUGGAAACAGAAGCACCUUCAUGAUAGUAACUAAAUUCAGUGAAUUUUACCCCAAAAAAAAAUUAAAUUUAGAGAAAAAGACAAGAAACUCAUGUGCUUGCAAUAAUAAUAGGGAAAAUAGGAAUAUAAUAGAUGCUGUAGUUUUUUGAAAGUUACACACCAUUUUUAACCACUAAUUUUCUCAAGCCUAUUAUUAUCCUAUCUUCUAAUCCCUAUAUUUUAAAUAUUUUUCACCCUUGAUCCUUAGCCCCUUUUGCGACUAUUUAAAAUCCAAAGCAAUAAAAGCAACAUUUGAAAGAAUUUUAUGUAUGUCUAUUAACUCAGAAUUACAUUGUUAUGCUACUGGAAUCCUACUAACAUACUUACAAAACAAGCACUGACAACAUUGCCGUGGCUGUCGGCAGGCCAGCCAGCGGCGGUUCAAUGAAUCCUGUCCGAACUCUGGGACCAGCCGUCGCUGCUGGAAACUACACGUCAGUUUGGGUAUACUUGGUGGCUCCUACACUCGGGGCCCUGGCGGGAGCGGGGGCAUAUACCAUGGUCAAGCUUCAAGGAGAAGGGCGUAAUGCGGCUGAAGCUCGACAGCAGUCCCGGAGUUUCCGUCGGCCAAGCUAGGCCUACUGAAGUUCAAAUCUACCUAUCUAUCUAUUACUAUCUAUCUGCAUGGCAAGUACGUUCGGAUUACAGGAGGACUGCUUCGUAAGCCCAAAAAAAAAAAAAAAAAGCAGCAACAACAAUUUUUAGUAAAAAAAAAAAAAAAAAAAAAACAAUUUUUAGUAAAUUAAGUAGUUCGGUUGGAAAGCUUAAAACUCAUUACUUCUUAUAUACUUCCAAUUUAACGAAGAAUCGAAGGUCUAGAAGAGGAAACUAAACAUUGUACUUCCCCUGACAUAAUAUUGUGCUGUGCUUAUUAAGGUUUAUGCAAGAUCAUCAGUACUAAAUCAAGUGUGUCAUACUUCAGUGUAUCCACUACUCCCUUAUUUUUUCAGUCACUUAAUCUUGUAAAGCUCAAACAGCGGAAUUAUCUAUGGAGGGUUUCGGUUUAAAUAUGUUUAUCACGGCUUGUUAUGUAUUGGAGCUCCUACAAGCGUAGUUUUGAUUGUAUGGUGCAGUUAAUAUUCGGGAUGAGUUUAAUUUCGAAUUGCGGGGAUGAAAUUAACUGUAGGACACAAUUUUCAAGAAGUGAAAAAAAAAUUAUUAUAGUUUUUUUGCACAUUAUUGUUGUAGUAUAUACAUUUAUUGUUUUAGUAGUGUCUAAACAUGUUGUAUCAGUGUUUACACUGCACCAUAUAAUUGGAACUGUAAUUAUAUUAGCCCUGCAUCUGCUUUGAUUCGGCUUGUGUUGGUAGUGUAAUAUAAGAACUCAAAAGUAUAUUAGAUUUGAAAUGUUAAAUUUUCUUACUUCUUUUAUACUUAACAUGAAGUACUUGACCUGUGCAAAGCACAGCUUGGACCCCUAGAAAUUUAGUCGAACACAUAACAUCAAAUUAUUUUGGCACAUGAUGAAUGAAUAGAAAUAUAGGAGAAAAAUUGAGCAUCAAAAUAAUUAAAAUUGACAAAUGUUAUUUGAACUCUCAAUUUUUUUUAAUCACACCUUCGCUAUUAUUUUUAUCAUAUAGUUUUUAUUUAUUGUAGGAAUACAAUUAACAAAAUAUGAAGUAUAAAUAAAAUUUCCCUCAAAAUUUGUUGUGAAGAGAAAUUCCAUCUAUGAAGUCAACCCCCCCUAUUUAUUGUGAUUUGAAUAAAGAUUUUUGAACCACUAUUAUGAUGAUACCCAAAAACGGGAGAGAAUUAAUACACUAUAAGUGCAUUGUUAUAUUAAUAGCAGCAUAGUUUUAGUUGUAACUAAAUCAAAAGUAGUUAUAACACUUCCAGUACUUUAAUAAUGAGAAAAAGUUUAGAAAGCCACUAAGACAUGGCACAAUCUUCAACAUCAAUAUAGUUUACUAUAAACUUUCACAUUUUUCUUGCUUUUGAUUGAAGAAGUUAGUUCAUCUAUAUAAAUCCCGCCUAAUGAUGAUAACAUUAUCCUGCAGCUCCAAAAUAUAAAUAGCAAGGUUAGAUAAAAAUAUGAAUUGCUACAUUUUCAAAUCUACAUUUACAAAUUAGAAUUGAACCAUUUUUUUUAUUGCAAAAACAUCUUCCUAAUCAAAAUUAAAUUUUCUAACAUUUUUUUGUCAAGUCAUACUCUAGGCUGAAAUCCUCAAUUGUGACUUCUAUCACCAACUACAAUCCUUGUAUGCCAACCCAAUUGAUACUACAACACUUGACUAAUUAAAAAACAAGCAAAAAUUAACAUUAGUUUAAAUAUAUACAAAAUCUUAUUGGAUCCUUCAAUUAAAUUGAAUAGACCAUAAAGUAAUUGCAAAACGGGGGCAGGGGAAAGAAAGAAACAGAGAAAAAUAGAGGUAGAGGAAUGCCUAACUAGAUUUAUCUUGGUGGAAAUAUCACAUAAUAUGUCUUUUCUCCUUAAAAAAAUACACAAAAUUGUAGAUAAUUACAAGAUGUAACCAAAAAACAAAGAAAAGGAAAAAAGAUGUGAAGUAAGAACUCAAAUCCUAGGAGGAGAAAAGAAAAGAAUGAAUUUUUGUUUUAUUCUUCAUAGAAGAUGAUCACUAGUAUAAAAUGAAUUUUAAGAUCUUUUUACCUAUUUUAAUAUUUCACCUUUAUCCAUGAAGAAAUACCAAAUAAAAACAUCAUCCUAUAAAUUUAACAAACAAAUGCCAAUUGGCUAUAACAUUAUGAUUGAAGAAUAGAGCAACAUGAGAGAUUAGAGAUGAAGAAAAAUGGAAGAAAAGAAAAUGUAAAAUGGGAUCAAAAAAAUAAUAAAGACUUCUCAUUUCUAAGUAGCUAAUCAUCUCGACCAAUAAAAAGAACAUGACAACAAUCAUAGUUAGAUUAGUUUUAAAAAAUAAAAAAUUAAAAAGGUGAGGGAUGACAGCAAUUGCCACAAGGAGGGAAGGAAAAAUUUUGCUAAAAUGACCAAGAUUCCAAUUGUCAAAAAUAUAUGCAAUACAUGUGUCAAAAAGAUGAGCAGCCGCAGUAACUUGGCCUUUUUCUUAUAUACAAGGUAUAUAUUCUCCAAUUUGACAAGGAAACUAAUUUUAGAGAAGGGAAAAUACAAAUCAUAGUCUCCCUAAACUAGGAUAGGUAUAAGAAUUCAUUAGUGCAGAACCAAGUGCAAUGAUCGUAUGUGGGCUAAUAACCCUUUCAUUUAUGCUGCAAACAUAACCAGAACGUGUAUGUGAAGAGUGGACUUUAGCAGCAUGAGACUCUAAAAGGACACUUAACAGAGACAAUGAUGGCCUUAAAGGAUAAGAGGUUUUGGCCUAUCUUUGAUUUCUUCUUUGCACGUUGGACCAAAACACCUUGUCACAAUCACUAGACGAAGGACUUGGCAAAUUACCGACUGCUUUCAGUGCCGUGCGGUCAGUUGUGUUUCCAAUUUGACUAUAGGUGUCCAAUUUCAAUUGAUGUGAAGAAGCACGGCACCUAGAGCUAAGAUUCCAAUUGUGACCGGAAAUGGUUUAUUAAUUAUUAUUGAUAGAUAUGGCCCAUUGCUUAAUGUAAGAAUGUGUGGACGUUAUUAAUUUAGCAGAUGAAACAUCUGAAUCACUCGCUACACAAAACAUUUUUCUUUUCUAACAAAAUUUCAAUUCACUCAAAAUAUCCAAAUUGAAGGUGUUAUUUACAUUAACAUGAAAGUGAGAAGCAUAUAAUGAAUGACACCACAAGGGAAUUUAGGAUUAUCUGAUUUUUAUUCCAUUGUUUAGAGCAAUAUACUGUGAACGUGAAUUUUUAUGUGACCUGACCUCAGAGAAUAAAACAGCACAAUUUUCAGAAAAAGAGACGUAAUUGUUCAAGAUAAAUAGAUAAUCUCAUAGGCACAUAAUUGUUUGGCCUUUUUUUUUGGGGGGGGGGGACAUGGUUAAUUCUAUUUUGUACCCUUGAGUUGUACCCUAAUUCUCACUUGAUCCCUGAGCUAAAAUAUGAGAUAUUUCACUUCCUAGAUCUUAAUAUCGUUCCACUUUAAUCCAAUACUUAACAGAAUAUUCUAAACUAUUUUGUUAGUUUGUGUACAUCUUGUUGACAAUUGAAUUAAAAUGAAAAGAAUUUAAGAGGUUGAGGAAUAAAGUGUUUCAAACUACAGUUUAAGGAUCAAAGUAAGAAUCGAGAUAUAAUUCAAAGGUGCAAAAUAAAAUUAACCCCAAAAAACAAGAAGAACGACUUUUUAAUUGAACAACUUAUAAUACAACUUGAAACAUUUUGGGUAGAGCUGUAGGCUUUCAGAAAGUUAAGAUAGAACCUUAAAUUGUUCCUGUGAGAGAUGACUAUCCAUCAUCAUCUUGAGCCACCAUCGACGAGUAGGUCCUGGCCAGUGAUACAUGAAGAAUCAUCGGAGGCAAGGAAUAAAACAGCAUCCGCCACAUUAUUGGCUUUUAACGCCUUCCCUUUCAAGCUUGAAAGUUGACAAACCUCUUCAGCUUCCUCUGCCGUGAUCUUAAAUUGAUUACAAACCAUAGGUGUUACCGCCGCGCUCGGCGACACUGAGUUUACCCGUAUUCCAUGCUCUCCGAGUUGCUUGCCGGUGCAUCUCAUCAGCCCCAACACCGCAUGCUUGGACAUGUGAUAAUCUGUUCGAAUUUGUCCUCCACUACUUCCAAAUGUACUAGCCGUGCAGACUAUGCUACCUUUGAUGCCCUGAGAGACCAUCGCGCGAGCUGCAUGUUUCACGCAGGCAGCCACGCCGUCCACAUUUAUGGCGAAGAGAUGGUGAAGUUGGGAGAAGUCGAGAUCCAGAACUGUCUGAUCUGACUGGCUUACUAUGCCUGCGUUGGCGAACAUGAUGUCGAGCUGGCCAUGAGUCUUUAGAGUCCAUUCGACCAUGGCUAGGACUUUCUGUUCAUCAGCAACAUCGCAGUGGACGUAACUGCAAGUGUUGGAGCCAAUGGACUCCGCCACCUUUUGGCCCUUUUCGUCCUGGAUAUCGGCGAUUACCACCCGUGCUCCGUGAGUGGAAAAAAGUCGUGCUGUUGCCUCCCCUAUGCCGCUAGCGCGGCCGGUGAUUAUGGCUACUUUUCCUUCCAGUUUUUUCAACUGAAGAGUAGGUCUAGACAUAUUCUGUCCAAGAAGGUCGAGGAUAAAUGUAAAAUUGCACUAAAGUGUCUUCUUGAUAUCCAAUCUUUUGGAAGGCUUGCCCUUUAAUGUAUACUGGCGCAGUUAUUUAUUGUGCUUGUUGGCCACUUUUGGAGAACGUCGCUAUAUGUAAAAUAUAGGAUUUAAUAUGUACCAUAUAACUGGUUGAUUUACAUGAAGGAAAGUCGCAAUGAUUUUUUUUUCUUUUUCUCUUCGGAGAGAAUCAACAGUCAUUUUUCACUUAUCCUUGUUAAUAUCCUAUUGAUGAUUCGAACUCUCGAUUAUAAGUGAAAUGCUUUACCAAUUAACUUGCACUUUGUUGUCAGAAAGUAGCAAAAUUAUCGACGUUAAAGAGUAAUAAUAUAAGUUUACAUUGUGUAGUAGUAUAUAUUUCUGAUUUUUACUAUCACAACCAUGAUAUGCUACUGUCAUUCUUUUAACGAAAAUAAAAAUAAAAUCUACUAAUUUCAAAAAGAUCCACUAAAAAUAUCUAUUGAUGAUACGUCUCACUUCAUGCAAGCAUAUUGGCAGUUAUCGAACUAGUUGUCAUGAGUUUGGGCCUUUGAUUUGUGACACUACGUGUUUAAAUUUCAACAAUUAGCCCUUUCCUGAAAAUAUCAUCAAUCGUAAUUUGUGCGGGCAGCAUAUGUUUUGUGCAAAUGCUUUGACUCAUGAUAAUGAAUUGAGUCAAAAUCACUUAAACUUUUAUUCUAACGAGAAAAAGAAGAAUAUUUUUUGCAAAUGUAAGAUGAUGGUUGUGAAGAAUACCAAUUUGCACCAUAAUGACUUGUUGAUUAACAAAAAAAAAAUGCUACUAAAAUAAAAGAUGCACUGAAAAUAUCUAUUGGUGAUGCCUCUCGCAUCAUACAUCCACAACUGAUGCAGUAGAAGUUGUCACGAUUCCAUGACAAGUUGUGACGUUUUUUGACUUUUAAUUCGCGAAGGAUAUUUUUGCAAAUGUAAGACUCGAAGAAUGCCACCAUAGAAUGGGUGGCAAAUUCCUCAAAAUAUUGAUUAUUUAAAAAAAAAAACAGUCAAUUAGGGCUCCAACACGUAGCUUUUCUCAUUCUAUGCCCGUCACGCUGACAAGGAAUGAUGGGCAAAAUAAUUCUUAAAAAAAGGGAUAAUUUCAGAAACCUCCUCUCUUGAGAUUUGAAAAAUUACACGUACCUCCCUUAUCAUUUAAAAUGACAAAUGUACCCUUAAAUAUUUUGAUAAAAUUCCCUUAUUUGGCAUGCUUAUAUUUAGAAUGAGUUUUAAAAUUAUUAUUUCAUUCUUUUUCCUUCUUAUUCUUUUUUUUUUUUUGAAUUUUUCUCCAAUAAAACUAUAAAACUACCACUAUUGCUUCUAGUUUUUAUUGUAACCAAAUGUCGAACUAAUAAUUUUUUUGACGAGUUAAUUUUAUAUUUAAUCCAAUAUUUUUGCUAAUCUUUAUUUUCUAUUUUUUGGUACUAAAAUUAACAAUAAAUAAAAAAUUAAAUGAAUUAUUUCAACAUUUUCUUUUCUAUCUUAUAAAUCUAAAUCUUUAAUAAAGUGUCAUCAAAAGUAUCCUAUCAUAGUGAUACAAUUAUUAUUAUUGUUAUUUAUCAAAUAGUAGGUAUGUACAAGAAAAAUUUGGUACCUUUUUCUUAUAAUUAUACUAGAUAAUCUUAUAAUUGUAUAGAGAAAUAAAUUAACUCAUUAUAUAAGGGCAUUUUUUGGGUAUUCAUUUAAAAUAUUGGCCAAUUCAAUAUUAUUUUAAGGUUUUGUUACUAAAAAUAUCAAAUCAAGGGAGAUGAGUGUAAUUUUUCAAACCUUGAGAGAGUUUAGCGAAAUUGUCAGAAACAUCAAGGGAGAUUUCUGAAAUUAUCCCUCAGAAAAAUAUGAGGUGCCGUCGUGUCAAGUAGUCAGGAUGAUGGGGUCAUUCUUGUCUGGCUCGUCGUGCUGAUCUUGCUUGCAGUUUUAUAACGCAAAGUAUUAGUGUGGGCCAUGCAAAAAUUGGCAUUGGUGAAAUGAUAAGGGAAGUGGGUAGCGUUGGCUAGCUUAGAAUAAUCAGAGCUACGAUGGAACUUUUCAAUGUUUCGGAUCGUAAAUUAUUAGCAUAAUUUUAAGAGAAAAAUGCAGUUUUGGUAUCUAAACUUUGACGCACGAGCGGUUUUAGUCCCCAAAUUUUGGACGAAAGCAAAUUUGGUAUCCGAACUUUCAAAUUUUGAAUACAUUAAGUACCCUUGACGAUUUUUUCCCAAAUUAUUACCGGAAAAAGCCAUGUGAUAGUCACGUAUCCGGCCAAAAUGGAAUUAAAAAAGGCCAAAAAUGCAGUUUUAGUACAUAAACUUUGACGCACGAGCGGUUUUAGUCCCCAAAUUUUGGACGAAAACAAAUUUGGUACCCGAACUUUCAAAUUUUGAACACAUUAAGUACCCUUGACAAUUUUUCCCAAAUUGUUACCAAAAAAAGCCAUAUAACAGUCACGUGUCCGGCCACAAUUGUAUAAAAAAAGGCCAAAAAAAUGUCAAAUGCUAUUCUAAUACUAAGUAUUAAAUUUAAGGACUAAUAGCGUAAUAAAGAAAAAAUCCAAGGACUAAAUAACAUCACAUAAGUCAACAAAACCCAAGAACGAUACAAAUGAGCUCCAAUUCCAGUACAUUAAUCUAAGAAUCAAGUCACAAAGGUGUAAAUAAUGAUGUGUAAUCCUUUAUUUCUCUUGCCUAAGUUGACUUGAAGAAACUUGAGCUGGUCAUGUAUUCUGCUACCUAACUUGAUACAAGAAACUUGAACUAGUCCUCGGGACAAAGCAGCAAGCAGCUGACUCAGAAAAAUUUACAGAAGAACAAUUACAAAUGGGUCAUCCAAUAGGGAAGCAAUCAAAGGUGUAUGACGAUAAUUUGGAACUCAAGUAUGGACCAAAAAUAGAUGUUUGGUCUCAAAUUAAUGCCUUGAGGUGCUUUUAUUUCGGCUCAUCUUCUCUAUGACAUUGUGUAAUAACGGGACACAAAGCUCCUGAGAUGUUUCUACCCCAGGAUUUCUGGAGACCUCUGCAUUUGAUCUUCCACUAGAUAAACUCCUAUGCUGUCUGAAGUCAUUUGUACUCGGGAACUGCGAACUUCCUCGGCUCGCAGGUCUUAUUCCUAUAAGCCGUCCCAGCGGCACACUCCGAUCUUGGAAGAAUGAUGCUGUGGACUAGUGCAUAUUGAGAAAAGAAACAAUACCAGCCAAGAAACUACAAAAUGAGAAGGGGAUACUGACACAAUGAAAAAACAGGUGGGAUUAAUGUACUGGAAUUGGAGCUCAUUUGUAUCGGUUCUUGGGUUUUGUUAACUCAUGUGAUGUUAUUUAGUCCUUGGAUUUAUUCUUUAUUACGCUAUUAGUCCUUAAAUUUAAUAUUUAGUAUUAGAAUGGCAUUUGACAUUUUUUUGGCCUUUUUUUUAUACAAUUGUGGCCGGACACGUGACUGUCAUAUGGCUUUUUUCGGUAACAAUUUGGAAAAAAAUCGUCAAGGGUACUUAAUGUGCUCAAAAUUUGAAAGUUCGGGUACCAAAUUUGUUUUCGUCCAAAAUUUGGGGACUAAAACCGUUCGUGCGUCAAAGUUUAGGUACCAAAACUGCAUUUUUGGCCUUUUUUUAUUCCAGUUUGGCCGGACACGUGACUGUCACAUGGCUUUUUCCGGUAACAAUUUGGGAAAAAAUCGUCAAGGGUACUUAGUGUGCUCAAAAUUUGAAAGUUCGGGUAUCAAAUUUGUUUUCGUCCAAAAUUUGGGGACUAAAAUCACUCGUGCGUCAAAAUUUAGGUACCAAAAUUGCAUUUUUCUCUAAUUUUAAUUACUUACGUCGUCAAUAUAUUUUUUAAUUAAUUUUUUAUUUUAUUACGUCACGUCAAAGAGUGCUAUAACAUUUUUCAUUAUUCAAAAUAACCUACUAUCCAAACACACUCACAUAUGUUCACUUACAAAUUGCGUUAGCAUAGCUGUAAACUAGAAUGGUAUAAAGUCUGUAAAAUUCUGUAUAGAAGCUCAAAUGAGGAUUUUUCAAAUUAAUUUCAAAUAUUUCAAGAAAAUCGACACAAUAAACAAUUUAGGAGCUGAAAAUUAUAUUGUUAUUGAGUGUUAGAGGACUAUUCUUAAUUUUGUAUUCAAAGUUUGAAGAGAAAAUCCGAUUUUUAUCAGUCAAAUUUCGAUCUCAUAGACAAAAAAAAAAAAAAUUCGGUGAUUGGGGCCUCAACUAUCCUCUAUUUUAGUCUUUUAGAUAAUCAAAUCUAUUACUCAAAAUAAACAACAGCCUGGAAUUUUUUCGAGAAACGCCUCAGUCAGAGACAUAGCUGGCUGAGUUUUUUUCUUUUUUAAUCAUCAAUAAACCAUGAAUCGAAUGACAUUUGAGUGGCUGUGGUACUUAACUGAAGGAUAGAAGUAAGGGAUGCUGGUUUAAAUUUUUUUUUUUUUUAAUUCAUUCUCUAUGAGAUACGGAUGCUAGUGAAGUUGGGUUUUUUAAUCAAUGACAUUUCAUUUAGUUCUGAAUCCUGUCACGUUAUGUCUAACCCAAUCAUCCAAAUGUGUGAGCUGCCCAUGUCCGUUGGCCCUUACUUAUAAGUCUCAUCAUUUUUUUUUUACUGUAACGACAGUAUUUCUAUAAUCUAAUUAAUUUUAAUUUAAGGGGAGGAAAGUCUAAAGAGACUGUAUAUGCAGGGCUAAUAGGUAUAAAAAUCUACUAGACCAAAGAGAUAUUCUGACACUUCAUUUGAAUUUUUUCACUAUAGAUAGAAUUCGAAUCCUGACCUAUAGUCCAAAAUGAGGCUUUAAUCUUUUUUUAAUGGCCACUAGAUCAAAACUCAGUGAUUUGGACUAUGUGGAGUUUAAUCCAUUGUAGAUGAAAGUAUAAUAAAAGAGAAAAUAGUGAAAUAUUGAUGUCACAUGUAGAUUACACUCGGUUGAGAGUGUAAUCCAGAGUGUAAUCCACUGCGGGUAAGGAAUUAUUGAGGCGAUCCCCACAACAUCCCAUUAUUGAGCAAGUUUUAUAUAUGUGAUAUUGUUGGAUUCAACAAAUCCUGCCUUGCUGAUAUCUAUCCAUUUUACUUUCCCAUUGAAGAAACACCAAUAUUCCGUCCUUCACCCUCAACCAAAGUUGUAGAGGAUAUGGAUGAAUUUCAAGGAUUGCUACAAACAAUUCCUAAAGUAAACUGGGAUGGCCUGUUGCUAUACUACUACAACAAUUUUUGGUGUCCAGGAGAUGUGCUUAAAUCCACAAUUUUCUUUCAAAGAAACUUCAAAGCUAAGGAUUCCGAUAUUAUCUUAGCUUCCAUCCCUAAAUCAGGCACCACUUGGCUAAAAUCACUAAGCUUUAGCAUCAUCAACCGCAAGAAGUGCACAACACCAGAGAGCCCUCUCCUCAUCACCAAUCCUCAUGAUCUUGUAAGUUGCAUGGAGUAUGAUUUAUUUCUGAAUGGCGAAAAUCCUGAUCUUGAGGCCUUCUCAUGUCCAAGAAUUUUCUCAACACAUCUACCCUACCAUGCCCUUCCUCAAUCAAUUUUGAACACCAAAUGUCGCAUAAUUUAUAUAUGUAGAAACCCUUUGGAUCAGUUCAUGUCUCUCCGGCACUUUUUGCUUGAAAAUAGUGGUGAAGAUCAGCAAAAAGCACUUCCUAUUGAUGAAGCUUUUGAAUUAUUUUGCAAAGGCAUAUACCCUUUUGGUCCCGUUUGGGAUCAUGCUGAGGGGUACUGGAAUGCAAGCCUAAAUGAUGUUCAAAAGGUGGUGUUUCUCAAGUACGAGGAUCUCAAAAUAGAUGCAACUUCUCACGUGAAGAUGCUAGCAGAGUUCUUGGGAUUUCCUUUUUCUCCAGAGGAAGAUGAAAAUGGUGUAGUCAAAGAAAUAGUUAAGCUUUGUAGCUUAGAGAAUCUCAAAAAUAUGGAGGUGAACAAGAACGGUCUUCUUGUUUUAUCUCCAACUGUUAAGUUUAAGGCUCGUUCCUUUUUCAGAAAGGGAGAAGUAGGAGAUUGGAAAAAUUUUCUCAAUAAUUCCAUGGCAGAACGUUACAAGAAGAUUAUGGAAGAAAAGCUGGGAAAAUCUGGUUUGGCAUUUGAACUGUUAUAAUUGUUAAGCAUCCCAUGGAUGUAUUAUUUUUUACUUUUUCUUUUUCUUUUUGGUUCGGUGCAUUUGGUCAAAUCCUCCUUCGAGACCGACACAUGAAGCCUUAUUUGUAUUUGAAUGACUUGGAUCAUUUUAUUAGUUCUGUUGUUUUGCCUUGAUAAUCAUUUCAAGUGUGGAGAAUUUUAAAGUGAUUUGAGAAGUAUUCUCAUCAUUGUUCACAGGGUUAAUAGCAUUAAACUCCGUUAACUUGUAUCUUCGUUAACUUUUUUCUUUCCUUUUGGCAAAACUCCGUAUAUAUGCAGAGAGAGGAUAACCAACUUUAAAUCUUACAAAUAUAACUAAGAAUGAUAAAGGGGCACAAACAGGAUGACCUUCAUUGUAAGAGUAAAUGUGACAGGGUGUCGAGCCUGUGCAAUAAUAAAUACCUACUCAAAUAAAAUACAAAUUCUGUAUAUAGUGGUAAGCAGGGUCGAAUCCACAGGAAUUGGGGAUAAUUUAAUUUCUUCUCAAGUUCCAGAUAUAGGGUGGUUUUUGAAAAUGAGAGUAACUAAAUUACUUGGAAUAAAUUAAAAUAAAAUAAAAUAACUACAACUCAAAUAACUAAUUAUCACAAUAAAAAUAAUAAUGGACGAACUCUAGCCAAGAGACAACUUCGGAGAUGGUUCACUUAAUUCGAUCACAGAUGCAAGGAUUAUUCCAGUUACUAUCUGAUAAAUUAGUUAUAGUUGUCAUACACGCGAUAAACAACCAACUCUUCCUCAAUUUGUCGAUAGCCAAGGUACGACCGUUGACUAUUUCUCUAAUCAGGAAACAACCCUAGGUACGACAAUAGAAGUUCAAUUCCCUAAUUGCAUGAAUAAUUAGAAGAGCCUAAUUCUAGCCAAUCAACACGCUACGAGGGUCUCUUUAAGUUAGCCUGUCUAUCUCUCUGACACAAACCCAAUCAUGCCAAUUGCCACCAGUUUAGAAUAAUUAAACAAUUACGGAUUUAACUACCCUAAUUGGUUUCAGGUUAUUGAAUUAAUCUAGAAUCCAGGCCCUGGAUAAUCGAAUAAUAAAACAACCAUAUGAACAUAAAGCAGAAGAUAGACGAAUACCAGAAAAUAAUAGGAAAGCUAAAAUCGAUUAGAUCUCACAAUUUAAGUCGAACCAAAUCCUCCGUUGUUCUUGACUAGAAGAAGGGAUUUAGUUCAUCCCUAUUGAGGAGAACCCACGCAAGAUCGUCACAAUACUUCUGGCGUACAUACGAACCAAAGAAAACGCAUGAAUAAGGAAAAGAAAGAAAACUAAAUUGUCUCUAAAAACUAAGCUACCAACCCUCUGUACGUUUCUCCCUUUUUAAAGCCAAAAGAAAGUCUAAUGCUAUCUCUAGUGGUCCCCCCAACAAAUUGGGAGCCCAAGUACAAAAGUGAGGCUCUCUGCCGAAACUUUCUCCUUUUGUUUCCUAUUGCUCAUCAAAGACUCCCAUUAGCAACCGAAAUCUUUGUUCUCUUGCAGCACCAUGUGGGCCUAACUCGUAAAUCCGCUGGAGGCUCUAGUGUGUGAAGGAUUUUUCCCAGUAAAAUCUCCUUAUUAGCAUUUGUCAGUUCCACUUCUUGUAGAUAGGUCCAAAUACCAAAUAUAAGUAUAUAUUAGCAAUUUAAAACAAUAUUUGGUAGGGACAAGGGGAAAUUAAUAAUAAAAUUACUAACAAUUAACACCCUAUCAAAAUGAUAGUAAAAUAUCUCAAAUAAGGUAUGUUAAGGCCAUUUAAAGUUAGAAGCCCUGAAUCAAUUUCAGAAGGCCUUAGCUGAGGUAAAGAUCCCAACUGGGACCAUAAUUCUAACUCAUUAUAAAUAAAUUUCUUGUUAUCUUUUGAAUUUUUAUUUUAACUCAUUAUAGAAAUAAAAAUUACUCUUAAAUCUCUACAUAUAUAUUAAAAUUUAAAUUAUAAUUGAUCACUUUAAUUGAAUUUAACUUUAUUUGAUAAUUUAUAGUAUGUAAUUAUUUACAUAUAAGUCCAAAGUUGGAUUAAAAAUCCAAUUAAUCCAACGUGGAUGACAUUGAUGAUACACAUGACUGAUAGUUUUGCGCUUGAGCCAAAAAGUGAAUGAAUCAGCGCCGAAAGGUUAGAAAUUUUUAGAAUCAAAUGUACCAAACUUUGAGAAUCAACUUCAACAUCAAUAUCCAAAAACCCCAUGAGACAAAGAAAACUGCAACCCCCUAAGCUUUUCACCAUGAUUACAGCACAUUUCCACAAAAGGAAGAUGAAAGUAAAACACCUGCAUCAAAUGAAAUUUAACAUAUUAAUGAGCUUAGAAUCAUAAAUAUGAAAGUUCCAUCAAAUGAAACUAAAGCUUGCCGUUGUCCAUGUCUAGUACUUUAUUAACAGCUACUUAAUAGUGUCGAAAAGGCCUCGAUUUAGUGGCUAAACUUUUAAUUCAAUGGCUAUUAAGCUGACCGAUAUAGUUCCACGGGAACACCGUAUCCUUUUAAUGUGUGUUUAUUUCUGUAAAAUGAUAAAUAUUUCAUUUUAAUGUGCCAAUGUGAAACCUUGAACCAUAUGUGAGUUAUGCUUAAUUUACUUGAUUUAUUGGAAUUGCUUGUGUGUUUUGGAACCUCAUUGGGCUGUUUAGCUCAUUCCACUCCUUUGUUUUCCUUAACAGGGUUCAAGACCGAGAGUGCUCACGAAUAGUACUAAAUUGUUUUCUCUUGAAAAUUUGAAGUUGUAUUAUAGCAAUGACUGUACUACAUAUUCUUUUGGGUUAUAUUUAAACUUGAAGGUUAACUAAUUUUAAGUAUUAAUGUUUUAGAGUAUUUUAAAUGUAUAUUGAAAAUAUUUGAAGUAUUUCUAGAUUUUGAAUUAUGGAUUGUAGUGAGGCCCGACGAGAAUUGGGUAGGCGUUCCGCGGAUAUUCUUGGGUUCGCCCUAGGGAGAAGUGGGGGCGUCACUGAUAGGUCAUAAUUUGUUGCUAAAUUUAUAAUUAUUUUUCCCUAGAUUUUAGCCAAAUAUUAUUUUAAUUGAUUGAUUCUACUUAUAUUUGGUAUUUGGUACUAAUUGCAGGAAGGUGGAGCAAAAAGAGAUAAAAGAUGUGAUUUUUCAAGAGUUUUCUAAUUCAAAAUGGAGUCUACGUGGAUUAUUGACGGAAGAUUAGGAGGAAGUCUAUUUGGUUUCAAAAAGCUAAAAUUAGGAAAAUCAAUUCUUUCAAUUUCGUGGCUACCAAAAGGAAAAAGAGGGAAGUAUUAGACUCCUAGUAGGUCUGCUUGGCUUGGCAUGAAUUUCUGUUUGGCUUUGCUAUGUGGGGACCAUCGAGAGAAAGCCACGGUGGUGGACCUUUGUAUUUGGGCUUUGGCUAAUUUGGGAGGAAACAAAGCAAAUAAGAGAAAAUGCCGGAUCCCGCAUGAUUAAGACUUCAGCCAGCAACAAAUUCGAAGUGAUCUUCUUUCACGGGAGAAUAAAAAGAGCACAAUUGCUUUGUUCUUAGUAUGGAUUAUUACUUUUCCUUGGCUAGUUGGCCGAUUUGGCCAGGAACAAUCUUGUAAACUUCAGGUAGCUCUUUCGCAUGGUUGUUCUCCAUUAAUGGAGGACUAACCUCCUAAUUCUAGUCAAGGGGACAACUGAAGACUUGGUUCAGCAUUUACUGUGAGAUCAAAAUUAUUUUAAUCGUUUCCUCAUUUAUUGGUAUUUAUGUGUUUCCUGUUUUUAAUUGUUAUAGUCCUUAUGUAUGAUUGAUUAGUGCGCAAUAAUUAAUUAUUCAUAUAGGUUAUUUUGCUAAAUAGGGAUAAUUGAAUCCGUAAUUGUUCGUUAUCUCUAUUUCAGUAGCAACUGGCGUAAUUUGAUUUAUGUCAGGGGAACAUACGAUCUAGCUUAAACAAACCCUCGUAGCGUGUUUGUUAGUUAGGAUUGGGCCUUUCUAAUUAUUAAUGCGAUUUAGAAAUUAAAUCCUACGGUCGUACCUAGGGUUGUUUUUGGGUUAGGGAAAUAGUUAACGGUCAUACCUUGCCUAUCGAUAAAUUAAGGAAGGGUUGGUUGUUUAUCGCGUGUAUGACAACUACAACUGAUUUAUUAAUAAAUGUGGAAUUACCUAUGCAUCGAUAAUCAGUGCAUGAACCAUUUAUUAAGUGUAUCCUUGGCUAGAGUUUCCCCAAUUAUUUCUUUUAAUUAAUUAUUUUUCGCAUUUAAUUUACUUAGUUAGCAUUUAAUCCAAAAACUCCUCAUACUUUGAACUCUAGAAGAAACGGAUUAUCUCCAAUCCCUGUGGAUUCGACCCUACUCACCGUUAUAUACAAAAUCUGUAUUUUUCUCGAGUAGGUAUUUAUUAUUGCACAGGCUCGACACCUGUCAAUUUUUGGCGCCGUUGCCGGGGACUGGUGCCUGAUUAAUUUGUUUCUUUUUGAGUUCAUCUUGUUUUCAUUUUUUUUAUUUUUCUCUUAUUAUUAUUUUUUUAUAUAUAUAUAGUUUAUGGCUACUAACAUUCCGUAUUUUGGCGAUAGACUGAAUUUUAUUUCUACAAAGGGUUAUGAGACUCAUGCUUUUUCUAAUGAUCAAUGGGCUGUUACAAAUUGUGGAAGUUAUUUUGCCGCAGAUCAUUCAACCGACAUAUGUCCUGCAUUUCAAGAUGGUCUAAGUGCUCCAACCGAUACUUUUGAAAAUUUUUCACCUCAAUAUCAAACGUGGUAUGACCCUUAUUCAAACGGGUAUGAGCAAGGAUGGUGGGAUGAUUCCAAUUUUAAUUAUCAACAAAGACCAAUAGAUUUUCAACAGUUAGAGUCUCAAGAACCGUCAUCCAUGUCAAGUAUGUCUCUUGAAGAAAUAGUUGAAUUAAUAGCUACUAACACAUAUCAAAUUCAACAAGAGGUACAUCAACUUCAACAGGAGACACAAAGGAUGAGUAAAGAGAUGAAAGAAGGAAGGCGUGAAUGGGCAUCUAAAAUGAGCAAAUUGAUUUCUCCAGUUUAUAAAGAAUUGCCCUCACCGACUAUUAUCGACCAUGAGGAAGAUGAGAGUGCAAUUAUUCUGACAAAUGACAUGGUACUGCAAGAAUCUCAAGAAGAAAAAUCUAAAGAUGCAGUUGAAAAAAAAGUUGAAGAGCAAAAGUUGAGACCCCAACAUCAAAUGGUUCAAGUGAAUGAAUCCAGUGAACAAUCUCCAAAUGCGGUGACAUCUCCUCCAUUCCUUGAUCAAUAUUCUCCUGACUCUUAUUCUUUAAUUCCUGUUAGUGAGAUUGAUUUUAUUAUACCAGAAGAUUUUGAAUUUCAUGAUAUGAAUAAGUUAAGAGUUGCAAUGGGAAAACAUCUUGAACCAGCAAGAACGCUUGAUGGAGGAGUGAGUAAAGAAUUAAGACACUUGUUUACUUGCUUGGUGCCAUCUACUACUCCAUGGAAGACCGUACCUUGUGGGUUCAAAGAUUACUCUAUUUACGAGGGAUAUCAGGAUUAUAUAGAAGAUGAAGCACUGAAACGAGCCACAAGAUUUUAUCCUCCAUGAAUAAACAUGAAAAUGCUUAGCCAAAGACAUUAAAGAAAGGCGCUGCUUGGGAGGCAACCCAAGGCUUUUGUUUUAAUUUUCUUAUGUUUUUGGAGUUUUGGUUAAAUGUUAGUUGCAUUUAGUGAUUUAUUGCUCUUGUGGCAGGAUGCUGGCAGUUAGACAUGCCCACACUAUGUGGUCACGCCUAAGGAAGGAAGUUUAAUUUGGCGGACAGAAGACUACCCAGCAGUUAGGCGUGCCUACGCCAGAUGGUCACGCUUAAGGAAAGUAAUUUUCGUCUGUGGUCAGAAGACUCUCUAGUAGUUAGGCGUGUCCACGCCAGGUGAUCACGCUUAAGGAUCUUAAUUUCGGACGGUUGGUCAGAAGACUUGAAGGCAGUUAGGCGUGCCCACGCCUAACACAGGGGUUUCUUUCUUAAAAAAAAAAAAAAAAAUUCCUUUCUUUUCUUUUUCUUUUUCCUUUUCUUUUUCUUUCUUUCUUUCUCUCUUUUCUUCUUCUCUCCCUUUCCUUUUUAUUCCUUUCUUUUCUUUUCCAGCUUCAAGACCGCAACCAAAAGACGUCAAAUUCCACCGCCACCGUUGCGUUAUUCAACGUAGGUCGUCGGUUCCUGAUUAUCGCUGCUCAUCGCGCAUAAUUCUUUCUCAUCCAUCGUGAGCCACCCGACAUCCUUAGCUGCCGAUCAUAGCCUUCAUCUUCAUUAGUUUUGCCAUCGAACUCUACAUGUCUUUUGCCUCUCACCUACAGCUGUGCCACAGCCCACCUUUGAUGAUCAGGGAAGUUUCGUUGUCCUUUUUUGCUUUGAAUUUUAUUCUUUAGUGCUUACAUUGGGGACAAUGCAAGAUUUAGGUGUGGGAGGAGUAGUAUAUUGGCAUUUUAUUGAAAAAGUGCAAGUGUAGGCAUUUUUGUUGGAAUUUUUGUUUGACUUUGUCGAAUUUUGUCCAAUUUUUUGCCUAUUUUUGUGCAUAUUUGUGAUUAUUCCUGAUAAACGAUGAUUAGAUGUCUCAAAUUUUUUUUACUGCCAAGAUUUUAUACUCUAAGGUAUUAAGUAUGACAUGGUUAAGUUUAAGGGUAUCUCUUUAGUGAAUAUUUGAGACGUUGUGACUUUUGCACUUUUUUGGUUAACUUCUCUAAGUAUGGUAAAUAUUUGUCUAGCAUUUUUUUAGACAAAGUGGUUCAACUAUUAAUCUUAGUUCUCCAUAUUUAAGAAAUGAAGCGGGUUUGUGUGAUUUUUAAUUUUAAUUUGGUGCUUAUUUAUGAAUAGUAUUCGGCUAUACUCCACUAGUAUCGUUGCCUAGUAACCGGAUAUUUUCACCACAAGUGUCGAUUUUCGCGUCAAAAAGCGAUGAUAGUUAUGAGUAUGUGGUUUUUAAGCGAUGAGAGCUGAGUAACCGGGCUCCUUCAUUUGGCCAAUGUCGGAGUUCGCGUCAAAACGCUUGAAUGGCUAAAAACUAAGCAUUCCCCCUAAAAAAAAAAAUCAAUCAAGUGUGGGGAUAUUUUAGAAAAAAAAUGUGCUAAUAGUGAAAAGUGUGAAAGUGUUUAAAUAAAUUGUUAGCCCACUGAUCCAUGAAUUUUAAUGUUGAGAUUUUGCUUAAUAGUCGAACCAUUUGCUUAUGGGUGCUGGUUUAAUAUUUUAUAUUCUUAGAUUAGUUAGUCAUAAAUUGAAAGAGUUCUUGAUCUUGAAAACUAACUAGAGAGAUAUUUCUUGAAAAUUGCCACUAAUACUUGACAUGUGUUUUAAUUGUAUUUUGGCAAUAGAAGAUUUGAGCAAUAGCCAUUGUUUGAAUUUGAUUGCUAGAUUUGUUGUUCUCAUGCUUGAGGACAAGCAUGAUUUAGGUGUGGGGGAAAUUGAUAGGUCAUAAUUUGUUACUAAAUUUAUAAUUAUUUUUCCCUAGAUUUUAGCCAAAUAUUAUUUUAAUUGAUUGAUUCUACUUAUAUUUGGUAUUUGGUACUAAUUGCAGGAAGGUGGAGCAAAAAGAGAUAAAAGAUGUGAUUUUUCAAGAGUUUUCUAAUUCAAAAUGGAGUCUACGUGGAUUAUUGACGGAAGAUUAGGAGGAAGUCUAUUUGGUUUCAAAAAGCUAAAAUUAGGAAAAUCAAUUCCUUCAAUUUCGUGGCUACCAAAAGGAAAAAGAGGGAAGUAUUAGACUCCUAGUAGGUCUGCUUGGCUUGGCAUGAAUUUCUGUUUGGCUUUGCUAUGUGGGGACCAUCGAGAGAAAGCCACGGUGGUGGACCUUUGUAUUUGGGCUUUGGCUAAUUUGGGAGGAAACAAAGCAAAUAAGAGAAAAUGCCGGAUCCCGCAUGAUUAAGACUUCAACCAGCAACAAAUUCGGAGUGAUCUUCUUUCACGGGAGAAUAAAAAGAGCACAAUUGCUUUGUUCUUAGUAUGGAUUAUUACUUUUCCUUGGCUAGUUGGCCGAUUUGGCCAGGAACAAUCUUGUAAACGUCAGGUAGCUCUUUCGCAUGGUUGUUCUCCAUUAAUGGAGGACUAACCUCCUAAUUCUAGUCAAGGGGACAACUGAAGACUUGGUUCAGCAUUUACUGUGAGAUCAAAAUUAUUUUAAUCGUUUCCUCAUUUAUUGGUAUUUAUGUGUUUCCUGUUUUUAAUUGUUAUAGUCCUUAUGUAUGAUUGAUUAGUGCGCAAUAAUUAAUUAUUCAUAUAGGUUAUUUUGCUAAAUAGGGAUAAUUGAAUCCGUAAUUGUUCGUUAUCUCUAUUUCAGUAGCAACUGGCGUAAUUUGAUUUAUGUCAGGGGAACAUACGAUCUAGCUUAAACAAACCCUCGUAGCGUGUUUGUUAGUUAGGAUUGGGCCUUUCUAAUUAUUAAUACGAUCUAGAAAUUAAAUCCUACGGUCGUACCUAGGGUUGUUUUUGGGUUAGGAAAAUAGUUAACGGUCGUACCUGGCUAUCGAUAAAUUAAGAAAUGGUUGAUUGUUUAUCGCGUGUAUAACAACUACAACUGAUCUAUUAAUAAAUGUGGAAUUACCUAUGCAUCGAUGAUCAGUGCAUAAACCAUUUCUAAAGUGUAUCCUUGGCUAGAGUUUCCCUAAUUAUUUCUUUUAAUUAAUUAUUUUUCGCAUUUAAUUUACUUAGUUAGCAUUUAAUCCAAAAACCCCUCAUACUUUGAACUCUAGAAGAAACGGAUUAUCCCCAGUCCCUGUGGAUUCGACCCUACUCACCGCUAUAUACAAAAUCUGUAUUUUUCUCGAGUAGGUAUUUAUUAUUGCACAGGCUCGACACCUGUCAGUCACAUAAAUAUAACAAUUUAUUACAUUUUUUGUAGGAUCUACCGAUUCUAUGAUCCGAUCCUGCCAACCAAAAAACGAUCAUAGGUAGGAUCCCGAUUUUGAAAACCUUAAGAGCACAAUUAUAAACAAUCUUACCUAUAACCAUUUCCAGUUACCCCCAAAAAAAAGGGGGGUUACUGGCCAUGCAUGAUCGGAUCUGAAUGCUACGUAAAGCUCUUUGUACUGGCGAAUUACAGCUUAACAAACACUUUCAGCCAACCUCCCCAUGUUUAUACACGUGAUGAAAGAAUUAUGGGCAGUCAGCUUGGUUCCUAAAGAAAAAAGUUAAUAUGGAGAUAGAUAUGCAGGUGAGGAAAAUAAUGCUUCAUUGUUAUUGAAAGUUCUACUAGAAUCAUAGUGAUGAUACAAAGAGAUUGCUGCCCGAGAAAAGCAAGGUACACUCUUUGACUUUUUGAUUAGAAUUAAAUUAUGUAGUAAUUAGUUUCAGAAUCAUUAAGACGUUCUGUUUUUUGAUAAAUAGUAUCCACUCUAAAGGCUAUUGGUAAUUAAGAGUUUGAUUUCUUUUAAGAUCCUAGUUGCGAAGACCUAAUCUGGAGGCAUUCGAUUUACUCCUAUCCCAUCAAAUAUUCAAUUUUUCUUUAAUUUGGGGGAUUAAAUAAUAUGGAUAACAUCAAAUUUUAAAUUUUUUUUUUAAAAAAAGGAAAAAACUAGUUGAAACCAUUCCAGCCAUCCAAUGUUUAUCGGUUUUUGACCGAUUUAAUCUGCCUUGAUCAAGUUUGACUAGUUGAAUUAACUUUUCUUGUUUAAUAACGAACUCGUCCAGUGCCAUGGCAGGUUUCACCGUUCAACUGGUCUACGUACCCCAUCUAAUUUUGAAAACACUGGUUUGAAGUGCUAAACUAUACACCACUGAAAGCAAUCUGAAAAUGGAUCUACAGCGCCUAUUAAUUCAUCACAAAAUUGAACUUUUCAGACUCAAUUUCAAGGAUUGGAUUUUGUAAACUUUGCGGGUCACCAAAUUUGGCCACAACCAUUGGACUUUAUUCUAAUGACCAAUGAUCAUUAUUCUAAAUGAUUAUUACAUAUUGCCUAGUCUGGAGGUUCAUCUCCCGAUCCUCUCAUACAAGUUCAAUUGGAUUUACCCUCUCCCUCAUAGGAUAGGAGUAAUAUAGAUCGGGAAAAAAAAAAUCAAAUUUGAGCAUGAUUGGUGAUUCUAGCUAGAUCCUUACCUUAUAUGGUUUAAAGCUCCAAAUGGUCAUUACCUAGAUGCAUGGAUCCUUGAAAUCUGGAGACCCUUUGUUGAGAGAGUAACCAUUUGUCAUAUUUUUGAACCACCAUCAACCAGUAGGUCAUGGCCGGUGAUACAAGAAGAAUCAUCUGAGGCAAGGAACAGAACAGCAUCUGCCACAUUAUUAGCCUUUAACGCCCGCCCCUUCAAACAUGGAAGUGGAUAAGACGCUUCAGCUUCCUCCACCGUCAUGUUUAGGUUAUUACAAACCAAAGGUGUCGCCACCAUGUAAGGCGACACAGAAUUCACCCUUAUUCCGUGCUCUCCCAGUUGCUUGCUCGCACAUCUCAUCAGUCCCAAAACUGCAUGCUUGGACAUGUAAUAAUCAGUCCGAACUUCUGCUCCACGGCUCGCGGCCGUACUCGCUGUGCAGACUAUGCUACCCUUGAUGCCCUGAUCGAUCAUUGCGCGAGCUGCAUGCUUCACGCAGGCAGCCGUCCCAGCAACAUUGACGGAGAAAACGUGCUGCAGAUCGGAUAAGUUGAGAUCUGGAACGGUCUGAGAUGACUUAUUGAAUAUUCCGGCAUUGGCGAACAUGAUGUCAAGUCGGCCAUGAGUCUUUAGAGUCCAUUCAACCAUGCCUUGGACUUGGUUUUCAUCAGAAACAUCACAAUGGACGUAGCUGCAAUUAUUUGAGCCAAUGGAUUCUGCUACUUUUUGGCCCUUUUCGUCUUGGAUGUCGGCAAUGACUACCAAUAAUGCACCGUGAGUGGAGAAAAGUCGUGCUGUUGCCUCCCCUAUGCCGCUUGCACCGCCUGUGAUGAUCGCAACUUUGCCUUCCAAUUUUUUCAGGUGAAGAGAAGGUUCAGCCAUUUCUGUCCAGAUAAGUAAAGAGCUGAGCACUUCGUAAGUUCGAGUCUCCCUGCUUUCCAAAUGUGUGAAUGUAUGUACCACUUUGUGUUUGUUUAAGCCUGAUUAAAGAAAUCGGACAAGCAACUUAUGCAAAUAAUCACGAGGGUCCACUGAAAAAUAUUUGAAAUAUUUUUUGAGAUAUGAUGUAUGUGAGAUGAAAAUUUUUUUUAAAAAGAUUAAGAGUUAGUAAAAAAUUGAAUAAUGGAAAUGACCAAAAUUUUGGCGAUUUUUUCUUUAGGUGUAACUGCGCAUAUUACCCUAAUAAGAAUAUAUGAUGUAGUAGAUUCACAAGUGACUGGAAAAUUGAGGAUAGACUUUUUUCAUUCGACUUGUUUUCGGUUGAUUAUUUUAAACUUUAAUUGAUUAUAGAUUCUAAUUUUAAAUAAUCAGUUUUUACGAUAUUCUUGUUUGCUUCUGAUUAUAGAUUUAGUAAUAUUCCAAAAAAAGCUAAACUUUCAUAAUCAACUAAAGGAUAGUUUCUAGUGAUUCUGAUUAUUCUUUAUAGCCACAUUUCAUAAUCACAUUUUGCAAAAUCUCAAGCAAACGAGAACAAGACCUAGUUGUAAUUGGCGCAUAUUCCCCUCACAAGUGACCAAAAAAUUGAGGAUGGAAUAGAGAUGGCUACAAGGCGUGGGAAUGACAAUUUAGAACCAAUUUUACCUAGAGCAUGAUGCUUUGGAAAUUAAUUAGCAGAUCAUUUUACAGCUAAUUAUACUUUUGUUAUAUACUAUACAACAAAAAAAUUUGACCACUUGUCAAUGAAAUUUUACUAAUGGCCAAGUACUUAGCCAGUGGACAUUAAUUAGCAAUGAUGUAGUAAAUCUUUUUGAGCUACUGGAACCAUCUACAGUAAAAAAUUUUCAUAUAAUUUUUGAAAAAUAAUCCCAAAAAUAACUAAUUCAAACGAAUUUGUAUUUGAAAAAUGAAAUGUUACAGUGCUAUUUUUGAAAAACAAUCCCAAAAACAGCUAAUCCAAAGGUAGCAGAAGUUUUGGCUAUAUUUUUCUUGCCUUUGAAUGAGCUGUAGAUCUGAAAAUAGUACCUAGCAAUGAUUGAGGUUUCUAUAUUAAAAACCAUAAAAAUAGUAAAAUAAAAAUCGCUAUGGCCCUGCAAGUAAAUAUUUCAACGUAUGCAUGCAGCAGGUCUGACACUCUUUGUCAUUUUUAACAUGCAAGUGCAAUAAUGGUAUUUACUUGUGGGAUCGUUCUGUGAUGGUGAUUACCUGCAGAAAACGGACACGUGUAAUAAAUUGAAUAAGACAUAUAUAAAAGUUGAACAUUAAUCCAACAAAAAAAAAAAUCCAGGGAUAUAAACUAAAUGUUAACCGUCUUUAACUUUUUUUUUUUUGUUAGUUUGAUAUUUUUUUUGUAUGGUUGAUAACGGAGAAGUUGUAAAUCUUUCAGCAAUGUAAGGAAAGGAAAUGAUUCUAUAUUGAAUUCGUCGGCGACUAACUUUUCUACCACACACAUGACCAGAUUGGACAGCAUAUUAUGUGGCCCUUUGUUUGAUCAAAUAUACUCUCUUCAACAUUUGAUCAGCAUCAGACAACCAUGUAAGUGGGGGGAGUUGAGGCAAGCACGGUUGCUACCUGAAAGGGUUGACAGCCAUGAUUUGGCUAGAAAAAUGUAACGUUGAAAUCGCAUAUUGUAUGCCGAUUUUAAUAUUACGUAUAGAAUUUACAAAAUUUUAUUUUAUGUUUGUAAGUUGUUGAAAUUAAGUUACAUUACGUGAAAUUCAACAAAAUCGAUCCAAAUGAUUUUUCUGACAAUCGUUUGGACUGGAUGGGUACGUUGCUUAAUCUUAUGCUAUCCAACAAAAGUUAGCAUCAUAUAACCAACAGUCAUUUAGAUUUGGGCUAUUGGCCACCACCAUAGCCUUUAAGACUUAAUAGGAUGGGAGAUCAAGGGUUUAAAUUUUACUUUCCACCACUUGCCAUUAUACGUGGCUACCACUUUAAGUGGCUUAAUUUCAUACGGGGUAUACAAAAAAACGCACCCGUCUAAUCUGAUAGUAGUUCAGUCCCCGUCGGUUCUUCAAUGGCCCAAUUGCACUCUCCCUCUUAGUAUAGGUUAGAGUAGAAGUAAGAGUAGAUCUAGCAUCUAGGGUUUAAGUUAGCAUCAUGUCAUUGACGUGAGCAUCAGGCUAUAUGCAAUUUUUGUUUUUUGGGAGAUAGUAUACAGGUUUUCUUUGCGUUUAUCCUUUCUAAUUUAUAAAAGGGGAGAGUCGCUUAUUUAGUGUUAAUUCACUUGCCUAUCAAUAAAAGAUUCAGAACUUACAAUUUUUUUUAAAAAAAAGAAACAAUUAUUAAUUUGCUGCUUUUAGCAUUACAUUACAUGCAUAGUCUUUCAAAUGAGAGAAGGUAGUUUUGGUUAAAUUAUGCUGCAUAACAGGGGUGGGAUCAUCCCAUUCACAUCACAAUCAUUAGUUCAAUGGUGACAAGGAUACAAUAAUUGCCUUCUCACAAGCCUUUUUUUAGAGUUUGAGUGGCUUAUGUAUUUCAUUAUCCAACAUUUUCAUUGGCUAAUAUUGGCCUGUGGACUUAAUAUAUUAUGAUUUUUUAUACUAAUAGGUAUAGAUAUAUGACACACGAACAAAAAGUGAAUUUAAAAUUUGAAUAAUGAUGAUGUAACGUUUAUCUAAACUUACUUGUGUAAAAAAAAAAAAUCUUUAUACUGAUAGUGUAUAAAAAUUAAUCCCUUCUUUCAUUGAUAGUUAAUGCAUUGCCAGCUCUUAUCGAUCUCAACUCACAAUUGUUUAGCAAACUUCUUCGUUUUUCUUCACUUGAUUAUGGCCAAGGAAAUUCUCUAUUUGCAGAUCUUUGAGCCUAUUACUUUUUCUUUUUUCAGUGGGGAAUAGAAACAUACACAAGAACAUGUCUUCGACUGUCACACAAAUGAAAAUACUACAAUAUGCAAAUGAAUUGAUGUAUCUAAACAAGAUAAUUACCCUCAAGACAUCAUUAGAAGAUUUUACUCCCUUGAUUGUGAGACAUUCACAGAGGAUAUAUCAAAGACAUUAUACCAUGUGUACCAUCCUGUCGAUUUAGACUGGAGUAAAAAUCAUCACAGACAUUGCUUAUCGGGUGGUUUUGAGCUAGCCCAUGCAUUCAUCACUAUCAGAAUUCAGAGUAGAAUGUAGUUCAGAAUGAUCAAAAACUAGAGAAUCAUCAAAAUUUGUUACUGAUUGUGUACUGUUUUUGUGAUUUCAAAUUUCAUGUUGUUCUUCCUCCAUCCUUGUUUGGAUUGCAUUUUUCUGGAUUUUUUAUAGAAAAAUUACUGUAACGAUUUAAUAUAUAUGAAAUAAAAAGAUGAUUGAAAAAUAUGUUCAAGAUUUGAAAAAUUACCAUCCAAACAAGGACUGCAGAUGACAAUAAAAGGAAAAUGACAACAUUGGUCAUAAAAAAUGGAACUGAAAACUAAUUGAAAUCUGUACGUACAUAAGCCACAAAAUCUAGCAUACCAUGUACAUGCUAAAAUUUCACCGCAUGUAGAUAGACAAUGAUUUUCCACGCGUAGGCACUAAAACUAUUUCACCAUAUUUAGAGCUCAUACUAAAAUGCAUCAUUGACAAAUUUCUCAUCGUUUUUGGGGCGCAAAGAAUUCUGGUUUUCUUUCUAUUAAUGAAUGUCACAAUGCUCCUUCCAGUUGCAGAAGGACUUAGCAACGGUUAGCACAAUUGAAGGAAGAUGAUGAAAUUAUGAGCAGGAAAAGACGAUUAGGUUAAAAAAAAAAUAGCGUGUUGAAUGCAUCUUUCAUCAACACGACAAGCAGCUGUAGUCCAAUCUGCACUUGCUGUCUGAAAAAAUAAUUGUAUGGUGAGGUAUACAUCCGUACAAAAAACCAGCUAUCAGAUAUCAUCGAAUAAGAUUUCAAGAAGAAUACACAGAAACAGGUGCAACCCAAGUUGCAGAUACACAUUCAGAGAAUAAUGUACAGCCCCACAUGGUGGGGUAUGGAGAAAUUUUACCAAAACCAUACAAGUUUGAUGCUGACAGUAAAUACAGUUACGAGCAAUCUGAAUGGGAUUCAUAGAAAUCACUCGGACAAGGUGACAUGACCUCUUGCUCUAGAUAUUGCAGCACCUGUUGCAUUGAAGGCCUGUCAUCUGGAUUUGCAUCUGUGCACCUUGCCGCUAUUUCUAAAACAGCUUCUACAGUCUCCGCAUCUGCAUUGGUGCACCUUCUAUCUACUAUAUCCUCCAUUCGAUUCUCUUUUACCAAUGUAUUCAUCUAUAAAUUUUCAGACCAAAAUCAGUAUAGCUGUUAAGGACAUCGUGAAUUGCAAGGAAAAGACCUGUAUUCUUUGGCCUUUAAGAUUGCAUUAAGCAUUAAGCAUUAAGCAUACAAAAGAAUGCUUCAGUGCAUACCCAGCCGACGACAUUGAGACCACGCUUUACGAAAGUUGGGUCAGUAGGUCGUUUUCCAGUAACAAGCUCUAACAGCAACACUCCAAAGCUAUAGAUGUCAGAUUUUUCAGUUGCUCUUCCACUCUGCAAGUACUCUGUUCGCCAAAUCAUGAACCAAAUGUAAAUGAUAUUCCUAGUACAAACGUUAUAUGCGGUGAGACGAGAGUUCCAUUCACAUUUAGUAUAUGACUCACCUGGCGCCAAGUAACCAAAUGUACCAGCAACCACAGUUGUGACAUGAGCAUCCUCAUCUACCAAAAGCUUUGCAAGGCCGAAGUCGGAAACAUGAGGAUCCAGAUUCUCAUCAAGAAGUAUGUUGCUGGACUUUAUAUCACGAUGGAUUAUCUUAGGACUACAGUCAUGGUGUAGGUAUGCUAUUCCCCUAGCAGACCCAAGGGCUAUCUUCAAACGAGUACUCCAGUUCAGGGAUCGGUUAAGUUGCCCAUGUUCUGAUGAAGAAUCAAUAAAGAAGUUAAGAUUCCAUCUUGGAUAAGCAUCACUAAACCAAUCAUAAUACAGGGCUUUUGGUUUUAAUCUUCCUUAUCUCUUAGAGCAUGAGCAAUAUGAAGAUCAAUUAUCAGAUUUUCCAGAUAAAUGUGAAAACAUUUGAUAGUCUGAAGACAUUUUAUCACAGAUAACUGGGUGAUAAAUGCACAAGACUUCAGUCAUUCUAUGGAAUGUUAGUGUGAGUAGAUAGAAGAAUGCCAUAUAAUUCCUGACCAGCAAGACUAGCAACAUUAUUGUGCAAGGAAAAAUAGCAGUUAACCGAAGCAUUUAAUCAACAAAAGGACAUAGAUCAUGGUUCAUACUAUUGGUUACCAGGCUCGUGGCAGAAGCAAUGGGGCAUGGCUUGAUGGUACAUGUAAAUGUAAAGAGGAGUUGAGAGGAAAUUCAUAGUGCAUGAAGUGCUAAAUGUGACUUUCUCCACGUUGAAAUUGUUAUUUUGUGAUGACAAUCAUAGCAUGCCCAAAAGCUAAGAUAACACCAAGCCAGAAUGACAAGUAUGAUCAAUAUUUGAUGACAUUUUUCCUGCUCAAGAGAAGUUUAGAAUACUGACACGGCUCUUACUUGGUAUUGCAAAAUUCCAGGUUACAUAAAUAACUCAUUCCUCGGCUAAAACAUAUAAACACCAUGGAGAAUGAAAUUGUCACUUUAUUCAGCAGUCAGACUAUAAAAUAGGUUAUAUGACAACUCCAAUGAAAGAAAGGCAGAUGAUACGUUAGUGCUUAGAUUACAGCACAAAAAACUACUAAUGGUACAUGUAUUAGUGUCUGUGCAAAGUCCAAUCAUUAUUCUCAAAUUUAGCUUGUCAAAAAUGUCAAGCAAAUAUGAAAUUUUGUGGCCCCAGAAAGAGAAACAUACCAUGCAGAAAAUCAUCCAGACUGCCCAUGGCCAGGUAGUCAUAGAUAAGAAGCUUCGCAGCAGGAAGUCUACAAUAACCUCUCAGGUUAACCAGAUUAAUGUGCUUAAUGCUGCCUAAUAUCUCCAACUCUCUUUCAAACACUUGGUCAGAACCUUCACGGCUACGAUCAAUCCUUUUAACAGCAAAUGUACCACAAUCAUUCAUAACCAUUCGAUAAACAGUGCCAAAUCCUCCAGCACCAACAACAUCUUCCGCAUCCAGAGAUUCAAUUUUUUCUAUCAGCUCACAUGAAGGAUAUGGAAGAUCCCCAUGGAAAGUGAUUAGCUUGGCACCUGUGUGAAAAAGUUAAAAAUGAAAAAUCAAGAGCCAUAGAAACAGAUUGAAAGUAGAAAUCACAAACAUAAGAGACUUCAGGGUUACUUGGUUCUUGGUAAAUUUGUUUUUUCACUUCUGUGUAUCUUUUAGCAGCUCUUUCCUUCUUCGACAAUAAGCAGACCCAAAGAAAAGCAAGGAGCACAAUGAGUACAAAGCCCAUUGUAGACAUUGCACCAAUGACAACUCCUUUAAUAUAAUGUGAUGAUCUUUUUGUAGGCGCUGUAAGGAACCAAUUAAAGAAGACAAUUAUUAUUUAGUAAAACAGCAAGGCAUGAAAAAAAUAGUAUUGCCAAAAAAACUUCCACAACCAUCAGAAAUUGUAAUCAAUUCCAUCCAUAAAGUACAAAGCAGGGAGCACAAUGAAUACAAAGCCCAUUGUAGACAUUGCACCAUUGACGACUCCUUUAAUAUAAUUUGAUGAUCUUUUUGUAGGCACUGUAAAGAACCGAUUAAAAGAGACAAGUACUAUUUAGUAAAACAGCUAGGGGUGAGGAAAAUAACAUUGCCAGAAAGCUUCCACAAACAUCAAAAGUUAUAAUCAAUUUCACUCAUAAAUAGUUACCUCUUGCUUCAUCACUUUCCGCUCGAGGCAGGACUGCAGGGAACCCAAGUGAGGUUCGACAAGGUUUUUGCACUUGUUGGCCACAGAGAUCUAAAUUACCAAUAAACCUAGGAAUAAGCAUAACAUAUUCAGAAUACCCCUCGAAAGAAGUAGUCGAAGAAAUUGGUGCAGCCCCAUUGAUAAUACAACCAAAAAAAAUUUAAUAUCUAAGAGGAGUAUUGCACUUCUAUCUUUCUUUGAAUUGUGUGCUUUAACAUGUAAGGAUAGUUCUUAGACAUACAGCUAACCCGUUAUGAUAUAAGCAUAGAUAUAACAACCAAACUGAAAGUGCCAAAAGAACAAUUAUACUUUCAUCAACUUUUAGGCCCUUAGCUCUCAUUUCUGAUGAUCAGAAUCGGCCAAAUGAUCUAAAUGAUAAUUUUUCUACAAAAAGUUCUAUCGUAUCACAUAUCAACAAAAGAACGUUUUUGGGCCAAAUUCUUGAUUGUUGAUUUUUCUGUUUUGUCAGCAACUCACUCCCUACAUUUAGGCAAUCGUACAAUGCUCCAACACUCAUAUGCCAAUUUCCUUCAAUAUCAUUAGAAUGGUUAUGAAAAUCCGAAGGUUUAUAUCUCACAACCAAAUUUAUCCUUGCACUAAAAUCCAAAUGACAUUAAUGGGAAGAAGACUUACGAAUUGUUUCCAAAAGAGCUUAGAACUCCAACAUUUGGUAUUUCACCCGAGAAGAAAUUUGUUGACAAGUUUCUGCAAUAAAUUGCAUCAGGCAUAUUACUAGAGAUAAACAUUUUUAUCUUUCAAACAAACUCAACUUACUACCCUAUCCAGACUAGGCGUUGGCAACUUACAGAGAAUGCAGACGUGUCAGGCGACCAAGAGAAGAAGGUAUAGCACCCCUGAGUGAAUUGCUUGACAAAUCCCUAAAUAUCAUUAACCAGCAUCAUUACCACAAUUGAAACUAACCUCUUCAUUAUUGGGUAAAAGAAACACAAAUGUCUUACAAUAUGGUCAGAAGAGAUAGGUUCCCAAUAUUUGACGGAAUUCCACCUUGAAGAUAGUUACCUCUCAAGUACCUUAAUCAUGGAAUUCACCCAUGAGACUCACACUCCCAAUAUAACAUAGGAAAUGACAAAUAAGAAAUUCUAACACGUAAAAGAGAUGGCCCAAUGUCACUUACAGGGCUCUGAGAUCAGAACAACUGGUAAUCUCACUGGGGAUCAUACCAUGUAGGCUGUUCUGGUGAAGUGCCCUGGUCAAGAGAUGAGCUAAUUAUCCAUAAGUGACUUAUGGACCAAAAUUAGUUGCAAUUUACUGUCUUGAUUAAGGACAGAUAUGUCAUGGCACUUACAGUCUUUGCAAUCUACUUAAUCUACCAAUGCUGGGAGAUAUAAUCCCUCCAAGUUGCAUAUAGGGUAAAUUUCUAAAAAAAUAGAAAACAAAAAGGAAAUUAGCCUUGUUCGCUAAAAAAUCAAAAGCGUUUGACGAAACCUCAAGCAAAAGAAAUGCAGUACAAAGAGCUUGCAAACGAAACAAUAGAAAGUAACACACAUAGAGAUGACACUUUGGUCUUCAGGAUGACAAGAAAUGCCAGUCCAUCUACAUGGAGAAGCAUCAGAAGCAUUCCAGUUGCUCAGGUAGUUCUUGCUAUCAUUCAAACUGGUUUUGAACUCCAACAGUGCAAUGCCUGAAACAAAAACGAGUCCCCAAAAGAAAAACACAUUAAAGAUCCUUUCUGUAACCAAAAAAGGGCUUUAAAUCCCACAAAAAGAUUCAAACUUUAACACGAACAUAAGUUGCUGAACCUGAAUAUGGAAGGUAAAAGAAAAAAUACCAUCCGAAUUGAGAGCCAAGGACGCUUGGCUCAAAACUGCAGCUGUCAGUGCAGCUGAAAAUGCCAAAAUCAACACAACCCUUUUCAUUUUUUGAUCUAAAAUGUGGCUUUUCUUCCUGUUUUCCCUGCUAUAGGUCACUGGUAUACUGUAGAUUUUAGAAUGUUAAAUCCACCAACCAAACAAGAAGAGGAAAAACGGUUGAGUGGGGCAGUGGGGCUUUAGUAAAGGUGUAGUCCUGUGAUCAUUAUAGUUGCUUCAAAUGAAAAAUCCGCAAUAAUUCCAACUCAAGCAUGAAGAAAGAGAGAAUGGGCUUAAGGUAAAAGACUUAGAGUCUUGAGUGAGAAGGAGACUACACUGAAAGUAUAUAGUAGUAGUGGCCAAGCCUAGAUAGCUGUGCAAUGAGGUUGAAAGAGCCGUUGUCCAAUGCCCACUGGGGCGAUUCAAAGAAAGAAAGACAGAGACAGCUCUCAUGCUCACUCUCUUGAGUGUCAGAACAAAUUCAAACUAGCUAUAAUCAGAGGGAAACAUGUCUGAAUUUUGAAGGGUUCAUAGAAAUCUAGUGGACAGCUGGGUGCUGUCCCUGGCGAGUGAUGCUCAAAUCCAUAAUAUUAUAUGUGGUGGUGCGGGAUGGGGAGUUGGGACUGUUGCUUAGAUUUUGGUUUUUUAAAUGCCAAAAAGUGGGACUUUGCACUGCCCGAGUCUGAUAAUUAAUGCAAUCUCAGAAGAUUUCAAUUCAGUAUGAGGAUCCUUUGGAAUACAUGUCCCACGGUCCCAGAAGCAGUAGUGUUGUAAUUAAACGGGUCAACCCGGGUGAAGUAGGUCGGGUUGACUGGGGUUGGUUGAUUUUUUUUUUUCCCGGAAACAAUAGGAGAUUUUAUUAAUGACAAAGGCAUAAUACACUUAUGGCUAGUUUGGGAGUUUAGGAUAGAAAAGAAAAGAAAAGAAACCUUAAGUUAUGAAAGAAAAGAAAGGAUGAGAAAAGAAAAGAAGAGUUUUUUAUGAUAUUUGGGAGUUUAAAGAAAGAAAUGGAAAGAUUUUUGAUAUAUAUGUCAUUAAAAAUUUGUUCAAUAACCAUUUAAGGACAUAUUUGGCAUUUUGAAAAAAAUUUGUAACCACUUUUCCACUUUCCGUCCAAAUCAGGCCAAAAUGGGCGGAAAGCUUUUCUCUACUGUAGCCUCAAAAUGGAUCUAAUCAAAUCAGUCCGUUUCCUUUCUUUUCUGACAGAAAAAAUCUUCCAAAGGGUGGAAAAUUAAUUUCCUCUAUUACUUUCUUUUCUUUUCUGAUUAAAUCUCUCCUCACAAACGCACUAUUAAUGAGUAGGGACUCGUAUGAGCUAUACAAAAGUGUACCAAGACAUCGAAGAUCUAGUAGGAAUUCCUCAUCAAAUGUUAUGUUUUGAGCAAGUUUGCUCAAUCUGUUACUUAGUCUAUUCUGUUCAGCAUUUGGACAAUCAAAUGAGCAUUUCCUAAAUAUUGAACUAAAAUCCUUGAUGUCUUCAAGGUGUGCAAAAAUUCUGAUGUCGCUUGAGGAUGGUUUUUUGAAAAUUGUUGAUUGAUCUUUCAGGGUUGAUUGAUUUGAAUAUUGUUGAUUUUUAAAACCAAUUUAGGGAUGGCAAUGGGUAAGGUAUCCAGUAAAAAAAAAUACUUUUACUAAAUUCUUACCGUCAAUCUCUUACUAAAUUCUGAUGAGCAAUUCUACGAGUUUAAAUUCCAUUAUCAAACCUGAUUGUUUGCUGGUGGAUUCAGGUUAACCAUUUGGCUUACACAGUCUCGAAACUUUUGUGGAGUACGUAAAUAAAAUGUCAUAAUAUGGAUGAAGUGCAAAUGGUCAGAAUGAAAUAAGACUAACCAAAGAAUUCCUUCGAAGAUGAAAUGACAAAUUCUUUCGACUAAACUCAGAUGAUGAACUCAAGAACAUUUUAUUAGAACCUACAAAUCAGAAGACAAUAAUGAAGGUACGGACGAGAGUGUUGAUCUCAUGAAUUGAUCACAAACAUCCAUAAUGGCUUAGCCUAUACAAACAUACACACACUAUCACAGAUCCACAUACUGUAUUUUUUAUGUAUUAAAUAUCUGGUGUCCGAUUUUUAAUGAUCUCUUACUAGAUUUUAUUAGUUUAUCAAUUGGAACCUUUAUCAAUACUAAAUUCUGAUGUUAAAAAAAAAAAAAACCCAUCAGCUAUAUAAUUGGAUUAAUCAUUGGACCGAGUUUUCAUGAUUUAUAAAAAAUUUUAUCCUACUUGUUGCCAUCCUUAAACCACCCAACUCAACAAUCUAAAUUUAUGUUUGUUUGAAUUGUAAGUUAUUUGAAAUAUUUUUACUGUAGCACUUUUUUAUGAUGUGAUGUAUGUGAGAUAAAAAGGUAAUUGGGAAGAUAAAAAGGUGUAUUGAAAACUGUAAUGAUGAUAUAAACAAAUAUAUUUGGGAAAAUAAUCAGCUGUCCAAACAGUUGAUUCACAUCUUACUACUAAAAUGUAAAUAGAUAACAUAUGAAAGAACACAAUAAUUUGUUCUCAUAAUUUUCCUCUCUACUUAUUCACGUUCUACUAUAUGUAUAUGUAUAAAUAUAUAAGUAUCUUUUAAUUUUAAAAUUUUCUGUCAUUUAAUACACUGCCUAAUAUACACUUCAUCUUUUAGACUUUUACAACCCACUUCUCUUCAAUUAUAUUAUUUAGUAUAACUUCUUUCGAACCACCACUAACCUAUGACACUCAUAUAAUAUUUUAGAAGUUGCAUAAACUAUUUCCACCCUUUGUUCCUCUGAUUAAUUUGGUAUUCUUUGUCUUUUUGAAAUUUAUUUAUUCAUUAUUUUCUUCUUAAAAUACACACACGUAUUUAAAGACUAACCAAAGCAUUCAAGAAUCCCUUAGAAGAUGGAAUGGCAAAAUUCUUUCUUCCAACUUCAGAUCAUGAACUCAAGAACAUUAUUAGGACCUACAAUCAGAAUAUACUGAAGUUACGAGAGUGUUGAUCUCAUGAAUUGAUUAUAUAAAUCCAUAAUUGCUAGCCUAUACACAUACUCACAUACCCACAUAUUUACGUAUCUAAUAUUCGGCAUUCGACUUUUAAUGACGUCUUAUUGGAUUCAAUUGGUACCCUUUAUUAAUACCAAAAUUCUGAUAGAAAAAUCUAUCAACUGUAUAAUUAGAUUAAUAUUCACAAUUUAUCGAAUUUUAUCCUACUUGUUGCCAUUCUUAAAUCAACCAACCCAUCAAUCUAAAUAACCUGGAUUAGCACAGGAAGAUCUCUCAUUAAGAGGAACACUUGAUUAACUUUGAGAAUUACAAUUCACAUCUUACUACUAAAAUGUAAAUAGAUAACAUACGAAAUAACACAAUAAUUUGUUCUCAUAUUUUUCCUCUCUUCUACUUAUUCAUGUUCCUAAGGCUCCCGUUUGAUAAUCCAAUUCAGCACUUAAACUUAAUGAAUUCAGAUCUUAAUAAAAUCAAACUGUUUGAUAACUAAAAAUUGAAAAUCUGAAUUAAUUAAGUGGUACUGAAUUUUCUAGGCAAAAUUUGCUUUCAAAAUUAAGUGAUAAGGUAUUCACUUAUCACUGAAUAUGAUAUGCAUUUAAAUGUAUUAGAUUUAAUACUUAAUAAUUUAAUAGUUAAUGGAUUCAGAUUUCAGUUUUAUCAAGCACAUCCUAAUAUUGCGCAAAGCAAUAUACUGUUUGUAUAAAGUAGUUACAAAAAAAAAAUGUACACAAGUACGUAUCUAUUGGUAAUGCAAUAGUGCAAUCUCAACUUGCACUUUUUAGCAAUACUAGUUUUUUCAGCCUCACGCAAUGCGUGAGGAUGCCCUGGGUCUAUGUUAAUCAAGAUCAAAUGAAGGCAAGUGGAUUAAUGUAAAAUGAUUAUAUAUUGAAUACAUGAUAGGUGUUAAUAAAUGUGGAGAAUUUGACUUUAGGUAAAUUGAAUAUUGCUGUUACUCGUUUACUCAUUUGAUUUGUAAUUUUCUCUUAGAUAGUCAGUCUUUGACUUAAGAUCUUUGCGAAUUCUUGAUAUUAUAAAUAAAUGAUGCAUUCAUUUAAAAUGUACAAGUACAUACAUAUAUCAUAAAUAUGGUGACGCUGAUCACUUUUAAAAUUAUGCACACACUAUUUGUAUCUAAUCAAGAAUGAAAUAAGUUUAAACAAGAUCAGCUAGGUGAGAGUGCGAAAAUUUCACCUUGUAAAACCGCCAAAUCCAGGUCUUCAAUUGGAGAAAGAAACACAUCCAAUAUGUUGCUUUUCAGAUGGCUUUCUCUCGAGAUUACAUAGGCAAUACAGCUUUGUGCGGCUCCCACAGACCGCUUCGGACACCACCCACUGCCCACUCACCAGGGGAGCUCAAGCAACUACAACUAUACGAUGAAGAUACAAAUACACAUCUGAACUCUAAAGCACAAACACAAAAACCACCAAAGUUGACCAAGCACACAACUGAAGCACGAAUGCAAAAGCCAUCAAAGUUGCCCAUAAUUUAGGCGGUGGAUCUAUUUUACAAAUGGGGUAACAAACUCGUGUUUAAAAUCCAAAAAUAUGUAUUUAUAGAAUCGUUUUUCAUGCUCGAAAGAAAAAUUGGAAAUACUGUAAAAGUUUAAAAAUUAUAAUCCAUUUCUUAAAUUGCAUAUUUUUUUUAUGAAGAAAGUUUAUCCUUUUGCAAAAAAAAAAAAAAAUUUACACAGCCACGAGAUACCUUCAUAUUUUUAGUAACAAACUCGUGUUUAAAAUCCGAAAAUAUGUAUUUAUAGAAUCAUUUUUUCAUGCUCGAAAGAAAAUUUGGGACUACUGUAAAAGUUUAAAAACUAUAAUCCAUUUCUUAAAUUGCAUAUUUUUUUUAUGAAGAAAGUUUAUCCUUUUGCAAAAAAAAAAAAGAAAAAAUGUUUACAUGGCCACGGGAUUCCUUCAUAUUUUUUUUAAUUUUUUUUCCAAAACAGGAGGACCCUCUUGUUUAUAUUGACAGUAUACAUUUUCACAUUUUAAUGCAUAUUAUUUAAUCCAAAUUUGAAUUCUAAUAUCAACUUUUGUAUAUAUGACAUGUAUCCAAAAAUGAUAGUGAGUGUGUUUGGAUUGGAAUGAUUUGAAAAAAAUAAUUUGCUUCACAAAUUUCAAUCACCUUUUUAUCUCACAUAUAUCACAUCAUAAAAUAUGCUACAGUAAUUAUCUCAAAUAAAUCAUCCAAAUAAACUCCUAUCCAAAUAAACUCAGUGUAUACUGUAUAUUCUGAAACUCUUGGUUGAAAUGUAAGAUAAUUAAAGAAUAUUUCGUAAAGCUACAUAUGCAAAACAGUGGAAAUAUAAGAUGCUGCUUUCAACGCGAAUCAAACACAAAGAUGCCAAGUUUCAUCGUUCUAUUGCAGCAAGAAAAGUUUGCUUGCAUGAUAUUGCACUAUUAAUGCCUUACACGAAGAGAACUAAAGAGGAUAAUAAUGGAUAUGCCAUAUUAUAUCUAAAAGUUGAAGCACUCAAAACUGGUCCAACUUCCACCAUACAUAUACCCAAACCCUAAGAAAACAAAUCGAAUGUUCCAAUUUCUAGGUUUCAAUUUUUAUAGCAAGCCUAAUUAAGAAUAUAAACAAAAAUUAAAACUCUGAAUGAAGAAAAUACGAAUAAAAGUAUCUAAAGCUAAAGGUUGGGUAGUACAUUACUUUUCUGAACUUUCUUAUCAAGAAUUAGUUCAAACAUGUUCAAUAAUUCUUUUCUCGUUAUACAUAAUAGUGAUUAAGGCACACUCAGAUGUGUGUAUAACUAAUUAGAAUAAAAAUAUUUGUAAUAAUAAUUCUCUUAUAAAAGUGAAGUAUUAUAGGGGAAACAAGUGCAUGGGCUUAAUUUCGGUGAUGUUAAUAAAGAAAAAUUGAAGAAAUGUGUGUCAAAUAUAGUAGAUAAACAUGGAGAAAUUGAACGUAAAAAUACGGGAAGAUUCGAAAUUAUAGUAAAAUUGUUGUUUUAUUAUUUUGUUAGAGAAUAAAUCCAUUUUAUCCUUUAUAAUAAAGGCAAAAAAAAUAAAAAGAAGAAGAAAGAACUAACAAUACAACACCGUAAAGGGCAUCAAGCUUUAUAUAUGGCAUACUAAGUGCGGUCCCCGCGCGAUGCGCGGGCGUCAUGGGAUUUUUUUUUAUAUUAUUGCGUUGAGGAGUUAAGUGAAAUGCAUAUUUUGCAAAAGAUCGCUGGAUUGCGUCUGUGAUAUAGAUAAUUUUUCAGGUCUUUUCUAUAGUGAUGUGUUUUUUAGACUUGUCAUUGUUGUUUGACUGGGGUAUAUCCGUGGUUGAAAAUAGUAAUCAGCAGUGAAUAAUGUGGACAUGAGAAUAAGUAAAAGAUAACAUUGUAGAAUUUGAAGGAUGAGUUAGACGUACGUUUGUAUGUUAAUAUACCUUUUGCAUUGCUCUUAACCGGCUCUUGAAUGACUAAUCCAGAAGUAGAUGGUACUUCAGCAAAUAAGAUAUUGUUUGCACUGAAAGUGGCACUUUCCAUUUUGCUGAGACUUUCUGGAGAUGAUACUUCAGCACAUAGUAUGCUGUUUGCAGCAGAAGUGGAACUAAUAUUUUUUUUAAGAAUCUCUGCCUCUUCAGUCGACAGGCAUUCAGUAGUUAUAGUAGCAGUUAACUCAGUAGCAGGAGUAGCAUGCACAGUUCCUUUAAUAUGUUCUGAUGUAUGAGCACCAAAAGAUAAGCGCAUUUUUUUUCUAUGAUAAGCCUCUCUCUGCUUCUGUCGACGGAGUUCCUUUUUUUUUGCCAGACGAUUUUGUUCCCCUUCAACUUUUGCUUGGUCACAAUGAACGCGAAAAGUCUCCCCAAGAAUUGACUUUUCAGCUUGUUUUAAUUGUUCAGGAACAGAGAGUGCUAAACAAUUAUUUAAUUUUCUUCUCUGAUAUGCCUCUCUUUGUUUGGCCAAACGAAUUUCCUUUUCUUUAGGAGAAAGUGCAGCGUAUUGUUCUCUUAGUUUUUUAUUACGUUGUUUCUUUUUUUCAACGUCUAGCAAUUCAAAACCAAUAAGACAUUGAAUAAAUAGAAGAAUGACGAAAAUAAGCAUGCAUAUAAAAUCGAACCUGUAACUGGUGAACAAACUUGCACGGAUAACAACCAACUGAUGGAGUUGCAGAUAUAAGAAGCAGGAAAGGAGAAACUUAGCAAACGAAGCUAGAAGUCGACAAAAGAAAGAAAGAGGAAGUUGUUUAAGGGGUGGAAAUUGUUUAAAAGCUGCAAAGAAGAAAAUGGAAGGUGAUGAACAGAACAUGCAACAAGAAUAGAAUCAUUAUAUACUCGAAGAGAAAUAGAGUCAUCACCUUCUUUGACACAAAGAAAAGACAGACGGCAGAAAACUAAAACUCCACUUGGAACACACAAAAAGAAUGCAGCGACACAAAUGCAAUUUCAAAGAUAUCAAUAUGUUAAUGGGUUAUGACACAAAACCACCAUCUAUCUAUCUAUAUGAGAUAAUGAAUUUUCUAGAACAAAGGAACAAACGGUGCUUCCCUCUGCAUGGCAAGAGACAGGUGCCUCCAUUUUAAAUUUUUGCUCACCAACAAAACUAAUGAACCUUUGAUUGCACACACUCCAACCAUCUGACUGUAAUCCGAUAAAAGAAGAAUAGUAGUGGUUUAUGAAGAAGAAUAUUAAUGGCUCAUGACAGUAAGCCAUUGCUACAUGAUAGCACCGUCUGUCCACGGGAAUUUCCUAGAGCAGAGAAACAAAUGAUGCUUGGCUUAUGAAGAAGAAUGUUAAUGGCUUCUGACAGUAAACCAUUGCUCUAUGAUAUCACCGUUUGUCCACGUGAAUUUCCUAGAGCAGAGAAACAAAUGAUGCUUCCAUGCGCAUAACGAAGCAAAUGAAACUUAUCCCUUUUUUUCUCAAAUUUUCCUCACAAACAAAGCAGAUGAAAGUGCAAGGCGAAAACUGCGCCAAAGAGUAAACUCCAACUGCUUCUUAUAUAUGUGUAUAAAUAUAUGCUUCCUAAAAAAUGCCACUGGAGGGAGAGGGGAAAGAAUUCUAGCGUCUGAACUCUGGAGCAAGAGGGCAAGCCCAAACAAAUUCCUAUGAAAUGUCAUUGGAAUUGUCGAAAUUUACAGCAUAACCAGUCUAUCUGCCUAUAAAAAAGCCAUAGAAAUUGCUCAAAAUUACCGGAUAACCAGUCCAUGAGCACUGUAGCAACUCCAACUGGCGCUUUUAGUAUAGUAAGGAUUGCCUUACAAAGGAAGUUUCAAUAGCUAGCCCAUCUUGGGUCGAAUCCAUAGUCUAUCUAUAAAAUUCAUAUUUGCUCAAAUUCAUUUUAGUGUUUAUGUUUGGGCUGGGCCUAUAGCAAUUAUUAGUUAAAAAGUAUUUUUUUCAAGAUCCUCAAUGUAGCCCAAAAUGUGGUGGAUUUAGUAAUUGCUGUUUUGGGUUUAGUUAAUUUAAUUGAGUGAUAUAACUGGAUUAGGUGGUGACUGGUGAGAUAAGACAUGGGGAGACAUAUUAUUCUUUCCUAUUAACUUAGGUUCCGUUUGGUAACAUUUGUGUCUUUCCAUUUCUGUGUAUUGCUAUGAAUGUAACAGAAUACUUUCCUUCUCCUUAUCUUCAUCAAAUUUGAUAGCUAACUUGACAAACUUUUUCUCGAUUCCCAUUUCUCCUAAUUUCUUGCAAAUUCGUAACACUUAUUGUUCCACUUCAAAAGUGUCCGAUAAUGGGUAUGCUCUUUCAGAGAAUGGGAGGGGAAUGCCGUCAGAUUUUUUUUUUUACUCAUUUUGUUACAACAACUUGAAUUUAAUUGACUAUGCUCGUAUUUUUAUUUUAUUUUUUUGUUAAAUCAAAGCUAAAGUCGAAACAGUCUCAAAAUGGAAAUAACUUUGACUCGCCUCGAUGAAGCUGUAAUUAACAAAAUUUCGCUUGAAUAAUGUGAUAUUAUCAGGUAUGGCGAUGCAGGAAUGUUCAGAACUCACCUCAUUUGUAUAAUCUACUUUAUCCUAAUCUAGGGGGGAGGGGGAGUCUAAGGAGGUUGUGAUAGGGGUUAAUGGGUAUACAGAUCCAACUAGACCAAGAGAGUGUUAUGGCACAACCCUUAGAUUUUUUUCGCUACGGUGAGAUUUGAACCCUCGCCUACAGCCCAAGGAGGGACUUAAGGCCACUGAUCCAUUGGCCCAGUGGUUCAAGGUGCAGAACAUGCUAGACUCAAAAUCUUUCAAUGUGGUAAAAGCCAUCAAUAAGCCUGAUGCUCCCCAUAGGGUGGUCCUUAUGGUUAUGGUCCAGCCCCGCAUCUUCAGUGCCCUUCGAUCCUGGGCACAGAGGGGCAGAAUUGUAGCAUAUGAAGAAGCAAAGAAGGUAACUUAUGAAUUCACCUUGUUACCUGUAUUGUUUGACUUAUCAAAUCCCUGGUAGAUCAAACCCCCUGUUAAAAUAUAAAGAAUUAAUAAGAAUUGAAUAUAAAUAUAGAAUGUUUAAAGAAUUUAUUUUGUAUGCCCAGUUUCUUGAAAACUAUAAAUACUAUUUAUUUUAAUAGUGUAAGUGGAAGGGUUCGAAUUCGAGACCGCUCACUUACACUUUAUCUCUUCGAACCACCUAGUUCAUCCCUCCCUCCGAGAAAUUAUAAAUACAUGUAAUAUUUGAUUAAAAAGGAUUUCCAAAACAUUUAAUAAGAAAUGUAUAGUCUUUCUGAAGGUUCUUUUUUUUUCAUAGUUUUAAGUGUGGUUGACAAAACAAUUGUUUGUUUCUCAAAGAGUAUGGGCUAAUGAUGCAUAAAAAAAACUUUUGGGAAAUGAGUUUUGCACUUCAGUACUUUUUGGGUUCAUACACUUUCGCUUUUGUUUUUUUUUUUUCAAUAGUUCAAAAGACUCUUUUUUACGAUAUAAAAACGUGCGUGAAACAAAAACUGAAAUGUAUAUAUUAUUUUUCAAUAAGAUUUAUCCCUUUUUUUUAUUUCUUUAGAGAAUAGGCUUAGUCUAUGUGUGGCACAUGGAUUGAAUGGGUGAAUAUUGGUGGGAAAAUAUCUAAAAAAAAUUAUAAAUUAUCGAUCAAGAUUAAACCAAGUCCAAUGUUUCCUUCUCUUUUGAUUGUGGCGUGAAUCAAAUGAACUAGGCCUGCACUCUGAACCAAGUACAGUGUACCCUAUUUUUUUAUGCUUUUUUGAAAUUGAAUGUCAGGACCAAUAAUAUGUCGAAUGGAUGGAUACUUGAAUUGAUUAUACUAUACUACAUUAGUAACGGAGAAAAAUACUAUUACAAACAUAAAAAAGAAUAAUGUACAUCUACAAAUUGGGAUGAUUUAAUGUAUGAAUUUGUGAUAUUGAUGCAAUAAAUAAAUCAAUUCAAUUAGAGAAAGUAAUUGACAAGGCACGAGAAAGCCAUGUGAUGGAUACGAAUAUGGUAAUAGUUGAAAAAUAGAUGGUGGACCAUUGUUUAUUGUUGGUACAUUACCUUUUACCCUAUUGUGAUUUGGUGUUUUACCACAAAACGCUCCUAUGGUUUAAAUAUAUAUAUAUAUAUAUAUAUAACUCUCUCGUGAUUUGGAUUAAUGUGUUAUCGUUAAUUUUUUGGCUAAAACUAACGAUUAAUAGUAAAAAAAUUAAAGUCAAACUAAUAAAUUGAUAAAUGUACCCUUUCAUUACUUCUUUUUUUUCCUCCAAAAAUAAAAAAGAAGAAAUUGAAAUAUAAAAAUUGAUAAGUAAGAACUAGUAAAUACCAUAAAAGAUUUGGGUAAAAAACUUAUAAUGAUAUUUGUAGUCGGAAAAGAUUUGGAAUUUUUUGUUUCUUAUUUAUUUAUUUAUUAUUUUCCUUCUAUCUCUUUUGCAUUUGGGGAAAAUUAAGAUUUUGUAGGCCAAAAUAUAAGUUUUCAAAUAAUCUCUUCUUUUCCCAAAGAGAGAGAGAGAGAGAGAGAGCGAAAGAAAGAGAGAAAGGAAAAAAAGAAAAAAAAAAGUAGUGAAAGGGUGAAUUUGUCAAUUUAUCAAUUUGACUUUGACUUUUUAUCAUUGAAUUUCAUCAAUUUGAAUGAUUUCUGGCCACAUUCCACAUCAGUCCAAAGCACAAAGAAUUUAUUUGGGUGUUUCUGAAUGAUAGGGGGUUCCAUGAUUGUUAACCAAACCACAAGGGAAAUGAUUGUUUUUUAAUCUUUUUUUUUUUAAAAAAAAAUGGGCACCUAAAUCAUCCUAUAAUUUUGGAAUUGAAUUAAAUGUACAAGUCCCAUAAUUUAAACAAAAUCCUUACGUGUAUAUACCUUAAUUAGGCUCAUCAACGUGGUUGUAUAUAUAUGGCAUUUGUGCUUGAUGUUUUAUGUGUUUUUAAGUGGAAAGAAAGAGCAAAUUAAUCUUACUUUUCUUUUUUAGCAUUAAUGUAGUCAUCCGGGCGUCGAAGAACCUUGAAGUAAUAUAAUAUAGAAAAUGGGGCAUUUUCCCCAUAAAUGGAAGUCCCAUACGGUCAGGAGGAAGCUUGGUGCCACGGGCGGAACAUUACCAGAAUCCGGCGUCCCAAUAAUUUUCUAACUAAACAUUUACUUUGGACAAUCAACUUAACAAACUUAUUACAUAGAUAUACCAUAUAUUAGAUGAAUAAGUUUCAAACUUGUUACCAGUAGUUAUUACACUAUGAUUUUGCUAGAUCAACAGAAAAUGUACCGAAAAAGAAAAAAGAAAGAAGAAGAAAAGGGCCUGCAAACGUGAUGACUUCUUAAAAGUGUCUGAUUAAGGCUGAAAACUCCAAACAAGAUCAUGAAGCACAAAAUAGAACAGCGGCCUUCUUUUGCUUAUGUUAAUCUCAACCCCAUCAAUUGGUCUUGGAUGCGGGAGAUAACUCAUUUCUGCAUCAGCAUUAACAAGUUCCCACCUGAAAAUUUGUUCAUAAGUAUAUGAGUAUGACAUAAGCAUACAUACAAAGUUACACUGUUGUGAGACUUUAUUUUCUUAAUAAAUAAUAAUUUCUGGAUUUUGAAUUUAUGUUUUUCUCUUUCUCCUUUGGAAAGAAAGAAAAGUUGGUGUUCUCAACAAAAAAAAAACAAAAGAUUAAUUUUUCGUACACAUUCAGUGUAUACACUGAUGGAUUUGGAUGCACAUUGGUUUAUUUCAAUUUAAAUUUGAAUACCAAAUUUUAUAUAUAUAGCAUGUAUCUAAAUUUGUUAAUAUUGUCACAAGUAGUGAAUAAAAGAUUUGACUCCAAAAAAAACAAAAGGUACAGUGACACUUAGAAAUUUCACCUGUAUCCUACAACUAGAUGGUGGAUAAAAAUAGCAACCUGCAUUCGAGCAAGCAUAUUUCCUGGACAAAUCUUUGAACCCCCACCGAAGACCAAGAAUGUCCCAGGCUUUGGUUGUUCCUGAUCAAGGAAAUAUCUUACAGUUGAUCAAUGCAUAACCCAAAAUUCAUCUUCUCAAUACAGGUGCAAAUAAUAUUUGUGCUUACGUUCCAUCUAUCUGGAUUGAAACACAAUGGAUCUUCAAAAUUUUUUGGAUCUAUAUGAAUGUAUCGUAGCCAGCAGAUUACUUUCCAUCCUUUAGGUAUUUUGUAUCCUGUAAGAAAGAGUUUCAACAGUUUUUAAGUAGAGGAAGACGAGCUGCAUCCCUCCUACAUGCGCAUCCUAAGUACUUCUAUUCUGUAUACUAAAAGAAAUGGAGUGCUUUUACCUUUGUACUCAACAUCCCUCUUAGCUGUCCUGAAAACAAAUGCUGAUACAUUGGCUAGUCUUAUUGUUUCUUCCACAACCUGCUUGUAAAUAUGAGUAAAUUUAGGCAAUGAAGCAAUAAUACACAAGAAAAUGAAUAGGAAUACGUAUGGUAACUAUCUGCCUAUGAAUGCUUAGCCACAUAAUUGUUUAUGUGGUAUCAAACAAAAAUAAAGUACCAUGUCAAGUAACUGAUGGUAUAUAUAAAUUUUGACUAUAUGAUAAAGGGAUAAGUUGGAUCUAUAAAAUACGUUCCUACAAAACAAGAUGCAUCAUCGCCACCAAGAAGGCACACGACUACUAUAUUACUGUAAAUGUUUUUUUUCUUUCUUUUUUCUAUUUGGUGUUGUUAAGGAACUAGCUAAGCACAAAAAAAAAAAAAAGAAGUUUGGGGGCAGUAUUAAACCUUUAAAAUUACUAAUCAUUCCCUUAAUUGUAACACUUUUCAACAAAAUUUACUCUUCUACAUUAAAAAAAAAAAUAGACCUACUUCUUAGCCUGUUACCUUAAGAGGACACCAAAUAGACGAACCUUUAACAAAUUAAUAAUAGUACUAGCAUUUCCUAACUAAUCUCCAUCAUAUAAUCUUGGUGCACAUAUACCUUGUUUGUGUACUGCAAUUUCAGAAUGUCAUCACGUGUUAUGAAAUCACCAUUUGUAUCAACAUUUAUGUGCUCCUCCUACAAUUGAUUCGAUUUAGAGUCAUGAAAAAGGAAACAUAUAUAAAUGUAAUCAAGAACAAGUAAAGAAGUUUAUCUUUGGUUGUCAUCUAGCUAGAGUUUGGAAGUUACUUAUACCCGUAGCUUUUUGAGUACAUUAGGGUACUUGGCGAGAUAAUACAAAAUCCACAUAAUUGAAAGUGAAGUGGAUUCGUAGCCAGCAAUUAUUAGGCCUACAAUGUUAUCAAGCACCUCUUCAUCUUGUAAUUGGUGACCAUCGGCAUCUUUUAGGUUCAAGAGUUGGUCCAACAAAUCAAACUUAGCUCUUGCAGCAUUGCCUUCAAACUUUCUCUUAUUUAUCUCCUUAGUCAAAAUUGUCAUGACUUUCUUCCGACACUGUGGAAUGGCAAAUGAGUCAUUGGAAUUCAAGUCUAGCUCAUACAAGAAUUGGAACUCUAGAAAUUAAAAACCCCCCAUAAAGGGAAUUUACUCAUUUUUGUACUAUUUUAGCUUAAAAGCGAAUUUGCUAGCCUGGAGGGCGUGGUGAUAAGCAGUCCCUGGAAUCUUAAUUGGUUGACUUCUAACUCCUUUGAUCAUACCCGCAAAUAGCUGAUCAAGUGUAUCCAAAUGGGGUCCUGGCUCGAACCCGGAAAAGUACUUUCCAAUAUUUUCAAAAGUAACCUUUAAGGACAAUGAAAAAAAAUGAAAAAUAAGGAAAAUGAUGGCCUAGAGAGAUUUCAUGAAAGUUGAAAUUAGUAUGAUAACUUGCAUCAAGAAAAUUUUAUAUAGAUCUAGAUUUUUCAUACAUAUAUUAGUCUACCUUCUUAGCUUCUUGCAAUGCUACAAUUCUCCCUUUCUCUGACCAUAGUUGAAGGGCUGCAACUAUUCUUGGUUGGACCAUAAUGGCUAUCUUGCGGAGAGCAUUAGGUUGAUUAAUGGCCUUCACAACCAAGCCUCUAAUCCUUGCAUGUGAUGAUCCUUGAAGGAAAAGGAGAGAAUUGUUGCCUAUAAUUUGAGUGGCAGGCCAUCCCAUGCCAAAGUUUGCAUCCGAUUGAAGGUUGAAUUUGUUAGCUGAUGGAGAGGAUGCAAUUAUAGAGGGUGAGCCAAAGAGAUGGCUUUUGUACAAUCCUUCUCCAUCACCAUAUCUGAUUUAAAUGGUUAAUUCGGAAGCAUCUUGUUAAUUCUAAUUAAUUUUAUUGUACAGCUGAUGAAGUCAAUUUGUAGCUUUUUUUUUUGGUGGAAAGCUUAUUGUUUAACAAUUUGUAACCAACAAGUCGAAAUAGUGUGCUAGGCAGAAGAAAUGUCAAUUGACCUCGCACUUAAUCGACAACUUGUGGAUUUGACAUGUGUCGCGCCCCACUUUUUUUGGAAAAAAUAAAAUAAUUGUUUUUUUGUUGAAUUUUAUUAUUUGGGAAAAAUGAAUUUUGUUGAUAAAAACAAAAAUGGGUCUAAAUGGGACUUUUGAAAAUGCGACGAUUUGACCCAAGAAAAAUAGUUCAAAAAGGGUUUUUAUAUGAAAAAAUGGAGUCGCCACUUGGUAUAGAGUUAGGGUGUACCAAGUCACCCAAAAAAUGAAAUUUUUAAAGAAAAAAAGUAAGAAAACCCUUUUUAAACGACUCCUAGUCCACGUAAAACAAAGAAAAAGGUUCGGGAGUCACAUUUGACGAAGGGGAAGGCAAGGCUAAAAAUCCAAGGCACCCCUUCGACCUAACCAAGGCUAGUUGCGUGAUUUAACCCUUAUUUUCCUAUAUUUUCUACCCAAAGUAUGUAUUGCAAAUUGGAUUUGACUAAUGAAUGAGAAAUGCAACCCUAAAUCUAAGAAAUGUUUCUUAUGAGGCUUUUGGUCCCAUUCACACGAGUCGUGACGGCCAAUAAGGAAAGUCCUCAUAGAAAAUCAUGAAUGAUGCAAAUGAGGACUCAAAUGAGAGUGUAAGUGUGCAAAGUGUAGAAAAAAGUGCAUGUGUGCAAUUUGAAAGUGUUUGUGUGCAAAUGAAUAAAAAUAUAAAUGCUCGUGUGCAAGUGAAUGAAAAUAGUAAAUAUAUAAGAGUAAAAUAGGUGCAAUGUGUGAAGUGAAAAGUAAAGAAAGUGAAUAAGGGUGUGAAUAUGACAUGUGGAUUUAAAAUAUAUAAUUAGUGAGGAAAAUAGUGAGAAAAUGAUAUGAAAAUGCAUGAACUUAGAGGAAUGCAUCAGGUCGGGUACGGGAAUGACUUCUAGUUUUUGUGAUUUUAAUUUUCCCUUUGAUUAGAAGGAAAAACUAGCGUGCUAAGGCUAUUUCGAAGCCACACUCGCUCGUUUCCCUUACCCAAGGGGGUUUUCACGCAAAUGAACCCUAACUAGCAUGAGAUGCAAGUCCUAAUGUGAAGGGGAAGGGGUUUGAGGAACAUGCCAAAUGAUAAACUAAAGAAAAAUGCGUGAUAUGUGGUGAUCAUGCACUUAAUGAAAAAGGAAAAAAAAAAAGAACCUAUUGGGUCUAGCAUUGGACUAGCCCUUUCUAUGACAUCCUACUAUCAUUAGAUUAGUGAAAAAGAUGAACCACAACUAGCGUUGGACUAGUGUGGUGACGUACAUUCAUCCAUCACACUCAUUCAGGUUAUGAAAAGCGAGUAGACAUGCCAAAACACUCAUAAACAUAUAGCACAUAACACUUAGCAUGCUCGACUAGAUGCAAGGACCUAACAAAGCAAAUUAACACAUAGCAACUAAGCAUGCAAGACAAAUAAGACGAUUAAAGCCCUAACUAUUACAUUUGCUAGCUAAAACAAAGGGGAAAGGGAAAAUGGACCAAAUUACUUGCUACGCCCUAUCUAUUACAAGCCAAGAGGUGUACACAUACCCCAUAAAGAACAACUUAAAUAAAAGUAAAAAUAAAUGAAAUAAAUGCAAGGAAUUAAGGAAAAGCAAGGAAAACGAAAUAGACAUGCAUAUUCACAUAACACGUAGGAGCACGUAGGGUCAAAUGAAGUGCAAAUAAGGGAUAGAAUGUACCUCCCUUGAGUCGAUGCUCUAAUGAAGUGAAAUUAUUAAAUUACCCUCCAAAAUAAUAAAAAGGUCAAGGUACCACUUUAAUUAUCAAAUAAUCACAUGAAACAACCAUUAAACACAAAAGUGGAAAUUAAGCAUGAAACGAAAAUUAACUAUGGAAUAGAUCAUGCACGUGCAAGCAAAACUCGGUCUUAAAUAAAAGGUCUCAAGAAUCUAAAGUGGAGUGCUAAAUUGAAAUGCUUACGAUGGAAUCCAUCACAAUCAAAUGCAAAAAUCACAAAAAGAGAAAAACUAUCACAGAAAUUAUUUAUUAUGAUUAAAUAACAAAAUUAUCUAAGAAAAACUGAAUCAAAUGAAACCAAGACUAUGAAUUCUUCCAAGAUUAUUAAGCUUUCAUGACAUUGGGAAUUAUCCAUUGAAAUUUGUCCACAAUUCACGUAAAAACAUACCAAAGCGAAUUAUCAUGUAAAAGGGAUCCAAUUGCAAACAUUAAUCAAUCAUGUGAGCCCAAUUAGAACAUUUAAGAACUUUAAAGGUUCAAGAAUGAUGAAAAAGUCAAGUCAUGGUUCAGAUUGCAAAUACUUUAGGACUCAAUUGCAAGAAAUUAAAGCAUAAUUGGGUCAUAGUGCAGCAAAGGGGAACUUAGGGGAUCAAAGUGCAAUUUUUGAAGUUAUUCAUGCAGACUCAUGCAAACAACGUAGAAGCUCUUCUGCAAUUUCUGCCGCAACUCUUGCAUCUCCAAACCAGGCAUGUUUCAUACCAGAAAAAUGCACAAAACCCAUUGUUUGCCAAACCGACUCAGCUAAUGGCUUAACAAACUAAAACUUAGAUCAAAGAAGCAAGAUCAUCAAAUGUUUUUCCCAGCUUUAACCUUAAACUCCUACAUUCAGCAUAAGGUUCAGAGGGAAAAGAGUGCAGAAAUCGGGAACAUAUGCAAACAUUUGAAGAAAGAAAGCUGCUGCAACUUCACGUAAUCUCAGCAAACCAAAUUUAUGCCACGGCUUUGAAACAAAUUCCAAUCAAAACAUGGCUGAACAUGUCUAAAUAAUGCACUUGUUGGAAAAGUUUCAUGCAGGUUUUCAUUCAAAGCUACAAAACAAGCUUCUGCAAAUCAAGAACCAACGCAUGCUGCUGCCCUUUUGUUUCCAAAACUUCAGCAAUUUUUAGCAGCAAAUACAUCCAUUUCAUCAUACAAACAAGUUCACCAAACCAGAAAUUAUUGACCCAAAUUAAAACAUGAAAUUUUGUUUGCAGGAUUAAGAUGACAAAUCUGAUUUUUGAUCGACAGAGAAAAGGAAAGUGCAGCAAAGUUUUUCGGCAAUUCUUAUCCGCAAAGCUUUCCACAGCUCCUAAACACACUCAAAUUCAAUAUGAACUAAAGCAACAAGACAACCACCUAAUCAUCUCACUUUGCAACACAAAACUUUAGGAUUUGAAGCACAAAAUUCAGGUAGAGAAAGCGUGCAGCACUGGAUAUAAAACUGCUGCAAUUUCCUUGGUUUCUUGACCAAGCACAGAAAAAUCAGCGUUAUCCACUUCGUUAGAAGCCAAGUAAUUUAAACGCCAAAUCUAAUCAUUCUAAUGAGGUUGAAUACUGAAUUUAAAACACAAACCAAAAGGCAUGCACCUGCAACUUUCCUCCUAUUUGGCCAUGAGACAAUGAUGAAACCAGAUUCAUCAAAGUUCAAACCGUGAAACAAGGAGGAACCGUAACAUUUUUAGCACAUUCAAAAGGACAACUAGUUAUGAAAAACUGCAGCAAAGAUGCAAGAGAAAAGGCCCGUGGCAAACAUGCUCAGGAUACACCAAUUAACAAACAAAACUGAAACUUGCACAUAACAGGAACCUUAGUAACCAAUCAAAUGAUCAUUGCGGCAAUAAAACAAACAGCUCCAAUCUUGUUGCUGCAAUUUUGUUCCAACUUCCAACACCAAAUUCAGAUCCAAUCACAUACCUUAACCAAGUUUUCUUGAUAUAACAUCCGAACUUAGAACUAAACAAACAAAAUUUUGACAAUCGAACAAGCAAAGACAUAGGAAGGAACUCAAAACGUAGAAAUAAUUGCUGCAACUAACCUUCACUUGACACAUAAAGCUAACGAUUUUUAUGCCUUACCAACAUAAAUUUCUGUUAUACUAGAAUCACAAGCUGCAAAACAACAUGCAAGCUCUCGGUUCCUCACUUUAGGUCCAACUCACAUUUUUUUUAUAUAUCAAAAUUCCCUUCAGCCACAAAUUAUUAGUCACGGCUUAAAACCAACAUGCAACCCGUAUUCAGCUACAUGCAUGAUCAAACAAACAGCUACCCAUCAGAUUUAAUCCAAAACCAAUUUCGGAUGUCAUAAAAAAAACAUCUAACCAGAAUUUCAUCCAAUUCUCUCGGUUGACAUGCAUGCAACCAGUUUUCUGUUUCAUUUUCUUUUCUUGUUUAAUCCGAACUGAUUACCCUCGCGUAUAGCAUAAUCAUUUAGUUUCCAGCUAGCUAAGCACAUAACUAACUCAGAUUAUCAUAAGUUGGUCAAAUAAAGUUGCAAAUUUCCAGCUUAAGCUCUCGGCAACCACAGUUCCUUCAACAUCAGAUUUUUCUGUGACUUAAUCUAACAUCUAACCACACAACCACCACAUGCAAGCCCAUAGUCAACACCUCCUACCCUUAACUAGUCAAUUUAAUUCCAGAAAUUACCUCAGCUUGGAGUACACACACACGAUUAGCAGCAGAAAUUAUUUUCCUCCCCUCGGCAGUCCAGAAAAAUGCAGACCGCUAGCUCUCUCCCUCUCUCCCUUGCUCUGGCUUGCGGCUGGAUGAGGGAAAUCUGGUCUCAAGCUCUUCUCCAGCUCACGGAUGGAAGACAGGCUAAAUCGCAAGUCUCUCUCUUCCCUCUCUAGUUUACGGACCGAAAGAAAAGAAUCAAGAAGCUCCGGCUCCCUCUUUCUCACUCUCGUCGAUGAUACCAAGGCAGGAAAAUGGAAGUGAAGUGUUGUUGUUGUUUUUUUAGGUGUGAUAGUGGAUAGGGAAUGGUUCGCAGUUGAGAGAGGUGGAGUCUUUAAGAGGAGAAGAUCAUCCGGCAGAAAUGGAAUUGUGAUUUUUUGAUUUUUUUUUUUUUGUUUUUUUUUUUUUUUUUUAAUUAUUUAACAAAAAUAAUAGUAAAACUAAAUAAUAAUAAAAACCACAAUUUUAAUUACAAACACAUCGAAAUAAACAAACUAAAAAUAACAAAAUUACCAUUUUCGAUCUUUUCUUUCAUUUUUCAUCAUUUCUCAUCAUUUUUUUCUUUUCUUUUUUUUUUCAAAAUAAAUUAACAAAAAUAAACCAAAAUGCCAAAAAAUUAAAUUUGAACGUAUUUUUGUGAACAAUUUUCCUUUUUUUCUCUUUUUCCAUGAUUUUUCUACGUUAAAACUUAAAAAUUAAAAUAGAAACUAGAAACUAAAAAAACUAAAAGCAACCACGACAAAUGAGAAUAAAAAGUAAAAGAAAUUACACCAAAAAUUUGGUGUCUACAGUUUGCCCCUCUUUGUCUGAGUUUUGGAAAAACUUGAGACAAAGAAGUAGACACCAAAUACUUACCUGCUUUAUUCGGUGGCAAACGUCACGAACGGUGGACGUUUUAGAAAUAAGGACUGACCCCUUUUGGCAAAACUUUUAAAAUGGAAUUGACUUAGACAGGAGAUUUAAAGUGGGAUUGACCCGAACGAAAUUUAAAGACGGGACUGGCCCAAACAGGAACUUAAAGCGGGACUGACCCGAACAGGAAUUUAAAAAUUGGGACUGACUAGAGAAGGAAAUUCAAAUCAUGGGACUGGCCCGAACAAGCUUUAAUCGCGGGACUGACCCGAAAAUGCUUUUGAUCAUGGGACUGACCCGAAAAUGCUUUUGAUCGUGGGACUGACUCGAAUAAGCUUUUGAUCAUGGGACUGACCCGAAAAAUGCUUUUGAUCAUGGGACUGACCCGAAUAUGCUUUUGAUCGUGGGACUGACCCGAAAAUACUUUUGAUCGUGGGACUGACCCGAAUAAACUUUUGAUCGUGGGACUGACCCGAAUAAGCUUUUGAUCGUGGGACUGACCCGAAUAAACUUUUGAUCAUGGGACUGACCCGAAAAUGCUUUUGAUCGUACCUUUUGAUCGUGGGACUGACCCGAAAAUGCUUUUGAUCGUGGGACUGACCCGAAAAUACUUUUGAUCGUGGGACUGACCCGAAUAAGCUUUUGAUCGUGGGACUGACCCGAAAAUGCUUUUGAUCGUGGGACUGACCCGAAUAAGCUUUUGAUCGUGGGACUGACCCGAAUAAGCUUUUGAUCGUGGGACUGACCCGAAAAUACUUUUGAUCGUGGGACUGACCCGAAUAAGCUUUUGAUCAUGGGACUGACCCGAAAAUACUUUUGAUCGUGGGACUGACCCGAAAAAGCUUUUGAUCGUGGGACUGACCCGAAAAUACUUUUGAUCGUGAGACUGACCCGAAUAAGCUUUUGAUCGUGGGACUGACCCGAAUAAACUUUUGAUCAUGGGACUGACCCGAAAAUGCUUUUGAUCGUGGGACUGACCGAAAAAGCUUUUGAUCGUGGGACUGACCCGAAUAAGCUUUUGAUCGUGGGACUGACCCGAAAAUACUUUUGAUCGUGGGACUGACCCGAAUAAGCUUUUGAUCGUGGGACUGACCCGAAUAAGCUUUUGAUCAUGGGACUGACCCGAAAAUGCUUUUGAUCAUAAUGCUUUUGAUCGUGGGACUGACCCGAAUAAGCUUUUGAUAAUGAGACUGACCCGAAAAUGCUUUUGAUCGUGGGACUGACCCGAAAAUGCUUUUGAUCGUGGGACUGACCCGAACAGGCUUUGAAUCGCGGGACUGACCCGCGGCUAGUGGUGAUGCAAAAUGAAAUGCGCACUAGUGGGACUGACUCACAGCUAGUGGCAGAGUAAAAUAAAAAAAUGCCUUGACAAUCGGUCAGUGGGAUUAAACCCGAGCCUGCCGUGAUAAAAUUUGUGUUGAUUUUUGAUUGAUGAUUUUUCUUUUUGCUUUUCUUUUUGACUUUUGAAAAUCUUUCCAAAAAAUUAAUUUGCCCCAGUAUGAUGAAUUUUUGCAAUGUGAGUCCAGAGUUGAUUCUGUAUCGCUAUGCUGUUGCAUUUUUGAUGGAAUUUGCUUGCGACAUUUUCAAUCUGCCUUUGUUCACCGGAGGACCCUUUCCGGCACCGAUUCCAGUGCGAGGUGUGAUUACUUUCAUCUGUGCAUGCAGUUUUUCUACAAAAGAGAAAAGAAAACAAAGAAGUUGCCACCAUCAUUUGAUCCGUUUUCCUUUGAGAAUCGUGUAAACAUGAGUCUUUCGAUGCCUUUAUCAACUUUUGUUGCGGCAGCCGAUUGGGUUGGAUUUUUCACCCUAAGACUUUUCCGAUUUACAAACUGAUCAGGUAUGUGCUUUGCCAUAUUGUGAAGUCUGCGUAACUGACUUUGUUGAACCUUAACCCUUUUCAGGAGAUGACUGAACCCAAGUAUGCUUCGAAUAAACCACGGGGAUUGUUAUUCACCAAAAUUCAAAGAUAAAGAAUGAAGUGUGCAAGAAAAUUCACAUGUCAUACAAGAAUGCACACAUAACCAUUUGUGCUUAAAUUCUACAAAAAUACCAUGAAUGCAAGUAAUUUGGAAAAAUGAGCUUUGCAAAAGAAUGUUUUACAAAAUGACACAGUUUUGGCCAACAAAUGUCAUAUUCAAUUCUCUGGACAUCUUUGUUCUGGAAUUCAAAAUUGACAGAAGUAUGACAAAAAUGAGGAGAAAUCCAAAUGGAUCAAACCACCAGUUGUUCCUCCUUGUGCUUGCUCAUGCGGAAAUCCUACCUUGGCGCCCUUUCGGGUUUUCACCAAGGUUGCCCCUACUCCUUUUCUUUUGUUUUGUUUUUGUUUUUGUUUUUCUCUUUUCCUUUUCUUUUCCUCCUUUUCUUUUGAGGUGCCCUUUCGGGUUUUCACCUAAAGACGCAAAUGAAAGAGCUCAACCAUGAUCGACUCAGGAGUAUGAGUUGAAGAUUUCUGACAUCAGUAAAAUGCACUUCCCUUAGAAGUUUAAGUGAAGGCAUUAUAGACAUCACUUGCCAAUUGAUUAGCGAAAUUCCUAAUAGAAAUACAGCAAGUGACGAAAGUCAUGACUUUUGGGCUUUUGUAAUGAGGUCAGGUGGGGUGUUUUUCAAGAAAAGUUGAGGCUUGAAAGCAGGUUUGAUGAAAGGUGUGAAAUAACCUGAGAUUGCAUCAUUUUGAAAUUAUCUCUAAUUUUGAACGAAACCGAGGAAAUUUGCCCCAGUUUGAUUGGAUUUUCUCUUUCUUUGCAUUUUCUUCAUUGCAUUUUCCUCACUUUUUGCAUUUUCCUUCAAAAACUAAAUUUGCCCCAGUGUGGGGUUCUUUCUUUUCUCUUUUCCUCUUUUUCCUUUUUCCUUUUUUUUUCAAAAUGAAUUUGCCCCAGUAUGGGGAUUUUUCCUUUUCCCUCUCUGAUAAUCUCGUUUCAAAAUGAAUUUGCCCCAGUGUGGGGUUUGCAAUUCUCAGGGGCUGCCAAACGAAAAUUAUUGUUCUGAUAGCUCAAAAGGGAUGACUAGGGAUGAAAUGUUUUGAUUGGAAAGGAAGAUGGCCUGACCUUUGCCUCGUCCCUUGCAUGAUUUCCAAAAGAAAUUUGCAUAAUCAAAAAUAAAACUUCUUACACAUGUCUGAGUUGAUAGGUUGAGAGACUGUUUGUUCGUCCAUCUCUUCAAGGAUAAGUGCUCCACUCGGUAGCACCUUUUUGAAUGACAAAUGGCCUUACCAGUUUAGGCCAAAUUCGUCUUUGAUUUCAUCUUGCAUUGGCAAAUCUCGCUUUAACUCUUUGUCCUUCUUCUCUAAAGGACCGGUGGCGGACCUUUUUGUUAUGAACACAGGCCAUACGACAUUCAACUGCUUUUCAUCCAUCAAAAUCAAUUGUCGGUGACGCUGCUUUAACCAAUCAGCUUAGAACUUGGCAGAGGAGGGAUUUCUUGAUGAAAGGCUUUCUUAACGAAAAGAUUUUCAAUGAAGAGCUUUCUUAAUGAAGGGAUUUUUCAAUGAAGGAUUUUUAAUGAAGGGAUUUUUGGCCUUCUCAAAGAAGGGAUUUUUCAACGAAAGGAUUUUUGGCCUUCUCAAAGAAGGAAUUUUUCAACGAAGGGAUUUCUGACCUUCUCAAAGAAGGGAUUUUUCAAUGAAGGGAUUUCUUAAUGAAGGGAUUUUUAGAUGAAUGGUAUUAUCGGAAUCCAGAACAGUGAUAUUCAAAGGGUCAAAUAAUUUCAUCUUUGGCCAUUUAAAAGAAUUAAAAUUCAGGACAAUAAUCAAAUAAACAAAUUGUGCAUUUAAUGGAAAAACUAAUCAAAGCGGAAACAAGACAAAAACUUAAUUGCGAAAGAUGUUUUCAUGAAGCUAUUCACAUAUGCAAGAAAUGGUUUUUGUGAACUUUAGUAAAUAACAACCCCUAGAUUUACCGAAAUUCCCUUCGAGAGGGAAGAUACUCGCCCAUCCAAAUUGUGCAAAACUCCUUCAGGAUUUUCAAAUUUCGUCGUUGGAGGUGGAUGCCUCGAAGGUGUCCUGGUGUUCAGGAAAAGGAUUUGUACUUAUGAUCGGCCCUUGUUCACCUCUUUUCCUUAGCACUAUUUCUCCUGCCUCGAUCAUGUCUUGGACUUUGUGCUUAAGUACCCUGCAAUCGGCGGUUGAGUGGCCAGGUACUCCCGAAUGAUAGGCACAAAUAGCAUGUGGAUUGUACCCAGCAGGCAUGCCAUGAAGGUAAGUUGGAGGGGGAAUCACGCCUAUUUUGUUGACAACCUUCAAUUGCUCAUACAAUUGGUCCAAAGGCCUGCCUAGGUUGGUGAAGGUUCGGGUACGGCUUUGAUUGUAGGUUUCAGUGGGUCGGGGAUAGUUGUAGGUGGGUCUAUUUGGUGGGGGAAAUCUUUGGUGGUAAGGAGGCCGAGGACGAGCUUGUUGAAAGCUUGGUUGAGAUAUUUGGAAAGGGGUUGUAGGCGGGUUGGCAUAAUUUGGUCGAGGUCGAGGAUGAGUGAUAUUGGUGUGGUAAACAGGAUGAGGAUUUGAGUAGUAGGAGUAAGGGUUUGAGUAGGUAGGGUAUUGUCGAGAUCUGGGUCUUGGGACAGGGUUUUGAUUCCAGGUGAAGGCAGUUUCCCCCUCUUUCUUUUUAAAUUGCGGGUUCUUCUCACUAGUCCCUUGUCCUUGCAAAGCAUCCAACUGGGAUUUGAGGGCAGAGACAUUAACAAUCUUCCCAACUUUCACGAAGUCAUCGUACUCCUCAAGUUUAUUGACAAUGGCGGCGAACGAGCAUCCAGUCAUGCGGAAAAUUUCUUCAAAAUACGGGGGAUCAUGUGCUUUAAUGAAAGUGCGUAUGAUUUCGUCCUCAGUCAUCGGUGGCUCGACUUUUGCAGCUAUUUUCCUCCACCUCUUGGCAUAAGUCUUGUGAUCCUCGGAGGGUUUUCUUUUUGUUCCUUCCAACGUGGUUCGUGUCGGAGCCAACUCGCAGUUAUACUCAUAUUGCCUUACAAAAGCAUUGGACAAGUCAAUCCAGGUUUUUACUUCUUCGGACUUCAAAUUUGAGUACCAGUCGAGGGCAUCCCCCUCCAGACUUUCCGGGAACAACCUUAGAGGCAGGUUCUCGUCGUCUACAGGCUUUCCCAACUUGUUAGCAAAUAGUCGGAGGUGUAUCUUGGGACUACCCGUCCCAUCGUAUUUGUUGAACUUCGGAGUUUUGAAUCCCUCAGGCAAUUGUACAUUGGGAAAGAGACAAAGCUCAUCGUAGUCCAGGACUCCUUGCUUGUUCAACCCCUGACUCUUCCUCAUAAACUCAUCGAAACGAUCAAGGCGUUUGAGCAGCUUUAUAUCAACGGGAGCAGAAGAUUCCCCCAUUUCUGCCUUGGUUUGAACAAUAUGGUCUGGUAGGAAUGGCUCAGCAACAGGGUAAUAAAAGGUAUGUGGCUCAGGUGGUAUAUUUGAAGUGAUUUGGGGUGGUGGACCUCGCGUGUGAGUAAGAAAAAAUGAAGGAUGAGGAGGGUAAGUGUAUGGCAAAUUUGUGGUGGGAUAGGUGAAAGUUUCUUCGGGUGCAAUAGGAAAUGAUGGAAUAACAGUGGCAUGGGCCGAAGGUAGGACAAACGGCUCUUGCUCAGGCUGUCUGGCGGGUACAGGUUCGGGUUGAACUCCGCUGCUAAUUAGCUCAUCAUUCAACUUCCUUUGAGCGGCCAUCUCAGACGCCAUCUCUCCAAACUUGGUAAGCAUCUCAGUCAACUGAAUCCCCAAACUUGCAGUCUCGGGUUGAGCGGUAGUAGCAGACCUAUCUGACUGUUCCGGUUGAGAACUCAUGUUUACACGACUCCUCUGGGCUUGACUACGAGAUCGCGUUAUGAUGGGGUUUCGACGAGAAGCUAUAUUUAAAUAUUACCUGAGAAAUUUUGAAAAAUUGCCUUUAAAUUUAACCCUCGCUUAGUUAUUCCAAGAAAAUAAAGAAAAGGAAAAGAAAAAGACAAGAGUUUAGUAAAUAUCUAAAAAAAAUCGGAUGCAUGUCCUACGGGGGAGCCCUUUUUGUGCCAAGGGUAGGCUUAGCAUGAAAAUGCAAUCCUCUGAGGUAGGCACUAUACCAUACCUGAUGGAUCCGAUCGACUGAUCGUGUGAGGAAUGAUUUGAAAAAUUUGGCCACUUGGAGUGAGAAGAGACAUUUGCCCUAAAACAUGAGGACGAAGUCGGAACGGAUUGCUUGCUUUGAUCUACACAUAAAAUGAUUUGUGAAAGGGAUUGCCAUGUCUCGAUUAAUUUAUUCAAUGAACCCUAAAGGGGAAAAAGCGAGUCAAAUGGAUAAAAUUGGUGAUUUAUUCAAAAUCGACCGAUUUACCUAAAAAUAGGUAAGCUGGAUAACAUUGACGAUUUAUUCAAAAUUGAUCGAAUAGAUAGACUUGGUCAACUGAAUUGAAUGAAAUUGAUAAUCUCUUCAAAAUCAACUUGAUUUCGCCCUAAAAAUGGGUAAAUUGGCCAAAGAGAUGAAAUGGAGUUAAUGAAAUCGGCCAAAUCACCUUAAAAGGGUAAAUUGGUCAAAUGAAUUAAUGAUUUAUUCAAAAAUCGACCGGAUGACCCUAAAAAGGGUAAAUUGGUCAAAUGAAUUGAUUUAUUCAAAAAUUGACCGGAUGACCCUAAAAAGGGUAAAUUGGUCAAAUGAAUUGGAUGAAAUGAAUUUAUUCAAAAAUGAUUAGAUUGAACUAAAAUUGAAUGAAUUGACAAAAAUGGAUUGGAUAAAAUGGAUGAUUUGUUCAAAAAUCGAUUGAGUUCUCUACCCAUUGGGUAGUUUCAAAAAAUCAUUACAAUGCCUUAGUCUAUGAGCCUCCUAAAAUCAAGAUUUGGCCUCCAUUGAUUUAUCGUCUCAAUAGUGAAGAAUUAUUUGGGUUUCUUCAAAUUAAUGUCCUUUACGCAAGGGAUUUUUACCAAUUUUGAUAAAGUGGCCAAAAGGUGAUUAUUAGACGCUCAUAUUCCAAAGAUCGCUCUAUGAAAAUGAUCGGAUCCUACCUUACCUUGUGCACUACCCUUUUGGAUGAUACAAAAAAUGUAAACGUGCAAGUCUCCUUGGAUUAAGUAUCCGAGACAUAUGGUGGCUUAUUCCUAAACACGGGAUCCCCUAAAUGGCAUUCCCUUCCUAGGGUGGAUGCGUGAUGCCAGUUUAUUAAAAGCAGUAAGAUAUGCAAUUUGAAAUGAGACAUGACCUAAGGAACCCUUUGUUUGCCGGGGUAAGCCUAAAAAUGACAUGCCAUUAUUAAUUUACGAAUGAAAUACACCGAAAUUUCUAAACAUGCAAUAGCCUAUCUAUAAGGGUAGGUCCUAAAAGAGGAUCAUGUCCGACCUCUUAUUUGCUAAUGUUUGUGAAUGCAAUGGGGCACAAAACCAAGAAAAGUUAGCUCAGUCAGAUAAAUACAUAUAACACAUUGUAGCAACGAAAUCAACACAAGAAAAUAAAGCAAUAAAAAGGAAAAAGGGGUUGGACCCCUCCCCUCGUGAAUGGUGUACCUAAUAAGGUAAGGUCGACUCUACCCUAGGUAAUUCUAAAAUGGAUGCAUGAGGUUUGGGCUCACUAAUGCAUCUAGACUCGAUAGGUCAUAGGUCCCCGAGCCUUCAGACUUGGAAACCAAAGGUCAUCACUCCCAAGGUUCCUUGUCGGUGGCUCGAGCGAUUCCCCAGACGUUGCUACGCACACGUCGUGUUACGGCUACCCGUCUGGGCGAAUCUAAAAGAAUCCUCAACCUUCGACUAAAAACUAAUAGGUCAUCAACCUAAAGUUUAAAGCGGAAGAUCGAGUGACCCCUCGGAUCAUGCUACGCACACGUCGUGAUACGAUCACAUGUCCAAGUGGGUCGCCUAAAAUCCUAAUAGGGUGGAGUGGCGUGACAAGCCACUAAAAGAAAAAUAAAUGAAGGGUGAAAAAACUAAAGCGUAUGCACGUAUGCUAGUGCUCGUUUGGAGGGGAGGGAUCAAGAACCAACGCGUGGCUCUAAGGGUGACACACACCCCCCCCAAAAUGCAAAUGCAAAGCGCGAGAUAAAGCAAGUACAAUCAUACAUCCCAUCAUCCAAUCAUACAUACGUGAGUGAGGGAGUAGUUUGAUAUGCGCGUACGUGGCAAAAAGUCCUAGAAAGGGAAAAUGCAAUCCUAAUAUCCAAAUGCUAUACAUAAAAAGGGUAGAAAAAAGGAAAAGAAUGGCUAAAUCAAAUGUUUGGACCCACUUAGGAAGUCCCCAGUGGAGUCGCCAACUGUCGCGCCCCACUUUUUUUGGAAAAAAUAAAAUAAUUGUUUUUUUGUUGAAUUUUAUUAUUUGGGAAAAAUGAAUUUUGUUGAUAAAAACAAAAAUGGGUCUAAAUGGGACUUUUGAAAAUGCGACGAUUUGACCCAAGAAAAAUAGUUCAAAAAGGGUUUUUAUAUGAAAAAAUGGAGUCGCCACUUGGUAUAGAGUUAGGGUGUACCAAGUCACCCAAAAAAUGAAAUUUUUAAAGAAAAAAAGUAAGAAAACCCUUUUUAAACGACUCCUAGUCCACGUAAAACAAAGAAAAAGGUUCGGGAGUCACAUUUGACGAAGGGGAAGGCAAGGCUAAAAAUCCAAGGCACCCCUUCGACCUAACCAAGGCUAGUUGCGUGAUUUAACCCUUAUUUUCCUAUAUUUUCUACCCAAAGUAUGUAUUGCAAAUUGGAUUUGACUAAUGAAUGAGAAAUGCAACCCUAAAUCUAAGAAAUGUUUCUUAUGAGGCUGUUGGUCCCAUUCACACGAGUCGUGACGGCCAAUAAGGAAAGUCCUCAUAGAAAAUCAUGAAUGAUGCAAAUGAGGACUCAAAUGAGAGUGUAAGUGUGCAAAGUGUAGAAAAAAGUGCAUGUGUGCAAUUUGAAAGUGUUUGUGUGCAAAUGAAUAAAAAUAUAAAUGCUCGUGUGCAAGUGAAUGAAAAUAGUAAAUAUAUAAGAGUAAAAUAGGUGCAAUGUGUGAAGUGAAAAGUAAAGAAAGUGAAUAAGGGUGUGAAUAUGACAUGUGGAUUUAAAAUAUAUAAUUAGUGAGGAAAAUAGUGAGAAAAUGAUAUGAAAAUGCAUGAACUUAGAGGAAUGCAUCAGGUCGGGUACGGGAAUGACUUCUAGUUUUUGUGAUUUUAAUUUUCCCUUUGAUUAGAAGGAAAAACUAGCGUGCUAAGGCUAUUUCGAAGCCACACUCGCUCGUUUCCCUUACCCAAGGGGGUUUUCACGCAAAUGAACCCUAACUAGCAUGAGAUGCAAGUCCUAAUGUGAAGGGGAAGGGGUUUGAGGAACAUGCCAAAUGAUAAACUAAAGAAAAAUGCGUGAUAUGUGGUGAUCAUGCACUUAAUGAAAAAGGAAAAAAAAAAAGAACCUAUUGGGUCUAGCAUUGGACUAGCCCUUUCUAUGACAUCCUACUAUCAUUAGAUUAGUGAAAAAGAUGAACCACAACUAGCGUUGGACUAGUGUGGUGACGUACAUUCAUCCAUCACACUCAUUCAGGUUAUGAAAAGCGAGUAGACAUGCCAAAACACUCAUAAACAUAUAGCACAUAACACUUAGCAUGCUCGACUAGAUGCAAGGACCUAACAAAGCAAAUUAACACAUAGCAACUAAGCAUGCAAGACAAAUAAGACGAUUAAAGCCCUAACUAUUACAUUUGCUAGCUAAAACAAAGGGGAAAGAGAAAAUGGACCAAAUUACUUGCUACGCCCUAUCUAUUACAAGCCAAGAGGUGUACACAUACCCCAUAAAGAACAACUUAAAUAAAAGUAAAAAUAAAUGAAAUAAAUGCAAGGAAUUAAGGAAAAGCAAGGAAAACGAAAUAGACAUGCAUAUUCACAUAACACGUAGGAGCACGUAGGGUCAAAUGAAGUGCAAAUAAGGGAUAGAAUGUACCUCCCUUGAGUCGAUGCUCUAAUGAAGUGAAAUUAUUAAAUUACCCUCCAAAAUAAUAAAAAGGUCAAGGUACCACUUUAAUUAUCAAAUAAUCACAUGAAACAACCAUUAAACACAAAAGUGGAAAUUAAGCAUGAAACGAAAAUUAACUAUGGAAUAGAUCAUGCACGUGCAAGCAAAACUCGGUCUUAAAUAAAAGGUCUCAAGAAUCUAAAGUGGAGUGCUAAAUUGAAAUGCUUACGAUGGAAUCCAUCACAAUCAAAUGCAAAAAUCACAAAAAGAGAAAAACUAUCACAGAAAUUAUUUAUUAUGAUUAAAUAACAAAAUUAUCUAAGAAAAACUGAAUCAAAUGAAACCAAGACUAUGAAUUCUUCCAAGAUUAUUAAGCUUUCAUGACAUUGGGAAUUAUCCAUUGAAAUUUGUCCACAAUUCACGUAAAAACAUACCAAAGCGAAUUAUCAUGUAAAAGGGAUCCAAUUGCAAACAUUAAUCAAUCAUGUGAGCCCAAUUAGAACAUUUAAGAACUUUAAAGGUUCAAGAAUGAUGAAAAAGUCAAGUCAUGGUUCAGAUUGCAAAUACUUUAGGACUCAAUUGCAAGAAAUUAAAGCAUAAUUGGGUCAUAGUGCAGCAAAGGGGAACUUAGGGGAUCAAAGUGCAAUUUUUGAAGUUAUUCAUGCAGACUCAUGCAAACAACGUAGAAGCUCUUCUGCAAUUUCUGCCGCAACUCUUGCAUCUCCAAACCAGGCAUGUUUCAUACCAGAAAAAUGCACAAAACCCAUUGUUUGCCAAACCGACUCAGCUAAUGGCUUAACAAACUAAAACUUAGAUCAAAGAAGCAAGAUCAUCAAAUGUUUUUCCCAGCUUUAACCUUAAACUCCUACAUUCAGCAUAAGGUUCAGAGGGAAAAGAGUGCAGAAAUCGGGAACAUAUGCAAACAUUUGAAGAAAGAAAGCUGCUGCAACUUCACGUAAUCUCAGCAAACCAAAUUUAUGCCACGGCUUUGAAACAAAUUCCAAUCAAAACAUGGCUGAACAUGUCUAAAUAAUGCACUUGUUGGAAAAGUUUCAUGCAGGUUUUCAUUCAAAGCUACAAAACAAGCUUCUGCAAAUCAAGAACCAACGCAUGCUGCUGCCCUUUUGUUUCCAAAACUUCAGCAAUUUUUAGCAGCAAAUACAUCCAUUUCAUCAUACAAACAAGUUCACCAAACCAGAAAUUAUUGACCCAAAUUAAAACAUGAAAUUUUGUUUGCAGGAUUAAGAUGACAAAUCUGAUUUUUGAUCGACAGAGAAAAGGAAAGUGCAGCAAAGUUUUUCGGCAAUUCUUAUCCGCAAAGCUUUCCACAGCUCCUAAACACACUCAAAUUCAAUAUGAACUAAAGCAACAAGACAACCACCUAAUCAUCUCACUUUGCAACACAAAACUUUAGGAUUUGAAGCACAAAAUUCAGGUAGAGAAAGCGUGCAGCACUGGAUAUAAAACUGCUGCAAUUUCCUUGGUUUCUUGACCAAGCACAGAAAAAUCAGCGUUAUCCACUUCGUUAGAAGCCAAGUAAUUUAAACGCCAAAUCUAAUCAUUCUAAUGAGGUUGAAUACUGAAUUUAAAACACAAACCAAAAGGCAUGCACCUGCAACUUUCCUCCUAUUUGGCCAUGAGACAAUGAUGAAACCAGAUUCAUCAAAGUUCAAACCGUGAAACAAGGAGGAACCGUAACAUUUUUAGCACAUUCAAAAGGACAACUAGUUAUGAAAAACUGCAGCAAAGAUGCAAGAGAAAAGGCCCGUGGCAAACAUGCUCAGGAUACACCAAUUAACAAACAAAACUGAAACUUGCACAUAACAGGAACCUUAGUAACCAAUCAAAUGAUCAUUGCGGCAAUAAAACAAACAGCUCCAAUCUUGUUGCUGCAAUUUUGUUCCAACUUCCAACACCAAAUUCAGAUCCAAUCACAUACCUUAACCAAGUUUUCUUGAUAUAACAUCCGAACUUAGAACUAAACAAACAAAAUUUUGACAAUCGAACAAGCAAAGACAUAGGAAGGAACUCAAAACGUAGAAAUAAUUGCUGCAACUAACCUUCACUUGACACAUAAAGCUAACGAUUUUUAUGCCUUACCAACAUAAAUUUCUGUUAUACUAGAAUCACAAGCUGCAAAACAACAUGCAAGCUCUCGGUUCCUCACUUUAGGUCCAACUCACAUUUUUUUUAUAUAUCAAAAUUCCCUUCAGCCACAAAUUAUUAGUCACGGCUUAAAACCAACAUGCAACCCGUAUUCAGCUACAUGCAUGAUCAAACAAACAGCUACCCAUCAGAUUUAAUCCAAAACCAAUUUCGGAUGUCAUAAAAAAAAACAUCUAACCAGAAUUUCAUCCAAUUCUCUCGGUUGACAUGCAUGCAACCAGUUUUCUGUUUCAUUUUCUUUUCUUGUUUAAUCCGAACUGAUUACCCUCGCGUAUAGCAUAAUCAUUUAGUUUCCAGCUAGCUAAGCACAUAACUAACUCAGAUUAUCAUAAGUUGGUCAAAUAAAGUUGCAAAUUUCCAGCUUAAGCUCUCGGCAACCACAGUUCCUUCAACAUCAGAUUUUUCUGUGACUUAAUCUAACAUCUAACCACACAACCACCACAUGCAAGCCCAUAGUCAACACCUCCUACCCUUAACUAGUCAAUUUAAUUCCAGAAAUUACCUCAGCUUGGAGUACACACACACGAUUAGCAGCAGAAAUUAUUUUCCUCCCCUCGGCAGUCCAGAAAAAUGCAGACCGCUAGCUCUCUCCCUCUCUCCCUUGCUCUGGCUUGCGGCUGGAUGAGGGAAAUCUGGUCUCAAGCUCUUCUCCAGCUCACGGAUGGAAGACAGGCUAAAUCGCAAGUCUCUCUCUUCCCUCUCUAGUUUACGGACCGAAAGAAAAGAAUCAAGAAGCUCCGGCUCCCUCUUUCUCACUCUCGUCGAUGAUACCAAGGCAGGAAAAUGGAAGUGAAGUGUUGUUGUUGUUUUUUUAGGUGUGAUAGUGGAUAGGGAAUGGUUCGCAGUUGAGAGAGGUGGAGUCUUUAAGAGGAGAAGAUCAUCCGGCAGAAAUGGAAUUGUGAUUUUUUGAUUUUUUUUUUUUUGUUUUUUUUUUUAAAUUAUUUAACAAAAAUAAUAGUAAAACUAAAUAAUAAUAAAAACCACAAUUUUAAUUACAAACACAUCGAAAUAAACAAACUAAAAAUAACAAAAUUACCAUUUUCGAUCUUUUCUUUCAUUUUUCAUCAUUUCUCAUCAUUUUUUUUUUCUUUUCUUUUUUUUUUUUCAAAAUAAAUUAACAAAAAUAAACCAAAAUGCCAAAAAAUUAAAUUUGAACGUAUUUUUGUGAACAAUUUUCCUUUUUUUCUCUUUUUCCAUGAUUUUUCUACGUUAAAACUUAAAAAUUAAAAUAGAAACUAGAAACUAAAAAAACUAAAAGCAACCACGACAAAUGAGAAUAAAAAGUAAAAGAAAUUACACCAAAAAUUUGGUGUCUACAACAUGAGCACACGGUGACAACAUCAAUUUCUCAAAACAGGUUAGGCAACAUCAAUUUUGACAAAAUGAAUAUAGUUUGUUGGGAAAAUGGCCAAUUUAGUCCCUAUACUUUUUUUUACUGUCAAUUUAGUUUUUAUAUAAUUUUUUUGACCAAUUUAAACCCUAUACUUAUUUAUCGGUUCCAAUUGAGGAUCUCCACGGCAGCGCCACCUUCUAAUUGCGAUUCAAUGUCGAAUUGAGCACUUAUGCGGGGCAUUUCUGGUACUUCACUGUUGGGGCUCCUGUUGGGGCUACUUCCCAGCAAGAAGAUUUCAUGGUUGCAGAAAUUAUGGGGUAAUUUUUACUUAUUUUAAAAACAUUUAAUUAACAAAAAUGGUGAAACUUCAAAAGCAAAUCAUUUCAAACUACCAAUGGAGCGGACAAUAAACUAUUUGCAAGUUAAAAAGAAAUAGACAGUGCUUUUGAGUUCAUAUUUUAUUCCGGGAGUUAAGCAUAUACUCGAAUAUUCUUUUAAAAUUAUGAGAAUUUUUUUUAACACCUUUUUUUUAUAAGCAUUUUACUUUUCGUACAUAGGGGAAUAAGGAUCUGUGGCUUUAUUACAUUGGCAACUAUGCUUUAGUAUGAGUGUUAAGUGCAGAGUUAAUCAUUAAGUGGCAUGGGCUUCAGUGGAGAAAAUUGUAGUAAUAUUCCAACAAAACCUGCAUUGAUGGUUGAAGCUUCUUUUUUGGCAAAUGUUUUUGACGAGGACAAUUGAACAAGUUCUUCUUCACCUCUCACUUCAGUUGUGUUGUUGUUGUUGUUGUACACUUGCUAAUGGGGUACACUUUGUCGUGAAUGGCAAGCAAAUCAUAAGAUCUUUUUGGGUGGUUGGCGGCAACUGAAGUGAAGGGUGAAGGAAACUCUGAUGACCAGUUGAAAGUGGUGGAUGCAGAGCAAGGGGAUGGAGAUGAGCAAAAUGACGGUGGCAGUGACAAUGGGGAAGGUGACUUCCCGGAUGGUGAAGAAGAGGUAGCCCCUGAAGAUGGAGGCGGUUGUGGAAGCAAUCCCAACAGCAGCAAUGGCAACGCCAAGAAGGGCCCUGGAGGAGCUGGUGGUGCGGGAGACGAGAAUGGGGAGGAAGAAGAUGGAGAAGAUGGUGAUGGACACAAUGACCAUGAUGAUGACGAAAACCAGGAUGAUGAUGAUGAUGACGAGGAGGAGGAGGAUGAUGAUCGUGAGGAUGAAGGAGAUGAGGAAGAAGUGACAGAAGAGGACGCAAAAGACGAAGAGGGCCCCAACAGUGAGUACCAGAAAUGCCCCCGCAUAAGUGCUCAAUUAGACGUUGAAUCGCAAUUAGAAGGUGGCGCAGCCGCGAAGAUCCUCAAUUGGAACCGAUAAAUAAGUAUAGGGUUUAAAUUGGUCAAAAAAAUUAUAUAAGGACUAAAUUGACAGUAAAAAAAAGUAUAGGGACUAAAUUGGCCAUUUUCCCUAGUUUGUUUAAUCAAUUCUCUUGUCACCAAUAACUCAAAUAUAUUUUUGGAGCAUAAAAUAAUUAUGAUCUUCAUCUAUUCAAACGCUACAAUUUAUUCAAUUCAUUAUUUCGGAACAUGUUAGAGCAUAAUAAUUAAAUCCGGCCUGGUCCUCAGCCUGGUAACUAGAUUGGUUCAAGGGUUUAAUCACGAGUUAAUUGGUUGAACUAGUGGGUCAUAACAUAAUAAAAUAAUAUAAUUGUUAAGAAAAUAUAAUUAUUGAACUGGUGAUUAAAUCCAUUAAGCUUCGGUGUUCACCAAUUGAAGCGACGGGUUAAUGACUUAUCAAUAGAAAUCUUUAUUAUCCUCUCCAACUAUCAAUCCAACCAAGUUAAAUAGCCAGUUCACCGGAUUAGCUGCUUGAACUGCUUAGACAGACCGGGUUCAAUAACUUUGUUUUAGAGUGGCAUGACAUUACCUUUACGGCUUUACCUGCCUAUUUGUAGGCAAAAUUACAGCAGUGGCUCCCAUCAAAUUUAUAAGUUAUCCUGUCCUAGUCCUUCACAUUUAUUGUUAAUUUGAUUAGAAAUUUAUGAUUGUAGACAGUUUUCAAGCAUGCUAAAUGACAUGUUGAGUGAAAAUCUUUACCACAAAACACCAUCAGCUAAACAAGUUGAGGGAAGUAUGAAUUUUUAUGCGAUUUGAUUAGAUUGCAAUGUUGCAAUUUCUGGUAAACUUUUAGCUCCCUCCAUUACUUUUUCGAGUGAAAAUCUUUGCCACAAAGCACCAUCAGCUGAUAAAGUUCAAGCAUUAGGGAUUUUUAUGUGAUUUGAUUAGACUGCAUAUAAACUCUUCUUUUAUACUGUAUUAAGGGAAGGAACGUGUCAUGACCUGAAAACUUAAGAAAAAUGCUAAUGUUUAUGAAAUGUUUUAAGAGAAAUAUGUUUUCUUGCAGAAAAUAAUCCUCCCAUCAAUACAUGUCUACAACAUUCACAUUUCUAGGUUCAAAAAUAUUGAGGAUAAUUUUAAACCAUGCUCUUCAAUUAAAAUGAAAAUCAGAGAUCCAUCAAAAUAUUAGUUGUUAGCUAUUAUUCUAGCAUUCGUUUCAUAUUCCAAAUUUCAUUUACACAACAAUAAUUUGAUAGUGAGAUUGAUCCUUUUUAAGUUCAAUUCAUCAAAAGACACAUAACUAACGUGUGGAGAACUUGCACCUGAGGAAGUAGACUUGCAAUUGUCUACAAGAUGUUGCAGAAAUUGCUACAGCCAAAUGCCAUGAACUUGGGCCAAUGGCCGCCAUGUAUGUAGCAAUAAGUUGGGCAAUUGUGCAACCGAAGUUACUAGUAAUAAAAUGGAACAAGAAAGGAAUAAAACUCAAGCAUGGAGAAAAACCUUACUUGUCUCUUUUAUUGUUAAUGAAGUCAUCAGGCCGAAGGAUAACCUUAAAAUACCAAAGAAAAUGAAGCAUUUCUCCGAAAAAUGGAAUCCCCAUGUGGCCAGGAGGAAGCUUCAUCGUGGUUCUGCCUCCAAAACGCCAGAAAGUAACCGGCAGAGCAAAUCGAAAAUAAUUCCACCACCACAACCCCCACCCUAGUAGUGUUAUGAUUCCCACCACAUUUGCUAUCCACAUCCCUAAGGUUAUUUCCAUCUUUGUGAGUUGAGGCUCUAAUAGUCUGUGUGAUGUGGUACUCCCAUGUGUCAUAUGACCAGGUUUAAAUACACUUACUUGCGAUGCAAUCAUUUGUAUCUUAUACCCAACAUAUUAUUCUUUCAAGUAAUAUUACAAGAGGACAAAUCUAAAUUGUACUUAUUUGGGGCUAUGGUAGUUUGUGUGGUUGCCACAGCAACCAUGUAUGGCGUUGUCAUUUUCACCAAAAGAAGUGGUGAGACUCAAAGCUGGUGAGCUCUCCAAGAGUGCCACUACCGUGGUUGAAAAAUUGACAGCCACUCGUCCUGUUGUCCACAUUGACAACAAUUUGUCAAUGUGGGCAAUUCCUGGUUUAUGUAUGGCUAGGUAGUCUCAGUGUAAUUAGAAUUAGAAGCAUGAUUAGACUGAUUCACUUUUACUUAAGUUUCAUCUCCACUGGUUCACUUUUGCUUAAGUUUCAUCUACUCUCGAUCUAUCUUCUUCAGUAUGGUACAAAACAGGGCACAAUUUGAAGUUUGUUAAGAAAAUGCUAAUUUUCUUAUACUUUCUAACUAGUGCUUGAAAUCUAGUAUUUCAGAUUUCUCACUGUUUGGAAAACUUGUUACCACCUACAAACAUGAAAUCAUUCAGAUUAGUUGUUCUAAUCAGCAAAAACUGCCACAUGAUAGAAAGAAAUUGACUCAUUCACACCCAUUGGUAUAGAUAUUGUGCAUUGUGCUGAAACUUGUCUGUGAGUUUCCUUCUUCCAAAGUAACAGGCCCAUCUAUUAAGUUCUUCCCUGUACAAAAGGUUGAAGGCAAAUUGAAAGUCAGUGUCACAUUUACCUCUAAUUUUUCAAUUGACAAUACUAGCACAUUCCAAAGAUUAUAAGUUGGUUUUUUGAUAAAUUAGUUAUAGGAAUGUGUUAGUCGGGACUCGGGAAGGCUCUUUGGAGGAAAUUUCUGAGGAUCCCUUUGGUUUUAGAUAUUGUAAUGCAAUUGCUUAUGUACGUUAUUAUAGGUUGAAAAUGGAUUGGUGGUACGGUGGGAGGGAGAGGUUUCGGAUUCGAGACCUCUCACUUACACUAAAAAAAAAGAUUGGAAAUGAAUUUUGAUUACAUAAGUUAUAAUUAAAUCUGUCCAACUGUUAAAUGGAUUAACAUCGGGUUGGAUCUAGUUGGGUUAAUUUAAAACUAUAGACCCAAUAGUCAUUCAUUUGUACAUGCAUAUUUUUAUCCACUCUUGCAUUGGGAAAAUAUUAGUAAACUAUUCUUUGCACAUCUUCGUGCACACACAUACAUGCACACUAAUAACAUUUUCCUUUUUUUAUUUGACAUUUUAAGAAUUUAGUAUACCUAAAUGUGUCCGUGUCCCUACCAGAUAAAUAUGUUCCAUGAAUUUAUACAUGGUUUCGUGAAUAAGAUCUACUUGUUUCAGAAAUAUGUUGUUCAAAAGAUGAUGUGUUGAAACUUUCCAAAAUUUUUGUAUCCGGGGCUAAUGUCAUUUUACAUGAGGUGAAAUUAAAGAAAAAGUGAUCUAAGUAGAUUAGGUUAAUACUACAAAAAAUAAGGUUUUCAGUCACAACAAUGACAGUAUCUAAUUUUGUCAUAAAUAAAUUAAUUUUAUUAACAAUAUAGUUUAUUGUCACAUAAUACUAUCUAUUUAUGACAACUUCUAUUGUUGUCAAAAUAUGUUGUCAAUAAUACUAUCCCUGAAUGCAGUGACAAAAAAAAGCUAAAUAUUGUCACUUAGUAAUUUUCUAUGUUUCUAACGCAAAAAAAAAAUAAUAAUUUUUCUUCUGUGACAACUCAUAAUGUUGUCAGAAUUUCUCCAAUUGGAAAGUAACUUAAAAAAUAAAUGGUGAAAACUUAGAAAAAGCGGAACAAUUGGAAAGUUCACUAGAAAAAAUAGGGAUAAUUUCACAAACCUCCCCUGAGGUUUUUGACACUUGCACUGACCUCUCUUGAGGUUUUAAAAAUUUUAUUGACAACCUUUGCUUUUGAGAUUUUGGUAGCAAUUCAAUCCAAAUAGCAUUAAAAUAUUAUUUUCAUGAGUGAGAUGAUAUUUUUAUUCCAUGAAUGCCCUUUUGGUCCCUGUAUUAGUACAAGAUUGAUAAUCCUUAAAAGGUUAAAAUGAUUAGUAAAGUUGAGCGGAUAUAAAUGCAAUUCAGAAACUUUCAGGCACAACAUGGAAACAUAAGAAGUGUUUUAACAGCCAUAGCAAUGGCUACUCCAAGUUCCAAUGGCCAGAUUUUUUAUUUAGCAUCAACUGUAUGCAAACAUCACAACUGCCUUUAUACCCUCAAGAUUAUGAUUGUGAGUAGCAAGAUGUGGGGUGCAUACAAAGUUAUUGUUUUAUACUGCAUUUAGAGUUCAAAGUGAAAACAUUUAGUAGAAAUUAUGGCCUCUUCAAGCCAUAAGGGAGAAUCAUGGAAUUCAUCAAUAUCUUUCACCAUUAAAAAUAGACAUUGCUAUCAUAAUCACAAAGCAAUAGUGAAGAUAUCUGAGAGUGAAAAGAAUCCGGACAAGUUGUAUUUUUGUUGUUCAAAGUGUAGGUACUUCAAAUGGUAUGAUGGAGGUGAAGAAGAAGAAAUUAAUAGGAAAAGAAGCAACUGCAAUAUAGAGAGGGAAGAAGUUAAUAGCAAAAGAGGAGAUGGCAUUUCAGAAGGGACAAUUUUCACAACCAGGAGUCUUGGGGAACAUGCUACUCAUCAUCAACUUCAUACUGUUAGCUAUAUUUAUGUUCAUUGAAAUGUAAAAUCAUUUGAAUGAACACAUGUAAAUCUACUACAACAUUGUACCAACUAUAUUAUGCCUUUUUUAUUGAUAGGCAAUUCAAACCAGAAGGCUAUGUCAGUUGGAAUUCAUCAUAAACCAAUGUCAGCCCAUGUAUGCAGCAAUACAACUAAGUAUGAAGGAAUGAAUGGCUACAUUAUUUUACUCAAUCAUGCACCUAGAUAUGUAGUAAGAAGUGUAGUAUGUCAAGCUAGCAACCAGUUAUCUAUGAUGGAGGAAAUGAUAAGACACAUUGAAGAUGCUAAAAGGGAUAUUACAUUAGCUAAAAUGCAUUAAGCAUAUCAGUAGUAGAUCCACAUAUCCAUUAAUGCAGCCCAAUAACAGAAAACACCAUCUACAAUAAACAGUAGAUGCAGAGAUGAGGAUUGCAACUUCGCAAUUCUAAAAGAUUGUUAGCAGCCAUUUGCAAAAGCAUUAUAGUCAAGAAAUCAGUGAACUUUACAGCACCACCAAAUACAAAAGAGAUUAAGCUAAACAUAACUGACAACUAGUUUGAGUGGCUACUCAAAACCACAUGCUGAGAUUAUUGGUAUUACUGAUGAUGACGAAGUUCAAAUUUGUUGAUGCAUUUAUGCUAGUUAGUAAAAAGCCCCAACUUCAUAGGACAAAGUGCUAAUUUCAACCAUCAUGAUGUAAGCAAAAGGUCUCAAAUAUCUGCCAAGGGAGGUCAGUCAAAUUUUUAAAACCUCGCGGGUGUCAGUGCAAACGUCAGAAAUCUCAGGGGAGGUUUGUGAAAUUAUCCCCAAAAGGUAAGUAGCGAAAACUUUAAAAAAGCAAAAAAAAGGACAAAAUCCUCAUUUCCCUCUUCCUUAUCACUCUUGCCAUUCAAAAUGAAAUCAACCCCAAGUUCCACUUGACUUCGUCCCUUUCUCUCUCUAAAAUCGAAAUCCACCAUUACGAUCGAUUGACCUCUCUCCCUUUCCUAGUACUGAAUUCUCGAUUAGACUAGAAAUGAUUUGUACCUAUUAGUAGCUCAAUCUCAAUCUCAUUUAUGUUUCUAAACUCCAAUUUCAGCAUGAAUUUCAAGAAAUUUCACUGUUAAUUUUUGUUUAUUUUUAGGGCAUUGUAUCGGUAAAUAGAGGAAUUAAAGGUUCAUCAUGCAUGAGUUGCUAAUUUUGUUCAUCGGCAAACCUUUGCCUAACUCCAUUCUCAAAAAAAGUCAUUGCAAAAUUCUCUGACCUUUUUCUGAGCUCCUUAUGUUCAAAUUCUAGGUAAUCAAGCUUGGAUUAUCUUUCUUUUCCUUCUAUCUAUAUUUUUUUUUUGUCGUAAAAACUAUCACGUGAUAGAAAGAAAUUGGCUCAUUUGCUUAGUUUAUAUUCACACCCUUUGGUAUAGAUAUUGUGCAUCCUGUUGAAACUUAUCUGUGAGUUUCCUUCUUCCAAAAUAACAGGCCCAUCUAUUAAGUUCUUUCCUACAAAAAACUUUCAAGGCAGAUUGAAAGUCAAUGUCACAUUUACCUCUAAUUUUUCAAUUAUAAUACUAUAUAUACGUUUUUUCUAUUUUUCUAUUAACACUAUGUACCCAUGAUGGAUUUGCAUAGCUUUCUCCCAACUUAUGAUGUUUUAAAUAAUAGGAAGAUGAGAAGUCAUAAUUAUCUGAAUACAUAAACAAUAUAGAGUUAGCUACUUUUUAGAUGUUUAGUUUUAGUAACCUCAUAAUAGCUUGCCAGCAAGUCAUCUAGAUACAUAUUUGAAAAUUGAAAUAAACAACAUCAUAGAUAUAUUGGUUUUUCCUCAAACAUUUUGAGUAUUCUUUUUUGAGCUUGCUAGUAGGAUGAAAAAACCUAAAAAUACUGUUAAAAAAAGGAAUUUGAAAAAAUGCUGGCAGAGAGAGUCCCAACACAAAAUCUAGGCUACUGACAAAAAAGUCUGAACAUAAAUUAUAGUCUACUGACAAAAAAUUCUCCAAGCUAUAGGCUAUUAAAAAAAGAAAAUCUCUAAACAACAAAAACAGCCCAAGAAAAAAAAACUAUAGUAUAUUGUUGAUUUAUUCCUCUUUUUCCAACAUAUUUUGCCUCCCUAUAUACAUUGAUUUUAUGAAAUUUAUUUCGAUAAAAUAUUUUGGAUUUUACACUUUGUGCUUGGAUUAUUCCGCUUUGAUUGGUAUGAAACUUUCUAGAAUGUGGAUGUGUAGCUUGUCUUAUCAUGUAAUUAAUAUUAUAUAUAUUUUUAAGUGUAAGUGAUAAGAGUUUAUUUUACGUAUUUUUAAGUGCAUUUUAUUAGUUAAUUUUGAGUUGAUUAUUUAGUUUUAUAAUUAAAAUAAAGAGGUUUUUGGUAAAAUUAUAUAUUUUUGGUAAAAGUGGAUAAUAUUGCAUUUCUAUUGAUUUUAAUAGUAAAAACUUCAUUUUUAUGCAGGAAUAAUGAAUCAAUCACCAAAGGAGGUCAAUUGAGGUGAAAAAUAGAGAUUUGGUGAUGAAUUUAAGUGGCAACAAGAAGAAUGAAGUGAAAAACGUUCAAGUGAGGAAAUGCAAUACAAGUCAGUUUUGACACUUUUCAGUAUUUUGACCAUAUCUGGAGCUACACUUAUCGGAUUGAGGUGAUGUUUAUACCAUUUUAAAACUAAGAAAGAGACCUACAAUUCGUAUGAAGACAUCGAAAUCCAUUUCUGCCAUCUUCAUGGGCAAAACGUUGGAAUACAGAAGCUGCACCCUGUGGUCGGAAGUUAAAACAGAGGUUUGAACAGGUGACAGUAUUUCGAUCAUAUCUCAGGCUACAAAGCUCCGAUUUGGAUGAUUCUUGAAGCAUUGGAAAGCUAACUCAAAGGGCUACAACUUUUGUGUUUUGCACAAAAGCUAGUUCGGCCUUUAUGAUAGAGAAAAUCGCAGAUGAAGUAAGGCCAAAGUGAAUACGCGAGUACACAAAACGUGACUUGUAACCGCGUUUUGUGUAGGCGCGUUUUAUAGCCGAAAUUCUGCAAUUUGACUCAGCCAAUUCUCUUGUGUUCAUACCACUUUCCAGCUAUAAGAUGCAAGGGAAUUCGGUGCACAUGCUUCAGAAGACAAAAGGGCAAGAAAAGUGGCUUAUUUUCAAGUCAAAAAUAUUGGUUUUUGACUAUGCUAACAAAGUGGAGAUUUGGGAAUCAAAGGAUAGAAUUUGACUUGGAAAAAUGGAGCAUUGGAGUGUAUUUUUAUGCAGAGAUAUGGGGAGAGAUCUGGAACAAUUCGUAGCUUAGCUUCUUACAGAAAAACAUAUUCUCUCUAGCUAGGUACUUGCAAGGGACAAUUGAGGUUUCAUCUUGUAAUCAUCUAAGUUCAAGACAAGGAGAUUUUUGGAAGGCUUCACCAUAUCUUGGCUAAGACUUUCUUUACUCUUUUUGUAUUUGUAAAUUUAUGAUGAUUUGCAUUAAUGAAGUUAUGAGUGUUUCAUCAUUCAUGAGUAGCUAAUUUCCUUUAUCUAGGGAGUAGAUGAAGCUUAUGGCCAAAUGAUAUGAAGUGAUUGUGAUUUAUGCUUGUUAUGUCUUGUAUUAACUUAUCUACUUGUGUAUGUUGGAUUACUUGUUGUUGCUUGAUCACCAAUGGCAGGUUUAUAGUUGUUUUUACUCAUUGAGAAAUGGUAAAAAUAAUGGAAUGACACAAGUAGAACUUGAGUUGUAUAUUCAUGAGAAUAGAAAUACAUUCAAGUGGAUGAAAUCUGCAUUUCAUGUGUAAAUAAGAACAUAUUUAGUAUUUACCAAGAGAUUAGGAAAAACUAAUCUGUUUUAACCCAUUAUCAUCAUGAGAAUGUGAUUUUGGUAUUUCUGGAAAUGAAUUCUUGGUUAAACAAGAGCAGUAACAAGUGUUGAAUUAAUUCAUUUUAGAUCUUUUGAAUCAUAAGUGGAAUCUACAUCCCUAGAUCUUAAUAUUUAGUGAAUUCUAUUCCUUUUGUGAAAUUGCAUUUAUCUAGUUAAGAAUUUUUGUAGUUGAAUUACAUUCUGAAAUUUCUGCUCAAAUUAAUUGUAAGUCUAAAUAAUAGAGUAAAUUAGUAUCUAAUAAUUGUUUUAAUUGCUCCUCGUGGGAUCGACCCGAUACACAUCUUGUACUACAAUUACGACCUGUAUACUUGCAGUCCAACGGGUGUAAAAUCGGAAUUAAACUUGCAUUGAUAAAAAAAAUCCCGUCAAGUUUUUGGCGCCGUUGCCGGGGAGCGGCAAUAUUAGAGCCUAAUCAUCUUUAUUAAUUUAGACAGUAUUAUUUUUUUUAUAUUUAAUCUUAUUUUGUAAUCAGUUUUUGACAAUUGAAGUUGCAUAAUAUCCCUUAUUUCUGUUUGUAGUGUAUGCACCGGGAGUCUCGAGAAGUCGUACCUGUCGAUCCAGAAAUUGAGAGGACACUACGUAGACAAAGGAGGCACACACAACAGCAAGAGGAACAAGAGAUUUGGCAACCGAUAGAGGAAAUUUUGAUAGAACUACCAUUUGAAGAAGAGAUGGCCGAAAAUGAAGCAAAUAGGCGAGUUCUACGAGAUUUUGCUCUACCGGGAACACAAGGAUCUCAAACAAGUAUAGUAAGGCCUACUGUAAAUGCUAACAACUUUGAGAUUAAACCAUCACUGAUCCAAAUGGUUCAACAAUCUCAAUUUGCAGGUAAUGCAGUAGAAGAUCCUAAUUCACACUUAACUACAUUUUUGGAAAUUUGUGAUACAAUUAAAAUGAAUGGAGUUAGUGAUGAGGCUAUACGGCUAAGAUUGUUCCCAUUUUCAUUGAGAGAUAAGGCCAAACUUUGGCUACAUUCUCAUGCUCCUAACACUUUUACCACAUGGGAUGAUUUAUCAAGGGCAUUUUUGAAUAAGUAUUUUCCACCCGGUAAGACUGCUAAGCUAAGAAUGGAUAUCACUGGUUUUAGUCAAAUGGAAGGAGAAUCAUUAUAUGAAACAUGGGAAAGGUUUAGAGAUUUGUUACGGAAAUGUCCACACCAUGGACUACCCGAAUGGCUGAUUAUACAAACCUUUUAUAAUGGUUUAUCUUUCUCCACUAAAACUAUGAUUGAUGCAGCCGCAGGUGGAGCUUUAAUGGGUAAAUCACCCCAAGAAGCUCAUAAUUUGAUAGAAGAAAUGGCAGCAAAUAACUACCAAUGGGCCAAUGAGAGAGGUAAUACAAGACGUCAUGCAGGUAUGAUAGAAAUGGACACUCUCAAUAUGCUGAGUGCUCAAAUGAAUAAUGUGAUGAAGCUAUUAAGUAGACAAGGUGGAGUUGGCCCUAGUGCAUCUAAUGCUCAUAUAGCUUGUUGCUCUUUAUGUGGAGGUGAACAUGAUACUAAUGAGUGCGUUGAUUCUGAGCAGGUACAAUUUGUCAAUAAUUACAACAGAAAUGCUCAAAAUAAUCCCUACUCGAAUACUUACAAUCCGGGGUGGAGAAAUCAUCCAAACUUUGGAUGGAAGGACCAAGGAAAUCAAUCCAGACCAGCAAACCCACCAGGGUUCCAAUCAAGGCAACCACAAGCCGAAACUAAACCUGGUUGGGAGAUUGCGGUGGAAAAACUGGCUAAAGUUACCUCGGACAGAUUUGAACGAGUAGAAGGGAGAUUGGAUCAACUCACUACCAUGUACAGAAAUGUAGAGGUUCAAAUUGGCCAAAUUGCUAGUUCCUUGAAUAAUCGAAAUCAAGGGGAAUUACCUAGCAAAACUGAGGUCAAUCCUAAAGAACAUGUUAAGGCCAUUACUCUUCGUAGUGGUAAACAAUUGGAAGAUCCUCCAGUGAGCGGAGGUAAGAAGGAUGAGAGUGAAGAAAAUGCUGAAAAACAGAGGAACCAAGAGGCAACUAUGGAGGGAAAUAGUCGGCAGAAUCCAAGAGAAACACAGCCAUCAUCUUCCACUAACAUUCCAAUACCUCCUGCGGUUCCAUUUCCUCAAAGAUUAAAACAGAAUAAGUUUGAUAAAGAUUUUGAAAAAUUUGUUAAAAUGUUCAAACAAUUGCACAUUAACAUUCCUUUUGCUGAUGCUAUAUUGCAGAUUCCAUCUUAUGCGAAAUUUCUCAAAGAAAUCAUGACACGAAAGAGGAAGUUGGAAGACUGCGAGACAAUAGCAUUAACGGAGGAGUGUAGUGCAAUUAUACAAAAUAAACUACCACCGAAAUUGAAGGAUCCAGGAAGUUUCUCUAUACCUUGCACCAUAGGUAGUAUUAAUUUUUCUAAAGCAUUAUGUGAUCUUGGUGCUAGUGUAUCAUUGAUUCCUUUAACGGUGGCUAGACAACUAGGUUUGCAUGAACUUAAACGAACUAAUAUUACCUUGCAGUUAGCGGACAGGUCUAUUAGACAUCCAUUAGGAGUGUUGGAAAAUGUAUUGAUAAAAGUUCAAAAAUUUAUCAUUCCAGUGGAUUUUGUGGUGUUAGAUAUGGAAGAGGAUGUAUCUAUGCCAAUUAUUCUUGGUAGACCGUUUUUAGCUACUGCAGGUACUAUUAUUGAUGUUAAAAAUGGCAAACUCAAGUUUCAAAUAGGUGAAGAAGAGGUAGAGUUUAAUUUGCAUGAAAUGGAAAAAUACCCUUCUUUUACCGAUCAUGCAUAUUCUAUCGGCACAAUUGAAAAACUAACUCAAGAGCUGAGCCAAGUCAAUUUUGACUUCGAUCCUCUUGAGUAUUGUUUAAUGAGUUCAGGUAUGCAAGAUGGAGAUUCUGAAGAAAUUGAAGAAUUGGUCAAGUAUUUGAAUUUUCAAGCACCUUAUAAACGGGGUAAUGUAUACGAGAGUCUUGGCCAAGGAAAAGGGUUUUCACAACCUUCAGAAAUUGAACCUCCAAGGUUAGAGCUUAAGCCACUUCCAACUCAUCUAAGGUAUGAAUUUCUUGGAGAGAAUAGCACUUUACCUGUAAUUGUUAGUGCUGACCUUGAUGAUGAGCAGUGUACUAAAUUGCUAAGAGUUCUAAGGAGGCGUAAGAAGGCAAUUGGAUGGACAAUUUCAGACAUUAAAGGUAUAAGUCCUUCUAUAUGCAUGCAUCGAAUUUUAUUGGAGAAUGAUUGCAAACCAGUGGUGGAAACACAAAGAAGACUCAAUCCAAAUAUGAAAGAGGUGGUAAGAAAUGAAAUUCUUAAGUGGCUUGACGCAGGUAUAGUUUUUCCUAUCUCAGAUAGUGUUUGGAUUAGUCCAAUUCAUGUGGUACCAAAGAAAGGUGGAAUGACUACAAUCAUGGGUAAAAAUGAUGAAUUAAUUCCAUCUAGACUUGUGGUAGGGUGGAGAGUGUGUAUUGAUUAUCGUAAGUUAAAUACGGUAACAAGAAAAGAUCAUUUUCCCUUACCAUUUCUUGAUCAAUUAUUGGAGCGAAUAGCUGGAUAUGAAUUUUACUGUUUUCUUGAUGGUUUUUCAGGAUAUAACCAAAUAGCUAUAGCUCCAGAGGAUCAAGAAAAGACCACAUUUACAUGUCCUUAUGGCACUUUUGCCUUUAGAAGAAUGCCAUUUGGUUUAUGCAAUGCUCCUGCAACUUUUCAACGAUGCAUGAUGGCUAUUUUUUCGGAUUAUAUUGAAAAAAUUAUGGAGAUAUUUAUGGAUGAUUUUUCUGUGUAUGGUUCAUCUUUUGACCAUUGUCUUCAUAAUUUGGAAUUGAUUUUGCAGAGAUGCGAGGAAACAAAUCUUGUACUGAAUUGGGAGAAAUGCCAUUUUAUGGUAAAAGAAGGAAUUGUCUUAGGACACAAGAUUUCCUCCAAGGGAAUUGAGGUGGAUCAAGCCAAAAUAGAAGUCAUCGAAAAAUUGCCACCCCCAAGCAAUGUCAAGGGGAUAAGAAGUUUUUUAGGACAUGCUGGUUUUUAUAGACGUUUUAUUAAAGAUUUUUCUAGAAUAGUAAAACCAUUAUGUGAUUUAUUAUGUAAAGAUACCCCUUUUCAAUUUGAUGACAAUUGUUUGGUUGCAUUUGAAAGGUUGAAGAAGGAAUUGAUUUCAGCCCCAAUUAUAACUUCGCCCGAUUGGUCACUACCAUUUGAAUUGAUGUGUGAUGCAAGUGAUUAUGCGGUUGGAGCAGUUUUGGGACAAAAGAAAGAAGGACGGUUGCACGUCAUUUACUAUGCUAGCAAGUUGCUAAACGAGGCACAACUCAAUUACGCAACUACAGAAAAAGAGCUAUUGGCAGUGAUAUUUGCUUUGGAUAAAUUUAGAUCUUAUUUAGUAGGAUCUAAAGUUAUUAUAUAUACGGACCAUGCGGCUCUUAAAUAUUUGUUACGUAAAAAAGAUGCAAAACCAAGACUAAUUCGGUGGAUUCUUUUAUUGCAGGAAUUUGAUGUGGAGAUAAAAGACAAAAAGGGAUCGGAGAAUUUAGUUGCAGAUCAUCUAUCACGUUUGGAAUAUAUCCCAGUCAAAGAUCAAGUUCCGAUCCAAGAGAAUUUUCCGGAUGAGUUUGUCCUAGCACUUAGCAACUCUCCAUGGUAUGCAGAUUUCGCUAAUUAUUUGGUAAGUGGGGAAAUUCAAAAAGGGCUUAAUUAUCAUCAAAGGAAGAAAUUUUUGCAUGAUGUGAAGAGUUACUUUUGGGAGGAACCAUUGCUGUACAAACAUUGUGCCGAUGGUAUGGUACGAAGAUGUAUUCCAGAAAAUGAGGUGGAAGGAGAUUACUUGAGCUGAGUGAAUUGGAGGAACACCGGUUACAUGCAUAUGAAAAUGCCAAAAUUUACAAAGAAAAGAUCAAAUAUUGGCAUGACAAGCACAUUAUUCCUAAACAAUUUCAGGGAUAGCGCUCCCAAGUUUCGUACAAUGUUUCUCCUUCCUGUUGAGAGAAACUAGUUAUAUCCAUUCUAAACUUAGCAGUUUUUUCAGGUGAAAAGAAUUUAUUAAAAAAAGUCUUAACUAAUUCAAUCCAAAUAGUAAAAGUGUUUGGAGGAUGAAAUUGUAACCAAACCUUAGUUUUAUCCCUUAGCCAAAAUGGAAACAAUCGAAAUUUAAUUGCAUCACCACUAACACCAUUAAACUUAAUUGUAUCACAAAUUUCAAGAAAUGUUGACAAAUGAGAAUUUGGAUCUUCGAUAGCAUUACCUCCAAUUGAGAUUGUUGUACCAUUUGAAUCAAUGAUGGUUUAAUCUCAAAAUUAUUAGCAUUUACCGUUAGCUUUGCGAUGCUAAUUUGAGAUCCUUGUGUACCCGGUAAAGCAAAAUCUUGUAGAAUUCACCUAUUUGGUUCAUUUUUCGCCAUUUAUUUCUCAAAAUGUAAUUCUAUCAAGAUUUCUUCUAUCGGUUGUCAAACCUCUUGUUCCUCUUGAUUCGAUGGAUUCCUCCUUUGUCUCCGAAGUGUCUUCUCAAUUUCUGGAUCGAAAAGUGCAACUUCCCGAUUUGAUCGGUGCAUACAUUACAAAUAAAAACAAGAGAAAUUUUUCAGUUUUAAUUGUUAUAAUCAACUAUAAACAACUUGAAUAAAAACAAUUGAAAUGUCUAAAUUAAUAGAGAUAAUUAGGCUCUAAUAUUGCUGCUCCCGGCAACGGCGCCAAAAAUUUGACGAAAUUUUUAUAUCAAUACAAGUUUAAAACUGAUUUUAUACCCGUUAAACUACAAGUAUACAGGCCAAAAUUGUAAUGUAGGGUAUGUAUCGGGUCGAUCCCACAAGAAGCAAAUUAACCAAUUACUAGGUCCUUGUUUUCUCUAUUAUUUAGACUUAUGAAUAAAUUUGAGUAGAGAAAGUAUAUUGCUAUUGUCUACAAAUCUGAUCUAUAAAUUUAAUUUAACAAAUGCUAAAUGCAAUUAGAGAAAUUUUACUCAAGGAUGAAUUUAGGGAUGUAGAUUCCACUUAUGGCAUAAACAACACAAAUGAACAGAUUUACCUCUUGUUAUUAUUCUUGUUUAACCAGGGAUUCAUUUUCAAUUUUACCAAGUCUCAUUUUCAUGAUAAAAUGGUCUAAAACAGUCCAGUUUUUCCUAUUUUCAUGGUGAAAUACCAAUUCUACUCUGUUUUUCUUCAUGAAAUGCUAGAUAAUCCACUUAAGUGUAUCUCUAUUUUCAUGAACAUACAACUCAAGCUCUACUCAUGUUUUUCCAUUGUUACUACCAAUUCUCAUUGAAUAAUAACAACUAUAAACAUGCUAUUGGUGAUCAAACAAUAACAAGCAAUUACAAUAACACAAAAUAGACAAGUCAAUACCAGAUACAACAAGUGUAAAUCACAUUCAAUUCAUAUCAUUUUACCAUAAGUUUCAUCUACUUCCUAGAUAAAGAAGUUUAACUACUCAUGAAUGAUAUAACAAUCAAACUCACAAGUUUAUUCAUGCAAAACAUCAUAAAAUACAAGUACAAGAAAGAUAAAAGAAAGUUUAGCCAAUUGAUGGUGAAACCCUCAAAUUUCUGCUAUGUUCUUGUACAAAAUGAUUACAAGUGAAAACUCCAAAUGCUUCCCCAAUAACUCCUAACUAGAGAGCAACCCGUUGCAAGAAGAAAAACUAGCUACAUAUGCUCUGCCCUGGCUUCUUCCUUGAGUUUCUGCAUAAAAGGUGGUAGAAAGGCACUUUUUUCUUCUUCAUGAUUUUAAUCACUCAGAUUUUGUAAAGGAAGUCAAAAGAUUUAUUGUUUUGACUUGUCAAUAAUUCAUCUUGUCUUCCCUUUUGUUGCAGAAGCAUGUGCCACCGAAUUCUCUCUCCAAAGAUAGCUGGAAAGUUGUCUAAAAUGUGAGAAAAAUGGUUGUCACUUGCAGAAGAAAGAGGCAGAUUCGAGUCUCGGAUCCGAGGAGUGGAGAACGAUCCGAGCUCGAUCAAGGUUGAUCUGAGGCCUUUCUCUUAUAGAUCCGAGGUCGGAUCGUUUGACCUCGGAUGCACUGCUCCAGAAAUACAGACGAAGGUUCGGAUCUCCAUCUGUUCACACGGAUCCGAGCUCGGAUCCGUGCUGGUUAAUUUCCAAUUUUUUUUUACUUCUCUUCCUUUUUCUUCAUUUUUACUCGGAUCCGUGCUGGUUAAUUUCCACUUUUUUUUUUACUUCUCUUCCUUUUUCUUCAUUUUUACUCCUAGUAUCCUUGUACUUUAUCCUCCAGAUGAUCCUUACAUUUUUUUCGUCAUCUCGUGCAUGAAUUUCAUAUAUCAAUAUCCUUCACAUUUUCACAAAAUUAACAGUUAAUCCACUCAUUUAUCAAAUUUUGAACAUUUAAACAAUAUUUAAGCAAUUAUCACCAAAAGAGUUCAAAUAUAGAUUUAAUCUUCUCAAAACAUACCAAAAGUUCAUGCCAAAUUUGUACAAAAUGUAUGUUAAAUAUUCACUUAUAAAGGGUUACUCGCACCAAAUCCCUUGAACUUUUAAUUCGAUGAAUUUGUCUUGCUCAACAAUUUAGAUAGGCAUUUUACACCUUAUUUAUGGUUAUCCUCAAAAUUUAGAAACGAUAAUUUCAAAAAUCUCUCCUAUAUUAUUCAUAAUAUCACUUAAUGCUCUUAAGAUUUUAGUAAUCUCACUUAUCUCUCCUAUUAGUUUGAUAGGAGAAGAUGUUUUUAUCAAAUAUCACAAAUUGACGAUACUCCCCUUGUACUCUUUAUUUAUUUAUUAUUAUUUUUUUGGCAAAACCCCAAACCGGGGGAGGGACGCCACUCCUCAAAGCUUUAUUAGAAAUAAACCCUUGUACUCUUUAUAACUAUUCAACCAAAUAGCUCUAAAACAAGAAGAGAAAUUUUUAACCAAAAAAAUGGACCAAAAAAAAAAACCAAAUGACCUUGCAAUAUUGGUCCAUAUUUCUUUGUGUCCUAUGGUGGUGAGGCUAACAAAGGAGGUGAUUAAAUUAGAUUUAGUCAAUGCCCCCUUGAAAAAACUUUGGUAAUUAAUUAAUAAAUUGGAGAAUUUUGUAGAAUGGAUUUAAGGAAAGCCAAACAAGUAUGUUUUGAGGUAACAUACUUUAAUCUAUAAUGCUAUUUAAGCUAUACAAAAACACUAAAAUAAUAUUUUCAUAUGUGUAGUUUACACAUACAUCCCACUUAUUGAAUAAAAUUAUAAAUCAACUAGUAUUACAAACAUUAAUCUAAAAGUGAUCUUAUGAUAAAAUAUCUAGAAACUGUUUGUGCUAUUUUUUUCUUUACCAAAACAAUGUCUAUCAUGCUAGUUGAUAUGUUGCUUCAACUUUACUCUUUAUUAAAAUUAUGGCCCUCCAUAUUUUCACUUUUAUUUUUUAGUCUAUGUUCAAUUUUGUUUUUGUUGUGAACUUUAUAAAUAGGAUAACAUAAGGAUAGCAUUGAAAAAUUACUAUUAUGACUCUUGAUUUUCCUUGAAAAGAAGUUGAUAUCUUACCAAAAAAAAUGUCAAUUUGAGAGGGGUAAGUGAACUUUUGAAAACUUCAAGCAUGUGAAAUGAUAUUAUGAGAAACCUCAAGAUAAUUUUCUAAAAUUAUCCAAUUUAGAGUGGUAGACUUUACUUUUGAGACUCUUUCUUUUUUCUUCUUUAAUAGAUGCAGGCGCACCAAAAAGAACAAUGUAGCCAUCACAUCGUAUAAAAUGCUCUUAAACGAUCAGCUAUGCCUAUCGAAGUAAUUGGGAUGACAAAUGGGAGCAUUUCAAUUUUCAAAAAAAAAAAAGUGCAGAAAGAAACUAGGGAUAAUUUCUAAUACCUCUCCUAAAGUUUUCAAUAAUUUCAUUCACUUCCUAUGAGAUUUGCAAAAUUACACUAAUCUCUCAUAAAGUUAAGGUUUUGAUAACAAAAUCUGUCAAAAUCAAAAAAAUAUCAUUAAAAGAGUACUUUAAGAAAAGAGACGAAACUUUUAUUCCAUAAAUACCUCUUAUGUAUUUGUAUAAGUUGUAUUAAUAAAAUAAUUAAAAGUCAGAAAAAACUAGAACACAUAUUUUACUAUUUAAAAAAUUCACAUUUAAUACAUUAGACAACACAAAUAAGUAACAAAACUAUACUAAUGAUUACAAAAUUCAGCUAAAUAGACCAUUUAUCUCAUUUAAUAUGAGGUUUUGUACGAUUCUUGUGAUUUUGAAUAGAAAAUUUUCAAAUUUUGCCAUUCUUCCCUCUCCUAUCUCUUUCACUUCUAUGAAAUUACUUUACAACUAUCACAGUUGUAAGAGUUUCAAAGAAAAUUUUCUCAUAAAUAGUCUUUUUUUGCCUGUAUUUUCUUUCUUCUAUCAAAACCCUUCUUUUAACAUUCUAUAUAACUAAUUUCUAGUCAUUGUCAAGUUCUUUCAAUUACAAAAGGGUUAAUCACAAAAACUACCCUAAGAUUUAACUGAUUUUGUACUUUACCUCCUAACAUUAUUUUUUGUCCACCUUACCCCUUAAACCAUUAGUCAAAUUUAACAUUACGUAACGAAAAUGUCAAAAAGACAUUGUUACCCAUAACGGUUAAUUACAACAAAUACGUUUAAGGUAUAACCAUUUUGCACUUCACCUUGUAAUAUCAUUUUUCUGUUAAUUUGUCUAUUGUCCCUAAAAUCAUUAGUCAACUGUAAUAUUUUGUAUGACUCAAUACAAAUAAUUAUUAAAAAAUUAAAAUUCCUAACAUAAUAUUAAAAAUUAGUGAUAAUUUCAGAAACCUUCCCUGAACUUUCUCAAAAUAUUACUUAGCUCCUCUGACGUAUACAAAAUCUCGCUUACCUCCCCUGAAGUGAUUUUAGGAACAUAUGUCAAUGUCAGAUGUAUGAAUUGUCAAAAUUAGCCUCAAUUCUAUAGAAAUUAUUUAGUUGCAAAAAUUAGAGAAGAACUGCAAUGUAACAGAAAGGCCUGGGAAAGAGAUGGCGCCAUUCUUCUCUCUACUUGUAGCAAAGGCACGAACUUGUGUCAGAAUGGUCAAGUCUAUAAAGGGCCUGACGUUUGUAUCUUAUUGAACCAUCCUUCUUUUCUCUCUUCUCUAAAGAACUAGAGAAAAGCUUCAACCAUAAAAGGAGAAAAUUGCUCAUCUAGAGAAUAGAUCUCCUAACAAAGGCGUGAUUUGGCAAAUUUUAUAGCAAAACAAGUAAAAAUCUUUACUUUUUGUUGUUGUAAAUGAUCAUGUAAUAAAUAAUAGGACACUAUCAGGGUUGUAAGACAAUUUGAUGCUUCAUAUACUAUGGAGUAUAAUGAUAUCCAUCGUUUAGAGGGACGUGGGGCAUGGAAGGUUGUCAGAUCAACCGUCCCUAAACAGUGUAAUUUGAAUAUUUUAUAAUUCUAUGUAAACUUCUUAUACAUUUUUACAACAGUUGCAUCUCUGUUGUUAAGUUUUACAAGUAGUUCAUGUAGAGUUACACCUUAUUCAAAAAUUAUUACAUAAUUCCAAAUGGUUGUUACUAACAACCGUCCAAGCCUCGUAUCCCAUUUAGAGUGGUGAUUAACCUUAAUAUUUUCAUGAUCAAAAGGAAUAACAUAAAAUAUGUGAAAACUGAUUGUUUUCAUAUAACAAUGAAGAGAUGUUUUAGAGAUUUUGAGAAAUACUAGAUGAUCAAACCAUCGUAGCUAUGUUUUCUAUUUUUAUUUAAUUAAUAAUUUUGUUGUGCGUGCAAAGUAGUAUUCAGUGUAUCUAAAGUUAGAUGCUUAAUAAUAUGUGUAAUUUGAUAGGCCAGUUGAGAGUUUAGUUUUAGUUUUGAAACUUGAUCUUUAGUUUCAAUUUGAUGGGCCAAUACUAUAUUUGAUAUGCAGGGUAUGAAUAAGCUUAUACUUGAUUACAUGUAUAAUAUUGUAAAGGGGUAGUGCAUAAUUAUAUAUUUAGUAUAUUAGUUGUACCUUGUUGUUUAAAAAAAAAUCAUGGCAUAUCAAGAUAAAAGAGGUUGUUUCUUUGCCUCUUGAAGCUAUUACUUGUGAUUCUUGGUUUAUCAAGCCUGUGAAGAAAGUAUGAUGUUUUGAAACUUUGAGUUUUAGUUUGAACUUCAUAGACGGCUAGUGCAUAAUGAUAUAUCUAAUAUGAUAGCUGUACCUUACUGUUUAGGGAAAUUACAUGACUCUUAUGAAGAUAAAAAAUAUUUUUCCCCUUUUUAAAGUUAUUACUUGUAAUUCUUAUAAUAGUUGUCUAAAACUUUUCCAAUUAACACAUUGAAUGUAGGAUAGGAACUAUUGUUACACUUGAUAUUGUAGUCCAUUACAUGGGAACAAGAGUUAGAAUUUCAAAUGUUGAUCCAAAAAAUUACUACUACAUUAACUCGCUAAAAUAUGUCGUAGAAAAAGCAAUGAAUGACUUGCCUAGAAAUUUGAAUCUACUUUUGCAUAUAAAGUGUGGAAUUCCCUAGACAGUUGGUUUUAUGGACAUUAUUGAUGACAAAUCAGUCCUAGAUAUGUUCAAACUCCAUGAAAAGGAUUUUGUUAUAAACUUGUAUGUGGUUCACAUGGAUGUUUUUCGUACAACAGAGGAUAAUACCUUAGAGAACAACCAAAUUGGACAUGAACAGGAAAACUUAGGACUUCAAAACAAUCCUAUACAUGUUCAAGACAGUAAGGGUGAUAAUGAGAUAUAUGAUUCUAACUCUAAUAACUCUUGGAUGACUGAUCUGGAUAGUGACUUGGAAGAUGUUAUAGCUGAAGAUAGGGUGUCGAUUACUUCUAGUGAGCAGAGUGACAUUGACAUGUCUAAUUAUGAAGACAAUAAGGAUGGAAUUAUCGUAUUAGACUCUGAAUCUGACAAAGAGGUUGAUCCUGUGAGAGUAGUUAUGAGCUCCAAAAUAUGGACUUACAAUCCAAGAGAUGAAAUUGAAUUUGAGAAAUGGAUGUUUUUUUACCAAUGUGGAUGUUUUCACGACAGCUUUGAAGGAUUAUGUAAUUCAAAAAAUAUUUCCAUUGGUGAGAUUAAAAAAUGAAAAGAGUAGAUACACUGCCAAGUGUGGUACUCAGGGUUGUAAUUGGAGGAUUCAUGCAUCCCCAGUUGCUGAUACAACUAUAUUCAUGAUUAAAACAUAUAAUCCUGAGCAUACUUCUGUUAUGAAUGGAAAAAAUGCAGAGGCAACCUCUGAUUGGAUUGCAAAGAAACUAAUAUAUGUAAUGAGAGGCCAUCCAAAGAUGACAAGCAAGGGAAUAAUUGUUGAAAUGAUAAAGUAUGGAGUUCAUCCAAGUAGAAUGCAAAUCUAUAGGGCAAAAAAGAAAGCAUUGGAAGAGAUAGAAGGGUCACAUGUUGAGGCAUAUGGAAAGUUACCAAAGUAUGCUGAACUUUUGAGGAUUAACAAUCGAGGUAGCAUCAUAAAAAUACAUUAUAACAGACCUAAUCUUCUCGUGGAACCCAGAUUCUUGGGCUUGUUCAUAAGUUUCGAGGCACAGAGAGUAGGGACAGGUGGUCGUCAGAUCAACCAUCCCUAAAUAGUGUAACAUUUUUUGAUUGUUUUGUAAUUCUAUAUAAACUUCUUGUACAUCUUUACAAUAGAGGUGUAAUAUUUUGUUACUAUUCUUAUGGGUCCAAUAUGUAAUAAUUGUAUUUCUGUUGUUAAGUUUUACAAGUAUUUCACGUAGAGUUACACAUUAUUCAAAAAAUAUUAUAUCGUUCAUAACGGUUGUCAGCAAGCUCUUAAAACAAUUUUUAGAUUUCUUUGUCUUCUUUGGUUUGCAGUUUUCUUCCUAGUUUUUCUAAUGGAGUAUUGGUCGCCGUAUACUGCACUAAUUAUUUUUGGAUUAUGGCUAUCCAACUAUGACUCUGGUAUAACAUUACUUAUUUGGAUUUCUUUUGCCUCUCAAUCUACUAUGUAAAAUGGCUUGUUGCUGCUUUGAGUUAUGGCUGUUUGUGCCUUUUAUUGAUGUUGCAACAUUUAAACCAGCCAUUGGUUUCAAUAGUGUACUAGUUGUUGAUUGCAAUAGUUUUUCUUCUAAUCACACUUUUGCCCCUCAAUCUCAAAUCAUUUUAUUUGUAAACCUUUUUCUUUUUCCUAGUUUAUUGCGCUGCGUCUCUCCGAGGCCGGGACCUUUUAUCAUGACUUCUGCUCGUUGCAGCGGGUGCUGGAUUCAUUUUGAUCAGUCCGGAUGGGCACGAGCUCACCAGCUAGCGCGCAACGGCUUUUCAGCCGUUGUUGCUUGCUGCUUGCAGGCUCGAAAAUCUCUCUUUCGCCUCUCCUCCCUGUUUCGGAUUUGAUCCUAUCUUUUGUGCCUUUAAGCCUAAUAGAAGUUCUCAGCCACUUACAAAAUAGAGGCACAGAAGGAAGACUUAAGUCGUCUUCGGCAAGAAUCAGAGAACAGAGCGAGUCUAAAAUUGUUGGAGGACAACAAAAAAAAAAGAAAAGUGUCAACAACUUGAGUCCUCAAUGAUUUUUUGGGCUCUAAGCCUCCUAAGACGGAUUGCUCUUCUAGCCGGAACUCAAGUCCAGAUCCAAGGUUCAGUGAUGGUUCAAAACCAAGAGCUGGCCUUUGGUUUUUAGCCCACCUUCAAGUGCCAGACCCGAGUGAACUCACCCCUACUAAGAUAAAUGGAAGUCACGCACUAGAUUCCUUUUUUCGGAAGAAAAGAAAGAAGCAAGAACCAGGGGCUCCCCUUUGAAGGUGGAGCUUCGCGGGGAUCGUACGUCAGCCAAGGCCUUAGACCGGAGCGCGUCCCUCGGGUACCCCGAAAGGGGGAGCUCAAAAAGGAUCCCGGUAUAUCUAGAAAACUCGCGGGGGUACAGUAAUUGGGCAAAUCCUCAUAGGUAACUUCGAAUGUACUCCAGAUCCUAUUGAAACUUGUAAUAAAAACAAUCUUCUUUUGGGAUAGCCUAAGGGUAUUAAUGGCACAAAAAUAAUCUCUCUCCUUUAACUUGCAUUUUCUAAUAUUAUUUUUAAGCAUAAGAGCUUAUAUUAUUUAGAUAGAGUGUUAUUUGAAAUAUAAUUUGGAAUAAUUACGAUAAUAUUUUUUGUGAUGUGAUGUAUGUGAGAUAAAAAGGUGAUUGAAAAUAUAAAAAAGUGAAUUGAAAAAUGUGAUUAUGAUACAAGCGAAAUAUUAUUUAAAAAAAUUUGAUAUCCAAACAAAUCCAUUGUUAACCAAAUGUUAAUUCAAAGGGAGGUAAGUGAGAUUUUGUAAACGUCGGGGUAGCUAAGUGAUAGUUACAGAAAUAUUGUAACAAGUAACAUACCUUAUGAGGCUUAUCCCUAUAAUUACAUAUUUUUAGAUAAAGAAAAAUAUCUUUCUUAUCUCAUAUGAUAAGGGAAAAAAUAUCAGUGCAAAACUAAACUAUGAAAAUAUUAUUAAAGGUCUAUUAAUGUGUUUGUUUGAAUUGGAGAUUAUUUGGAAAUUUUUUUUUAGAAUAAUAGUACUUUUUAAAAUUUGAUAUUUGUGAGAUAAAAAAGUAGUUAAAAAAUAAAAAAGAUUAUUAAAAAACGUAUUUAGAUGCAAUAAAAGUUUUAGAAAAAUUUAGCAAUCCAAAUAAAUUUUAAUAGCAUCUACACAUGGUAUAUUAAAAGAACAACUCUAGAAACUUUAAAUUCCAAAUCAAACAUGUUUCUCUUUUUUAAGUAUUACCAACAAAAAAAUGUAUACCUCUAUAUAAAAAAGUAUCUAGCUACUAAAAGAAAAGUUUAGCCACGUGUACAUUCUCAAAGAGAAAUUGACAAUAUUUUGGUCAUUUUUUAAGUUUUAAAAAUAUUGUCACAUUUUAGUUUUUUAAUAACAAUUUUUCUUUCUUUUAAAUUUCUUUCUUUUUUCCCAUUAUUAAGUCAAAUUAGCAAGAUAUUCUUCUCAAUCUAAAAGAAGUACAUUUAUGGAAUGAAAUUUAACUAGAACCAUAUAUAUAUAAUCAUUAUUAGUUAUUAUUAUGUUAGGAAUAUUGAUUUUUUAGAUAUUAAUUGUCAUAAGUGUUAUCAAAUAUUGGAAUUCACUAAUGAUUUUAGUAACAAACAAACAAAUUUAAAAAAAUGAUGUUAAGGAAUAAAACACAAAACAAGCUAUACUUGGGAUUUAUGUAGAGGUAUAAAUGUCUUUUUGAUGUCACUAUUACACAACAUUAGAGUUGAUUAAUGGUUUAGGGGAUAAAAUGAGAAAAAAAUAACGUUACGGAACAAAGUGCAAAAGUGGCUAUACCUCAGGCCUCAGGGAGAGCUAGUGAAGCCAAUCGCAAAUAACACACACACCCAACCCAUAAGCAAAACUCACAGCCAACACCAAUGACUUUUAACCACUCCGCAAUUCCUUUUCUCUCGAAAAGACCAACAACAAAUAACACACACCCAACUCAUAAGCGAAACCCACAGCCCAACCCAAAAAAUAUGCUGACUGUCAGGCCACACUGAGGAACUUAUGAGCUACGCACACACACCACUCACAAUCGAUGUGGUCCAAGAAACUAUUAAAAGUACAAAAGAUACAAACAGACAAACAAAUAAAAAAGUGCUGACACCAAAAACGACACUUCCAUGCUUGGCCUGCCGCACUAUUGAAAAACGUGGGCACUUUCAUUCCACUCUUCUUGCUAAAAGGGCUUCUAGUACUUCAGUCAAGUGAAAGAAUUCCAUCCUGUUUUCUUCAAGGAAAUCAUGUAUAGACUAAAGGGUUGCCGGGAAUUGAGGAAGAGAGCUCUCAAAUUGCUCUCAAUUGGUUCAGCACGUUCAGUUUUUCUAGGUAAUGUUAAUGUUUUUAUUGGGAUUUUGCUGAGGCUUUUUGCGUGUUUGAUUUUGUUGAAUUUUGUGACGAAGGUUUUCCGAGGAUCUUUUCAUCUCUGUGAAUCUGUGAUUGUGAUUUGUUUUUUGAAAUUUGAUCAGACUUCAAAUGCAUAAUUAGAGCUAUAAAUUGUUUUUGAUAAUUUUAUUCGUCAUUAGAGGUGAUCAGAUUAUUAUCCGCCUGGCAUAUUGCACUGAGCACUACUAUGUAAAAGGAGGCCCAAAUUAGUGAAAUGAAGAUACUUGAAGAAGCAAAGUUUUGAGUAGGCAUAAUUGAAUUCCAAAACCAUGUUCUAGCUUGCGAUUCAAUUUGCUUGCAUGGGCUUCCUCUUUCUUUUUCAUUGUUUAAUUGCCAAGAACAUCUACUUUAACCUUAGAUAACUUUUUUCAUGCUAUCUUCAUUGGUGAUGCUUGACGUCUUGGUUGUUGCAUGCUUGUCUAGUUGCAGCAUUCCUCUUGAUCUCCAUGCGAAAUAAUAUCUACUAUAAGCCAGUAAAAAUGUGAUUUUGUCAGCUUUGAACUAUGAUGAUGUAGAUUUAGAUCUUUGGGGAAACAUGAUGAGAUUCGGGUUCUAUAGUUUUAAGAAAUGUUAGCUCGUUGAAGUACAAUUUGGUGAAACCGGAAUAGUAUUCAGAUAAGGUGAUGCAUGGCUAAUGUUAGCUGUCUUGGUCUUGUAGCUGCAUUUAGUAAGUGUGAGUAACUCAGUUUGCUAAGUUUUUCUAUGCUGUUGCACAAGUUAUAGCUUAAUGUUGUUGUGCAUCACUAGUGCUAGCUUACUGUUCUAGUAUUGCUGCAUUUGAAGUUGCAAAACACAAUUGUCUGUGAAGAUGAUGUUAGUUAUGAUGCUUUAGUUUUAGAUUUUACGGGUAAAAAGGACUUUGGUUUGGUUGUGAAACAAGUUUGUGCCAUGACGUAUAGUUUAAUGAAAAUUACUCAGACAAGAUGAUGCGUUAAUGAAUGUAUUGUUCCUUAUUGCUCUAAUUGCAAGUGAAACUGUGGUAACUUUACCAGUUUUUCUCAGUGGUUUUUCAUUGGAGUCUGACCAUUAACUUUUGCAAAGUGCAGAUCAACCCACUCUGUAUCUUUUGACCCCAUAAUUACAGCUGAAGAUAUAUCCGGUUCAAAACCUGCAGCAGUACAGAACUUGGGUAAGUAACACUGGUUUACCAACUUGUAAUACUGAAAACUUGUAAAAUACGUCUUAUCUCAUGAUUUGAAACAGUUAAUGUAGACGUAUAAGUUGUUGCUUGUGUAUUCUUGUGUUCCCCUCGAAUGAUUCUGUAGGCUGAUAAAGGGUCUAUAUCUCUUGCAAGAUAAAAUGUCCUGAAGAAGGAUGUUGUCUCUUUAGUGCAGGGUAACUGGACCAGACCUUCUAAUUGGACUACCAUAGUAGAUCCAUUGAAUGGAGAGCCUUCAUCAGUGUCUUUGAAGUGGAUGAAAGAGGGUUACAGGUUUGCAACACGUAAUUGUACUAGAUCAACAUUCUGCAGUCUGUUCAAAUUGAAAAUUUGUUUGUUAGUAAUAGCUAUAUACCCUGUGAAAAAUCUUUGCCCUGCUUUUUACCUUUCACUGAUAAAACUGGGAUGCUUCUUCUAUUCCUACACUGUUUUUUUUUUAACUCUUUGAGAUACAAUUUUUCAUGAAUGUAAAGUUGGCAUGACCAAUUGUUACAGUGCCAAGCAACAUUCUUUGCCUAAUUUGCUUAUGACUGGACAUCUGUCACAAGAGUCUCAUGCUGUCCGAUGCUUUUGCAGCCAUAUAUAGAGAGCUUGCACAAGUGCCCUAAACAUGGUCUGCAUAAUCCAUUUAAGUCACCAGAGAGGUGUGAGUUCCUAAAGUUCAUUUUUUUUUAACCUGCCUUCCUCAGAACACGGCCCCCUUUUAUUGCUAUUCCUAUUCCUUCUCUUGUUUGGCUUAUUCGACAUCGAAUAAAUAAUAUGUCAUACUAAUCUCCGUACUGGAAGUUAGUUUGGUAAUGUUUUAUUCACUUGUAAGAAAGUCAAAAAGAUGUUAAGAGAAGUGUUUAUUUCAGGUAUCUUAUGUUGGGGGACAUAUCUGCAAAAGCAGCUCACUUGCUCUCUCUGCCCAAGGUAUUAAAUUAUGGAGACAAAAAUGUUAUGCUGUUAACUGAUCAUCUUAUCAAAUGUUUGGCUUUCUGGAUCUUAAUUUGUUUUGUUACAUAUUGUCUUAGAUAUCUGACUUCUUCACUAAGUUAAUUCAAAGGGUGUCUCCAAAAAGUUAUCAGCAGGCUUACGGUGAGGUUUACGUUACACAGAAGUUUCUGGAAAACUUUUCAGGUGAUCAGGUACUGGAGUUGUUUAACACCGCAGCUUGUUUGUUUCUAUUAUUUUUCUAGCCUAUAAAUAAUAAUUGGUUUUAGCUAUUUUGAUUUGACUGUGAAGUAUUUUCAAUGUCCAGUUGGUAACUAGAUUGGCCUGAUAAAAGAUCUUAAUUUGUUGAGUAAUUUAUUUUCUUGCAAUUAUUUAGCCUGUGUGUGUGUGUGUCUAUAUCUUUUCAAUAUUUUUUAUGAGUACAGUCGUGAUGCAUAUUUUCUGUAACUGAAUAAAUAAAUUGGUCUUCAAAUGUUUUUAUUAAGCUACUUCUGUGUCUGACUUCAUUUAGUACUUUCAAUUUUGUAUCCUUUUCUUUUCUUUUUUUUUUUGAGCCAAUUUUGUAUCUUAUAUUCCAUCUGUGCACAUUGACAGGUUCGUUUCCUUGCAAGGUCUUUUGCUGUACCUGGAAAUCAUCUUGGUCAGCAAAGCCAUGGCUUUCGAUGGCCUUAUGGUCCUGUAAGAUACUUAUUACAGGCUCUUUAUUCUGAUGUGUGGGAUGGAUAAUAAAUAGUAUGCAGAAGUCACAUUUAGUGACACCAAAAUUGAUGUCUUUCAAUUAACGAGCAGAUGGUUCACCUAAUCUUCAAAUAAAUAGAUUAUGGUUACAUUCCAUACACCUGAAGUUGAAUGUUUUAGCUAAGUUAAAGACAACUAAUUAUUAGGUGCCUUCGGUAGACUAUGAGUGGGCCCAAAGUUUUGUGUUGUAAUUUUUCUGUUUUAAAGAUAUGCAUUCGAUUGCUGGAGUAUGAGUUGCAGGUAACCUUAUUAAGUGCAAGUUUGGACUAUGGUGUUUCUUGCUAGAAGUACUUCCAUUAAAAUGUGCUUCUGAAUGUCUUCAAUUGUUUGGAGACAUUUUUCUGAUAAGAGAAAGAGGUGAGCUUAAAAAGCCUCUCCCGGAUCUUGAUCCAAAAGUUAAAUGCAGCAAAUUGAGUGCCUAAACUUCUGCAUUUGAACAUCAUAUGCUCUAUAGCUAACAGAUGAUAUCCUCUUGUGCUAGAAGAGCUAUUUAGUUACUGUAUUUAGAAUAUUGCCUGUUAAGGACAUGGGUAGGUAUUAACCAUGAUAAUUUGAUGUAGCUGACAUAUAUUAGCAAGUCCAUAGGAAUAUAGGACAUAGGACUGAAGCAGAAUAGCAGUAAAGAUGAAUAACUUCACUUUAUGAAAUGAUGAUUGUACAAGAAUAUUCAAAUAAAAUUAAUUAGGCCUUUGGACUCAUCUCUUUGAUCAAUAGUAAUCUGAAUCUUAAUGGCUGAAGAAACCUUGUAUCUGUGCAAUGUAUCUAUGAAUUUGAAGCAGCCAAUCCCUAUAUUUCAUGGAUACUGAUCAUUCUUGCUUUUCCUUAAUGAUUUUCCUUAAUGAUUAAGUAUUUAUUUCAGGAUUUUUGAUUGAAAUCUUGUGAAAUAAUUUUGCAGGUGGCAAUAAUUACUCCAUUCAAUUUCCCAUUAGAGAUCCCCGUCCUUCAGUUGAUGGGUGCACUCUAUAUGGGAAACAAACCAGUUCUCAAAGUUGAUAGCAAGGUAGGUACUUGAAAAGGCAAACUAAUUAAUGAGUCUAACCUUAUAUCAAGUCUGGAGGACUGGCAAGCAUAUUGAUUCUCCAUCUUGCCGAACAAAUCAGAGAAGUUAUUUGAAUGGUUCAGCAACCUUGUACCGGAAAUUAAAUGUUACAGACAAUUAGUUUGAUUAAAGGUGUCACUUUUAUGGGACUUCUUCCUCUUGUAUUCCUGCUAUACCUUUUCUUUUUUUAAUCUAGUCAUCUUCUCUUUCACAUAAAUGCUUGGGCAGGGUGUACUCUGCCGCAUGCAAACACAAACAUAUAUGUUAAGAAUGCUUCCAUAGGUUGGUUCAUAUAGAUUUUGAACGAUUAUGAUCAUUGGUUGUGUUCCAUAGGUCUCCAUUGUUAUGGAAAAAAUGCUGCGACUUCUCCAUGAGUGUGGUUUACCUAGGGAGGAUGUUGACUUCAUAAAUUGUGAUGGAAAUACCAUGACCAAGCUUCUUCUUGAGGUAAGUUUAUCUAAUGUGUCUUCAUGACUAAAAUUGCUUGGAUAUUGCCUCCUCACCAUGGAAUUUUCUCUUCUACCAUCUGCUGCCAAAUUUAAGUUCAGUCAUUUCUCCCAAAAACUUUUUGGUUUGAAUUGACAUGAUCACAAAUUAUCUGCUAUAGUUCUUUUCUUGUUGAUGGACCAAAUUGGUACAAUUCUGUGCUGAGAAUAGCGUUUUAGUCUUUAGCAGACAUAAACUCAUGCAGCUCCUAUUCUUCAUUUUUUCUGCAUAAUGAUUUUGUUUUUAGGGAUUAUUCCCUAUAAUGCCUUAUUUCACAAGAAAAGCAGAAAUAGGGUAAAAAGAGACUACAGUAUCAUAAAAGGCAAUUCUUCUUCCAAACUACUUCAGGCAAAACCACGAUGACUCUGUUCACUGGUAGCUCGAGGUAGCUGAAAAAUUAGCUGUCGACUUAAAAGGUCGUAUCAAAUUGGAGGAUGCUGGGUUUGACUGGAAGAUCCUUGGGCCUGAUGUUCAGGAGGUUUGUGAAAGCUUACAGCAUUCAAAAGUUUGACAUUUUCUAUAUGAAUAAUCAAGUUGAAAUUCACACCAAAUAUUAACUAAGCUAUAUCGGUAGGUGGAUUAUGUUGCCUGGGUCUGUGAUCAUGAUGCUUAUGCAUGUAGCGGUCAGAAGUGUUCAGCUCAAUCAAUUCUUUUCAUGCAUGAGGUCAGCAACAUCUGCCUGAUGUUUUAAAUUUUCAUUGUUUGAUAUUGAUAUGCUGUAUUAUAAUAUAGCUGAUGAUUAACAAUAUUUUAUGCAUUAAAACAUUGUUAUGCUGGUGCAGAAUUGGGGUAGAAGUCCGCUCCUGGAUACAAUAAAAAACAUGCUGCAAGAAGGAGCUAGAUGACCUCACUGUUGGCCCUGUCCUUACAGUAAGGGCAAUGACUUGCUUUCUUGUGCUAAAUUGCCUCCAGAGUGAAAAUGACUCUGGAAGAUUCUGCAACUUUUAUUAUUAAUAGUUGUGUUUAUUUUUUAUUAUUUAGAUAACAAGUUGACCAAACAUGACCUGAUUGCUGUGUGUUCCUGGAAAUCCAUUGAAUUCUGAUUUUGCUGAAGAUGCACCUACCACACAUGAAAGGAAUGAGGAAUAGUUCAAAUUCUCUAUUGUUAGAUUUCAGUUACCAGUUGCAAAACAGUUUUCCCGAACUAUACCAUAUUAUUCUGAAUUCCAUGUCAUUCAGCAACUGAACUUGCUCAUUUCUUUUUCUGGGUCAAAGAUACUUCUGUUCUAUGUCUAGUUGAAUUGCUUCAUUUGACCAAUGAGCGACUGGCGGGUUUUCUAGGCUUUCUAGCACCUGGCCUCUAUGCAUGCUUGUUGGGAGAAUUAACUUUGGACUUACCUGGUCCUCCUAAUGUAUGUCAGCAGGAGGAGGGAAUGAAACAGACUAGCAUUUAGGUUCCACAAGCUUUUUGUAGCCACUUAAUUGAGGAACUUUUCAGUUCUUUAAGAUUUCAACUUGGGUUUGUGUGACAUUUCCAUGCUCCACAUAAUAUCUUACCUGUGCAUUGAAGUUAUAUGGGAGAAUAGGUAUGACUACAUAUACAGUGAGUUACUUAUGUCAUGGAAGAAAGACCAUGGCCCUUGUCUAGCUGUCUUCCUUUUCCAUCCCUCGAAGACCUAUUUGUCAUUAAACAUCUCAACUCGCUAUCAGGUUGAUGAUUCACACUAAAUGAUGAACUAAGUUAUCUAAAUGGAGCGCCAUGGACCAGUUAGUGAUGGCUUCAAGACCAUCCAGGGAGUUUAUGAGCCAUUGUUAAUGUCAUCAUCUCAUUUCCUUUUAUUCUUUGCAGGUUAAUACAGAAGCAUUGUUGCUUCACAAGAACAAAUUGCUUAAGAUACCAGGAUCAAAGUUACUUUUUGGUGGUAAAGCAUUAACAAACCAUUCUAUUCCUGCAAUAUAUGGAGCAAUUGAACCAACUGCAGUGUUUGUUCCUCUUGAGGAAAUACUUAAGGACGACAAUUAUGAAUUGGUGACAAAAGAAAUUUUUGGUCCAUUCCAGGUAAUAAAUAUGACAAACAAAUAGCAUCUUGUACUUAUCAACUAAGCUUUCUGAUUGAGAUCUGGAAAAAGUUUGAAUAUGACUUGUUCUUUUAUGUGACCGUUCCCUGUCACUGAUAGAUAUGAUCAUUUGUGUGAUAUUUUAUUUCAGAUUGUUACUGAAUACAAAGAUAAUCAGCUCCCAAUGGUAUUGAAUGCCCUUGAAAAAAUGCAUGCACAUUUAACAGCUGCAGUGGUUUCAAAUGAUGUGCUCUUCCUACAAGUAAGUUUCAACUUUUUGUUGGUUGCCUUUUUAAUGUUCAAGUUGUGUUUUCCUUUAAAAACAAAUGUCUAUCAUUAACAUCUUUGUUCCCUAUCUCAUCAACUGUUUCAUCUGUUCCACAAAAAUCAAUAUUUUUUAUUUCCUGAUUAUGCAAAUCAUGUAUGAAUUGAGAUUUGAUACUGGGCUGCAAUGGUUGUCAACGGUAUUUUGAAGUGCUUGAUCUAAAUAGCUAAUAGCAUAGAUUUUGGUAUUGAGACAUGGGGAAAAUUACCUUUAAGCCGAGAUUUCCUCAAGUUGGACUUUAAUUGACUUCUUUCUUUUAUGACCUGGGGGAAAUGAAUAGGAACAUAAUUUAAUAAAAUUGAUGCGAGAUCGAUAUCUGAUGUAGGUUGCGCUCAAUUCUGUUAAACUUGUGUUGUCAUGGAAAUUAAUGUUUGCAAAAAGUUUGAACCCAAUGUGGUGGAUAUGGUGGUCACACAUACUUGAGAAGAAAAUUGUCAUCCUAUGCAUUUGGACAUGUACAGAGCAUAUUUAUCCUCAUGGAAGCCAUUAUAUAAGUCAAACUCUGGACACAGGUUGGGCUUGUUAGAGUCACAUGUUUGGAAAGUUCAUAUUUUUUGGUUGGAAAAUGAAACUAGGAGAAAGAGUAGAGAAAGGUGCCUCAAGCUUGCAUAUAAACCCACAUAUUCUGUAUUUUUACUGUUCUAUCAUUGAAUCAAGGGAACAGUCUGCAUUAUGCGUUUGCUUUCAGAAUCAGUAAUGCUGAUGGGGAUUCGAUGUGUAAGGAACAAACCAAAUGUAAAUUAAACUUAUUUAGAUGUUUUAGAGUCUCCUGUAAAUAUUAUAACCCCUUGAUCAAAGAAAAGUGCAUUUUCUUGUUAACCAAAAUGUAAAUUAAACUUGUUUGUCUGACGUAAAUAUUAUAAUCCCUUGAUCAAAGAGCAUGUGUAUUUUCUUGUUAACCUAAAUUUGAUGAGAAAUGGAAACGGUCAAAAGUUACAAAUAGGUGUUUCGGGUCAGCACCUUUCAUGGUGAUGUGGAUGGAUUCUGAACUUGCAGAGUGCUGCAAAAGUUGUGCUUUGGUUGACGCAAAGAGCCUGCGUUAAUGGAUUCAAGCGAAUCCUCAAAAUCAGCUGAGCAGAAGUAUCUUCAAAAUUGUUAACUAAUGGUCAAUAGGCAUAGAUAUCCCAUCAAUGUAGGACCACAAGAGUGGGAGAAAGAUUGCUGCAGUUGCACGUUUAGUCAUAAAAGCCUAGGCAUGCUUUAGAACUAUUACCGCUGAAAAAUUUUAACAGGGUCCAUUUUACUUCCAGUAGGUUGUUUCAGUCAAUUUUUACCACGUUCCUAUAAAAAUUUUUCACAUUUGUCUAUUCAAUCCCGGAAAAAUUAUGCAUUGUUAAAAGUGUCUAUCUGAAUCUUGACUAUAUAUAAUGGCGUCAAUUGCUAGGAAUAGCAUACUGAACCAACUGGAAUGCAAUUUUGUUGAAUUCCUGUUGAUCUUACAUUUGCAUAUAAAAGAUGAAUACUAUAAUAUAACCUCUAUUGCAGGAAGUGAUUGGAAAGUCUGUGAAUGGAACCACUUAUGUCGGAUUGAGAGCAAGAACCACAGGGGCUCCACAAAAUCAUUGGUAAGCGGAAACUGUACAGUGAAAUACUACAGUUGCUUAUAUGCAUUAAAGCUCCGUUCUAGUUCUUUCAUAUGCUAAAAUGGUUGCUAACUGCAGGUUUGGUCCUGCUGGAGAUCCAAGAGGGGCAGCAUAGGGACACCGGAAGCAAUAAAGCUCGUCUGGUCUUGCCAUAGGGAAAUUAUCUAUGAUGUUGGCCCGAUAGCACGGAAUUGGCAGAUUCCUCGUUCUACUUGAGGAUCACUCUGUCUCAAAUGCCAAAUGUCGAGUAUUAGCAAGUGAUUAUGUGGUGUGGUGACCUUUUAAGACAAAAUGCAAUAGUUAUGGAGAAGAAAAAUUUUCCCUCGAGUCUUGAUCUGUUUAUUUGGCUAUGCUGGUUUGGGAAUAAAUUGCAGAAUUCAUAGAUCACACAAUGUAGUCCAGUUGUGUUUCUAUGGCUUAGAUAUGACAUAUCCUGCUGCAGUUACUUUUGACAUUUGCUUUGACCAUGUUUUCAUGCAUCAGUACCGAACACUCUUGCUUCAAAGGCAAAAAAGGGAUUUUAGAUUUUCAAGCUGAUCAGAUGUAUAGCUCGGUUCAGUUACUUGAAGCCAUAACAGAACAUCCCAAAAAAAAAAAGAGGUAAUACUUGAUGCAGGUACAUUCGAAUGAUCACCUGCAGUGAACAAACUCUCUAAUGGUGCAGCAUAUUCCUCAAGGCAAGAUACUGCAAUACGACUGACCAACUGCGCCCCAGUGCCCUCUACAUGACUCGAUUCUGACUCGAAUCCGUGAAGUUUCAAUCCAAAUUCAUUCAUUUCGUGUUAAGUUCGUGUCAUGUUUUCAAUCCAAAUUCAUUCAGAUCGUGUCGAAAAUUGUCAACCCUAUUCUAGUGCCCUCUACAUGACUAGGGCCGUGAAAGCACGAGUUUCCCUACCAACAAGCUGGCUCUCAAGCUCGUUUUUAUUAUGAUCACAAGGAUAAAUACGUGUAUUGGAACAGCCAGAAGACUCAUCUAGUGGCGGGAGAAAGGUGGCGAACAAUAACUGCCCACCAGGGUGGGAAGAUAACUCAGUGUGGCCGUGGACAUGUAGGAACAGGGGCAAAUGAAUGGUACGGCUGUUCCCGGGAUGCCAAGUACAGUAGGAGAAAAACUUUGACUUUCUUUUUUUUUAUCAUUAAACACACCAAAAAAUCUAUAUAAAAAAAUUCGUCGUCGUGAAUUUUCUUUCUUUUUUGUUUUUUUUUUGGUGCAAAAGAUGGACAAUCUUUCUAUCAUUCUAUAAAAAAAAAAAAAAAAAGACUUGUGGUGUUAAAUUUUGUUAUUACAUUUAUGAGUUUUCUUUUUAACCCACACAAUAAAGAUGAAAUGGCAUCAUCCUCUUAAAAAAAUAGAAAAUACAAAUCAUAAGACACUCAUAAUGAGUACAAAUCUAAUGAAGUCUCCAAUAACACCACUAACUUGAGUAAUUUGAAAAAAAAAUUUUUGCAGGCACAAAGAAUGUAGCUUUUGUAUUUUGUUCUAGUAUUAACUACUUUUGGUACUUCCACCCAAAAUAUUUUUCCUCUAAAAACAGAAAAAAAAUAUGUAAUUCUAGUGAUUGGUAACCAGGUUAGAAUGAAAUGUCUAUUAGUUUUCCAAACAUUUGGUUUAAUCAAUAUUCAGAUGUUCAGAUAGAAUAAAAUAUAUAGUAUGUACAAGUUUGACUUAUUUGUUGUGAGUUAUAUUAUAGAAAAAAAAAUAAACAAAUUUGCACAAAAGUUAGAAAAAUAGAAAAAAGGAUAAUAAUUUUUUAAAAAACAUAACUGCAAUUAUUAGUUAUAAAAAAAAUCACAAAUAAUAGUAUACGCUCACAAAUAGUAUAAACAUUGGUGGAGUGAAGCUAUGUACGAGGAUAAAAUUACCCUUGAUUAUUUGGGUGACUCUAAGAGAAAGCUAGAAAGGACUUCCUUGUAAAAUUUAUUGAGGGGUAGAGUUCUUUGGAAAAAGAUUGGAUUGAGCAUUCCGAUAGGGAGAGGAGAGAGGGGCGCAUAGGAAUGCGUGGAAUUGAAUUGUUAAAUUUGGAAGUUUUUCUCAUUCUAUAAUAUUUAUGCAGUUUGUAGGACGAAUACACGUAGGGCACUCGUCAAGAUAUAUUUCAGGUGUCAGAUUUUUAAAAAUAUAAAAUUAAUUAGAAAAAAUAAAUAAAUACAAGAGAGAGUAGGUAAGAUUAAAUAAAAAAUAUAUAAAUGAAAGUGAAAGCAAUAAUUGUUAAUAUAUAUAUAUAUACAUUCUAGGUUAGCUGAAUGUUAGAUAUGUUAACUGAGCACUCGUUAGAAAAAAUUUAUUUAUAUAUACCAAAUCAAGAUAAAAAUUGGAAUGUUUGGUAAAUCAAUUUUUAUAUAUCAGGAUGGAAUAAAAUAUGUACAGAAUUAACUGAACUACCCUGGUUUCUUUAUUUUAAAAAAAAAAGAAACGCUUUUUCUUUUUGACCAAAAAAAUAUAAAAGAUGUAUUGUCUAUGUUAAUAUUUGUACCUACAAAAUCAAUUUUCGGUUUUUCUAUGUUAUUAGUGUAACUACGAGAAAUUUUGACAUGUUCUGUCUUUUAAAAAAUUGAUGUUCUUAUUGAAGCAAUUCAAAUUUAAUAUUAAAUUAAUUCAAAAAUAUAAAAAUAUUUUAAAGUUUUCGUGUUCAUUGCAAUAAUUUAGUAACAUGAAGAAAAUAAGUGAUAUGGAGUCUAGCAUUUAAAUUCUCACUAUAUCGUACUUUCAUUAUCCAUAUGAAAUUCAAAUAAGUUCUUCCACAUAUGCACAAAAGUUAAAGAUAGCAUCUUAAAGAUUUUGUUGCAUAGCCAAAAAAAUAAUAUUUUAAAUAUACGUAAAAUGAUUUUGUUAUACAAAAUGAAAAUCAAUUAUUAAUUAAAGUCACAAUUAGAUGAGCAAAGGAUGCUUGUGUCUAGAAUUGAAGCAAGAAAACUAUAAGGCAAAAACAAAGAUUAUUCCCACUACAUACAAAGCUUAAUUUCUUAUUAGUCUUCCAUAAUUUUUGUCCUUAGGACGGUCCUCCAUCAUAUAAUCCUCAGGCUUCUCUAUUUCUUGAAGCCAAGCAUACUUCUUUGUGACUUCUUCUUCAGUAGGUACCAAUUCUUCUGCACCACCUUAAAGUCAAAAGACCACAGAUAAUGAAAAAAAUUCAGAAUAUUAUUGCAUGGCAGCCAUUGAUUGCCCUCUAAAAUCAAGUCAUCCAGUUCAGGAGGAAAGAGAAAAAAACACCCAAAAAAAAAAAAACCCAAAUUCCCUACCUGAAAAUUUAUCAUAUGGGAAAUCUUGAAAGAAAGUACAAUGCCGGCCUUCAGAUUCAGAAUAGGGUGGACCUAAGACAUCCAGUAUUGCACAUGCAGUAAGGGCUGUGAAGCAGUGCAUAUUGCCUCCUGCAGCAGGAAAAAGUACAGAGGCGUUAUAUGGGGAGGUGACAUCUGAAUCCAUAUGGACUUUAGCUAAGCGGAUUCCAUCCUGCCCUACAACCAGGGAAAGAAACAAGUUGAGAUCAGUAGUAUGCAAGGCCUGAAGAAAUUUAGUAAUUUGGAUUGCAAAGAUCAUGAUGACUUCAAAACAUAUGCAAUGAGAGUUGUCGCACGAUAGGAUAAUGAAUCAUUAGACAAGAUAGUAAGGAUUGUGUUAGCUGCGUCAGAGUUUGAUUCUUCCAGAUAAUCCCUUGCCAACUUAAAUGUAGUGAACAAGAAAUUUAUAAACCUGUAAGUGCAUGAAUUGCAACUUACUGUGUGUGAUUUCACCGGUAUUUAUCUUGCUCGUGCUGCUCGUGCCAUCAUCUACCCAAUCGUAUGACUUUGAUUCGCAAUGCCCCGAAUAGGAGCUUGCUGAAGACAGUCAUGUUUGGAUGAUUAUGAAGGGGAAUGACUGCAGAUGGUGGCAAGCAAAAGAUCCCAAUCUGCAGCAGUAGCAGACAAAUGUAAACUGCUGCAUUGAACAGUACGUUCUUGUGAUGAAGCUUUCGCGUCUAUUAUGCCUGAAACAUUUGUGUACCACUUUGCAAGAAUCCAAGCAAAAUUUACAGUAUACAAAUGAAAUGACUAUUUUGGUACUUUGCAGUACUUCCAAGUUCCAGUAUGCAUGAUUUUUUUCCCCGGUAUGUAUGCUUGGUGAUAGAAAGAAAGAAAGAGAGAAUGGGCAUGUAGAAAUAUACCGAAAACUGAUCGCAUUCAUGUAGUUCAAUAUAGGUUAUCGAGGAUGGGAAGCUUCUUGGGCUGUAGAACUUCUUCUAAACAUUGGCAUGUUUGGUGAAAGAUUGAGAUCCUCCGGUUUCAUUCUAUCUACAUAAAUGAAACAUGCAUUGCAAAGAAUCCAGAUGAUUAACCCCCAAAACUAAGCAAAAGAGGUUAAAAAAGCACCAAUUAACUAAGUUACUACUAGUAAGCUAGGACCAUGCUUAAAAUGAUGCAUAUCUCCAUAGGAGGAUAAACCCCCUACUUCAAUAGAUAUAACAUUUUAUACAUAAUUUAGAUGGAAAGUAGAACGUUUUAUAAACUAAUACAACCUUCUACUUUCCAACUAAAUUAUGUGGUGUAUAAAUGUUAUGCAAUUUUGAAGAUGAAUUAAUCAAAUCAUGUUUUGACGGAAUCAAACUAUUUCCAGAAUAACUUAGCAAAUGAUGAGGCCCGUUGUAAAACUUUGUGCUAGCGAUCCAUCUUGUUUUCUUCGCAACUAAACUAGUUCGUUUCUUGAUUCUCUUCUUCCACAUACAAGAGCCGAUCUACAUCAUUUGAUACCGCACUCGUUAUCUCGUUAUCUUAUGCAGAAAAAUUUUGCAACAAGAGAGAGAGGGGGGAUGGAAAUUCAAGCAACUUUAAUUACUGCAAAAUUCAGUUAUCAGAUCAAGGCAAGACACUGACCCAAAACCCAAAAAUCAACUCCAAACAUACGAGAAUGAAUCUAACAUGCCAAUAUAUGACAUAUAUAUAUAUAUAUACACACAGAAAUCUAGUGAAUUCCAACAGAAGACUGGCUAGUUUGGAUAGAAACUCUGGAGUAGAAAAAUUUUACCAAGAACUGACUUGAGCCUUUCAAUAUCAGGAGCUGGGGGAAUAUACCCAGCAAUUUGAUGAUCACCAUCUGCAAAUACUUCACUGCAAGUCUGGUACAACUCUUGGACAACGUUCGCCAUUUCUCUUUUCUUCUUCUGUUUCUUGGACUUAUUCUUUGCUUUCUUCGGUACAGUUUUCAUGCAGCUUUAGUUUUCUGAAAUUUUCGAACUGCCCUCCUGUAAGUUUUCAUGCAGGAGCUUGAGAAAAAACUUAUAAAGAUGCAGAGAAUUCCAUGUCUUAUGUAUUCACAGAAUAAAACUAUCCCAUAUACAUAUAGAAAGUACAAACUAUUUCGCUUUUUGUUUCGUAAACAAAUAAAAUAUAGGGAUAAGACAUGGAUAGCUAAAGUACCGGAGGUGAAGAAUGAUGGGUUGGGAGCCCAGCUGUAUGGUGUAAAUGACAGAGGUAUCAAAUUGUUUAUACAUAAACUGCUUGUUUGAUGGAGUCAAAGGAUGCAAAACCAGGGGCCAUGCAAAACAAUUCCAGUGUGCUACUCAAAAGCUGGAUUUUUAUCCAUUUCUUAACGCACCAUUAAAGAUACAAGGCUAUGGGAAGACUACCCAACUGUGUAGUCAGCCAACAUAAGUUGACUCAAUUGACAAGAACGAAUCAUUUUAAAAAAAAAAUCGUGUAUUCAAAUUUUAUUGUUAAUAUAAAAAUUAUUUUGGUAACCUUCUAUAAAUGAUUUAUGACCCAAAAAAUAUCAAUGAUGGUCAGAAUUGAAUCUAUCCAAACUUUUUAUUAUUAAAAAAAAACUGUGCAUUGACAAUAAUAGCUUUGAUUGAUUUUUUUCUUUUCUUUAUUUUUUUUAGUAGGUGAUGACUUUGACUGUGUCAACCUACAGCAAAGAAAAGAAAGAAACAUUUUUCAUUUAGUGAUUAGUUGACAAUAUUGACAGUAUAUAUGCUAUCAUGAUCGAUUAGAUACAUAUCAAUUAAUCAAAAUUUGAAUUAAAAAUUUACAUGUGUGGUAUGUAACUAAUCAUUCGUAAUAGUAGUAUUAUAUAUGUCCCCAGUGUAUAAAAAAUUAACCCAUAGUUAAAUCCUCAUAGAACGAAUUCUAGUAUGCAUAAUUGCCUUUGUAUCACACUUUUUUUUUUUAAAAAAAAAAAAAAAGAAAUUUUAGAUGCCACUUGGAUUGCAAUUUUUUUGGAAUACCACAAAUUGCUCUUACUGGUCCGUGAUGUCUGCGCACGAGUACGAGGGUACCAAACAAGCAGCAGGUGUAUUUCCAAACCACCAGGGGUUGCAUGGGGCCUCACCUUCUUUUUUUUUUUUUUCUUUUCUUUUGGGGUCAAAACUCAACUUUGUGCUACUAUAUAUUAGCAGAGAUUAAUUACAAGAGAAAUUGCGGCUGGCAACUGUCGCAACAUAAUCGUUGUGUGACUCUUUUCUCGCACCAACAGAUCUUCUGUUCCACUUUUUAUUUUAUUUUUCUCCAUAUUUUGAUUAAAUUUUAUGUAUUACUCAGUUAAUAAUUAUUGAAGUUUAAGAAUACAAAAAAGAAUCAAAAUAUGAUAUUUAUGAACAAAAAAUAACAAUAUAUAAUAAGAAGUGAAAUAGGGAAUGAAACAGACAGUUAGACAAAAGAUCCAUGGCGCCGUUUUGCAAGCCAAACAGUGGAAAUUUUCCUUCCACUUAGUAUCAAUAAUAAGGUUAGUAAGUAGCAAACUUUGCCAACUUGUGACCAAUGGGAUUACAUUCCCUUUCAAUUUUUUUUUUUUUGAAAACGACAACUAUUGUAUAACCUAUCUAUCUUAAACUAGAGGGGUACUAGAGGGGAGGGGAGCCUAAAAAGGUUUUUGUGUUAGGGAUUAGUAGAUACACAGAUCUUACUAGAUCAAGUGAGUGUUUUGACACAAUCCUUGAGUUUUUUUUACUACAGGUAUGAUUUAAAUCCUCACUUACGAUCCAAGUAGGGUCUUAAGACCUACCUUGAUGGUCACUGAGCUAAGAUUACAUCCCUUUCAAUAAAGGUAAAUGAAUGAAUGGACAAACAAAAGGAGUUGCUCAAAAGCUGGAUGUCAUCAACUACAACAUCUAAAGGAGAAGUACCCGUACGUGCAUCCAGCAGUAAUCUUAUCCACUAUCAAUUUCCAAUCAGAACGGAUCAAUAUUGAGGCCUGCUACUGUUCCUCCAUUGCCUUUAUCACACUGCUUCACUGAUUGGUUCAGCCUCCAGUACAUCCCAUCAGCAUCUCUUUCACUUGGAAAUGGUAUUGACCAUGUCGAUGUGAGUUUUCCAUUGUGGUCUUUCACUGCUAUUUCCAGCCCAAACUUUGUUCUUGUGUGGUUAGGUUGGAUGCAUGGGGCCUCACUGGCCACACCAAAAUGUCCUCAACCUUGAAGUUUCCAGUGCGCAAGAACCAGAUACCAGACAGAUACCCGGGGUGCAUGGGGCCUCACUGAUCCCACCAAAAUGUGGAAUUUAUAUGCAGAAGAUUUAUAACUUUUUGUCGUCAUAGUUAGAAAAUAUGUUCCCCCCCUAUCUUUCAACUAGAUAAUUGUUUAAGAUUAUCCUUUGUUUGUCAGUUUGUUGUCAACGAUUGAGUACAAUUAGAGGGAGAAACAACCUGACCGUUUGUAUUGCUAUCUUUUAGGAAUUUUUAUAAAAAAUGUACUGUAACGAUUUUAUGUACGUGAAAACGCAAAAAUUUUUCUACGAAAAAUUACAAUCCAAACAGAUAAGAACACCUCUCACAAUUGCAUGAAAACAGGCUAAUAAAAGCUCAACUUUACCUAUAUUCUUGUCUUCUCCUUUCUCCAUGUGCUUUCAACAACAAACUCAUUUGAAAAGUUUUCAUAAUUUUAUUCAAUAUGUUUAUGCCGUCUUAAAUUAAUAUUAGACGGUAGAACGAGAUUUACUUAUGAGUUGACUCCCAUCAAGAAUUACUCAUAAUUUAAGGGUUUGCACGUAUUAAAUCAUUUGCCUAAAGUGGCCCUAAUUGAAGCUACUGAUCAGACUCACCAUUUAAAAUAGACUAACCAUCAACGACUGGUCCAGUAUACUUAAACGGAUUUAGUGAUUUUUUCUUGGCUAUUCUAACUUAACUCUUCUCCACUUUUGAAAACCAGUCCACUGUUGAAUUGAAACAAGUUUGUUUUUCCCUUGAUGUUUGUUGUUUGAAACUAUUAAUGUAUUAGUUUUUUUUAAUGAGAUUGCUGAAACCCUUAAAUACAUAAACAAAAGUUAUACAAAAGUUUAAAGUGAACGUAAACAAAAAAGAUUGAUCAAAUCCAAUUAUCUAACAUAAUGGACGCUGGGACAUGGGAGUUUUCAUGAAGAAUGGAAAUGAAAGGAAAAAGGAAUAAAAGAAAAAUAAACAGAAUAACAAAAAGGAAAGGAACUAAGAAAUAGUAGAUGUAAACAUAAUAUGUGAUUGGGAGGGCAUUCUAGUCAGUAAACAUUAAAUACGGGGUAAAGUGCCCAUUUAGAAAGUGGAGGGUGCAAAGUGAAACCAAUCCAAAGGUUCAUGGUGUUUAAUGCAAUUAAUACCCUACUUUUUUAAUAAUGUGAAAAUAGUAAAACCAUCACCAUAUAUUUAUGGCAGUGAUAAUUCGAGAGAAAAUAAUAUUUAUAAUAACUAUAUAUAUAUAUAUAUCUGUGUGUGUGUUAUCAUUUUAGAUAAUUUAAACAAGUUUCAUAAAUACGUAUCCUAGUGCAAUUUUAAUUUCUUUAUUUAAGUUGUGACUUCAAUAGAGACAAGUUUUCGCUUUGUCAUUGCUAAUAUCACAAAUGCGUUAAGUGGAGAACGUAAAACUUGUCUACUUUAAGACAUGAAUUGACUCAGGACACACGGGCAGGAACCUGCAAGGCUGCAACCGUUCUUAGCGGUUUUGUACAUUUUGCAUAGCGCGUAAUUUUGUUUGCACAACGUGUAACUUUAAAACAAAUUUUUGUGAGCCCCACACACCUUGUUAAAAAUGAGGUACAAGAAGUUAUCUGAACCGUAUAAUUUUUUUGGGCCAAAUCCUGGCCGUGAAUAGCUCUCAGGAGCCUCAUCCAUUGACUCACGAUAGGUACUCUAAUUGGGGUCACUCUAGGAGAAAAUAUUGUCCAUUGAAUCCAUUUCCCCUCAAAAAUGGGUGUGUGUGUGUGCUAUCUUUUUAGAUAAUUUAAAUAAUUUUCAUAAAUACGUAUCCUAGUGCAAUUUCAAUUUCUUUAUUUAAGUUGUGGCCUCAAUAGAAACAAGUUUUAGCUCUGUCAUUGCUAAAUAUCACAAAUAUGUUAAGUGGGAAAAUAUAAAACUUGCCUACUUUAAGACAUGAAUUGACUCAGGAUAAGUAUUCUAAUUGGGGCCACUCUGGGAGAAAAUAUUGUCCAUUGAAUCCCUCAAAAAUGGUACCAAAGUCCACUGAUUCUUCUACUAAAAGUACAUAUUCAGGUUGAAUUUUCAUUGCAAAAGAGGACAGACCAACUUGUACUCAAAAAUAAAAAAUAAGGCAGUUGUGCUUCUCAAGAAUAGGACUAAAAAGAAUAGGACCAACUUGCUAAAAGUACACUUCUUUCAGUUUUGUGGCCAGGCUUGAAGACAACUAUAUGAUACAGGGUACUAUUGGUUGGACUAAAAAGCAUCAUGCAAAGAUGAGGCAGGGUAAAUAAGUAACCGCAAUGUAACGGAUCUUUUGUCUCAUUUUUAAUGCUAUUUUUUAUUUUAUUUUUUAUUAUAUUAUUAUUUCUUCUUUAUAAAUAUUAUUUUUUUAUUUUUUUAAAAUCUAAUAACUAUUAACUGAGUAAAAAAUAAAUAUAAUAGUUUCAAAAAAGUAAUAUAUAAUAAAAAAUUAAAAAAUAUAGCAGAAAAUUCAUUAAAAAAAUAUCAACAAUAAGGGGAAGAAGGUUAUCACUUGACCAAUAAAAGACAAAUAACGUAUUGGAACAUCAAUGGCCUUCUUCAACGUCACUAAACAGAAGCAAAUAGUAACAAUAGUAAAUGCUGAUAUUGUUGGCAUAGUUGGAAAGCAACGUACUGGCAGUGGCGGAGGGAGAGGGUGACUACCAAGGCGGUCGCCCUCCCAACUUCCAACAACUUACAUUUCUACCUAUUAAAAUUUAUAGAUUAAUCUUGUCUAUGCUAGUCAAUCGUGUCACUUAAUUUUGAUUUGAAUUUAAAUUUUAUUUUUUUUUGUGUAUGUGACGUACAUUUAAGGAUGUUAGUAUAUAUAUUGUCAGUGUAUAUAAAAUUAAUAUUUACAUUUUUAUAGAAUGUGAUUUUUAUAUAAUGAUUUUUCCUUCUCUUUAAACUUAUCUUUGAUUGAUCUUUUAUGGUUACUAGUGUCAGAGAAAUGAUUCCUUUUUUUAAAAAAUUAUAUGUAGUGUCAUAAUUUAGAUGUAAUUUAGGUAUAAUCUUCGUACUUGUUUUUCCCUUCAUCCUAGAAAUAAUACUUCAUCCCUUAUUAAUCAAGAUAGGCUUGCAACUAUUAUCUUUAUUAUCCAUUAUCUUAUUAAUCAAAAUAAAAAAGAUUAUUGAAAAAUGUACUUGUGAUGUAAUCAAAAAUAUUUUUACAAAUAAACCACUAUCCAAACAAAUUGAAUCUUGUGUUUGGACAAAUGAGUAUUUUUUCAUGGGAGUAUUUUGGUCACCAAAAAAAAAGGGACAGAGUCCAUUUCAAUAUUUUAGAGCCCAGUAAGUUUUAUUUGUCAGCGCCGAACAGGGAAGGCAAUAGGUUAAGCCCAAUUCUUUCUCGAACUUCUAAGCCCACUCCAACAAACCCAAAAAACUAAACCCCUUCCCUUCUAAUUUCUUAAGCCUCUUCUACCCACCGCUUUCUCCCGCUCCUCUCAAUUCCGCCCCCGCCGCAGCCGCCACCUCGUCAGCCGUUACUACCUUGUUUAAGGUCUGUCAAAUCCUUUGUAGCCUUUUUUUUUUUGGGUGCCCAGAAAUUGUUUCUCUUUUGAGUCUAUGUCGUUACUAGAAACAAUCAUAAAAGCUUCAUCCGGCCUGGCUCGGCCGGAUUAUGAGUCAGAGUACCCUAUAGUUCUGAACCCAGACCCCGUUUUCCUGAACCUUAAGCCUGAAAAUGAGGACCCAAUUGAUAGAAUACUAGUUAAAAAGGAUGAUGGUUGGCCGAUUGCGCAAAAUGAUGCUGAAAGAAUUGAAUUAGGCCGAAAUUUCUUCAAGAAGUUGAGAAGAAAGCUGAAGAAUGCUAACAGUUUCACUAAAGAUGAGUUUUUUGAGAUGUUCAAUCCAUUUUUGGAGAAAAAUGGGGAGAUAUUAGGAAUUUCGGCUGAAAUUGGAAGGCGGGAGGUAGGUUAUAGUGUGAAAUUGGUUGAAAAGGUGGGAUAUUUAAUGGGGAGAGAUGUGAGGGGCUUAAUUUUGGAGGCUUGUAUUGUUUUGGAGCUCUGGGAUGUUUUGGAGAGUUUGAUUGUUAAUAAGCUUGUUCUGCAUUCCUGUGUUUCUAAUUUGGUUAAUAAUUUGAUUGAAAAAAGGAGGUCUGAUUUGAUUGUGUUGUGCGUUAAGCACAUCGGUGACAUUCAGACUUACGAAAUUAUGUGUAUUUUGAAGUAUUUUUUGUGUCCCUCAAAGGAGGGGUAUGAGAGUAUGGUUAGUGUGAGGAAGGAUUGGGAGAGUCAAGCAUUGUUAGCUAUUGAAAAGGUUAGUGAUAAGAAUCUUACUGGGAAGAAAUUGAGUGUGGCAAGGGAUGCUUCUUUGUUGAUUAUGGUGGCAUAUGAUGGAUUCUCGGUAUCAGAAUUGUGCUUGCAUUAUUUGCUAGCGUCAAAGAAUGUUGAUGAUGUGAUAUUGGCAUCUUGUAUUAGUAAGUUGAAUGGUUUGGAAAUGAUGAGUUUGAUUCAGUAUUUGAGCAAGUGGUUGAACAAGUAUGAGAGGUUUCCUCAAGUGAGUCCCUGUCCAAAGGCAUCUUCAUUGUUGGGGCUGAAAGUUUGUGAAUGGAUUCCAAGUCUUCAAGACGUUGUCAGGUGUCUUGGUUUGGUUAUAGAUGAGCACUUUUCUUCUUUGGUUCUGCAUCCCGAGUUUCAUGAGGAGAUGAGAUCCUUAGGAGGACUGGCUAGUUCUUUAGCUGGCAGAAGCAAGGCUCUGUGGUUCUCUGGCAAAUUUGACUGAGAGGUUGAGAACAGAUCAUAGAGGUAUUUAUAUAGAACUUGUAACUACAUUAAAAUCUACAUAUUUUUAGUCUUUAUCUCAAGGUUGAGUCUGAUUUUGAUUUAAGCAAGUCUCUGCCGUGCAAAAUGAAAUGCUUAUCCUUCCAUUUCAAGUUCGGCCUCUUUGUUUCUGUCCUUUGGAUGAUUCAUUUUAGGGAUGGUUUUUUAUACAUGUAGAACUAUUUCAAUGAUACUUGUAUUACUGAUAGCGGUAAUAGCAAUUUCAUACGAGGCUUUCUUGAACUAAGAAUAUGCUACAAUUAUGGCUGUUACCUCUUUCUAUAUGGUUGAGGCAGGGAAAUGGGUUCUUGAGAUAUAAUCAAACAAGUUGCUGUCAGUAUAGUUCACUUGUUAUCAACUAAUUAUCAUCAUGGGCCAAAGAAACCCUUUUUUUAAUUAAGAAAUGUUGUCGUGUUCAAUUUGCAACAGGGUCGAACGGGGAAUAUAUGGUUCAUUUAUGUGUGAGGCCAUGCUUUUAGGUUUUUGCACAUUGCAGUUUUAGAUUGAAUGGCACGCGGAAAAAUUGACACCAAAGAGACCGAGGGAGAAAUUGGGGUCUAAUUAUUACAUACAAAUACGUUUUUGAUAUUUCAAAACUGAAACAUUUGUUACUUGUAUGCUUGAGUGACUCCAACAUCUCAACAUUACGGUUUAUGUUAAAUCCGUAUAAUGCAUGAUGAACCAUUGUAGUUUGCAUAUUGAAGAAAAAUUUUGGGGCUUAAAUAGAAAAAUAGUGCCAGUGGCUGUUCUUUGAACCCGAGAAAAUAUGAGUUCAGUACUGACGAAAUGUUUAUAGAGUAAGGCAAAAUUAUUUUUCUUAACGCACUUUUAGCUUCCAUAUGACUCCUUUUAGAAGUGAUGACUAGAAGCAGCAAGCUCUGAGGUCACCAAGAAAAAGUUUUCUGGCCACCUAAACAGGAAGCCUUGUGAUUGCAAUUGACAUUGAUAUGAGAACUUACUAUGAGGUCAAAUAGAAAAAGUGCAUACUGAAUUUGGCACGCACUCAGUUAUUGUGUUGAUAGAGGAAAAACAGAAAAAGAAGUUGUCACUUCAGCAGAAUAGACCUUAGUAUUCUUCUCCACCUUCACAUGACAACUUUUUGCUCUAGUAUAGGAUAUAAUCUUUAUACUCUACUGUGGAAUUUUUUUCUACUAUGUAUGGAAAUUUUAUGAGCUUUCUGUCUGCUGUUUUAUCUCUCAUGGUUACGACUACCAGAUUUAGUGUAUAUGGCUGUAUCAUCAUCCUUCAGUUAAGUUUUCCCAUCGAUUUUUGAAGUUUUGGGCAAGUCUCUAUAGUAUUUUGUUUUUUUAAUAUUGGUGGUUGUUUUGGUGAUUGUCAUGCAUUUCAGCCUAAAUCAUGUCCAUAUGCAAAUACAGUGUAUGCCAUUCGAUCAUCCCAUUCUGUAAAUAUUGGUUAACUUUCUGCUUUUAAAGAUUUGCCAAAACGAAAAUUUCCAAUUUUUAACUGAAUUUUGUAAUUUUAGCAUAUGUCAUUUACAUCCCAAUGCAUUUUCUGCAGGCUAAAAAACCGCAGAGGUGUGGAAUUGGUUGGCAGAUUGAGGGGUCAUCUUGCUGCCAUAUAAGAUCAUUGUUGUAGCAGGUUGCGGGCCUAUAGCAUGUUGUAACUUGGGAGUGCAGAAGUUUGAUUGAGCUGAACAGUGGACAAAAAGAAUUCAUGGAUGUGCUCUGCUUCAACAAUUGAUUCAGAAUGUUUCCAAGUCACAGGACUUGCAACUCUUUUUCCAUUUUAUGUAUCUCUGACACCAAGAAACAGAAAAUAGAAAACAACAAAACCUGAGUUUUUCAUCAAAUUAUGGGCUGCACGCAAAAAACUAGAAAUAUUGGAUUAAGGCGCUACUAAAAUGAAUUUAUAUGGAGGAGCAAACAAAUGAAGUAUUCAAGAACUCCAUAUGCCUAUGGUAAAACUAAACUAUAACAAUUUAUGAUUCUUUUUGUUUUUGGUUUCCCCCUCCCUCCCUCUUGACUGCAUGUUCAAAGAUAUACCAAUUUAACAAAACUGUUGUUAUACUAUCUUAGACAUUUUCUGAGUAAUUUAUAUGCAAGCAUCUCCUAGUGAAAACCUAGAAGUAUGAAAAAUGGCAAUGCUUAAUAAGUGAAACAAGAAUGAUACAACAAUUUUGUUUGAAAAAGUGUAAUCUGAAUACAAUCACGAGAGAUGUUUGAUUAUCCAAUUUCCUUUCCGUUUUAAGGAGAGGGUGGGGAGAAGGGGUUAAACAUAUUCUGUACUGAAAUAUCAUCUCCUGUCCUACAUUUUAGAUUUUUAAAUAUUUAAUGUUCUGUUUUUGUAAUAUCCAGAUCAUGCAGUGGUUAAGUAUCUCUAUGAUACUAUUGUUAGAUAAACAUGACAAUAUUUGAAUUUCGGAUCAAGAGAUUAGUGUUUUAAUAAACACAGAGAUUAGUGUUAUCAUUGAUUUACCAAAAAUGUUAUCAAGAAAAAUUCCCUUCCAUUUUUUCUUUUUAAUAUACUACUUGAACCCUUUUGCUCCCUUCCCUCCUGAUUUUCAAAUUGAAGAACCACAAGAUAGAAGUCUAAUCCCCAUCCAACAAGAAGUAUUUGAUGAGGAUGAAAUAUUUGAAUCAGCUCUGCCAUGCAAAGCAGGAAACUGCUAUAAAAUCCCCAUGAUCCCAAGUACUUUUUUUCACAAGAAACUUUACAAACUCAAAACAUCAACCAUGAGGAUAAAGGAGGGAAAGGUAUAGUUCUUUUCAAUGAACAUCCUGGAGUAUUAUUAGUCUCUUCUUUCUUCUUAUGUAAGAGACAAGGGUUGUGCUCCCUGUUCAAUUAUCAUUAAUAAAGUGAGUUCUUUUCUGCAUUAAUAUUUGCUGGUUUUUUCUUUGAAUAUUGAGAUUCAUGAUCAUGUGUUAUAGUCAUUCUUUUCCUUUGAGAAAAUUGUUAUUGCCAUUAAGGUACUCCCUCCAUCCUAUUAAAACUAUUAUAUUUUUCAUUUUGGGACGCCUUCAAAUGUUUGUCGUGAAAUUCGAAACUCCUUUUAUUCUCUUUUUUCUUUAAUCAUAUGCAUGUUGCUAUUCAAAUUCAAAAUUUGAAUUUAUGGGGAUAAAAUUGAAAAGAGAAGUAUUAGCAUCAUAAUCAAAGUGCUAUUCUUAAAAAGUUGCAUCCUGGAAACAUGACAAAUAAAUACAAUUUUCAAAUAAAUACAAAUAAAUUGGGACAGAGGGGUAUAAAUAGGGAUGGCAACGGGGCGGGGUUGGGGCAGGAGACCCCUCCCCCCACCCCGCCCCGCCCCGCUUCACCCCGCUUCCCCGCGGGGCAUCCGUGGGGUUAAUAAAAUUGUCCUCGCGGGGUUAAUAAAAUUUUAUUAUAGUUAAAUUUUAAUAAAUAAUCAAAUACUAAAAUAUCAACACAUCAUCAAGUUAUUAUUCAUUGUAAUUUUACAAUUGAAACUCAUAAAAACAAUCAAACAAAAGUUAUUUGAAUACAAUCCAACAUGAUGAAAUAAAUACAACUAAAAUAGUUAAGUUUUCACUUUUGGUACAAAUACAAUCACUAAUUCAUUAUUGUGUUUGUGUUUUUUUUUGAGAAAAAAGUGUUAUUCUAGUAAGUGUAAUUAGAAAUUUAGUAUAAAUGUAUUAGUAAAUUUAGUAUAGCUAAUUAAUAAAUUCUAUUAGUAGACAUGUCUAAUUAUUCAUAUAAUUGAUAAUAUCAAUUAUAUUACAUACAUUAAUAUACAUUAUAUAAUACAUCUAACUAAUAAUAUCAUUAUCAUAAGUUUAUAACUAAUUAAAUUACAUAUUAUAUAUAUUUAUUUAUAUAUAUAUACACUUUUUUUUUGCGGGUGGCGGGGCGGGGGAUGGGGCGGGAUACUCCCCGCCCCCCGCCCCGUUUCUAAACGAGGGGAAAAAAUUCCCCCCGCCCCGCCCCACUCCCCGCGGACACUCGUCAUCAUUGCCAUCCCUAGGUAUAAAGGAUAGCUAUUCACAUAAAAGAAUAAAAAGAAUAAAAGAUUUUGGUAUUAGUUGAAUUACAAGCCUUUCUUUUACUUUUUGAGUGUACUUUUUCAUGUCAUUCAAAAGUGUACAUCUAAUCUCACCCUUUUCCAUUGUAUGUUGAAGGGGCUCUCUUAUCACAAUGUAAAUAUGGGAUCCUUCUGCUACGAAUUUCUUUCUAUUCAGUGAUUGUAUUUAGUGGGUUUUUUUUGGGUGUAUGCAUACAAAUUUUAUUCACUCACGAAGUGCAACAAAGACACAUGCUAAGGACAUUGGUAAUUUGAAAUCUUAAUUAGUCAUUGUUGAUAAGCUUUAGCGUUUAACUGAAGAUAAGCAUCGCCCUCUAUGAUUUGUGUUACUAAACUGUGAUUAACCAAUUUAGUUUGCAUAGUUGAAGAUAAAGUUUGGAGCUCCCAUAGUCCAUACAGAAGAGUUGCCUAUAUUAUGGGCUCUCCUUUAUUUUGAUUCAAGAAUUAAAACUGAAAGCGAGUUUGUCUACUUAAUCUUCAAAUAAGGAAUUUGAUUAACACAUUACAUACAUUAGUAAUCAACCAAGCCAUCUGAAUUUAUAUGCAUUUUUUUGCUCAAAAAAAUCUCAGCCUUACAAAUUCUGUUUAUCGCAUGUAUUAUAGUGUUUACCUUCUAAAAGAUGUUUGAAUAGCAGCAGAUGAGAUCCUCUAUCCAUUAUGUCUGUCCAUUUUGCUCUCCAAUGCAAAACUACGUAGUUCCACUUAUUAAUACUGCUAAAAUUGUAAUCUUAAUUAGUCAUGUUGAUUCAGAAAGUAGACGUCCACGUUAAAAUUGAAUUUGAAACUCAUAUAUCAAACACCCCCUAAAUAUGCAUUCAAUGUUAUGUGCCAUAUCAGCAGCAUUAGUAAGUGGAACUAUGUAGUUUUGUAUUGGAGAAUAGAUAGGUGCAUAAUAAAUGUUUACAAAUCUAAGGAAGCUGAAAAUGACGAGAAAAUAUAACAAGAAAUUGUAAAAACAAGAAGCUCAUGGUUAUAGGUUUACCCCAUAGGAAAAUGGGCAACAUUCCAAUACAAGGUACCCUGGCAAAAAGAAAUACUACAAAACUGAACCCUAAAGAAUCAAUACAACUACCUAUUGCCUAACAUCAACAGGCAUUCCAAGAUUUGGGACGCCUAGAAUGCGUUCUGUAUGGAUUAGAAUCUAUUGAGUAUCAACUGAGUGUCAAAUCCAAUUAGGAAUCAACAGUAAACUUCCUUUUCAACUUUUAAAUCAUCAGGUGAAGAUGGAAUGGAAGAAACUUGUUUACAACAAAAGGCAAAAGUUUAACACUAGAAAGUAUUUUGAGUCCACAAAUUAGAAACCAUCUGUAAGGGCAAACACUCGGCCUGCCAAAGGUGGAGCCAGUGAAGAAAUUGCAUGUUGAAUGACCUGAUUGACAGAAAAAACUUGAUCAUCAGAUCAUGCAAGAGGAAGAAGGGGGAAAAGGAAAAAGAAAGAAGUGAAAUAACUACAUGAAUGUUAAUGAAAACAAGUAAAUUUGGUGCUGAUAAUUUGAAAUAUCACAUUUUUGGCAUAAUGUAGAAACCCAGGAAUAAUUGUCAAGCUUUAACAUGCCAAUCGGGUAAGAGAACUCCACUUUAACUCGACUUCCUACUGAUCACCAAUCAGCCAAAGUUUUUGUUAAAAAAGGGAAAAUAGGAUUUAUCAUGCUUGAUAUGUCAGAUUUGUCAACCGAAAGGAGUAAAACAUAAGGAUAUCAAUGUUUAAAGAGUCAAAUUCCUUUCGGAGAUAGAGGACAACUUACAUCCAAUUGAUAGCGAGCCGAAAAGUGGAUCAAAAGAAUCGCUUUGUUUUCAAACAUAUCUGCAUAGUGAAUUAUCUGCACAAAUAUACCAAAGCAACAUCAUACAUCAACUGCAGUAAGGAGAUUAGAAGGUAAGAAAUGGUGAAAACUCAACCUCUGACAAAUGCGUGUGUCCAUAAUCCCUUGCAUCAUCCACCGUCAUGGUGUCUUCAACAUAUGUGCUCUUAAUAGAAAUCAAGGAAAAGGAAACUGUGUCAGAAAAAAUUAGUCUCUUAAAUAAAUACCACAAGGUAAGCAACACAUGCUCGUAGAUAACAGCUUUCUAACUCCCAAAAUCACCACAUGCUGCUAAUAUAUAACUGUUUAAUAAAGCUUGACUUAAGUUGUUAGUAGCAUCAAUGCCAUGGCUUUGAAGUCCCUUCUGCUGUUUUAUCUUUUUGUAUUGAAUCUCUGUACCACUCAUUUUCUAUAACAAGCAAUCACAUGUUAAAAGACUCCCAAAAACUCUGUACAACAAAAACAUACAAGUCUCCAUCUAAACUAGAUAGUCACAUAAAUGAUUUCUUUUUUUUUUUAUUUUCUAAGGUUGUUUUAACCGCACAACUACAUUAAUGUAGUUCUUCCAAAAUUUAGGUUGGAUAUAAACAAGUCUACACAGAUCUAAUGAAAAAUUAUGACAGAAAAUACCAAAGUGCAGUCACGAGAUGAUAGGAAAACAUAAAAUGCAUAUUAUUGUGAUUGAUAAAGCUCUGCACAAUAUACAUAUACAUAUAUAUAUAUAAUGCAGCCAUUGAGAAGAAGUUUCUAGCCAUUAUCUCUGCUUUCUUCAUGAAAAGAAAAAAGAAAAGAGAGAAACCCCAAAGCCAUAUCAUAGAAAAGGGAAAAAAAUAAGGAGGAGAAAAAAAUAAUAAAAAAAAGAAAGAGAAAAGGCAUGACAUGGCAUGGCUUGGAGAUCUUGCACUCGAGUCACAGGAUGAACAUGACUUGGCAGUUGCCUGGAUGCUUGGCAAAACCCAAUUAUUGGGGUUAAUUACCCGAUUAUUGCAAGUUUUGUUAAAUUCUACUGAUCAUUUUUAAGCCGCCCAAAAGCGCCAGUUACCCUAGCAACUUUACGUCUAACUAAAAAUGCUACUCAAAGGUUUAGCUAUUACUCUACAUACAUCCAAGUUCAAAAAACCAAAACUAAACAAAAGAAAAAAAAAUGUCAGCUUCAACAAUUCAAUGAUUCUUUUUGACCAAGUCACCUUAAAUUGAGCCCCUCAUGAAGCCUGCUUUUGGUCUAACCUCACUUUCCUCCUCAAAAUCCCAUGCAAAUUGAUUCUUCUGUCUCUUUCCUCCUACAAGAAGACACUUUCAUCCCCCAAAUCUGUCUAUGCAUCAGAGGCUCCAAAAGCUUUAAAAAAUGUGCACAUGGCGGACUAGGACUCCAGUAACAUUUAAAAGCCUCAAAUUCUCUUCAAUGUCAAAAUCUAUUUUAACUGUGUCCAAGGCAGGGGUUUGGACAACAUAAACUUAUAAAGAUGCUAAUCGAAGUAGUUGCUUUGAGCCAGACUCCUUACAGUCACUACUUCAAUUAGCAUAACCUCUAUCUUUCAAAGACUAAAAGAAAAUGAUUGGUAAAAUUUGAAAUUAGAUAAAAAGUUGCAAAUAUUCAGGUAACUAAUCACUAUAUUAUUUUGCUUGCAAUCUAAGAUAUAAGUUGAAUACAAACAAAUACGCAUACAAGCCAAAACAAUUAACAAAAUCACAUGAAAGGCAUGCAUAAGCAUAACCCAGUACGUCAAGUUAAGUCCACAAUUGCAAGUUACUUCUUUCACUAUAAAUAACAACGAUAAAGGACCACAGAGUUCCAGAAUAUCAGUCACAGUUAGGGUGUCAUACUUCCAUAAUGAGGAUCUUUGCUCUUAAAGCAUCAAUAUUGUUGCUAUCCACAAUGAAGUCUGACGUUGUGUCUCCUGUGAAAGCAACUUCAGGCGUUGUUGUAGUAUAUGUAAUCUGCCAAACGCAACAACAGUCCAGUCAUUCUCUCAGCUAUUGAGUGAAAUAAAUAAAAGUUACUGUAGAUCAAUUUAAAUUAAUAGGCUCAACCAAACACAGCACCAGAUAUGCGCAAGGCAAUCUAAUGAGAAGUAUGAGUUAUAGUGCUAUGAGAACAAAUUCUAAAAUAAUUUAAGCAUCAAAGCCCAAGACACACCAAGAUUAUUCAUUUGAAAACCUUCCUCCAACUUGCAAAGAAGAACAAUCAAGAUUAAAGAAAAGCAAUGUAUAUUUAUGCAGGUAUUAGCAUGCUGCACAACAAGAAAACUAGAGUACAAAAGUGAAGUAAAUGCUCAAAAAAGCGACUUCUGUUUGGCAGCCAAGAAGUAAUAUAGAGUUAUCAAGGCACAGACCUCCACACCUGAUAACCUCAAUUUCUUUAUCUCGUUCCCUGGAAGCCCAAUAUAUUCGUCCUUAAGUUUCUGCUUUACUGAAUAAACUACAUAACCCUAUCAUUCAGGGUGAGCAGAGGAAGUUAAAGCCUGAAACAGUACUAUGGAUGAUUGUUAUAAGGCUCAAGAGAAGACACCUGGCUGGGUAUGACGUGGUAAGUCUUAAAGGCUUUUACUUUAAGGUCCUUUCUCAAGUAAAACUCUUCUCCUGCAGAGAAAAGCAAUUACAUUGAGGUGAUCAAAUGCAAAAGACUCUACAUCCGUCAAAAACACAUCUUUUCUAAAAUAAAUGCACAAAUUAAUAAAUGUAUAAAUCAAGUGUUAAUUAGAAGAUAGUUAUUACCCACAUCCAAGCCAAUCAAAGUAUGGUUCAAUUCUGAUUGAUCCAUAUCUCUAUGUGCUUGAAAAAUCGUUUCAACAUUUUCCUUUAUGGUCUUUGGCACAAUUACAGUUGGGGCUGCCAUUCUGUAUAAUCCACGAGUUGCAACAAACAUUGGCAGUCCUCCCUACAAACACCAAUACAGGCAGUAAGCACGAUAUCAUAAACAAUUUACCCAACUCAUGGCUCGCAAACUUAGAUCUUACACCUUAGCUCUUCACAAAGCUUAACAAAACUAUCAAUGCAUAACAAGCAUGGCACGAUAUGGCAUGAAAUUCGGGAAUUAUCAAAGUAACUAAUCAACAGAAACUUAAGCAACCCAUCCUGAUUUUCCAUAAGAUUUCCAAUGAAGGGCACUGCAAGCAAACAUGGAUGGUAAAAACUAAAUUUCCUUAUAUAAAAUCCAAUUUUCUAGUGCAUACCCACAAUCAAAUUCUUUUAAGUCCAGUAAACAAUGACAUUUUUUUGGUACAACAUUCGAUAAUCAAGAGUACCAUUCUCUGCUUCCCAAAGGUUUUCUCUUUUUACAAAUUCUCUCUAAUCCAUCCUACUUGCAAAAUAUACCGUCAACAAGCAUUCCAAGUUCCAACUGAACCACACAUCUGCAUCUUACCAGCAAUCUAGACUCGAAGUAAGAACUGUGAAUUCAAAAAGAAAAUAUUGCAAGUAAUCAAACACUAAAAGCACGCACAAAAUAAGAGCUCCAGAAACACCAUGCAAGUAUGAUCUUUUUCCAUAUAAAUUACUUAAUUUAACGCACCCACCACAAAACACAACUAGAAAGCAAUAAAAUCAGAAGCCAGAUUUUCCCAUGUCAAUCUAGACUCAAAAUAAAUCAGUGAAUUCACAAUGAAACUAUAUCAAGUAAUCAAACACUAAGAACACACAAGCACGGACUCACAAUAAGAGCUCAGGAAACACCAUAACAAUACGACCAUUUUCCAGCAAAAUUACUUAAAUUUAACUCACCCCACCCAAUAGCACAACUAAAAAGGCAAAAAAUUCAAAACCCAGAGUUUCCCAUGUCAUGAUGGAAGAAAUUCACAAAUUGCAGCAGAAAAAUUGCCAUAAAAAAGACGCAAGUAGAAAAGAGUUCAAUUGAUCACAAGAAGAAAAACUACAUACAAUGUGAUCCAUGUGGCCAUGGGAGAUAAAGAGGAACUGUUGCGAAAUAGCACGUUGUGGGCAUUUUCCAAUGUCAAAAGCUAAGUUGAGAGAAGGGAUUAUCACGCAGGUCUCAUGCCCUGCUAUUGAUAUCCCUUCAAUUUGAUACCCUUCAAUUUCCAAUCCCCUCUUUCCUUGCUCCCUUCUUUGGCCACGGCCUUUGCUCUUCUUCUUCUCCUCCUCCAUUUUUGGGUUGUAAAUUCUACUACAAAUUUCUGAUUUUCAGCAAAUGUUUUUUCUAAUUAAGUAGCUACUUCUUAAUCCGUAUACCAGCAGACAAACAGGAGUGAAGGCAGAGAGGUUUUAGGAUGAACUGCUUGCAUUCUCCGGGUUUUACCCUUCUUAGCUAUUCAUUAUUCAUGAGUUGUCUGCCAUGAAUGAAAAAUAGGUAAAUUCCACUUUGUCCCCCUCAAACUAUGUGCAGAAUCUCACUUCAGUCCCUAAACUUCAGAAUUGACAAUUAAUCCUUAUACUACAAAGCUUGCCCUACUUUAUUCUAAUUUUUGAUGGAGUGCACUAAACUUAAAGAAAUAGUUGUCAAUUUAUUAUAAUUAAAGUCAAUCAAAUCUAAUAGGGACAUAAAUGUCCUCAUCACUCCAACCACCAUACCGCCAUCUCUAUUUCUAUUGCAAGUUCUACCUUUCAUCAUUCUUACACAUACCCAUAUUUUGCUACUCAACUAAUUUUUUUGGAAUGAAAGUAUUUGGAAAAAAAAAUCACCCAAAUAGAACUCUUCGUGGAAUGAAUUUGAAAUUAGGUCCAAUACAUUCACAAAAUACUAUAAAUGCAAAUUCAUUGGAAUAAAAAUUUAUUAUGAUCACACAUUAAAACAGUACUUUCUCAUUAUAGCCUUAUACGUAAGCUUCCCAACAACAUAGCACAAGCUUUUCAUAAAAUCUGCAAUAAUAAAAAAGGGCAUUAAUGUCAUCCCACUAUGUUUUUUCAAUAGGGUUACUUUUUUCAAUUAUUUUGAAAAAGUGUAUAUUCUAAAAUUUAGUAAAAUAAAAUGUAACUAUCCCUAAAAUACAGGGGUUCAAUUUUGAGAAAGUGUACAUUCUAAAAAUUUAGUAAAAUAAAAUGUGACUACCUCUAAAAUACAGGGGUUCCAUUGCAAUUAACCCCAGCGGAAAUCAUCGUUUUGGUAACCUAUACAACUAGGGAAAUUAGCGUCUUUUGCUUCCAAUACCUAAACCCCUUUACACAACCCGAAAAAGAUGGACCCGUCGUGGCACCACCACGCUCCUCCUCCUCCGCCUCCGCUACCAAUUGGUGGAGCGCCACCACCUCAGGCGGCAACAAUCUGCCCAGUUUGCUCAAUGUAUCACUUCCCAUUCUGCCCUCCUCCACCUCCUCUUCCUCCUUUCUCUCAAAACUUCCAUCCCAUCCCUCAUCAAUACCCCCCACCACCACCUCCCCCUGAUCAAUUUUACCACCCCAGACCCCCUCAGCACCCGCCCCUCUCCCACCCGCCCCCCACCUUCUGCCUACGAUCCCUUUGCUGACCACCAAUCAGGGCCAGCUGCAAACCCCGUCAGCAGCCGCCUUGGAUCCCAAGUUCUGGUUUUGAUAAAGACCCAGAUGGGAAUAUGUAUGCUAAUAGUCAUUCCACUUAUGCUGGGGCUAAAAGAAUGAGGUUUGAUGAUUCGGGCUUUUCGCCAAGCCCGGCCCACCCGUCUUUGGCUGCUGAGGAUGAGAGAAGAUUGAAGCUGAUUCGCGAUCACGGUGGGGCAAUGAGUGGGGAGUCCAGAAAUUCUGCUACUAAUUUAGGGACGAGCAAUUCUUUUGAUCCUGGUUAUUGUGAUUAUGUCCCAAAAUCGAAUUUUGGGCAUGAUAGUGAUCGUAGUAGUUUGCAUCAGAAUAAUGUGUAUGAAUAUAGUAGACGUAGUUUGAAUAGCAUAGAGCAGCUCAGACAAAGUCAAGAAAGAAUGGGCUUCAAUCGGCAUGGUGUAUCAGGGGAUCAAUAUGGUAAUUUGCCGAACCAAAACGGGCAGAAUAUUGGGCUGACUCAGAAUUAUAGGGUGUUUAGUAGCCAGCCUCCACUUCCAGCCUCUCCACCUCCACCUCUUCCUGUGGAUCCCCCAGGGCAGCAUAUGGUGCGGCCUGUUGUCUCGUCUUCACCGUCUGGUACAUCUGCUUCUUUGUUCCGGUUGCUCGAGGUUCUUCUUCAACCGCCGUUCAGUCGUCCUCAUAUCAUCCUGUUCCAGAAUCAAGUUUGUUGGCAUCGCAUCAACCCAUUAGAGGCAAUCUCCAUGCUUCGACCAGCUUUGGUCCUGAGGUAUGCUGCAAAAUGCUAAGGCGUGUUAAUCAUAUGUGUUAAUGCAGUCAUACUUAUAAAAUUUUCAAGAAUGUGUUUUUGAUGCCUUUUGGUCAAAGCAAACACUAUUGGACGAAGUGGAGAUCAAUAAAUAGGAAGCAUUAAUGUCUUAUUGCUGAUCUCUAAUAAGGAGUUGAGAGUGUUGUCUUUGUAGCCUGGCAACAUCUAGCAUGUUGGUUAUCAGUCUCUUCAUUUGUAGGACACGGACCAGUUUGACACACAUAAUACGCUUUCAUUUUCUGGAAAUAUAGCGAGGUUGGGGUGGUGAGGAUGUUUUCUGAGAAAAGCAUUAUUUUAGCGAACCCAAUGAAUUUAUCUGCAAACCUGGUUACAUUAGUAAACUAGUUUAUGCUACCAAAUGUUGGACCUGAAUAGAGUAUGUGACACUCAAUAAUAUCUUACCAGUCACAUUUCACUAACUUGUAAAAGUAUUCUUAUUACCAAAUUUUGGACCUCAAGUGGGGUAACUGUCUCUGCAAUAUCUUGCUAGUCACCCGCCACUACCUCCUGGCAACAUUCUUAUGCUGUAAACUAAGUCAUUGUUCAUUUGAAACAGUUGAAAUCUACAAAAUAGUUUAAAUAUGUUUCUCAUUUUAAACGUCAUCACACUUUCUUGUGAUGUUAUUAUGUUUUAGCUGGGAGGGUGAUCACAGCUGCACUAUUUUCUUUCAUUUUGUAAAUGUGUCUUAACAGAUGCUUGUGUGGCACACAUACACACACUCUCCUGUGGAAUUGUUCUAUUACAUAAUUUUUUUAAUGUUGUUUCAGAACCUCCGAGACAUUUAAAGCCAAUUUUCAAGCUUAAUUUCUUUCUCAAGAAUAUCACUGUUUUACUUCUAUCUUGUUUCCUUUUUCUGAGAUAUAGUAUCAAUUCCGGUGAGUUGUAUCUGGAUUUUCAUGCUUCUUAGUGCAUUGUAAUUACAUUCCGGCUUGUUAUUGAGAUGAUGGUAAGUGAAAAACAUGGAGUGUACUGGACUACCUUUUCUUGAUAGAGGUUCUGUGACUUGAACUAGCUUUCUCAUAUGGGAGCAAAGAAAUUUCACCGGCUGCUAGCUUUCCUUUCUCACAAGGGAUUCAGGAGAGCACUAUUAGGUGUCUGAUUUGAAAUGAGAAUCUUUUACAUAGUAUACUUGGUCAUUUUACUAUUGUAAAUUUUUCGUGUUUUUCAUUGAUUUUCUCUUUUCUUUGUGUAUCUCCUCUUGCUUGUCGGUCAGAGAUCUUAUAGUUACCGUGAUUGUCAGGAUUUACAAGGUAUACGACAAGCGCAUAUAAAGCAUACUUUGGAAGAAGUGAAGUAAUUCCGCAGCAGCCUCUAUCACCUAACAAACCUAAAGUUGUUGAUGCCACUCACAUAAUAAAGCAACCCAUCGGGUGAAUCGUCCCGAUCACAUUGUCAUUAUUCUUCGUGGUCUUCCAGGUUUCUCCCCUUCCCUUUCCUUCUUAUAAAGAUACGUGCUCCUUUGCCCAUCUGCUAAAGGUUUUGAGUACAUCAUCCUCAAAGAUAGGGAUUGUUGACUCAAAUGAAAUCAUACGAGGCCAAAAGUUACUAUUUGCUACAUAAAACAUUUGAAUUGAACUAUCUUUCUUCAACCAGCUUUUUAUCUUCUUGUAAAGAGUAAAUAAUUAAUGUUAGGAAAACUGACUGUAUUCAGGAAUAAAUCAAGGAUGUACAUUUUUUACUUGUAUUUUGUGCUAAUAACUCAAAUUUCACAAACAGCAUGCCUGCUUUAUAUGUAGCAUUCUAUGAGAGAAAUUGGAACUUUUUGCUGUGAAGCAUGGUAUGCUAUCUGAAACCUAACAGCAAUUAAUAUAUUUUUAGGUAGUGGGAAGAGCUACCUGGCAAAAAUGUUGCGUGACCUAGAGGUUGAAAAUGGUGGUAAUGUGCCACGGAUACAUUCCAUGGAUGAUUAUUUCAUGACUGAAGUUGAAAAGGUUUUCAUGAACUCUUCAUUUUAUUAUUCUUUCUACAGUACUGUCUAAAGCUUACUGGAUCCAUAUCUCUAUUUUUGUUUAUCUUUUUAUUGCUCAAAUUUUACUUUUCUUUGUGCUUGUUUCUCGAAAAUGUCUAUAGUAACUACAUGAAAUUCCACAGGUUGAAGAGAGUGAGUUUCCGAAGCCAUCUGGUUCUGCUAGAGGGAAAACUUUCACUGAUGUGAUUUAUUGCUUAUUUGCAUACUUGAACUGAACGGUUAUGCUUAUGUGAUCUUAGCUGCUAUGGUGGUUGUAUUCUCACUGGGCAUAUAGUUCACCCCGUUUCUUUUGUUUUCCUUACAGUAAUAUGACUUUUUUGGAAUGAAUUUUAUUAAAUGGUUGCCGAAUGAACUAGAUGAAUGCCUCUUUUGUAUUGUAUAUAAAAUGGGACCCUAAAUGUUUCAUUAGGGCCGUUUUCACUUUUGUUUUGGCAACCCACAUAUGUAGUGACUUUUGUAUCACUUUUAAAGGCCAUUGUGGCUUGUAAAUGGUUAAUGUUAUGUUGUAUAUGUUUUCGAGGUUUGGUUGGGUUUCGGACGGGUCGGUUACUAUUCAUGGCCGACUCUGGAUUUCGUUUCUUUUAUUUUGGGUUAUUUUGCCCUUUUGCCUUGUUGCGCGCAUUAUAAGUUUCAAAACGUGAUAGAUCGCUUUGUACUGCACCGUUAGUCCUGGCGAGAGCUGGGCAGGCAGUCCGCUAACCCCUUUGGUUCGCCUUAGGGGAAGGUGGGGCUGUUACAAGUGGUAUCAGAGCCACGUCGAGUGGUCUCUGCGCGGAGUGAGACUGGGCCAAGUGGUGUUGUGGUCUUAAUUUCAUGGAUAUGUCUAAGUGCUCGUUUGAGCGUAAGUUAUGAACCGGGCAUGUGAUAAGUGUACGAAUCGUUAUCAUGGGACUCGAGGAAGCUAGGUGUGUAUGUCGGGUAGGAAUCUUUAAUAAGGAUGGUUUACUCUUGGGACCGGCCGACUCGAGAUGUGAAUUAUCUUAGACGAGAUUCUUGUGCCCGGAUACGAAAGAUAUGAGGGCCUAGGUUAGAAAGGAUUUGGUGAACUAGAAAGGCAAUUCUAUGGAACUUCGUGUGGUUUGUUCGGGUGGUUAAGCGUGAUCGACCUUGAUUAAGAUAUAAAUAUUUGGACGAAGCCCUGGAAGGGGAAAAGCUUUUCGUGAGUUCUUUUGCACUUGUGACCUAGUUGUUUAUAGUACUUUCUGAGGACCCUAUUGUUUCAUGGAAUGACUUCGUAUGUACUUGACUGACUGUUCCGUAUAAUUGCUUAACCUGGUUAUGCGAUCUAUGUAUACGUGUUAUGUGUUUAAAUGCUCUUCGCAGUAAAUGUUUGAGUUGCUUAUUCUUGUUUCAUUGUUCCUGUCUGGUGCUACGGAAAGGAGGGUUAGGUGCCCUUUAACAGUGUAAUUAUCUGAUGACCUAGAUUGACUUAGACUGAUGGAAGGCACCCGAAGUGGUCGAGGCCAUGGACGCAGGGGUAGGCAACCCACACCGGUUAGGGGUACGGGGGAAACCUCUACUGGGCCCAAUCCUGAAUCACAAGCCGACCCCACUGUUCAAAUAGCUGCUGCUAUGCAGCAAAUGACAAACCUACUCGCACAAGUAGUGCAACAACAGGGCCAGAACCCAAACCCUAAUCCCGGAAACCCCGGUAACCCUAUCGAGAGCGAGGAUAGAGCUCUCGAACAUUUCCAAAAGUUCGCUCCGCCAAAGUUUGUUGGGGGACCCGACCCAGACGUUGCCGAAAGAUGGCUUGAAAAGAUGGUGGAUAUAUUUGCAGCCCUACACUACCCUGACGCAGGUGACUUUUGCCGCGUUUCAGCUCGAGGGGGCAGCCCGUUCCUGGUGGAACGUAAUCAGACAGAAAUGGGAGCGGGAGCAGACGCCUAGGACUUGGGUGAACUUCAUCCGAGAAUUUAAUGCCAAGUUUUUCCCUCCUCUAGUCCAGGAGAGGAAGGAGGAUGAGUUUAUCCGGCUCCGGCAAGGGGCUCAGACUGUGGCAGAAUAUGAGAGUCAAUUUACCCGCCUGUCCAAGUUUGCGCCUGAACUAAUCAUGACUGAGCAACGACGGGUUAGGCGCUUCAUUCAGGGUUUGAACGUUGAGAUCCAGAAAGACCUCGCGGCGGCUCAAAUCACUACGUUUAGCGAGGCAAUGGAAAAAGCCCAACGAGUUGAAAGUGCACGAAUGCAGGUCCGAAACUUCCAGGCUAAGAAGCGUGAAUUUCCUGGAAGUAGUUCGGGGCAAGGGGAUGAAAGUACCCCUCCCAAGUUUGGACGAGGAACGGGAGGAGUAAGGAUGCCGGGAGUGUCACCGGAGAGGCCGUCAAGAGGAGGCUUGGCUUCUACAGCACGCGGACCCUGCGGGUAUUGCGGAAAAUUAAACCACUCGGAGGAUAACUGCUGGAGGAAAGGAGGAAAAUGCUUGCUCUGUGGGAGUGCCGACCAUCAAAUUGCUAACUGUCCAGCUAGCCUGCGCGAGCGGCAAGGGACUCUGCCACCAACCACGACCCACCCUGACCAGUCGAAGGGAGACAAGGAUAGAUCGAAAGUGUCCUCUCGGGUGUACUCCUUAGAACAACAUCAAGGCUUUGACCCCUUAGAGGACGUGGAAGGUAAUAAUUUACUGAACCUGGCCAGUGAAGGGGUACCGAUCUGUUAGCUAAGUAUAAUGCUCAACUUAAUCCUGGUGUAGUCAAUGAUAAGGAAUUUUGAGGACGAAAUUCUUUUAAGGGGGAGAGAGUGAGAACCCGUAAAACCCUAAUAUUUUUUCUAGGGUUUUAGUUCCCUUAAUUGCUUAAUUUUUGCAUUUUCUGGCUUUGAAAUAUUUUUCUGGUAGAUUUUAUGCGUAAUUAUAGUUUUUAGAUGAUUUUUCUAGUAUUGGUAAGUUUUUAGAAAAUUAAGAAUAUAUAUUGGACGUGGGACCCACUAGUGCGAAAAGUUCGGGAAAAUUCGGCCAAUAAGGUUAAGUUUCGGAUACUGUGUAAAAUUUAUCGGAUGUUAAUAGAUAAGUAGAGUGUGUGAAAUGAUUGAUGUGAGAGAGGAAAGAAAGGAUAGGAAUGCAUUAAUGAGAGUGACAAGUGUCACUUUCUCAUUGGGUGAAUUUUAAGAUUUACUAUUCCAAUUUUUGACUUUUUUGACCAAAGGAUUAAAUAUCCAAAAAUUGCCCAAAAAUCACCAUUUUUCACUCUUGGAUGGCCGGCCCUCUUGUGCUAAGGAAGGAAGAAAACUUCUUCAAUUUUCAAGUCCCAACUAGCUCAAAUCACCCAAAAAAACUUGCUUCCAUCUAUUUUUACUCCAUAAAAUCUCUUUAGUUGAUGUUAGUGAGUGUUGUAGUGAAGCUUGUUUGAAGGUUUAAGGUGUCCAACAUCCUCCUCUCUCUUGUUUCUUGGUAAGUGAAGCUUGAACACCCUCUUACACCUUAUGAAGCCUAAGUUAUGCUUAUUCGUGAUUAAGGUGCUGAAAUUUCUGGUUUUUAUCUUGGUUUGAAGUGAUUUGGUGAAGUUUUCCAUUUUAUGAUGAAUUUUCUGGUUCAAUAUGAAUGGGAUGUUGAGGCUAUCUUGGAUGAUUGGCAAUGGACUAUAAUGACUCUUGUAGGUGUGAAUUGUUGCUAAAUGCAACCAAUUUUGGAUUUGGUGUGAAAAUUGAAAAGUUAGGGUUCAUAAAUCCCUAAUUCUGUCCGGUUUUAGAUCAUAGGGUUAGAGGCCGAAUUUGACUUUACUCAAAACAUGAAAGUUGUAGGUAUUGAUGUGUUUGAGGUGCCUGUAAAAUUUCAGGUCAUUUGGAUUAAUGUAGAAUGAGAUAUGACGAAAUUACUGUAGCUGUUCUGCUUUGGACAGAAUGCGAAAACUGCGUUUGUAUUUGGCCAUUUUGACUGGAAUUGGUUUGGAUUUUGAAGUUGGUGUCUUCUGAUGAAAUGUAGCUGGAUGUCUUAGCUAUCAUAUGCCUUUGGAAUUUCGGCAUUUGGACUUGUAUGGACUGAGUUAUACGGAUUACAGUUUUGUGUGAUUUGCAAAUCUGUUUUGGUCAUUCUGGUUUAGUAUUUGGCAUUUUUGACCUAGUUAAGCUAGGAACUGGAUUGAGUGACCUUCUACAUUGUUGUAGCCCUGUUUCAUAGCUUCGAAACGGUGGAUCUUACACCCCCAUCUGAUAACCGUAGUGAAAUUAACGCCAUUACCGCAAAGUAAGGACAAAACAGUUUUAUUUCAGGGCCAAGGCUAAUGCCAUUGUUUGAAUUUCUGGUUUGCUAUAAUGCUUGUAUAUGCAUAUGAAACCCUAUUGGGGUUGUGUUCAGCAUUGUUAUGUGACUCGUCAUCGAGUCUCAUUGCAUUUGUUUACGUGUUCUAGGGCGUGACGGUGGUUCACGACAUUCUCCUGACGGAAGUGCAUGAAAUAGCACUUAAUUGAUUGGUGAGUAUACUACUCACUUAAAUGUUAUUAUGUGGCUUUGCUAAAUGUAUAUGUGAUGCCUUGAAGGCUUACUUGGAUAUUGGAAUUGAUUAAGGUGAGGGUGUACUUGACCGCCCUCACCCCUUUUGAUAGUAUCACUGAUUGUCCACUGUUUCACUGUCUUACUAAACUUGAUAUAUGAGUUAUUGCAAUUCAUUUUAUGGAAACUGAUUUGGUGUUGUUUGGACGAUGUCCAACGACCUUACUGUAUUACUGAGCUCAACCCCGUUUGGUAGUCAAUUGGAUCGAGCCGGCGAGGGCUUGGUCGUGAAGAUUGAAUUGCCACGGGGACUGUACUGGGGAACCUUGUGGUAUUGAGACCCUUGGUUCCGGUAUACUCGAGUAUUACCAAAAGCUACUGAAUUGGAGUGCGGGCCCGGUUGGGGAAUGUUGGAUGGAAGGAAUGGAAGUAAAGAGUUGUCUACGGUUGGUUAUUAUUUAACAUUGACGGAGGGUCAAUGAGGUUGGAUCAAGACAUAAGCGUGGAAAUGGGCUCUUGAGAGCCGUCCGUAUCCUUUCACUGAUGUGAUUUAUUGCUUAUUUGCAUACUUGAACUGAACGGUUAUGCUUAUGUGAUCUUAGCUGCUAUGGUGGUUGUAUUCUCACUGGGCAUAUAGUUCACCCCGUUUCUUUUGUUUUCCUUACAGGAAUAUGACUUUUUUGGAAUGAAUUUUAUUAAAUGGUUGCCGAAUGAACUAGAUGAAUGCCUCUUUUGUAUUGUAUAUAAAAUGGGACCCUAAAUGUUUCAUUAGGGCCGUUUUCACUUUUGUUUUGGCAACCCACAUAUGUAGUGACUUUUGUAUCACUUUUAAAGGCCAUUGUGGCUUGUAAAUGGUUAAUGUUAUGUUGUAUAUGUUUUCGAGGUUUGGUUGGGUUUCGGACGGGUCGGUUACUAUUCAUGGCCGACUCUGGAUUUCGUUUCUUUUAUUUUGGGUUAUUUUGCCCUUUUGCCUUGUUGCGCGCAUUUUAAGUUUCAAAACGUGAUAGAUCGCUUUGUACUGCACCGUUAGUCCUGGCGAGAGCUGGGCAGGCAGUCCGCUAACCCCUUUGGUUCGCCUUAGGGGAAGGUGGGGCUGUUACAAGUGGUAUCAGAGCCACGUCGAGUGGUCUCUGCGCGGAGUGAGACUGGGCCAAGUGGUGUUGUGGUCUUAAUUUCAUGGAUAUGUCUAAGUGCUCGUUUGAGCGUAAGUUAUGAACCGGGCAUGUGAUAAGUGUACGAAUCGUUAUCAUGGGACUCGAGGAAGCUAGGUGUGUAUGUCGGGUAGGAAUCUUUAAUAAGGAUGGUUUACUCUUGGGACCGGCCGGCUCGAGAUGUGAAUUAUCUUAGAUGAGAUUCUUGCGCCCGGAUACGAAAGAUAUGAAGGCCUAGGUUAGAAAGGAUUUGGUGAACUAGAAAGGCGGUUCUAUGGAACAUCGUGUGGUUUGUUCGAGUGGUUAAGCGUGAUCGACCUUGAUAAGUUAUAAAUAUUUGGACGAAGUCCUAGAAGAGGAAAAGCUUUUCGAAGGUUCUUUUGCACUUGUGACCUAGUUGUUCAAAGUACUUUUGAGGACCCUAUUGUUUCAUGGAAUGACUUCGUAUGUACUUGACUGACUGUUCCGUAUAAUUGCUUAACCUGGUUAUGCGAUCUAUGUAUACGUGUUAUGUGUUUAAAUGCUCUUCGCAGUAAAUGUUUGAGUUGCUUAUUCUUGUUUCAUUGUUCCUGUCUGGUGCUACGGAAAGGAGGGUUAGGUGCCCUUUAACAGUGUAAUUAUCUGAUGACCUAGAUUGACUUAGACUGAUGGAAGGCACCCGAAGUGGUCGAGGCCAUGGACGCAGGGGUAGGCAACCCAUACCGGUUAGGGGUACGGGGGAAACCUCUACUGGGCCCAAUCCUGAAUCACAAGCCGACCCCACUGUUCAAAUAGCUGCUGCUAUGCAGCAAAUGACAAACCUACUCGCACAAGUAGUGCAACAACAGGGCCAGAACCCAAACCCUAAUCCCGGAAACCCCGGUAACCCUAUCGAGAGCGAGGAUAGAGCUCUCGAACAUUUUCAAAAGUUCGCUCCGCCAAAGUUUGUUGGGGGACCCGACCCAGACGUUGCCGAAAGAUGGCUUGAAAAGAUGGUGGAUAUAUUUGCAGCCCUACACUACCCUGACGCAGGUGACUUUUGCCGCGUUUCAGCUUGAGGGGGCAGCCCGUUCCUGGUGGAACGUAAUCAGACAGAAAUGGGAGCGGGAGCAGACGCCUAGAACUUGGGUGAACUUCAUCCGAGAAUUUAAUGCCAAGUUUUUCCCUCCUCUAGUCCAGGAGAGGAAGGAGGAUGAGUUUAUUCGGCUCCGGCAAGGGGCUCAGACUGUGGCAGAAUAUGAGAGUCAAUUUACCCGCCUGUCCAAGUUUGCGCCUGAACUAAUCAUGACUGAGCAACGACGGGUUAGGCGCUUCAUUCAGGGUUUGAACGUUGAGAUCCAGAAAGACCUCGCGGCGGCUCAAAUCACUACGUUUAGCGAGGCAAUGGAAAAAGCCCAACGAGUUGAAAGUGCACGAAUGCAGGUCCGAAACUUCCAGGCUAAGAAGCGUGGAUUUCCUGGAAGUAGUUCGGGGCAAGGGGAUGAAAGUACCCCUCCCAAGUUUGGACGAGGAACGGGAGGAGUAAGGAUGCCGGGAGUGUCACCGGAGAGGCCGUCAAGAGGAGGCUUGGCUUCUACAGCACGCGGACCCUGCGGGUAUUGCGGAAAAUUAAACCACUCGGAGGAUAACUGCUGGAGGAAAGGAGGAAAAUGCUUGCUCUGUGGGAGUGCCGACCAUCAAAUUGCUAACUGUCCAGCUAGCCUGCGCGAGCGGCAAGGGACUCUGCCACCAACCACGACCCACCCUGACCAGUCGAAGGGAGACAAGGAUAGAUCGAAAGUGUCCUCUCGGGUGUACUCCUUAGAACAACAUCAAGGCUUUGACCCCUUAGAGGACGUGGAAGGUAAUAAUUUACUGAACCUGGCCAGUGAAGGGGUACCGAUCUGUUAGCUAAGUAUAAUGCUCAACUUAAUCCUGGUGUAGUCAAUGAUAAGGAAUUUUGAGGACGAAAUUCUUUUAAGGGGGAGAGAGUGAGAACCCGUAAAACCCUAAUAUUUUUUCUAGGGUUUUAGUUCCCUUAAUUGCUUAAUUUUUGCAUUUUCUGGCUUUGAAAUAUUUUUCUGGUAGAUUUUAUGCGUAAUUAUAGUUUUUAGAUGAUUUUUCUAGUAUUGGUAAGUUUUUAGAAAAUUAAGAAUAUAUAUUGGACGUGGGACCCACUAGUGCGAAAAGUUCGGGAAAAUUCGGCCAAUAAGGUUAAGUUUCGGAUACUGUGUAAAAUUUAUCGGAUGUUAAUAGAUAAGUAGAGUGUGUGAAAUGAUUGAUGUGAGAGAGGAAAGAAAGGAUAGGAAUGCAUUAAUGAGAGUGACAAGUGUCACUUUCUCAUUGGGUGAAUUUUAAGAUUUACUAUUCCAAUUUUUGACUUUUUUGACCAAAGGAUUAAAUAUCCAAAAAUUGCCCAAAAAUCACCAUUUUUUACUCUUGGAUGGCCGGCCCUCUUGUGCUAAGGAAGGAAGAAAAUUUCUUCAAUUUUCAAGUCCCAACUAGCUCAAAUCACCCAAAAAAACUUGCUUCCAUCUAUUUUUACUCCAUAAAAUCUCUUUAGUUGAUGUUAGUGAGUGUUGUAGUGAAGCUUGUUUGAAGGUUUAAGGUGUCCAACAUCCUCCUCUCUCUUGUUUCUUGGUAAGUGAAGCUUGAACACCCUCUUACACCUUAUGAAGCCUAAGUUAUGCUUAUUAGUGAUUAAGGUGCUGAAAUUUCUGGUUUUUAUCUUGGUUUGAAGUGAUUUGGUGAAGUUUUCCAUUUUAUGAUGAAUUUUCUGGUUCAAUAUGAAUGGGAUGUUGAGGCUAUCUUGGAUGAUUGGCAAUGGACUAUAAUGACUCUUGUAGGUGUGAAUUGUUGCUAAAUGCAACCAAUUUUGGAUUUGGUGUGAAAAUUGAAAAGUUAGGGUUCAUAAAUCCCUAAUUCUGUCCGGUAUUAGAUCAUAGGGUUAGAGACUGAAUUUGACUUUGCUCAAAACAUGAAAGUUGUAGGUAUUGAUGUGUUUGAGGUGCCUGUAAAAUUUCAGGUCAUUUGGAUUAAUGUAGAAUGAGAUAUGACGAAAUUACUGUAGCUGUUCUGCUUUGGACAGAAUGCGAAAACUGCGUUUGUAUUUGGCCAUUUUGACUGGAAUUGGUUUGGAUUUUGAAGUUGGUGUCUUCUGAUGAAAUGUAUCUGGAUGUCUUAGCUAUCAUAUUCCUUUGGAAUUUCGGCAUUUGGACUUGUAUGGACUGAGUUAUACGGAUUACAGUUUUGUGUGAUUUGCAAACCUGUUUUGGUCAUUCUGGUUUAGUAUUUGGCAUUUUUGACCUAGUUAAGCUACGAACUGGAUUGAGUGACCUUCUACAUUGUUGUAGCCCUGUUUCAUAGCUUCGAAACGAUGGGUCUUACACCCCCAUCUGAUAACCGUAGUGAAAUUGACGCCAUUACCGCAAAGUAAGGACAAAACAGUUUUAUUUCAGGGCCAAGGCUAAUGCCAUUGUUUGAAUUUCUGGUUUGCUAUAAUGCUUGUAUAUGCAUAUGAAACCCUAUUGGGGUUGUGUUCAGCAUUGUUAUGUGACUCGUCAUCGAGUUUCAUUGCAUUUGUUUACGUGUUCUAGGGCGUGACGGUGGUUCACGACAUUCUCCUGACGGAAGUGCAUGAAAUAGCACUUAAUUGAUUGGUGAGUAUACUACUCACUUAAAUGUUAUUAUGUGGCUUUGCUAAAUGUAUAUGUGAUGCCUUGAAGGCUUACUUGGAUAUUGGAAUUGAUUAAGGUGAGGGUGUACUUGACCGCCCUCACCCCUUUUGAUAGUAUCACUGAUUGUCCACUGUUUCACUGUCUUACUAAACUUGAUAUAUGAGUUAUUGCAAUUCAUUUUAUGGAAACUGAUUUGGUGUUGUUUGGACGAUGUCCAACGACCUUACUGUAUUACUGAGCUCAACCCCGUUUGGUAGUCAAUUGGAUCGAGCAGGCGAGGGCUUGGUCGUGAAGAUUGAAUUGCCACGGGGACUGUACUGGGGAACCUUGUGGUAUUGAGACCCUUGGUUCCGGUAUACUCGAGUAUUACCAAAAGCUACUGAAUUGGAGUGCGGGCCCGGUUGGGGAAUGUUGGGUGGAAGGAAUGGAAGUAAAGAGUUGUCUACGGUUGGUUAUUAUUUAACAUUGACGGAGGGUCAAUGAGGUUGGAUCAAGACAUAAGCGUGGAAAUGGGCUCUUGAGAGCCGUCCGUAUCCUUUCUGUGACAGCCCCACUUUCCCCUAAGGCGAACCAGAGGGGUUAGCGGACUGCCUGCCCAGCUCUCGCCAGGACUAACAGUACGUUUUACGUCAUUCUAUUACGAUCCGGAACAUACCGUUGCGCGCAAACAAGCCAAAACUCAAAACUCUCUUUUUUUUUUUUUUUUUUUUCCUUCCAUCACAAUCCGGCCAAGAUCCGGCCGGAUUGUCUGGCCGGAUACCCGGCCGAGAGCAACUGGCCGGGUUCCAUUUUUCCCCAGGCAAUCCGGCCUGCAAUCCGGCCAGUUUCUGGCCGGAUUCCUGGCCGGAUUCGCCACUGUUCAUCUUCGGCAAAUUUUUUUUCUUUUCCGUUUGAAAGCCGUGGCACUCCGAAAUCCAACCAAACAUUAUCCAAACAUAAAUAUACAUUGGAAAUCAGCAUUUACAAGCCAAAUGGCGUACAAGUUAUCUCAUAAGAUCAUACAAGUGCAUUUAGGCCAAUACAAGCCAUUCAUUAAGGGAAACCAUACACUUAGGGUUAACACCCUCAAGGAGCUAAUCAAAGUACAUGUACAAGAGCUCAACUUGCAUUCAACUAUCAUAACCUUUCCAAAAGUGCUCAUUUGCCUGUAAGGAAAACAAAUAACACGGAAUGAGCUAAAGCCCAGUGGUAUACCACCCGAUAAGCAAUCGAAGUCAUAUAGGAAUGAACCUUCAUUUAAAGUGCACAAAUAAGCAAUGAAGCAAUACGGUAAAAGGAUACGGUCGGCUCUCAAGAGCCCAUUUCCACGCUCGCAGUCUUGAUCCAACCUCAUUGACCCUCCGUCAAUGUUAACAGUACCAAACCGUAGACUUCACUUUCCUUCCAUUCCUUCCACCAAACAUACCCCAACCGGGCCCGCACUCCAAUUCAGUAGCUUUUGGUAAUACUCGAGUUUACCGGAACCAAGGGUCUCAUUACCACAAGGUUCCCCAGUACAGUCCCCGUGGCAUGAUAAUUUUCACGACCAAGCCCUCGCCGGCUCGAUCCAAUUAACUACCAUACGGGGUUGAGCUCAUAAAUGCAGUAAAGCCAUUGGAUACUCGUCCAACGACACCAAAUCAGUUUCCACGAAUGGAAUGCAGUAUCUCAUAUAUCCAGUGCAGUAUUUCAGUAAAACAAUCAGUAGCCAUAACUAAAAUCACAAGGGGUGAGGGCGAUCAAGUACACCCUCACCUCAAUCAUUUCCAAUAACCAAGUAAGCCUUCAAGGCAUCAAAUACACAUAGCACAAAGCCACAUUAUAACAAGUAAGUGAGUAGUAUACUCACUAAGCAGUUAAGUGCUAUGUCAUGCACUUCCGUCAGGGGAAUGUCGUGAACCACCGUCACGCCCUAGAACACGUAAGCAAGUACUAUGAGACUCGAUACCGAGCCAUAAAACAAUGCCAAUCACAACCCCAAUAGGGUUUCAUAAACAUAUGCAAGCAUGAUAGCAAACCAGAAAUUAAGAAAGGCUUCAACUUAGGCCUUGCUAAGAAAACCGGUUUUGACGUCACAAUGCGGUAAUGGCACAACCCUCACUACAAUUAUCGGUUGGGGGUGUAAGACCCACCAUUUCGAAGCUAUGGAACAGGGCUACAACAAUGUAGAAGGUCACUCAAACCAGUUCGUAACACAACUAGGUCAAAUAUGCUAAAUACUAACCCAGAAUUCCUAAAAUAGGUUCCCAAAACACAAAAAACUGUAAUCGGUAUAUCUCAGUCCUUACAAGUCCAAAUGUUGAAAUUCCAAAGGCAUAUGUUAGCUAAGACACUUAGCUGCAUUUCAUCAGAAGACACCAACUCCAAAAUCCAAACCAAUACCAGUCAAAAUGGCCAAUUACUAACGCAGUUUUCGCAUUCUAUCCAAAACAGAACAGCUACAGUAAUUUCGUCAUAUCUCAUUCCACAUUAAUCUAAAUGACCUGAAAUUUUGCAGGCACAUCAACCUCAUCAAUACCUACAACUUUAAUGUUUUGAGAAAAGUCAAAUUCGGCCUCUAACACAGUGAUCUAAAACCGGACAGAAUUGGGGCUUCAAGAACCCUAACUUUCCAAUUUUCCAUCCAAAUCCAAAACUAGUUGCAUUUUCCUAUCCAAUACACCUCAUAGAGUCAUUAUCAACCAUUACCAUUCAUCAUGCAAAGCCACAACCUUCAUUUCAUAUUAAACCAGAAAAAUUCUCAAUAAAAUGAAAACUUCACCAAAACUCUUCAAAUCAAGAAACAAAUCACAUUUUUACACACUCAUGCCACUUCUAAGCAUCAUAUAACCAUCAUUAGAGGUAGGAGGGUGUUUCAAGCAACACUUACCAAGAAAUCAAGAGAAAGAGAGAUAUUGGACACCUUUGAUCUUCAAACAAACCUCACCAAUACACUUACUAACACUAGAAGCAAAGGUUUUAUGGAGUAGAAUCAACUCUAGACUUUGAUUUGUGGUAGAUUGGACCAAAUGAAAGCUUGCAAAAUGAAGAAGUCUCUUUCCUUUCUUGCUUAGAGAGGGCCGGCCAUGGUGGAGAGAAAAUGAGAGGAUUUUAAUGAAUUUUUGAAGAUAUUUACUAAUUGGGUCAAAAGUCAAAAAUUUGUCAAAAGGUGAAUAGUGUUUCUUAAGUCAUGACCAAUGAGAAGAUGACAUGUGGCACUCUAUUAAAUGCAUUCCUAUCUUUCUUUUCUCUCUCACAUCAAUCACUUCACACACUCCACUUAUCACUUAACACCCGAUAAAUUUUACACAGUAUCCGAAACUUAACCUUAUAGGCCGAAUUUUUCCGAACUUUUCGCACUAGUGGGUCCCACGUCCACUAUUUACUCUUAAUUUUCUAAAAACUCACCAAUACUAGAAAAAUCAUCUUAAAACUAUAAUUGCUCAUAAAAUCCACUAAGAAAAUAUUUCUAAGCCAGAAAAUGCAGAAAACAUGCAAAUAAGGGGAAAUGAACCCUAGGGAAAAUAUUAGGGUUUUUACGGGUUCUCACACUUUCACUGAUGUGAUUUAUUGCUUAUUUGCAUACUUGAACUGAACGGUUAUGCUUAUGUGAUCUUAGCUGCUAUGGUGGUUGUAUUCUCACUGGGCAUAUAGUUCACCCCGUUUCUUUUGUUUUCCUUACAGUAAUAUGACAAGCAUCUGGACAUGAAUUUAUUCAGAGAAUGACUGGUCAAAUGCACUGGCACAGUUCCUAUUGAAUCAGUGCUAGGCGGCGGUAGAAAAAAAAAAUUCAACAAAACCUACAAAGCUAGAAAAUUAAUUGCCACAACUAAUGUAAAUAUGACAGUCAAAGCUAGAAAAUUGUCUUGGUCGACAAGAUUAAUCCCUCAAGAUAGGGAAUCAAGUAGAAGAACGAAGCACCUAACUAAGCGACAACUUAGUUGCUACAAUUAAUAUAAUCAAGUCAAAGUUGAGCUUUGACGAGCUCGAGCUCGAUUUUAUUUUGCAUUAGUCGAGUUUAAGCUCGAGCUCUUGCUCAUCAAGGCCAAUUGAGUUUAAUCAAGUCUAAUCCAGAUUAAAAAAUAUAAAUUUGUAGUGUUGUAUAUAAUUUUAAAUAAGGGACAAAAUAGACAUUUAAUACUAAUAAAUAAAAAAAAAUUAAAAUCAUAUAUAUGUGAAUCUCGAUUGAGUUUGACGAGUUUUCGAGUUUCAUAUGUUAAGUUCGAACUCGAACUCGACUUGUCAAGUAAUUCAAGCUGCUCGAACUCGAGUUCAAACUCAGUCAAUAAGAGCUCCAGAGUUCGAGUUUAAAACUUUAACCAAGAAAACUCGCGAACUACUUGGACAAGACAAGCAUACUCAAAUUUGCAACUUUACAAUAGGUGAUCUGGAUCUAACGUAUAAUAUGCUUAAAAGCAUUAAACACUAUCUUGACUCCGGGGACAAGGACAAGGGAUCUGUCUCAGCAUGGCACUCUCCAGUCGUUACUUCAGAAGGGGGCCCAAAGAAAUUAGGUAAAUUAUGGUACAAUUAUGUAUACAAUUAGUAAAUGGUCAUAAAAAAUGAAAAAAUAGGUAACUGCUCUUACCCUCAUUGGAAGUGAAGAACAACAAAAGUCAUGAAAAAGGCUAUAAAGAAGCUAAAUCAAGAACAUGUAUUAUACUCUCCCUUGCAUGCAUAUAACCAAAAAAAUUCUUAGUAUUGAGUCCAUUAUCAUUGAACAAAAAUAACACAGUAGAUAGAAGCAUAUUCUUUAAGAAUAGCAAUCUAAACUAUAAUAGAUAGAUAUUACAAAAGAAACACUUUCAGAAUACUCAUUUGGUUGAUCCAUUGUCUAUGGAUUAAUAGAGUUUCAGCUAUGUUUCUCACAGAGAUUCAAACUAAUUAAGUUAAUAUCUUUCAUCCCAAACUUUUGGUUUGCAAGUCCCCAGGACCAGACAAGUUGAAUCAUAUACAAAACUUGUUGUUUUGACAUUCUUUUUUCUUUUCUUCGGAAGAAAAGUCGUUUGACAUUCUUGAUUAAGGACAGUAUUGACUCAGAUAUGUUCUGUUGGAUCACAAAUGAUACCUUUCCAGUAUUGGGCAUCAACAGAGAGAAUCCCUUGGGUUUUUGUUGAUUGUUUGCAAAUGACAUGCAUCAGUUUAAGGGCAUGAAAAUAAUUAAUGCAUAUGGACUCGCACCUGAUCGCUAAUUCUUUCCACUGUGUCAAAAAACCCAACAAGAUUCUUGCUGCUGAGCCACCUCCAAGUAGCGUGAAAGUACACAGGGAUUCGAGCCUCCUCAAUUAUUUUUAUUGAAGAUGUAAGAUUGGGUACAAUUGAAUAUGUGCAGAGAAAAGAAUUCACAGUAUUAAAAAUGUAAAAGUCAUAAUUCAUGCUUACCUAUGCGUGUGGUGUAUUUAUUGAAACGGCGACACACAGAUGUAUGCAUGGGCAGCUUAUUAUUUUUAGGGAUGGCAAUGAUGACGGGCACGAGAGAGUAACCGGGCUGGGGAUGGGGUGAGGUGGGAGUUGGGACGGUGGGAUUUUUUUUUUCUCCCAUUUUAAAUGGAGCGAGGGAUGGGAAAGGAUACCCUUGUUCCAUCCCCGCCACUCAAAUAAAUUUUUAAAAAUAUAUAUACAAACACACACGCACAUAUAUAUACUUAUGCAAUUACUUGAAUUCUUUUCCACGUAGUGUAAAUUGUUUAUCAAAAAAUAAAAACAAAUAUGAUGGUUAUGAAUUAGAUUUGCUAUUAAACAUAGAGAAUUGAAUUCAAAAACAUCAGCAUGACUUUUAAGGUUGAUUUCACAUUGAAUAUUUAGUGAAGAAUUUAAAAGAAUGAUUUAUAAAAUUGUUAAUUAUGUUAUAUAUGUAGACAAAUAAUGUCAAAAUAAAAAUUUAUAAUUAUAAUUAGCCAACCAUGAGAGCGCCCACACAGGCAUGGGGUGGGGCGGGAAUAAGGGAAGCUGGAGAUGGGAAUAUGGGAUGGCGGUGGAAGGAGAUUUUAAAACAUGGGGCAUGAUCUGCUUGGUUUGUUUACCCGGAAUGGAAAGUGGAAUCGACCAACCACAUAAUUUCAUCUCUACAAGUCCAGUUUGUUUAAGAUCUGAGCCUAUACCACAGAAAACAAAACAGGGAAGAUGCGGCUCCUCUUGUUUAAUUGGGAAUUGACCAUAGGUCCUUAAAAUUGUAAGAAUUCUUAAGGUAGCUGUUAAAGUUUAAAAUGAAUUUCAGUCCCUCAAUUCUCACCAAUUCUGUGUAUCUGCAAGAUGAUAUAUUAACACGCUCAAAAAUGCUAUCUUGAUCUUUUAGAAGCAAACCAUCUUCGGAGAGUUAAGAAAAGAAGAAAAUGGAAAAGAUUUCAAAAGCUUUCUUCUUAUUGAAGAGGUUUGAAAACGAAAGAAGAAAAAGUACUUAUUUUAUAUGUGACUUUACAUGUAUAUUUAGUUGUUUGAAAGUAUUGAUAUCCAUUUGAAGGCAAAAUGACACAGGAAGGAAAGCACAAAUUUGAAUAUUCAUGAGCACAAACAAUACUUAAAAUUUUAAACUAUGAGUCAUUUUUCUUUUCUCUUUUUUUUUUGCUGCAACGAUAAUAUUUUCAUAAUCUAAUCUAUCCUGUUCUGUAGGGGGAGGGACCCUAAAGAGGUCGUGUAAAGGGUUAGCAGGUAUACAGAUUUAACUAGAUCAAAUGGGUGUUCUGGCACCUCCUUUAAAUAUUUUCACUGUAUAUAGGGUUCAAACCCCUGACAUACAGUCCAAAAAAGGACUUAGAUGGCCACUGAAUGAUUCAUUUUUCGCUGUUGUCAUUUGAGAGUUCCGUAAGAAAAGUAAAACUUGGAUUGCAUUUUCCGUCAUUUUUCAUGGAAAAAUUACUGUAGCGAUUUGAUAUAUGUGAGGGAAAAAGGUAAUAGGGAAAUGUGAUCACGGAAAACGACAAUAUUUUCCGACGGAAACAAGCAAUCCAAGCAUGGCAGCAUUUCUUUACUCAUGAAUAAAAUAUGUAAAUAUCUCCUUAAUGAAGUUGAAUGUGAUGAAAACGACAAGAAAGUUCUAUAAACCAAGUGUUAUUAAUUUAUAUGUCAUGAACAAAAUUAGACCAAACAAGAACUUUAGGGACCAAUUCAACAACUCACCACAAAACCACUCUAUAAAUAUAAAUCCUACCUGGUGUUAUAUGCUGCAAUCAAACUCCCACUUGCCAGUCUCUAUCCUACCAUACUCCAAAACUCCAACUCAGAGCAGAAUUUAGAUUUUAUUAGGCCAUUUCUUUACUCUCUUCUCUGCAUCUUCUCUGAAAUGGCCGCUGCUACAGCUGGGCAAGGCAUCAAUAAUGCAAGUUUCAUGGAGCUUCAAGCCAUGAAACACUACUCAAGCUCAAAACUUCCCACUUUUGGAAGGCGGUCCGCUAAUAUGUCCAUUAAAGUAAGGCUAUUGAUCUCCCUCCAACCUUUUUUGCAUGUUUUCACCAAAAUUCCUUCUUGUUUUUUUAUCGGUAAAAGGGCUCUUCUGGGCUUGACGAAUUUUGCGUGUUAUGACAGAGAUAUGUCUUUUCAUCGUGUUCAUUAUCAAUGAACGGUUGCCAAGGUGAUGAUCAUGACCCAAGAGCUCCCAUUGGAACCAUUGAAACUCGGACUUUUCCCGCUGUUUCUACUCCGGCAUUGGCCGUAGAAAGUCUCAACGCAGCCAUUGCUGAUAUGCAAUCACAGCCUUCAGCUUCUGACUCCGGAAUCAUCCGUCUUGAGGUUGGCUCCUACUGCAAUAAGCUACACAAAUCUUCACUUAUUUUUUUUUUAAGGGUAAUAAACAAAAAAAAACUCCUAUGAUGUAGCUAUUCUAUAGAAAAACCCCCUCUGGUGUAGUUAUCCUAUAGAAAAGCCGCCUAUGAUAUUAAAUCACAUGCGUUGGUACCUCAUGAUUUAAAGUAAAGUGAAAAAUUGAUGGAAGCCAUUAGAUCUAACGUGUUUAAUGUAAACACGUUGGAAUUGCACGUGAUUCUUUUGAAAAAUAGUUUUUUACGACAAAAUUUGAUCUGAUAUACCUUUUUUGCCCUUCAAACCUUAAUAAAAUUACCAUGGCUCUUCUUCAAUUUCGCUCCAAACUUGUAGAAACUGACGAUUUUUGCUUUAUAUUAUUAGUGAAUGAAAUUGAUGAAUAAAAAAUCGUUUGUUUUUUACUAUUUUUGCUUAUAUUAUUAGGGUAUGUUUGUCAUUUCACUCAAAACCAUUUAUUUUAACGAUUUUCAUCAAUGUUUCAAAUUAUUUUAAACCAUGAGAUACCGACACGUAUGUUUCUUAUCCUUUUUUUCCCGUUUCUUUGGGGGGGAGGGGGGACCAUGUGAGGGUUUCGUUUGUGAAAAAUGAAAAGAAAAUUGUUUGCCACGUGGUUGGCACAGGGAAAGAGGGCACUGGAUAAUGCAAUCUUCUUUGCUCAUAUUUUUGCAUGAAUCACUCAUAAACUCAAAAAUUUGGAUGACUCGAUUGAUUUCACCCCAAAAAACAUACUUACCGGAAAAAUAAGAGAGAAAAGGUUCAAGAAAAAGACAGAAAGUAAAAGGGUACAACAUUUUUUCUUUUCUUAAUCGAUAGAAGAUUUUGCACAUCAUUCUAGGAGUAGGAAAAUGCCUAGGAGGGGUACUUCUUAUUUUGUUGUUUUUUCUGAAAUCGUGUUUAUACAGAAGAAUGUUGUUACUGUAGGCAUUAUCUUCCUAGGCAUAUCUAAUAAUUUACCUGAACUUCAAUUUUCUAAGUUUUCAGACUGGGUCGUGGAUGACUUUGUAAUAUUUUUAAUUAUUUUUGCUAUAUACAUUAGUAUUUUUAAGGUAGAUUUUAGCACUAACUAAUUUGAAAAUAGCUCUUACUUUGGAUCUUCUAACUCAAAAGUCAUUAGUUAACAACUAAUUCUAGUCAAACCUCCUGUAGGCUGGGAAAAAUAGGGAUGGACGCAUGUCAAGUUUUCAUUGAUCAGAACCUUCAAAAGAACUUUCUGUGUAUUUUACCUGAAGGUGUCAAAGUCAAUUUGUUUUGGUAAUUCAUAUGUCACCCUUCAUAUCUAAGACAAUAAUGUAUUAAAAUCUAGGAUAUGUUUAAGCUAUGGCCUAAGCAAAGACCGUUGAAGAUUGACUCGUCCAAACAUUAAGGGUUAAUCAUCUGUCAACAUUGGAUAAAUGACAACUAUAAAAUUCAACUUUUAUACGUGUGGUAUAGAUUCAAUGGUGGUAAUAUAUAUAUAUUGUUAAUAUACAUAAGAUUUGCUCAAAUAUUAAACCUAUUUAAAAGAGUAACUUUUAAUGUAGACGUUGCUGCAUAUAUUAAAAUUUAUAUCUUAAAAAGUAUAUUUAUAUAAAUCCAAAAAAGUAUAUUUCAAGUGUUAUAUUUAUAAGAUGUACAGAAUGUCAAAUAUACUUUUUAAGAUAUAUUUCAGGUGUCAUAUUUUCAUAAAUGUAAGAUUAAUUGGGCAAAGUAAAUAAAUACAAGGGAGGGUAUGUAAGAUUAAAUAGGAAAAUUAUAUAAAUGCAAGGGAGAGUAAUAAUUAUUAGUAUGUGUAUAUACAUAGUAGAUUAGGUAAAUAUUAGAUGUGUUAACUGGUGCCCAUAAAAAAACCCUUCUUUUUUAUCUCUACUUCAUCCGAAAAUGAGUAGGGAUGAUGCUUAAUGCAAGUAUUUAAACAGGCAGCUAUAGAAUAAACACAACUUUCCAUUGUCAAAUUUGUUAGAUGAUAUCAUGUCUCCUGUUUGUACUCUCGGUAUGAGUGGAUGAUUUCUUUAAUUAAAUCCAAGUUGAGUUAAGUUUUUUUGUAACAAAGAUUGGUCAACUAAGUUGCUUAAGAUACAAUUGGAGUAUUGGGAAAGAUUUAAGGAUGCAAAAUGUUUUAUUAGUCACCCUUAGAGUUUUGUACCUUACAUUAUAUAUAUAUAUAUAUCAAGAAAAAAAGAGCAAAGGAGGGUUUAACAGCAAUAAUUAAUCAUUCCUUUCAACUUAAUGGGGGUUAACAUGCAUCAUGAAACAUGUGCAAGUAGGCAUUUUUACGAGUGGAAAUCAAAUGGGCCAAAAAUUCCUGUUUGGAUUGCUAUAUUUAGGAGUUUUUGUAAAAUAAUAUAUAUACUGUAAUGAUUUAAUUUAAUAUAUAUAAGAUAAAAUGGUGGUUGAAAAAUAUGUUCACGAAAAUCAUAAAAUUCUUUUUUUUUUUAUAGAAAACCACAGUCCAAACAAGGCCAGGCAGAAACUGACUGGUGUUUCACACAAAUUAAAUUCUUGAACGAGAAAUGGUUUUCAUAAAGUGAGAAAUUAAUUCAUCCUCAUCACUCCACCUACGGAUUUGAGUGCGAUAGUCGCCUUAAAUGCUAUGCAGUUGAAUUCUUGAAAUGGCAUUGCUCACCGAGAUAGAAACCGACUUAAGGCUAAUUAUUCCACCUUGGCUGAGGCAAAAAUUAUACUCCUAAGAUAGUUUUAUCAGUUUGUAUAAAUUCCUUGGUAUAUUUCGUAGUCAUAAUAGAAAUUAGUUCGUACAAAAAAAAAAAAAAGAAAUUAGCUGUGAUAGCAACAUCUUAAGGUGAAUGAAUGACUAAUGUGAUGAAAGAGGCAGAGUGGAAUGAUUGUAGCUGUGAUAGAAAACAAAGGUCUCAAUCAUCACAAAAAUAAUAUUUAAUUGUUCAUGCAUGUCUACACCAAUACAAAGUUUAAUUCCUUAAUUUUAGAUGCAUAAUUGAUUAAUUUUUUUUUGUUAAUAAUUUGGUUUUUUUUGUGGAAAAUAACUAAAAUGAUCCCUCAUAUUUUAAAAAUCUUUUUCUAGUCCCUAACAUGUAAAACAACGUAAAACGAUUCCUUAUAUAUAACAAAUGUGCCAAUUUGGUUCCAAAACCUAUUACCAACGAAAAAAUUUUGGCCCAAAAAUACUCGUUCAAAUUAUGUGCAUGGGCAAAAAAGAAACAAGGAUACUAUUUUCCACAAAAAAAAAAAAACCCUUCUAUGGUCCAUCACGUUUUCCCUUCCUAGAUGUUGUGAUGGGAAAACUUUUUUGAGGAGAAUGUUAUUCUUUUCCUCUUUUAUCCCUAAAAGUAUAAGCAAGUGACUUGGGCAUGUAUAUGUUGGCUAUAAAUUUUGGUAGGAAAUAGGUUUUGGAACCAAAUUAAUACAUUUGUAAUAUGUGAGGGACUAUUUUGCAUUGUUUUAUAUGCGAGGGACCAAAGAAAGAUUUUUUUUUUUUAAAUGUAAGCAACUAUUUUGGUUUUUUCUCCUUGUUUUUACUAAUUUUCUUCUACCUUUCUAUUUAUAACAUGUUUAUGAUGUAUUUACUGCCAUUAGCAUAACUUUAUUAUAAAUUAUCUGUUUAUGAUUAAAAAGAAAAAGAAAACCUUGACACUAUCUCGUAAUAUUUAAUGUAGUAUUAUUUUAUGACGGCUUCCUAAUUGCAUUACCAAAUAAUAUUUUCAAGGGGUUGUUAAAUUUUAUUUCUAGUAAUUUCUUUCUUUUAUUUUUUGAGUCGAGCUAUUAUUCGCCCCAUUAUUUGUCGAACUUGGACUUCAUCUUUCUAAUCAUAGCUCGGAUGAAGUCAUUUUCAUCAUUUUCUCGAGAAUCUAAGAGUUUCUUAAUUUUCACAGCCUCUUGAAGGAAUAAAUUGCUCGUAGGAUAUUUACUCCCGGAUAUCACAUGCGUGGCUGCCCAAAAUUUCUCUAACACAGAGCACACUUUUUCUGCUUUUUCCCAAUCCUCAUAAGCUGGACAGGAAUCAUAGAGUGGAUCUCUAUCUUGAAAACGAGGAAAAACAUCUUUGAACUUCAUAGCACAGCUUAGCAUUUCGAAGGUGGCAUUCCAUCUUGUUCGACAAUCAUAAAGCAACUUUUUCCCGGGUAUUUGAAGUUGUUGUGAAAUCUCAGCGAACAACAAUAAUCUGGUCUCUGAGCGAUUGACAAAAUCGACGCUGUCCCUAAUUUUGUUUACAAUGUCCGCAAUCUCAGAAAGGCCGACUUGAACAAUAAGGUUCAAGAUGUGCGCACAGCAUCGAACAUGAAACAACUUGCCGCCACCUAAUAGUUUCUUCGAUCUACUAAAAUCAACCCGCAAAACUCUAAUAGCCACAUCAUUGGCUGAAGCAUUAUCAACUGAAAUUGUGUGUAUUUUUUGCUCAAUACCCCAAUCCUUCACACACUUGAAGAGUGAAGCAGCAAUCUCAACCCCUCGUCUAGGAGGUGGUAUGUGAACAAAGUUGAGCACUCUCUUUUGUAGCUUCCAAUCUGAGUCAAUCCAAUGGCCAGUAAUAACCAUAUAUUCGAUCUUUUGAUUUUUAGAUUUCCAAAGAUCGGUUGUGAGGCUUACCUUUUUCACAUUUCUUAACUUUUUCUUCAGCUUCUUUUUCUCAAGUUCAUAGACUGCCACACAAUCAUUUUUUGCAACUCCUCUAAUGAUCUUUUGCCACUCGGGCAUGCCACGCUUUAGGAAAAUAUUCAAACCUUCUUCUUCAAGAAUGGUGAAGGGAUGUUCGUGCAUCACAAUCCAAUGUGCAGCGGCUUCUCUCAUUUUCUCCAUGUCAAAUUUUCCGGUAUGCAACGGUGGUAUAGAAGGAAAUGCAUCAUCAGCCGGCUGAAAGUUCAGUUUCGUUUGUUGUGCAGCUUGUCUUAAACUUUCUUUUCUAGAUGGACAUGAGUUUCGGUGCCGCCACAAGCUAGUUGUUUGCUUUGAUUUACCCCUCGAUAGCUUUUUAUUGCAGUAACGGCAAAUGGCAUAGUAAUUGCCAUUUUCUUCAAAUUCGUUGAAGUCCUCCCAAGCUUCAGAAGUUUUAUUCCGUUUUGGAAUAUGGAAUUCAUCAUCUUCAUCUAAUUUAUCAUUUUCUCCUUCUUCAUUGUUAUCGUCAAUAACCACAGCUUCUUGUCCUUCUUGUAUAUUACCAAAGGAGUACUUUGUGUAAUUGGAUUAGUCAUCAUGUUUCCUGGAUUCAUCGUUGACUCAUUGGAGACAAAUAUUGGGUUGUCCAAUAUCAAUGGAGUACAUGAAUCAGUAUUGGAAACCAGUGGGAUACAAGAAAUCUCGGGUUGACUGCCCUUGUCUUGGGUUGACAUCAGUCCAUAAACACAUGCAGUCCAAGGCUCCAAGCUAAAGAAAAACAACAAAUUUUCAAAUCAGGGCAAGGAAAUUUUCAAGCUAAAGAAAGACACAUCCAUUAACGGAGGCUUUCACCAUGAAUUUCAGAGACUUUUAAGGUGUAAACAAAACUAUUUAAAAAAAAACUUGCUCUGAUAAUUAUUUAGAGAAGUUUUAGGCAUAUGAAUUAAAUAAAGAAUACAUUUUUUGAGGUUCUGCUUAUAAUUCUUUUCAGUAAUGAAAAGAUUAAACCUGCUACAUUUCAUUAAUCACACUUUGAUCAUCAACAAAUGUAUAAAUCUGUAUUAAUCACAGUAAUCAGAUGCUAUGAUAUACUCUUCCUACAUUUUUUUCAAAGGUUUAAAAUAAAAACAACUUUCAACUGUCUCAAAUAUCUUUUGACUUACGCUAAAGGGAAAAGAAAUUUCAUACUUGUGUUGCUUCAUCCCUGCUUUUUAUCAUACUUGGCAAAUCCAUACAUACCUGCCCUUAUACUUGUGUUGCUUCAUCCCUAACUUUAUACUUUUGUUAGCUAGGACCAACUAAACCAAUUAUAGAAAGUUCAAAUAUUGUUCUAGAUAUGCUAACAUGGAGGUCAGAUGACACGUACUGAAGAAAAACUUUAGGAGUUCCAUUCUUAGAAACAUGAACAAUAUGAAAUCAGCAAUGCUCAUUAAUCAAUAUGGUUGUUUCUUAGCUUUUGCUGGGUAUCAUGCUGUUGACGUGCCUUGGCAGCAUUCAGACCUUUGCCAACAGGCUCAAGAGAAAACAAGUGAUUCCUCUAGCAAAAAAAAAAAAAAAACCUUGCUCGUAUCCAAUUUAUGAGAAAUUGCACAGAAAGACAGAAAUAAUAAAUCAAUCUUUAACCCAAAAUUCUCUCUUUGAAGACUCUUCACUAAACAGCCAGUGGGUGGCAGAGAUUCAAGAGAAGGAGAAGAAAAAAUAAAAGGUCGGAGAAGACGAGGAGGCUUUCAUAUCAGAUGCACGGGUUGUGGUGACCAAAUCUAAAUACAAUAACCAACAAUUUCAGCAACAAGCUUAAAAUACAAAUUUUCCUCACGUUUUCCUUUCCAGUAUGCUUAAAUGCUUAAUACAUAAUACAACCAAGUUCUUACCCGCAUGCUUAAUACAUAAAUUCAAAAAGGAGAAGGAGAUUCUGAACUUACAGGCGGAUUCAAAAGCUACCGGCGAUGGAUAAGCAAAUCAAUAGCUGCUCUGGGAAGCUUCAACGAGCUAGCAACAGAGACACGACUUGGGAGUUGGAAAGAGGAAGAAAGGCUCGAUGGGAAAUGGGAAAUGGGAAGUGGGAAGUGGGAACUGGCUAAAAGGCUAGAAAGGCUAGAAAGGCUAGAAAGGCAGAAAGACUAGAAAGGCUGAAACUGAAAGGCUGAAAAGCUAGAAAGGCUAGCGAUGGGAAGUCUGGGCGGGAAGUAGGAAUUUUUUUUUUUUUUGAGCAAAACUCUCAGAUAUAUAUAUGUGUAUAUAAAUAUAGAAAAUCCACUGUCCAAUAUUUACAUGAUACGCAAGGGCAACGUAUAACUUCAAUCAUUCCACAGCCUUCCCUUCCAAGAGACUCGAAAAGUCAGGAAAUAGCAACAAAAGAAGGGAUACUACAAGAUUACAGCAGUCAAAUAACAGAGGCUUUUUGGCACAAUUUUAGCCGCUGAGUCUGAACCUUGUCUUCAUUCCCAUGUAACUGAUAUCAUGGAGUUAGCAAGCCCUGAUGCCUCGAAUGUUAAAUCUAUGUUGUAGUCCAAGGACUUGGACCCAGGGAUAGCUUGUGUCAAGCGAAAUGGCCUUGUCUUGGCUUCCUCCAACUGAGAACAGCAGAAUGACCACAGCAACUGAAUUGGGAAGUAGGAACUUGACUAUUCUUUUUAGUAUAAUUAUCACUUCACCCAUAAUUAUUCCUCAGAAUUUAUUUAAUAAUAUUAGUAAUUUUAUAUAUAAUUUUUUUUUAAAUUUUUAUGUGAUACUCGAUAAAGCUCGUCGAGCUUUCGAGUAUCAAAUUUAUGGGCUCGAGCUCGACUCGAUAGCUCUAUCGAGCAGCUCGAGAUCGAGAUCGAGCUCGAGCUUUUGGACGAGCACAUAUCGAGCUCGAGUCGAGCUCCUCGACUCAGCUCCACCCCUACUUAUAUGCAUGCGUAAUCAAAGCCUUAAACGGAAAAUAAUUUUUUUUUCUUUAUUUGAAUCCCUAUGUAUAUACCUAACGGAUGACGACAGUCAACUGAGGAAGAUUUAUAAUACCUUUGUAGUCAACUUCUUUUCGUGCUGUCCGGAACAGGAAUUAUAGCAAUAUUGGCUAAUCUUAUUAUUUGCUUCUACCACAACCUGCUCAAAUGCACCAAUAAUCCUAUAUAUGAUCAGCAAAGUUGAUAUGGAAGGGAAUGAAUUUCUGAAACUUUAUACAUUCCGUUCAAUCUUUUGAUAUAUUACCUUGUUUGUGCAUUUCAUUUUUUGGAUGCCAUCACUAGUAAUCAUAUCUCCAUUUUUUGUGAUAAAUUUGUGCUCUUCCUGCAUUUCAAUGGGUUUUCAGGGUAUUAUUAGACAAUCCCGACUGUUCCACAAGGAAUUAAGUAAGAUUUGGAGUCUCUCCUUAAAUAAAAGAAAAAAUAAAAUAAAAUAAAGAAUUAAGUAACGUGUGAUAACAAGAAUGUACCUGAAGCUUUUUCAAGACAUUGGGGUAUAUUUGCCUAUAAAAUACACAGCCCACAUAAUCCAUUAAAUCGUUUCUUGGUUUUGCCUCAUUCCAUCCAGCCAUCCUUACGCUUUUCCAACUCCUCCUUGAAAAUCGCUAUGGCUUUCUUCCGACACUAUUGGAGCCAAGGGGGGCAGAGGGGGGCCAUAGCCCCCCUCAGUUUUGAAAAUUUUAAUUCAUAAUAUGUAAAUAUAUGUGUAAAAUAAAAUUGACCCCCUCUAAAUUUUUACAAUUUUAGUUUAUAUUACGAGAGUUGAUAUAUAUAUAUAUAUAUAUAUAUGAAUUAGUCAUCGAGUUGAUAUAUUUCUUGCAACAAUUGAUUAUUAAUUGCAAGAGUUACAUAGCAGGUUUAAUGAUCAUACCAUGGAAUUGCUUAUUUUGAGCACUGCUUUAGAUCCUAAAAAUGGAUUUAUGCUGUUCAAGAUUGAUUAUAUUUGUAAACUUGCAGAGAAGUUCUAUCCGAAUGAUUUUAUGGAGCAAGAAUUAGUACGUCUAAGAAUAGAACUUCAACAUUUUGAGCACGACAUUCCAAAUCAUCCUGAAUUGCAUGAAUUAUCUGGUAUUCAUGAGUUAUGUCAAGGUUUGGUGAAGAUAAGAAAAUCAGUGAUAUAUCCUCUUAUUGACAGAUUGACUAGACUUGUUCUUACUCUUCCUAUAUCAAUUGCAACUACAGAGCGGGCGUUUUCAAUUAUGAAAAUAAUCAAGACAAAACUCCGAAACAAGAUGGAAGAUAAUUUUUUGAAUGAUUGUCUAACUGUGUAUAUAGAAAAGGAAGUUGCUGAAAAAUUUAGCAGUGAUUCAAUCAUAGAUGAAUUUAGUUCUAUGAAAGUGCGUAGAACUCAAUUUACUUCUAAGAAAAGAUGUUGAAAUUUCAAAGUAUGUUAUCAUAACUUUUAUCUUUUUUCAAUUGAAAAUAUUUACAUUUAUAUUACAUGGUUAUAUAUAUAUAUAUAUAUAUAUAUUUAUUGCACAAGUGACAUAUUGGAGAGCAUCUUCUCAUAAUGUGCAAAUUGGAUGGUUUGUGAUGUUAUAAGAUAUUUAAUCAAAAGUUAUUUUUUUGAUAGUUUUUGUUAUGACUGUAACGCAUAUUUAUGAAUAGACAUACCUUUAUAAUUAAAUUUAAUAUUUGAUAUUUUUAGAUGUCAUAUAUUUAAAUAGAAGAAAAUUAUUUUGAACAUAAUAUAUUAAGAUAAUUUUAUUAGGAAAAAAUUUUGGACCCCCCAAAAAAAAAUCCUGGCUCCGUUGCAACGCAAAUGGCAUCAAGAAUUUACAAUGAUUAAACUGCAAAUUGGACUAAACUGGGAAGACGAAAAAGAAUUUAAAUACUUAAUUGUCAAGAAUUAACAAUAUCCUCUCUUAUGUGUAAUACAUAAAGCUGUUAGUGGUAUUAACCAUCGGCCGUUCUAAUGGGGGCGGGGAGGGAGUGCUGCCCCCCCCCCCCAAGAUUUCAAAAAUCCAUUGGUGGCCCUUAAAAUUAUAGUAAUUUUCAUUUAUACCUAGUAGAAAUUAGAUUUUAUUGCCCCAAAUUUUUUAAAUCCUUCAACAUUUCCUUAAAAUGUUUCAUCUCAAUAUUAGAAUUUGCCCCACAAAUUUUCAAAAAUAUACAAGAGUAUUUUCUUAAAAGAACAGCCUUCCUAAUAUUGCGUCUAAAACCUUAUUCUUAACUUCUAGUUCCGCUAGUGGUUUUAACCCUCUUAAAAGAGCAGCAUAUACUGCAUAUUGGAUUAACAAUCAUUGUUAGCACUAUAAGAGCAAACAUGAAAACUACACAAGCUGACCCUGGAAAAUUGAUAGGCUGAAUUCUUAAUCCUUUUACCAUUUCCUGAGGUAGCUUAUCAAGGGUUUCCAAAUGGACACCUCACCUGGCCGAAAGCCCACAAAAUAUUUACCGAUGUUCUCAAAGAUGACCUGAAGGCGGAAAAUGAAAGACAAAACACCAGAGGUCUAGACAUUAUAUUCAAUGUUGUAUAUGCGUGAAUUCUUGGCAAUCUUUGUAUUUAACUUGCAACAUUUUUAGCUUCAUUAUAUGCUACAAGUCUGCCCUUUUGUGCCCAUAAUUGUAGGGCUGCGACUAUACGAGUCUGAACCAUUGCAGCAAUCCUGAAAUAUUCGGUACAAGUUUUGUGAGUUAUCUAAGUGUUUUUGUUUAAAUUAUGAAAAUUCAUAAGCCAUGCGAUUUCCUUCUGGUUAAUAAUAUAGUUUGACUGUAAAAAGUCAGAAGAAUGCUCAAACCAAUGAAAAAGGUAAAGUAACUGGACCAUGCUUUAUAUAAUGUUCGAGAGGAAUUGAUGAUUUCCUUUUUUGAAUUACCUCUAUGGUUCUGCCUGUCAUUGGGGUUUGGUUAGAGAAUAGAGGGAAUUUUAUGGCAUAAGGCGCACUUGAAGGCAAGGCCACCAUUUAUAUGAAUUAAGAGGACAAAGUACUGGUGGUUAAUUCUUGGUUUUACUGCUGGAAUGGAGGAAGAAAAUAAUUAAAUAGUUCAAUACCUUAAGGUUAUUCUGUUCCUAAGUUUUCAAUACAAAUAAAAGAUUGGUCAUGUCUUUUGUUUUCGUGGGGAUGGUUUGUUAGUAACAAGACGAAGAAGAAGACUGCUGAUUUGGUCCAGUUUUCGGAAUUGUUGCAAAUUGCAAAUUAGCCCUUGAAGUCUGGGUCAAUUAGAAUAGGGUAGCUAAAGUAUAUAAAAAACUUGUAUUGUGGUUCAAAAAUUUUGGAGUUGGACUAAUUUCAAAUUAAAUAGCCUUCCUGCUUAAAUUGAAAAUAAGUUAUUUUAAGAAUGACCCUAUAAUUAUAAUUUAAUCAAACCUAAUGUUUCUUCAAAUAAAGCCAAUCUUAUUAUAACAGAACCAUUUUGACCUAAAUAAAUCCAGGGACUCUAUUAAUAACCCAAAUAAAAAUUUUAAAUCCAAAUACAAAAAAAUAAACAAGGCAUCUUGCAUUAAUGGGCUUAUACAUUAAAUUGUGGGUUAAGGUUGAUUAUUAAUAAAGGUUGAUUUAGGCCAAAAGAGAAUUAGGCUUUAGUUAAACUAGUAUCACUUUUUGUUAGGAUAAAAUCAAUAAUUGACCGGAUAAUUGGUUUAAUGGAUAUUUUGUUGGACUUAUUAAACUUUCCCCAACAAAUAUAAUGAACAUAUCUUAUAAAACUUAAAAACAAGAGUGUAGUAUUUUCUAUACGUGCCUCACUUUUGAUCAUGGAAUCUUAGGGUUGAACUCGUUGCACACAUUAAUUCUUAAGGAAGUUUUGAAAACCCAAAUUUAAUUAUAAUAAUUUAAGUUUUGACAAAUAGACCCAAUAACAAUACUAAAGAUUCAAGAUUUUCUUUUAAGUUCUAUUUGAACAAAAAGAAAUAUAUUUUUAUGGUUGGACACAGCUCUAGGUCCAAACAUAUAUUUAAAUUGACUUUAAAUAAUGCUGGCCAUUUCUACAAUAAAUAAAUAAAUGAGUAAAUUAAAUGAAUAAAUAAAUAAAUAGCACUUAUUUAUGGAUACCAAAUUAUGGCCUCUUCUAAAAAGGGAGAACCUUCUAAAUUAGGAAUCUUUCUACAAAGGAAAACUUUCUGUUUUAGGAAACUUAUUAAAUACUUUUUAUAAAAGGUUCAGACAUGCUUCCUUGGGUUAUUUAAUAUAGGAAUAAGCACCUUAAGAGUUGGACUUACUAAGUAAUCAAGGUAUACAUAUGUCACUGGUUAUAGGUUUGAAAGGAGUUCGCGGACAUGUUAAGAAUCCUUUCAAUUAAGUAGUUUGAGGUAGGUGGUACUUACUUUUCUGAGAUUUCAAAAGUUCUAAGUGAAAUUUUUAUUGAUAAUCCUAUUUUGAUGUGUCAAUUUGAAAUUUACUUGAUUAAAUGAUUUAUUUGAAUAUUUAUGCAAGUUCUAUUUUUGGUAAAUAAAGAUGGCCAUGUGAAUUAUUUGAAGCAUUUUGGAAUGUUAUUAUAUACAAAAUAAGUGGCAUCUUUUGUGGAAUAAAAAAACUAUACAUUUGACGUGUGAAAUGAAUUUAUGUCAAGUAAAGUUCAAAAUAGUCAUGGAACAGACGGUAGGGGCUAUAGUCCUAUCUAAUGAUCAUGGUAGUCUGGUAUAGAAUCCGGCCAAUUGACAAAGCCAUGGGAGUUCGGUAUAGAGCCCGAUCGAUUGACGAUCAUGAUAGUUCGGUAUAGAAUCCUACCGAUUGAAUGUCAUAGUAAUUUGGUAUAAAGUCCGGCCGAUUGACCAAUUUAUGUAAUGAGACCAAUCGGUAGUCAUGUAACCCAUUGGUCACCCACCUAGAAGGGAUUUAAUUUUUAGACUGAGUACUCAGAAGUUGGACAUUGCAUGUACUUGUUAUGAGCUGCUAUGAAAUGAUUUAUGACUAUAUGGCUUUCAUGUACGAUUAUGUAUAGGAUGUCUACAAGUUGCUGUAUCACUCAUUAUUAUUGACUGUCUUACGAAUAAUGAAUUUUCAAUAAUUAUGCAUGUGAAUUGUGUGCAAAUAAUUUGAUAUAUAUAUAUAUAUAUAUUUUAUGUACAUGUAACCUAUGGUUGCAUGAUCCAACAAAAGGGUAGACGCUACCUAUUAAGCGAUUUGUUGCUCAACCCAUUUUUACUGCUUUUGUAGAUUUUGAAGAGUAUGAAUUGGUUUACGUUGAAUACCGUAAGGAUGAUUUUUAUUAGCGCUAAGUGGAUAGAAAUUAGCAGUCUAGCUGCUUUUGGUUAUUAGUCUUAUUUAAUGUUUUUUACGUUGUUUCGUCUAAAAAAUAAAUGUACGAAUUUAUUGGAUACUCGUAGACUACCUCCUAUUUGAGAUUUGUACCGCACCAUAAUUAGUUAUUCUAUUUAGUACUUUCUAAGUUUUAUUCUAGUUCAAUGUGGCCUUGUAUUCUUGAGCGUGACUUGAGGAUAUGGCGGAUGUCACGUAACUGACACGUAAGAGUUAGGGGCGUGACAAUUUUUCUUGCAACUAAACCAACAAGUUCUACAAAAUUAUGGUGCACAAAAUUAUAUCAAUAGGCAAUGCGGGAUACAAUUUUAUGUUUGUUCGUAGAAAGAUUCACAGUACAAAAUGAGGCUCAGGAAACACAACUACUUAUUUGGCCGAGCGAAAUUUUGGGUAGAAAAAUGGGAUAAUUUCAUAAACAUCCCUUAAAAUUUUUAACUAUUUACUGACUUCUCUUCAGAUUUUAAAAAUUACACUAACGUCUCUUAAGGUUAAUUAUCAUGUAACAAUUAGGUCAAAUUAAUAAUUAAAAAGUGAUAUUAGGAGAGAAAAAGUAAUAUAAUUUCAUCAUUACCCCUCAUUUACUACAUUAUUUAAUACCAACCCACACAUUAAAGAAAAAUAAUAAAAUUGAUGUUUAUCAUUAGAGAUCAAAUCACAUAUAACAUCAAAAACCAGUAUAUCAUUUUAUAUUUUUCACUUAAUACAAGUUCCAAAUUACUCUUUUCAAUUAUAUAUCCAUUAUCAAAUAUGAUCAGUAACAAAUAAUCAAAAAUUUGUAAUCACAAUAUUACAGAGAACAAAGUUUAACAUCAUAAAUAUUUUUGUUAAUAUAUUAAGGUUAGUUGUUCAGAUUUUUAUGGUAUGAAAGUUUGCUCUUUAUAAUAUAUUGGUUACAGAUUUUUUGAUUAUUUGUUGUUGAUCAUGUUUGAUAAUAAUUUUGUAACUAAAAAUAGCAAUUUGAAUUUUACAUCAAGUGAAAUAUAUAAAACAAUAUACUAUUUUUGAUACUAUAUAUGAUUUAAUCCCUGAUGAUAAAUAACAAAUUCUAGUAUUUUCUUUAACGUUUGGGCAAGUAUUAAAGUAACUAAACAAUUUAGUAGCUGAGAGACAAUUGUGGAAUCAUUUUAUCUUCUUUCUUCUAAUAUCGCUUUUUAAUUAGUGGUUGGAUCAAAAUGUUACAAUAUAAUAAAUCUCAAUGUUGAUUGGUGUAAUUUCCAAAACCUGGAGGAAUGCUAGUGAAAUAGUCAGAAACCUCAAGGGAGAUUUCUGAAAUUAUCCCUAGAAAAAUUGUAUCUCAUGUUUGAAGUUAUAGAACUUUAAAAUCCUAGAAUUGCUUUAAACCAUAUUUUGAAAUCUCACUUGUGCUCCCAGAAAAGGACAAUAUAUUAAUCAACCAAAUUUCUGUACCCCUAAUUAUGAUAUUUACAAGUAUAUAAAUUCUUAUUAGAAUUUGAGAAAAGAAGAAAGGCAAAUAAAACUUACAAUGAACACUGUAGUAAAAAGAAAAUGACAACUUCUAUGGUGAAUAAUUUGAUUAUGUCUCACCUUCUAGAAAAAGACAUUGUUUAAACCAUUUCAUCCACUUAAUUAGUCAAAUACUUGUCACUUCCUAAAUAGUGCAGUCUUCGUGCACCAAUGAAACAGCAAAACUUUCAACAUGCUUAGGUCCUUAAAAUAUAAUACAAGCUAAAACUCAGAGACCUAUGCAUGUAGCACACCAAACAUCUUACUCAUGCAAACAAAACACCAUUGUAGGCAUAAAUCAAAACUUACUAAAUAACAUACAAGUUACAUUGAAUUUGGCUUUAUGGAUGUAAAUCUCAAUCCUGUCCCGAGGAAAUAAGACACAAUAAAAGUUACGUUGAUUCAAAAGCACAUUAGUAAUGUAAAUUUCAAUCAUGUCUGGAGGAAAUAAGACAUACAAUAAAAGGCACAUUGAUCCAAAAGUACUCUAGUAGCUAUUUCGAACGGCUAACUGUACUCUUGUUUGUAGUGCUUUAUGGACACCCCAAAUUCUCAAAUAACUUCUUCUGCCAGAAGUGAACACAAAAUACUCCCAUAUCAAUAAUGCAAUCAACAAUACACCUUCAAUGAAAGAUUAAACCUCCCUUGUAAUUUUUAGUUCUGAUCAAGUCACAUACAAGAAGAAAAUAAACUUUCAGAGAACAUUGUGCAAGUUUCUCUAAUCUGGGGAAUUGAAAGGUUAAAAAUUAGGAAACAUAAAUGUAGAAAGAAAUUAUGGAGAACCAUAAACAAAAUCCCAGGGAAGAAAAGGAGCAGUUAAAAUUUAUUAACACUAUAUAAUUUAAUAACCUCAUAUUCUUUUAAAAAUUCAUAAAGAAUCUAGCUAACAAAUCCAGAAGAAAGGGGAAGGGAAAUGAAUUCAGAUUUUAAUCAAAAGAAAAUUAUUAAAAUCUACUGAUGGCAGUCAAACAUAUCCUUCAUCAAUGAUAAUCCCAUCAAAUGAGAAUUUAUUAACACAAACCACUAUGACUAGAUACUCUAUCCAAACAAAUUGUCAUGUAAUUAUUUAGAAAGCAGCAAAUUGUUAAUUGUCAAUAUAGUUGCAUUAACACAAAAAACAAGAUAUUGAGUGGUCAUAAUUCUAACUCGUGUCAUCUACAUUAAAUAGUUUACUAAAAUAGACCAACACACACAGUUGUAAUGAAAAGUAAACUUAUGCAUGCAUUACGUAGCGAACAGCAAUGAACUUGAUGAACUUCCGAUUAACUCAACAUCAUCUGCACAAAGAGCAUGUCCUUGAGAGGGGCCAAUUUGGUGCUCUAAGAUUAAGCUACCUCUACUAUAAACAAGAUAACAUGUUUAAGAUGAUAAUUACCAUUUAGCCAUUGUAUCUGUCUCCAGCAAAUUGUAUGCAUCAUUGUAUGCCUUGAAUAUCAAGAAAAUGAUUGGCAAGAAAUGUGAGACAGGGAAUUCAGGAAAUGUGAAAGAAAAAAGAAAUGAACUACACAAUGAAGAUUUUUCACAUUUAGCUAAAUGUGAGAGAACAAAAAAAAAAUCUGAAAGGAAGGAAAAAUCUGCUUUCACUGUGUAUUUUGACAAAAUUAUAUAUCUCAGAUUAAAUAAUCAAAUCAAUUUUAAUCUAAAAAUGUUACCUCUUGCUAUUCAAUUUGAACGCAUUUUGAGUGGAUUAAACGAAUCUUAAAGCUUCUAACAGAAUUACCAUCACUAAUUCUUCAAGCUUUAUCAUGAUCCACUUCAAUUAACCCAGAAAGGAAUCAUACCAAACAGGUUAGUUGAGUAAAAACAUGACUUGAAAAUACAAACAAAACCAUUUCUUGUACGGAUACAGAAACAUAAAAGGUUAUUUAAAGUUUUUAAGCAAAAUGAUAAUUCAUUUCCCAAUUCUAGCCUGAGCUCAUAAUCUAGUAGCUAAGACUUCUCACUCCUAGGCAAACAUCUUUUCACCUGGAAAUAUUGAAACCAUUUAAAUUAAGAGUAAAUCUUUCCUACACUGACGGUGUAUACACUAUCAUCGUUGGAUUCAUGACAUGUGUGCAAAAGUUGAAUUUCAAAUUCAAAUUUUGCAUAGCUGUCAAUCAUCCAACGCUGAUAGUGUAUACACUGUCAGGUUGCUUGGUAAUGUUCAUAUUUUUCCAUUUGUGUUCUUUAACAUAAAUAUAAUGAAACACUUGAUCUAAUUUUUUUUUUAUUGUUAUGAAUGAAACAAAAAUAUGUUUGAUGCAUGAUAUUGUUUUAAGAAUAAUUAAACAUAAACAUUUUUUAUUGCAUAAAACAUUUUGCUCUUGUUUAAAAUUUUUUUCUUCUAUUCCUCCCAAAUUAACAUUCUUCGCUUUUUCUUACCUUCCUCAAGGAAAAUCUCUCUUAACUGAAUACUUAUCACUAAAUUACCACAAUAAACAUAACACAUCAGUACUACUAUCGCUCAUUAUAUCCACCUUUUAUUAAUAUCACCAAUUUAUUGAAAAUUUCUCCAAACUAAGCAUUAAUAUUAAUGCAAUUCACCGAAUAAUUAACAAGAUCUCCAAAUAAUACAUGAACAAUGGAAUGGAUUUCACCAGAAUUAGCCCUAAACCAUAAAAAGAAAAGGUCCCAGAAUUGAUAAAAUUCACUAAAAAAAUUAACCAAAACUCACCGAAGAAUUAAUCAAAACCAAUCCCCAAAUAUCCUAAUCACCAAAUUUCAACAAUAUAGGUCCAAAAUCACAAGAAUCAGCCCCAAAAGCAUUGGAUCCUCCAAAUUAAGGAGGCGAACGGAACUUUCCACCCAUAUACACUGAAAGAAGGAGAUUUAGAAGCUGUGGGGUGAGGGAAAUUCAACCUGUAAGAUUCCUGAGUUGAUAUAUCCACAAGGGAAAAUCGUUCAAAACGUCCCUCACAUUUUACAAGACGACUUUUUCCAUCCCUCACUUUUAAAAGUAUAAUUUUACAUCCAUUACAAAUUCAUAUUGACCAAAUUUGAUCCCUACCUAGAUUUUCGACUAGUUUUUUGCCGGAAUCCACCACGUGACUUGCAUGUGAUCAUUUUUUAAGGGCAAAAUUGUUAAAUCAAAUUUUUAGAUAAUCUGAUUCAUAGUCGCUCACAUUUCACAAAAUAAAUUUUUUUGUUCCUAACAUUUUACAAAAUGAAUUAUUUCGUUCCUCACAUUUCAAAAAAUAAAUUUUUCCAUCCCUCACAUUUUUCAAAAUGAAUUUUUUCAUCCCUCAUUGAUCAUGUGUACGAAUAGCUUUUUUUCUAUAAACCCACGUAUAUGUCCAUUUGAUUUUACCUGAACAGUAUGAAUAACAUGUAAUUUAUCUCUAUUGGAUUUCAUCUAAACAUGCUAAUCGUAGUUAUACACAUGUUAUUCAAUAGAUAUAUAUAGGGGUUUAAAACUAAUAAUUUUGUUUGGAACCCAUGUAUAUAUUUAUAUGAUUUCAUCAUUUGAACCUAUUCAAUAUUUGUGACCUUUCUCAUUUGGUAAUAAUUUAUUUAUUGAAUUGUAUAAUAAGGUAAUCUAAUUAAUGGGUCCUAAUUCGAAUGCUAUAAUUGUGCUGACAAAUUUUAGUUUAAAUCUGAAAUUUCUAUUCGACACUUUUAAGACCAACAGUUGAAUUAUUUGCUUUGUGAUUGUCUUAAAAUUUGAAAGUGCCAAUCACUUAUUUCUUUUUGUCAUACUUUUCUUUUGUUUACUUUUUCUAUCCAAAUUUAAUUCGAUAUAAACACUCGAUAAUAUUUAGGAUUAAAUGUGCUCUUUAUUUUCAAAUUUCGAGUAAAAGAAAAUGAAUAUAAGUGAAAAACUAACAAUUUUUUUAAACCCAUGUAUAUAUCUAUUUGAUUUCACUUGAGCACUACGAAUAGUAUGUAAUAUAUCUCUAUUUGAUUUCACAUGUUAUUCGUACUGUUAAAGUGAAAUCAAAUAGAUAUAUACAUGGAUUUAAAAAAAAAUUAUUCACACACAUGAUCAAUAAAAGAUGAAAAAAAUCGUUUUGAAUAAUGUGAAGGUUGAAAAAAUUCAUUUUGUGAAAUGUAAGGGACGACAAAAUUUAUUUUAUGAAAUGUGAGGGAUUAUGAAUUGAAUUAUAUAAAAUUUGAUUUGACAAUUUUGCCCUUAAAAUAUAAUCACAUGCAAGGCACGUGGUGAAUUUCGACCAAAAACUAGUCGAAAACCUAAGUGGGAACCAAAUUUGACAAAUGUGAAUUUGUAAGGGAUAUAAAAUUACAUUUUUAAAAGUGAAGGACAAAAAAAAUUAUUUUGUAAAAUGUGAGGAACGUUUUGUAUGAUUUUCCCUAUCCAAAAUGGCCAAGAACAUGCUGAAAGGAAGUUCAUUGAUAUUAUAUCCAACUUGUUUAGACAUAAUUCAUAAUCAAAAUACGAGGCUUAGUAGUAAAACUACAAUAGAGCAGUAAAAAUAAGAUCUAAUAUUUAGAGAAAAUAAAAAAUAACUUCAAAACACAUGAAAUCCAACUUCAGUUUCUUAAUAUUCUUUUUGCAGGUGAACUUUUUCCCUAGCACCGAGUCUGAAAAAUGAAGAAAAGAAACUAUUUGACUGGAUCGUAGAUUCAACUAAGAAAGUAAUCAAUAAAAUUAGUUGUAAUUAACCCUAACAAAAGAAAAAAGAUAGCUUGAACUACUAAGCGAAUCUAUAUCUAUAUGUAUUGCAGGGAAAGGUUUUAGGAUGAUUAAAUCGGAAUUCUUAUAACUCCUCAUUCCUUUUUUUUUUUAUAGAAUUUUGAAUUUUUUAAAUUGUUACAUAUCCUUUCGUGUCUUUUGAAUUUAAAAAAUAAGGAGUGGCCCACGUAUAUAGGAAUAUAUAUAUAUAUAUAUAUAUAUAUGAAAGUAGUUAAUUAGAGUGUUUCUCACUCUUAUGUGAUAUGCUUAAUUGAUGAGAAUUAACGGGUUAUAGGUAAUUUGGCUUUUACCCAUAUUGAAUAUUAUAAUAUAUGUUUAAAAAUUAUCCCUAAUUUUAAAAUAAUUUUAAAAAAUGACUAAUCUUAUCUUAAUGAUAUCUAAAAUAAUUUUUAAAAAAUAACUAAUCUUAUGUUAAUGAUAUCUGCUUUCUAUCAAAUUAUUACAUAUAACUAUAGUAAAGCCUUUUUUAAAUUACAAUUAUUAAAAUCUUACAUAUUCCAUAAAUUACUUCCUUUCAUCACCAUAUCAUUAAUUAGUAUUUAAAUUGCUCAUCAUCUCUUCCCUUAAUUUUGAAAUAAUUUAGUGUAAAAAAGAGAAUUAAUUAUUACACUGACAGAAUUACCAAUAUUAUUGGAAACUAAAUAUUUAUUGAUGAAAAAAAAUAGAUUGCUAGAUCUUUUCUACUUAAUUAAAUGUGAAUAUAUAGUUUUAGGUUUAUGAUCAUUAUAAAAAUUUAAAUUAUCUAAAAGAAUAUUUAUAAAAAAAGAAUAUCUAGCUUUGAAUCCCUCGAAUGGAACCUUUUGUUAUGAAAUUUUGUUGAGAAAAUGGGUUGAGGCCUCUGUGUUGAUUUAGUUGAUAAAUUGUUGGCUGUUGUUUGAGUUUCCUUCGCAUAAAUGUGUCUGGGCUGAGAAAGCAAAGUUGCAGAAGAAUUCGCAGGAAGAAGUAAGCUUAUUCGUACAGGCUGCAUGCUCUUUUCCAAAAAUUACCUUUUUGCCCUCCAAGUUUUAAUUAAUUUCACUAUGGCCCAAACACUUUUUCAAUUGAACCAAUUUCUCCUUUUUAAAUUUUAAUCAUCCUUUUAUAUUUUUAAGUAGUCUUUCGGUAGAUUAAUUCUGGAUUUCAGGUUAUAAUUGUGGCUUAAUAAUUUUAGUUGAUUUAUUUUUCUUGUUGGGUUUUGGUAGUAUGGUUUAGGUUUUGGGUAAUAAUAUUCGGUUGGGUUUUUAUGAGUGGGUUUGGUUUUUUUUUUUGUUGAGGUUUUUGGGUUUGGAUGGAGGUUAAAGCCCAUCUGUUUGUUGGAUUAUUUUAGGGUCAGAAUGGUUGACUGACCCACUCCUUUGGAGUUGGGUUUUGGUUGGUCUGGGAGGCUUUUCAGCCCAAAUAAAAAAGAGAAAUGGCCCAGAGGCCUGUUUGCUGAAGAAAUCUGGUUACGAAAUUUCAUAAUGAUCCCUGUACUUAUCAUUAAUUAUAUUACGGCUCUAAAACCUUUGAUUUCUUUCAAUUAGGUUCCUAAUUUAAUUGCAAAUAGGUUCCUAAGGUCGAGAUAGGAGGUCCCAUCGGUACAGAGGAUUGAUGUGUCAUGUUCCUAACCAUAGGAUUGCUCCGCCCUCGAGAAUCUGGCUAAGGAAGACAGAUUCUUUCAAAGAAAGUCCUUUAUCUGGAAAAAGCUAAAAAAACUCACAACUGGCUGGGUAGAUAUAGGUACCUCCUGCAUCCACCGGUAAUGGUGUGGAAGAGGGUAAGCUUUCUAUGUAGAUAGGCAACACCUUUUGCAUCUUUUAAAGGAAAUCUCUGAGAAGAAUAUUGCAGCGCUUACUAUAAUAAGAACACCGGUUACGAGAAGAGAUAUACAUAUGUAUCUAUGCAAAGAAAUAUUACAAAAGAAUAACAUAUUAACUUUUUGAGUAUAAUUAAAAAUAGACUUAAAAAAAUUCACCUUGAGGGAAGAAUGCAACAAAUUCUUCAAAUUCCACAGAUCUUCGAAGAUCUUAAUCUCUUAUCCUGCAACAACAAAAAAAAAUGAAUUUUAUGAGAAAGUUUUCUUAAAAUAAAAAGAAAAGAUAGUAAAAAGCUAGUGAUUUAUGAUCUCUGAAGAAUAUGAUUUUACCAGACUCACGAAGCUGGAUAACACCAUUUUGCCAAGGAGAACAUAAGGAGAGAUGAGAAAUGAGGGAUAGGAAAUGAUGGAAAAGACCUCCACCCUUUCAGUAAAACAUCAGGAACAACAGAAAAAUGUAAAACCUCCAUUAAAAUCAUCAUCACUUCCUCUUCAAUCUCCACCAUCUUUUUUCACCUGGAAAAAAAAUGCAGCCAUCUCUCCAAGUCCAAAUUAAUCUACAAAAAAAUAUUGAAAGUGGUCAGAUAAAUCCUUCAAAGCAAGAAAAAAAAAGAAGUAUAGAAUAAAUAGUUUUCUAAUAUUGAGGAAUGAGUAUACCAACGCUCAAAAUUUUUUUUUUUUAAGUUUUCCUGCUAAUUUUUGAAGUUUUUGUCGCACAAUUUUAUUGUCAAUAACUCUUCAUUUUGUGAUUUUCAUAAUCAUAGUUCAAUAGACAGUUUGAUUGUCAAUAACUCAUCAUUUUGUGAUUUUCAUAAUCACAGUUCAACAGAUAGGAUUCUUUUAUGAUUUCUGUCCUCACAACCACAAUCAAUUUGGCAAUUCUCAGACCAAUCUUAUGGUCCAAUUUUUAGCAACUGCAUACUCCCUGACUAGCCUUGUGGGUUAACUCGAUCAACUAAUUUCUUCACAGUAAUUCUUAUACUUUAACUUUGACAAUGGAAAGCACUCAGAACUAACCUCAUAGUCGGGACCAUUUUCAAUGUUCACAGGCACCCCAAGAUCAAUUUCUUGUAGAAGCCAAAACAUUUUAACAAAAAAAUAGAUGAGAUAAAUUUCAUAGAACUAAUGUAGACGGGAGGCAAUUUAGAAAAGAAGAAUAAAUAUAAACAAUAAUAUAUUAAUCGCAUGCCAUAAUAACAAGUCUCUUAAAGUUUCACUCUACUCUUCUCUCGACUCACGCAUUAAUAUGAGUAACUAUUUAUAGAUUUAGAUGAUUUGAUAAAUAAGUCUUACACCUCAAGAAAUUUCCUAAUAACAAACUAUUUCCUGAAUAAUAAAACUACCAUAACUUGAAUUGAAUCUAAUACAAUUCCUAAAACCCUAACAUCACUAAAACACUACUAAAUAAUAAUAUCUUGAGUUUUGAUUUAAUAUGCCAACAACCCCAAACCACCCCUCCUCCCCCUCCCACCAUAAUUAUUGCCUCAUUGUCAUCACCUGUGUUUUGAAAUUUGGACCGAACCAAUCGGUUCAACCGGUUGAACUAAGAACUGGGUAGGCAUCUGGUCCAAGUUGUUCUAAAAACCCGUCAAACAAAAAUUCGAUAAUUGAGUUUGACUGAAAAUCAGAAGAAUAAUUUCGAGUCAAGUUUUUUCUAUCUUUUCUUUUUUGACCUUUUUUGAUUCUUUCUUUUAAUUACUCUCAAAUCUCUUCACAUAACCUAUCAUAAAUCUCUCUUAGACAACUCCAAUGGGAGAUCUAAGUUCAAAAGGGAUAAAAUAUAUUUAAAAAAAAAGAAAGUAAAAAAUUUACCCAGAAACAUUUUAUCAAUUUUAUGAUUUGACCCCUAAGUACUAGAAAACUAUUAUUACACCUAGAAAUAUUUUAGAACUUAUAGAUACAGCCCUAAAUUCUUGUAGUAAUUUUCAAAUAAGCCCUCCAAUUUGGUUCUAAACUUGUUGAAUACGCAUAAAAUUGUAAAUUGCAUAAAUUGCUACUUAAUUAUACUACUUUAUUUGUAUUUUCUUGUAUAGUAUCUUAAAAAUAUCAAACAUAACAUACAUUGAACCUAACCUUUUUAAUAUUACUAUGUUUUUAAAAGUUUUAUAUAAUAUGUUAAUUUUUAAAAUUAAAUAUAUUUAUGACAUCAUGACAGGGAGAAGGUUUAGUUUGGUGGUCGCAUGAAAAGUCAACUGUAUUAGGAUCGAUUGUCUCAAUAUUUAAUUAAAGUGAUGACGUGAACCAAUCGGUCUGUGGAUAGGGUCACAGACCGGGACGCGGGGCUGGAGCGAUUGUCAGAACAACCACUCCGGAAGGUGUAACACUAUUUGUACAUGGUGUAACAUCAUCUGUACAAGGUGUAACAAUAGAACAACAGCGAGUAAAAUAAAACAACAUUUUUGUGGGUCCCACACGGCGUGAAAAUCGAGUUAUAAAACGUGAUCUGAGCCGCACAAAUUUUUGAGGUCUCAUCCAGCCGUGAACUGCUUGGGACGGUGGCCCCUCGUCCCACAGACCGAGAGUACACAAAAAUCACCAAAAAAAAAGGAAAAAAAAAAUUUCUAACCAUAUUAAUUCCAGUUCACGUUGUUUAGGAAUCCCUUUUCCUUAAGGUUUCCCCUGCUUUGUACUUGUGCAAUUGAAAUAAACACCCCUUAAUUUCCCAUUGUUGUUGAUUCUCUUCUACGGUCCAACUUCUUGUGCUCAUGUUUUUUUCCUAUCCUCUUUCUCUCCUAAUUAUGCUCAAAGCAGACUACUGUAUUCAGUCAAUUAAUUAAUUAUUUUUUGGUUGUGUUGUACUCCAAAAAUAAAUUCGCAGAAUAAUCACAGGCCAGUGGGAGUAUCAUAUUUAUGCAGAUGAAUUUCUAGAUGUUAUGUGGAGGUAUUUCUCGCUCGUGUUUCUCUUUUUUGUUUUUUUUUUUCUCUGCUCAAAUAAUCCCAAGAGGAGGGCAAAUAAUAACCGCAGCUGAAACUGUUGGACAUUUGUUCUUAUUUAAGAUAUUGAAGUUAUUUCUUUUUCAUAAAUUGGGGGUUGGGGGUGGCUUAUGUUACGUUUUUAUGCCUGUUACCCCAUAAAAAUUGAAUCUUGAUUGGUUUUCAAUGAUUGGAUCCCAAUUCGGAAGUUGUUAAUGUGUGCUUGUGUUUGUGUUGGAAUUUUUUUCCCCGAUCUCAUUGCGUUUUGCAGUUGAGGGUGGUUUAUGUUUGUCAAACAUGCCUAUGAACUGAUAAAAAUCACAUCUUUGGUUAUUCUUCUUUUUAAUUCCUGAAUUACUUUUGGUAAUAUAUAUUUUGGAGGUAAAACAGUGUCUUUAGAAGUUCAUAAUGUCAACAUGUGAGUAUAGCAGAACUAAAUGGUUCGUUUUGAUAGUUAACUGGUGAUGGUCCGGUGGUAUUGCAAUUAGAUUAUGCUUUCAACAUAGAAAAAUCCCAUCUUUUCGUAAUUUCUUUUUCUGGGUUGAGUGUGGAAUGAGUGUUACUCUCAGGGUAGCUAAUGAGUAUUUAAAAAUCUGAUGGUGGAUCCCCCACCCCCACCCCCCGGGCGGAAAGCCUCCCUCUACUUUCGGGUAAUUUAACUGGCUCUGCAAAUUCACAUCCUUUGGCCUUUUUGGAAGUAAAUUCGAUGAACAUACUUGAUCAUCGUGUGUUUUGGAGGUUCAUUAUGUCAGUAAGUUAUAUUAUUCUUACUUUACAACUCUUUUGGUUUGGUUCUUGUUGUAUUAGCAACUGCAAUGGGGUGCUCUGGACAGAAAGCUUUUCUACCUUUACUGGUGCUGGCAGGGACCGGAGCAGCUGCUAUUGGAGUGGCAAUUAUGUCUUCUUCGGGCAUGUUGGAGAAAACAAUAGCCUUCUUAAAAAACCAUUAUCAGCAAGAUGUUCUCAAGGUACUUAUAUUGUACUCUUUGAUACUUUAAAAUUUUUGAGCAAUUUCUGUUCCUUUUUUUCACUUGUAUGGAUUACUGUGUUUUCAUACUCAUUGCUAAUUUUUUUUAAACGAAAAUGUUUUCCGUACAUAAAGCUAUUGCUACAGUGUCACGUUUGGGUGGAAGUGUAUUCCACCCCCCAGUAGGCAUAGAGUUAAUGGUGAGUUUGUUUGGUUGCUCUUGACACACAAUUUUAUCUUCUGAUCAUGUCUUAAUUAGGUUGCUUAUGGUGAUGCACAAGAGGAUAGAAUCAGUCAACUGUCAGAUGAUCUUCUUUCUGAGAUCCUUUCACGGUUGGACUUGAUCGAAGCCAUUAGGACUAGGAUUUUAGCAAGAAGGUGGAACAAUAUUUGCCAAGUAAGGUCAAGGCUACUCCUUGAUUGCCGCAAGAUUUGUGGAGAGAGUCAGCGUAUUCAUACUGGCAGCCGUCGCCACAAGUAUAGGUUCUUGAAAGCAGUAGAUCAAACUUUACAGCUUUAUUCUGGUCAAAAGAUAGUUCAUAUUCAUUUGAUAUGUUGUUUGGGAAAUGAAGUUGCCCCUAGCUAUAAUAGAUGGAUGCAAACUAUAGCCACUUUAGGCGUAGAAUCACUCCUGCUCAAGUUUUGUACUCCUAUUUGUCAUGAUGAAAAUGGUCCCUAUAGCUCUGUGGACCUUUAUCCUUUGCCUCUUCAGCUGCUGUUUGAAGCAACUUCAUUGAAAAUAUUGCAUUUAUUAAACUGUGUCCUUCAACCAAGUUUCAAAGGCAAAUUUAAUUCCCUCCAGUAUCUAAAUUUGAUAAAUGUUCCUUUAGACAAUGGAGAAUUGCCUCACAUUCUGGCUUCCUGUGUGAACCUUCGGCAGUUGUCAUUGUGCAAUUGUAAACUUCCUCCAAAGUUACGCAUCUCUGGUCAGUGUCUUAAAUUGCAGAGACUGCACGUUGAAUUGUGUAUUGGGGUGAAAGAGAUAGAUAUCCAUGCUGUCAACCUGUCUUUUUUUUACCUAUAUAGCGAUAAAAUGGUGGAAUUGUCGCUUCAUUAUGUUCCCAAACUGAAAGAGUUGUUAGUCAGUGGUAAUGGCAUUGGCGUAGUGACUUAUUUGUUUGGUCAAGUUGUAAAGGACUGUCCAGCGUUAGACCUUUUUAUGCUCCAGACUAAAACUAAUGAGGUUCGUAUGGACACCAUCUAUAAUAGUUCUUCUUUGCUACAUAUUUGCAUGUUUAAAUGCUGACACUUCUUCCCUUUGUUUGAUUCAGCUUGGACACAUGCCUGCCACGAUGAAUAUGUUCAGAAACCUGAGGAUGUUAUAUUUGUUGAUGAUAUUUGAGUUUGAAGCAGAUCUACAAAGUGUUGCCACUAUUCUGGACGCAUGCCCACUUCUAGAGAAACUGUAUCUCCUGGUGAGUUCUAGCCUUUUGACAACCCUGUAGUGGGAACUGCAUCUCCCUUUGUUAGGGUUUGGUACUUCACUAUAUACUGCUUGUAUAAAAUUUUGAAUCUGUAGAAGGAAAAGCACUGGUUGAAAUUUGCAAAAUUGAAGCGUGGUAGUUUCCUUGUGCUCAAAGAAAAUAUUAUGAGUGUCGUGCUUCAGUUUUGGGAUUUGCUUCUCUCUGUCUUGUGUACUUAGUAAGUAGACUUCAGAAACUAAUGAUAGGAUUUUGUAACAACAUUUCAAAAGGGUUACUGAACUUGAUUCCACACUUUUUCAUGAUGAAUUGUACCAACUUAGCACUCUGCAUUGUGAAAUGAGGCACUAGUUGUCGAGUAAAACUUCCUUGAGAUAUCUGUUUAUCACUAUUAAGUGCAUUCCCAAUGUUAGGUAAAUGAUGUCAGUGUAAAUAUGUAGCCUUCAAUUAGUAUUUAGUGUUGUCGAAAACUAAUCAUUCCUGUCUCAAUUGGUUUGCAGUUAGACUGUUACUGUUCUGUUAACCUAGAGAACCGAUUUUUUCCCCCUUUCUUGCCAACUCUUUCUUUGCUGAAGUUGUUCUUGUUGGGGUUGGAAACUUGGCUUUGUUCCUACCUUUUCUGCUAAGUGUAAUCUGUCUUAGGUCAAAUCUUUUUUUUGGAUGUGCAUGUUUUAGUAGUUGGAAACUAAUUAUGGUUCUCAGGCUUCAAAACAUACCACACAGCCUGAACAAAGAUUGGGACCUUUAAUGUACUCUAUGCUGGGGGAUGGCAACCUAAGGAUGUCUACUUAAAAGAGCAUGCACAUGCGUGCACAUCCUUUGGUAUUAUGUAUGCUAAACAUAAUGCUUGUUUGUAGUUGCUGUUUAUUUAUUAUCUUAGUGCAUUCUCUUUAUAAACACCGAUGACUAGUGUUGAGAUAAUUUACUAUCUUGCAAGCAAGCUAUGCAUUUGAGCUGACAUAAAUGCAGAGAAUUUAUAAGAGCAACAUCAGUUUUAUAGGUUUUCAACGUUGACUUGGAGAUUUAACUGACAACUGAAAGUGGUUGUCUUACCCAUCUACCUUCUGUUUUCCACGCCCCCAUCUGUUGGCAGGAUGAGGUUCUUACUUGUACAUGUCUCAGGUCUCAGCUUGUUCAAAAUUGAAGUGAUCAUGAACUAUUCUUGGAAUUCUUUUCAAGGUUUUGUUUGAAACAUUUAUGUGCUGGAAAGUUGCUUAGCUUUACAUGGAAACAAUGUCUGUUUGAUGCAGUGAAUCUCUGAAUGUCUGCUAGAACUAGGUAGAUUGUGUUUGCAGAGUAUUUGCUAUGAAGCAAAUCUUUUUGCUGCAGCAAAUUAAAUAUGUGCACAACAUUUUUGUUAGUUUGACACAUAAAUUGAUGGGGUUAUUUUCUUAUGGCUCCAGGCUAGAUGGCCUGGUGUUAGUGAACAUUUAGGAGGGGCAUGGCCUGCAAGGCAUUAUAGUCACUUGAAAGAACUGGAAUACACAGGGUUUCAUGGAACCGGUUGUGAGAUUGAAUUUGUUGUUUAUUUGCUACAAAGUGCUCCGGCUUUGGAUCGAGUGUUUAUUGGCUCGGCGUACAGUACUUAUUCUGCAGAAUACAAAUGGACACGGUACACAGAUUAUGUGAUGGAUGAUGCGGAGCGCCAGCUGAUCUAUAAACAACUAGUGGAGCAUGCCCUUUCUAGCAAAGUGCAGGUGAUUUUUCGCAACUAGCGUGCACGGAACAAUGUUAGAAGUAUACCUCCUGGUGUAUCACUAUGCAACAUAAAAAGGUCAAAUCUCUUUCACUCAGGAGAGCUGCCUACCGAGUUAUUUCUCCCCUACUGCUGUACUCUUGUUCCGGCUUUCCCUGGUGUUGGUGAAGGUGAUUGAUUAUCUAUGCCCAUGUUUGUAAUUUACAUGUGGCCAGCUAAGUGCUUUACUAAGGAGUCUCAAUCCUUUGUAGCAUAAGUUAUUUUGUGAUAGCAGUAGAGGAUUCAGUAGAACUGAACUUCAUAAUGACUUUGAAGAGUUCAUCAACCUUGAUAUGAUCUAAUAAGUACAUGUUUACGGUGCGAUAAUUACAAAAAGAAAAAAAAGAAGGGGGGGGGGGUGUGUUCAUGGUGCUGACAUCUUGCUGCUUAUUACAUUUUAGUUACUAAAGAUUUGAAGUCCAUACCUUUUGCAAAUUGGAUCUUGCAUGGAUUAAGUUCCAUUUAAAAGUCUUCUUCUUCUUCUUCUGUUUCAAUCCAACUUUUCCUCUUAUCUUUGUCAUUUUAACUGGUUUAACUUGUCUUUAUUCGUUUUCAUCUACGGCUUUAACUCGUAAGGAAAAGAGAGAAGAGGGCAAAAUAAAAUAGCAAAACAACCUAAUAUUGUGUUUGAGUUUGAUUCGUUUAUUAUACAAUUGAAUCUUUUUUCGAACGCAAAUGAGUCGAACAUGAAUUCGUUCGUGAACUAUUUGAUUAGGUUCAUAAUUACAUAUAUAAUCAUAUAAAAAAAUAAGUAAAUAUAGAUAUAAAUACGCUUGAUAUUAUUAAAUAUAUGCAUAUAUACCUUCUAUUUCCUUAAAAACAAUUAAUUAUACAUGAAAUUAGUAUUAUUAUCUCAAAAAAAUAAUCAAAGAAUACAAUUAAAUGUAUUGCGGUGAAUGAAAUUUCUUUAAUUUACAAUAAUAAUUCUCUAAAACAAAGUGAAUAAAUAUGUAUCCUGAAAUGGGAUUCUGUACGACAGCAUGACUAAGUAAUUAAGUGUACCUCCUUGCAUAUAAUAUUUAUUUUAUGCUCAAAUUUUGUUUCUGUACAUAAAGUUAAUGUUUUGAGUACAUCAUAUAUUAAAAUUUACACUAAUUAAUUGCUAAACGAAAUAUAGCAAAACGAACCUAAUUGCUCUGAUACUUACGCAAUGCCACCUCUUCCAAUUUCUCGAGAAUGUAUUCUGAUAGACUCUUAAAAAAAAAGAAGAAGAUUGUGGCCAACAAGUACGUUAAAAUAACGCUUCGUGGUCUCAUAAGUCAUAUUCUUACCUCAUGAUUUUGUUUUGGGGUUCAAUUAAAUUAACAUGAUUUGCAUUUGAAUUAAAUGUGCAUCAAUAUUUGGAGCAUUUCACUAAUUAAUUGUUUUUGGGGUUCUCAUGUAAUUGCUUGCCUUUCUCAUCUUUCGGCUGCAUGAUUAGACCAUCCAUUGUAUAUCUUUCUUAGGAUUUUUCUCAGCCUUGCGCUUACCCCUCUCUUCUUGAAAAUUGCUAAAGCUUUCCUCCGAAACUGCCAAUUGAAUCAUAAAUAGAUCUAUAUAUGUUUUCAUGUUAUAGCAAACUGAUUUGCUCCUUUUUAACUUUUUUAAGUUUGGAAUAGUCUUCUGUUUCUUAGAUCAUUCCGUCUAGCUUUUGUUCCAAAAUAUUUAGGCCAAUGGUUUUGGCAAUCUAUUAAAUCAUUCAAAUAGUACACAAAAUCUUUCUGUAAAAUGACUAUGUUACUUGUUGAUUAGGUCAUAGCACUGAAAAUGCAUCAAAGUUUUAUGCUAUAAUUGACACUUAAAACAAAAAAUUUGGUCUUACGUAAAUCAUAAGAAUCGAAGAAUAAAAUUUUUUAAGUCACUGGUAUUCCGAUCUUUCUGUACUACUCACAAGGUAGUACAACCAAAUAGGAAUCAUAUAUUCCGGAUAGCACCUGCGGACAAAAUGGUGUAUCAAACUGUCUUAAUGAUCUCAGCAAUCUACUAUUUUGAUUGCUUAAUAAAACUGCAAAAAUAUAACCUCAAAGAUUUUGCAGCAUAUGUAAACAGUACAUUAAGAAGUGAAACUUUGCAGUGUCCAAUUAGCACCGCUUUUACCGCGUGUGGUCCACAUUGACAAGUACUUUGUCAAUGUGGACAUCAGCAGGAGGCGCGGCUGCCCAUUUUUUAGCCAAGGCAGUGAGACUCUUGAAGAGCUUAUCAGCACUUUCAAGAGUCUCACUGCUCUUUUUAGCGAAAACAACAGCCCCAUAGAUGGUAGCCGCAGCAGCCACGCCAACUGCCACCGCCCCGAAUAUGACCCAGGGCAAGAUGGCUUGGCUGCUUUCGCUUUCCUUCUUGGAUGCUUGGCCUGAAACACCUGUUCUACCUUGACCUGCUUCCAAGACCCCAUUGAAUGUUUGGCUUGAACCGUUCAUUCUGGUCUCACUUGUUUCUGUAGCAUUGACAAUUGCUGCAGUCACAUCACCUUCAGGUACCACAGGCAGCGGCACAGGCACAGACACAGGCGCAUCACCUUUGAUCACUGCUUCAACCUUUACAUAAAAUGGAAAAUGAAUGAUGUCAGUGACAUGUAUCUUAGAACCAGAAAGUUAGAACUAGAAAGUUGCAUGGUUACCUCCGCCAUCAGAUGAUCAGCUUUCUUUUUUGCAGCAGCAGCAGUACUAGAAACUAAUAAAAAGAAAGAAAACCUGCAACCAAUACACAACACCCAUCAACAACUAGAGAAAAGGAAGAACAUAAUACUAAAGCAAAUAUAAUUUCACAGCUGCUAUGCUUUGCUUCAUAUAACAUAAGCAAAUAUAAUAACAUAUCCAAGGAAGAUUCGUCUACAGAAAAGGGCACUAAAAUACUGAUCCCUGUCCUCAUAUCUUUCUCUGCUAUGCCCUGCUUCGCAUUUGCAAAGAGGCAAAUCACAUGGACAGAAUCAACAAUGCAGUAAAAUUGCUUCCGAAAACAUCAUUGAUAAGUGCAUUUCCUACAUUAUAACAAAUAGGAAAGAAACAAUCUAAUAGCCUCAGUGUAACUUCGACUUGAACAAAAUAGAUCCACAAUGAUGAGAACAUCAAUGAUUCUAGGAAUACUUCUAUCUGCAGUAAUUCCCUAUGCAGUUGCAGGAAAUUUUUCCCACUGCAGGACACCAGGGUCUCCCCGAGUCACAAACCACCUAGAAGGGAAUAAUGUCAUGCAACCAAAUUUCGUGCUCAAUACUGAUAUAUCCUCUCUUGACAGCAACCAGCAAAAUAUCAACAAGUAUGUCAUAAAAAAUGAACAAUAUUUCUACUUGCCAAACCAUCACAAAGCCACUAAUAUUGAUCAGAGCACCGAGAAAUGCACCUGUAUCAACCACUUGUUAAAUUUGCUCCAUAAACAGUCUUCUACAUCUAAAAUUUGCUUCUUAAUAAGUAAUCAAACAACUCAAGCAAACAUCACACACUUUGGCUCUAUAUUUUUACCAUCAUUAUGCAGCAAAAACAAUAUUACUUGUUCGAAGAGAGGGAAAAACAUGGCAGGAAAACCAUCAAUUUUCACAAUUAAAAAAUAUAUAUGUAAAAUUCCACUUAUAGAAAUGAUUCAAAUCACCAUAGAACACAAAACAAAAACACCAAAUUCAUGAAAACUAACAUAAAUUGAAAAUUGACAACACAAAUGGCAUUCAUCAAUUUCCAUAAAUGGGUACACAUUUCCCUUCCCCACCACCCUGAUCCCUACAAGUCCCCUCAUUUCAGAUCCCUCUAAAGAAACCCGAUCACCAUAACCGCUGCUUACACUAACUCAUACUACAAGCUGGCAACACAUCUGUAUUGAACAAUAAACUGAAGCUACAAGCUACCCUUUUGUGCAGAAGAUUAUGCAUCUAUAGAAAAUUCAGCAUGCUAUAUCUCACGCUAAAUUCAACUGUCACAAAUUUUCCAUGUUUGUAGUCAGUUUGACAAUAUUUCCAUUGAUAAUCAUGAACUAGUCCCUAGAGGUCAGAUUCCACAGAAAUAAACAAUUCAAAUGCCAAGUUCAAGCUAAUGGACCUUACAAAACAUCAAAAUUGACACCUUUAAUCCUGCACAGCUAGCACUUGUUAGCAAAUCGCAGAAACACGUCUUCAUAAAAACUACAAAUGAGUGCCAACCAAAAUGUUUUGUGAAGACUAGACUAAUAAUAGAAUUCAAGUUAACAGAAAGAAAGAUGUAAACAAAGUAUCCUAAUGUCUAAUUUCUGGGCUAUUUUUGUACAAGUACUAAAGUAAUCAAGGAGCAUCCUUAAGUUUACCAGAAAAUAUUGAAUUUCAAUUUUUCGAAUUAUUAGAUCAAACAUAUGAGAAGAAUCAAAGUAUUCAUAUGAACAAACAUUCAAUACAAAACAGAGCCACUGUCAAUCUAUGAUACGAAAACCAACUGGCUAUGAAAAUAUACCUCAUAGUCCAUAAGACCACACUUAAGUGCAGCACAACUGCAACAGUGGCAACUAAAGACUUCGGAAACUUAGAAUAUAGGCUGAUGAUCUAAUAGCAUAACCUAAAUAAACAGAGUCACACUCAAACGUUGUCCAUAAAUACUAGACAACCCAAGGCUAAUAAUAGGAGAGCCAAUGUGUUUUGAAUUCAUAAAGGAAAAUAUAUAUAUAAGCAAAUAUGUACAAACCAAAAAAAAACAAGGUAAAAGGCUAAUAAUAUAUAGGACCAAACUUUAAAAUAUAAUCCAACAAAUCGACGAAAAUUUGAGUUAAAAUCUUAAAACAGUAGCAUGAACAGUUAAUCAUUUUGAAUAUGUUUUGAGUCUUAAAAUUAUAUUUUUCCAAAUUCAAGCAAUCAGUCAAAUUCCAUCUAUAAAGAACAAAUGGUACCUUAAUUCUUAUGUAACUGAUAUUACUACUCCAAAUUAUGAGUGCUAGUAAUCACCGGUUCAUAUUUGUAUUCUAAGAUUUAUUAGGAAUGGAGAUCACUGAUUUAAUUUUCAAUUUUUUUUCAUAAAAAAUUUGUAAAAGCAAAGACAUAGGUACACACCUAAUCAACAAAAAAUAACCACAGGAGUCUGAAUUUGAUAGCUCAUGCACAACUACUUAAUACAUUGCUCAAACAAGCAUAGAGACAUGUGGUAGUAAUCUAUCAUGAGUUUACCUAUAUGAACAUAAGAGACUACUAAUUCUGAAAUUUAAAGUAAAUUUGUGCCAAAUUCCAUUAAUACAAUGACAAUAUGAUAAAUUGCCUACUAAAUACAAAAAUAAUAGAGUAGUAUCAAUUCUAUUGACAAUUUCUAACUUUAAGAAACAACUGAUAGAACCGUAGUAUCGCAUUCAAAUAUUUGUACAAUAUAUAGCAAGAAAUAGAACUUUGGAACAAUUUUGUACUAAACCUAAUUUCAUACACAUGAUCCAAGACCUAAUUUCAACCAUGGUUUUUCUACUAAACCUCAGCUCUUGUACUUGCAUCGAAGACCUAAUUUCACCGCAUCAAUUUUGUUGAAAAUAAAUCAAACUUCAUCAACUUAUUAGGAAAACAAACAAACAAGAUCAUCGAACUGAAAAAUCCGAAAACAAAAUCAUGAAUUAUGAGGAAAUAAGAAAUUCCUACUUUACAAAUUUACAGUGAGAUACAAUGUAAAGAAAAACAGUUCAAAAUUCCAGAAAAAAAACAGCAAAACAAGUAAAAAAGGAUUGAUAAAAAAAUGAGCUUAAAAACCUGAAGAAUCUCGAUCCUUAUCCAGAUUUUGGAAAAUUCUCAGAGCAAACAAAAUUCCCAAGUGUCCACUGCAAUGGUUUCAGUUCGAAGUCAAAGCUAAAUUGGUCAAAGGAAAAUUGAAAAACUCUCAGAGCUUGAUACGGAGGGAAAAUUGGAAAAUGCUAAGAGGAAAAAGAGAGAGAUUGAAAAAGGUUGAUACGGCCAUUGAUACGGACGGAGAGGAAAAGAUAAAACCCAAAAUGAGACAUUGAAAGACGGUAGAAGAAAUGCUUCCUAUACGCUUUCAAUUUUAACACCAGAUGCGUUAUUUCUAUUUUUUGGUUUCUCCGGAUUCUUUAAUUUCUAUUUCGCUAUUCUAUUGUUGGAUAUAUAUUUCUUUUUUGAUUUACCAAAGAAAAUAAAUAAUAAAUAUAUCUGACUUGAACGGGUGCUAGUCACAAAAGGUUGCUAAAUAACCUAGUUUUAUCCCCUCUUAUGUGACAUGCUUAGUAGUGUCAAUAAAAAGUUUUAUAUUUAUGACCCUUGUAAUAUUACAAGUCACAAACCACCUAGAAGAAAAUAAACUCAUGCAACCAAAUUUCAUGCUCAUAAAAAAAAAAACUCAAAACACAAUACUGAUAUAUCCUCUCUUGACAGUUAGGGGUGUGCAAAAUCAAAAAAUUCCGAUUUAACGACCGAAUUCGAAAAUUUUGAAAUUGGUAAUUUGGAAUUUGGCGCUGAAAUCGGAAUUUUCGAUUUCGAAUUAUGCGAAUUUGGUUCGAAUUCGGUAAUGGAGUUUUUGAAAUCGGAUAUUUUCGAUUUCGAAAUUCGUUUUAUAACAUAUAUAUAUUAAUAUUUAUAUAUUUAUAUAUAUAAUAAUAAUAAUUUUUAUUUCAAUUUCAUUUUUUAAUAUGUAUAUUAAUAUAUAUUUAUAUAUAUAAUAGUAUUUUUAUAAUAUAUUUAUAUAUAAUAUAUGCAAUAUAAAAUUUAUAUUAUAUAACAAUACAUCUAACAAAAAAGAAAAAAAGGGCAAAAAGGUUUCCAUUUACCGAAUUCCCAAUUGAAUUCGAAAUCGAUAUCGAAAUUGGAAGUGGUGAAUUCGAAAUCGAAAUUGAUCGGUAAUUCCUAUGCCAAAAUUUCGAAAAAUUCUGAAUUCAAACUUUCGAAUUACUGAAUUUGAAUUCGAUGCACACCCCUAUGACAGCAACCAGCAAAAUAACAAGAAGUACGUCAUAAAAAAUGAACAAUAUAUUUCUACUUGCCAAACCAUCACAAAGCCACUAAUAUUGAUCACAGCACUGAGAAAUGCACCUAUAUCAAUCAUUAGUUAAAUUUGCUGCAUAAACAGUCUUCUACAUCUAAAAUUUGCUUCUUUACAGGUAGUCAAAAAAUUCAAGCAAACAUCACACACUUUGGCUCUAUAUUAACGACAAAGGAAUUAUGUUCGCAUGGUUUCGAAAGUUAUAUAUAACCCUUUAUAGUUUGGACUAGAAUGUCAAAACGACGAAUUUUAUAUUUUAUAACGGAAUCAACUAAAAUAUCAAAAGUUCUCCGGUUCUUUUUCAUACUUAUAUGCAUGCGUAAUCAAAGCCUUAAACGGAAAAUAAUUUUUUUUUUCUUUAUUUGAAUCCCUAUGUAUAUACCUAACGGAUGACGACAGUCAACUGAGGAAGAUUUAUAAUACCUUUGUAGUCAACUUCUUUUCGUGCUGUCCGGAACAGGAAUUAUAGCAAUAUUGGCUAAUCUUAUUAUUUGCUUCUACCACAACCUGCUCAAAUGCACCAAUAAUCCUAUAUAUGAUCAGCAAAGUUGAUAUGGAAGGGAAUGAAUUUCUGAAACUUUAUACAUUCCGUUCAAUCUUUUGAUAUAUUACCUUGUUUGUGCAUUUCAUUUUUUGGAUGCCAUCACUAGUAAUCAUAUCUCCAUUUUUUGUGAUAAAUUUGUGCUCUUCCUGCAUUUCAAUGGGUUUUCAGGGUAUUAUUAGACAAUCCCGACUGUUCCACAAGGAAUUAAGUAAGAUUUGGAGUCUCUCCUUAAAUAAAAGAAAAAAUAAAAUAAAAUAAAGAAUUAAGUAACGUGUGAUAACAAGAAUGUACCUGAAGCUUUUUCAAGACAUUGGGGUAUAUUUGCCUAUAAAAUACACAGCCCACAUAAUCCAUUAAAUCGUUUCUUGGUUUUGUCUCAUUCCAUCCAGCCAUCCUUACGCUUUUCCAACUCCUCCUUGAAAAUCGCUAUGGCUUUCUUCCGACACUAUUGGAGCCAAGGGGGGCAGAGGGGGGCCAUAGCCCCCCUCAGUUUUGAAAAUUUUAAUUCAUAAUAUGUAAAUAUAUGUGUAAAAUAAAAUUGACCCCCUCUAAAUUUUUACAAUUUUAGUUUAUAUUACGAGAGUUGAUAUAUAUAUAUAUAUAUAUAUAUGAAUUAGUCAUCGAGUUGAUAUAUUUCUUGCAACAAUUGAUUAUUAAUUGCAAGAGUUACAUAGCAGGUUUAAUGAUCAUACCAUGGAAUUGCUUAUUUUGAGCACUGCUUUAGAUCCUAAAAAUGGAUUUAUGCUGUUCAAGAUUGAUUAUAUUUGUAAACUUGCAGAGAAGUUCUAUCCGAAUGAUUUUAUGGAGCAAGAAUUAGUACGUCUAAGAAUAGAACUUCAACAUUUUGAGCACGACAUUCCAAAUCAUCCUGAAUUGCAUGAAUUAUCUGGUAUUCAUGAGUUAUGUCAAGGUUUGGUGAAGAUAAGAAAAUCAGUGAUAUAUCCUCUUAUUGACAGAUUGACUAGACUUGUUCUUACUCUUCCUAUAUCAAUUGCAACUACAGAGCGGGCGUUUUCAAUUAUGAAAAUAAUCAAGACAAAACUCCGAAACAAGAUGGAAGAUAAUUUUUUGAAUGAUUGUCUAACUGUGUAUAUAGAAAAGGAAGUUGCUGAAAAAUUUAGCAGUGAUUCAAUCAUAGAUGAAUUUAGUUCUAUGAAAGUGCGUAGAACUCAAUUUACUUCUAAGAAAAGAUGUUGAAAUUUCAAAGUAUGUUAUCAUAACUUUUAUCUUUUUUCAAUUGAAAAUAUUUACAUUUAUAUUACAUGGUUAUAUAUAUAUAUAUAUAUAUAUUUAUUGCACAAGUGACAUAUUGGAGAGCAUCUUCUCAUAAUGUGCAAAUUGGAUGGUUUGUGAUGUUAUAAGAUAUUUAAUCAAAAGUUAUUUUUUUGAUAGUUUUUGUUAUGACUGUAACGCAUAUUUAUGAAUAGACAUACCUUUAUAAUUAAAUUUAAUAUUUGAUAUUUUUAGAUGUCAUAUAUUUAAAUAGAAGAAAAUUAUUUUGAACAUAAUAUAUUAAGAUAAUUUUAUUAGGAAAAAAUUUUGGACCCCCCAAAAAAAAAUCCUGGCUCCGUUGCAACGCAAAUGGCAUCAAGAAUUUACAAUGAUUAAACUGCAAAUUGGACUAAACUGGGAAGACGAAAAAGAAUUUAAAUACUUAAUUGUCAAGAAUUAACAAUAUCCUCUCUUAUGUGUAAUACAUAAAGCUGUUAGUGGUAUUAACCAUCGGCCGUUCUAAUGGGGGCGGGGAGGGAGUGCUGCCCCCCCCCCCCAAGAUUUCAAAAAUCCAUUGGUGGCCCUUAAAAUUAUAGUAAUUUUCAUUUAUACCUAGUAGAAAUUAGAUUUUAUUGCCCCAAAUUUUUUAAAUCCUUCAACAUUUCCUUAAAAUGUUUCAUCUCAAUAUUAGAAUUUGCCCCACAAAUUUUCAAAAAUAUACAAGAGUAUUUUCUUAAAAGAACAGCCUUCCUAAUAUUGCGUCUAAAACCUUAUUCUUAACUUCUAGUUCCGCUAGUGGUUUUAACCCUCUUAAAAGAGCAGCAUAUACUGCAUAUUGGAUUAACAAUCAUUGUUAGCACUAUAAGAGCAAACAUGAAAACUACACAAGCUGACCCUGGAAAAUUGAUUGGCUGAAUUCUUAAUCCUUUUACCAUUUCCUGAGGUAGCUUAUCAAGGGUUUCCAAAUGGACACCUCACCUGGCCGAAAGCCCACAAAAUAUUUACCGAUGUUCUCAAAGAUGACCUGAAGGCGGAAAAUGAAAGACAAAACACCAGAGGUCUAGACAUUAUAUUCAAUGUUGUAUAUGCGUGAAUUCUUGGCAAUCUUUGUAUUUAACUUGCAACAUUUUUAGCUUCAUUAUAUGCUACAAGUCUGCCCUUUUGUGCCCAUAAUUGUAGGGCCGCGACUAUACGAGUCUGAACCAUUGCAGCAAUCCUGAAAUAUUCGGUACAAGUUUUGUGAGUUAUCUAAGUGUUUUUGUUUAAAUUAUGAAAAUUCAUAAGCCAUGCGAUUUCCUUCUGGUUAAUAAUACUACUAGUUUGACUGUAAAAAGUCAGAAGAAUGCUCAAACCAAUGAAAAAGGUAAAGUAACUGGACCAUGCUUUAUAUAAUGUUCGAGAGGAAUUGAUGAUUUCCUUUUUUGAAUUACCUCUAUGGUUCUGCCUGUCAUUGGGGUUUGGUUAGAGAAUAGAGGGAAUUUUAUGGCAUAAGGGGCACUUGAAGGCAAGGCCACCAUUUAUAUGAAUUAAGAGGACAAAGUACUGGUGGUUAAUUCUUGGUUUUACUGCUGGAAUGGAGGAAGAAAAUAAUUAAAUAAUUCAAUACCUUAAGGUUAUUCUGUUCCUAAGUUUUCAAUACAAAUAAAAGAUUGGUCAUGUCUUUUGUUUUCGUGGGGAUGGUUUGUUAGUAACAAGACGAAGAAGAAGACUGCUGAUUUGGUCCAGUUUUCGGAAUUGUUGCAAAUUGCAAAUUAGCCCUUGAAGUCUGGGUCAAUUAGAAUAGGGUAGCUAAAGUAUAUAAAAAACUUGUAUUGUGGUUCAAAAAUUUUGGAGUUGGACUAAUUUCAAAUUAAAUAGCCUUCCUGCUUAAAUUGAAAAUAAGUUAUUUUAAGAAUGACCCUAUAAUUAUAAUUUAAUCAAACCUAAUGUUUCUUCAAAUAAAGCCAAUCUUAUUAUAACAGAACCAUUUUGACCUAAAUAAAUCCAGGGACUCUAUUAAUUAGAGGUGGCAAUAUGGAUAAAUGGUUCAUAAUUGGUUUUGACUUAAUGGAUGGUGGAUGAAAUUUAUCCAAUCCAUUUAGAUCCAUUUAAUAAAUGGAUCUAAAUGGAUGGAUCUAAAUGGAUUAAAUAAAAACCAAUUAUCCAUUUAUAAUCCAUUUAUAUAUUUUGGUUAUUUUUUUUGUAUUACCAUUUCUUGUAAUAUGAAGAUACUUUUUUGUGUACUUGAAAAUUUUAGUUGUAUAUGAAUGAGAAAAAGGACAAAAUACUUAGAUUUUAUAUGUGUGUGUAUGUAUUCUUUAUUACUCGUCAGAUAUUAUAUUUUUCAUUCCAUAAAGUAAGUAUACAUCAAUAUAAUUCAGAAUUGUUCAGUCUUUACUCUUCUCCAGCCACAGAUUAUAAUCUUUUUAACAUUUCUAUAGACGCUUUUAUCUCCAAAUGAUCCAAAAUAAAAUGUCUAUGAUAGACGUGAAGUUAAUAACCAGAACAACCUUAAUUUUCUUUCCUGAGUGCCUGAUAUAUCAAUUAAGCAAUGCAAUUUAUUACUACUACUAAACUGGUCCAAGUCCAAGAAGAGGAGAAGGACAAGGUCUUUAAUCUGAUAAUUACAAGUGUAAAAGUAGAAAAAGAGAAAAAUUAAUAAUAAUAAUGAUCCACCGCACGAAAGGAUAAACAAUGAAGAUAAACCAAAGAGAAACUAAUAAAGGUGGCUAAGAUUACUGGUAGUGCAAAAUAUUUACUGGGACUUUCUUUUUUUUUUUUUUAAUUGUUAUUAUUAGGUAAAUACACAUACAUGUGUGGGUGCAGACUGUGCAGUUAAUAUAUGGUUAAAUUAGUUGGUCCCGUUUUGUUUGUGUGCGGGGCUAAGUCUGGUGACUCUCUCACUUUAUGACUCGCUGCUCAAUAACGUGAAGAAAUAUAUGGUUUUAGUUAUUUCCUUUUCAUUUCUUUAUUUGGUUUUUAAGUAAAUGGAUAUAUAUGGUUUUUAUGGAUAAUCCAUAUAAAUCCAUUUAAUUUAAUGGUUUUACUUUGAUCAACCAUUUAAAACCAAUACUAUAAAUGGAUAAUCCAAAUCCAUUUAAUUAUGGAUUAUAUGGAUGGAUAAAUGGAUUUCAAUCCAAAUUGCCACCUCUACUAUUAAUAACCCAAAAAUUUUAAAUCCAAAUACAAAAAAAUAAACAAGGCAUCCUGCAUUAAUGGGCUUAUACAUUAAAUUGUGGGUUAAGGUUGAUUAUUAAUAAAGGUUGAUUUAGGCCAAAAGAGAAUUAGGCUUUAGUUAAACUAGUAUCACUUUUUGUUAGGAUAAAAUCAAUAAUUGACCGGAUAAUUGGUUUAAUGGAUAUUUUGUUGGACUUAUUAAACUUUCCCCAACAAAUAUAAUGAACAUAUCUUAUAAAACUUAAAAACAAGAGUGUAGUAUUUUCUAUACAUGCCUCACUUUUGAUCAUGGAAUCUUAGGGUUGAACUCGUUGCACACAUUAAUUCUUAAGGAAGUUUUGAAAACCCAAAUUUAAUUAUAAUAAUUUAAGUUUUGACAAAUAGACCCAAUAACAAUACUAAAGAUUCAAGAUUUUCUUUUAAGUUCUAUUUGAACAAAAAGAAAUAUAUUUUUAUGGUUGGACACAGCUCUAGGUCCAAACAUAUAUUUAAAUUGACUUUAAAUAAUGCUGGCCAUUUCUACAAUAAAUAAAUAAAUGAGUAAAUUAAAUAAAUAAAUGAAUAAAUAAAUAAAUAGCACUUAUUUAUGGAUACCAAAUUAUGGCCUCUUCUAAAAAGGGAGAACCUUCUAAAUUAGGAAUCUUUCUACAAAGGAAAACUUUCUGUUUUAGGAAACUUAUUAAAUACUUUUUAUAAAAGGUUCAGACAUGCUUCCUUGGGUUAUUUAAUAUAGGAAUAAGCACCUUAAGAGUUGGACUUACUAAGUAAUCAAGGUAUACAUAUGUCACUGGUUAUAGGUUUGAAAGGAGUUCGAGGACAUGUUAAGAAUCCUUUCAAUUAAGUAGUUUGAGCUAGGUGGUACUUACUUUUCUGAGAUUUCAAAAGUUCUAAGUGAAAUUUUUAUUGAUAAUCCUAUUUUGAUGUGUCAAUUUGAAAUUUACUUGAUUAAAUAAUUUAUUUGAAUAUUUAUGCAAGUUCUAUUUUUGGUAUAUAAAGAUGGCCAUGUGAAUUAUUUGAAGCAUUUUGGAAUGUUAUUAUAUACAAAAUAAGUGGCAUCUUUUGUGGAAUAAAAAAACUAUACAUUUGACGUGUGAAAUGAAUUUAUGUCAAGUAAAGUUCAAAAUAGUCAUGGAACAGACGAUAGGGGCUAUAGUCCUAUCUAAUGAUCAUGGUAGUCUGGUAUAGAAUCCGGCCAAUUGACAAAGCCAUGGGAGUUCGGUAUAGAGCCCGAUCGAUUGACAAUCAUGAUAGUUCGGUAUAGAAUCCUACCGAUUGAAUGUCAUAGUAAUUUGGUAUAAAGUCCGGCCGAUUGACCAAUUUAUGUAAUGAGACCAAUCGGUAGUCAUGUAACCCAUUGGUCACCCACCUAGAAGGGAUUUAAUUUUUAGACUGAGUACUCAGAAGUUGGACAUUGCAUGUACUUGUUAUGAGCUGCUAUGAAAUGAUUUAUGACUAUAUGGCUUUCAUGUACGAUUAUGUAUAGGAUGUCUACAAGUUGCUGUAUCACUCAUUAUUAUUGACUGUCUUACGAAUAAUGAAUUUUCAAUAAUUAUGCAUGUGAAUUGUGUGCAAAUAAUUUGAUAUAUAUAUAUAUAUAUAUUUUAUGUACAUGUAACCUAUGGUUGCAUGAUCCAACAAAAGGGUAGACGCUACCUAUUAUGCGAUUUAUUGCUCAACCCAUUUUUACCACUUUUGCAGAUUUUGAAGAGUAUGAAUUGGUUUAUGUUGAAAACCGUGAGGAUGAUUUUUAUUAGCGCUAAGUAGAUAGAAAUUAGCAGUCUAGCUGCUUUUGGUUAUUAGUCUUAUUUAAUGUUUUUUACGUUGUUUCGUCUAAAAAAUAAAUGUACGAAUUUAUUGAAUACUCGUAGACUACCUCCUAUUCGAGAUUUGUACCGCACCAUAAUUAAUUAUUCUAUUUAGUACUUUCUAAGUUUUAUUCUAGUUCAAUGUGGCCUUGUAUUCUUGAGCGGGACUUGAGGAUAUGGCGGAUGUCACGUAACUGACACGUACGAGUUAGGGGCGUGACAAUUUUUCUUGCAACUAAACUAACAAGUUCUACAAAAUUAUGGUGCACAAAAUUAUAUCAAUAGGCAAUGCAGGAUACAAUUUUAUGUUUGUUCGUAGAAAGAUUCACAGUACAAAAUGAGGCUCUGGAAACACAACUACUUUUUUGGCCGAGUGAAAUUUUGGGUAGCAAAAUGGGAUAAUUUCAUAAACAUCCCUUAAAAUUUUUAACUAUUUACUGACUUCUCUUCAGAUUUUAAAAAUUACACUAACGUCUCUUAAGGUUAAUUAUCAUGUAACAAUUAUGUCAAAUUAAUAAUUAAAAAGUGAUAUUAAGAAAGAAAAAAUAAUAUAAUUUCAUCAUUGUGAGAGCCCGUAAUUUUUCCGUUUUAGGGUUUUAUUAUAUUCAAUGGCUUGUUUUCUGCACUUUCUGUAUCCGGAAAAUUUUCUAGAUAAUUUUUAUGAGCAGAUAUAGUUUUUAGAUGAUUUUUCUAGUAUCAAAUAGUUUUUGAGACAUUAAGCGCGUAUACCUGACGUGGGACCCACUAGUGCGAAAAGUUCGAAAAAAUUCGGCCAACUAGGUUAAAUUUUGGAUACUGAAAUUAAUUUAUCGGGUGUUAAGAGAUAAGUAGAGGUUGCAAUUUGGAUUGGUGUGAGAGGAAACAAAGUGAUAGAUUUGCAUUAAAUAAGUGACAAGUGUCAUCAUAUGGUUGGAUGACUUGUAUGACCACUAUUCCAUGUCUUACCAAUUGACCAAAUAAAUCAAAAAAAUAACAAAAAUUCACCAUUUUUUCCUUCAUCUUGGCCGAGCUCUUCAAGCAACAAAAGAAAGAAAACUUUUCAAGUUUUUGGCUUCAAUCUUGCUUCAAUCAACUCACUCAACCAUCCAAUCUUGUUUUUGCUCCAUAAAAUCACUUAAGGGAGUGAUAGUGGGGUGUUGUGUGGAGUUAUUUGGAAAGUUAAGAGGACUAGUUGCUCUCUCUCUCUUGUUUCUAAGGUGAGUUGUGAAGAACCCCUCUCCUCCCUCUGUAAGGUCCGAAAACAACCCUUUUCUAGGCGACCACACAAUGGAGCAGUUGAUAAGAAAGCACAAGUGCUUGUGAGUAGAAGAGAUAAACAAUUUAAAGAUCAUAAAUGUAACAAUAAGUAAAAGGAAAGAAUUGCAAACCAAUUAACUACCCAACUCCUCUUGAGCUUCAAACAAGCUAUUUCAAAUUGAUGAAUUACAAUCACUCUUGUGUACAAAGGAAGGUUCACCUCCUCCUUACCCCGAACUCCCUCGGUCAAGCCAGGACGUUUUACUAUCCCUCAGGACAACCCUCACAGAGUUACACUCAUGAAAUAUUUACUCACAAAUGAAAAACUUACAAUGAACCUCACACCAUUAAGACUACAAAUCUUCUUUGAAGAGUAUUUUCUCACUAAAAUCUCUCUAGAUCUUUUGUAUCUUCAGUGUGCCAAAGUUGUUUGAAAUAUCUGACCAAUCACUAUUUAUAUAGGACCAAGAAAGAGCCUCAUUAAAGCUUCCAACGGAUAGAAAGUAGCUGAAGAGUCAACUAGCCGUUGGAGUGUCGGACGUCCGAUAGCCCUGUUUUAUGCGUCCGACAGCAGGCAAUGAGUUUCAGAGAUUUUCUUCAAUUCUUUCGGACGUCCGGUGCAAGCUCUUUGUGCGUCCGACAGCAAACAAACAGAUUUGAGAAAUUAUCUUGUUUCUAUCGGACGUCCGGUAGAGACAUAUUCAGCGUCCGAUAGUUUCGUCGACUUCGAAGGAUCCUAUCGGACGUCCGAAACAUGCGUCCGAAGUUAUGUAAUGAUUAUCGGACAUCCGAUUCUGACUUCUUGAGCGUCCGACAGCUUCAGCAUACUUUGUCAUCUUUUAAUUGUACUUGAUCUUUGGAACUAAUUUGCUUCAUAACUGAAUAGAUCUUUUAAGAGACAUUAGUAACAUCCAUUUGUUUUGUAAACAUCAAAAGAUAGGGAUCAAGAUCAACAAUCUCCCCCUUUUUGAUGAUGACAAAACAAUGGAUGGAAAGAAACAAAAAUAAGUAUAAGCUCCCCCCUCAAUCAUUGCAACCAAAACUUUUAAAAGCCAAACUCAUAAUCUCAGAAUAACUCUCCCUUACACAUUGCAUCCAUUUCUCCCCCUUUUUGUCAUCAUAAGAGUAAAAAUUAACUACUAUAGUCCAGCAACAAUAACAGAGAAUUCAAUAUUCCAAGAAAAAAUAGAGAAAUGACAGCAAUCACAGCAAAUCAUCAUGAGAUCAGCAUUAUUCUUUUAUCUCUCUUUUUGGCAUCAUAUAGAUUCAGUAGUAUUCAAAGAUAUCAGCGAAAACUCAGAUCAAAGUAUCAAAAGAACAAAUAUUAUGAACAAGAAUCACUGCAAUGAUUAGACAAAACCUCCUACUUGUUAAAAUUAGCAUCAUGUCUAACUAUCCAAAUGCAUUUCAUGCCUCUUCUCAUGUUUUUCCUCACAUAACAAUCACUUUUCAUGUGACCUUUUUGACAACAAAAAUUACACAUAACCAAAGAGUUAUUCACAUGAACGGGUUUAAUAAAUCCGACUUGCCUUUUCCUAUGGAUAGCAAACUCAUUUGCAUAUUGAUUCAGUCUUAUUUGAUGAGUGCCAAAAUGAGGUUUUGAUUUAUUACUUUGAAAACAGUCUUAUUUUUUAUAUUGGAGCAACUCAUUUAAAUCAUCCAUUCUUCUUUUCAAAUCACCUUGUUCCUUUUUGAACAAUUCACAAAGUUUUAUUUUUCUAUCAAGCUCAAAGUGUAAAGCAGUCUCACUCUUUUUGAAUAAAUCAUUUUCAGCAUUCAACUUUUUAUUUUGUUGAAAAAGAUUUGCAUUAUCUCGAAGCAAAAAACUAAUUUUUUGUUUUAACUCCUUGUUUCUAGCAUAAGAUUCUUUCAAAUUAUCAUGCAAUUUUAUAAUGAAAAAUUCAAGAUCAUCAUCACUUUCAUCAUCACUUUCAAAUUGAGAGUUACAAGUUGUUACUUCAUCGUCUCCAAUGGCCAUGAAAGCCAAUUGGGCAGAUUCUUCUUCCUCUUCAAUUUCAUCAUCGGAGUUGCAUUCAUUCCAUGUGAACUGGAAAUUAUUGAAUCUAGGUUUUCUUUCACCUUUUCUCUUCUUCAUUGGACACUCAUUUGCAUAAUGUCCAAGUUGACCGUAUUCAAAGCACUUGUCAUCUUGCUUUUUGUUGGUCUCAUAUCUUCCUUUAUUUCUUGCAUUGUUGAAUUGAUUAGAAUCUGAAUUGCUAGAUCUUCCUCUUCUAAAUCUCUUUUUGUUGAGAAUUCUCUUGAAACUUCUUGUGAUGAGAGCAAGAUCACUGUCAUCAACUUCCACAUCUUCUUCAUCUAGGGAGGCAGAAUCAUCUUCAUCUUGAGAUGCCUUUAAAGCAAUGCUCCUUCUUACUUUCGCAUCCUCUUCCUCUUGCACCUUAGACUUAAGUUUCAACUCAUAAGAGGUAAGAGAAUUAAUAAGAGAUUCAAUAGGCAUAGUAUUCAAAUCUCUAGCCUCCUCAAUAGCAGUCACUUUAUUUUUCCAAUCAUUGGACAAGGCAUUCAGGAUUUUUCUAUUUUUCUCACCUAGAGAAUAUUCUUUUUCCAGCACCUCUAAGUCCUUAAUGAGGUCGUUGAAUCUACAGUACAUCUCAUCUAUGUUUUCAUGAGGUUCCAUCUUGAACGAUUCAUACUUGGUAACCAGAAUAGACUUCUUUUGUUCUCUAACAUUCUCACUACCCUCAUGAAAUUCUCUCAAUUUAUCCCAAAUUUCCUUGGCUGACUUGCAGCCUUUGACUCUAGCAGAUUCAUUUGAAUCUAAGGCACAAUAUAACACAUUCAUGACUUUUGCAUUUAAGGUGAGAUGAAUUCUAUCCGCAGCAGUCAGUUCACUUCUCAUUUUUUGUCUAGAUCUGUGAGUAUUUUCAUCUAUAAGAGAGGUAUCAUAUGGACCUUCACUAAUAAUAAACCACAAUUCAAUAUCAAUAGACUGCAAAAAGAUAAUCAUUCUUUCUUUCCAACUCACAUAAUUUGACCCAUUAAACAUAGGUGGUCUAAUGACAAAAUGUCCUUCAAAAAACAUAACAUUGUUGGUUGUCAUCUUUACUCCAAAGCCGAUUGAGCUUAAUCUCUAGGAGUCCAACCUCUGAUACCAAUUGUAAGGUCCGAAAACAACCCUUUUCUAGGCGACCACACAAUGGAGCAGUUGAUAAAAAAAGCACAAGUGCUUGUGAGUAGAAGAGAUAAACAAUUUAAAGAUCAUAAAUGUAACAAUAAGUAAAAGGAAAGAAUUGCAAACCAAUUAACUACCCAACUCCUCUUGAGUUUCAAACAAACUACUUUAAAUUGAUGAAUUACAAUCACCCUUGUGUACAAAGGAAGGUUCACCUCCUCCUUGCCCCGAACUCCCUCGGUCAAGUUAGGACGUUUUACUAUCCCUUAGGACAACCCUCACAGAGUUACACUCAUGAAGUAUUCACUCACAAAUGAAAAGCUUACAAUGAAUCUCACACCACUAAGACUACAAAUCUUCUUUGAAGAGUAUUUUCUCACUAAAAUCUCUCUAGAUCUUUUGUAUCUUCAGUAUGCCAAAGUUGUUUGAAAUAUCUGACCAAUCACUAUUUAUAUAGGACCAAAAAAGAGCCUCAUUAAAGUUUCCAACGGAUAGAAAGUAGCUGAAAAGUCAACUAGCCGUUGGAGUGUCGGACGUCCGAUAGCCCUGUUUUAUGCGUCCGACAGCAGGCAGUGAGUUUCAGAGAUUUUCUUCAAUUCUUUCGGAUGUCCGGUGCAAGCUCUUUGUGCGUCCGACAGCAAACAAACAGAUUUGAGAAAUUAUCUUGUUUCUAUCGGACGUCCGGUAGAGACAUAUUCAGCGUCCGAUAGUUUCGUCGACUUCGAAGGAUCCUAUCGGACGUCCAAAGCAUGCGUCCGAAGUUGUGCAAUGAUUAUCGGACGUCCGAUCCUGACUUCUUGAGCGUCCGACAGCUUCAGCAUACUUUGUCAUCUUUCAAUUGUACUUGAUCUUUGGAACUAAUUUGCUUCAUAACUGAAUAGAUCUUUUAAGAGACAUUAGUAACAUCCAUUUGUUUUGUAAACAUCAAAAGAUAGGGAUCAAGAUCAACACCCUCUAAUGAUGCUUAAUUUAUGCUUAGUGGUGGAAUAAGAUGCAACUUUAUGGAUUAUAUUGUGAUUUUGGUUUAAUUGAUGAAGUUUUGUAAUUAUUGAGGAUUUUUCUGUUUUAAUAUGAAUAUGAUUGUGUGGUUAUGUAUGAUAAUUGGAAGUGGUAUGUAAGGGAUCUAGGAGGUGGAAAAAGUGGAUAAUUGCAAGCAAUUUCUGUUUUGGAAGAAAUUUUGGAAAGUUAGGGUUUAUGAAAUUACAUUCUGCCCGGUUUUGUAGCUCAUAAUUAGAGGCUGAAUUGGCCUUGGUUUAAAACAUAAAAGCUGUAGGGAAUGAUAUUUUAGAGGUGCCUACAAAAUUUCAGGCCAAUCGGAGUAGCGUAACUUGAGAAAAGUCGAAAUUACCCUUACUAUCUUGGUUUUACCCGAAUUUGAGAAUUGCUUCUGUAAUUGAUUAUUUUGGUUAGGAAUGCUUCCGAAUUGGUUGUUGAGGUCUUCUGAUGAAAUAUAGCCCUAUUUCUUAGUUUUCAGCUGAUUUUGGAAUUUCUGGAUUUGGACUUAGGUAGGCUAAUUUAUGAUAUUUACACCAGAAUGCGAUUUGUGAAUCUGUUUUUCCGGUUCUGGUGUAGUUUCUUGCAUUUUUGACUUGGUUACACUCGAAACUGGAUUGAGUGACCUUCUGCAAUAUUGUAACCCUAUCUCUUAGUUUCGAAACGGUGGGUCUUGCACCUUCAUCCGAUAAUCGUAGUGCUUUUGGUGCCAUUACCGCAAAAUGAGGUUAAAAACUGUUUUUUUUUCAGGGCUAAAGCUAAUUCCAAUUCCGGAUUUUCUGGUUUCCCCUAAUGCUUGUUUAUGCUUAUGGAACCCUAUUGGGGUCGUAUUUGGCAUUGGUUUAUAACUCGUUAUCGAGUCUCAUUGUACUUGUUUGCGUGUUUUAGGGCGUGAUGGUGGUUCACGAAGUUCCUUUGACGGAAGUGCAUGAAAUAUCACUUUCGAACUUGGUGAGUGUACUACUCACUUGUGUGUUACUAUAUAGCUUUGAUACUUGAACUUGAUGAGUUGAAUGUUAAUUGAUUGAAAUGAGAGCGUACUUUAUCACUCUCACUUAUUGUUUAUCAUGUUAUUGGAAUGUUACAUGAAUUGAAAGUACUUGACUUGGUGUCGAUUGGACGAGUAUCCAAUGACUACAAUUGUUAUCAUUGAACUCAACCCCAUUGGUAGUUGAUUGAAUCGAGCCGGCGAGAGCUUGGUCGUGCCAAUUAAUGAACCUUGGGGACUGUUAUAUGGAAUCUUGUAGUAUGAGAGACUCUCGAUUCCGGUAUACUCGAGUAAUACCAAAGUGCAAGUGUUUGGAGUUCGGGCCCGGUAGGGGGAUGUUAGGUGGAAGGAAUGGAAGUAAAGUAAAAUCUACGGUUGGUUACUUGUAAACAUUGACGGAGAGUCAAUGAGAUCCGAUCAAGAAUGCAAACGAGGAAAAGGGCUCUUGAGAGUCGCCUGUAUCCUUUUAUCAUCAUUAUUGAUGUGUGUCUUUAUUUACUUUUGAUGAAUUGGAUUGAAAAACUUGACGCUUAUAUGAACUUGGUUGUUUGAGUGGUACUAUCUCACUGGGCAAUUAGCUCACUCUGUUCCUUUUGUUUUCCUUACAGGAAAAUAAAUCCUUUUGGACUGCAAUUGAUAAUUGGUUGCCGAAAUGAGUUAGUUGGACAUAUCUUUUGUAUAGCUCAUUUAUUAAAACCCUAAAUGUACUUUUGGGACCGUUUCUCUUUUGAUUUUGCAAACCAGACAUGUAUCCACUUUUGAAUACUUUUGUAUGCCAUUUUGGCUUGUAAAUGCUAAGUUUCAAGAUGUGAAUGUUUGCUUGAUAUUUAGUUGGGUUCUGAUGGGUCGGUUACUAUUCAUGGCCGACUCCAGAUUUCAUUUUUUUUAUUUCUUUUAUUUUGACAUUUUGACUUGUUUACGCGCGUUUGUAAGUUCCGGAAAGCGAUAGACCGACCUGAACUGCACCGUUAGUCCUGGCGAGAGUUGGGCAGGCAGUCCGCUAACCCCUUUGGUUCGCCUUAGGGAAAGGUGGAGCUGUCACAAUCAUUACCCCUCAUUUACUACAUUAUUUAAUACCAACGCACACAUUAAAGAAAAAUAAUAAAAUUUGAUGUUUAUCAUUGGAGAUCAAAUCACAUAUAACAUCAAAAACCAGUAUAUCAUUUUAUAUUUUUCAAUUAAUACAAGUUCCAAAUUACUCUUUUCAAUUAUAUAUCCAUUAUCAACUAUGAUCAGUAACAAAUAAUCAAAAAUUUGUAAUCACAAUAUUACAGAAAGUUUAACAUCAUAAAUAUUUUUGUUAAUAUAUUAAGGUUAGUUGUUCAGAUUUUUAUGGUAUGAAAGUUUGCUCUUUAUAAUAUAUUGCUUACAGAUUUUUUGAUUAUUUGUUGUUGAUCAUGUUUGAUAAUAAUUUUGUAACUAAAAAUAGCAAUUUGAAUUUUACAUCAAGUGAAAUAUAUAAAACAAUAUACUAUUUUUGAUACUAUAUAUGAUUUAAUCCCUGAUGAUAAAUAACAAAUUCUAGUAUUUUCUUUAACGUUUGGGCAAGUAUUAAAGUAACUAAACAAUUUAGUAGCUGAGAGACAAUUGUGGAAUCAUUUUAUCUUCUUUCUUCUAAUAUCGCUUUUUAAUUAGUGGUUGGAUCUAAAUGUUACAAUAUAAUAAAUCUCAAUGUUGAUUGGUGUAAUUUCCAAAACCUGGAGGAAUGCUAGUGAAAUAGUCAGAAACCUCAAGGGAGAUUUCUGAAAUUAUCCCUAGAAAAAUUGUAUCUCAUGUUUGAAGUUAUAGAACUUUAAAAUCCUAGAAUUGCUUUAAACCAUAUUUUGAAAUCUCACUUGUGCUCCCAGAAAAGGACAAUAUAUUAAUCAACCAAAUUUCUGUACCCCUAAUUAUGAUAUUUACAAGUAUAUAAAUUCUUAUUAGAAUUUGAGAAAAGAAGAAAGGCAAAUAAAACUUACAAUGAACACUGUAGUAAAAAGAAAAUGACAACUUCUAUGGUGAAUAAUUUGAUUAUGUCUCACCUUCUAGAAAAAGACAUUGUUUAAACCAUUUCAUCCACUUAAUUAGUCAAAUACUUGUCACUUCCUAAAUAGUGCAGUCUUCGUGCACCAAUGAAACAGCAAAACUUUCAACAUGCUUAGGUCCUUAAAAUAUAAUACAAGCUAAAACUCAGAGACCUAUGCAUGUAGCACACCAAACAUCUUACUCAUGCAAACAAAACACCAUUGUAGGCAUAAAUCAAAACUUACUAAAUAACAUACAAGUUACAUUGAAUUUGGCUUUAUGGAUGUAAAUCUCAAUCCUGUCCCGAGGAAAUAAGACACAAUAAAAGUUACGUUGAUUCAAAAGCACAUUAGUAAUGUAAAUUUCAAUCAUGUCUGGAGGAAAUAAGACAUACAAUAAAAGGCACAUUGAUCCAAAAGUACUCUAGUAGCUAUUUCGAACGGCUAACUGUACUCUUGUUUGUAGUGCUUUAUUGACACCCCAAAUUCUCAAAUAACUUCUUCUGCCAGAAGUGAACACAAAAUACUCCCAUAUCAAUAAUGCAAUCAACAAUACUCCUUCAAUGAAAGAUUAAACCUCCCUUGUAAUUUUUAGUUCUGAUCAAGUCACAUACAAGAAGAAAAUAAACUUUCAGAGAACAUUGUGCAAGUUUCUCUAAUCUGGGGAAUUGAAAGGUUAAAAAUUAGGAAACAUAAAUGUAGAAAGAAAUUAUGGAGAACCAUAAACAAAAUCCCAGGGAAGAAAAGGAGCAGUUAAAAUUUAUUAACACUAUAUAAUUUAAUAACCUCAUAUUCUUCUAAAAAUUCAUAAAGAAUCUAGCUAACAAAACCAGAAGAAAGGGGAAGGGAAAUGAAUUCAGAUUUUAAUCAAAAGAAAAUUAUUAAAAUCUACUGAUGGCAGUCAAACAUAUCCUCAUCAAUGAUAAUCCCAUCAAAUGAGAAUUUAUUAACACAAACCACUAUGACUAGAUACUCUAUCCAAACAAAUUGUCAUGUAAUUAUUUAGAAAGCAGCAAAUUGUUAAUUGUCAAUAUAGUUGCAUUAACACAAAAAACAAGAUAUUGAGUGGUCAUAAUUCUAACUCGUGUCAUCUACAUUAAAUAGUUUACUAAAAUAGACCAACACACACAGUUGUAAUGAAAAGUAAACUUAUGCAUGCAUUACGUAGCGAACAGCAAUGAACUUGAUGAACUUCAGAUUAACUCAACAUCAUCCGCACAAAGAGCAUGUCCUUGAGAGAGGCCAAUUUGGUGCUCUAAGAUGAAGCUACCUCUACUAUAAACAAGAUAACAUGUUUAAGAUGAUAAUUACCAUUUAGCCAUUGUAUCUGUCUCCAGCAAAUUGUAUGCAUCAUUGUAUGCCUUGAAUAUCAAGAAAAUGAUUGGCAAGUGUGAGACAGGGAAUUCAGGAAAUGUGAAAAAAAAGAAAUGAACUACACAAUGAAGAUUUUUCGCAUUUAGCUAAAUGUGAGAGAACAAAAAAAAAAUCUGAAAGGAAGGAAAAAUCUGCUUUCACUGUGUAUUUUGACAAAAUUAUAUAUCUCAGAUUAAAUAAUCAAAUCAAUUUUAAUCUAAAAAUGUUACCUCUUGCUAUUCAAUUUGAACGCAUUUUGAGUGGAUUAAACGAAUCUUAAAGCUUCUAACAGAAUUACCAUCACUAAUUCUUCAAGCUUUAUCAUGAUCCACUUCAAUUAACCCAGAAAGGAAUCAUACCAAACAGGUUAGUUGAGUAAAAACAUGACUUGAAAAUACAAACAAAACCAUUUCUUGUACGAAUACAGAAACAUAAAAGGUUAUUUAAAGUUUUUAAGCAAAAUGAUAAUUCAUUUCCCAAUUCUAGCCUGAGCUCAGAAUCUAGUAGCUAAGACUUCUCACUCCUGGGCAAACAUCUUUUCACCUAGAAAUAUUGAAACCAUUUAAAUUAAGAGUAAAUCUUUCCUACACUGACGGUGUAUAUACUAUCAUCGUUGGAUUCAUAACAUGUGUGCAAAAGUUGAAUUUCAAAUUCAAAUUUUGCAUAGCUGUCAAUCAUCCAACGCUGAUAGUGUAUACACUGUCAGGUUGCUUGGUAAUGUUCAUAUUUUUCCAUUUGUGUUCUUUAACAUAAAUAUAAUGAAACACUUGAUCUAAUUUUUUUUUUAUUGUUAUGAAUGAAACAAAAAUAUGUUUGAUGCAUGAUAUUGUUUUAAGAAUAAUUAAACAUAAACAUUUUUUAUUGCAUAAAACAUUUUGCUCUUGUUUAAAAUUUUUUUCUUCUAUUCCUCCCAAAUUAACAUUCUUCGCUUUUUCUUACCUUCCUCAAGGAAAAUCUCUCUUAACUGAAUACUUAUCACUAAAUUACCACAAUAAACAUAACACAUCAGUACUACUAUCGCUCAUUAUAUCCACCUUUUAUUAAUAUCACCAAUUUAUUGAAAAUUUCUCCAAACUAAGCAUUAAUAUUAAUGCAAUUCACCGAAUAAUUAACAAGAUCUCCAAAUAAUACAUGAACAAUGGAAUGGAUUUCACCAGAAUUAGCCCUAAACCAUAAAAAGAAAAGGUCCCAGAAUUGAUAAAAUUCACUAAAAAAAUUAACCAAAACUCACCGAAGAAUUAAUCAAAACCAAUCCCCAAAUAUCCUAAUCACCAAAUUUCAACAAUAUAGGUCCAAAAUCACAAGAAUCAGCCCCAAAAGCAUUGGAUCCUCCAAAUUAAGGAGGCGAACGGAACUUUCCACCCAUAUACACUGAAAGAAGGAGAUUUAGAAGCUGUGGGGUGAGGGAAAUUCAACCUGUAAGAUUCCUGAGUUGAUAUAUCCACAAGGGAAAAUCGUUCAAAACGUCCCUCACAUUUUACAAGACGACUUUUUCCAUCCCUCACUUUUAAAAGUAUAAUUUUACAUCCAUUACAAAUUCAUAUUGACCAAAUUUGAUCCCUACCUAGAUUUUCGACUAGUUUUUUGCCGGAAUCCACCACGUGACUUGCAUGUGAUCAUUUUUUAAGGGCAAAAUUGUUAAAUCAAAUUUUUAGAUAAUCUGAUUCAUAGUCGCUCACAUUUCACAAAAUAAAUUUUUUUGUUCCUAACAUUUUACAAAAUGAAUUAUUUCGUUCCUCACAUUUCAAAAAAUAAAUUUUUCCAUCCCUCACAUUUUUCAAAAUGAAUUUUUUCAUCCCUCAUUGAUCAUGUGUACGAAUAGCUUUUUUUCUAUAAACCCACGUAUAUGUCCAUUUGAUUUUACCUGAACAGUAUGAAUAACAUGUAAUUUAUCUCUAUUGGAUUUCAUCUAAACAUGCUAAUCGUAGUUAUACACAUGUUAUUCAAUAGAUAUAUAUAGGGGUUUAAAACUAAUAAUUUUGUUUGGAACCCAUGUAUAUAUUUAUAUGAUUUCAUCAUUUGAACCUAUUCAAUAUUUGUGACCUUUCUCAUUUGGUAAUAAUUUAUUUAUUGAAUUGUAUAAUAAGGUAAUCUAAUUAAUGGGUCCUAAUUCGAAUGCUAUAAUUGUGCUGACAAAUUUUAGUUUAAAUCUGAAAUUUCUAUUCGACACUUUUAAGACCAACAGUUGAAUUAUUUGCUUUGUGAUUGUCUUAAAAUUUGAAAGUGCCAAUCACUUAUUUCUUUUUGUCAUACUUUUCUUUUGUUUACUUUUUCUAUCCAAAUUUAAUUCGAUAUAAACACUCGAUAAUAUUUAGGAUUAAAUGUGCUCUUUAUUUUCAAAUUUCGAGUAAAAGAAAAUGAAUAUAAGUGAAAAACUAACAAUUUUUUUAAACCCAUGUAUAUAUCUAUUUGAUUUCACUUGAGCACUACGAAUAGUAUGUAAUAUAUCUCUAUUUGAUUUCACAUGUUAUUCGUACUGUUAAAGUGAAAUCAAAUAGAUAUAUACAUGGAUUUAAAAAAAAAUUAUUCACACACAUGAUCAAUAAAAGAUGAAAAAAAUCGUUUUGAAUAAUGUGAAGGUUGAAAAAAUUCAUUUUGUGAAAUGUAAGGGACGACAAAAUUUAUUUUAUGAAAUGUGAGGGAUUAUGAAUUGAAUUAUAUAAAAUUUGAUUUGACAAUUUUGCCCUUAAAAUAUAAUCACAUGCAAGGCACGUGGUGAAUUUCGACCAAAAACUAGUCGAAAACCUAAGUGGGAACCAAAUUUGACAAAUGUGAAUUUGUAAGGGAUAUAAAAUUACAUUUUUAAAAGUGAAGGACAAAAAAAAUUAUUUUGUAAAAUGUGAGGAACGUUUUGUAUGAUUUUCCCUAUCCAAAAUGGCCAAGAACAUGCUGAAAGGAAGUUCAUUGAUAUUAUAUCCAACUUGUUUAGACAUAAUUCAUAAUCAAAAUACGAGGCUUAGUAGUAAAACUACAAUAGAGCAGUAAAAAUAAGAUCUAAUAUUUAGAGAAAAUAAAAAAUAACUUCAAAACACAUGAAAUCCAACUUCAGUUUCUUAAUAUUCUUUUUGCAGGUGAACUUUUUCCCUAGCACCGAGUCUGAAAAAUGAAGAAAAGAAACUAUUUGACUGGAUCGUAGAUUCAACUAAGAAAGUAAUCAAUAAAAUUAGUUGUAAUUAACCCUAACAAAAGAAAAAAGAUAGCUUGAACUACUAAGCGAAUCUAUAUCUAUAUGUAUUGCAGGGAAAGGUUUUAGGAUGAUUAAAUCGGAAUUCUUAUAACUCCUCAUUCCUUUUUUUUUUAUAGAAUUUUGAAUUUUUUAAAUUGUUACAUAUCCUUUCGUGUCUUUUGAAUUUAAAAAAUAAGGAGUGGCCCACGUAUAUAGGAAUAUAUAUAUAUAUAUAUAUAUAUGAAAGUAGUUAAUUAGAGUGUUUCUCACUCUUAUGUGAUAUGCUUAAUUGAUGAGAAUUAACGGGUUAUAGGUAAUUUGGCUUUUACCCAUAUUGAAUAUUAUAAUAUAUGUUUAAAAAUUAUCCCUAAUUUUAAAAUAAUUUUAAAAAAUGACUAAUCUUAUCUUAAUGAUAUCUAAAAUAAUUUUUAAAAAAUAACUAAUCUUAUGUUAAUGAUAUCUGCUUUCUAUCAAAUUAUUACAUAUAACUAUAGUAAAGCCUUUUUUAAAUUACAAUUAUUAAAAUCUUACAUAUUCCAUAAAUUACUUCCUUUCAUCACUAUAUCAUUAAUUAGUAUUUAAAUUGCUCAUCAUCUCUUCCCUUAAUUUUGAAGUAAUUUAGUGUAAAAAAAGAAUUAAUUAUUACACUGACAGAAUUACCAAUAUUAUUGGAAGCUAAAUAUUUAUUGAUGAAAAAAAAUAGAUUGCUAGAUCUUUUCUACUUAAUUAAAUGUGAAUAUAUAGUUUUAGGUUUAUGAUCAUUAUAAAAAUUUAAAUUAUCUAAAAGAAUAUUUAUAAAAAAAGAAUAUCUAGCUUUGAAUCCCUCGAAUGGAACCUUUUGUUAUGAAAUUUUGUUGAGAAAAUGGGUUGAGGCCUCUGUGUUGAUUUAGUUGACAAAUUGUUGGCUGUUGUUUGAGUUUCCUUCGCAUAAAUGUGUCUGGGUUGAGAAAGCAGAGUUGCAGAAGAAUUCGCAGGAAGAAGUAAGCUUAUUCGUACAGGCUGCAUGUUCUUUUCCAAAAAUUACAUUUUUGCCCUCCAAGUUUUAAUUAAUUUCACUAUGGCCCAAACGCAUUUUCAGUUGAACCAAUGUCGCCUUUUUAAAUUUUAAUCAUCCUUUUAUAUUUUUAAGUAGUCUUUAGGUAGAUUAAUUCUGGAUUUUAGGUUAUAAUUGUGGCUUAAUAAUUUUAGUUGAUUUAUUUUUCUUGUUGGGUUUUGGUAGUAUGGUUUAGGUUUUGGGUAAUAAUAUUCGGUUGGGUUUUUUUGAGUGGGUUUGGUUUUUUUUUUGUUGAGGUUUUUGGGUUUGGAUGGAGGUUAAAGCCCAUCUGUUUGUUGGAUUAUUUUAGGGUCAGAAUGGUUGACUGACCCACCCCUUUGGAGUUGGGUUUGGGUUGGCUGGGAGGCUUUUCAGCCCAAAUAAAAAGAGAAAUGGCCCAGAGGCCUGUUUGCUGAAGAAAUCUGGUUACGAAAUUUCAUAAUGGUCCCUGUACUUAUCAUUAAUUAUAUUACGGCUCUAAAGCCUUUGAUUUCUUUUAAUUAGGUCCCUAAUUUAAUUGCAAAUAGGUCCCUAAGGUCGAGAUAAGAGGUCCCAUCGGUACAGAGGAUUGAUGUGUCAUGUUCCUAACCAUAGGAUUGCUCCGCCCUAGAGAAUCCGGCUAAGGAAGAUAGAUUCUUUCAAAGAAAGUCCUUUAUCUGGAAAAAGCUGAAAAAACUCACAACUGGCUGGGUAGAUAUAUGUACCUCCUGCAUCCACCGGUAAUGGUGUGGAAGAGGGUAAGCUUUCUAUGUAGAUAGGCAACACCUUUUGCAUCUUUUAAAGGAAAUCUCUGAGAAGAAUAUUGCAGCGCUUACUGUAACAAGAACACCGGUUACGAGAAGAGAUAUACAUAUGUAUCUAUGCAAAGAAAUAUUACAAAAGAAUAACAUAUUAACUUUUUUGAGUAUAAUUAAAAAUAGACUUAAAAAAAUUCACCUUGAGGGAAGAAUGCAACAAAUUCUUCAAAUUCCACAGAUCUUCGAAGAUCUUAAUCUCUUAUCCUGCAACAAGAAAAAAAAUGAAUUUCAUGAGAAAGUUUUCUUAAAAUAAAAAGAAAAGGUAGUAAAAAGCUAGUGAUUUAUGAUCUCUGAAGAAUAUGAUUUUACCAGACUCACAAAGCUGGAGAACACCAUUUUGCCAAGGAGAACAUAAGGAGAGAUGAGAAAUGAGGGAUAGGAGAUGAUGGAAAAGACCUCCACCCUUUCAGUAAAACAUCUGGAACAACAGAAAAAUGUAAAACCUCCAUUAAAAUCAUCAUCACUUCCUCUUCAAUCUCCACCAUCUUCUUUCACCUGGAAAAAAAAUGCAGCCAUCUCUCCAAGUCCAAAUUAAUCUAAAAAAAAAUAUUGAAAGUGGUCAGAUAAAUCCUUCAAAGCAAGAAAAAAAAAGAAGUAUAGAAUAAAUAGUUUUCUAAUAUUGAGGAAUGAGUAUACCAACGCUCAAAAUUUUUUUUUUUGAAGUUUUCCUGCUAAUUUUUGAAGUUUUCGUCGCACAAUUUUAUUGUCAAUAACUCGUCAUUUUGUGAUUUUCAUAAUCAUAGUUCAAUAGACAAUUUGAUUGUCAAUAACUCAUCAUUUUGUGAUUUUCAUAAUCAUAGUUCAACAGAUAGGAUUCUUUUAUGAUUUCUGUCCUCACAACCACAAUCAAUUUGGCAAUUCUCAGACCAAUCUUAUGGUCCAAUUUUUAGCAACUGCAUACUCCCUGACUAGCCUUGUGGGUUAACUCGAUCAACUAAUUUCUUCACAGUAAUUCUUAUACUUUAACUUUGACAAUGGAAAGCACUCAGAACUAAUCUCAUAGUCGGGACAAUUUUCAAUGUUCACAGGCACCCCAAGAUCAAUUUCUUGUAGAAGCCAAAACAUUUUAACAAAAAAAUAGAUGAGAUAAAUUUCAUAGAACUAAUGUAGACGGGAGGCAAUUUAGAAAAGAAGAAUAAAUAUAAACAAUAAUAUAUUAAUCGCAUGCCAUAAUAACAAGUCUCUUAAAGUUUCACUCUACUCUUCUCUCGACUCACGCAUUAAUAUGAGUAACUAUUUAUAGAUUAGAUGACUUGAUAAAUAAAUUUUACACCUCAAGAAAUUUCCUAAAAACAAACUAUUUCCUGAAUAAUAAAACUACCAUAACUUGAAUUGAAUCUAAUACAAUUCCUAAAACCCUAACAUCACUAAAACACUACUAAAUAAUAAUAUCUUGAGUUUUGAUUUAAUAUGCCAACAACCCCAAACCACCCCUCCUCCCCCUCCCACCAUAAUUAUUGCCUCAUUGUCAUCACCUGUGUUUUGAAAUUUGGACCGAACCAAUCGGUUCAACCGGUUGAACUAAGAAAUGGGUAGGCAUCUGGUCCAAGUUGUUCUAAAAACCCGUCAAACAAAAAUUCGAUAAUCGAGUUUGACUGAAAAUCGGAAGAAUCAUUUCGAAUCAAGUUUUUUCCAUCUUUUCUUUUUUGACCUUUUUUGUUUUCCUUUUUUGAUUCUUUCUUUUAAUUACUCUCAAAUCUCUUCACAUAACCUAUCAUAAAUCUCUCUUAGACAACUCCAAUGGGAGAUCUAAGUUCAAAAGCGAUAAAAUAUAUUUAAAAAAAAAAAGAAAGUAUAAAAUUUACCCAGAAACAUUUUAUCAAUUUUAUGAUUUGACCCUUAAGUACUAGAAAACUAUUAUUACACCUAGAAACAUUUUAGAACUUAUAGAUACAGCCCUAAAUUCUUGUAGUAAUUUUCAAAUAAGCCCUCCAAUUUGGUUCUAAACUUGUUGAAUACGCAUAAAAUUGUAAAUUGCAUAAAUUGCUACUUAAUUAUACUACUUUAUUUGUAUUUUCUUGUAUAGUAUCUUAAAAAUAUCAAACAUAACAUACAUUGAACCUAACCUUUUUAAUAUUACUAUGUCUUUAAAAGUUUUAUAUAAUAUGUUAAAUUUGAAAAUUAAAUAUAUUUAUGACAUCAUGACAGGGAGAGUCUCAAUAUUUAAUUAAAGUGAUGACGUGAACCAAUCGGUCUGUGGAUAGGGUCACAGACCGAGAGUACACAAAAAUCACCAAAAAAAUGGAAAAAAAAAAAUUUCUAACCAUAUUAAUUCCAGUUCACGUUGUUUAGGAAUCCCUUUUCCUUAAGGUUUCCCCUGCUUUGUACUUGUGCAAUUGAAAUAAACACCCCUUAAUUUCCCAUUGUUGUUGAUUCUCUUCUACGGUCCAACUUCUUGUGCUCAUGUUUUUUUCCUAUCCUCUUUCUCUCCUAAUUAUGCUCAAAGCAGACUACUGUAUUCAGUCAAUUAAUUAAUUAUUUUUUGGUUGUGUUGUACUCCAAACAUAAAUUCGCAGAAUAAUCACAGGCCAGUGGGAGUAUCAUAUUUAUGCAGAUGAAUUUCUAGAUGUUAUAUGGAGGUAUUUCUCUCUCGUGUUUCUCUUUUUUUUUUUUCUCUGCUCAAAUAAUCCCAAGAGGAGGGCAAAUUAUAACAGCAGCUGAAACUGUUGGACAUUUGUUCUUAUUUAAGAUAUUGAAGUUAUUUCUUUUUCAUAAAUUGGGGGUUGGGGGUGGCUUAUGUUACGUUUUUAUGCCUGUUACCCGAUAAAAAUUGAAUCUUGAUUGGUUUUCAAUGUUUGGAUCCCAAUUCGGAAGUUGUUAAUGUGUGCUUGUGUUUGUGUUGGAAUUUUUUUCCCCGAUCUCAUUGCGUUUUGCAGUUGAGGGUGGUUUAUGUUUGUCAAACAUGCCUAUGAACUGAUAAAAACCACAUCUUUGGUUAUUCUUCUUUUUAAUUCCUGAAUUACUUUUGGUAAUAUAUAUUUUGGAGGUAAAACAGUGUCUUUAGAAGUUCAUAAUGUCAACAUGUGAGUAUAUCAGAACUAAAUGGUUCGUUUUGAUAGUUAACUGGUGAUGGUCCGGUGGUAUUGCAAUUAGAUUAUGCUUUCAACAUAGAAAAAUCCCAUCUUUUCGUAAUUUCUUUUUCUGGGUUGAGUGUGGAAUGAGUGUUACUCUCAGGGUAGCUAAUGAGUAUUAAAAAAUCUGAUGGUGGAUCCCCCACCCCCCACCCCCCACCCCCAGGCGGAAAGCCUCCCUCUACUUUCGGGUAAUUUAACUGGCUCUGCAAAUUCACAUCCUUUGGCCUUUUGGAAGUAAAUUCGAUGAACAUACUUGAUCAUCGUGUGUUUUGGAGGUUGAUUAUGUCAGUAAGUUAUAUUAUUCUUACUUUAUAACUCUUUUGGUUUGGUUCUUGUUGUAUUAGCAACUGCAAUGGGGUGCUCUGGACAGAAAGCUUUUCUACCUUUACUGGUGCUGGCAGGGACCGGAGCAGCUGCUAUUGGAGUGGCAAUUAUGUCUUCUUCGGGCAUGUUGGAGAAAACAAUAGCUUUCUUAAAAAACCAUCAUCAGCAAGAAGUUCUUAAGGUACUUAUAUUGUGCUCUUUGAUACUUUAAAAUUUUUGAGCAAUUUCUGUUCCUUUUUUUCACUUGUAUGGAUUACUGUGUUUUCAUACUCAUUGCUAAUUUUGUUUAAACGAAAAUGUUUUCCUUAUAUAAAGCUAUUGCUACAGUGUCACGUUUGGUUGGAAGUGUAUUCCGUCAGGGGGGGAAAAAAGCUGUGAUAUGUAACUUUUUCAUCUAGUAGGCAUAGGGUUAAUGGUGAGUUUGUUUGGUUGCUCUUGACACCCAAUUUUAUUUUCUGAUCAUGUCUUAAUUAGGUUGCCUAUGGUGAUGCACAAGAGGAUAGAAUCAGUCAACUGUCAGAUGAUCUUCUCUCCGAGAUCCUUUCACGGCUGGACUUGAUAGAAGCCAUUAGGACUAGGAUUUUAGCAAGAAGGUGGAACAAUAUUUGCCAAGUAAGGUCCAGGCUACUCCUUGAUUGCCGCAAGAUUUGUGGAGAGAGUCAGCGUAUUCAUACUGGCAGCCGUCGCCACAAGUAUAGGUUCUUGAAAGCAGUAGAUCAAACUUUACAGCUUUAUUCUGGUCAAAAGAUAGUUCAUAUUCAUUUGAUAUGUUGUUUGGGAAACGAAGUUGCCCCUAGCUAUGAUAGAUGGAUGCAAACUAUAGCCACUUUAGGCGUACAAUCACUCCUCCUCAAGUUUUGUACUCCUAUUUGUCAUGAUGAAAAUGGUCCCUAUAGCUCUGUGGACCUUUAUCCUUUGCCUCUUCAGCUGCUGUUUGAAGCAACUUCAUUGAAAAUAUUGAAUUUAUUAAACUGUGUCCUUCAACCAAGUUUCAAAGGCAAAUUUAAUUCCCUCCAGUAUCUAAAUAUGAUAAGUGUUCCUUUAGACAAUGGAGAAUUGCCUCACAUUCUGGCUUCCUGUGUGAACCUUCUGCAGUUGUCAUUGUGCAAUUGUAAACUUCCUCCAAAGUUACGCAUCUCUGGUCAGUGUCUUCAAUUGCAGAGACUGCAUGUUGAAUUGUGCAUUGGGGUGAAAGAGAUAGAUAUCCAUGCUGUCAACCUGUCUUUCUUUUACCUAUAUAGCGAUAAAAUGGUGGAAUUGUCGCUUCAUUAUGUUCCCAAACUGAAAGACUUGUUAGUCAGUGGUAAUGGCAUUGGCGUAGUGCCUUAUUUGUUUGGUCAAGUUGUAAAGGACUGUCCAGCGUUAGAACUUUUUAUGCUCCAGACUAAAGCUAAUGAGGUUCGUAUGGACACCAUCUAUAAUUGUUCUUCUUUGCUACAUUUUUGCAUGUUUAAAUGCUGACACUUCUUCCCUUUGUUUGAUUCAGCUAGGACACAUGCCUGCCACGAUCAAUAUGUUCAGAAACCUGAGGAUGUUAUAUUUGUUGAUGAUAUUUGAGUGUAAAGCGGAUCUACAAAGUGUUGCCACUAUUCUGGACGCAUGCCCACUUUUAGAGAAACUGUAUCUCCUGGUGAGUUCUAGCCUUUUGAAAACCCUGUAGUGGGAACUGCAUCUCCCUUUGUUAGGGUCUGGUACUUCACUAUAUACUGCUUGUAUAAAAUUUUGAAUCUGUAGAAGGAAAAGCACUGGUUGAAAUUUGCAAAAUUGAAGCGUGGUAGUUUCCUUGUGCUCAAAGAAAAUAUUAUGAGUGUCGUGCUUCAGUUUUGGGAUUUGCUUCUCUCUGUCUUGUGUUCUUAGUAUUAUUAAGUAGACCUCAGAAACUAAUGAUAAGAUUUUGUAACAACAUUUCAAAUGGGUUACUGAACUUGAUUCCACACUUUUUCAUGAUGAAUUGUACCAACUUAGCACUCUGCAUUGUGAAAUGAGGCACUAGUUGUCGAGUAAAACUUCCUUGAGAUAUCUGUAUAUCACUAUUAAGUGUAUUCCCAAUGUUAGGUAAAUGAUGUCAGUGUAAAUAUGUAGCCUUCAAUUAGUAUUUAGUGUUGUCGAAAACUAAUCAUUCCUGUCUCAAUUGGUUUGCAGUUAGACUGUUACUGUUCUGUUAACCUAGAGAACCGAUUUUUUCCCCCUUUCUUGCCAACUCUUUCUUUGCUGAAGUUGUUCUUGCUGGGGUUGGAAACUUGGCUUUGUUCCUACCUUUUCUGCUAAGUGUAAUCUGUCUUAGGUCAAAUCUUUUUUUUGGAUGUGCAUGUUUUAGUAGUUGGAAACUAAUUAUGGUUCUCAGGCUUCAAAACAUACCACACAGCCUGAACAAAGAUUGGGACCUUUAAUGUACUCUAUGUUGGGGGAUGGCAACCUAAGGAUGUCUACUUAAAAGAGCAUGCACAUGCGUGCACAUCCUUUGGUAUUUUAUAUGCUAAACAUAAUGCUUGUUUGUAGUUGCUGUUUAUUUAUUAUCUUAGUGCAUUCUCUUUAUAAACACCGAUGACUAGUGUUGAGAUAAUUUACUAUCUUGCAAGCAAGCUAUGCAUUUGAGCUGACAAAAAUGCAGAGAAUUUAUAAGAGCAACAUCAGUUUUAUAGGUUUUCAACGUUGACUUGGAGAUUUAACUGACAACUGAAAGUGGUUGUCUUACCCAUCUACCUUCUGUUUUCCACGCCCCCAUCUGUUGGCAGGAUAAGGUUCUUACUUGUACAUGUCUCAGGUCUCAGCUUGUUCAAGAUUGAAGUGAUCAUGAACUAUUCUUGGAAUUCUUUUCAAGGUUUUGUUUGAAACAUUUAUGUGCUGGAAAGUUGCUUAGCUUUACAUGGAAACAAUGUCUGUUUGAUGCAGUGAAUCUCUGAAUGUCUGCUAGAACUAGGCAGAUUGUGUUUGCAGAGUAUUUGCUAUGAAGCUAAUCUUUUUGCUGCAGCAAAUUAAAUAUGUGCACAACAUUUUUGUUAGUUUGACACAUAAAUUAAUGGGGUUAUUUUCUUGUGGCUCCAGGCUAGAUGGCCUGGUUUUAGUGAACAUUUAGGAGGGGCAUGGCCGGCAAGGCAUUAUGGUCACUUGAAAGAACUGGAAUACAAAGGGUUUCAUGGAACCGGUUGUGAGAUUGAAUUUGUUGUUUAUUUGCUACAAAGUGCUCCGGCUUUGGAUCGAGUGUUUAUUGGCUCGGCGUACAGUACUUAUUCUGCAGAAUACAAAUGGACACGGUACAUAGAUUAUGUGAUGGAUGAUGCGGAGCGCCAGCUGAUCUAUAAACAACUAGUGGAGCAUGCCCUUUCUAGCAAAGUGCAGGUGAUUUUUCGCAACUAGUGUGCACGGAACAAUGUUACAAGUAUGCCUCCUGGUGUAUCACUAUGCAACAUAAAAAGGUCAAAUCUCUUCCAUUCAGGAGAGCUGCCUACCGAGUUAUUUCUCCUCUACUGUUGUAUUGUUGUUCCGGCAUUCCCUGGUGUUGGUGAAGGUGAUUGAUUAUCAAUGCCCAUGUUUGUAAUUUACAUGUGGCCAGCUAAGUGCUUUACUAAGGAGUCUCAAUCCUUUGUAGCAUAAGUUAUUUUGUGAUAGCAGCAGAGGAUUCAGUAGAACUGAACUUCAUAAUGACUUUGGAGAGUUCAUCAACCUUGAUAUGAUCUAAUAAGUACAUGUUUGCAGUGUGAUAUUUACAAAAAAAAAAAAAAAAAAGUGUUCAUGGUGCUGACAUCUUGCUGCUUAUUACAUUUUAGUUACUAAAGAUUUAAAGUCCAUACCUUUUGCAAAUUGGAUCUUGCAUGGAUUAAGUUCCAUUUAAAAGUCUUCUUCUUCUUCUACUGUUUCAAUCCAACUUUUCCUCUUAUCUUUGUCAUUUUAACUGGUUUAACUUGUCUUUAUUCGUUUUCAUCUGUGGCUUUAACUCGUAAGGAAAAGAGAGAAGAGGGCAAAAUAAAAUAGCAAAACGACCUAAUAUUGUGUUUGAGUUUGAUUCGUUUAUUAUACAAUUGAAUCUUUUUUUGAACGCAAAUGAGUUGAACAUGAAUUCGUUCGUGAACUAUUUGAUUAGGUUCAUGAGCACAUAUAUAAUUAUAUAAAAAAAUAAGUAAAUAUAGAUAUAAAUACGCUUGAUAGUAUUAAAUAUAUGCAUAUAUACCUUCUAUUUUCCUUAAAAGGUAUAUACAUGCAUAUAUACCUUCUAUUAAACAAUGCCACCUCUUCCAAUUCCUUAAAAAUGUAUCCUGAUAGACUCAAAAAAAAAAAAAAAAAAAAGGAUUGUGGCCAACAAGUACGCUAAAAUACCACUUCCUGGUCUCACAAGUCAUAUUCUUAGCUCAUGAUUUUGUUUUGGGGUUCAAUUAAAUUAACAUGAUUUGCAUUUGAAUUAAAUGUGCAUUAAUAUUUGGAGCAUUUCACUAGUUAAUUGUUUUUGGGGUUCUCGUGUAAUUGCUAGCCUUUCUCAUCUUUCGGCUGCAUGAUUAGACCAUCCAUUACAUAUCUUUCUUAGCAUUUUUCUCAGCCUUGCGCUUAUCCCUCUCUUCUUGAAAAUUGCUAAAGCUUUCCUCCAAAACUGCCAAUUGAAUCAUAAAUAGUUCUAUAUUUUUUUUUCAUGUUAUAGCAAACUGAUUUGCUCCUUUUUUUAACUUUUUUAAGUUUGGAAUAGUCUUCUGUUUCUUAGAUCAUUCCGUCUAGCUUUUGUUCCAAAAUAUUUAGGCCAAUGGUUUUGGCAAUCUAUUAAAUCAUUCAAAUAGUACACAUAUAAUCUUAUAUUACUUGUUGAUUAAGUCAUAGCACUGAAAAUAUGCCUCAAAGUUUUAUGCUAUAAUUGAAACUUAAAACAAAAAAUUUGGUCUUACGUAAAUCAUAAGAAUUGAAGGACAAUUUUUUUAAGUCACCGGCAUUCCGAUGUUUAUCUACUACUCACAAAGUAGUACAACCAAACAGGAAUCAUAUAUUCCAGAUAGCACCUUCGAAUUGAAGACCAAAUGGUAUAUCAAACUUUCUCAAUGAUCUCAGCAAUCCACUAUUUUCACUGCUUAAUAAAACUACAAAAAUAUAACCUCAAAGGUUUUGCAGCAUAGGUAAACAGUACAUUAAGAAAUGGAACUAUGUAGUGUCCAAUUAGCCCCGCUUAUACCACGUGUAGUCCACAUUGACAAAUACUUUGUCAAAUACUUUGUCAAUGUGGACAUCAGCAGGAGGUGCCGCUGCCCACUUUUUAGCCAAGGCAGUGAGACUCUUGAAGAGCUUAUCAGCACUUUCAAGAGUCUCACCACUCUUUUUAGUGAAAAUUACAGCACCACAGAUGGUAGCUGCAGCAGCCACGCCAAGUGCCAUUGCCCCAAAUAUGACCCAGGGUAAGAUGGCUUGGCCGUUUUCAUUUUCCUUCUUGGAUGCUUGGCCCGAACCCUUUGUUCUACCAUGGCCUGAACUGUUCAUUCUGGUCUCACCUGCUUCCGCAUCAUCGACAACACCUUCAAGUUCCAAAGGCACAGGCACAGACACAUCAUCUAUGAUCAGACACAUCAUCUAUGAACGCCGGUUCAUACUUUGAAUAAAAUAGACAAUUAAUGAUGUCAAUGACAUGUAUCUUAGAACCAGAAAGAACGAACUAGAAAGUUGCAUGGUUACCUCUGCCAUCAGAUAAUCAGCUUACUUUUUUGCAGCUACAGAAGUCCUAGAAACUGAUAAAAAGAAAGAAAACCUGCAACCAAUACACAACACCCAUCAACAACUAGAGAAAAGGAAGAACAUAGUACUAAAGCAAAUAUAAUUUCACAGCCGCUAUGCUUUGCUUCAUAUAACAUAAGCAAAUAUAAUAACAUAUUCGUCUACAGAAAAGGGCACUAAAAUACUGAUCCCCGUCCUCAUAUCUUUCUCUGCUAUGCUCUGCUUCGCAUUUGCAAAGAGGCAAAUCACAUGGACAGAAUCAACAAUGCAGUAAAAUUGCUUCCGAAAACAUCAUUGAUAAGUGCAUUUCCUACAUUAUAACAAAUAGGAAAGAAACAAUCUAAUAGCCUCAGUGUAACUUCGACUUGAACAAAAUAGAUCCACAAUGAUGAGAACAUCAAUGAUUCUAGGAAUACUUCUAUCUGCAGUAAUUCCCUAUGCAGUUGCAGGAAAUUUUUCCCACUGCAGGACACCAGGGUCUCCCCGAGUCACAAACCACCUAGAAGGGAAUAAUGUCAUGCAACCAAAUUUCGUGGUCAAUACCUCAAAGCUCAAUACUGAUAUAUCCUCUCUUGACAGCAACCAGCAAAAUAUCAACAAGUAUGUCAUAAAAAAUGAACAAUAUUUCUACUUGCCAAACCAUCACAAAUUUGCUGCAUAUUGAUCAUAAUAUUGAUCACAAAUUUGCCAAACCAUCACUAAUAUUGAUCAUAGCACUGAGAAAUGCACCUGUAUCAACCACUAGUUAAAUUUGCUGCAUAAACAGUCUUCUACAUCUAAAAUUUGCUUCUUAAUAAGUAAUCAAACAACUCAAGCAAACAUCACACACUUUGGCUCCAUAUUUUUACCAUCAUUAUGCAGCAAAAACAAUAUUACUUGUUCGAAGAGAGCGAAAAACAUGGCAGGAAAACCAUAAAUUUUCACAAUUAAAAAAAUAUAUAUGUAAAAUUCCACUUAUAGAAAUGAUUCAAAUCACCAUAGAACACAAAACAAAAACACCAAAUUCAUGAAAACUAACAUAAAUUGAAAAUUGACAACACAAAUGGCAUUCAUCAAUUUCCAUAAAUGGGUACACAUUUCCCUUCCCCACCACCCUGAUCCCUACAAGUCCCCUCAUUUUAGAUCCCUCUAAAGAAACCCGAUCACCAUAACCGCUGCUUACACUAACUCAUACUACAAGCUGGCAACACAUCUGUAUUGAACAAUAAAUUGAAGCUACAAGCUACCCUUUUGUGCAGAAGAUUAUGCAUCUAUAGAAAAUUCAGCAUGCUAUAUCUCACGCUAAAUUCAACUGUCACAAAUUUUCCAUGUUUGUAGUCAGUUUGACAAUAUUUCCAUUGAUAAUCAUGAACUAGUCCCUAGAGGUCAGAUUCCACAGAAAUAAACAAUUCAAAUGCCAAGUUCAAGCUAAUGGACCUAACAAAACAUCAAAAUUGACACCUUUAAUCCUGCACAGCUAGCACUUGUUAGCAAAUUGCAGAAACACGUCUUCAUAAAAACUACAAAUGAGUGCCAACCAAAAUGUUUUGUGAAGACUAGACUAAUAAUAGAAUUCAAGUUAACAGAAAGAAAGAUGUAAACAAAGUAUCCUAAUGUCUAAUUUCUGGGCUAUUUUUGUAUAAGUACUAAAGUAAUCAAGGAGCAUCCUUAAGUUUACCAGAAAAUAUUGAUUUCAAUUUUUCGAAUUAUUAGAUCAAACAUAUGAGAAGAAUCAAAGUAUUCAUAUGAACAAACAUUCAAUACAAAACAGAGCCACUGUCAAUCUAUGAUACGAAAACCAACUGGCUAUGAAAAUAUACCUCAUAGUCCAUAAGACCACACUUAAGUGCAGUACAACUGCAACAGUGGCAACUAAAGACUUCGGAAACUUAGAAUAUAGGCUGAUGAUCUAAUAGCAUAACCUAAAUAAACAGAGUCACACUCAAACGUUGUCCAUAAAUACUAGACAACCCAAGGCUAAUAAUAGGAGAGCCAAUCUGUUUUGAAUUCAUAAAGGAAAAUAUAUAUAAGCAAAUAUGUACAAACCAAAAAAAAACAAGGUAAAAGGCUAAUAAUAUAUAGGACCAAACUUUAAAAUAUAAUCCAACAAAUCGACGAAAAUUUAAGUUAAAAUCUUAAAACAGUAGCAUGAACAGUUAAUCAUUUUGAAUAUGUUUUGAGUCUUAAAAUUAUAUUUUUCCAAAUUCAAGCAAUCAGUCAAAUUCCAUUUAUAAAGAACAAAUGGUAUCUUAAUUCUUAUGUAACUGAUAUUACUACUCCAACUUAUGAGUGCUAGUAAUCACCGGUUCAUAUUUGUAUUCUAAGAUUUAUUAGGAAUGGAGAUCACUGAUUUAAUUUUCAAUUUUUUUCAUAAAAAAUUUGUAAAAGCAAAGACAUAGGUACACACCUAAUCAACAAAAAAUAACCACAGGAGUCUGAAUUUGAUAGCUCAUGCACAACUACUUAAUACAUUGCUCAAACAAGCAUAGAGACAUAUGGUAGUAAUCUAUCAUGAGUUUACCUAUAUGAACAUAAGAGACUACUAAUUCUGAAAUUUAAAGUAAAUUUGUGCCAAAUUCCAUUAAUACAAUGACAAUAUGAUAAAUUGCCUACUAAAUACAAAAAUAAUAGAGUAGUAUCAAUUCUAUUGACAAUUUCUAACUUUAAGAAACUACUGAUAGAAUCGUUGUAUCGCAUUCAAAUAUUUGUACAGUACAUAGCAAGAAAUAGAACUUUGGAACAAUUUUGUACUAAACCUAAUUUCAUACACAUGAUCCAAGACCUAAUUUCAACCAUGGUUUUUCUACUAAACCUAAGCUCUUGUACUUGCAUCGAAGGCCUAAUUUCACCGCAUCAAUUUUGUUGAAAAUAAAUCAAACUUCAUCAACUUAUUAGGAAAACAAACAAACAAGAUCAUCGAAAUGAAAAAUCCGAAAACAAAAUCAUGAAUUAUGAGGAAAUAACAAAUUCCUACUUUACAAAUUUACAGUGAGAUACAAUGUAAAGAAAAACAGUUCAAAAUUCCAGAAAAAAAAACAGCAAAACAAGUAAAAAAGGAUUGAUAAAAAAAUGAGCUUAAAAACCUGAAGAAUCUCGAUCCUUAUCCAGAUUUUGGAAAAUUCUCAGAGCAAACAAAAUUCCCAAGUGUCCACUGCAAUGGUUUCAGUUCGAAGUCAAAGCUAAAUUGGUCAAAGGAAAAUUGAAAAACUCUCAGAGCUUGAUACGGAGGGAAAAUUGGAAAAUGCUAAGAGGAAAAAGAGAGAGAUUGAAAAAGGUUGAUACGGCCAUUGACACGGACGGAGAGGAAAAGAUAAAACCGAAAAUGAGACAUUGAAAGAGGGAAGAAGAAAUGCUUCCUAUACGCUUUCUAUUUUAUCACCAGAGUUUCAUGCGUUAUUUCUAUUUUUUGGUUUCCCCGGAUUCUUAAUUUCUAUUUCGCUAUUCUAUUGUUGGAUAUAUAUUUCUUUUUUGAUUUACCAAAGAAAAUAAAUAUAUCUGAAUUUUUAUGACUUGAAUGGGGGUGGUAGUCACAAAAGGUUGCUAAAUGACCUAGUUUUAUCCCCUCUUACGUGACAUGUUUAGUAGUGUCAAUAAAAAGUUUUAUAUUUUUUACCCUUGUAAUAUUACAAGUCACAAACCACCUAGAAGAAAAUAAAGGCAUGCAACCAAAUUUCAUGCUCAUAAAAAAAAAAAACUCAAAACACAAUACUGAUAUAUCCUCUCUUGACAGUUAGGGGGGUGCAAAAUCAAAAAAUUCCGAUUUAACGAUCGAAUUCGAAUUAAAUUCGAAAUUUUUGAAAUCGGUAAUUCGGAAUUUGGCACUGAAAUCAAAAUUUUCGAUUUCGAAUUAUGUGAAUUUGGUUCGAAUUCGGCAAUGGAGUUUUUGAAAUCGGAUAUUUUUGAUUUCGAAUUUCGUUUUAUAACAUAUAUAUAUUAAUAUUUAUUUAUUUAUAUAUAAUAAUAAUAAUUUUUAUUUCAAUUUCAUUUUAUAAUAUGUAUAUUAAUAUAUAUUUAUAUAUAAUAAUAAUAUUUUUUAUAAUAUAUGCAAUAUAAAUUUUAUAUUAUAUAACAAUACAUCUAACAAAAAAGAAAAAAAAGGGAAAAAAGGUUUCCGAAUUCCCAAUUGAAUUCGGAAUCGAAAUCGAAAUCGGAAUUGGUGAAUUCGAAAUUGAAAUCGAUCGGUAAUUCUUAUGCCAAAAUUUCGAAAAAUUCUGAAUUCAAACUUUCGAAUUACCAAAUUCGAAUUCGAUGCACACCCCUAUUGACAGCAAUCAGCAAAAUAACAAGAAGUACGUCAUAAAAAAUGAACAAUAUAUUUCUACUUGCCAAACCAUCACAAAGCCACUAAUAUUGAUCACAGCACUGAGAAAUGCACUUAUAUCAAUCAUUAGUUAAAUUUGCUGCAUAAACAGUCUUCUACAUCUAAAAUUUGCUUCUUUAUAAGUAGUCAAAAAAUUCAAGCAAACAUCACACACUUUGGCUCCAUAUUAACGACAAAGGAAUUAUGUUCGCAUGGUUUGGAAAGUUAUACAUAUCCCUUUAUAGUUUGGACUAGAAUGUCAAAACGAUGAAUUUUAUAUUUUAUAACGGAGUCAACUAAAAUAUCAAAAGUUCUCCGGCUCUUUUUCAUACUUAUAUGCAUGCGUAAUGAAAGCCUUAAACGGAAAAUAAUUUUUUUUCUUUAUUUGAAUCCCUAUGUAUAUACCUAACGGAUCACGACAGUCAACUGAGGAAGAUUUAUAGUACCUUUGUAAUCAACUUCUUUUCGUGCUGUCCGGAACAGAAUUAUAGCAAUAUUGGCUAAUCUUAUUAUUUGCUUCUACCACAACCUGCUCAAAUGCACCAAUAAUCCUAUAUAUAUGAUCAGCAAAGUUGAUAUGGAAGGGAAUGAAUUUCUGAAACUUUAUACAUUCCGUUCAAUCUUUUGAUAUAUUACCUUGGUUGUACAUUUCAUUUUUUGGAUGCCAUCACUAGUGAUCAUAUCUCCAUUUUUGGUGAUAAAUUUGUGCUUUUCCUGCAUUUCAAUGGGUUUUCAGGGUACUAUCAGACAAUUCCGACUGUUCCACAAGGAAUUAAGUAAGAUUUGGAUAUGAAUAUACCUCAAGCUUUUUCAAAACAUUGGGGUAUAUUUGGCUAUAAAAUACACAGCCCACAUAAUCCAUUAAAUCGUUUCUUGGUUUUGCCUCAUUCCAUCCAUCCUUGCGCUUUUUCAUCUCCUCCUUGAAAAUCGCUACGGCUUUCUUCCGACACUAUUACAACGCAAAUGGUAUCAAGAAUUUACAAUGAUUAAACUGCAAAUUGGACUAAUUAAACUGGCAAGACGAAAAGGAAUUUAAAUACUGAAUUGUCAAGAGUUAACAAUAUCCUCUUUUAUGUGUAAUACAUAAAGCUGUUAGUGGUAUUAACCAUCGGCUGUUCUAAUGGGGGCGGGGAGGGGCUGCUGCCCCCCAAGAUUUCAAAAAUCCAUUUGUGGCCCUUAAAAAUUAUAGUAAUUUUCAUUUAUACCCUAGUAGAAAUUAGAUUUUAUUGCCGCAAAUUUUAUAAAUCCUUCAACAUUUCCUUAAAAUGUUUCAUCUCAAUAUUAGAAUUUGCCCCACAAAUUUUCUAAAAUAUACAAGAGUAUUUUCUUAAAAGCACAUCCUUCCUAAUCUUGCGCCUAAAACCUUAUUCUUAACCUCUAGUUCCGCCAGUGGUAUUAACUCUCUUAAAAGAGCAGCGCAUACUGCAUAUUGGAUUAACAGUCAUUGUUAGCAUGUAUAAGAACAAACAAGAAAACUACACAAGCUGACCCUGGAAAAUUGAUAAUCUGACUGCUUAAUCCUUUUACCACACUGGCGGAGAUAGAAAAAAUUCUCAAUAGGGGCAAAAGUAAUUCUAAGAUUUUUUACCUACUCUUUUUCUAGUUUUUUAAACAAAAAAAUAUUCACGAACAAGUACAAAUGAUGCAUAUAUUCCAUGAAAUAUAUAAAAAGACAAACUCAAAAUUAUUAAUGUAAUAAUAAUUUUAUUUCAAAAAACAAACUAAACCAUUUACAAUUGCUCAUGGCGAGUUUUCAUAUUUUGAUAACGGUUUUUUUUUUAUUUUGAAUUUCAUGAAAUAUAUUUUUUUCAAUGUAAAUAACUAAACAUUCAUUCAAGUAUCUCCCAUUUUAUUUCGUAACCGAUUCUUCACUAUAUUCAUAACUGAAAAAGCCCUUUCUACGGUAGUUAUAGCAACAGACAAAAUCAAAGCCAACUUUAGAAACAUAUAAACUAAUGGAUGCACAAAACUCCAGGGACACACUUAAAAUUAUAUUAAAAUUCUAUGGGUACUCUAGAAAUUUAAAGGCACAGUGGAGGCCCGUGCCCACACCAUAGAUCCGCCCCUGUUUUACCAUCCCCUCAAAUGGCUUAUCAAGGGUUUCCAAAUGGGCACCUCACCUGGCUGAAAGCCCACAAAAUAUUUACCGAUGUUCUCAAAGGUGACCUGCAGGCAAAAAAUGAAAGACAAAACACCAGAGGUCUAGAUAAUAUAUUCAGUGUUUUAUAUACGUGAAUUCUUGGCAAUCUUUGCAUUAAACUUUUAGGCAACCUUUUUAGCUUCAUUAUAUGCCACAAUUCUGCCCUUUUGUGCCCAUAAUUAUAGGGCAGCGACUACACGAGUCUGAACCAUUGCAGCAAUCCUGCGAAGAGCAUCAGGUUGAUUGAUGACCUUAAUUACAAGGCUUCUGACUCUAGCGUGUGAUGGUCCUUCUACUGCUACGAGGGCAUUGGCGCCCACAAUUUCAACAGCAGGCCAGAUCAAGCCAAAGUUUUCAUCUGAUUGGACUGCAAAUUAGCUAGCUGCAGGAGAACAAGCAAUGAUGGAUGGUUUACCGGAAAGAUGUGUUCUGUACUUUCCUAUUUGGUCACCGUACCUGACAGAUUAUCCAUUGCAAAACAAUAUGUACCUUUUAGUUGUCCGAUGAUUUUCUAGUCAAAGAUGUAACAAAUUAAAAAUUCCAAUAGCUUAAUCUUUUUUGUCAAUUAUGACAGUUUGACUUUUGUAAAUCCUAAACUUAAACCCACAGGAAACCACCAAUAGCUUAAUCGAUGUUGUGUAGUUUAAAAAUCUAAUUUCUACUAGUUUGCAUGCCAAAACAAAAUUAAAUUGAUCAACUUAUUUUUUUUUUAAAAAAAAAAAUUUCCAGUAGAGAAGUGGUGGAACUUAAGAAGUGGAGAGGAGAUAAGGGGAUUUGAAUCCAAAACCUCUAAUCCUAAGGCCUCAACCUAAUUAACUUCACUUAUCACCACACUUUAUUAUUAUUAUUUUUUUGUUGGUUUGCCAUCUUCAAAACAUGUUGGAUUUGUAGUAAUCACUCGUCUGGUGAAGUCUCAUGUUCAUAAGCGAAAUCCUGGAAUCAGAUUUUAGCUUAGUAAGUUAAUGAAUAUAUUUACUUACCCAACAAAAAAAGAAAAGAAAAAAGUUAGUAUAGAUAUAUCAUAGUGAAAUUCCAGUGGCUUUAAUUUGCUGGAUGACUUAGCAACUGAAAAAACAUGUAAUUCAUAAGGGCAUGUCUAGUUAUGCACUUUGGUAUAACCCCCUCACUUGCAUUUCUCAUUCAGGAUUCCCUGAAACAUUUUCAGGAAGUAGUUUAGCUUCCUUCGAGUUCUCAAUAAUUUAGUUGGCUCCAUCCCCGUCUUUCUCCUCCUCCCCCUAAUAUAGGAUCAGUUGCAAAAAUGUCGUACUAAAAACAAACGGAAUGAAUGGAAAAAAAAAGAUAUAUCUUACUUCUUUCGUUUCGCAUUAAUAUAGUCAUCAAGGCGGAGAAGAACUUUGAAAUAAUAGAGAAAAUGAAGCAUUUCUCCAAGGAAAGGAAGCCCCAUGGAUCCAGGAGGAAGCUUGGUGCCACUACCGGAACACCGGAAACUUGUUGGUAGGGCAUAGAAAAUAUCAUUCCACCACCACAAAAGUGACACUAUACCAAUAUCUAUAGUUAUUUCCAUGUUCCACUAAAGUUUUGUUUUCUUCCUUUGUUAACCUUAAUUGAUGUGUAAGUAAUGGGGCUUUGGAUGUUCUCCUUAUAUAUGAAAACCUCAAAUGAAAGGACAAGUACUAGCAAAGAUGCUUGUCAGAUUAUUCGACCAAGUAAAUCAGCAAGAAGACAGAUCAUACUAGCUUCGGAGUGUAUACAGAUAAAAUGUAUCUAUAUAGAAGAGUAUAGGUCGAUCCAGUUGUGAAGAGCUCCCAAAUCUAGAUCUUCCAAUAGGUUGAGAAAUUGAUUCUGUUUGUUACAGUCAAUACUUGCAUAAAAUAGGUUGAGAAAUUGGUUGUCUUUGAUUCAAAAAUUGUAACAAGAAUUGUACAACAUCCGUCAAUAUCAAGUCUAAAAAAUUAAUUAACGAAACACAGCAUCAAUAUCUAUCCGUACAUGUCGGUAAGCUUUUGCAUGUAGCAAGAAGAAUGUUGUUUAAGGUACAAAUGGAUAAAUAAAUCUCUAUGUACUAGUCAAGAUACAUGCUCAAUCAAGCUAGACACACUAGCUGAAUGGAGCACUGAUUAGUCUACGUACAAAACUACGAAGGGCAAUACUGAACUGAUUGGCCAAAUUUUGUUUGGUACGUAAUUAAUUCAACUUUUAAUCAACUUCAACAUGUAAGCAAACGAGUCCAAAAGAUAACAACAAUUAAUAAACGGCUAAAUCUUCGUAGUUUUCUCUCCACAAGAGACUGAAUAGUAGAAAAGUACUAUCAAAUGAAAAAGGGGGAAACGGGAAUCCCCCUAGGACCAUUAGUAACACUUGGCAUAUGACCAUUUUGUCUGGACUUCUUCCAAAAUGCUUAUCGGAAACAAAUUUGCAGUUUAUUCGCAUCCCUCAACAAUGUGAAUGAAUAUGUGCUAAUAUAACAACUGAUCAUAAAAGUGAAAACCACAAAAGGUACUUAUAUAUGCGGGGGCUAAAAUAACGCUUUUAUGUGUUUACAUCACAUGUUUAAAUGUGUGUAUAAUUAGAUUUUAGUGGUGCCGAACUACAAGGGCUACCAGUGCUUUACAAGAAAAAAUAUAUGAACUACAACGGCUUCUAGGGCUACUGAAUCCUGAUAUUAAGCCCUUUUGGACCAAAGCAGUUGGAAAUAGUAGAAUAUUCGGUAUCAUCUUGAUACAUCAGAGUUGAGAACUAUAAAGCUUAGAAACAAAUUUCCUAAAAAUUUCAGAUCCUUUGUUUAGCUGUCAUUUUACUAAUUCGGGUCAUUCAGUCUUGAGUAGCUUUGUCUUUCUCACCAGAACUGACACAAUUUUCGGAGGUUCAUGUUUUAACAAGUCAUGCAGUGAAAAAAAAAAAUGGGGUUUAUUGUCUUUCACCAGCUCAUUUAGAAAGAAACAAGAAAGACAUUCACAUAGCAAGAGAGGAGGGGAAUCAAAUGGCUUUGAAUUCUACUAGCCAUUCUCCUUCAACCCAUCAUGAAGAUUCUGUUCCUCCUUCCACUUCGAGAAAAGCAGGAGGCUGGAGAGCCAUUGCGUACAUUCUUGGUAAUGAAUGCCAAUUUGGCAAAUCAUAGUCAUAUCCGCGUUUUGAAGGAUACAUAAUGCAUGCAAAUAUAUAUUCAACAAGACAUUCUUUAAUGCCUUCGGGAUGCCUCUCUCUCUGUUUUUUAGUCUAUCUUAUAUUCAAAAAAUCAAGAAUAGUUGGAGUUGAGUUGGGUUGUUAUUUGUGUUUAGUGGUAGAGCUAGGACUUGAGAGCAUGAGGCAAGAUGCACAGGCAGUAUUUGCAUGUUGAGAAAUUACUAGCAUUGUAGUUGUUCCUUUUUUUUUUUUUGGAGAGGAGGGCGAAAGGAGGGAGUUUCUGAGUAUUGCAAGAAUAUAGCUAGACAGGUGACUGCCCCUCUCGCUUCCCUAAUAGAUUAAUAAUCAAUUUAUUCAUUCUAACAAAAGGCCUCUAUUACAUAUAUAUUUGAUUAUUGAGAUUGAAUAAAUGUGAUGGAUUGAUUUGCUCAUUCUUGGCUCUCUUUUGUUCUUUUGCAAGGUAAUGAAUCAUUUGAGAAGUUGGCAUCCAUGAGCUUGAUAGCCAAUUUAACAGUGUACUUGCGAACAAAGUACAAUUUGGGUGGCAUAUUUCUUGUUAAUGUGGUUACUAUUUGGACGGGCUCUUCCAAUGUCUUGUCAAUAGCCGGGGCUAUUGUCUCAGAUGCCUAUUUGGGCAGAUUCCUUACUCUUCUCUUUGGCUCCAUAUCCUCUCUUGUGGUAUAAUUGAUCUCCUUCAAUCCCAUUUUGAUUUUUCCCAAAAGAAGUACCCACAUUUUCUGCACUUGUGGUAUAAUUAGGACUAGACUGGUACCUAAUCUUCAUUUCUUUGUUCACUUUGAGCAAAUGUAGUUCAAGAUAUUUCUUGAAUUUGUGUGAAAUUGUACAUGAUAUUUUUGAAAAAUCUUGUAUCCAAAAAAUAUGACCACUCAAUUUUCUUGAAACAGGGCAUGGGCACAACAGCUUUGACUGCAGCCAUACCUGAACUGAGGCCACCAGCCUGCCAUGAGCCAUCUGCAUGCGAAAAGCCUCAGGGAUGGCAGAUUCUGGUGCUUCUUUUAGGCCUUGGUCUGUUGGCUAUAGGUGCAGGGGGCAUUAGGCCCUGUAACAUUGCCUUUGGGGCUGAUCAAUUUGACACAAGGACAGAAAAGGGAAAAGCACGUCUGGAAAGCUUUUUCAAUUGGUGGUACUUCUCAUUUACCAUUGCACUCAUGAUAGCACUCACUGGAGUUGUCUAUGUUCAGACUAACAUUAGCUGGGCAAUAGGAUUUGCUAUUCCAACAGUUUGCCUAGCUUGUUCGAUAAUCAUUUUUUUGAUUGGUCGCAAAACCUACAUAAUCAGGAAGCCUCAGGGGAGUAUUUUUAUAGACAUGGCUAAGGUGAUCAGUGCAUCGAUCAAGAAAAGAAAGGUAAACCUGAGACAAAGUAGUGAUCAUACCUUCUAUAGUCCUGCAACAGAUGAAGAGCUGGAGCCAACUAAACUGAUGCUGACUGACAGAUUCAACUGCCUAAAUAAGGCUGCUGUAAUCCUUGACUCAAGUGAACUGGAUUGUCAAGGUCAGCCCACAGAUAGUUGGAGAUUAUGUAGCGUGCAACAAGUGGAACAGUUAAAAUGCUUGGUUGGUAUCGUGCCAGUAUGGUGCUCCGCUAUUGGUUGUUUUGUAGUCAUGGACCAGCAGAAUACGUUUGGGAACCUUCAGGGAAUUCAGAUGAAUCAAUUUCUUGGACCUCAUUUCAAAGUUCCACCGGCUUGGAUGGGAAACACGUCAAUGAUAGCUCUAUCCUUUUGGAUAUUCAUAUACCAACGCCUCUAUCUCCCGACGUCAAGGAAAAUCAUGAAAAGGGACGCAAGAAUAACACUGAAAGAAAAAAUUAGAACUGGCAUUGUGAUGUCAAUUUUGUGCAUGGUUGUGGCUGGUAUCAUUGAAAAAAAGAGGCGAGAAUCGGCUUUAAAACACGGAUCUCAUGUUUCUCCUCUUAGUAUCGGAUUUCUCCUGCCUCAGUUUGUUCUAUCAGGCUUGACAGAAGCUUUUGCAGCUGUUGCUAUAAUGGAAUUUUUUACUGUCCAGAUGCCUGAGAGCAUGAGAAGUAUUGCAGGUGCUGUGUUUUUCUUAAGUUUGUCAAUUGGCAGCUACUUAAGUUCUCUUAUUGUCAAUAUUAUUCACGUUGCAACUGGAAAAAAUGGGAGACAGCCAUGGUUGGGAGAUCAUGAUCUUAACAAGAACAGGCUGGACUACUACUAUUUCAUCAUUGCAUCUCUAGGAGUAAUCAAUUUUGUAUACUUCACCUUCUUUGCCGGCAAUUAUGUAUCUAGCAAGAAAGCUAUAACCACUGGGGGGGAUCUGCAGCUGGACAACCACUCAAUUUCCCAAUCUAGAAAAUUUUCUACUUGAUGGGACACAAAGGAUGAAGAAAAAGGAUUGCAAACACAUCGUCCUUAACCAGCAGACACAGUUUAGUUUGAUUUCAAUCAGAGCGAGCAUCUGAUAUUGAGUAUAGGAUUAGACCUUGGAAAUUUUGUUCGUCGUAGUGCUUUCUUCUUUUACACGCAGGAAAAUGCUUUGCUCUUCAUCGUUCCUUGGCACUAUUAAUACUAAGAAAUGAUUCUUUUUUGGAUUGAGGUUGAAAGGAAGAUCUUUGUUAUCAGAAGGAAUAAAGAGUUUGUGACUGUAGGAGCAUGCCUAGAACAUGUACAAAAAACCAAAGGCAAGAUGACAUCAAAAGGCAGCAGAUGUGUCGAACUGAUACCAAGAUAGAUGUAGACAUGCGCAUAGACUGGUAAAGAUAAUGAGCUAGAUUGAUAAGAUCAUCUUAACACCAAUUAAAUGUACACGAGUUUAAUCAAACAGGAUGGUGUUUUGAAUUUAUUUCAUCCAUGGGAGCAGCAACUGGGAUGUCCUUGCCCUGUGUUCCUAUGUACUUGUACCACUUUGCACAAACGAGAAAAUAUCCUAGGUUUAUGAUCCCCAAAGCAGCAACCAGGUAAUAAAAAUAAUCCAAUCUUCCCUUGUUGAGGUCUUGAUCCAACCAACUACGUCCUGAUGCGUCUCUGGUUACCCUAUUGAUGACCGAAAUCAAGGAGCUGCCCAUAUAAUCAGUCAUUGCAGCACCACAAGACAAGAACGACCCUCCAAAACUUCUCAUGCUCUCAGGGAACUCUUUGUAGAAAAAUGCAACUUGACCAAUAAUGGCAAAUGAUUCUGAAACCCCAAUUAAUGCCAACUGAGGAAUCAACCAACGAGCAUUCAUCGGAGAAAUGCCACCUUCGCUUGGUGCUGUUCCUACGAAUGGCAUAGAAAGAGCCAUUGUUCUCCUCUUGUAUUCCACUACUCCAGAUAGUAUCAAAGCGAUUGGAGCAAUAACCAUGCCAACACCAAUCUUUUUCAGGACUGUGAUGCCUUCUUCUCUGUUGGUGAUCCUUCGAAGUAGCGGAACCAUGACUGUAUCAUAGAUAGCUGUGCAUAUUGAAAAGCCUAGCAAGGAAAAGAUUAUGAAAGAUGCUGGCGGGAUUUUAACGUUUCCAAUUCCUAUUCGUCUAUCAGAUUGGAUGGCCUGGAAAACUACGUAGGUAUGUAUCUGCUUCAGAGCCACAAAGUACAUAGCACCUGCAAACCAUAUAGGAAUUAUUCUAACCACACAUUUCAAUUCUUCCACCUGCUGGAUGCUGCAAAGUCUCCAUGGAUUGGAAGCUGAGCCAUCUAGGUUCAUACGGUCUUCUGGAGUUAUGAUUGCUGCUUUAGUGAGGAACCUGAAUCAAUUCCUCUUGUCUUAGUAGUGGAAACUAAGAGUGACAAGAAAUGACAAUUAACAAUUUUUCGUAAAUAAAUGAAACGUUUUGAGGGUUCUGUACAAGGAAGCUUUGAGUUGAUUGAUUCAAACUUCGAUGUCUGGACAUCAAUUAUUACCUGAACUGAUCUGUGUAAGGAAGCUUCGAGUUAAUUGAAUUGGAGGAAAUGUAAGCAAAUAGAGAAUCCCAUGGAUGAUCUGGUAAAUGCAUAUGCCUCUUUUUAAUUGCAGCCACCAUCACCUGAGCCAUACUUGUCAAGGGACUGCCUUGUGGCGUUAUCAUCACAUACAUUCUUGUGCCCACGAAGAAGAAAAGGCAUGAUAUAAACAUGAGAAAUGUAGGAAUCGCAAACCCCAGAGCCCAGUUGACACUGUUUUGGACGUAGACCAAGACUGUGAAUGAUACCAUCACAGCAAAUGUGGUGGUGAAAUAAUACCAACUGAAAAAACUGUUGAUUCCCUUUCUCCCUGAUUCGGUAUUGGGAUUGAAUUGAUCUGCUCCAAAAGGAAUGUUACAUGGUCGCACGCCACCAGCUCCUAUUAUCAGCAAUCCAAAUCCACUUAAUAAAAUAGUAAGUUGGCCUGAUGUUGCUUCGGCGCAUUUGCUGCUUCCUUUUUGGCAGGAAGGCGGAUGCAGAUUAGGGAUCAAUGCUGUUAGUGUUAGCACCAGCAUUCCCUGUAAUUCAUGCAUACCAGAAGCUAAAGAUCAAACAAAUAUGCUCGGAAUUCGACUCCUAUAUUCUUCUUUCUAUAUAAUUCAAGAGGACAAGGAUUAUAUUACUUCAGUUUCUCAUAAAGAGAAACAUCAGCCUGGAAACAUUAAAUUGUUUAUGCUACAUUACCAAGAAAUAGCAUAUAGAAGCGAAGGCGAGAGUCUUGUAUCGACCAAAAUAAGUAUCGGACAAGAAUGCUCCGACCAAGGUUCCCAAAUUGCCGGUACCACUGAAGAUAUUGAGGAGAUUGGUUGCAGUAAUGCGCUUCAUGUUGAAGACAGUGGUCAGAUACACCAACAGAUUUGCUCCGAUUCCAAAUCCUCCCAGCUUAUCAAACAUUUCAUUCCCUGCCAGAAUUUUACUUUUAAUUUCUCCCAAAGAUUAUAAACUUCUACAGAAAUGCAUGUUUAAAAUCAUUACCUAUAAUAAAAGGCAUGACUUUGACCCCUUUGUACUUGAUUUCAUGACUAACUUCGAGAGAUGUUUCAUCCAAUUUCAAGUCGGUACUGUCAUCUGUAGUAGAACUCAGUCCCAUUGUUCCCUGCUCUUCUGCCUCUUUUUGCUAUUUUUAUUGUACUAAUGGGAUGACCUUACUUUUUGCUUGUGUUGCUAUGGAUUUAUGAUGUCUAAUAGAUUUUGAAGCAAUAUAUAUAGAGAGAGUUCUAUAUAUUCUUUGAAUCUCUCUAACAGUUUUGAUACUUGUAAACAUCUCUCCGUACCCUGCUUCAGGUUCAACAAGUUACAAAAUGACAAAUCUGGAGCCAGUGUAAUUACCCUUACUCAUUAAGAAGGUUUCAUAGAGGGAUAAUUUCAGAAACCUCUCUUAAGGUUUCUAAUAGUUUCGCGUAGCGCCCUUGAAGUUAUAAAAAUAUCACUUGCUCAUCCUAUUCUCAAAUUUUUGCAACAUCCUCAACCCAAUUCAAAUUAGAUGAAUAAAAUACUCAUCUUGGGAAAGAGAACAUAAUUUCUUUCUAACAAUGUCCUUCAUUGCCUUGCUUUUUUUUUUUUUUUAAAAUUGUACGCAUAAUAAUCAAAUGUUAAAAAUAAGGAGAAAAAGUAUGAAGAUGUACUUUUUUUUAAAAGGGACAAAAAUAUAGUAGUCGUAACCGUAAGCAAUCUACUUUUUUAAAGUACAAACAAAUGAUAAAAGUUUAUUUAACAUGUUUUCAGAUUACAAAAUAAUAUUUUCCUUUAGAGUUUGUCUACUUGGUACUCUAAGGUCACAUAGUAAAAAAUAAAUCUGGUAUUGUUUUUUUAAAUAAAAAGGUAGAUUUCAUCCAUAAAAGUGUUGCAAUUUAGGGGUCAACUAUGAUUUUAAAACUUCAAUAUUGGGUCCACAUUUAUUUAUCUAUAAACUUGUCAUGUGCCCUUAGAUUACCAAGUCAGAAAGUAUUUAUUUUUAUGUAAAAUAUUUUGAUUGAAUUUAAUAAAUUUUUUGAACCGUUUAGAAUCUUUAACUUUUAUUUAUCUAGAUUGAUAGCUUAAAAAUUUAGAAAAGGGAAAUUUUUUUUAAUUACAUUUUAAAACUAAUUUGAGAUGUUUAGAAGAUGAAAUUUUUUCAUCUUUACAAUAUUUUAAAUAGUUUUUAUAUUCUUUUGAAAUUAUUUAUAAUUCAUCAAUUUUAAAUUUUGUCUUCAAAUUAUAGAUAAUAUUUGCUAAAGUAUCUCUCAACCCCAAACUUAUACUUUUUUUAAUUAAAAAAAUACAUCCAUCAAGUUAUCAAAUGUCAAAGGAUUUUAAAUUGAUUUGUUAGUACAACUAAGGGACCACAACAAAAGGGCAAAUUUGGAAUGAAAUUAAUUUUCUCCUUCUUAACCUAAACAUAGUAUUUUAAUUAUAUAAUUUGAAUUGGGUCGAGAAUGCUACAAAAAUUUAAAAAUAAGGGAGGCAAACGAUAUUUUUAAAACUUUAAGGGAGUUAAGUGAAACUAUUAGAAACCUAAUAGAGGUUUCUGAAAUUAUCCCUUUUAUAAAACUCUUUAAGCCUUGGAUUAGAGUACACAAAGCACACAAGCCAGUAUGGGUAAGUAAUUAAUGCAAUUACAACUUUCAAUUUUGUACAGAUCCAAGUCCGUAUAAUUCUUUGCAGACUGCUGUGACAACUGUUGAAGUGCCAAAAACAGAACGAUGACAAGGAAGCAUAAAUUUGGAAGCGGCGUCCAGCGGCUUUGAUGAUUCUGUUGGAACUCUAGUAGUUGGUACUAAAUGUUCCUUGUCCUCUGCAUCGAGUGUUUUGGGUGGACACGGAAAUUGCGUCACUUAUAUGUAGGGAAUUUUUUUUUUUUUUUGAAGGAUGGAAAAGGUUCAAGUUAUAUAAAAAGGAAGGGAACGUUCUUUGAUCUAAAAAUCUAGGCUGCUAUGAACCUAAAGUGACUCAAAAACUAGACUUCACUUAAGUUGGAUAUCCUUUUGUUUUCUUCUUUCCUAUUCCUUUUAUAUAAGACUUGCUGUAACCUACACCAAUAUGUAACUGCAGCUGAUUUACUGGUUGAAACCGUCUCUUUUUCAUAGGGAUGUAAUCGAGUCAAAUAAAACUCGAAUAUGGCGAAAGAUGCUCGAGCUCAAGCUCGAGCGAGUAGUAUUAUUGGAACUCGAGUUCGAAUUCGAUGCAUUGCUCACAGAACUCGAGUUCAACUCGCAUUGAUUCGAGUCUAUACGAGUUUUAUCGAGCUCGAGUCAGAAAAUUUCAUUUUAUUGACAAUUUUUUACCGAAAAGACAUUAUUGACCUUUAACAAUUUUCAUACGACCUGAAACAUUUCGUAAAUUCAACCACUCUUUUAGACAAAAGGGUAAUUUCAUAAUAAUAAUUUAUUAAAAAAUUUAAAAUUAAAAAAGCUCAAUAAGGCCCGAUGAGCUUUCGAGCAUUGCACCUGGUUACUUUAAUUCGACUUGCUCGGCUUAUCGAUCUACUUGAACUCAACUCAAACUCGGUCAACCCGAAUCCGAGUCAAGUUUUUGACUGAGCUCCUCACGAGCAACUCGUUGGAUUACAACCCUACUUUUUCCUUCAAUUUUUGACAUCACAUUGUUCUUUACUCUUGUUUCAUGUUUCAUAAAAUGAUGGUCACAUCCACUUUCCACUAAAACCUAUAGCAAUGUUGUUAAACUCGAAGCGGAUAGCGAUUUGAUUAAACUAUUGGAUUAGGGAUCAAUUAGUUGGAUCGGUCAGACCAUUCUAAAAAAUCUGUUGACGUCAGCUUGAUGUCAUAAUUAUUUUAUAUUUUUAUAAGUUUCAAAAAUAUUGAAAUUAAGUUCUUGGUUAUAUUCAAUCAACUAUACAAAAUGUUCCAAAAAUAUUAGACUUGCAAUCAAAUAUACACUUAAAAUUUAUAUAUUAAAAUGUAAAUGCAAGACUAAAAUAUGUCCAUUUUCCAAAACUAAAUGAAGAUAAAUUAAUGCAAGUUAGGAUCACUGAUGCUAAAUUAAUAAAAUGAUAGAGAUAAAAACUUCUUGAUUAGAGAUCAUUUAGGGAAGCGAGUGAUUUUCAUGUUAAUACUAAGUGGGUGGCAUUUUCUUAUUUCUAUUAAUAAAUGAAAAUUUUACAAUUUAGUUAAUUUAAAAUAUGUUUAGGAAAAACAAGAAAAAAAAGUUUGAGAAUCAGGUCAACUAGUCGAACCGGAUCAUUGCAUCACGUAUAUGUAGGAAAAGGUUCAAGUUACAUAAAAUGGAAGGGAACGUUCUUUAAUCUAAAAUUUGGGACUGACAUCAACCUAAAGUGACUCAAAAACUAGACUUCACUUCUUUUUUUCUUUUUUUUUUUUGCAACGGUAACAUUUUAAUUAUAAGUUAGUCUAUCCUAAUUUAGGGGAAGGGGGAGAACUAAUGGGAGUUGAACACUUCUUUUUUUUUUUUUUUGCAACGGUAACAUUUUUAUAAGUUAGUCUAUCCUAAUUUAGGAGAAGGGGGAGAGCUAAUGGGAGUUGAAUCACCAUUAGAGAAGCCACUGAAGACAGCCACAUAUAGUGAUAAAUUGGUGGGAGGCAAGAAUUGAACUCUUGACCUUCUACACCACCAGUCCUUUGGGCUUGUGGCAUAAAAAAAAGAAAAUCCUAGACUUCACUUGAGUCGGAUAUCCUUUUGUUUUCUUCUUUCCUAUUCCUUUUAUAUAUGACUUGCUGUAACCGUCACCAAUAUGUAACUGCUGCUGAUUAAUUACUGGUUGAAACCGUCUCUUUUUCCUUCAAUUUUUGACAUCACAUUGUUCUUUACUCUUGUUUCAUGUUUCCUAAGAUGACGGUGACAUCCACUUUCCACUAAAACCUAUAGCAAUGUUGUCAAAUUCGGACCGGAUAGUGACUUGAUUAAACUAUUGGAUUAGAGAUCAACUGGUCGGAUCGAUCGGACCGUUCUAAAAAAUUUGCUAGCAUCAGCUUGAUAUUAUAAUUAUUUUAUAUUUUUAUAAGUUUCAAAAAUAUUAAAAUUAAGUUCUUGGUUAUAUUCAACCAACCAUAUAACAUGUUCCAAAAAUAUUAGACUUGCAAUCAAAUAUACACCUAAAAUUUAUAUAUAAAAAUGUAAAUGCAUGGCUAAAAUAUGUCAAUUUUCCAAAACUACUUGAAAAACUAAAUGAAGACAAAUUAAUGCAAGUUAGGAUCACUGAUGCUAAAUUAAUAAAAUGAUAGAAAUGAAAACUUCUUGAUUAAAGAUCAUUUAGGGAAACAAGUGAUUUUCGUAUUAAUACUAAAUGGGUGGCAGUUUCUUAUUUCUAUUAAUAAGUGAAAAUUUUACAAUUUAGGUUAUUCAAAUUAUGUUCAGAAAAAACAAGAAAAAAAGGUUUGAGAACCAGGUCAACUAGUCGAACCAGGUCAUUGGUUUAACUAGUUUUUGAAGGUUUUGACUACAUUUGGACCAAAUCGGUUUUAUGCUACAAAUCAUCUCGACAAAGAGGGUAGUUCAUGGUUGGAUCGGUCGACCGACCAAUCCAAUUCAGGUUUAACAACACUGACCUAUAGUGCAUGAAAUGCAACUACUCUUCUACUUUUAGUUUACCUUUAAGAUGUCGUUGAAGUGUUAAUUUUUUUUUUUAAAAAUAAAGCCAAUAAGUGAAAGUAUAUAAAUACAAUUUUACGAGAGAUAAUAAUAAUUGUUAGUAUGUAUAUUUACAUAUUAGAUUAGGUGUUAUUUAAGUGUACUAAAAGUAUCGAUUAAAUAACCGUCUUUAAUUUUAUAAAAUUUAUAGUCUUCUUGGACUCACGAAUUGGAGUGCUUGUGAAGUAAAAUGUGAAAAGCUUGGAUAAGAUUGACUGAACUAUAUAGUCAAAUUAUCAGGAGCUUGGUCUUCAUAAAUUCUAGCAAACAAUUUUCUCAUAUCCUAACAUUAACCUAAUAAAUAUUCUUAAAAAGUCAAUGGAUAAAUAAGUGAACUAAUAAUCAUGCACAUAUUUUUCGCCGACUACAAAAAAAAGGCCCCUUUCCUACUACAUAAUUGAAGAGAGGUAAUUACGGUAUGUUCCUCCUCUUGCUGUCAUGUGGCAGCCUUGGCGCUGGCAUUUUUUUUUUUUUGAGGUUGACUUUGUGGGCCAAUUUUAUUCAAAGUUAAAGUAAUUAAUUAUUUGGUUAGUGAACAAAUCGAACCAAUAAGUUUUACCUGCGUUCAUCGUUGGAUCAAAUCUAUCAUCAAAAUGCAUCUAACUCAAAACUAGUGUUUAAAAACAUAACAACAAAAGGUAUCUCGUUGAUUGAUACAAAAUUCAUCUCUAUUUUUUAACGAAAAAAUAAUUACUAAAAUAUAUAUCAAAAAAGCUGGAGACACUUUAUCAAUUAGAAAUAGGGAUCAUUUUAGAAACCUCUCUUGAGAUUUCUAACAAUUUCAUUGAGCUCUCUUAAGAUUUUAAAAAUUGCAUCUACCUCCCUUGUCCACCUAAAAUGAUAAUAUUAGCUUUGCCAUUUUAAUAAAAUUCCUUUAUUGGGUAUGCAUAUACAAAGAAUGAAAUUUAUAAUUAUUUUUUUUCCUUUUUCUCUUCUUAUUCUUCUUUUUUUAUAUUUAAUGAGUAAAAAUACAAAAAUAUAAACUAUAAAUAUUGACCCUAGUCACUAUUCUUACUAAAUGUUGAAUUGGUGACCUUUCUUUUUUGACAACUUUGAAUCUGAUCCAAUCUUUUAGCUGAUAUUUUUUUUCGUCGUAUUAAAAAGCAACAAUAACUUAAAAAGAAAUUGCCCAAAACUACUACUAAAGAAAUUGCAUGUUGUCAGCUAUAAAAACUCUUAUAAUCUCAUAUUUUGGAGAUCCUGUAUAGUAUAUGCAACUUUUAAUUUAAGAGCUUACAAUUUUAAUUUAGGAGAAUUUCAUACUGCUAGAAAAAGGCAAUGAAUUGCAUAAAACAUAGCAAUACUAAAUCUCUAAACUAUUUCCCAAUUAAAAUUGUUGUUCUAGUAACACAAAAAUAUAAAUAUGAAGAAGAAAAUUAAUUAAAUAAAAAAAUAUACAAGUAUACAUGGUUUAGACAUGAGUAUCUUGCUUUGUUUAGAGUUAUUCAAACCUUUGUUUGUAAAUCAAGUCCGAUGUAACAAAUAUCUCAUCCUCUCACACGACGGUGCUAUGGCAGCAAUCAAGUUUAUGUAAAGCUCUUUUCUUUUCUUUUCUUUUUUUUAAAAAAAAUUACUCAUCCUCUCUUUGUUUCGUUUAAAACGCUUUAAUUCGACUUCAAAGCUUGAAACUGGAGACGAGGGCAGUCUUCUGAGUUCUGGGUUUUUAUGUCAAAGUUUUUCUUUUAUUUGUCAAGUUUUUUUUUUUUUCUUAAUCGCUUACUGCGAGAUGGGAGAUUCACUCAGCAUCAUAAUAAACAUUUAGUACUACUGAAAAAUGGUGGGUUUUCUCAUUACGUUUUAAAAUGGAUUUAGAAGGAUUAUAAAUAUAUAUAUAUAUAUAUAUAUAUAUAUAUAUAUAUAUAUAUAUAUAUAUAUAUAUAAAGCAAGUUUCAUUAAUAUAUUGUAGAAAAUUGUCCUGCAUAAUUUGAUUUACAUCUCCGUCAUGCACUAAAAAUAAUAGAUCUUCAAAAUGUUCAUAAUUGUACCUUACAAGUACUCAUCUUCUGAAAAUGUUGCAAAAUCAAUACAUUAUUAAUUUUGUUAAAACAACUUUUUCAGUGUAAGCAAUUGAAACUUUUAAAUAAUCUGUGAACUACCAUCAACUUGAUUUUUACGAGUUUCUUUUAAGAAAUUUAUCUAUAGCUUAUUAUGAAUGAAUCGUAUUAUAAAUAAAAGUUUAGCGUCCAUUUCAAAAAUUCUUGUUUUUGGAAACUUUGAAGUUUGAAAAAAAUUAGUUUUUCCACUCCACUCAAGAAAGAUCUUCCCUUGUUUUUAAAAACUUUAGAAGAAUUUAUUCUUGAAAUAACUUUCAUAAAUAACUUGAAACAAAUUCAAAAUUCUUGUGAUGGCAAAAUUUAUGAAUUUUCAAUUAUUUAGGUUCAAUAUAUAUAGAAAAGAAAAUUUGUUAAAAUUUAGUGGGUUCAAAUAAGAUCAAUUUUAAAAUUUUCUAAAUUUCCUAAGCCUAAAAGCUAACUUUUUCGAAGUUAAGUGGGUCAAUUGAACCCACUAACUUCCAUGUGGCUCCACCGCUGGUUAAUAUCCAUCUAAAUUUGUUUAAUAAUCCAAAACAUUUAAGUGAGGUGGAUAUGUAUGGUUAAAUGGAUAUGAAUUGAAACUGCCACUUCUAAAUCAAACUGGUUAAUACUUGAAGGGAGUUCGAUUUGGUAAAGGCUUAUUCGAAUUUGGUUCGCCAACUAAUCAAUCUAAAUUUGAAUAGUAUUUUAUGUUCGAUAAUGCUCAAAUUUGAUAAAAAUCUCAUUCAAAUUCAGUUCGGCAACUAAACAAGCUAAUUUGAAAAAAUUUUAAAUUCGUUAAAAUAAUCAAACAAUUUUAAACACUAAGGUGUUUAGUUUGAUUAGGCUCAUUUACAUUCCUAACCACAAAGAAAAAAAAAAUAUGAUACCGGAUAAAAAAGUCUACGCAUGAUGUUCCACGGAAAAGAACAAGGAUUGUAUACUCCCAAGUCAUAUAAAUUUUGUCAUCUUGUUGAAUAAACCAGAAAUAUUUGACUGUAAACAGAUUACUUACGUAUAAUAAUUGUUUUGAUCUGUAAACAUCACCAACAGCGUAUGGAGAAAAUAUGGACUAUAGGGACCUGAUUCGAGAAUGAUGAUCGUGGGGAUGCAAUCGCUGAAUAUUCAAAUGUCAAAGAAGCACUUACUGAAGUAAUCCGGUCUUAGAAAUUAUACUAAAAUAUUAUUCUACAGGAAAUGGAAAAUUUUGUGAAAUUAUUCAAUUAUGAUCAUGUUAUAUUCUCCACAUUUAAUUAUUUGAUAUUAGUCUUCACAUCAUAAAAUCGGAAAAUGGCCCAGCCAAAUCUCUCUGAAAAGGUCUAUCAAGUAAAAAAAUAUAUAUAUUAAGUCCUUUUCAUAACACUAGCACAGUACAAAUAGCCAUAGACUUUCUCUCCAUUUUUUUUUUUGUACGUAAACAUAGCUUUUUUGUUGAUAUUCAAGAAAUUUGUACACCUUGGUAAGAAACCAAAAACCAUUUUCUAGCCAGGGAAAAAGCACAAAAAAAGGUUAUACACAACACUCUCUACUCCUUAUCUAUACAGGAUCAAUGAAUAAAAAUACCUUGAUCGAAAUUCCAAGCUUUAGACACUUCCCAAUUUUUAAGAGCCCUAGUCUACACUGGAAUUUCACAAUUCUCAUGGCUUUAUUUUUUUUUUCUUGUGAUAUCAUGCCGUGCCGUGAGAACAUUGUAAGAAUAUUCUUUUUCUUUGUUUUUAGUACAAAAUAUCAUGUAGCGGAAAUAACAUUAAAAAUCUUACAAAUAAGAAAGGUACGGGAGGAAAUAAAAUAUUUUGUUUCAAUUUACUAAUUUCCCUUAACUACAAACUUAGGAUUCCAAGUCCUUAAAUAGAGAAAUAUAACCACAAAUCCUAUUCUAAUUAUAAUAUCAAAAUAUAACUCAACUCUAUUUCUUAAACCAACUGUGACACCUAAUUUAAUAUAGUUAUCAAAUAACAAAUCAAUUUCGAAAACUAUUAAGAUUCUAAAUAUGCUUAGUUAAAAUAUUUCAACAGUGCUUCCUUUAAACCAAACUCUUGAUUUUGUCACCUCCAAUGCAGUAUAACUCAAGUGGAACUCCAAAUUGUAACUGAUACCCAUCUGCAUAUUUAUGCGUGGAAGUGGACUAUCUGCAUACAAUUUUGCUGCUAAUUCUCCUCGAUCAAAAAGUCAUCCAUAUUGACCCAUUCGCAAUUAGAGCCACCAUAGUUCUUGAUUAACAAUCCGCACAACUUUUAACUAAUAAAUCAUACCUUUCGUAAUCUUCUUUAUGGUAAUAAUUUCCACGAUUGACAAAUUCUCUCUCCAUGGCAAUUCAAAACAAUUUACGUACAUUCACAAAAUUUUUCUUCUCUGCUUGAAUUUCUUGGUUUCCCUGGCUUCAGACUUGAUCAAACAGCACUGUAAUAAUCAAUGAUCUAGCAGGACCUUUUUUCUUUGAUCACUAUAUAACACCAACAAGUCCCUCUGGACUCUUUUUAGAUCUCUGUUCAAUUAGGGUCACUUUUUCCUAAUUCCAAUCAAUGAAUGACUAUUCCAAGACCAACGCUUGUGGUCCAAUUUUUCAAUAUGCGAGUACUUUAUCACAAUCUCUGUACCCUUGGCACAGAUUUCUCUAUCACAAAUUCUGCACACCCUUCAUGCACCAUUGAUACUUCAAGAUCAAACUUUUGAACUUAAGGUUUUGAUACCACUUGUUAGCAUAAAGAAUCACGCAGUGGAAAUAACAUUAAAAUCUUACAAAUAAGAAAGGCACAGGAGGAAAGAAAAUAUUUUGCUUCAAUUCACUAAUUUUUCUCAACUACAAACUUAGAACUCCAAAUCCUUAAAUAGAGAAAUAUAAUCACAAAUCCUAUUCUAAUUAUAAUAUCAAAACAUGACUCAACUCUAUUUUCUAAAUCAACUAUGACACCAAAUCUAAUAUAGUUACCAAAUAAUAAAUCAAUUUCUAAAACUCUUAAGAUUCUAAAUAUGUCUGGUUUAAAAUAUGUCAACAUUUGUGAUAUGAAAUCCUCCUCCUCCUUCUUCUUCUUGCACAUUUUUUAACAAAAAUAUGAAACAAAAAAAGAGAGGAUGUGUUAUCACUGGCUUGAAUAAGUGUAUUUAAAAGUUACAUGAAAUAGAAUAAGAAUUGUAUUUUCUCAGUCAUAUAAAUUUUGUCAUCUUGUUGAAGAAAUUUAAAAUCAUUGAUUGUACACAGACUAGCUAGACAAUUGGUUACAUACAAAUAAUUGGGAGGCAUAAAAAUAAUUGGGGGACAAUGUGACUUAACAAAGGCCCUGAUCACGGGCAUUCUAAAUCUGAAUGCUCAAAUGUCACACGCAGUAGCACUCCAGCAUCUGCUGCAGUUAUGCAGUACUACGUAAUUAUAUUAAUUGUUAUUCCUUUUUUCUUAAAAUUAUUAUGACUUCUUCUGGCUUUUUUUUUGGGGUGAUAUCAUGUGGUGUUACCAGAGCAUACUAAGAAAGAAUUCCAAGAGAGAACUACAUAAUCACACUAGCUUUAAGGAUUCCAAGAUAGUGUCUCCUGAUGGAUGGACAAAGUCGCAUUGGUUAAUUCUAUUAGCUUUAAGGUUGUCAUUUGGCAUUAGCAUAAACGCAAGUAUUAAGAACGUUUUUGAAAUAAUUGGGUGCAAUCUGCUACUAGUAUGAAUUCAUGAGUGGAUAAGGAUAAGUUCAGAAUAUUCUUUACACUCAUAAUUGGGUAUCAGAAAAAGUCAAGGACAAAGAGUUAAUAGAAACUUAUCCUCAUAUUCUUCUUCGACUGCUCAACAUGGUCCAAGAAAAAAUCAAAUUUAAGUAAUAUCCAGAACUGUUUGCAAUUUUCUUAAUAAGAUCCAAACCCUAUAAGAGAGUGAUCAAUCUGAAUUUCUACUAUCCAUACCCAAAUCCAAGUCUGAAUCAGAAUCUAUCCAAACCCAUGAGUGUGUGUGUUUCACUAAAUUUGUAAAUUAAUCUAAUAUUCUAUGGUCAUUAGAUCAAAUAAAGUAAGACUUUAUGACUAUUAGAUUAAAGGAUACUCUCUUAACCUAACAAAACAUCACUUAAUCCUACCUUUAUAUUGCAUUCAACUUCUUGAAUGUUAAUUUUAUUAUUUGAAAAAAAAUUGGAUAAUAUUCAUAUUAUUUCUGAACUCUAUAUAUUUUUAAAAUAUUUUCACUUAAAUUCUUUGUUGUAUGUUCAAAAAAAUAUCCACGGAUACACAUUAGAUAUCCAAAUUCACGAGGGACCGGAUCUAAGUUUGCUUUUUAGACCCAUAAGGGUUUGGGUCUAAUUAAAGUUAACGAGUUUGAAUUUGGAUAAAAAAGAUCUAACAUAGAUUCUACCCAUUGAUAUGUUUAGUUCCAACUAUCUAUUAUAGCUUAAGCCUACAAAGAGAAGCAAGUGCCUCCUAUAGAAUAUGGAAUUUGUUAGACAUGUUAUGGCAAGGAAUAAAGUAUUUUUUGUUCGUGUAAGUAGGAGGGUUUGAAUUCAAAACCUCUCAUUUACACUAUCUUCCUUGAACCACCCAACUCAACCCUUUCCCGAUAAGGAAUAAAGUAUAUUUCUUGUUCUCCCAAAGGAAAAAAUGAAAAACGAACACAAAAAAAGCCUAAAGUUUAUGGUUAAUUUGAUUUUAUAUCCUUCCAUUAUACCCGAAUUCUCACAUCUAUCCAUAAACUUAAAAGUGGGACAAAUUAGUCCCUAAAGUAAUCUAGCCCACUUAAAUAAAAUCUAUCAAACUUUAAUCUCUAAAAUAUGAAAUUUGUCCCACUUUAAUUUUUGUAUCACAUUUCCAACAACAAUUUUAUUUAAGCAAAACAUAUUUUAUAAAGUUAAGGACUAAAUUGUCUCACUCUGAAGUAUAGAGACCAAAGUGGGAAUCUGAAUACGUUCACAGGGUGCAAAGUAAUAUUUAACCGUAACGUGAAUUCUUUUGUUAUCUUUUUGACCAUACAGUCCUUAUCGUCUACCACUUUGCUCAUUUGCUGCGAUGUAUGAGUCCUACUGAUUCACGAAAUGCUGAUCUGUGUGGAUAGAUAUUUACACAGUAUAUGUGUGGGCAGAUAAUUCAAGAGAACAUUAUGGUCUAACCUCGUCACUGCUAUUUUUCAUAUGUUCUUUGGCAAUUUGUUGUGUCUGCAUAUGGUAGCAACCGAGAUCGAUGAGGAAGAAAAGAAGAAAAGUGUAGACUAAAGAUGAAAAUUUUGGAGGGAGGAAAUUUAUUCAAUCGUAACCAAGAGAUUGUGUGGACCAAAGUGGAAACUUUUGCCAUGGAAUUCAAUUGUACCAUGAGAACUGAGAAGCAAAUAUGAAGAAGGCAAGAAAUUUAAAGAGACAGGCUAUACCCGAAAACGUUUCAGGAAAUAAGUGAUUUUUUACUUAAAGAUGCAAAUUUUUUACUUUUAGUAUUAGUAAGUUUAAUUUAAACAAAAAUAACUUUUGUCAAAUUAUAAGUUAAUUACAUUACUCAAAGUGUAAAUUUUUAUUUCUGACUGAAAAUUACUAUUUUAGACAUAUACUUACUAGUUUUAAUUAAAAACUUACUAAUGUUAAUAUUAAUUAUUUUAAUACAAUAUUUAAAAGACGCUAAAAAACUUGAUGUGUCGCUAAAGUUAAUAGAAACCUACAAUAGUAGGUCACCCUAAUAUUGUUACUAUAACUAUAGGCACUAUAACAUUGUCCAUUACUAUAUUAGAUAGUUUCCUGGUAGCUUUGUUUAGCCAAGACUGAAGUCAAUAUUUUUCUAAUUACCACCAUCUCUUUUCUCGUAAUUAUGCAUUUUUCGGAACAAAAAAAUAGGUGUUCAUCAUCCAUCAUGAUAUCUUUAUCUAGGAAAAUUUGAUAUGCUAAUAUUAGAAGCCUAAUAAAACCUAGAAAAAGCUUAUUUUUCUUAGACUACUAAUUUGUACUGUUAGGUCCCGCCCCAAAAAGAAAAUCCAUAUUACAGAAGUCCAAGCUUCGAGCGGAUUAAACAAGAAAUUUUCCUUUCUGUGAUAUUCUACAAAAAUAAGAUGUCUAUGCACAUGUUAUCUGACGGUGUAAUUACAACCAUUGUAAAAAGGAAGAUGAUUGUGAGAAAUUUCUAAUUUUGUGAUGAAUUUUAAAAAAAUUCUACAAAAGGGGUGAUUUUAGUAAUGGAUUCCGUCCGGGGGUCUUCGCAUUCGUGGAAUGCGAGGUUAGAAUAGAGCUCGCAUUCGCGAAAUGCGAGCUCUACUUAUUGAGCUCGCAUUCCGCAAAUGCGAGCUCUAAUUUAAUUUUUUUUACUAGCUCCCCCAGAGCUCUCUAGCAGCCUCGAUAUUCGUAAAAAAAGAAAGGAGCUCGUGGGUCAGAGAAUGAAUUCCACUUCCCUGAUUAGCACCAAUCGUCAUGAACUGGAAAGGCUAGCUCAGAAGAUGGCUAGGCCCCUGUUAGCAGCAAAAGCGUUAGGGGGCCCGCACUGGAGGCAUCAGAGACUUCAAUGUUAGUUUUCUUGAACUGCAAAUCUUCCAAAAAGAAAAAAAAAUUACACUUGACUCUAUUUCUUUCAGAAAUAGCGGGCAGGCAAAGCAAAGAAACGAAGCUGACUAUCAUGAAUGGAUGUCCGAGCUAGAGAAUUUUUUCCAGAAAAUAGUAAGAGCUAAAUGCGAGCUCCUAAAUGUUUUUUUUUAAAUUUUGCAAAUAUUUAAAAUUUUGCAAAUAGCUCGCAUUUGAUAAAUUUGUCCUCCAAAAAUUGUAUUUAACUUUUUUGUUAGAUUUCGCAUUUAUAAGAAUGACUUUCAGAAAAUUAAAUUCAAACUUGUUAGGAAAAAAAUUUAAAAUGAAAUUUACGAAAUUUAAAAUGAAAUUCAAACUUAAUAUAAUUUACUAUACAUGCAUAAUUCUUUUAUAAUAAAAAAAAUUGGUAAUUGUACGGUUGGAAAUACGUUAUUUUAUUAUAAUACAUUUAAAUGGGGAAAAAAGUACACAUGCAUAGUUCUAUUUGUUACUUUUCAUUAUUAUUAUUAUUAUUUUUUUGCUUGCAUGUGCUUAUUGUAGCAGGAACUAGUACCACAUCAAGGGCGUUGAGCUGGGUUAUCUCCCUGCUACUGAACCAUAGGCACGUUUUGCAAAAAGCCCAGGAAGAGAUUGACUCUUUUGUUGGUAAAGAGAGAUGGGUAGAAGAAUCUGAUAUCAAGAAUUUAGUCUACCUACAGGCCAUUGUCAAAGAGACAAUGCGACUACAUCCACCAGCACCUGUACCUAUGCCACGCCAAGCCGACGAAGACUGUAACGUAGCCUUGUCUUGGCGCCAGCUCUCAGUGAGCUCGCAUUUCCGGAAUGCGAAAACCCCUAUUUGCAGAACACACUCCAAGAACCGCCCUCGUUGUAGAAUUCUUUUUUUUUUCCAUCAUAAACUAAGAAUUCACCCAGAUGAUUGUUGGUUUUGAACAAAAUAAUUUGGUUUGGUGGACUAGGAAGAUUCUGAAUUAUAUUUUAUAUAUAUACUUGUGUUACCUAUGUUUGAAGUAAUUUACGAAAGUUUUAUUUGUACUUUUUGACAGGGAGAAACACCUCGAGAGAUUUCAUCAAAGAGUCCAAUAUGUAAGUCAGGAACCCAACUAUGACUCAAAAACUUAAACUAUUAAGUCUUGGACCCUUACUUACAUAUUAACCGUUCUUUCUCUAUCUCUCGAACCAAUGUCGAAUAUAAUCCUUUACUCAUGAAUAUAACAAAUCUCCCCUUUCAUGAGUGACCCCUCACAUUAAAUCCAAAUUUACAAGCUCUUCUUCAAAUCCACUUUAAUACUCAAUGCAAGUCCAUUUUAUCACUUAAGGUCACAUCUUUGCUCAAAUAUGGACCCACUCUUCUUCAAUGUCCAAACUGUAUUCUGGACUCCUAACAGCCUUUGGCUCCUUCAUCUAACACCAACCGGAUCCCCUACCAAACUCAUGGCACACCUGAUCCAACACCAACUAAACUCCUUGGCACUUCGGUCCACCAUCAAGAAGAGAAUUUUCACCGGUCCAAUUCCGAGAAAAAUCCACUUGCCAAUGAGUAGUCUAGUCUCACAAUCUGAAACUCUGAUACCAAUUUGAUAGGUAGAAAUAUUUCGAGAGAGUCCACCAAAAAACCUAAUAUAUAAAUUAGGAAUCCAACUCUGACCAAAAAAUUUAAGCCAUUAGGUCUUACACCCUUACUUACAUAUUAACCGUUCUUUCUUUAUCUCUCGAACCAAUGUGGGAUGUAAUCCUUUACUCAUAAACCUAACACUUUUCCCCGUAGAGUAAUGGAAAAAGAAGCAGCGACGGCAAGUUGGCAACAGCCAGAAACGCUGGAACCUCGUUCUAAGAACAGAGAUGAUCUAAUUUUAUUUUGUUUGUCAUUACUUGUUAAAUUGACACAUUAUUAUGCAGUGAAAUAUGUAAGAAAUGCCACUUGAUGUUUCAAAGUACCACUUGUCUGUUUCGAUAUUGAGCCCAUCCCAUUAAUGCCUCGUCAUCUGCUCCAUUAUUUCUUUGUAAAAUGACAUGUCGACCGGUGCCAAAAUAGAAAAUGAACACACAUUGUCAAGCUAGUCAGUGGAAUAGACGUGAAUAUGAACUGAACUUUUGACUCGUGAGGAAACAGCUGCAAUGAUUAAACUUAUCAUUGUAGAGAAAUAAAUACUUGCGUUUAGAAAAGAUAUUCUGAUCCACCCCCGGCAUUAUGACAGUGAUGGGAACAGCAGGUUUUCCUGAUAAGAAUCUCAUUUUAUUUUUAUUCAAACACAUAAUAAAUAGUUUGCUUGACAUAGGCCAAAGAUUGUUACUCGAGGAAUCCUUGACUUAAUUUGUAGUGUUAUUUUUUUUUUGUAAUUGAAUUAUCGCAUAUUUAAUUUUUGCAUGAAAUUGUAAGAGGUGCACAGGGCUCCAACUUCAAGAAUUUUGUUUAGAGAUAAUUUCAGAAACCUCCUUGAGGUUUCUGACUAUUUAACUUGCCUACUUCUAGGUUUUUAAAAUUAUACUAACCUCCCGUAAGGUUAAUUAUUUUGUAACAUUUAGGUCCAAUCAAUAAUUAAAAAGUGAUAUUAGGAGAGAGAUGAUAACAUGAUUCCACCGAACCCCUCAUCUACUUUAAUUAAUUUAAUACCAACCCACACAUUAAAAAAAACACUAAAAUUUGAUAAACAAAUUUUAUCAUUAGGGAUCAAAUCACAUAUAGUAUUAAAAUAUAGUGUAUCAUUCAUAUUUUUUUGACUUAAUAUAAGAUCAAAAUUACUCUUUCCAGUUACAUGCCCAUUGGCAAACAUGACCAAUAACAAAUAAUAAAAAAAAUUUGCAACCAAAAUAUUACAUAGAACAAACUUUAACAUCAUAAAUAUUCUUGUCAAUAUUAAAAUUAGUUGUUAAGAUUUUUAUGAUAUUAAAGUUUGCUAUUUGUAAUAUUUUGGUUACAGACUAUUUUGAUUAUUUAUUGUUGAUCUUGUUUGACAAUGAAUUUAUAACUGAAAGAGCAAUUUGAAUUUUAUAUUAAAUGAAAUAUAUAAAAUGAUAUACUAUUUUUAUGCCACAUGUGAUUUAAUCCAGAAUAAAAAACAACAAAUUCUAGCAUUUUCUUUAAUGUUUAGAUUAGAAUUAGAUUAAUUAAACAAUUUAGUAGAUGAGGGGCAAUGGUGAAAUCAUAUUAUCUUCUUUCUCCUAAGAUCACUUUUUAAUUGUUGGUUGGAUCUAAAGGUUACAAGAUAAUAAAUCUCAAGGAAAGUUAGUGUAAUAUUUAGAACUUGAAGGCAGGCAAGCGAAAUAGUCAGAAACCUCAAGGGAGAUUUCUGAAAUUAUCCCUUCUGUUUAAGAUGUGUAGGCAAAUCAAUUUUCGACAUAUACCCGUAUAUUUUGGAAUAAUCACAUUAUUGAUCUUCGGCUCUAAAAAAACAUACCCUGCUUCAUUAUGGUUUAUUAUUUAAUGAAAAAAAUCCUCAAAGUUUUUUUUUACGAAUUUUGUUGUGAGAGGAGAGGGAAAACAAUCCUCUAAGUUUAUAUAUUAUGUUACCUAAAAAAAAGUUUAUAUAUUAUGUUAUUUGAUAAACCUUCCCUGACCAUGACAUUAUUAAUUAGUUUAACCUUUGAUCGAAUAUAGAUCCUUGCUCAAUUAGAACAAAAUGAAUUAAAGUUAUAAAUUAGGUUAAAGAUUUGGUAAAUUUUUUCUGCACUAGGAUUGUAUGUAUUAGCGGGUUUAAUACGUAGUCAGUAUUGAAUAGAUUAAUCUCUUUAAUGCUUCUUUUAAGAUGAGGAAGUCACAUCUUCUAAAGAUAUAGAAUUCAAGUUGGAACGAUUAAUCGUAAAGAUUUUACAAGCAGGUAAAUGUAAGUCAAAAAGUCAAAAGAAGAUGUUUCUACAAUUAUGGUAAACACCUAAAAAGGCCAUUAAAUGUGGUACUGCUCAUGCGGCCAUAUCUACAAUGCAUGCAUGUGCAUUUUCAUUUGCGAAACUAAUGACAAUGAAAGAGAGAUGAUUUUUGUCCCUAACCAAUUAUCAGGCUGGAAACAUGGAAAUUGGACACCACAUUUAUGUGCUUGUCCAUUAGGACGUCUGCUGACACAUAAUAUGAUAGUGAUUCCACAUAUAUUGAUACUACUCUCCGGUUAGGUGGUUACCUCCACAGAGAUUGUGAAGCUCGUGGAAGUUUUAGCUCCCUUCCUAGCUUCAUAAUCGCUUUGACCACUAUAGAGUUUGUAAAGCAAAAGAACACCAAAUUUUUAGUACAAGUAAAAGGCAGAUUCCGACAAAAAAAAAAAAAGGGAAUCAAAUCACCAAUGGAUGAUACUAAGUUGAAGGAGAAUGAUAGUGGUGUCGAGAAGGAUGAAGUCAAGGUUUUGAAAGCUGUACCAUACAUGAUAAAUUGGUACAGCAGUCAUCCCUAAAGUGAGCUGAUUUUGGGGGAAAAGAAAUUUCACUGAACUGAUUUUUGGGGCAAAAGAAAACUUCACGUGCAUGUGGAGGAUUUUUUGGGUUGCAAUCGAAAGGAAGUACAAUUAGUUGUUGGAGGAAUUGGUAGAAAACUGAAGAUUUUGCAGGCUCAUAGAUUUUGGGGGAGAAGAAAUUUCACUGAGCUGAUUUUUGGGGCAAAAGAAAAUUUCACGUGCAUGUGGAGGAUUUUCUGGAUUGCAAUCAAAAGGAAGGACAAUUAGUUGCUGGAGGAAUUGGUAGAAAAGUGAAGAUUUUGCAAGCUCAUAGAUACCUAUCCCACGGAAAGAAAGGGGAAGGAAGUUCUGGCUAUACUAACAAGACUGACUUAUGAAGGAUAAGGAACUUCACUGACUAAUAAGACCAUUAAGGUGGUCUUGACUAACUUACAUGAGUUAUACUAACGGGUAUGACACAGCAACAUCAGUUCUAACCUAUUUGCAUGUGAUAAAGGAGCCCACAAAUAAUCUACAAUUAUUUGCAUUUGACCAGAAAAUUAUAAAAGAAAUAAUUUCGAAUGUACAAAAAUAAUCCUAAAUAGUUAGCAACUAUUUAAAAAGUUAGUUUUCAUAGAAGGAUUCAAUAAACCUUUCCCACCAAUUAAAAACCAAACAAAAGAACCAAAUGAAAAUAAUUAAACCAUUGUUACCAAUUAGCCCCUAAAUAGUAAGGAACUAUUAAGCCUUUGAAUUUGGAUACCAAGUCUCAAAUAGACAUUUCUCACUCCUUAUACCCCAAAAUUCAAAAAAAAAAAAAAACUGCUUCCUCCAAUAACACACUGACACUUGGCAUUCAAUGGAGAACUUAAGUUGUUCUCUUAUCUAGUUGGUAGAUAUUACUCUCCGGUUAGAAGGUUACCUCCAAAGAGAUUGCGAAGCUCGUGGAAGUUUUAGCUCCCAUCCUAGCUCCAUAAUCGCUUUGACCACUAUAGAGUUUGGAAAGCAAAAGAACACCAAAUUUUUAGUACAAGUAAAAGGCAGAUUCCAGAAAAAAAAAAUGGGAAUCAAGUCACCAAUGGAUGAUACUAAGUUGAAGGAGAAAGAUACUUGUGUCAAGAAGGAUAAAGUCGAUACUGGUGUCAAGAAGGAUGAAGUCAAGUACAGAGGAAUCAAAGCUAUGCCUUUCAUCAUAGGUAACAAAUUUAUACGUGACUUGUACAUAGAAUUUUGCGAACUUUGUCAGCAACGGUAUUAAGCAUGUGAGCUUUGCAGGAAAUGAAACGUUCGAGAAGCUGGGAACAGUCGGAACUAUAUCCAAUAUGUUGGUGUAUCUGACGACUGUCUUUAACAUGAGUACUAUUGGUGCAACAAAUCUCAUUAACAUCUUCUAUGGUACCUGCAAUUUUGGUACCUUGAUUGGAGCUUUCUUCUCAGACACUUACUUCGGCCGAUACAACACUAUAGGCUUUGCUUCAGUAGCUUCCGUCUUGGUAAAAUUUCUACCAUUGAUCUUACAUCUUAGUGUUUCCCAACUAACUGGAAAAGAAAAUUUUGGGUUCUCUAUGAAACUUUUUUAUUUUAUAUCUGAAUGCAAAUAAGAACCUGAUUGAAGAUAAUUUGUUGGAGAACUAGAAUCUGAUCCUUGGUUUUGAUUCCCUUUCUGAAACACAGGGAAUGCUCAUAUUGACGCUAACUGCAGCGAUUCCUCAGUUGCAUCCCUCUCCUUGCGGAACAGACAGCAGCAAAUGUGUUGGACCGACGGCAGGGCAACUAACUUUCCUGUUGAGUGGAUUCGGAUUCCUAGUGAUUGGAGCUAGUGGCAUAAGACCAUGUAAUUUGGCCUUUGGUGCAGACCAGUUUAAUCCCAAUACAGAGUCCGGUAGAAAGGGAACCAAUAGUUUCUUCAAUUGGUAUUAUUUCACCUUUACAUUUGCCGUGAUGGUAUCCUUGACAAUCAUUGUCUACGUGCAAUCCAAUAUCAGUUGGGCUAUCGGAUUGGCAAUUCCUGCAUUCAUGAUGUUCUUAUCCUGCACUGUCUUCUUCGUGGGUACGAGAAUAUAUGUGAUGGUACUGCCACAGGGCAGUCCCUUGACUAGCGUGGUACAAGUGAUUGUUGCUGCAAGCAAAAAGAGGAAAUUGGCUUUGCCGGAUCAACCACAGAAGUCUCUCUUUGAUUUCAUGUCUCCCAAUUCAAUCAACUCUAAGCUUCCUUACACAGAUCAGUUCAGGUAUUGACUUUAAGACACUCAAAUUCUGAUUAAUCUUUUGUGUGUUAAAACUUGAAGCAUAGUUUCAAACUAAAACUAAUUGAGUGGAAAUACUAAUUCAGGUUCCUGAACAAAGCAGCAAUCAUAACCCCUGAAGAUCAUAUCAACGCGGAUGGUUCAGCACACAAUCCAUGGAGGCUUUGCAGCAUCCAGCAGGUGGAAGAAGUGAAAUGCAUAGUCAGUGUGGUUCCCAUAUGGAUUGCUGGAAUUAUAUACUAUAUAGUGCUGAACUUGAUGCAGACUUAUGCAGUUUUCCAGGCCAUGCAAGCUGAUAGACGCCUUGGAAAUACCAGCUUCAAAAUCCCAGCAGCAUCUUACACAAUUUUUCAGAUGUUGAGCCUCACAGCAUGGAUUCCAAUAUAUGAUAGGAUCAUUGUUCCGUAUCUUCGUAAAAUCACCAAGAAAGAAGACGGUAUAACUGUCCUCCAAAAGAUGGGUGUUGGCAUGGUAAUUGCAGUGGCUACCAUGGUGGUAUCUGCUCUAGUGGAAAACUGGAGAAGAACUGUGGCUCUUACUAAGUCAACCAUAGGAGUCGUAGCGCAAAAAGGCAACAUUUCUUCCUUGAGUGCUUUUUGGUUAAUCCCUCAAAUGGCACUAGCAGGGCUUUCAGAAGCAUUUACCAUCGUUGCUCAAGUUGAAUUUUUCUAUAAGCAGUUCCCCGAGAGCAUGAGAAGUUUUGGAGGGUCAUUUUUGUUUUGUGGUGUUGCAAUAUGUAGUUAUUUUAGCAGCUUCAUGAUAUCAAUAGUCCACAAAGAGACCAGAAAUGCAUCCGGAAUAGACUGGUUGGCUGAAGAUCUCAACAAGGGAAGAUUGGAUUACUUCUAUUACCUGGUUACUGCUUUGGAAGUUCUCAAUCUAGGAUACUUUCUAAUUUGUGCUAAGUGGUACAAGUACAAAGGAACACAAGGCAAGAGCAGUAAUGGUGAUGUUGCCAUGGAAGAUUUAAGCUCCAGAGCACAUAUGGUUUAAUCCAAUUUCUGCAAUCUGAUUGAUGUCAUAUGUGGUCUCAAGAAGCAGCUACUUACUCCUCCCCAUGUGCCCACCUAAACACAACAGUUUAACUAAGAAUAAUAAUUACAAAAGAAAACAAGGGUUUAAGAGGGGACAGAAUGGCUAAUGUACUAAGAAUAGUCUCUCUUUUUUUUUUUUUUUGUUGUUGUGGUGUGGGGGGGUGGGGGGGGAAGGACUCAAAAGGGUAGUCAAUUUCUGGAGCUCAUUGUUUUUCAAAUGUUGCCUCUGCUUCUAAGGUAGCAGCAAUCCAUUCACAACUCUCAGCUGGAAAAGUCACCGUAUAUUACUUCAUCAUGAUGAUCCUCAAAGUUGAUAAAUCAAAAUAAUUUGGCAAACCUUCCCCUAUUUUAGCAUUAUUAGUUUAACCUUUGAUGGAGUUGCAUAUCAUAGUUUUAUUAAAAAGAAGUGCAAAUUAGCUCAAAAUUAAAAUAGCAGGUACUUAGAUAAGGUGUUUCUAGAACUAUGGCAAACACCUAUAAUAACAAAACAUUAACUUGUCACCAAAAAAAAAAAUUGUUGGUAGGUUUUGCACUUAAAUAUUAGCCAUGUUGAUGCAAAAAAGUGACCUAACCAAGCACAAGAUAUGCAUAUUUGUUCUUUGUCUAUGAUUGAAUCUACAACAGGUUGAUGCUUGUUUCUCUAGUAACUCCGAAUUUUGGGUCAAUAAAGAUCUUACAAGAGUAAUAUAUACAGAGAUGAACACUUAAAAGUUAAAUCCCAAGAAUUUUGGAAGCAUAAUGACAGAAUGUCGAGCCUGUACAAUAAUAAUUACCUACUCGAGAAAAAUACAGAUUUUGUAUAUAGCGGUGAGUAGGGUCGAAUCCACAGGGACUGGGGAUAAUUCGUUUCUUCUAAAGUUCAGUGCAUGAGGGAUUUUUGGAAAAUAUAAAAUUACUAAUUAACUAACUAAUGAAACAACUAAAAGAAAUAAAUAGAAAAUAAUCAAUAACCAAUACGACUCUAGCCAAAGGUGCAACUUUUCAGACACGGUCCAUUCAACUGAUUAUCGAUGCAAAGAUAAUUCAAUUACUCAUUAAUAGAUUGGUUAUAGUUGUCAUACACGCGAUGAACAACCAGUCUUUCCUUAAUUUCUCGAUAGCUAAGGUACGACCAUUAACUAUUUCUCUAACCAAGAAAUAACCCUAGGUACGACCGUAGGAUUUAAUUACUCGAUUACAUUAAUAAUUAGAAAAACCCAACCCUAACCAACAAACACGCUACGAGGGUUUGUUUAAAUUAGAUCAUACGUUUCCCUAACAUGAAACCAAUCACGCUAGUCACCACUAGUAUUAAUCAAUUAAACAAUUACGGAUUCAAUCAAUUAAUUUGGCAUUAGAUCAUCAGGUUAAUUCGAAUAUCGGGUCCUUGACAUUCAAAUAACAUAACAAACAUAAGCAAUUAAAUCAGGAAACGUACAAAUACCAAUGAAUAAAAGAAAUAAAUAAAAUUAAUUCGAUCUCACAGAUAUUUGGAAUCGAGUCUUCAAGUUAGCCUUCGACUACAUGAAAAACUUAGCCACGCCUCAUGAGAAAAUCUCUACGUAAUUUAACUGAGGUCCAGGCCAUCAAAGGAACCAAGAAAGAAUAGAACUAAACUAUGCUAAAAAACUCUCCGUAGCCUUUCUUACGAUUGUCCUUAUAUAGCCAAAAGGAAAUGACUAAAGCUAUCUAUCCAGUGGUCCCCACGAAUAAGGAACAAAAACAACCUUCUGCACGUUUGUUUCCUUUCAAUUCACAUGACUAAUGCCUUUCUUCUCUCUGUGGUCCCCGCACAAAUUGAGAGUCCAAUUCCCACAAGUAAACUCCAGCUGAAUUUUUCUCUUUUUGUUUCCUCUUGCUCCUUAAAGACUUCAACUCCUAAUCAGCAAAAAGGAAAUGCCAUCCGUCUGUAGCUUCAUGCAGGCCAGUUUUGUGAGGCUUUUUGGACUCUUUUACGUGUGGGGCAAUUUCCUUCAGCAAGUCCCCAUUUUUUAGCACUUUUCAAAUCCCUUUCCUGUAGAUAGGUCCAAAUACCAAAUAUAAGUAUAUAUCAACAAUUUAAAAUACUAUUUGACAAGGACAAAGGGAAAAUUAAUAAUAAAAUAACUAACAAUUAAUACCCUAUCAAUUCCCCCCACACCUAAAUCAUGCUUGCCCUCAAGUAUGAGAAAAGCAAUUGAACACCAAAAAUUCGACAAUGGCUAUUGCUCCAACUACCGUAUUGCCAAGAUACCCAAGAAAAACAAAUAUCAAGCAUCACAGGUCAAGAUCCAAGAAAAAUCACCCCGAUUAGCCUCUAAACCACCAACUCCUCCAAUUUAAAGCAAACUAAUCUAAGAAAACGGAAUGGUUGCUCACAUUUAUCAGCAAACGGUCCAAUUAUUAACCAAAAUCUCGACAUUAAGAUCACAAACCGGCAAGCUGACUUAUUCACAUACUAACACAAUCUUUACUUUACUUCUUUUUUUUUUUUUGCUUCUGUUUUUUGUUUUUUUUAUUUUUUUUGUUUUUUUUAGUAACAAAAGACUUGGUCUAUAGCCCUUAGAGCCUUUUGACGCGAACUCCAACAUUUGCCAGAUGGAGGAGCCCGGUUACUCAGCUCCAAUCGCUACGGGACCACGCACUCAUAGUAACUACUACCUUUUGACGCGAGAAUCGACACUUUAAAUGAAAAUCCCCGGUUACUCAGUAGUAACCACUAGCGGAGUACAGUCAACUCUUAUUUACAACCAUAUAGCACGAUAUCUAAAAACAACACAAGAAACACAGCAGUCAGCCUCAAAUUUCUAAACAUGGAGAACUAAAAUUAAUAACUGAACCAAUUCAUAUGAAAAAUGCCAACAAUCAUUCCCUAUACCUAGAAAAGUUAACAAAAAAUUGGAAAAGUUAAGCAAUUAUUGAUAUUCACCAAAGAGAUGUUCUUGAACUCAACCACAUCAACUUGAUACCCUUUUAUUACUAAAACUUGGCAAUAGCAAAAUUAGAGACAACAAUCCAGCAUCAAAACUUAGUAUUCAUAUAAAACUGAUCACUAGAAAGAAAAAGAAAAGAAAAUAAAUGAAAUAUAGGCAAAAACUAACUAAAAAUAAAGGAAAAGCCCCUAGAAACUAAAAACAAAAAUACUAGCAUCACAACGAUCCCCCCCCACACCUAAUUCACACAUUACCCUUAAUGUGAUAAUGUAAAAGCAGAAGGAAGGAGAGGGGCAACGGUACUUCCCUGAAAUCAUCAAAAUAGGGGCGGUUCAGGUGGAAAUUGUGGAUCAACUCGCAUCUGGAGCUGGUGCUAUUCGUGGCUUCACCAUGGACUCUAGAUAUCACUCUAAGCAACAAGAGACUACAAUUGCUAACAAAUAAUGGAAGCCGAAAGUUCAAAACAAUAACAAUUUUAAAGCCAACCCAACGAAUAAAAUGCACAAUUCAACUACCCAGAGGACAUACAAAUACCCCAACACUUAUAGCAAUGGAAAUCAAUAAGCACUUGCGGUCCCAAUGUAGUCAAUUUCAAAAUCAAUGCAGUCCAAAAGUGCAACAAAUGCUCCAAAGAUGUACCCCAACCAAUGUACUCCAAGCAAGUCAAUUAGGCACAAUCGAUCAGCAAUAAGCAAAGGAAGGGACACAGUAGCCUUCCAAUUCAACAAACAGACGCAGAAAGUACCCCACAAUACCAGAGCACAGCUCCCAACAAUGCACCAAAACAACAAGUCUAACGAAAUGAGAGUGGUGCCACUAGUUAAUCAAAAGAACAAAUUUCAGCACCGGGACACAAUGCCACCCAAAAUCUCAACAACUGUCUCCAAUUGGACAGACAAACACCUAAUGAAACCUACCAAAAGUAGCAAAUGACCCAAGAAACCGACACAACCAGCAAAAGUAGUUCAAAAUUUGGACUACAACUAGAUCAAAAUAUUUGGCAGUUUGCAAUCAAGUAGCCCACCAAUUAGAACCAAGUAUCAACAAAUGUAGUUAUACUACCCCAACCAGACCACUGGUGCACAACAAAAAUUUAAUCAGAGCAAAAGUAAAUCAGCCACAAGAACCUCUUAGAAAGCGCAACCAAUGGUGCACGGAACUAACAAAAGUUAAAACAGCUACUAUCGCCAGUACCACUGGUGAAUGCACAGGGACAAACUAAAUCAAAUUGCCAACUCAAAUAUGAUUCCCACAGAUGAAAAUAGAGGCCUCAAGUAGGCAAAACCAAAUGAAAGCUCAACAAUGUAAUCGAUGCCAGAAACGACCCCUAACGAAGCAGCAAGUAAACGUAAUUUCACCCUUAAAAUUGAACCUAGAAAAUGCCAAUUCAGCUCCUGCUUUAUCCCUCAAGAAACCCACGAAAAAGCACAAAACCCAACACUUGAAAGUGCAGGGAAAAUACCAAAACAAGGGUAGAAAAUUAAUACCUCCACCUGUCACUUUUGACAGGUGGUAACGCACGGCAAGGAGGUGGCGGACAGCAGCAACGGCGGCCAGCGUGCGAAGGAGAGCUGGGGGCGGCGUUCGGCUGUCGGUGGCUGUGGGCUGCGAUUGGUGGAGUGGCGAGGGAGGAAGAGACGUGCGAGGACGAUGGCGCGGCUGGUAGAGACGCGCGAGGGAGAUGGAGGCCUGGUUGCCGAUGGAGGCAGCGGCGUCCGUGAGGCUGAUCGUGCGGCACAGGGGGAGCAGCGGCGGCAGAGGAACUCAGCGCGCUGUGGGUGGACGGCCGUGGGCAGGGGAGCAGCGGCUGCCACGGUAGUUGGUCGAGAGAGUGGCGAGAUGGUGGUGCGGCGAAGUGGAGCUUGGGGGUGGCGGCAGCGGCGAACUUCAGGUGGCGCGCUAGGGAUGUCAGGCGAAGAAGAAAGCAAAAGGAGAGAAAGGGAAAGCAGCAGGGAAGAAGGAAGAAAGAAAGAAAGAUAGAAAAGAAGGAAAGAAAGAAGAAAAGAAGAAAAAAAAAGAAAAGAGAAAAGGGAAAAUAAAAUAGAUUUUUUUUUUGUGUCUUUUGUUUUCCCCCUUCUUUUUUUUUUGGUUUUUUUUUCUUCAUGUAUAUUUUUUCAAAAAUUAUUCGAACAUAAAUUGUCCAAAUUUGAAAAUUUUUUUUUGAAUUUAAUUUUUUUUUUUCUUUUUAUUAUAAAUUUUAUUAUUAUUAUUAUUAAAAGUUUUUUGGUCGCCAAACACCGCGCAGACACGCUAAGAUUGGUAAACGUCCACUGAUCUCGGGAGAAACAAAUAUCGCGCGGGCACGCCAAGAUUACAAAAUAUCCACUGACCUCAGGAGACACAAACACCGCGUGGGCACGCCAACAUUGCAAAACCUGGUCACAGUGGAGGAAAAUAUUAAUAUUGAUACUACCCAACGAGGAAACGACAAAACGAAAGAAAUGAACAACUAAAAAUAAUAAAAUCAAUAUUUGGGUUGCCUCCCAAAAGAGUGCUUUUCUUUAAUAUCUUUGGGUAGACAUUGUCAUGUUUGUUCAGGGAGGAUAGAAUCUUGUGGCUCCUUUUAGUGUGUCAUCCUCAAUGUAAUCCUGAUAGUCAUCGUAAAUAGAAUAAUCCUUGAGCACACGAGUUACGGGCUUCCAUGGACUAGUAAAUAACGCCAAACAAGUCGAUGAUAAUUUGCAUUCUCCAUUCACUCCCCUCUCAUGUGCAUUUAUUGGUCCAAGAUAUCUUGCCAUCACUAUUCUUAAUUUAUUCCUGUCAUGAAAUUCAAAAUUUUCUGGUAUAAUAAAGUCAAUUUCAUUAACAGGAAUUGAAAAAUAAGAGUCAGAAGGAUAUUGAUUAAGGAAUGGAAGAGAUGUCACCGCAUUCGAAAAUUGUUUACUGGAUUCAUUCAUUUGGAUGAGUUGAUACUGGGGUCUCAUUUCUUGCACUUCAACUUCCUUUUCAACUGCAUCUCUAGAUCCGUUUUCUUGAAACUCUUGCAGUUCCAUGUCAUUUUGUGGGAUAAUUGCACUCUCAUCUUCCUCAAGGUUGAUGUUGGUCUGUGAGGGCAAUUCUUCAAGGUGAGAAACUAAUCGCGUUAUCCUCGAUGUCAAUUGAUGCAUUUGAUCCGCCAGGUUACUGAUGCUUGCUUGUGUCUCCUGAUGAAAUCGAUAUGUAUUAGUAGCGAAUAAUUCAAUCAUUUCCUGAAGAGACAUACCUGACAUGGAUGAUUAUUGUUGAGACUCUUGCUGUUGAGAACCCAUUGGUCUGGUCGCAUAAUUAAAAUUGGAAUCAUCCCACCAUCCUUGAUCAUACCCGUUUGAAUAAGAGUCAUACCACAUUUGAUAUUGAGGUGAAAAAUCUCCAAAAGUAUCAAUUAGAGCACUUAGGUUAUCUUGAAGUGCAGGGCAUAUGUCGGUUGAAUAACUUGAGACAAAAUAAGUUCCACAAUUUGCACCAAUCCAUUGAUCAUUAGGAAAAACACAAGUCUCAUAACCCCAUUCAGAAAUAAAGUCCAGUCUAUCAUCAAAAUACUGAAUGUUAGCAGCCAUAACUAUAUAUAAAAAAAGAGAGAAAUAAAAACAAGAUGAACUCAAAAAGAAACAAAUUAAUAUGGCACCAAUUCUCGGCAACGGCGCAAAAAAUUGACAGGAUGUCGAGCCUGUGCAAUAAUAAUUAUCUACUCGAGAAAAAUACAGAUUUUGUAUAUAGCGGUGAGUAGGGUCGAAUCCACAGGGAUUGGAGAUAAUUCGUUUCUUCUAAAGUUCAGUGCAUGGGGGAUUUUUGGAAAAUAUAAAAUUACUAAUUAAUUAACUAAUGAAACAACUAAAAGAAAUAAAUAUGAAAUAAUCAAUAACCAAUACGACUCUAGUCAAAGGUGCAACAUUUCAGACACGGUCCAUUAAACUGAUCAUCGAUACAAAGAUAAUUCAAUUACUCAUUAAUAGAUUGAUUAUAGUUGUCAUACACGCGAUGAACAACCAGUAUUUCCUUAAUUUCUCGAUAGCUAAGGUACGACCGUUAACUAUUUCUCUAACCAAGAAAUAACCCUAGGUACGACUGUAGGAUUUAAACUCGAUUGUAUUAAUAAUUAGAAAAGCCCAACCCUAACCAACAAACAUGCUACGAGGGUUUGUUUAAAUUAGAUCAUACGUUUUCCUAACAUGAAACCAAUCACGCUAGUCACCACUGGUAUUAAUUAAUUGAACAAUUACGGAUUCAAUUAAUUAAUUUGGCAUUAGAUCAUCAGGUUAAUUCGAAUAUCGGGCUCUUGACAUUCAAAUAACAUAACAAACAUAAGCAAUUAAAUCAGGAAACGUACAAAUACCAAUGAAUAAAAGAAAUAAAUAAAAUUAAUUCGAUUUCACAGAUAUUUGGAAUCGAGUUUUCAAGUUAACCUUCGACUACAUGAAAAACUUAGCCACGCCUCAUGAGAAAAUCUCUACGUAAUUUAACUGAGAUCCAGGCCAUCAAAGGAACCAGGAAAGAAUAAAACUAAACUAUGCUAAAAAACUCUCCGUAGCCUUUCUUACGAUUGUCCUUAUAUAACCCAAAGGAAAUGACUAAAGCUAUCUAUCCAGUGGUCCCCACGAAUAAGGAACAAAAACAACCCUCUGCACGUUUGUUUCCUUUCAAUUCACAUGGCUAAUGCCUUUCUUCUCUCCGUGGUCCCCGCACAAAUUGAGAGUCCAAUUCCCACAAGUAAGCUCCAGCAGAAUUUUUCUCUUUUUGUUUCCUCUUGCUCCUCAAAGACUUCAACUCCUAAUCAGCAAAAAGGAAAUGCCAUCCGUCUGUAGCUUCAUGCAGGCCAGUUUUGUGAGGCUUUUUGGACUCUUUUACGUGUGGGGCAAUUUCCUUCAGCAGGUCCCUCUUUUUUAGUACUUUUCAAAUCCCUUUCCUGUAGAUAGGUCCAAAUACCAAAUAUAAGUAUAUAUCAACAAUUUAAAAUACUAUUUGGCAAGGACAAAGGGGAAAUUAAUAAUAAAAUAAGUAACAAUUAAUACCCUAUCACAUAAAUAGGAAAUAAAUGAAUAUAGGAACUAGAAUCACUACUGAUCCUCUUCUAAAAAUAAAAAAAAAAUUGUAAAAAAAAAGGACUAACCUCCAAUUGUCACGGGUCGACUAUCGCUUCUACCACCGGUAGUGCAUGUCUUGAUUGGUCAGGUGCACGGAUUCGUGUAGACUGUGCCACAAUUACACGCUUAUUGAAGAUUGGAUCUUACUGGCCCAAAAAGUAUCUAACUUUGCCAACAAAUCAGCCUUCAACCAAUCGGUAGGCUAAAAGUUUGUGGGCCUAACAAGUUAACCACACAUCGUCAAAGGAAAACUUGGUACUUCCAUAAUCCAUUCUUUCUAAAGCCACGUUUCAGUUUGUGGUUUUUUUCCCCCCUUCCCACUAAGCACUCUUCAACUUUUGACUUUAGUUCUCAAACAUCAAAAUGGGAUAUUUUGGUUCCUAAAAUAUAAUGGCUGUCCUACUUUCGUCUCUAAAAUAUAAAAUAUAUCUCUUUUUUUUUUUAAAAUGCCUAUGCAUUAUUUUUUCAUUAAUGAUCAGAAAGAAGCUUUACAAAAGAAAGAAAUUCCUAAUACAUCAGACUCACCAGUAUAACACUAUACUAUACUGGCACUAUACGAGUAUACACACAUUAAGCAAGAAACUUAAUUCCUGAGGCAUUCCUGAUCUAAUCCCUAUUGAUUUGUCUCACUUAAAUAUAAAAUCUCUCUCACUUCCGUCAAUAAUUUUAUUGAAAUAGGAAUUAAAAUAUCUCAUUUUAAAGUUUAAAGAUCAAAAUAGAAAUUUAGGUACAGUUAUAAAAUGUGCAAAGUGGAAAUGAUCUAUCUAAUACUACAACUUUGACAUGACAUUUCACUUUUUACCAAGCCAUUUUGUUGGUGUCACAAGGGUUUUGCACUUAAACAAGACCUUCUGAAGAUUAUUUGUUUUUUUUUUUUAAUUUCAUGGUGCAUUGUUCAAUUGACAACGCGAUUGAUAUCUUCUAGAUAAUGCUGACUUUAAAAGUUUUUUUUUUGAAGAGCAUAACAAAAGCUUGUCGUUCUGAACUUUGACUAGGGAAAACAAACGUUAAAAUGUCCACCUAGAAUUCAAGCUGCCUCAGGAACGCCUUUUUGACUAACAAAUACUAACAUUAUUGUAUCAAGUGACAUGUAAUCUAGAAGAUUAGAGUACCAACAAAUAUUAAAGCCAGUGUAUUUGACUUAUGGUUGUGUGCACCUACACAACUAGUGGGGAAGAUAUUUAGUACUAGCAUACGUGAUAGGGUAUUAAUUGUUAGUAAUUUUAUUAUUAAUUUCUCUCCUUAUCCUUGCCAAAUAUUGUUUUAAUUGUUAACAUAUACUUAUAUUUGGUAUUUGGGCCUAUCUACAGGAAGUGGAACUGAAAAGUGUUAAAAAGAGGGAUCUGCGGAGAACAAAUUCUCCACGCGUGGGGAGUUUCCAAAAGAAAAUACAAGCCUGGCUCCGCGGGGUGAUACAAACGGAUUUCCUACUUUUUUACUGAUGAAGAGUGGCCUUGUACUAGGAGUCUACUAGCAAUAGGAAAGGAAUUAGGAGGGAACUUUAGCAGUGGGAGUGUUGGAACCUUUUUGUUUUUGUUUGUUUUUGCUCCUUAUUCGGCAGGGGACCACGUAGGGAUGCGUGAGUCAUUGUUUUUAGAUAGGACAGUUUUCAUUCUUGUGGGGCGGGAUUCGUUUUGCUUUUUCUUGGUUUUUUUCUUUGCCGUCUCUUCUGUUAGGACGGGGGGAAAAGAGCUUUGUCUUCGACGAUUACUUCUGCAAUUUUGCAUGGGAUUUCCUCCAUGAAGAUGAACUAACUCCUUUUUCUAGUCAAGGGUUAAUUUGAAGACGCGGUUUCAAAUAUCAGUGAGAUCGAAUUAUUUUACUUAUUUCUGUUAUUCAUUGGUAUUCGUACGUUUUUUGGUUUAAUUGCUUAUAAUUAUUUUGUUAUUUGAAUGUCAAGGGUCCGAUAUUCAAAUUAACCUAAUAAUCUGCUAUCAUAUUAAUUGAUUGAAUUCGUAAUUGUUCAAUUGGCUAAUACAAGUGGCGACUAGCGUGAUUGGUUUCAUGUUAGGAAAAUGUAUGAUCUAAUUUAAACAAAUUCACGUAGCGUGUUUGUUGGUUAGAGUUGGACUUUUCUAAUUAUUAAUGCAAUCGAGAAAUUAAAUCCUACGGUCGUACUUAGGGUUGUUUCUUGGUUGGAGAAAUAGUCAACGGUCGUACCUUGGCUAUCGAUAAAGUAAGGAAAAGUUGGUUAUCAGAGCUUGUUGAUGGCUAUAACCAAUCUGGUAAUGAGUAAUUGAAUUAUUUUUGCAUCGAUGAUCAGUUGAAUGGACCGCGUCUGAAAAGUUGCACCUUUGACUAGAGUCGUAUUGGCUAUUGAUUAAUUCUUGUUUAAUUCUAUUAGUAGUUUCAUUAGUUAGUUAAUUAAUUAUUUUAUAUUCUCCAAAAAUCUCCCAUACUUCGGAUUCUGGAAGAAACAAAUUAUCCCCAAUUCCUGUGGAUUCGACCCUACUCAAUGCUAUAUACAAAAUUUGUAAUUUUCUUGAGUAGAUAAUUAUUGUUGCACAGGUUCGGCAUCUGUCAAUUUUUUACGCCAUUGUCGGGGACUGGUGCCUGAUUAAUUUGUUUAUUUUUGAAUUCAUCUUGUUUUGAUUUUUUUUUUAUUUUUCUCUUUUUUAUAUAUAUAUAGUUUAUGACUGCUAACAUUCCGUAUUUUGAUGAUAAACUGAAUUUUAUUUCUAGAAUGGGUUAUGAGACUCAUUUUUUUCUAAUGAUCAAUGGGUUGUUGCAAAUUGUGAAACUUAUUUUAUCUCAAAUCAUUCAACUGAUUUAUGCCCUGCAUUUUAAGAUGGUCUAAGUGCUCCAAUAGAUAUUUUUAAAAAUUUUUCAUCUCAAUAUCAAACGUGGUAUGACCCUUAUUCAAACGGGUAUGAUCAAGGAUUGUGGGAUGAUUCCAAUUUUAAUUAUGCGACCAGGCCAAUGAAUUUUCAACAACAAGAGUCUCAAGAAACGUCAUCUACAUUAGGUAUGUCUCUUGAAGAAAUAAUUGAAUCACUAGCUACUAACACAUAUCUAUUUCAACAGGAGACACAUUAAUUUCAACAGGAAACACAAAGGAUGAUUAAAGAGAUGGAAAAAGGAAGGCGUGAAUUGGCAUCUACAAUUAGUGAAUUGAUUUCUCCAAUAUAUGAAGAAUUGCCCUCACAAACCAUCAAUGACCUUAAAGAAGAUGAGAAUACAAUUAUCUUGACAAAUGACAUGGAACUGCAAGAGUCUCAAGAAGAAAAAUCUAAAGAUGCAGUUGAAAAGGGAAUUGAAGUGCAAGAAAUGAGACCUCAAUAUCAAAUGGUUCAAGCGAAUAAAUCCAAUGAAUAAUUUCCAAAUGCGGUGACAUCUCCUCCAUUUCUUAAUCAAUAUUCUUCUAACUUUUAUUCUUUAAUUCCUAUUGGUGAGAUUGAAUUUAUUAUUCCAGACGAUUUUGAGUUUCAUGACAAGAAUAAGUUAAGAAUCACGAUAGCAAAAUAUCUCAAACCAAUAAGUGCUCGUGAUAGAGGAGUGAGUGAAGAAUUAAGAUUCUUGUUGACUUGUUUGGCGCCAUCUACUAAUCCAUGAAAAAUCGUAACUCGUGUGUUUAAGAAUUACUCUAUUUACGAGGGAUACCAGGAUUACAUAUAAAAUGAAACACUGAAACGAGUUACACGAUUUUAUCCUCCGUGAAUAAACAGGGUAAUGUCUAGUCAAAGACGUUAAAGAAAGGCGCUACUUGGAAGGCAAUCCAAGAAUUUUAAUUGUGUUUUAUUUCAUAUUUGUGUUUAAGAUUAGUGGGUUUAAGUUCCUAUUGACAAACAACCUGUAUUGUCAGUCAUGGGUGUUUCUGUGCAGUUUUAUUCUGGGUUGGGAGCAAAAAAAUUCAUGGGCAGAAGACUUCAUAUUACAAGGCGUGCCCGCGCCUUGUAUUCGGCGCACAUGGGCAUUUGUAAAAAAAUUGGAUGAUCAGAAGACUGAAAUUUUCAAGGCGUGCCCAAGCCUUACAAGGGUACGCCAAGAGCGCUGUGCAAAUUAGGGAGUAUCAGUUCCAAGGUGUGCCCACGCUUUGAAAGAAUCUCUUUUGGACAUUAUUGGGACGCGAUGGUCAGAAGACUAUAGCCUCCAAGGCGUGCCCAUGCCUUCCAAUCUUGGCGACAACGAAUGUCAAACGUGACCAGGACCCUGUCUAACCCUACUUUUCUACUGUUCUUUUUUUUAUUAUUUUAUCUUGUCUUGUCUGGUCUUUUCUAGUCUCUUUUCAAUUUCUUUUGUCUUAUUUCCCAAGGUCUCGCCCCUCCUGUUCGCUGCCGCUCUCCACCUUGCACCACCACCGCUCGCGACUCUCUCUCUCUCCUCCUCGCAUAGCUCAUCAGGCAACUUUCUUUACUCAUAUUGGAUUCCAACUGCCUCAUCCUCCUUCGUCUUAGUGUCACGCUGCAUCCUCUCGGUAGUCAGGGAAGUUUCGCCCCUUUUUAUCCUUACACUUUAUUUGUCUUUACUACAUUGAGGACAAUGUAGGUUUUAAGUGUGGGGGGGAUGGCUUCCAUUAUUUCUUUAAAAAAAACACAAAACAAAAAAAAUGAAAAAAGAAGAGAAAAAUGAAAAAAAAGUGUAGUUAGUUGAUUUCGUUAGUUCUAUAUUUGUUAACUGCUAGAGCAUGUUGCUAUGAUGGAUUGCACAAUCAGGGUGCACGGAUAUGUGGUCAUAUAUGCUAGCUAUGCAUUUUGUUUUUCGUUGGCAAUAUCAUUGAAUGUUGAAUAUGCUGGACUUGACCCAUUCUCGAAACUUUUGGGAGCUUUUGAGCCAUGCACGAGCAUAUUAUUCUUGUUUGCUUCGUUUGUGUUGUUGAGAGGGUAUCACACAUGGUAUUUGCAUUCUAGAACUUGUUAUUUUAUACAUGUCGAGACCACAUUUUGUUGAACUGGAUGCAUUUGAAAUGAUAAGGGUAUUUAAGAUUUAAUCUUCUUUAGUUUUCUACAAACCAUGCCUUUAUUUUAUUUUUCAAUAGUGAAUCAAUUUGAGUUUUUAUCCUUCUCCUUUAUUUGUUAGCUGUGUUUGAUAACUCAGGACCUUUUUAGACUUUCUUGUUCAACCUUGUGUCGUUAAGAGAUGUCUGAAUUUCAUUAUUUAUGCAAGGCAAAUAAAUCUAGGGUCGCAAGUAUUGUUAGAAUAGAAGUUGUAUGGUGCUGUUUCUGUGCAUCUGAGAUCGAAAGAAAAGAGAAAAAAAGAAGAAGAAAAAAAAGAGAAAAAAGAAAGAGGAAAAUGGUCAAUAAGCUAGUGAACAGAAGACUCUGACUUACUGGGCGUGCCCACGUCUUGCAAGACGUUUCCUUUCAUAAAAAAAAAAGAGAGUUCUGGCAUUUGCACAGUGGGAAUAGCAAAUGGAAACGCCUUACUUGUGAAAUUUCUCCGGUAAAGCGUUGUGGUUAUAUAGUGAAUAUAGGACAUUCUCUUGAUACAUUGCACCCUAUCUUUAAUUUCAUAUCCCGCCUUUUACCUUAACCCCAUUACAACUCUAUUAAAGUCCCUUUGAUUUGUGCAUUUAGUUCACUUUUGAGUGGUGGAGAUAUGAUAAAUGUGCAAGCCUAUGGUAAUGCUAUUCCGUGAUGUUGAUUUGAGCGUUCCUAGUAUAUAUACAUUUUCUUGAAAAUGAUGAGUAUUACUGCUCAUAUUCUUCGGAUAACCACCUGUUCGAUAUGUUCUAACGUUGGCGACAUUGUCAAGAAUGCGGGAUGCUUGUGUUAGUGUAGAUCACUACAUAACCGUUGCUAUCUUAAUUGUGCUUCUGAGUUUCAAAAUGCUUGAAAACAAGCAUGAUUUAGGUGUGAGGAAAAUUGAUAGGGUGUUAAUUGUUAGUAAUUUUAUUGUUAAUUUUCCUCCUUGUCCUUGCCAAAUAUUGUUUUAAUUGUUAACAUAUACUUAUAUUUGGUAUUUGGGCCUAUCUACAGAAAAUGAAACUGAAAAGUAUUAAAAAGAGGGAUCUGCGGAGGAUAAAUUCUCCACGCGUGGGGAGUUUCUAAAAAAAAAAUACAAGCCGAGCUCCGUGGGGUGAUACAAACGAAUUUCCUACUUUUUUGCUGAUGAAGAGUGGCCUUGUACUAGGAGUCUACUAGCAAUAGGAAAGGAAUUAGGAGGGAACUUCGGCAGUGGGAGUGCUGGAACCGUUUUGUUUUUGUUUGUUUUGCUCCUUAUCCGACAGGGGACCACGUAGGGAUGCGUGAGUCAUUGUUUUUAGAUAGGACAGUUUUCAUUCUUGUGGGGCGGGCCUCGUUUUGCUUUUUCUUGGCUUUCUUCUUUGCCGUCUCUUCUGUUAGGACGGGGGGAACAGAGCUUUGUCUUCGACGAUUACUUCUGCAAUUUUGCAUGGGAUUUCCUUCAUGAAAAUGAACUAACUCCUUUUUCUAGUCAAUGGUUAAUUUGAAGACGCGGUUUCAAAUAUCAGUGAGAUCGAAUUAUUCUACUUAUUUCUGUUAUUCAUUGGUAUUCGUACGUUUUCUGGUUUAAUUGCUUAUAAUUAAUUUGUUAUUUGAAUGUCAAGGGUCCGAUAUUCAAAUUAACCUAAUAAUCUACUGUCAUAUUAAUUGAUUGAAUUCGUAAUUGUUCAAUUGGCUAAUACAAGUGGCGACUAGCGUGAUAGGUUUCAUGUUAGGAAAACGUAUGAUCUAAUUUAAACAAAUCCUCGUUGCGUGUUUGUUGGUUAGAGUUGGACUUUUCUAAUUAUUAAUGCAAUCGAGGAAUUAAAUCCUACGGUCGUAUCUAGGGUUGUUUCUUAGUUGGAGAAAUAGUCAACAGUCGUACCUUGACUAUCGAUAAAGUAAGGAAAAGUUGGUUAUCAGAGCUUGUUGAUGGCUAUAACCAAUCUGGUAAUGAGUAAUUGAAUUAUUUUUGCAUCGAUGCUCAGUUGAAUGGACCGUGUCUGAAAAGUUGCACCUUUGGCUAGAGUCGUAUUGGCUAUUGAUUAAUUCUUGUUUAAUUCUAUUAGUAGUUUCAUUAGUUAGUUAAUUAAUUAUUUUAUAUUCUCCAAAAAUCCCCCAUACUUCGGACUCUGGAAGAAACAAAUUAUCCCCAAUCCCUGUGGAUUCGACCCUACUCAAUGCUAUAUACAAAAUUUGUAAUUUUCUUGAGUAGAUAAUUAUUGUUGCACAGGUUCGGCACCUGACAAUACACCACAGACAAUUGAUUUCGUCUUCUUUGUAAGUAAACCAUACGAUGUAUUCUUCAGAUGGCAGAAGGAGAAUGUCUCACACAGCUCAAGUGACCGGUCGCAUAUGUAUUAUAGCGAUUUGAUUGCAAUUUUCGAGAGUUUUUGCAGAAAAAGGUUCUGUAAUAAUUUGAAAUAUGUUAAAUAAAAACGUAAUUGAAAAAAGUGUUUAUAAAAAGUAUAAAAAAUUUUUGAGAAAAAAUGACAAUUCAAACAAAGUUGCUAGGGAUUCAUUCAAACAAAAUAUACCCCCACCCGAUCCCCCGCCUCGCCACCUGUUCGAAUAUGUAUAUAUAUAUAUAUUUAUAUGUAUAUAUAUAAUAUUUAAUUUAAUUAAUUACAAACUUAUAAUAAUGAUAUUAUAAGUUAUAAGUAUUAUAUAAUAUAUAUUGGUAUAUGUAAUAUAAUUGAUAUUAUCAAUUAUACUAAUAAUUAUACAUGUCUAUUAAUUGAAAUUAUUAAUUACUUAUACUAAAUUUACUAAUACAUUUAUACUAAAUUCCUAAUUACACUUAACACAAUAACACAUUUUUUCUCAAAAAAAUAUAAUAAUGACUCUGUGAUUGUAUUUAAUUCAAGAGUGAAAAAUUGAUUACUUUAGCUCUAUUUGUUUCAUCAUGUUGGAUUGUAUUCAAAUAAUUUUUGUUUGAUUAUUUUUAUGAGUUUCACUUGUGAAAUUAUAAAGGAUAAUGAUUUGAUAAUGUAUUGAUAUUUUAGUCCUUAAUUUUAUUUCAAAAGUGAAAACUUGACUAUUUUAACUAUAUUUGUUUCAUCAUGUUGGAUUGUAUUCAAAUAAUUUUUGUUUGAUUGUUUUUAUGAGUUUCAAUUGUGAAAUUACAAUGGAUAAUAAUUUGAUAAUGUAUAAAUAUUUUAGUACUUAAUUAUUUGCUAAAAUUUGACUACAAUGAAAUUAAAUGACAAAUUUUUAUUAACCCUCUCAGGUGCCCCCGCGGGGGAAGCAUGGGACAGAGGGCGGGGCAAGGGCCCUGCCACCCACCUCAUUGCGAUUCCUAACAUGGAGAACCUAUCCAAUGUGCAAUCACUGUAGAUAUAUAUAUAUAUAUAUAUAUAUAUAAGUUCAAGUCACCAUUUAAAUUUUACAAAGGAAAAGGAAAAUUAGAAAGAAGGGUUUAAGAGUUUGAUUAGGGAUAUUUUUAUGAUUACUUGAAUCCCUAUGAACUUGAGUUAGGCCAAUGGAAAGAUCAACCAGUUUUGACUGCCUUCUUAAAUAUUCGUUUAGUAAACCCGAAUCAGGAAAAGAAGAUAAAAUGAAAAAACACAUACAAAAAGCAAAAUGAAUGGAGUUACCGGCUCGGGUCCUAAGGGUUCAAGUCGGGGCAUGGUCUGGGUUACCAAAAAAAAAAAGCAAAAUGAAUGGAAACCAAACAAAUUAGGGUUAAAAACAAAAAAGCCCCCUGUGAUAUAUCUAAUACACAAAAAAGCCCCCGUGAUUUCAAAACAUACAAAAUGACAUAUCAUAUUUUGAAUUAAAUUGUAAACUAAUAGAAUUCGUUAUAUUUAAUGGAAUUCGGUAAACUUAACAGAAAACUUAAUGAAAUCUGGUAAAUUUAACGGUAAAUUUAACGGAAUCCGGUAAGUUUAACUGCCAAGACCGUCAAUUUCGUUAACUUUAACGAAUUCUGUUAGUUAACAAUUUAGUUCAAAACAUGAGGUAUCGUUUUGUAUGUUUUGAAAUCACGGGAGGUUUUUUCUGUAUUAGAUAUACCACAGGGAAUUUUUUUGUUCUUAACCCAACAAACUAAAAAUGUUGGACCACAUGUUUGAUAAUUUAAUUCAACACUUAAAUUUAAUGGAUUCAGAUCUUAACAUGUUUAGAUACAUUUGAUAACAAAAAAUAGAAAAUCUAGAUUAAUUGAGUGGUAGUGAAGUUUUUAGGCAAAACUUGACCCAUUCUGCAUCUUGAUGAUUGCUCAAUGUUUGAGCACUAAAUUGAACACUUAGAUCAGUCCUAUUUACUACUUCUAGGCAAAAUGAGCAUUUGUAAAAUAGACUACUCAGCUCUUUGAUAUCCUAUAUCACUAUAGUUGUCCAUCCAUCUAUUGACUUUUCCUGUUGGAUUUGCUGUAGCAAUUUUUUUCAGGAACUCCAAUGUUUAUUAGUCUCCAUCCCUGUUUUGCUGCUUUGACUAGUGCUAGUUUGAUCCCUUCAGCAAAAUGUUGAAGUUGAUUUCCAAUUGCUCUUUCUCUCAUUGCCCAUCCCAUUAGGUCCUGCAUCCUUUCAUCCUUUGCCACAAUACCAUAUCCAACAGUUAGUCGUGCAUCCUUUCAUCCUUUGCCACAAUACCACAUCCAACAGCUAUCCUUUCCUUGUCCCAGUUCACAGAAAUCUUAAGAUGUUUUCCUCCUGGUGUAGCUUCUGCAUUUUGCAUUUCAUCUUGGUUGCUUUGUUGCUGAGGCAUUGAUGUUCUACCUAUGCUACAACUCCUAGCUUCCUCUAUUGCAUUGUUAAAUUCCCUCCAGGCAGUGUAGGCUUUGUUAACAACUGCAGCUGGAUCUUGUAUCUUGUUGUUGAAUUCCUUCUCAUUCCUACUCUUCCAAAUUUGCCACAAGGUAUAGGCCGUGAGGCUUAUGUGGUCAGUUCCUUGGGCUCUUCAUCUAGCUUCAGUUACAACUGUCCACCAGUUUUUGAAAUUUCCUGUUAGGUUUCCAAUUACAUCCCAUUGUAUUGGAGCUAGUUUCCAAAUGCCUCUAACUUUCCUGCAGUUUAGCAGCAUAUGUUCAAGUGUUUCCAUCUCCUCACCACAGCCUGAGCAUAUUCGAUCUCCUGCUUUUGCCCGUCUCCAUAUCAGCUCCUUGACAGGAACUGCUUCUCUUAGUCCUUUCCAGAUGAACAAUUUAAUCUUGUGGUUGAUGUUUAAGUUUCAUAACACCUUCCACACAUGCUGGUUUAUUGAAUUGCAGCUAGGUUCAGCUUUCCUUUCUAUCUUUCUUGUUUCAACCUCUCUCCUUUCCAUUGCAUGUUUGUAUCCUGAUUGCACUGUGUAUUCUCCAGUCUGGUUUCCUAACCAGAAUCUACUAUCUUCUCUUCUUGUGAUGCUAAUUGGAACUUUCAGUAUGUUGUCAGCAUCCUCCUUGCAAAACAUCUUACAGAUGAGAGGUCUGUUCCAUCUGUAAUCCACUAUCAUGUCAACCACUUUAUCAAUCUGCCCGUUUGCUGGUUUAAUCAUCUUUGGCUUCCCUUGGUGGUUGUUGGGUAGCCAUUGGUCUUCCUAGAUUCUAGUCUUUCUUCCAUUGUCUAUUCUCCUCCUCACUUCCCAUCAUAGAUCUUCACUACUGCUCAUUAUACUCUGCUAGAACAAGGAAGCAUUCUUUGUCACUUUACAUUCUUGUAUGCUGCUAUUUGGAAAAUACAUUGCUUUCAGAACCUUGCUAGACAACUGAUUUGGAUUCCUGAUAAUUCUCCAUAUCUGUUUGGCAGCAAGGCUCUAUUAAAAGCUCUGUAUUUCUUUGAAGUCUAGGCCUCCUUUCUUCUUCUCCUGAGUCAACUGCUUCUAGGCCAUCCAAGUGAUAAGCUAUUCACUUAUCAUUUAAUUUGGUAUAUACUCAAAUAUAUUAGAUUUAAUACAUAACAAUUUAGUAACUUAACAGAUUCGAAGUUUAGACUUAAAAAAUUUAGAAAAGAGAAAAUUUUUUAAUUACAUUUAAAAUCUUAUUUGAGAUGUUUAGAAGAUGAAAAAGGUUAUUUCUUCAUCUUUACAAUAUUUUAAAUAGUUUUUAUAUUCUUUUGAAAUUAUUUAUAAUUUGUCAAUUUUAAAUUUUGUCUUCAAAUUAUAGAUAAUAUUUGCUAAAGGAUCUCUCAACCCCAAACCUAUAAUUUUUUUAACUAAAAAAAUACAUCUAUCAAGUUGUCAAAUGUCAAAGGCUUUUAAAUUGAUUUGUCAGUUCAACUAAGGGACCACAACAAAAGGGCAACUUUGAAAUGAAAUUAAUUUUGUCCUUCCCAACCUAAACAUAGUAUUUUAAUCAUAUAAUUUGAAUUAGGUCGAGAAUGUUACAAAAAUUUAAAAAUAGGGGAGGCAAACGAUAUUUUAAAACUUUAAGAGAGAUAAGUGAAACUAUCAGAAACCUAACAGAGAUUUCUGAAAUUAUCCCUUUUAUAAAACUCUUUAAGCCUUGGAUUAGAGUACACAAAGCACACAAGCCAAUAUGGGUAAGUGAUUAAUGCAAUUACAACUUUCAAUUUUGUACAGAUAAGUCCAUAUAAUUCUUUGCAGAUUGUUGUGACAACUGUUGAAGUCCGAAAAACAGACAGAAGAAAGCAUAAAUUUGGAAGCGGUGUCCAGCGGCUUUGAUGAUUCUGUUGGAACUCUAGUAAUUAGUACUAAAUGUUCCUUGUCCUAUGCAUCGAGUGUUUUGGGUGGACACGGAAAUUGCGUCACGUAUAUGUAGGAAAAGGUUCAAGUUACAUAAAAUGGAAGGGAACAUUCUUUAAUCUAAAAUUCGGGACUGACAUCAACCUAAAGUGACUCAAAACCUAGACUUCACUUCCGUUUUUUUUUUUUUACAACGGUAACAUUUUUGUAAGUUAAUCUAUCUUAAUUUAGGAGAAGGGGGAGCCAAUGGGAGUUGAAUCUGUGACGAUCCCACCUCCCCCUAAGGCGAACCAAAGGGUUCGGCAGACCACCUGCCCAACUCUCAGCAGGACUCGAUACAAUUUAAUUCAAACUUAAGGAUAACAACUGAAUAAUAAAAGUCGAAACGAAGAAAAGUCGCUUCCUUAAAUAAAUAUUCAAAUCUUACAACACAAGUUCUCAAAAGUACAUCACUUUCCCCAAAAUUUUCAAUCACUCGAAGUUGUCUAAUCGAAUACAAUCCAAAAUACUAAGCAAAAGUAGUCAAACCGGCUCUCCAAAAUUCUUUCCAUUCCGAGCUCCUGUUAAGGAAAAUAAAGCUAAUGGGAUGAGCUAACGCUCAGUGAGGCCAAGAAAACAUGCAAACACAUAGUUCAAGUAACAAACACUUGUACGAGAAAUAAAACUAUAACAUUCAAGUAAUUCCCGAUUAACAAUUAAACGCACUUGAGUAAGAUACAGGAGCUCUCAGGAGCUAAUUUCCAAUUAUUUUGCCCAAAUUCGAUCCAAUACCUCCACGUGAUGAUAUUUCGUCAAUCGGGUAGGUAUUUAAUUCUGUAGAACUUCACUUACUCUAUUUAUGAUUCUGAGUCGACAUGAGAGGUACCUCUCACCCGAAUCGGUGUGGUACAUGCUACCGCUCAGAGAAAUAAGUGGUUGAUGAGACAUCGUUUCAAUCGACUUAUACUUUGAUUAUGGUUCUGAAUCGACAUGAGAGGUACCUCCUACCCGAAUUGAUAUGGUACAUGCUAUCGCUCAGGGAAUCGAUUAUACGUUUAUGGUUCUGAGUCGACUUGAGAGGUACCUUCCACCCGAAUCGGUGUGGUACAUACUAUCGCUCAAUGGUCGAUGAGACAUCGCUCCAAUCGACUUAUACUUUGAUUAUGGUUCUGAGUCGACAUGAGAGGUACCUCCCACCCAAAUUGGUGUGAUACAUACUAUCGCUCAGGGAACCGAUUACAAUUAUUUAUGAUACUCAGUCGACAUGAGAGGUACCUCCCACCCGAAUCGGUAUGGUACAUGCUUUCGCUCAGAGAAUCGAUUAUUUGUUUAGGGUUUUGAAUCGACAUGAGAGAUACCUCCCACCCAAAUUGGUGUGGUAUAUGCUAUCACUCAGGGAACCGAUUAUAGCACUGAGACGAUAUGAGAGGCACCUCCCACCCAAAUUAGUGUGAUACAUGCAUCGGCUCAAGGUUUACGAGUUAAACAUGUUUAUGAACAAUUACCGAUCAUGUGUAUUCAUGUAACAAGUAUCGCAUAAUGAAAAGAAAGAGAGGACGAGGGCGUCCCUACGAGUAUACACAUAAGUCGAGGAGGUUCACUCUACUCGACAUCACAACACAAAUAUGAUCUGCAAUAAAAACACUUCACUUAAUUCACAUAACAAUUCACUUCAUACAAUUCGAAUAUUAAUUCACAUAGCACAAUUCAAUUAUAAUAUCACUUAAAAGAGAACGAGCGCGAUAAAGUACAUACUCAUCUCGACAAGUUUACGUAUCAUGUAUAAUAUUUGUACAAUUCACAUUUCAAUCACAUAAGCAUUUAACAUGCACUUGACACUCACCAAUCAAAGUAAGGGAGUAAGUGCUCAAACAAGCAUUUAGGCGUCCGCUUCGAGAUGCUCUUGAAGGUCCCCUUGAGCACCUGAGCAAAUAGUAAUUGACUAUCACACACUAUCGCUUAUAAACCCCUUGUUAACAAGGAAGAUUGUACACUUGUACAAUACUAAGAAAAUGUCAUGAAAGAGAGUCUUAAUUACUCAUAAAUCGAGACUCAAAAGUGGUGUUUAAAAACACAAAGAAAACUGAUUUUCUUCAGGAAAUCAAGUUUAAAACGGUCAAUCAAUAUCAAAGGAUAGGGCAGAGUUUCCAAAAAAUCAUUUCCCAACAAGUUGGAAAUUUUCAAUUUUGUGCGUCAAAUUUAGAAAAAUCAGAAUUUGCACUCAGUAGGUCCAAAAUUGGAAAACAUUAUACUGUUGGAAUCUUGGUUCAGAAUACUAAAAGUUCUUAGAAGACACUUUUCUAAGAUUCUAAACGGAAGACAUUCAAAUUUCAGUUCAAAAUGGCUGACUUGAGCAUACAAGACAGUUUCGGUCAUAUUUUUCGGCAAACUUUGAAUAUUCGGCAAAAUUCACAGAAAGUACACUAGCCUCUGAAAUUCAUAACACAACAAAAGUUCCAAACAUGAUAAACGGAACUAAAUUCAGAGUCUUGAGUAUCAAGAUAUAGCAGUUCAAAGUCGGUAAAUUUCUACUACUAAAUAGUGAAUUUUUCAGAUUUGAAAGUAAAUUUUGGGACAUCAUUUGGGUAUCAAAAUCGUCUUAGAAUAACACUAAACUUGGUACAAUUCAACUUCCAUAUGAGAACUACUCCUCUAUCAAAUUUUACGUAAAAACUCGUACGGGAAUGUAGUUAACAAAACUACCAAAAUUUAGGAAAUUCUUAAAGCAAAUCUAUCUUUUUGUUUUCUUUUCCUUUUUCAAACACUUUGCACCAUGAAAUCAGUCUCAUUUUGAUUUAUUUGUGAAAUCAAGGUCCAAGAAACAUUUCAUAAGCAAUUGAUAGUGGUUUGACAUCAAAAUUUUGAAAUAAAACAUCUCACAAACAACUAAACCAGUCGGCCAGCAAAAGGAAGGGUUUUCCAGCUUUGCCGCAGUUUGGAAAUUGAACCAUAUUUCACUCAAUACAACUUGGAAUUGAGAAUGGUUGCUGGAGUUUGAAACUAGAAUCAUAAGGCUACAUUUCAUCAGAACAAAUCAUUUUCAAAAUCAAUUCAUAAGUGAGAGAAAAUAGAGCCACAAAAUGCAGCUUCUACCUUUCUCUCGGAUACACCAUCAGAACAGGAUAGCAACUUUGCCGAAUCACUACGGCUCACUCAUUUCGAACUAGAAAGUGCAUUUUAUACCUUGGAAAGUUACAAAUGUCUAGUUUCAAAUGCCACAAACGGCACUCAAUUUUGAUUUUUGUACAAAGACUUAUGUUUGAUCAAACUGGUACUGUUCAGACUGCCUGAACAAGUUUUCCAGGUUUCUUCAAUUUUCGAAAUCUCAAAUUUUGCUCAACCAAUUCAAAUGAUUUUGGGUAGAAACUUUCUACACACCAUAUACAACAUACAUACAUCAGUUUUACAAUCAUUUGAGCAUCAAAAUUUCGAAAUAUAAGCAAGGCAAUAACAGGACAAAUUCGGCCAGCAUUCCUGCGCAAUUUUCUUUUGGUCUUUCCUUCAUUUCUCACCAUAAUCUUUUCAUCUACACACAUAACAAUCAUAUUCAAGCAAUUACACCUCAAGGCAGCUACCUAGAGAUCACCACAAGACCGUUAGCCUAACAUUUAAAGUAAGAAAUUAAACACCUCAAGUCCGCUAGCCUAAUCCAUGCUUAGGGUUCAAACCCUUGCAAAUAAAGCUCCAAUCUUUGAAGAAAAUGGAAAGGUUCAAGGUUGAUGAAGACUACCUCUUAGCUUUGGAAGAAACCAGAAAUUUUGGACCAAAAUUCUCCCAAGAAAACCCACAAGAUGAAGCCUUUCUCCAAACUAAAGUUACUCUCCAAGUGGUAUGUGAGUUGAGUGAAGAUUUAGAGGUGAAAUGGUACAAGAUUGGAUGGAGUUUUCUUUCCUUCUUCUUCCUUGGGGCUGCUGGCCGAAAAGUGGAGAGAGAUGAGAGAGGUUUGUAUGCUAAAACUUGGGGAGAAAGAAUGGAAUAGUAGCCAUAAGUGUUGGCCAAAAAGUCAACUCUUAAUAGUGUCACGCGCGGGUAUCGUACCAUCGUUUUCUCUUUUGUUUGUUACACUUAUGCACUAAACCUCCAAUGAAAUUCUAUUAAUACUAUAAUUAUUCACUCUUAUUAGUCUAAAAUAAAUUUUUAAAAUCUCCAGUUAACCGUUCAGGCUUGAUUUACGCGAACUUCCAAUUCGCGCACGAUAAAGCAAAAUUUAAGGGUAAUUCACGCCACUAAAAUAUAAUUAACUAACUCUAUGGCAGAUAACUUAUAAAAUGACUAAAUUAAGAAUGAAAACCUGAGUCCUCAAAUCUCCAAGAUCAUUGCACUCUCGGAUCGAAUAUUGCCUCGAAAAACAUGUAUUUGCUAUUUCUCGCUAAACGAGCCGUAGAAAAAUUAAAUUCAUGAACGGAACGUUUUAAAAAUAUAAAAGAGAUAUUUUUGCAUACAAAUGAGUUUUAAAAUGAAUGAAAUAAAUUAUUCGGAGUAAAUGGGUGAAUAAAUAAUUAAUUAAGCCAUUAAAAUAAUAUAAAAGUAAGAAAAUAAAAUCUGGGUCCUCACAGAAUCAACAUCAGAGAAGCCACUGAAGGCAGCCACAUAUAGUGAUAAAUUGGUAGGAGGCAAGUAUUAAACCCUUGACAUUCUACACCACCAGCCCUUUGGGCUUGUGGCAAAAAAAAAAAGAAAAUCCUAGACUUCACUUGAGUCGGAUAUCCUUUUGUUUUCUUCUUUCCUAUUCCUUUUAUAUAUGACUUGCUGUAACCGUCACCAAUAUGUAACUGCUGCUGAUUAAUUAGUGGUUGAAACCGUCUCUUUUUCCUUCAAUUUUUGACAUCACAUUGUUCUUUACUCUUGUUUCAUGUUUCCUAAGAUGACGGUUACAUCCACUUUCCACUAAAACCUAUAGCAAUGUUGUCAAAUUCGGAUCGGAUAGUGACUUGAUUAAACUAUUGAAUUAGAGAUCAACUGGUCGGAUCGAUCGGACUGUUCUAAAAAAUUUGCUAGCAUCAACUUUAUAUUAUAAUUAUUUUAUAUUUUUAUAAGUUUCAAAAAUAUUAAAAUUAAGUUCUUGGCUAUAUUCAACCAACCAUAUAACAUGUUCCAAAAAUAUUAGACUUGCAAUCAAAUAUACACCUAAAAUUUAUAUAUAAAAAUGUAAAUGCACGGCUAAAAUAUGUCAAUUUUCCAAAACUACUUGAAAAACUAAAUGAAGACAAAUUAAUGCAAGUUAGGAUCACUAAUGCUAAAUUAAUAAAAUGAUAGAAAUGAAAACUUCUUGAUUAAAGAUCAUUUAGGGAAACGAGUGAUUUUCGUGUUAAUACUAAGUGGGUGGCAGCUUCUUAUUUCUAUUAAUAAGUGAAAAUUUUACAAUUUAGGUAAUUCAAAUUAUGUUCAGAAAAAACAAGAAAGAAAAGUUUGAGAACCAGGUCAACUUGUCGAACCAGGUCAUUGGUUUAACUAGUUUUUUGAAGGUUUUGACUACAUUUGGACCAAAUCGGUUUUAUGCUACAAAUCAUCUCAACAAAGAGGGUAGUUCAUGGUUGGAUCGGUCGACCGACUAAUCCAAUUCAGGUUUAACAACACUGACAUAUAGUGCAUGAAAUGCAACUACUCUUCUACUUUUAGUUUACCUUUAAGAUGUCGUUGAAGUGUUAAAUUUUUGAAAAAAAAAAUAAAGUCAAUAAGUGAAAGUAUAUAAAUACAAUUUUAUGAGAGAGAAUAAUAAUUGUUAGUAUGUAUAUUUACAUAUUAGAUUAGGUGUUAUUUAAGUGUACUAAAAGUAUCUACUGAAUAACCGUUAAAAAAAAACCUCUUUAAUUUUAUAAAAUUUAUAGUCUUCUUGGACUCACGAAUUGGAGUGCUUGUGAAGUAAAAUGUGAAAAGCUUGGAUAAGAUUGACUGAACUAUAUAGUCAAAUUAUCAGGAGCUUGGUCUUAAUUCAUAAAUUCUCGCAAACAAUUUUCUCAUAUCCUAACAUUAACCUAAUAUAGAUUCUUUAAAAGUCAAUGGAUAAAUAAGUGAAUUAAUAAUCAUGCAUACAGGUGUCAAAAUGGAUGAUUUGGGCGGGUUUGGGUUGUGUAAAAUGGGUAAUGGGUAUAAGUGAAUCUGACAGGCGUCAAACCUGUGCAAUAAUAAAUACCUGCUUAAAUAAAAUACAAAUUCUGUAUAUAGCGGUAAGCAGGGUCGAAUCCACAGGGACUGGAGAUAAUUUAAUUUCUUCUCAAAUUCCAGAUAUGGGGGGUUUGAAAAUGAUAGUAACUAAAUUACUUGGAAUAAAUUAAUUAAAAUAAAAUAACUACAACUCAAAUAACUAAUUAUCACAAUAAAAAUAAUAAUGGACGAACUCUAGCCAAGAGACAACUUCAGAGAUGGUUCACUUAAUUCGAUCACAGAUGCAAGGAUUAUUCCAGUUACUAUCUGAUAAAUUAGUUAUAGUUGUCAUACACGCGAUAAACAACCAACUCUUCCUCAAUUUGUCGAUAGCCAAGGUACGACCGUUGACUAUUUCUCUAAUCAGGAAAUAACCCUAAGUACGACCAUAGAAGUUCAAUUCCCUAAUUGCAUGAAUAAUUAGAAAAGCCUAAUUCUAACCAAUCAACACGCUACGAGGGUCUCUUUAAGUUAGCCUGUCUAUCUCCCUGACACAAAUCCAAUCAUGCCAGUUGCCACCAGUUUAGAAUAAUUAAACAAUUACGGAUUUAACUACCCUAAUUGGCUUCAGGUUAUUGAAUUAAUCUAGAAUCCGGGCCCUGGAUAAUCGAAUAAUAAAACAACCAUAUGAACAUAAAGCAGAAGAUAGACAAAUACCAGUGAAUAAUGGGAAUAAAUAAAAACUACUUCGAUCUCACAAAUUUAGUAGAACCAAAUCCUCCGUUGUUCUUGACUAGACAAAUUUAGCCACGCCUCAUGAGAAAAUCUUCAAGUAAUUUAAUUGAGGUCCAGGCCAUCAAAGGAAAGAAUAAAACUAAACUAUGCUAAAAACUAAGCUAAAACUAUUGAUUGAUAAGAGUUCUAUGUAUGUUUGUCUCAUUUUUAAAGCCAACAAUGACUAAAGCUUCUUAUCCCUGUGGUCCCCUGCUGAAAUUGAGAAUCAACCCAAAAGUGGGACUCUAUCGAAUUCCUUGCUUUUAGUUUCCUAUUGCCCGUAGGACUCCAAUCUCCUAAUCAGCAAAGGAAAUGCAAUCUCUUUGUAGUACCAUGUGGGCCCGAUUGUUUGAAAUCCUAAUUAUCUCCAAAAAGUCCCUCAUUUUUGUAGUUUUCUGUUUCACUUCCUGAAAUUGAGUCAAAUACCAAAUAUAAGUAAAUAUUAAUAAUUAAAACAAUAUUUGGCAAGGAUAAAGGGGAAAAUUAACAAUAAAAUAACCAGUAAUUAACACCCUAUCAGAAUCAACCCAUUUAUACCCAUUUAAUUAGAUGGGUAUAAAUGGAUAAAUUAAAAAAUGAAUUGGGUAACCCAAUUACCCAUUUAUUUUAAUUUUUUAUAAUCUCAUUUAAAUUCAUUUGUGCAAACUAAGUUAUCAAUUUAUACCGCUCUUUGUACCCAUCAUUAGUUUUAAAUAUUUACUUAUAAUACUCAAUAAGCCUAAUUACCAAUUUUUUUUCAUUUAUACUCUAUGUCACAAAAUUAUAUAUUAUUUAAUAAUUGAAUAAUAAGAAUAUAAAAAUUUGAACUAAGUACUAUAAAAGUUAAUAUAAAAACUUAAUCCAAAAAAAUUUUGAACCCCUAACAUUUUUUCCAUAUAUAAUUUAAAAUUGCAUUUUAGAAAGAUAAGAAAAGAGGCUAAAACUUAUCAUAAAUUGGUAAUGCUGAAAAAUGAGCAAGUUAACAAACUAAGAGAAAAUAAAAUAAAAUAAUAAAAUAAAUAAAUAAUAAUAAUAAUGAAACAAAAGUAGUUAACUUUCAUGGUAAAAUGAAAAAUCUGAAAAAAAAAUGGAUGGGGGAAGAGAAUUAUAAAUGGGUUAAUUGGAUUUGAUGGGUUAUCCAAUAAUAUCAAUUUAUUAAAUGGGUAUUAUUGGGUAACCCAUUUAUACCCAUAUACAAAAAUUUAAGAUACCCAUACCCAUCUAUUCAUUUUAUGGGCAGGUAUGGGUAAAUUUAGUUAAGUGGGUUGGUUUGCCACCUAUAAUCAUGCACAUAUUUUUCACCGAUCACAAAAAAAAAAAAGGUCCCUUUCCCGCUACAUAAUUAAAGAGAGGUAAUUACGGUAGCUUCCUCCUCUUGCUGCCAUGGCAAGCUUGGCAUUGGCAACUUUUUUUUUUUGAGGUUGACUUUGUGGGCCAAUUUUAUUCAAAGUUAAAGUAAUUAAUUAUUUGGUUAGUGAACAAAUCGAACCAAUAAGUUUUACCAGUAUUCAUCGUUGGAUCAAAUCUAUCAUCAAAAUGCAUCUAACUCAAAACUAGUGUUUAAAAACAUAACAACAAAAGGUAUGUCGUUGAUUGAUACAAAAUUCAUCUCUAUUUUUUAACGAAAAAAUAAUUACUAGAAAAUAUAUCAAAAAAGCUGGAGACACUUUAUCAAUUAGAAAUAGGGAUCAUUUUAGAAACCUCUCUUGAGAUUUCUAACAAUUUCAUUGAACUCUCUUAAGAUUUUAAAAAUUACACCUACCUCCUUUGUCCACCUAAAAUGAUAAUAUUUGCUUUGCCAUUUUAAUAAAAUUCCUUUAUUGGGUAUGCAUAUACAAGGAAUGAAAUUUAUAAUUAUUUUUUCUUUUUCUCUUCUUUUUCUUCUUUUUUUAUAUUUAAUGAGUAAAAAUACAAAAAUAUAAACUAUAAAUAUUGACCCUAGUUACUAUUCUUACUAAAUGUUGAAUUGGUGACCUUUCAUUUUUUGACAACUUUGAAUCUGAUCCAAUCUUUUAGUUGAUCUUCGUUUUUUGUGGUAUUAAAAGGCAACAAUAACUUAAAAAGAUAUUGUCCAAAACUACUACUAAAGAAAUUGCAGUGGUAAGCUGUAGAAACUCUUGUAAUCUCAUAUUUUGGAGAUCCUGUAUAGUAUAUGCAACUUUUAAUUUAAGAGCUUACAAUUUUAAUUUAGGAGAAUUUCAUACUGCUAGAAAAGGCAAUGAAUUGCAUAAAACAUAACAACACUAAAUCUCUAAACUAUAUCCUAAGUAAAAUUGUUGCUCUAGUAGCACAAAAAAAUAAAUAUGAAGAAUAAAAAUUAAUUGAAUAAGAAAAAUACAAGUAUAGAAGGUUUAGACACGAGUAUCUUGCUUUGUUUAGAGUUAUUCAAACCUUUGUUUGUAAAUCAAGCCCGGCCGGUAUAACAAAUAUCUCUAAAUUGUUACCUCCAAAAUAUGAGAGCCUAAUCAAACACUCAUCAUCCUUGAAAAGUAUAAACUUAUGUCAAAUCCACUACGCAUGUAUUUGCAUGAAUAUCUACGUGUUCCCUACUCUCAUAACUAUAGUCGAAGAAAAUCAACUGCCAAUCAAUAAUAUUACGCCAUCAUUAAUUAAGCAUGGGGAAAAAAAUGGAUGCAUGGUUUACAUGUCUCCUUCAAGCUUUUUUUUUUUUAAUUAAAAUUGAGUUGAAAGAUGAACCAAACUAGAGGUGACAAAAUAAAUAUAUAGAUCAUAAUUGAUUUUAUAUCAAUGGACCAUAGAUUAAAUGGUCCAAUCCGCUCAAAUCCAUAUAAUAAAUGGUUAUAUGUGAAUUGGAUCCAAAUGUCUAAUUAUUCAUUUAAACUCCAUUUAACUAACACACAUCUAAUUGCUUUAACUAACACGCAGCUUACAUUGACACUACUAAGUUAAUAGAAUGUGUUUUGAUAACUAAGAAGAAUAAAAACAGAAAAAAUGGACAAAGAAAAUAAAUAAAGCAUGUAAAAAGUUGUAAAAGGCUGAUUGAGAAGAAAUCUUUGUCCGCGUGACUGGGAAGAAUGUGAACGAUGUCUUGGAAAAGUUUCAGCUCCUCCGCCACAUUGGCUGCUGCUGAGUUGCUAAGUUGCUGCCUCUCAUUACCGUCACUGUUAUGGCAGCAAUCAAGUUUAUGUAAAGCACUUUUCUUUUCUUUUCUUUUUUUAAAAAAAAAUUACUCAUCCUCUCUUUGUUUCGUUUAAAACACUUUAAUUCGACUUCAAAGUUUGAAACUGGAGACGAGGGCAGUCUUCUGAGAUCUGGGUUUUUAUGUCAAAUUUUUUCUUUUAUUUGUCAAGUUUUUUUUUUCUUAAUCACUUACUGCGAGGUGGGAGAUUCACUCAGCGUCAUAAUAAACAUUUAGUACUACUGAAAAAUGGUGGGUUUUCUCAUUACCUUUUUAAAUGGAUUUAGAUGGAUUAUGUGGAUUAUCCGUUAAAAUUGUUGAGCCAAUUGGUUUUUCUUGAAUGUCCGUUAAUAUCAGAGGCGAAACCCUCUGAUAUGGGGUCAAAUUUUAGUACAGUAAACCCUUUUUUUUGGCAGUACAUUAAAACUUUUACAAAGCACAUCUCCGUUUUAAUGGUAAGUUAAGCAUGCACUAAAAAUAAUAGAUCUUCAAAACGUUCAUAAUUGUACCUUACAAGUACUCAUCUUCUGAAAAAUGUUGCAAAAUCAAUGCAUUAUCAAUUUUGUUAAAACAACUUUUUCAAUGUAAGUAAUUGAAACUUUUAAAUAAUCUAUGAACUACCAUCAACUUGAUUUUUACGAGUUUCUUUUAAGAAUGGAAACUUUGAAGUUUGAAAGAACUAGUUUUUCCACUCCACUCAAGAAAGGUCAUCCCUUGUUUUUAAAAACUUUAGAAGAAUUUAUUCUUGAAAUAACUUUCAUAAAUAACUUGAAACAAAUUCAAAAUUCUUGUGAUGGCAAAAUUUAUGAAUUUUCAAUUAUUUAGGGUCAAUAUAUAUAGAAAAGAAAAUUUGUUAAAAUUUAGUGGGGUCAAAUAAGAUGCAAUAUUAAAAUUUUCUAAAUUUCCUAAGCCUAAAAGUUAACUUUUUCAAAGUUAAGUGGGUCAAUUGAUUCCACUUACUUUCAUGUGGCUCCACCACUGGUUAAUAUCCAUCUAGAUUUGUUUAAUGAUCCAAAACAUUUAAGUGAGGUGGAUAUGUAUGGUUAAAUGGAUAUGAAUUGAAGCUGCCACUUCUAAAUCAAACUGGUUAAUGCUUGAAGGGAGUUCGAUUUGGUAAAGGCUUAUUCGAAUUUGGUUCGUCAACUAAUCAAUCUAAAUUUGAAUAGUAUUUUAUGUUCGAUAAUGCUCAAAUUUGAUAAAAAUCUCAUUCAAAUUCAGUUCGGCAACUAAACAAGCUAAUUUGAAAAAAUUUUAAAUUCGUUAAAAUAAUCAAACAAUUUUAAACACUAAGGUGUUCAGUUCAAUUAGGCUCGUUUACAUCCCUAACCAAAAGAAAAAAAAUUUUAUGAUACCGGAUAAAAAAAUCUACGCAUGAUGUUCCACGGAAAAUAACAGGGAUUGUAUACUCCCAAGUCAUAUAAAUUUUGUCAUCUUGUGGAAUAAACCAGAAAUAUUUGACUGUAAACAGAUUACUUACGGAUUGUAUACUCCCAAGUCAUAUAAAUUUUGUCAUCUUGUUGAAUAAACCAGAAAUAUUUGACUGUAAACAGAUUACUUACGUUUGAUAAUUGUUUUGAUCUGUAAACAUCACCAACAGCGUAUGGAGAAAAUAUGGACUACAGGGGACAUGAUCCGAGAAUGAUGAUCGUGGGCAUGCAAUCUCUGAAUAUUCAAAUGUCAAAAAGCACUUACUGAAGUAAUGCAGUCUUAGAAAUUAUGCUAAAUAUUAUUGGAAAAAUGGCCAAUUUAUUCCUUCAACUUUUUAACUUAAGGCGAUUUGAUCCUUCCUCUUUUAUUUAGGUAAUUUUAGUCCUUUAACUAAAAUUAGUAACCAAUUUCAUCCUUUUGCAGUGUUGCCGCCAGUAAAACUCUUUUCGGCACAAAAGUCACCAUCAAUUAAGGCAAUAUAGGAAUUACGAAAUAGGGAUCAUUUUUAAAACAAUGAAUGCAAAAUAUUUUUUGUUACAUUGGGGAGAAAACCAAUUCUCCAUUAAUUUGGGGAGUAAAACAAAAGGUGCAAUAAACCAAAUUGUUCUUCUUCUCCACCUCUGGCUGAUGCUGAAGCCCCCACAAAACUGCAAAAGCUAGCCCACCAGUGGAAUUCCAAACCCAAAUCCCCAAAACCUGACUCAAAACUGCUAAUUCAUUUUAUUUUUUGGAACCCCAAUACAAACUCACUCGUCAAGUCUCAUUUCCCCAGCAAAGUCUACUACUGGCAUUAGAGUUAAAUUGUCGAUAGGGGCUAUGCAGCAGGAGGGGAUGGAUAAGGAUGUAAAGAGGUCGAAGAAAAAGUCUGAAUUGUAAGCCUAAAGUUCAAAGUGAAAAUGCAAUUUAAAAUGAUGAUUUAAGGAAGUUAUUUUCCAAGCUUUGAUGCAACGAUGAUGAGGUAGCUAUCGACAAGGGAAUGCUUAGAAAACAGCUAAUCCAUUUACUAAUUUGAAUACUUUUCUUGAGUUUAUCAAGAAAAUUUUAUAUGUUGAUAAGUCUUAAUUGUAAACUAAAAUUACAAGACACAUGAUGAUGUACAAAAACAAUGUUAAUGAAGGUUUCUUUUUAAGAAAAAAAAAAGACAUAUGGUGAUUGGAAGUUUGGCAGGAGCUAACCGAGGAAGAAGAAUUAGAGAUGCAGCUGCUUAUUGAAGAAGAUGAAAUGUUUUCAGCUUUACUCCUUAGCAUUUUUCUGAUUUUUUGUUUUGACCUUUAACUUGCAGUUCCUAUAUUGCCCUUAAUUUGGUGGUGAUUUUUGUGUCAAAAAGUAGUACCGCCACAAAAGAAUGAAAUUGGCUACUAAAUUUAAGUUGAAGGACUAAAAACAUCUAAAUAAAAAAUGAAGGAUGAAAUUGAUUUAAGUAAAACAGUUUGAGGAUUAAAUUGGUCAUUUUCCCAAUAUUAUUCUACAGGAAAAUGGAAAAUUUUGUGAACUUAUUCAAUGAUGAUCAUGUUAUAUUCUCCGCAUUUAAUUAUUUAAUAUUAGUGUUCACAUCAUAAAAUCGCAAAAUGGCCCAGCCAAAUCUCUCUGAAAAGGUCUGUCAAGUAAAAUAUAUAUAUAUGAAGUCCUUUUCAUAACACAAAUAGCCAUAGACUUUCUCUCCUUUUUUCUUUUUUUACGUAAACAUAGCUUUUUUGUUGAUAUUCAAGAAAUUGUACACCUUGGUAAGAAACCAAAAUCCAUUUUCUAGCCAGGGAAAAAACACAAAAAAGGUUAUACACAACUCUCUACUCCUUAUCUAUACAGGAUCAAUGAAUAAAAAUACCUUGAUCGAAAUUCCGAGCUUUAGACACUUCCCAAUUUUUAAGAGCCCUAGUCUACACUAGGAUUUCACAAUUCUCAUGGCUUUUUUUUUUUUUUUUUUGUGAUAUCAUGCCGUGCCGUGAGAACAUCUUUUUCUUUUUCUUUGUUGUUAGUACAAAAGUCACGUAGCGAAAAUAACAUUAAAAAUCUUACAAAUAAGAAAGGCACAGGAGAAAACAAAAUAUUCUGUUUCAAUUUACUAAUUUCCCUUAACUACAAACUUAGGACUCCAAAUCCUUAAAAAGAGAAAUAUAACCCCAAAUCCUAUUCUAAUUAUAAUAUCAAAAUAUGACUCAACUCUAUAACCUAAACCAACUGUGACACCAAAUUUAAUACAGUUAUCAAAUAACAAAUCAAUUUAUAAAACUAUUAAGAUUCUAAAUAUGCUUUGUUAAAAUAUUUCAAAAAUGCUUCCUUUAAACCAAACUCUUGAUUUUGUUAUCUCCAAUGCCAUUACGAGUUUCAAUCGCUUUUGCAACCACUGUAGCAGUAUAACUCAAGUGAAACUCCAAUUUGUAGCUGAUUCCUAUCUGCAUAUUUGCAUGUGGAAGUGGACUAUCUGCAUACAAUUUUGCUGCUAAUUCUCCUCGAUCAAAAAAGUCAUCCAUAUUGACCUAUUCGCAAUUAGAGCCACCAUAUUUCCUUGAUUAACAAUCCGCAUAACUUUCAACUAAUAAAUCAUACUAUUCAUAAUCUUCUUUAUGGUAAUAAUUUCCACCAAUAACAAAUUCUCUCUCCAUGGCAAUUCAAAACAAUUUACGUACAUUCACAAAAUUUUUCUUCUCUGCUUGAAUUUCUUGGUUUCCUUGGCAUCAGAUUUGAUCAAACAGCACUGUAAUAAUCAACGAUCUGGCUGGACCUUUUUCCUUUGAUCACUAUACAAUACCAACAAUCUUAAUAGAGUCCCUCUGGACUUUUUUUAGACCUCUAUUCAAUUAGGGCCAUUUUUUUCUAAUUCCAAUCAAUGAAUGACUACUCCAAGACCAACUCUUGUGGUCCAAUUUUUCAAUAUACGAGUACUUUAUCACAAUCUCUGUACCCUUGGCACAAGUUUCUCUAUCACAAAUUCUGCACACCCUUCAUGCACCAUAGAUACUUCAAGAUCAAACUCGUGAACUUAAGGUUUUGAUACCACUUGUUAGGAUAAAAGAUCACGCAGUGGAAGCAACACUAAAAUCUUAUAAAUAAGAAAGGCAUGGGAGGAAACAAAAUAUUUUGCUUCAAUUCACUAAUUUUCCUCAACUACAAAUUUAAAACUCCAAGUCUUUAAACAGAGAAAUAUAACCACAAAUUCUAUUCUAAUUAUAAUAUCAAAACAUGACUCAACUCUAUUUUCUAAAUCAACUAUGACACCAAAUCUAAUGUAGUUACCAAAUAAUAAAUCAAUUUUUAAAACUAUUAAGAUUCUAAAUAUGUUUGAUUUAAAAUAUGUCAACAUUUGUGAUAUGAAAUCCUCCUCCUCCUCCUCCUUCUUCUUCUUGCACAUUUUUUAACAAAAAUAUAAAACAAAAAAAGAGAGGAUGUGUAACUACUGGCUUGAACAAGUGUAUUCAAAAGUUACAUGAAAUAGAAUAAGAAUUGUAUAUUCUCAGUCAUAUAAAUUUUGUCAUCUUGUUGAAGAAAUUUAAAAUCAUUGAUUGUACACAGACUAGCUGGACAAUUGGUUACAUACAAAUAAUUGGGAGGCAUACAAAUAAUUGGGAGACAAUGUGACUUAACAAGGGCCCUGAUCACGGGCAUUCUAAAUCUGAAUGCUCAAAUGUCACACGCAGUAGCACUCCAGCAUCUGCUGCAGUUAUGCAGUACUACGUAAUUAUAUUAAAUGUGAUUCCUUUUUUCUUAAAAUUAUUAUGACUUCUUUUGUUUUUUUUUUGGGUGAUAUCAUGUGGUGUUAUUAGGGAUGGCAACGGGGCGGGGUUGGGGCAUGGGACCCCUCCCCCAUUCCCCGCCCCGCUGCCUGCAAACUCCCCCCGCCCUGCCCCACCCCUGUCCCCCGCUUCUCCCGUCCCCCGCUCCCCCCGUCCCGUCCCCGCCCCGCCUUAAUAAAAAUUUGUUAUAUAAUUUUAUUAUAGUUAAAUUUUAGCAAAUGAUCAAGUACUAAGAUAUCAACACAUCAUCAAAUUAUUAUUCAUUGUAAUUUUACAAUUGAAACUUAUAAAAACAAUCAAAUAAAAAUUAUUUGAAUACAAUCUAACAUGAUGAAAUAAAUAUAACUAAAAUAGUUAAGUUUUCACUUUUGGCACAAAUACAAUCACUAAUUCAUUAUUGUGCUUGUGCUUUUUUUAAGAAAAAAAGUUAUUGUAUUAAGUGUAAUUAAGGAUUUAGUAUAAAUGUAUUAGUAAAUUUAGUAUAACCAAUUAAUAAUUUGUAUUAGUACACAUAUAUAAUUAUUAGUAUAAUUAAUAAUAUCAAUUAUAUUAUAUAUACUAAUAGACAUUAUAUAAUACAUAUAACUAAUAAUAUCAUUAUCAUAAGUUUGUAAUUAAUUAAAUUAUAUACAUAUAUAGUUUAUAUAUUUAUUUUUUUAAAGCGGGUGGCGGGGCGGGGGAUGGGGCUGGGGUACACUCCCCCGCCCCCCGCCCCGUUUCUAAGCGGGGGGAAAAAAGUUCCCCCCACCCCCGCCCCAACCCCCUCCCCAUUAGCCCCCCGCGGCGCGGGUGUCGCGGGCACCAUUGCCAUCCCUAGGUGUUAUCAGCAUCAUUGGUUAAUUUUAUUAGCUUUAAGGUUAUCAUUUGGCAUUAGCAUAAACGUAAGUAGUAAGAAUGUUUUUGAAAUAAUUGGGUGCAAUCUGCUACUAGUAUGAAUUCAUGAGUGGAUAAGGAUAAGUUCAGAAUAUUCUUUACACUCAAAACUGGGUAUCGGAAAAAGUCAAGGACAAAAAGUUAAUAUCCUCAUAUUCUUCUUCGACUGCUCAACAUGGUCCAAGUCUAUGCACGUGAAUAAAGACGAAAAAAUCAAAUUUAAGUAAUAUCCGGAACUGUUUGCAAUCUUCUUAAUCAGAUCCAAACCCAAAUCCAAGUCUAAAUCAGAAUCUAUCCAAAGCCAUGACUGUGUGUGUAUCACUAAAUUUGUAAAUUAAUCUAAUAUUCUAUGGUCAUUAGAUCAAACACAGUAAGACUUUAUCACCAUUAGAUUAAAGGAUACUCUCUUAACCUAACAAAACAUCACUUAAUCCUACCUUUAUAUUGCAUUCAACUUCUUGAAUGUUAAUUUUAUUAUUUGAAAACAAAAAUUGGAUAAUAUUCAUAUUAUUUUUGAACUCUAUAUAUUUUUAAAAUAUUUUCACUUAAAUUCUUUGUUGUAUGUUCAAAAAAAAUCCACGGAUACCCAUUGGAUAUCCAAAUUCAUGAGGGACUGGAUCUAAGUUUGCUUUUUAGACCCAUAAGGGUUUGGAUCUAACUAAAAUUAACGAGUCUGAAUUUGGAUAAAAAAGAUCUAACAUAGAUUCUACCUAUUGAUAUGUCUAGCUCCAACUAUCUGUUAUAGCUUAAGCCUACAAAGAGAAGCAAGUGCCUCCUAUAGAAUAUGGAAUUUGUUAGACAUGUUAUGACAAGGAAUAAAGUAUUUUUUGUUCGUGUAAGUAGGAGAGUUUGAAUUCAAAAUCUCUCAUUUACACUAAUACUUUAUUGUUCAUGUAAGUCGGAGGGUUUGAAUUCGAAACCUCUCAUUUACACCAUCUCCUCCGAACUACCCAACUCAACCCUUCCCCAAUAAGGAAUAAAGUAUAUUUCUUGUUCUCCCAAAGGAAAAAAUGAAAAACGAACAAAAAAAAAAACUAAAGUUUAUGGUUAAUUUGAUUUUAUAUCCUUCCAUUAUACCCAAAUUCUCACAUCUAUGCAUAAACUUAAAAGCGGGAAAAAUUAGUUCCUAAAGUAAUCAAGCCCACUUAAAUAAAAUCUAUCAAACUUUAAUCUCUAAAAUAUGAAAUUUGUCCCACUUUAAUUUUUAAAACAUAAAAUCUAUCACAUUUCCAACAACAAUUUUAUUUAAGCAAAACAUAUUUUAUAAAGUUAAGGACUAAAUUGUCUCACUCUGAAGUAUAGAGACCAAAGUGGGAAUCUGAAUAUGUUCACAGGGUGCAAAGUAAUAUUUAACGGUAACGUGAAUUCUUUUGUUAUCUUUUUGACCAUACUGUCCUUAUCGUCCACCACUUGCUAAUUUGCUGCGAUGUAUGAGUCCUACUGAUUCACGAAAUGCUGAUCUAUGUGGACAGAUAUUUACACAGUAUAUGUGUGGGCAGAUAAUUCAAGAGAACAUGAUGGUCUAGCCUCUGCUACUUUCAUAUGCUCUUUGGCAAUCACCGUCGCUAACCCUUUUGUUGUAUUUGCAUGUGGUAGCAACCGAUUGAUGAGGAAGGAAAGAGGGAAAGUGUGGACUAAAGAUGAAAAUUUUGGAGGAAAGAAAUUUAUUCAAUCGUAACCAAAGUGGAAACUUCUGCCAUGGAAUUCAAUUGUAUCGUGAGAACUGAGAAGUAAAUAAGAAGAAGGCAGGUAAUUUAAAGAGACAGGUAACUUAAAGAACUGAUAACGUCCACUGUUUUAUUUCCAACUACGUGACAGGCUUUUCUUCCUGCAGUUUGAAUAUAAGAUAGGUUUGAAACAUGACCAAAUUUUAGCAUUUGAGUCAAAUUUCAUAUCCUUGUUUCUAAAUUACAAGUUUGAAGGUCUUUUUUAUACGCGCUUAUGCAAAUUUCAGUCUGGUCAAAAUGUUGCCAUUUUUUUUAGUCAAAAUUUUUAGUCAAAAUAUUUUGUGGUUGAACAAGAUAUCUUACACUAAUUGAGGGUGCAUUCAAGUCAUCUAAUCACAUGAAACAAGCAAACAUGGAAAGUAAAUAAUAUCAUGCAAAUUGCAACACAUUCAAAUAUUCAAUGAAAUUAUAGAUGAUAAAAAUAAUUUUCGGCCUCCCACAUAAUCGAUCUAAUUAUGCUUCUAAUUCUAAUCAUACUGAGACUACCUAGCCAUACUUAUACCAAGAAUGGCCCACAUUCACAACAAUUUUAUUAAUGUGGACAAUAGGAGGAGUGACUGUCAAUUUUUUAACCACGGUAGUGGCACUCUUGGAGAGCUCACCAACUUUGACUCUCACCACUUCCUUUGGUGAAAAUGACAACGCCAUACAUGGUUGCUGCGGCAACCACACAAAUUGCCAUAGCCCCAAAUAAGUGCGGUAUAGAUUUUUUCCCAGUUGAAUAAGUACAGUUUAGAUUUGUCCUCUUGUACUAUUACUUGAAAGAAUAAUAUGUUGGGUAUAAAAUACAAAUGAUUGCAUCGCAAGUAAGUGUAUUUAAACCUGGUCAUAUGCCACCUGGGAGAACCACAUCACAUGAACUAUUAGAGCCUCAACUCACAAAGAUGGAAAUAGCCUUAGGGAUGUGGAUAGCAAAUGUGGUGGGAAUCAUAACACUACUAGGGUGGGGGUUGUGGUGGUGGAAUUAUUUUCGAUUUGCUCUACCGGUUACUUUCCAGCGUUUGAGAGGCAGAACCACGAUGAAGCUUCCUCCUGGCCACAUGGGGAUUCCAUUUUUCGGAGAAAUGCUUCAUUUUCUUUGGUAUUUUAAGGUUAUUCGUCGGCCUGAUGACUUCAUUAACAAUAAAAGAGACAAGUAAGGUUUUUCUCUGUGCUUGAGUUUUAUUCCUUUCUUGUUCCAUUUUAUUACUAGUAACAUAAGUUGCACAAUUGUCCAACUUAUUGCUACAUACACGGCAGCCAUUGGCCCAGGUUCAUGGCAUUUGGCUGUAGCAAUUUCUGCAACAUCUUGUAGACAAUCGCAAGUUUACUUGUUCAAGUGCAGGUGCUCCACAUGUUAGUUAUGUGUCUUUUGAUGAAUUGAACUUAAAAAAGGAUCAAUCUCACUAUCAAAUUCUUGUAGUGUAAAUGAAAUUUGGAAUAUGAAACGAAUGCUACAAUAAUAGCUAACAACUAAUAUUAUGAUGGAUCUAUGAUAUUCAUUUUAAUUGAAGAGCAUGGUUUAAAAUUAUCCUCAAUAUUUUCAAACCCAGAAAGGUGAAUGUUGUAGACAUGUAUUGAUGGAUGGAUUAUUUUCUGCAAGAAAACAUAUUUCUCCUAAAACAUUUCAUAAACAAUAGCAUUUUUCUUAAGUUUUCAGGUCAUGACACGUUUCUUCCCUUAAUACAGUAUAAAAGAAGAGUUUAUAUGCAGUCUAAUUAAAUCACAUAAAAAUCCCGAAUUCUUCAACUUUAUCAGCUGAUGGUGCUUUAUUGUAAACAUUUUCACUCGAAAAAGUAAUGGAGACUAGGAAUUGGAGCUAAAAGUUUACCAGAAAUUGCAACAUUGCAGUCUAAUCAAAUCGCAUAAAAAUUCAUACUGCCCUCAACUUCAUUAUUUUUGUCAACUUCAAGAAACCUGACUAUUGACUUUACAAACCUAAAUCCACAGUACACCUCAAAAGCCAUGGUAACUAGUGAGGGUACUGAGGAGACUUAUAAACCCAACACCCAAACCCCCCCCAAGCGAUGUGGGAUAGAAACCCCACAGGUUGCCCCGCUGCUAAGACCUAACUAGACCCCAAGCCCCCCAAGCCCUCAACUUCAUUAGCUGAUGGUGUUUUGUGGUAAAGAUUUUCACUCAACAUGUCAUUUAGCAUGCUUGAAAACUCUCUACAAUCAUAAAUUUCUAAUCAAAUCAACAAUAAAUGUGAAGGACUAGGACAGGAUAACUUAUAAAUUUGAUGGGAGCUACUGCUGUAAUUUUGCCUACAAAUAGGCAGGUAAAGGUGAUGUCAUGCCACUCUAAAACAAAGUUAUCGAACCCGGUCUGUCUAAGCAGUUCAAGCAGCUAAUCCGGUGAACUGGCUAUUUAACUAGGUUGGAUUGAUAGUUGGAGAGGAUAAUAAAGAUUUCUAUUGAGAAGUCAUUAACCCGUCGCUUCAAUUGGUGAACACCGAAGCUUAAUGGAUUUAAUCACCAGUUCAAUAAUUAUAUUUUCUUAACAAUUAUAUUAUUUCAUUAUAUUAUGACCCACUAGUUCAACCAAUUAACUUGUGAUUAAACCCUUGAACCGAUCUACUUACCAGGCUGAGGACUAGGCCGGAUUUAAUUAUUAUGCUCUAACAUGUUCCGAAAUAAUGAAUUGAAUAAGUUUUAGCGUUUGAAUAGAUGAAGAUCAUAAUUAUUUUAUGCCCCAAAAAUAUAUUUGAGUUAUUGGUGCCAAGAGAAUUGAUUAAACAAACUAUAUUCAUUUUGUCAAAAUUGAUGUUGCCUAACCUAUUUUGAGAAAUUGAUGUUGUCACCGUGUGCUCAUGUCAAAUCCACAAGUUGUCGAUUAAGUGGGAGGUGAAUUGACAUUUCUUCUACCUAGCACAGUAUUUUGACUUGUUGGUUACAAAUUGUUAAACAAUAAGCUUUCCCAAAAAAAAAAAAAAAAAAAGCUACAAAUUGACUUCAUCAGCUGUAGAAUAAAACUAAUUAGAACUAACAUGGUGCUUCCGAAUUAAUCAUUUAAAUCAGAUAUGGUGAUGGAGAAGGAUUAUACAAGAGCCAUCUCUUUGGUUCACCCUCUAUAAUUGCAUCCUCUCCAUCAGCUAACAAAUUCAUCCUUCAAUCGGAUGCAAACUUUGGCAUGGGAUGGCCUGCCACUCAAAUUAUAGGCAACAAUUCCCUCCUUUUCCUUCAAGGAUCAUCACAUGCAAGGAUUAGAGGCUUAGUUGUGAAGAUCAUUAAUCAACCUGAUGCUCUCCGCAAGAUAGCCAUUAUGGUCCAACCAAGAAUAGUUGCAGCCCUUCGACUAUGGUCAGAGAAAGGGAGAAUUGUAGCAUUGCAAGAAGCUAAGAAGGUAGACUAAUAUACGUAUAAAAAAUCUAGAUCUAUAUAAAAUUUUCUUGAUACAAGUUAUCAUACUAAUUUCAACUUUCAUGAAAUCUGUCUAGGCCAUCAUUUUCCUUAUUUUUCAUUAUUUUUUCAUUGUCCUUGAAGGUUACUUUUGAAAAUAUUGGGAAGUACUUUUGCGGGUUCGAGCCAGGACGCCAUUUGGAUACACUUGAUCAGCUAUUUGCGGGUAUGAUCAAAGGAGUUAGAAGUCAACCAAUUAAAAUUCCAGGGACUGCUUAUCAUCACGCCCUCCAGGCUAGCAAAUUCACUCUUAAGCUAAAAUAGUACAAAAAUGAGUAAAUUCCCUUUAUGGGAAGUUUUUAAUUUCUAGAGUUCCAAUUCUUGUAUGAGCUAUACUUGAAUUCCAAUGACUAAUCACAAAUUUUCCAUUCCACAGUGUCGGAAGAAAGUCAUGACAAUUUUGACCAAGGAGAUAAAUAAGAGAAAGUUUGAAGGCAAUGCUGCAAGAGCUGAGUUUGAUUUGUUGGACCAACUCUUGAACCUAAAAGAUGACGAUGGUCACCAAUUACAAGAUGAAGAGGUGCUUGAUAACAUUGUGGGCCUAAUAAUUGCUGGCUACGAAUCCACUUCACUUUCAAUUAUGUGGAUUUUGUAUUAUCUCGCCAAGUACCCUAAUGUACUCAAAAAGCUACGGGUAUAAGUAACUUCCAAACUCUAGCUAGAUGGCAACCAAAGAUAAACUUCUUUACUUGUUCUUGAUUACAUUUAUAUAUGUUUCCUUUUUCAUGACUCUAAAUCGAAUCAACUGUAGGAGGAGCACAUAAAUGUUGGUACAAAUGGUGAUUUCAUAACACGUGAUGGCAUUUUGAAAUUGCAGUACACAAACAAGGUAUAUGUGCACCAAGAUUAUAUGACAGAGAUUAGUUAGGAAAUGCUAAUACUAUUAUUAAUUUGUUAAAGGUUCGUCUAUUUGGUGUCCUCUAAGGUAACAGACUAAGAAGUAGGUCUACAUUUUUUUUUAAAAUGUAGAAGAGUAAAUUUUGUUGAAAAGUGUUGCAAUUAAGGGAAUGAUUAGUAAUUUUAAAGGUUUAAUACUGGCCCCCAAACUUCUUUUUUUUUUUUUUUGUGCUUAGCUAGUUCCUUAAGAACACCAAAUAGAAAAAAGAAAUAAAAAAACAUUUACAGUAAUAUAGUAGUCGUGUGCCUUCUUGAAAAUCUCAUCAUUUGUGGAGGAUGCAGAUGGUGGCGAUUAUGCAUCUUGUUUUAUAGGAACAUAUUUUAUAGAUCCAACUUAUCCCUUUAUCAUAUAGUCAAAAUUUAUAUAUACCAUCAGUUGCUUGACAUGGUACUUUAUUUUUGUUUGAUACCACAUAAAGAAUUAUGUGGCUAAGCAUUCAUAGGCAGAUAGUUACUGUACGUAUUCCUAUGCAUUUUCUUGUGUAUUAUUGCUUCAUUGUCUUAAUUUACUCAUAUUUACAAGCAGGUUGUGGAAGAAACAAUAAGACUAGCCAAUGUAUCAGCAUUUGUUUUCAGGACAGCUAAGAGGGAUGUUGAGUACAGAGGUAAAAGCACUCCAUUUCUUUUAGUAUAUAGAAUAGAAGUACUUAGGAUGCGCAUGUAGGAGGGAUGUAGCUCGUCUUCCUCUGCUUAAAAACUGUUGAAACUCUUUCUUAUAGGAUACAAAAUACCUAAAGGAUGGAAAGUAAUCUGCUGGCUACGAUACAUUCAUACAGAUCCAAAAAAUUUUGAAGAUCCAUUGUGUUUCAAUCCAGAUAGAUGGAACGUAAGCACAAAUAUUUAUUUGCACUUGUAUUGAGAAGACGAAUUUUGGGUUAAACAUUGAUCAACUGUUAGAUAUUUCCUUGAUCAGGAACAACCAAAGCCUGGGACAUUCUUGGUCUUCGGUGGGGGUUCAAAGAUUUGUCCAGGAAAUAUGCUUGCUCGAAUGCAGGUUGCUAUUUUUAUCCACCAUCUGGUUGUAGGAUACAGGUGAAAUUUCUAAGUGUCACUGUACCCUUUUUUUUUUUUUUUUUGGAGUCAAAUCUUUUAUUCACUACUUGUGUAUCUAUUAACAAAUUUAGAUACAUGCUCCAUAUACAAAAUUUGGUAUUCAUAUUGAAAUUGAAAUAAACCAAUAUACAUCCAAAUCCGUCAGUAUAUACACUGAAGGUGUAUGAAAGAUUAAUCUUUUUUUUUUUUUGAGAACACCAACUUUUUCUUUCUUUCCAAAGGAGAAAGAGAAAAGCGUAAAUUCAAAAUCCAGGAAUUAUUAUUUAUUAAGAAAAUAAAGUCUCACAAUAGUGUAACUUUGUUUGCUUAUAUCAUAUUCAUAUACUUAUGAACAAAUUUUCAGGUGGGAACUAGUCAAUGAAGAUGCAGAAAUGAGUUAUCUCCCACAUCCAAGACCAAUUGAUGGGGUUGAGAUUAACAUAAGCAGAACCUAAUAGCAAAAGAAGCCCGCUGUUCUAUUUUGUGCUUCAUGAUCUUGUUUGGAGUUUUCAGCCUUAAUAAGUCUCUUUUAAGAAGUCAUCACGUUUGCAGGCCCUUUUCUUCUUCUUUCUUUUUUCUUUUUCGGUACAUUUUCUGUUGAUCUAGCAAAAUCAUAGUGUAAUAACUACUGGUAACAAGUUUGAAACUUAUUCAUCUAAUUUAUGGUAUAUCUAUGUAAUAAGUUUGUUAAGUUGAUUGUCCAAAGUAAAUGUUUAGUUAGAAAAUUAUUGGUACAAGUGUUUAGACAACAAGAGUUUGAGGACAUAUGUGCGCCAAGUUGCUUUUAAUGGAUAUGUGGAUCUACUACUGCUAUGCUUAAGGCAUUUUAGCUAAUGUAAUAUCCCUUUUAGCGUCUUCAAUGUGCCUUAUCAUUUCCUCCAUCAUAGAUAACUGGUGCAUGAUUGAGUCAAAUAAUGUAGCCAUUCAUUCCUUCAUACUUAAGUUAUACUGCUGCAUACAUGGGUUUACAUUAGUUUAUGAUCGAUUCCAACUGGCAUAGCUUUCUGGUUUGAAUUGCCUAUCACUAAAAAAGGCAUAAUACAGUCGAUACAAUGUUGCAGUAGAUUUAAAACAUAGCAACACUAAAUCUCUAAACUAUUUCCUAAUUAAAAUUGUUGCUCUAGCAGCACAAAAAAAUAAAUAUGAAGAAUAAAAAUUAAUUGAAUAAGAAAAAUACAAGUAUAGAAGGUUUAGACACGAGUAUCUUGCUUUGUUUAGAGUUAUUCAAACCAUUGUUUGUAAAUCAAGUCCGGCGUAACAAAUAUCUCUACAUUGUCGCCUCCAAAAUAUGAGAGCCUAAUCAAACACUCAUUAUCCUUGAAAAGUAUAAACUUAAGUCAUUAUCCGUGUUCCAACUCUCAUAACUAUAGUCGAAGAAAACCAACUGCCAAUCAAUAAUAUUAUGGCAUCAUUAAUUAAGCAUGGGGAAAAAAAAAAUGGAUGCAUGGUUAACAUGUCAUGGCAAAGACGACUUAUCCCAAGUAUGAGCUAUGAUAUCUCCUUUUUUUCUCUUCACGUUUUUUUUUUUAUCAAAAUAGAGUUAAAAGAUGAACCAAACUAGAGGUGACAAAAUGAAUAUAUAGAUCAUAAUUGAUUUUAUAUAAAUGGACCAUAGAUUAAAUGGUCCAAUCCGCUCAAAUCCAUAUAAUAAAUGGUUAUAUGUGAAUUGGAUCCAAAUGGACAUGAAUGUCUAAUUAUCCAUUUAACUAACACACAUCUAAUUCCUUUAACUAACACGCAGCUUACAUUGACACUACUAAUUUAAUAGAAUGAGUUUUGAUAACUAAGAAGAAUAAAAACAGAAAAAAUGGAAAAAGAAAAUAGAUAAAGCUUGUAAAAAGUUGUAAAAGGCUGAUUGAGAAGAAAUCUUUGUCCGCGUGAGCGGGAGGAGUGUGAACGAUGUCUUGGAAAAGUUUCAGCUCCUCCGCCACAUUGGCUGCUGCUGCUGCUGAGGCCACAUUGGCCUCUCAUUACCGUCACUGUUAUUCUGCACAACUUCGUUGGCCAUUGCCAACGGGCAUCUUUCUGCACACGACGGUGCUAUGGCAGCAAUCAAGUUUAUGUAAAGCACUUUUCUUUUCUUUUCUUUAUUUUUUUUUUUAAAAAUUACUCAUCCUGUCUUUGUUUCGUUUAAAACGUUUUAAUUCGACUUCAAAGCUUGAAACUGGAGACGAGGGCAGUCUUCUGAGUUCUGGGUUUUUAUGUCAAAGUUUUUCUUUUAUUUGUCAAGUUUUUUUUUUUUUCUUAAUCGCUUACUGCGAGAUGGGAGAUUCACUCAGCAUCAUAAUAAACAUUUAGUACUACUGAAAAAUGGUGGGUUUUCUCAUAACCUUUUUAAAUGGAUUUAGAUGGAUUAUCCCUCAAAACUGAUGAGCCAAUUGGUUUUACUUGAAUGUCCGUUAAUAUCAGAGGUGAAGCCAAGACCCCACAGUAAGUGGGGUCAAAUUUUAGUACAGUAAACCCUUUUUUUUUGGCAGCACAUUAAACUUUUACAAAGCAAAUAUCAAAAUUAUAUAUAUAUAUCUAUAUAUAAAGCAAGUUUCAUUAAUAUAUUGUAGAAAAUUGUCCUGCAUAAUUUGAUUUACAUCUCCGUUUUAAUGGUAAGUUAAACAUGCACUAAAAAUAAUAGAUCUUCAAAACGUUCAUAAUUGUAUCUUAAAAGUACUCAUCUUCUAAAAAUGUUGCAAAAUCAAUGCAUUAUCAAUUUUGUUAAAACAAUUUUUUCAAUGUAAGUAAUUGAAACUUUUAAAUAAUCUACGAACUACCAUCAACUUGAUUUUUACGAGUUUCUUUUAAGAAAUUUUUCUAUAGCUUAUUAUGAAUGAAUUGUAUUAUAAAUAAAAGUUUAGCAUCCAUUUCAAAAAUUCUUGUUUUUGGAAACUUUGAAGUUUGAAAGAAUUAGUUUUUCCACUCCAAUCAAGAAAGGUCAUCCCUUGUUUUUAAAAACUUUAGAAGAAUUUAUUCUUGAAAUAACUUUCAUAAAUAACUUGAAACAAAUUCAAAAUUUUUGUGAUGGCAAAAUUUAUGAAUUUUCAAUUAUUUAGGGUCAAUAUAUAUAGAAAAGAAAAUUUGUUAAAAUUUAGUGGGUCAAAUGAGACGCAACUUUAAAAUUUUCUAAAUUUCCUAAGCCUAAAAGCUAACUUUUUCAAAGUUAAGUGGGUCAAUUGACCCCACUUACUUCCAUGUGGCUCCACCACUGGUUAAUAUCCAUCUAAAUUUGUUUAAUAAUCCAAAACAUUUAAGUGAGGUGGAUAUGUAUGAGUAAAUGGAUAUGAAUUGAAAAUGUCACUUCUAAAUUAAACUAGUUUAUAUUUGAAGGGAGUUUGAUUUAGUAAAGGCUUGUUCAAAUUUGGUUCGCCAACUAAUCAAUCCAAAUUUGAAUAGUAUUUUAUGCUUGAUAAUGCUCAAAUUUGAUAAAAAUCUCAUUCAAAUUCAGUUCGGCAACUAAACAAGCUAAUUUGAAAAAUUUUAAAUUCGUUAAAAUAAUCAAACAAUUUUUAACAUUAAGGUGUUCAAUUUGAUUAGACUCGUUUACAUUCCUAAUCAAAAGAAAAAAAAUUUUAUAGUACCGGAUAAAAAAGUCUACGCAUGAUGUUCCACGGAAAAGAACAAGGAUUGUAUACUCCCAAGUCAUAUAAAUUUUGUCAUCUUGUUGAAUAAACCAGAAAUAUUUGACUGUAAACAGAUUACUUACGUAUGAUAAUUGUUUUGAUCUGUAAACAUCACCAACAGCGUAUGGAGAAAAUAUGGACUACAGGGGACAUGAUCCGAGAAUGAUGAUCGUGGGCAUGCAAUCUCUGAAUAUUCAAAUGUCAAAAAGCACUUACUGAAGUAAUGCAGUCUUAGAAAUUAUGCUAAAUAUUAUUGGGAAAAUGGCCAAUUUAGUCCUUCAACUUUUUAACUUAAGGCGAUUUGAUCCUUCCUCUUUUAUUUAGGUAAUUUUAGUCCUUUAACUAAAAUUAGUAACCAAUUUCAUCCUUUUGCAGUGUUGCCGCCAGUAAAACUCUUUUCGGCACAAAAGUCACCAUCAAUUAAGGGCAAUAUAGGAAUUACGAAAUAGGGAUCAUUUUUAAAACAAUGAAUGCAAAAUAUUUUUUGUUACAUUGGGGAGAAAACCAAUUCUCCAUUAAUUUGGGGAGUAAAACAAAAGGUGCAAUAAACCAAAUUGUUCUUCUUCUCCACCUCUGGCUGAUGCUGAAGCCCCACAAAACUGCAAAAGCUAGCCCACCAGUGGAAUUCCAAACCCAAAUCCCCAAAACCUGACUCAAAACUGCUAAUUCAUUUUAUUUUUUGGAACCCCAAUACAAACUCACUCGUCAAGUCUCAUUUCCCUAGCAAAAUCUACUACUGGCAUCAGAGUUAAAUUGUCGAUAGGGGCUAUGCAGCAGGAGGGGAUGGAUAAGGAUGUAAAGAGGUUGAAGAAAAAGUCUGAAUUGUAAGCCUAAAGUUCAAAGUGAAAAUGCAAUUUAAAAUCAUGAUUUAAGGAAGUUAUUUUCGAAGCUUUGAUGCAACGAUCAUGAGGUAGCUAUCGACAAGGGAAUGCUUAGAAAACAGCUAAUCCAUUUGCUACUUUGAAUACUUUUCUUGAGUUUAUCAAGAAAAAUUUAUAUGUUGAUAAGUCUUAAUUGUAAACUAAAAUUACAAGACACAUGAUGAUGUACAAAAACAAUGUUAAUGAAGGUUUCAUUUUAAGAAGAAAAAAAAAGACAUAUUGUAGACAAAGAAAAUUUAUUUAAUUUAUUUAGUCGAGAUUUAUUAAAUUGAUCUUGAUUAAAUUAAAUUAAAUUAUAGAAGUCCAUUAUGUUUUGGACCGGUAAAUUGGGCCAAUAUUAUAUGGGCUAUUAAAUCAAAUUAAAUUCAUAGUGUCCAUUUAAGUUAGAGUGAAUUAAUUGAUUUAUUAAUUCACAAUGGACUAUUUGGGUUGGCCCAUUAUUUAAGCCCAAGUUAAAUGGAUUUCUUGAGUAACAAGUGAUCCAAAAUGCAGGAAGAUUCUGAGGGUUUUCUUGAAGACCUAGCCUACAUAUUUUGGCUAUAAAUAGAGGUCUUCCCUCAAGGCAAAGAUAGAGAAAAAAAUCCCUAACAUUCGGAGAAACUCUGUCAAAUUCCCUCAAGAGCUUUCUUCCUCAAAUCCAAAUCCAAAUCAAGUCAAACAAAUCCUCCUGCUAUCGGUGUUGAAGACUCGAAGUUCCAAGUGCUUGACGCCAUCAUCAAAUCAAUUGUUUUCUACGCCGAAAUUGUAGGAAACACCCUUUCGAUUGGAGAACAAGUCUUUUCGCCCCUUCAAUUGAAGCUAUUCGAAGAAAAGAAUCAGGGGAUUAAUUUCUUUGAUUCAAGAACUUUCAGAGAUUGUAACCCGCUUAUUAUUUGAUUUAAUAAAUUUGAUAUUUGUGCAAGUUUUCUUGUCUUUUAUUUCAGGCAACAAAAUUUGUGCUUACAAAUUUCUGGCACGCCCAGUGGGACAAUCUCUGCCUCUCAUCUCUUUUCUUCCAACAACUUACCAGUUUCAAAAUUCGAUGGAGUUCAAGAAGGUGAACUUUUCUCUUGAAGGCUUAGUUGCUGAUGUCUCAACCACUCAAGGGACGCAGUAUACUGCACCUCUGACAAGGAGUAAGGCCAAGGAGUUAGCAGAGAAGGCUAAGGCGAACGUUGUGACUGAAGAAGCAAAUCUCGAAAUGCUUCCUAACAAGAAAGGAGCCCAUGAUGAAUCCAUUGGUAGCCCAAGUGAUUCGGCUGCCUCUGUGGUGAUGCCCGUCAUGAUGACCAAUACCACAACUGUGGAAGACCAGAUCUCGAAUCUAGCCAAAAUUGUCGAAGGGCUAGUAGUGCAUGCACAAAGUCAGGAUGCCAAGAUAGUCAAAUUAAUGGAUAUGGUGGAAAAUAUAGGCGAAAAUAGCCUUAGCAUGUCCAAACAGAAAUUCAAAGUGCAAGAUGAAGGGGACUCGUCAUCAAGGGAGAAGGAGAAAGAGGAUGCGAAGUCACAAGCCGCGAAGGAAUUUUCAAUCUCCCCUGAUGGCACCAUUCAUGUUGACAAUCUGAAGGAAUUUAUCGAAGGUACAAUCAAGGAUAAGAUGGGCGGAAGCGCCAAGCCAUACAGCGGUUACACCAAACCUUACACCGCUAGAGUGGAAAGUUUGAAAAUGCCUGUGGGGUAUCAACCUCCAAAAUUUCAACAAUUUGAUGGUAAGGGCAAUCCUAAGCAACAUGUAGCACACUUCGUGGAAACUUGUAACAAUGCGGGCACUGAUGGUGACUUGCUCGUUAAACAGUUUGUUCGCUCGCUGAAGGGUAAUGCUUUUGAUUGGUACACGGAUCUUGAGUCUGGAACCAUUGACAGUUGGGAGCAGUUAGAGCAUGAAUUCCUUAGUCGCUUCUAUAGCACAAAGAGAACUGUCAGCAUGACUGAACUCUCUAAUACACGUCAAUGGAAGAGUGAACCUGUCAUUGAUUUUAUCGACCGUUGGAGGAAUCUAAGCUUAAAUUGCAAAGAUCGAAUUUCUGAAUCUUCCGCGAUCGAGAUGUGCAUUCAAGGUAUGCACUGGGGACUCAGAUACAUCUUACAAGGUGUACAACCAGGAACAUUUGAUGAACUGUCCACAAAAGCCCAUAAGUUGGAGAUUAAUCUUGAUGGACAAGAACCGCCAGUUCCUGACCCUUACAAGGCCAAAGAGAGACAAGAAGCGAGGAAAGGGGGCAAGCCACCAUUUAAAAAUGAAAAAAAGGAGGCUAUGGCUACAAGUGUAACGCCCUUUAAGGUUGUUCCCAAAACUGCCAGGAGAGAAGAUAGCAAGAUCAAUGCACAUCAAGAACAAGGAAAGAGGAAACCAACUCUCAAGGAGAUGCAGGAUAAGGAGUACCCUUUCCUUGAUUCUGAUGUCCCUGGUAUGUUCGACGAUCUGUUAGGUAUAAACUUGAUCACGCUUCCUGAGAUGAAGCGACCUGAUGAGGCCAGGGACACUGACGAUCCAAAUUACUGUAAGUAUCACCGAUUGGUCGGGCAUCCCAUUCAAAAAUGCUUUGUCUUCAAAGACAAAGUAAUGGAGUUGGCAAGACAGGGAAAAAUUCUCCUUGAAGAAGACAAGGCGAGUGUGAAUCAAACGUCCAUUGGUUCCCUGCAGUCCGUGGAGGAUAAAAGGGUCAUGGUGCCUGUAUUGCCAAUAAUUCAAUUUGGAUCACUUGAUCCUAUAGAAAUCAAACAAGAAGGUGCUCCUUCAACUCUUCAGGAACAUGUAUAUGAAGAUGAAAAGGCGCUACAGUCUGAUGUGGAUGAUGAAGGAUGGACUCUAGUCACGCAAAAAAGGAGGCGGAAGUCUUGUCCAUCUAGUAGGGCGAGCAAGGUCUUAACAAGAAGUAUGGUGAUUUGGAAGGGGAAAGAGAAUGACGUAAAGAAAACUAAUGAUUAUCAUAAUCUUCAAGGAGGCCGAAUCUUCAAGCAAAAGUCGCGAACUCCUAUUACUUUAAAAGAGUUUUUGCCAAAGGAAUUCUUUGAUGUUGAUGUGGUCGCAAGUCACACAACGCAAGUAGAUCAUAUCGAGGAACAAAAAGAUAAUACUUGCGAAUCUCUCUGUGAGAUGGCCCGUGCGCCCACCGGCAAUGAAGAAGGUCGUGUGUCUACCAGCAAUGAAGAGGUGAACGUCACAAGUAUCACUUUUACUAGUGAAGACUUGUUGCUUGGGUCAACGCCGCAUAACCGUCCUUUGUUUGUGACUGGUUAUGCAAAAGAGCAAAAAGUGAAUAGAAUGUUGAUAGAUGGAGGUUCCGCAGUCAAUAUUCUCCCUUUAAAAACUCUGAAGGAGCUUGGUAUCCCGGUUGAUGAACUCUCCAAUAGCCGACUGAUGAUUCAAGGCUUCAAUCAAGGAGGGCAAAGAGCUCUUGGGUCACUAAAUUUGGAGAUAAUCAUUGAUGACAUGACGUCCAGAGCACUAUUGUAUGUGAUAGAUGCUAAAACAACAUACAAUGUAUUGUUGGGAAGGCCCUGGAUUCAUGAAAAUGGAGUUGUACCUUCAACUCUUCAUCAAUGCUUCAAGUAUUGUCAAAACGGGGUGGCAAGAAGUGUGAAAGCUGAUGAUAAUCCUUUCACUGAGGCGGAAGCAUAUAUCGCCGAUGCCAAAUUUUACAUCAAAAGGCACAUUGCGAAGGAUAAAACUGAACAACCUCUAUCUGGGGAUAAAAUUCAGAACCCCGAAUCUCCAAAUGCAAAAGGGGAGAAAGUGAUGACUUCGAAAUCAAAAGAGGAAGUUCAUGAAGAAACUGAUGUUUCAUUGCCAAACAAUGAAUCAGUUGUCUUUCGCUGCCCUCCCAAAUCAAGAAUGGAACAGGGACAGUCACCUGCAAUUCAGCAUGAAACUCUAAAAGAUUUGACUCUUCCGGUAGCUCAUCUUGAUACAAAAAAGGCGUCAUCUUCUCAACUUAAAAGGUCUAACUUUUUAACCAAAGAAUCUGAAGUUGAACAAGAGACCAUACCAAAGUCAAGAACUAAAGAAGGUUUUGAUCCUAUCGCUUAUAAGCUUCUCGCUAAGGCUGGAUACGAUCUCAAAGAAUCUGCGGUGUUAAAUGUUCCAUCCCGUCAAUCUACCAGUGACAUGAUUCAUGGGUUGAAUCCUACCCAAAAGAUGUUGAAGGAAAAAGGAUACGCCGUUGAAAAUCCCAAAUUUGGCCUUGGCUACUCCUCUCCUACACCAAUCCGCAUCAAGAUCAAUAGAGUUAGUAGCCAAUAUAUUGCUAUAGAGGAUGAGUCUUCUCAAAUAGUUGGUAAAUCUCAAGCUUUUCACGAAAAGGAAAAUAAAAUUUCACGGGUAUCUGUUUUUAAGAGAUUAGGACCACAAAAAAGAUAAAAAUCUCAAAACUCUCAUAAGAGUAAAGGAAAAAUGGCAAAGUCAUUGCAAAGUCUUGAAGAACCUUCUGAUUGUCCUCAUAAAUUUGGCAGUAUCAUUCCUUCGAGAAUGAGAAGAUGCACAGACCUUGUAAUAAAGUGUGGGACUGAAUUGAGGGUCAGGGAGUAUACCGUGGUGUACACAAGACCAAAAGAGGAUGAUGAAGAGAGUGUUGCUUCAUGCAACCAUAUAACCAUAAUUGACGGUGACUCGCCUGAAGAAGAAGAAGAUGCUGAAGACGCUCCACCUGAAUUGGAGGAAGGUGUUAAGGCUACUGUGGAUGAUCUAAAGGAGAUCAAUCUUGGUACUUCAGAGGACCCGCGUCCAAUAUACAUAAGUGCUUCACUGAGUCCUGACGAAGAGAAGGCAUAUGUUGAACUCUUGCGGGAGUAUCAAGAUGUUUUUGCAUGGACUUAUAAAGAAAUGCCGGGUUUAAAUCCAAAAGUGGCCGUCCACCAUUUGGCUGUUAAAAAGGGAGUUCGACCUGUGAAACAAGCACAACGGCGAUUUAGACCUGAUUUGAUUCCGUUGAUCGAAAUGGAAGUCAAUAAACUCAUUGAAACCGGGUUUAUUCGUGAAGUUAAAUAUCCCACAUGGAUUUCGAGUAUCGUGCCUGUGCGAAAGAAAAAUGGACAAAUCCGCAUCUGUGUCGAUUUCAGGGAUGUUAACAAUGCUUGUCCCAAAGAUGACUUUCCUUUACCGAUCACUGAACUCAUGAUUGAUGCAACUACUGGGCAUGAAGUUCUGUCAUUUAUGGAUGGCUCUUCUGGAUAUAAUCAAAUUCGAUUGGCACCGGAGGAUGAGGAGCUCACUGCAUUUCGUACUCCUAAGGGUAUUUAUUGUUAUAAAGUGAUGCCCUUUGGUCUCAAAAAUGCGGGUGCCACAUAUCAAAGAGCAAUGCAAAGUAUCUUUGACGACAUGCUUCAUAAGAAUAUCGAGUGUUAUGUGGAUGAUUUAGUUAUAAAAUCAAAGAAAAGAAGUAAUCACUUGGAGGACUUGAGACAAGUAUUUGAUCGAUUGAGAAGGUAUCAACUCAAAAUGAACCCUCUCAAGUGUGCAUUUGGAGUCACGUCGGGGAAAUUUCUUGGUUUUGUGGUUCGCCAUCGAGGUAUUGAAAUUGAUCAGGCCAAAAUUGAUGCUAUAUUGAGGAUGCCUGAACCUCGUGACAUUCAUGAAUUGAAAAGUCUUCAAGGGCGAUUAGCUUAUCUGCGGAGAUUUAUCUCAAAUUUAGCAGGAAGGUGUCAGCCAUUUAGUCGCUUGAUGAAGAAAGAUGUGCCAUUUCAAUGGGAUGAGACAUGUAGUAAUGCAUUCAAUAGCAUUAAGUCUUAUCUUAUGAAAGCACCUGUGUUGGCUGCACCUAUUCAUGGAAAGCCCUUACUCCUUUAUAUUGCUGCCCAAGAACGAUCGAUGGGGGCAUUGCUCGCUCAAGAAAAUAAUGAAGGAAAGGAGGUUGCCCUUUAUUAUUUAAGCAGAAUGAUGACCCCCAACGAACUAAAUUACUCGCCAAUUGAAAAGUUGUGCUUAGCCCUUAUUUUUGCAAUACAGAAGUUAAAGCACUACUUUCAAGCGCAUAGUGUGAGGCUCAUUUCCAGGGCGAAUCCCAUAAAAUAUGUGAUGAGUAGACCAGUGUUGUCCGACCGUCUAGCUAGAUGGUAUCUUCAACUACAACAGUUUGAAAUUAUUUAUGUGCCUCAAAAAGCUGUGAAGGGACAAGUUCUGGCAGAUUUUCUUGCUGAUCACCCGAUACCUGCUGAAUGGGAACUAAGUGAUGACUUACCGGAUGAGGAUGUACUCCUUAUCGAGAUUCGUCCACCAUGGAAGAUGUAUUUUGAUGGUGCGGCUCAUCGUCAUGGAGCUGGAGCAGGGAUUGUAUUCGUGACUCCUGAUGGAGGGAUAUUGCUAUAUUCCUUUACUCUAAGUCAUCAUUGUUCAAACAAUGUCGCUGAGUACCAAGCUCUCAUACUCGGACUUGAAAUAGCUGUUGAUAUGGAACAGUUGGACAUUCAAAUCUAUGGUGACUCUCAAUUAGUGGUUAACCAACUCUUGGGAAGUUAUGAAGUCAAAAAGUCCGAGUUAAUUCCGUAUCACAAAUAUGCAACGCAACUAAUGAGGCGGCUUGGAGGUGCAAGUAUUAAGCAUGUUCCUAGAAGGGAAAAUAAGCAAGCUGAUGCAUUAGCUGCGCUAGCCUCUUCACUUACCAUGCCGGAUCAUGAGAUACAAGUCCGUGUGUGCCGAAAGUGGGUAGUUCCAUCACUGAUUGAUGAUGAAAAUAUUGAAGGAGGCAACGCUCAUGUGGUCUCAACCUAUGAAAUUGACAAAGAAGAUUGGAGACAACCCCUCGUUGAUUAUCUCAAGUAUCAAAAAUUACCUGAGGAGCAACGUAGAAGAACUGACAUUCGUCGUCGAGCCCCUCGUUUUAUCUUGUACAAGGACACGCUGUACCGAAGAUCAUUUGAAGGUGUACUGUUGCGCUGUCUGAGCGAAGACGAGGCAUAUCAGGCGAUGCACGAGGCACAUUCUGGAAUAUGUGGAGCACAUCAAUCCGGUCCCAAGUUACAUUUUCGGAUUAAAAGGAUGGGCUACUAUUGGCCUACUAUGGUCAAAGAUUGCAUAGAAUAUGCUCAAAAAUGUCAAGCUUGCCAGUUUCAUGCAAAUUACAUUCAUCAACCACCCGAGCCGUUACACCCGACCGUUGCUUCUUGGCCUUUUGAUGCUUGGGGCCUUGAUGUUGUGGGGCCAUUACCAAAGUCGUCCGGUCAACACUUAUAUAUAUUGGCUGCGACCGACUACUUUUCUAAGUGGGCUGAAGCCAUACCGCUCAAACAAGUUAGAAAGGAAGAUGUGGUGAAUUUUAUUCGUGUGAAUAUUAUUUACCGUUAUGGAGUUCCCCGGUACAUUAUCACUGAUAAUGGAAAAUCCUUCUCCAAUGGCUUGAUGGAUAAGUUAUGUGAGAAAUUUAAUCUCAAGCAACGAAAGUCCUCCAUGUAUAAUGCCCCCGCCAAUGGUCUCGCAGAGGCAUUCAACAAAACUUUAUGUAACUUGUUGAAGAAAGUGGUGGCAAAGUCAAAGAAGGAUUGGCACGAAAGGAUAGGCGAAACUCUUUGGGCCUAUCGCACCACAUACCGAACUCCGACGCAAGCCACACCAUAUGCCUUGGUCUAUGGUGUAGAAGCUGUUCUGCCCCUUGAGCAACAAAUUCCUUCUUUGAGAAUUGCUAUCCAAGAAGGGCUCACGGAGGAAGAAAAUGUUCGCCUGCGCCUUGAAGAGUUGGAAGCUUUGGAUGAAAAGAGAUUGGAGGCCCAACAAAAUCUGGAGUGCUAUCAAGCCCGUCUCUCUAGAGCUUUUAAUAAGAAAGUUCGACGUCGCUCCUUUCAAGUCGGGGACAUGGUACUUGCCGUUCGAAGGCCAAUAGUUAUGACUCAUCGCACUAAAGACAAAUUCGUCUCUAAAUGGGAUGGGCCGUACAUUGUUCGAGAAGUCUACACGAAUGGUGCGUACAAAUUAGUGGACAAAGAUGGCGUGAAAGUUGGUCCUAUAAAUGGAAAAUUCGUGAAGUUAUACAUGCCAUAAAAAAAAAAAAGUGAACUACUCCACGACGCAUGAGUCUAAACUGCCUGUUGCUCCAGACCCGCAUGAGCUAAAACUGUGGAUAACAACCACCAAUAGUGUAGCACGUGGUUAAACUGCUGAAACACUCCACCAAAUCUAAGGUGGAAAACAAAUGGAUACUCCUGACCCGCAAGAGUUUAAACUGUGAAUGGUAGGAACUACGUGUGACUUGAUUCCCUGUUGGGAUACGUAGGCAGCUUAGAGGGCAACUUCUAAGUUCAGUUACAAUUAUAUAAAACUAAAUCCUUUGUCCGGAUGAUUCUUUUGAUAAAAAAAAAAAGGAGCGUUCAUCUUUAAGACAAUUCGAAUUAUUUUGUGACAUAUACUUGAAAGUGUAUUAUUCAGAUUACCAAAUUAUUUGGAUAAUUAUCUUUUCAAGUGUGAUCAAAAUUAUGCAAAGAUAGAAUUGUUCAUACUACAAUUGAUAGUCUAAAAUGGUGGCUAUCGAAAAAGCAAAUAAAGACGAGGACGUCUGCAAGAAUGUGAAAAAGAGAGAGCAAGUUUCAUUAUGAAAUGUUUAUGCACAUAGCUACACGCUUUGAGCAGGUAACAAAAGAUGAAAUUUGAAACAAAGUAAAAGAUUGCAACUAUUUCUAGAAUUCAAAUAACGACAGCUCCUUUUGGUUGCUUUCAAGUAACGCUUGCAUCUUGUCCAAAGUUUGACUCUCCUCAGCAAGUAGGGGCGGGGAAUUCUCGAUCUUUCGAACUUCAUUUUGUAAGUCGACCAUCACGCCUUGCACUCGGGUAAGAUCAUCUUGCUCUUCUCGUAGCAGUGAAAGCGUCUCCUUCCUGUGAGUAUCCAAGAACUCAAGUCGCUUCCUCAACUCUACUUCCUCGCGAUCAAUCUCCUUAAGCUUCAACAUGUGUGUUGAGAUCUUCUCUGCCUGUUGUCUCUCCUUACUCUGAGCGUCUCUAAGAUGUUGGGUAGCCGUAGAAAGCAACUCAUCAUAUGAUUCAGCUGGAAUUUUAUUUGAGAGAGAAGAUUUCACUGCAACGUAACGAGCUGCAUUUGCAAAGAAAGCCUUUAAAAGGCCUUGCAAAUUUGAGAUAUCCGCGGCAUUGAAGCUUUGCAUUUCCUCUAUGAUUUCGUUGGCUUUCAUUUCAAGUGCAGGCAUGCGCUCUAAGGCUGUUUGAGAUAUCAUCACCCUCAAGUUAUUCCACAACAUUUGGAUAUAGUCUCGACGGCAUGUUGAGAUCACAUUUUGGGGGCAAAAUUCAGAUACUCGAGGUGCCCUUGGCCACGAUGGUGGAUCGAAAAUUUUGAGUUUCUUUUGGGCCGAUGGAGUCAUAUGUUCCACCUUCUGUGGCGUGAUUUGCUGAAUCACAUUUCCAUCCUCUACUGCCUUUUUGGAAUUCUCACUAGCACCCAUUUGUUGGGUAGAACUGAUCACUUGUUUGGCCAAAAGUUCAAAUGCAGUAGGUCCUUCAACCGAUAUUUGACUUGGUUCUCCAUCAUCAAUGAAGAUCAAGUCUUGAUCAUCCAACUGUAAGGAAAACGUUAUGAGACAAAUCAUGAAUAUGAGAUUUAGUCUACAAGUAAAACAGAGCAAAAGCAUCCAAUCCAUAUUCUGUUGUGUAAGUUGUGGCAUUUUGUCAUGUUACAGUUUUUGUAUUUCCUCUGCCUGGCGAACUCAAAGAGAGGAGGUAACCUCUUAUUUCAAAUACUACUAGCACAAUCAGAACCUCAAACAUUGAAAUAACACACCUCUCAAACCUGUGAUGUCACUAGAUCCAGAAUGUGCCCGAAACAAGCAUCAAAUUUUGUAAAUGAGCAUUUGGAAAUAUGUUUCUUUAAAUUUUGAAUAACUUGCUUCAACUAGCAUUAUUUUCACUCGUCAAGGUUCAGAGUACUUAAACAGCAUUCAAUGUAUCUUGCAUUUCCUGGCACACCAAAAAGCACAAAGUUUAAUAACUAACAUACAUAAAAUCACGUAUGCAGCAAUAUGUCACACAAUCCCCAUUAACCGAUAAAGGAAGUUGCAACUUUCAAGUAAACAAUCCAAUGUGGGAACAUAGACACAACAUCCUAGUAAACAGUAAUUUGUCUAAACUAAUCUAAUAAUCAAUGAUAAGCUUCUUUAAUCAGCUACCACGGUUAACAUGCAAAAUGAUUCAAAUAAAAAGACUGACGAAGAAUUCAUUCGAAAGUCGCUCUUUAGAUAUAACUUUUGACAAAUGAUUUUCAGAAGUGCUUGUUCUAGUUUUGAACUUGUUGAUGUCAUGUUACCAGAUUCUGUAAGUACCUGAUUACUGGUUAUCACAAAUAAGGCCACCCUUCUUCAAGUCAUGACUAAAUAAAUAAAUGUGGGAUUAAAUUGAAUCCUUUGUCCACCCAGCCAAGGACAUUUUGUUAGUCUGACUUUAAUCUAUACAUGAAAGUCCAUGACUUACAAUACAACAUACAAAGUUAGUGAAGAUAUUAACAGAGCGGGAAGAAGACAGUACCCUAGCACCUGGAGCAGAGGGGGUGGCAAAUAGGACUGCACAAACAGCUCCUAGUGGGGCAAUAGUCAUUGAAAUUCCUUUUGGUGCCAAUAUUUGGUCAAUCUUUCCUAGUAUUGCCAUUGCAGCAAACGCCCCUGAUUUGUACAUAAAACUUCAACCAUUAGUCCUUUACCAACAUAUUACCAUCACUAGCUAAUCAAUGUAUAUCAAUAUCAGAAAAAGACAACAAAAAGAAGAUCAUAUCCUAGAACAUCCAAAAUACGCAUCAUACUUUCUAGCUACAAAAGCAGUCACAAUUGAACUUUCUUGAUAGAUAAAAACAAUAACUCAUUACACUACCAGGCCUUUUAAAGAACAAGAGAAAAAGUCUACUAUAAUAAUGCUUUUGUCUUGCAGGUGAUAGUAAAAUUGAACAAUUGAUUCUGUCAAUUUUUUUGUAGUGUGUAACCUGCAGAAGGCCAGAAAAUGUCGCUGAGGGAAGGAGCUUGAGUGCCCUUUUGAGGUGCCCAACUAUCCCAGAAUGGUGCAGGUACAUUGCUUGAUGAUGAUGAUGAUGAUGCUACAAUUCUGAGCUCCCCUUUUCUUCUUACACUUGUGAAUCUCUUUCCAUCAUGAGAAUGCAAUCCAAGUGAAGUUACAAGAUUGCAGAGUUUCGUUUGCUUCUUAUUGCUCUUGCAGCUAUAGAUGUUACUGCAAGAAUGUACUAUUAAUUGUGAAUUCAAUGGAGGUGCUGAUGAUGAAACUGGUGCUGGUGGCUUCAGAAGAUAAUUCUGCAACCCAUUUCGUUGAGUUUCUCUGCUGAUGUGAUGAUGUUGGCUGGCUGUUUCGAGGGAAGACUCUUCUGUUGCAGAAAUGGUCGGAGAAAGAAAGAGACCGUUUGGGAUGUUGAAACUCGAAAAGGGCCGCCUUGGGAUGAUCGAAAGGCCAUCGUUGGAUAAGAUGGGGUCCUGAAAUCCCCCCAAAAAAAAAAUCCAAAAUAUUGUGUGUAUAGAAGGAUAAUUUCAGAAACCACCCUUAAGGUUUCUCACAAUAUCAUAUAGCGCUUCUAAAGUUUUAAUAUCACUUGUCUUCCUUGUUUUUAAACUUUUGUGACAUUGUCAACCCGAUUCAAAAUAUAAUACUAUAACAUUCAGAUUUGGAGUAUAUAGAUUAUUUUAUUUCAAAAUUUCCCUUUUGUUAUGUUCUUUUAACUUUUAUGACAAACUAAUUUGAAAUUCCUCAACAUUUAAAAAUUUACCAAUUUACUUCUUUAAUGGAAAUUAUAUAGUUUUUUUAUUAGGGUUGGGAGAUCCUUUAAGAAAAUUUAUUUUAUAAUUUGGACAAAGGAUGUUAAAGCUUUACAACUUAUGAAUAAUUGACAAAACACAUAAAAAUCAUCUAUUAUACUAUAUAAAUGAAAUAACUUUUUUUUUUUGCAUCGUGAGUGCAUUUCCAAUUAAUGUUUUUUACCCAUUUCAAACAAUUUAUAAAUAAAAUUUUAAACACUUUUUCUUUUCUUUUUUUUUUUAAAAAAUAUUUCCAGGCCAUCGUUAUAGAUAAAAAAUGAUAAUGCUAAAUAAUUUAUAAAAUUUCUUAAAUUAACUCAAAAAUAGUUAUAUAAAAGGAAAAAAUUUCUUUAUUUGGUAACCUAAAAGACACCUAAUUAGCAUAUCAAAAAAGUAAAGGUGGAACCAACGUUAAAGUUUUAAAAUCAUAAUUAAUCCCCUAAAUUGCAACACUUUAGUAGAAUAAAUCUACCCUUCUGCUAAAAUGAUCGACCCCCUAUUGUAGCACCAAAUAAUUGAACCCUAAAGAAGACAAAAAUAAUUUUCUUUUCCUGGUUUGAAAACAUUUUAAAUGAAUGUUUCCGGAGAACAAAACACAUAGUAGAGAUUUAACAAGGGAAGGGGAGACGACUGAUGAGAGGGACGACGAGUGGGUAGGAUAAAAUCCGAUGCAUAUGAUAUAUGUAUACCCUUGUCUAAACAUAUAGUUUAUUUCACACUAUUAGCUAGUGUGGCCUUAUAGGUGGCAUGUUAUAGAGUAUUACAGAUCUGAAAAAUUAACAAAAAUUUUCACUAUGAAGAUCCAAAUAUAUUCAAAUAUUAAGUCGAACAUUGCAUCUCCAAGAACAUCAGUGAAUAUCUCCAAUAAACGUUCCAAAUACUUGACCCUUUUUCAGGAAUGAAAUCAGAUCUUAUGUGGUGCCUCCAAUCCUCAUUCUUGACAGCCUAUGGUUCCGGAGGAUCCUUAUACAAGUGGUGGCAAAUUGAAACAGCAAUCAUUCUUUCUUUCAUCAAAAAGCAUAAUAAGUUUAUUUAAGAUUCAACGUAAUCGUUAAGAAAUAAAACCGCCAUCAACAGCUAGGUUAGUCCCAGUAAUACAGGAAGACUCAUCUGAAGCAAGGAACAGAACAGCAUCAGCCACAUUUUUAGCCUUUACGUUCAUCCCUCUCAAAUUUGGAAGCUUGAAAACCUCUUCUAGUUCCUCGACAGUCAUGUUAAAGGCCCGACGAGCCGUCCGCGUCGCCACCACGUAAGGCGACACACAGUUCACCCUGAUUCCAUGCUCUCCGAGCUGCUUACUGGCGCAUCUCAUCAGCCCCAACACCGCAUGCUUAGACAUGCGAUAGUCAGUCCAAUUUUCAGCACCACGGGUUGCUGCAACGCUAGCCAUGCAUACUAUGCUGCCCUUGAUGCUCUGAUCUAUCAUCGCACGGGCUGCAUGUUUCAAGCAACUAGCCAUGCCACCAACAUUGACGGAGAAGAGAUUGUAGUACAUCCCGGAUAGAUCAAGGUCAAGAACUUUCUGAGCUGAUUGGCUGAAUAUCCCUCCGUUGCUGAACAUGAUGUCAAGGUGGCCAUGAGUCUUUAAAGUCAUUCAACCAUGGCUUGAACUUUGUCUUCGAUGGAAACAUCACAAUGGAUAUAGCUGCAUAGGUUUGAGCCAAUUGAUUCUGCAACUUUUUGGCCCUUCUCGUCCUCGAUAUCGCCAAUCACGAUUUUUUGCCCCAUGGGUGCAGAGAAGUCAUGUCGUUGCCUCCCUAUACCGCUUGCCCCACCGGUGAUUAUGGCUACUUUGCCUUCUAAUUUUUUCUUUUGUAGAGAGGGCUCUGCCAUUUUUGUUUUUGGGUGGAGGUUGGAAUUUAUUCUAGACCUUGAGAAGAUGGAGCAAGAAAGAUGCAACUAGCAUGACAGUGACUGCCUUUAUUUGCUAGCAGAACAAGUAGCCAAAUGGUAAAUGAUAUGCAAAAAAUGUAAUUGGUCUUGAUCAUUGCGGUUGCAACCAGCUUUUAAUAUGCGCAGUGCCAACUUGUGGGAUAACUCUUUAAGGUAUAGUGGCAUAUUUUGUAAACUCCAAGAGGAUGAAUUAUAUGGCAGACCGUUAGUAAUGGUUCUUUCCAGAAACGGCAAGAAACGAAAAAGUCAAGUGGCCCUACGAGCUAUCCAAAAUAAGCUAAACAAUAUCACAAAGUACAAAAACAAGAACAUGCUUUUGAUCAGGAUCCCAUCCUAUCCUAUCUUAUCCCAUCCAUCCUUCCAAGAAUCCAAUCAUUGAUUCACUUCCUAAAGGAAUCUUUCAACCAUUUUUAGCGUUUUAAACUCGAAUUGAGAAGCGAAGCAGUCUGAUUAACGGGUAAAGAGCAAAACCAUGUAAUAGUGAACCAAUUAUUGGAAAAUCAGAUGACUCAGAUGAAUCGGCAGUAGUCAUAAAUUUCGGCAUAGAUAAAGGGAAACACUGAGACACAUGCAAGUAUAUACGAGUAUCUAACGCUACCCAGAUAGCAUAUACCGUGCAUAACAAUGACUCAUGAAUGCAAAUAACCCUUAGUAAGCUCUGGUUCGUUUGGAUUAGUUGUUUUUGGGAUAUUUUUGAAAUAAUUUAUUGUAACAAUACAUAUGAAAAACUUUUACUGUAAAUAUUUUUGAUGAUGUUUUUGGGAUAUAUUUUGAAGUAUUUUUAAAAUUUAAAAUUUUAGAAUAUUUUUUUAAAAAUUAAUACUACCAUCUAUCAUCACCACUGAUCACUGCCACCACCCCUUCGUCUUCUUCUUCCUCGCUCUCUUUCUUCCUCCUCCUCUCUCUUUCCCCUCCUUCCCUCCCUUUUUCCACCACACCCCACCUCUCCCCUCCUCUAAUACAUGGCCUCGAUGGGUGUGGUAGGAAAGGGGAGGGGAAGGGGAAGAGAGGAGGGGAGGAGGAAAGGGGAGGAGAGGAAAGAGGAAGAGGAGGAAGAGGGAGGGAGAAGAAAGAGGGGGAAGAAGGGGAUGGUGGAUGGUGGUGAUAGAUGAAAAAAGAAGAUGGUGUAAAUUUUGUGUAUACUUUUUAAUUUUUUUGUAUAUGUUGCACCCCUUUUUGAAAAUAAAAUAAAUGAUGUUAAAAAAUGAGUUUUUGAUUUUAGAAAAUAAAGAAAAAGAGUCUAAAAUGGGAUUUAAAAUAUCCGACGGUUUAGGACCAAAAUAACAGUCUAAAAGGGAUUUUUAAGAAAAAAUAGGAGUCGCCACUUAUUGAGUUUAGGUGUACCAAAUCACUUAAAAAUUUUUAAAUAAAUAAAUAAUAAAUAAAACCCUUUUUAGACUACUCCAAAUCUUUGAAAACAAGAGAAAAGAGUUCGAGAGUCACAGUUGAAGAAGGAAAGACAAAGAUUUGAUAAGUUCGAACCUAAGGCAAUCUAGCCAAGGUUAGUUGCGUGAUUUAGUCGAAAAUUUUCCUAAUCUAACUUAUAAAUUUUAUCACAUUAGAAUUCUUCUAUAUGGAUGCGUAUCUAGACUUAGAGGUCACGAAUAUGCAAAAGAUGAGACUCAAAAGAGGAAAUUAUAAUAUAGAUAAAUAUACAUGACUUAAAAGAGGGAAAUGCAACAUAACGGGUGCGGAAAACUAAGAUUCAUGAUUCAAUUUUUCUUUUAUAAAGGGGAUGAGAGCGUGCUAAGGCUAAAAAAUCAUACUCGUUCAUUUCCCAUAUUUGAAGGAUGACUAAUUUAACUUAUGCAAACAAAUGGAUUAACCUACUUCUAGUUUCCUAAAAUGAGAUGCAAUUCUAAAUGAUAUGGUCCAAUCACAUAGAGGGUAAGAGAAUAAUAGUAGGGGAAAUAUCAUGCAAAUGAAAUUAAUCUAAAAAUAAAAAUGCAUGAAAUGUAAUAAAUGUCACACAAGGUAUGAAUUUAGCACAAAAAACGGCCUAAAGAGUCUAGUACUGGACUAACUCAUUUCUACAAGUCCUCUUUAGUAUUGGAAUAUUGAGAAAUCGGAAAGAAAGAACAAAAUUAGCAUUGGAAUAGUGUGGUGACAUCAUGUAUUUAUUAUAAGUAAAUAAAGCAUAUAAAGUAUAAUUAAAGCAAAUAAACACAUAAAGCACAUAUAUCACAUAACACAUAGGCAUAAUGUCUAAAUGCAAAAUCCUAAAGAAAGCAAAAAAAAAAAAACACACAUUAGUACACAAGCACACAAGCAUGCAAACAAAUAAGCAAAUGAAACCUAACUAUUACAUUAAGGACUCUAACCACAAUUUAGAAGGGGAAUUUUUGGAAAUAAUAAACCUAUCUAUUACAUUUAUCUAACUAAUUACAUUUUUGAUAAAUAUAAAAUCUACCUAUUACAUAGCCUAACUAAAUACAUUUUUUGGGCAACUAUCUAUUACAAUUUGACAUUUAAAUGCUUCCCAAAUAAUCAUCAAAAUUAAAUAGAACAAAUAAAAAUUUAAAAUGAAUAAAAUGAGUAAAUAAAAGAAAAAGCACUCAAAACAUGCAAUCACACAUAAAAAAACACAUAGGAGCACAUAAAAGAAUUUAAAAUAAUAAUAGAAGGUACCUCCCUUGAAGUAGUAGUUAAAUAAGGUGGAACUUGCCCUAUUUAUAUUUCAAAAUCAACAAAAUAGUCAAGACACCAAUUUAAUUAACAAUUAAAAAGAAAAUGUAAACAUGUAUCAAAUUCACUUUUACUAUAAUAAGAAAAUAUGAACAAACAUAGAAUCCCUAAAAUUUACAAAUUAAAUGCAUUUAAAUGAAACAUGAUUAACAAUUAAAGGAGAUAAACAAAUUAUACUUAAGAAAUCAAAGCUAUUAGGGACCUAAUUAUAAUAAUUAAAAAGUUUUUAGGAUCAAAUUAAAAUUAUUAUGAAGAUUAGAGGUCAAAAUUAAUCAAAGAUAAAAUUUAGGGACCAAAUUGAAAUUAAAUUAAGAACCUAAUUGAAAGAAAUCCAAAGUUUCAGGGUCACAAUAGAAUUAUGCAAAAGAAAAGGGACCUAAUUGUAAAUACGUUUCUGGUUUGUUAAGCAACAAGGUCACUGGGCCAUUUCUGAUUAUUUUCGUGAGCCAAACUUGCCUUUGGCCCAAUGGAGAACCCAUAAAAAGAAGGGGCUAGCCCGUUUCUGAUUAAGCAAAAUCAACCAAAAAGGGUUGGGCUUUAACUACCAAAGCCCAUGUCUUUACCCAAAGAAAAUGAAGGCAAAUCCACUCUCCAAAACGCAACAAAUAACCCUAGCCCAACUAUUAAAUUGUUUUCCUAAACCCAGAGAGAGAACAUGUCCUUUUAGGAAAAUAAAUUCAACAAAAUUAUUUAGGCCUUAAUCCCACCCUAAAACCCAGAAAUAAUUUACUCAAAACAUUACAUAAAAUGUGCAACAAAGUCAAGGCUUGAAAAGUAGGGAUGACAAUGGGCCGGUCACCUGCCCCUCGGGGGACUGUCGAGGCGGUGGUUGGGGCGGGGGCGGGUAAUUUUAUUCCCCCGUUUAGAAACGGGGCGGGGGACGGGGAUACAUUCCCCACCCCAACCCCGCCCUGUUCCCCGCAAAAAAUAUACAUACAUAUUAUAUAUACACACACACACAAAUAACAAAAGAACAAACGAAGAAACGAACCUCCAUACUUCUCACACCCUCUCUGCACAUAAUAACAAACCAUGACCAGAGUUUGAGUCUUCCCCGCAGACUUCUCAUCAUCAUCAACAACUAGUGCAUAAUUUAAACUAGGCCACUAGCUACUUUGCCAACAUGAGUAAAAUUGUCAGCGUCUACCAAAUCAUCAGCAACAUUGAAAUGCAAACUAGGCUCACCGCAACUUUGUUGAUAUUUCUGCUUCAAUCGUUGUUGAUUACCAGCACCAAAUCUUCUAGAACAUCCAGAUGCUGGGCUCUUCAGAUUUGCCCUCAAAUCAGAAGAAAGUUUCGACUUUUGGGAAGAAGUUUUUGAAGCGGGCCUUCUAGCGGAUUGCCACUGGGAGAGGAAAGAAGGGCUCUUUCUAAAACUUUGUGAAGACGAUUUUUUGGGCACAUCAUUUUCGUUAGCAAUUGAUUUAUUAGAUCUAGGCCUGGCGGAAUUAGGAGUUGAUUUUGGGGCUGACUUGGCAACAAGGGGUUUAUUUCUGAGUUUGAAAUUGGGAUCCUUCUAAAGAUGGGAACUCGAAGAAGAAGAAGAGGAGCGAGGUCUUGAGUUUGACGUAGAGGAAAGCAGAAACUUGAGGCAACGGGGGACAGUGGGGAAACGGGGCGGGGGCGGAGCGGGGGGUGGGGGCAAGGUCCCCUCCCCACCCCCGUCCCAUUGCCAUCCCUGUUGAAAAGGGAAAAUUUGAUCCAUUUUUCACAAACCUUUGGGCCUUAGUAUAAUUAUGUAAAAGUCAGGAGGUAAAAGUGCAAUUUCCAAUUUUCUCCAUGCAAGCUGUUCGAAGCUUUUCUGCAAAUCUGGAAGCUUAUCAAACCCAAAAACCCUACCAAAAUAAUUUAACAAAUUUCGGAUCUAAACACGUGAGGCUAUGCAAUCUCAAACAUUAACACAAGAUUUCUAGUUCCAAACACAAGCACAUGAUCAUGCAUCAUGAACCAAGAGAGCAAGAUUUCUGAACUUUUACUUGCAAAUGAGUUGGAGCAAAGAGAGAAAAGUGAAUGAGGGUUACCUCUGAGGCUUAUAGAAGUCGAAAACAGCAGUGUAAAUUUCCAAGAAACGUGCAAACUUCACCCAAAGAGCAAAAACCAGGUUGCCACAGUUGUGCUAAGAGCUGUAAGGCGAGGACAUUGGAGCUCGAAUUCAAGGAAUUUAGGGAUGUUUUUUUGGGACGGUUUCAAGACAAAAGUUUCUCCUCUAACACUGUAUAUAUUUCAGAAAAAAUAAUAUCCUCAAAAUGAGGUCGGGAUUUGUGGAAAUAGGGUGACGAACAGGAUUGGUUCGUCAACCCUGGCUCAAUUUUCUGCCCAAAAAAAAAUUUGAGGAGCCCAGUUCGGGCUUCGAUUUGAGGGGAUUAUGGUGAUUAUCUGGGCAAAGUUUCACACAAAAUUCUUUCUCUCUAUCCCUAGAAGGUGCAGAAAAAAUAAAUACUCUAAAAAGAGGUAAAAUGAAAGAGAAAGUCAGGUUGGAAUGGAGCUGGUUCACCAGCUCAUUUUUCCAGAUUUUUGCAGAAGAACUCUUCCUUUUUCUCCUCUGUUUUCCUUUCUUUCUUUUCUCUUCUUCCGCCGUUUUUCCCAUAACCCUCCUUGCCCUAAAGCUGUGUUUUGUUCCUAUUUAAAUGAAACAAAAGCUCCUAAAAUCCUCCUCUCAAUGGUUGAGAUGAGGUGGGUUUCGUUGGCUCAUUUUGAGCCAUUUGAUGAUCCAUCUUCCAGAAAUUUCUUGAUACUUCUUGAUGAGUGAGGUGCAUUGUACUGAUAAUGCUUAGGAAAUAAAGAAAAGGCAGAAAAAUCGAACCAAAAUUUGUUCCAAAAAUGCCAGCUGCAUCUUCGUACUUGCAUGCUGGUUUUGUUGGCUUGAAGAAAAUUGCGCGCGCCUGUAGCCAAAAAAUUUUUUUUAAUAGAAAAACGGCCUUUUCUUCUUUCUUUUUCUUUUUUCUUCUUCUUUUCUUCUCUUUUUUUUUUGCUGUUUUUCUUGAUCCCCUUUAUCUUCUUUCUUUGAUUUUCCUACAAAAUCAAUCAAAUAAAAAUCAAAUGAGAUAAAAAUGAUUUUUCUUAGAAAAAUAAAAUAGAGAUAAAUAAAAAUAAAAAUAAAAAUGAUUUAUAAAAAUUUUGGUGUCUACAGUAUAUUUGGAGUUCCUUUUGAUAUAUUAUAUAAGUGUGGUGUUUUAUAGUUGUUUUUGUUUAUGUAUUAUUGUAGUAUUGUAUAUGAAAAACUUAUUUUUCAAAAAAUAAAGAAUCCAAACAGAGCAUUUUUUCUUUGUUUAGACAUUUCUACAAACACUUGAUAGGGAAAUAAACCAUGAAUUACAAAAGAAAAUUUUUCUUUUUUUUUUCUUUGCUUCACAAGCUCGGGUAAAGGUGAACCCCGAAAUUUUUGAAUAGCAAUAAGAAGGCCCCUAUAGAUCCCAUUAAUUUUAGAUUCAAUCCAGUAAUUUAAAAUUCUGUAAUGAAAUGGGAGCUUAACUAAAGACAGGGGCAAGAGCUAGGUAGCAGGAACAAAGGAAGCGUGAAUGUCAGCAGAAGAAGGCGUGAUCACUGGACCAGAAGGUCAUCGAAGGCGUGAUUCUUUAAUUCAGCUGCUCUAACAGAAAUUCAAAAGCGCGGCAACUCGCAGAUGCAUUGGACACGUGUCUUAUUCUUAUUAGUCUAGCUAAUAAUCUGUUAGGAUUUGUUAACAUUAAAAGCAGGCCUGUCUGCUUUAUUUUGGUUAGCUUUUUGAAAUUAUUCUUUCAGAUUCAUCUGAAUUAGCUUGAGGAGCAAUCCUCAGUUUCCCUCCCAUUUUUCCUUCGAUCUUACCCCUUCUUAGCUAAAUCCAUUAUUUCUGUUCUUGUAAUUUUGAUUUCCAAGAUUCAAUUAAUGAAAGAUCAAGUUCAUUCGUUCACUGUUUCAUUGAUUCAUUGUUAAUUGGUUUCCUUUAUUUGAGCUUGUUUCCUUCUGAUUCCUGCAAACUCUGGCUUCUCUGGUUUCUGUACCAUAACAAAUUCAAAACCAAUCCAGACAAACCAAUGUUGUUUCAAUUGAAGACAAAACAAUGCCAAAUAGCAAUCAAUCUAGAAUCGAUGCUGCUGCGCCCUUGAGAUGUUGAUAUUCUCGUGUCGAUUGGAGAGAUUUUGCCAAAAAAAAAAAAAAAAAAAGCUAAGAUUGAGUAGCCUUUCCAUAAUCUACACUAAAGGUUGAUGCUAAUGGCCUUUAAAUACUUUGCAGAAGUGUUCUCUAUUCUAGCUAUACUAGGAGAGGAACACCGCACUAUGUGCGGUGUGAAGUUACAAGUUUAACAUGCCCAGUAGGAAGUUAAAAGGUUAAUAUGACCAGAGCCCUCAUUGGCUUUAUUUUCCAACUAAAAAUUAUUUUUUAUCAUUUUCUGUAUGUGGUAGCUAAUGAAGCAUUUUGUCAACAUUUCAAUUAAGAAAAGAAAUAAUACUAAUAAAGUUAAGAGCAUAAUCACACAUAAUUGAGAUAAGCUCUCCAACUGUAUGAUGUAUCUCAUUAGCUGUGAAAAGUAAAAUUUAAGAUAUAAGAUACAUUAAUCCAGAAAUAUUGACUGCUAUAUCUAAAAAAUGCCUCUCGUCUUUUCUUAUCUAGCGUCGCGUUCAAUCAGCCAAUUAUAGUGGAACUAUGCAUUAGUGGUCAAAAUUUAAAAAAAAAAAAAUCAUCACACAGUUUGAUAUCUAUACUAUAGCAAGUGGCUGUUGAAGUAAAUAAUGACUUUUGGUAAAGAUAUUGGAAAGGAUAAAACAAAGUAUCAAGCAUUCAUGACAAAAUUCCAUGAGCUUCCAUUAGCUUCCAAGUUCCAGCUAUCUAAAUAUCAAUCAGAUCUGCCAAGAAGGAAUCAUAUUAGAAUUUAAUAACAUUUUGUGUAAAUAGUAGAAUGACAAUCUUGUUAAAUCACAGGUAACGCAUCCGUAGUUUUUGCCACACUUCAUGGCAAAAUUGUAAGGAAAUACUAAAGCAUGAAAUAUAAAACAAAGUCGUCAAGAACACAUUCCCUACUCCUAAGUUUGAGCCACCAAUAUAUUUGAAUAAUACCUCUUGCCAUUCAACUUUUUCUCAAACAUUAAUGUUGGAUAUAUAAAUAAAGAAUAGAAGCCAAUAAACAGCAGAUGCAUUUUGAGCCACCAUCUUAUUUGGAUAAAUACCUCCUGCCAGCCAAUUUUUUCUCAAACAUGAAUGCUAGGUAUAAAUAAAGAACAGAAAAUCAAAAACAACAUAUGCAUUUGAGCCUAUAAAUCAUGUAGUUAUAUUUCAUUCAUGCCACAUUUUCGCCAAGACAACAUGAAUGAACAUAGGACAUCAAUUUAAACUGAAAGAAAAUUUUCUCUUCUUUCUUAAAAAGCUCAAUGACAAAACAAAAAGCUCCAAAAAAUCAAGCAAAAGCUACAGAGAAAUUUCAAUAUAUUAGUUUGGUAUUUGUUAGAGUUUAUUUUUUAAAUCCUAAAACGCAAUUUAUUCUCUAUGUAAUUCUUAGAUUUUAAUUUUCUUUUUUACAUAAAGGUAUUAGAAAAUUCUAGUUGCCUAAUUGAGAAAAGGUGGAGAAGUAAGGAGUAAUCACCACCUAUUGAUCAUUCCCCACUAUACACAAUUUGGCUAGAAAUUUAGGGCGGCAAUAUUUAAACUUACAACUGGGAUGGAGCACAUGAACAUUUUUUUUCUACAUACAAAGAUCUUAUCUUAAGGUUCUUUUAGCCAUUUCAGUUACAUCAUUCCGACUACUCAAACAUGAAAGCAUUAGGAGGGACAGGACAGCGAGUAACAAAAGCUACAAUCAAUCAAUGUACAUCAUUUUCUUAGAAAUUACUACAUCUAAAGAGUUAUUCAAAAAUGACACCAUCAAAGUAGAGAAAAAAUUUAUAAUGAUUUCAUCAGUAAUCAUAACUUUAAAUGAAAUAGGGUGAAAACAAAUGCUAUUAAACCUGGACUAAAGAUCUUAAAGGAAUGGAGCAGCCAAAGAAGACUUGCAACCUCUUAGUGAUGAAUUUACUAAAAUAGGUAAAAUACUAAAGAAACUGACUCUAAAUCAAAAGGAAAUGCAGUAUCUUCACAAAAUUUCAUACUCCACUUUUUCCAAGAAUAGUAAAUAGGGUAAAGUGACCAGAAAAUUAUAGUAAAAUGCUAAGAAAAAAUUGAAGAGAACACUAAAACAUCAAAAACAUACCAUUAAGGCUAAAUGGAAAAAUUAGCCUCCUUUUUGCUUUGUUCCUUCAUCUAACAAAAAUUUAGUAUAAAUAAAUAUCAGAAAAAUCAAAUUUAUUAGGAAAAAUAAAAGGAAAAAUGAAAUCAUAUUAACUUUUCUCUAUGGGAAAAAGACAGAGAGUCGAUACAAUGCUCACCUUGAGAAAAGAAUUCGCAAAUCUUAACAUCUCAAGCUACAACAAACAUUUGAAACUUAUGAGAGAGCAUAAAUAAUUAAUAUGUUAGACCAUCAAAUCUAUCAUAGGAUAUGUGAGACCACAGUAAGGAACAAGAAAAUGACAAUAAAGCAUAAGGAUUAGCAUGAAGUGAAGAAAUUGUGUUUCCCAAUUAAUAACCAAACAUUAAGCACUAAACAUCUAAAAUGCAUUUCCAAAAUUUCACAUCCAGUUCAUACCGAUGCAAUACUUUUUCAAGUUGAAUAUAUUCCUUUUGUAAUAAAAUCCAAAGCAUAACAUGCAAAGGACACAAAGGAAGGGAGAAAGGUGAUUUGUUGCUUUUAGCCAAGAAAAGAUCAGCCAAAAAAGUGCCAGAAAAAAAAAACCAAAGGCAAACCUGAAGUGAACAUUUUGCCAAAAACUGAACUAUUCUUUCCUUCUUCAAGAUAUGCAUUAGUCUUCAUUAGUCUUCAAGAUAUGCAAAUCAUGUCGAUCUAGGUAAUAAGAAAACAAAACAAAAUAUUAACAGAUCGUGAUAUGUUUAGCGAGUUAAGGAGACUUGCCUGUUUUUUUUUUGGAACACCCUUUUAUUUCCUCUUUUUAGAGGCCGAGGGAGAUUUUUUGUGGCUCCCAAAAGAAAAAAAAAAAGAAUUAUACAGAAAAGUUAUGGCAAGCAAAAAAGGAAGAAAUUAUACAUAAAAAAGGGAAAACAAAGGUGAGAAGAUAAAACCUGUGAGUAGUCAGAUGAAAAAAUAGUGAGCGAUCUACAAGAUCACACAAAAAAUUGUGGUCCAAAAAAAGUAACAAUUGAUGGUCAAGGAUGCAAGUAAUAAUGCAUCAGAAAAUGCAUGUCAAGGAUGUACAAAUUAAAGGAUAGAAUAUAGAGAAAAGGGUAAAAGAAAAGCAAAAUUAGAAUAACUAACCAGUGUGUAUGAAGAAGUCCAACACCGCACAACUGAAUAAUAGCUGAAGCUAUCAAAGAAACCACGAUCAUGUAAAAGAUAAUAAGAAAGGUGACAAAAAAACAGGAGAGUAAAAAGAGAAGCUGAUUCGGUGAUAAUAAUUUUGAAGGGACAGAAAAAAAUUAAAAUGGUCGAACCAGUGCUUGAGAAAAACAGAGAAGCAAGCAAGAAAUAAGAAACAAAGCAGUAUGACAGCAAUUCCGAAAUAUUUGAAGAAUUAGAGAAAAACAAAGGAAAGCGAAGCGUAAAACCAACAUGCUCACCAGGAAGCAACAACGGCAACACCAGCGCAAACUAAAACCAAACCAAUAAAUUGGGAAAAAGGAAGGUUCAAAAUAGCUAAAGAAAAAUGAAGAACAAUAGAAUAGGGAAAAGAAAGCAGUAGAUGCAUCGUUACCACUGAUCAUGAUGAUGAUCAGUAGAAAAUCUGGUGUGGAAAGCCAGAGAAACUGCAUAACCAUUGCAUCAUGAUCAGUAGAAAAUCUGGUGUGGAAAGCUAGAGAAACUGCAUAACCAUUGUGCAAAUGCAAUACACAAAACAAUGUCAAUCAACGGGAGCAAAAGAGCUGAUAGUUGACAACGGGAAAAAGUUAUUUUUUUGCAGAUUUACAGACAUAACCCAAGUAAAGGACAAAAAGACUAUAAGAGCUUUUGAGUGGAAGCGUAAAUACAGUCAGAAGGGAUGGGUAAUAUAGUGAACAGCUCAGGUACAAUCAACCGUCAACAAAAAGAGGCUGAUGACAAGAAGUGUGAAGCGGCGGAUGAAGAAAUCGAGAAAGUAUGCAUCAAAACCAAACAAACAAAAUCCGGCUACAAACAAAUGGUCCAUAAAUUAAUUGCAAAGAAUUGUAAUUAAGCAUGUUAAUUUAGAAAAUAGUUAAUUACGAAUCAAUUAAUUAAGACCACCAAAAGCAAAGAAGAAAAGACUAAUGAGAAGCGUUUCUGAAGCUGGAGCAAGGUAGACAUAUUAAUUAAAUAACAAUUAAUUGCAACAAAUUGGUAAUUAAUUGCGAUUUGUUAGGCAACAAAAAAGUAACGUUAUUAAUGAAUUAAUUAACAAUUAAUUGUUAAAAAAGGAAACCAAAUGUGAUUUGAUUGGCAUGCAAAAAAAAGAGGCUAAAUUUUGGCUAAUAACUACACAGAAUUGGUAAUUAAAAGCGAUUUGUUGGGUAAAAAAAAUAUUAAUAAUUAUAAAAACAGGUAAGUAAUGUGAUUUAUCAAGCAAUAAAACUGCGAAAGUAUAACUUAAUUUCGGUGAAAUUAAUUGCAAAAAAUUUAAUUAAACCUGAUUUGUUGGCCAACCCAAAGUAAAGAGGACAUUUUUUAAUAAAUUUAAAAAAAGGUAAUUAAAUGUGAUUUUUUGGACAAGCACACAAAGCUCAUUUUUUGUUAAUAAUUGCAAGAAAGUUAUUAAUUAAACGUGAUUUGUUGGGUAAAAAAACGACACUAUUAAUUAGUUAUUAACAAUUAACUGUAAAAAUUGGUAAGUAAAUGCGAUUUAUUGGGUUAAAAAAUGGAGCCAAAAUAAUAAAUAAAUAAUAACAAUUAAUAGUGGGGAAUCAAUAACAAGCUGCCAUUUUGACGUCCAAUAACAAGCAGUUCCAAUAACUGGCACGUCUUUUUUAUGGCACUUUCAAGCACGAGCACUUCCAAUAACAAGUUAUGUUAGUAUAAUAACUGGCAAUGCCAUUUGGAAGUGCUUGUUAUUGAGCUGCCAUUUUUUUCCAAUAACAAAGCACUUCCAAUCCAAUAAAAAAAAAAAAGAAAAGGAAAAAACCAAAGGCACGUGGGGCCAGAAUUUAGCGGCAGACUUCCAAGCCAGACGUCCAAGCAAAACAAAGAAAAAAAACAAUCGGCUGGACGACCAAUUCACGCGAGCGAAUUCACACGAAGCGACGACCACCAAUCGUCCAAUGGAAGCCUGCCACGUCAGUUAUCAGAACCCAAUUGAAAACCUCCCAUUCCCGCAUAGACUAGAUAUGUUAAUAAACAGGAGAACUGCCCAGUGCCCAUCAUCAAUUAGCGGUAUAUUUCAUCAUAAUACUGAAGUUCGUCUGCUAAAAGCUUUUAUUCUUUUGGGUUGGGCGAUUUAAAAUAAGUCUUACAUAUAGCCUACCAAUGCACUCUAAUCGCAAAUGGGAUUCGAAUACAAUUGCUCCUAAUAAAAAAAAUUUCAUUAAAUCUUGCGUGUAAAAAGUGCAAUGCUUAAUUUUACCGCAUGGAUGAUUCAAAAUAGAGUAAAUUACUUUUACUUCUUGCGAUUUCACGCUCGAUCACAUAACCCCCUAUAAUUUCAAUAUGACCACAUAACCCCCCUAUGGUUUCGUGGAAUGUGAAAAGUAGACGGAAACAUCCCUUCGUCACGUGAAGUGGCAGACACACACACAAAAAGUAUUACGAAAAUAAUGAAUAUACUUGAAAAAUUCCCAUAUUUUGGCCAGAAUUACCCUCAACCCUCACUAUCAUUAGUAUAUAGAGAAUGCAAGCCCUACAAUUUCCAAUUUGCCACCGUUCUUCCAUCUUAUCAAAAUUUUCUUUGUCUAAUACAUCUUCUAACACAUUAAUUGAAGGCCGGUGAAGAACUGGCUUCUGCAAGCACUGGCAAUGGAGGCAACAAGGAUUUAAGGUACCAAUAUCAAAAUGUGAAUGUGGCAAUAAGGCUGUGCUAAAGAUUGUUGAUUCGGAAAAAGCAUGUAGAGCAUUGUUAUAUUUUGUUUGUGAAAGCAAUCAGUAUGGGUUCUUUGGAUUGUAUCAUAAAGGAAAAAAUGCAACAAAGUAGUAGAACCUAUCCCACAAGUAGAGAAAUAGUGAGCAAAGACAGUUCCAUGGACAGUCCAAUUAUUGAGAGGCAAAAAAUGGAAGAUGGUUAUUAUUUGGCACAUAUGCAUGUUUUGGAAGCAAAUCUGAAUAUGUUAAAGAUGUUUAUGAUUACCUCUAUCGUCAUUGCAAUGGUUUCAUUGCUAAUCUCAAUGAAAACAAAAGCAGCCAAAAUUAGUGAAACACUCUCAUCAAAACACAGUCCAAGUUCAUACAUUUGUGGCCAUCUUGGCAUUGUUAGCUCGUAUAUUUGCCAACACAGAUGACACAGUUGGGGUAGGCUUUGGUAUCCUUGAUGUCCUCCUAGACUCCAAAUGUGUUUCACCAAUUUCGUCAGUAGCUUGAAAAGUGGUUUGAUUCACUUCACUUGCAACAGGUUGCAUCACCAAAAAACAUUCAAACAAGUUUCAGGUAAGUGAACUUUUUGGUUUCCAAUGUGAUACAAAUUUCAUCAAGUUAAUACCUGGGAGAUGGACUGAGGCACGUACAUGUUUGUCUCAUAAAUUUGCUUAAGAGGAGGCUGGGAUGGGUCCAGCAUGUGGGGUCUUCUUUUUUCUAUCAAGAUUACUAAUUACAUUAGCAGCAUUUGUAGUUGGUAUGGUAGUUGAAGCUUCAAUUCUCACAUCAAAUCCUUCUUGAACUCUAUGUUCAGCAUUGUUAACUUCUUGUUCAACACCAUUUGAAGGUACAACAGACCCUAUUGGACCCUAAAAUGCACCCAAAUUCAGUAAAUUAAUGUAACACAUAAUGACUGAAAUUAAUAUCAAAAUGAGUGCAUACUCUAUUGAACUUCCUAUUUGGAUGAAUUGGUUGCUUACAGCUCUUAGAAUUAUGUCCGGGCCUCAAACACCUUUUGCAAUGAGCAGUUAACCAUUUUCUUGUAGAUGUGGAUGAGGUUGUGGUUUCAUCAGCUUGCCUUCUCCUCAAAUUUUUAAGCCUCCCAGCUUGCUUUCUCACGAAUGGUGGAAGAAUUUGCUCAGCUUCUGGUGGCCAUCCCAAUAAUGCAUCGAUGUCAUAGGAGAAAUGUGGUAUUUAUACACAGCCAAAUAGGUGUCCUUGCUGUAGCACCUAUCAACAAAAUCUUCAGAAGAUAAUCUGGUUGUUUGAAUAGCUAUAACUCCAUGGGAACAGGGAAUUCCUGUUGACUGGAACAGUCCACAUGUGCUGGAUCUUUUCUUCAAAUCUACCACAAAAACCCUAUCAACACCACAAUCUACUUCAUAUUAGCCUGGAUGGGAAUAUUAAGAAAAAAAAAACCCUAGUUGAGCACCUGUUCUUCUCAAGUCUUUCUUGAAUAUUCGGGCUAAUAGCACCUCCAAGUUGUUCCAUUCUAGCCUUCUUAAUUUGAAUUAUCUUCAUUAGUUUCCUUUAUCUACUCAAACAUGCUGAUAAUGGCAAGUGACCUUGUUGGAAGUAUGUAGUUGAAAGAUUCAUUUAAAUUGUUGACUAAAAUGUCACCUUUACAGUCGUAUGUAAAGUAAGCCCUUGACCAUAAACCAUUCUGCUGCAUUAAGUACAUUUCCUGGUUUCGGAUCAGCCCUCUCCAAUGCAACCAUUGCCCUCUUGAAGUUAUGUAUGUUACCUGUAGAUGCUACUAACCAAAAGUGGUCUCUUAACUCCAUUCCUUUGAACCUCAACUUAAAGUUUUGAUAGAGAUGUCUAACACAAUAGCUAUUGGCAGAAUCUGAAAAAACAUUAUCGCCUUCUUCUUGUCCUUCGUCUUUUGUUAUCUUUGUCUUGUCCCCUACUUCUUCCUUUGAGUUCUAAAAGACUAAUUAUUAAAUGCCACAUCCACUAACUUUUUUUUUUUUUGCCUCUUCCUCCAAACUCCAAACUCCAAAUUUUUUUUUUUUUUGAAGUUGCAAUAUCUAAAUCCUAAAAAAGUGAAUUAAAAUUUAAACUCACAAUGUCUAAUUCUCAUAGACGUGAAUUUUGUAUAAUUUCAUAAUAUUAUGGUAUUUUUGGAUUGGAUUUAAUAUUAUUUUUUUUGGUAGAUAGAAUUGAGAUUGAGAUUAAAUUUAUUUGUUUCAACUUAUAAUUUAAAAAUUUUAUUUGUGAAAAUUCAAGUUCUUUGAAAAUAUUAAACUUUUCAUCAUAUAAAGUUUUAAAUUAGUCCAUUGCAUGUCUUAUUUUGUGCAUAUAUAUUUAUAUAAAUUAUUUUUUUAAAAUUCAUUAAACUAGGGUUGAACCGAUCUAAUCAAUUGAAUCUCGAUCCAAACACCUCGUCGGUUCAAUUAACGGUCCAAGUUUUAAAACAUUGGUCAUCAUCACAUCUUUCAACAUAUAAGGUCAUGUAUUUUAGCCCUUCAUAUAACUUUAGCAGUGUGUCAAUGUCCUUGUCAUUGUUAAUUUUGGCUACCACCACGUCCAAACUAUGAAAAGGAAUUUGAUACCAAAUCUCAAUUUGCUUUGCUUCUUUGUCUACUCUAGAAUACAAGUGACAUAGACAGGCUCUAGUUAACUUCUUUUAAGGUUAUAACCACUUAACUUUUCUAUCCUGUUUCCACUGUAUGAGAUCUCAGGUUCUCAUGUAAACCUUCCACCUAUAUAUAUGCAUGUUACCAGGGGUGGUCGUCAGCAUAUUUUUCAUGUUAUCAAAGCCUAUAGAUGACAAAAUGUCUGCAUAAGUAAUUGUCUUCUUCCAACUUGUCAAAAUAUAUAAAACACAUUCAUGUUUCAAGGACCAGCCAAUAAUACUACAUUAUUACCCCCAAUGAAUUUUUUUUUUUGUCGAUACGAUAGCUUUUUAUACUAUGGGAAGGGAGAGGGCUUGAAGAGGUCCUGGAAUAACCCGAAAAGGACUGAACUACCACUAAAUCAGACGAGUGCACUACACACCCGCUUAAAUUUUUUAAGUAAGAUCACAUUUAAUUAUGACAAAUUGAUGGGAGACAAAGUGAACAAGCCUUAAUGCAUUGGUGUGGUCACCAGUCCAAUGACUGGUGGUUACCCCAGUGGACCACUGAAUUUUUUUUUUUUUCCGAAACAUUAGAAAUUUUAUAUCACAAUCAAGCUAUACACUGUUGGAGCAAGGGCUCCUAUUUUAACAUUAGUGCAAUUAGCACUCUGGGGUGGAGUAAUUCCACUCCAUGUCACAAAAGUUUAGAAGAGCAAUUUUGCUCAAACUAUAGCAUAAGCUAUCAAAGGACCACUGAAUACUAAACAUCAACAUCUGCUUAGGGACCACAGUGUUACCCAAAAAUAAACAACUGAUAUUACUUUAUACCUACUACUUCACCAACUUUUUUUGGCAGAAUUUGUUUAAUUACAUGCAUGUGUACACAACAGUAGAAUACCCGACUAGUGAAAUAACACAAAAUUUGAUAUGCUACCGACAAAUUUUAGACCAUAACAUCAUUCCAUAUCAUAGGGAGUUAAGAAAAUUAUCAUGAAACCUUGGAUCUGCAAUUUAAAAAAAUAUGCUAACACCAGUACGAAAGCUAUUUAGCCAUUCAAAUUUCAAACUUCCAAAUUCAGACCUUGAAAUACCAAAACUCUAAAAUCGCUAAAUCAGAUUAAAAAAGAAAGUAGUAUUACUUACCAAAUCAGUGUUAUGCGAUGUUUUACUACUACAGAAAACCCUUGAUUCGAUAUUAGCUCCAACUUCGAUCUUGCUACGCAGCCCUUUAUUGUUGAUUCUCUUUCGGUUUUUCACUCUCUCUCUCUAAGAAGAAUAGGAGAAAAUUCCUAAGCGUUCAAGGAUGGUUGCUUGAUCUUAUUAUUUGGUAUAUACAUGGGGACAUUUUAGAGAAUUCAUAUUUAGACGUUAUGGAGGAUGUUUCCGUCCACAUUCCACAUUCCAUGUAACCAUAGGCAGGUUAUGUGGUCAUAUUGAAACUAUAGGGAGUUAUGUGGUCGAGCAUGAAACCACGGAAGGGGGGUAGAUAGUAAUUUACCCUUCAAAAUUAAGUUCACAAACUUUCAAAAUGGAUGCUCUUUCAUACGACCACUUUGGACAAGGGCAUCCAAUGCAUCGAUAUUUUCGAUCCAUGUAACUAUAGUUCUGUUGGUCAAGAAAGAACAUUUAAAAUCCUACCCGCAGGAUCUAAAAUCUGCUAAAUGUGAAACUUGAAAGACUCCAAAAUAUGCAUUAUAUUUUGCUGUUAAUAGGUGCGGUGGUGGUUUAAAUCCCCUUGCAGUUCUGUUUUCCGUGAAAUAUUGGGUGCCCUUAGGUUAAGACUAUGAAGCACGAAUAGUGCCACUACUGGAAUCUUCCACUAGAGUAGCACUCUAUAUUUUGUACAAUAACAAAUCUUAGCCCGUGUGAUGUAAAAUUGACUUCGACACCUCAAAGGUGUAGAGUUCCUACUUCCUAAUCUAGGAAUUCUUCAGCUCCUUGUUUGAUCAUCUUGCUUAUUCAGGCAAUAUCUAUCAUACGGGACAGAAAUCUAAUCUUUGUCACAGAAAUGCUCCAGUUUGUGUAAUUAGAUGCAGUGUGUCCUAUAUAAUAGGGAAUCUAGGAAUUUUCUUUUUGAGAGUUUGGAGUCAAUAAGAUCCUGAACCCAUGUAAACGAAGACAUAUUAAUCAUUUCUAUUACAACACAAAAUGGAAUGCUAGAAUUUCAGCCUUUCUUGUUUGCAGAUUCCUGUUGAUAGCAUAAGUGGCUCUUCUGUGUGAAAACCUGUUCUACCUAGGGAUAAAAAUCGAAUCAAACUACUCAAUGUGUAGAUCGAGUUCGAGUGGACAGAAGCUCAUUUGAUCUUGGUUUGUCAACUAAUCAAGACAAGUCUGAAUGGUAUUUUGUAUUCAGUAAACUUUCAAACUCGACUCGAUUAUCAUAAAAGUAGAAUUUACAGGUUGAAAAUUCAAGUUACUUGAAUAAAUAAAAAUUCAUCUGAAUUCGCCUCAAAUAAAUAAGUAAAGCUUGAACAAAACUUUAAAUUUAUUAAAAUGAUCAAUCAAAGUGAAACAAAGUUGAUUAUUAAAAUAAUGAAGCUUGAUCAGCUUGAUUAGAUUCGUUGACGCCCUAGUUCUACCAAAGUAAAUAUCCUUUAGUAAUCUGGUCCACCUGGGAUUUACAGGAUACUAACACCGUAUACAAAAAUUAUCUGAGCUGAAACAUCAAAUCAAAAGGGUACCCAUUAGACAGCAGCGAGCGAGGUUAAAAAUUCCCCAUCACCAAGAUAUUUUCAAAACUACAGGGGCCACUUCUCUAGAAUUUUCACAUGUGACCAACAAAUUCUGUAAGUAACAACUAUUAUAUAUAUUUGGUUGAGACAAACAGUCCGUUAAAAUGCUCUUGAUGACAAGUACUUGAAAAUUACAGCAUUUAGAUUCCUAAAGACGCCACACCAAAGUGAUCAAACCAAGCAACUCUAAAACAUUGAAUUAUUUGGUUGAGAUUUACCUUUUCCCUGCAUCCUCGCAAAGGUUUUGCUUAAUAUUUUGAAACCAAAAGCUAAUGAUAUACUGUCAAUAAAAUGAUACAAAACCAUGGCUGAUCCAAAGAAGGUUUUCUGAAAUAUUGACCACAAUAUAUCACUGGCUCCCAAUACAGCGACUAAUUAAUAAGGGAAACCUCAUCUGAUGACAUCGACUUCGUUUGCAGACAAAAUCAAUCAAUUGUUUGGACCAGGAAGACUAAUCAAUCCUCCAUCCACCGACAAAUCAUGACCAGUGAUGAAUGCAGAGUCCUGAGAAACUAAGAACAGCACUGCUUCUGCAACAUGUCUAACUGUCAAGGCAAUUCCCUUCAAGCUAGUAAGCGGCCCGUAAACCUUCCCAAUAUCCUUUCCUCUUGUUCUUCGCACACAAGUAGAUGUCAACGGCGUUGCAAUGGCAGAAGGGGAAACGCUGUUUACUCUAAUUCCAUGAACUCCAAGUUGCUGACUCCCGCACCUAACUAGUCCAAGAACUGCAUGCUUAGCCAUUAUGUAAUCGGUCCGACUAACUCCUCCCCUGCUGGCUGCCACACUUGUUGUACAAACAAUGUUUCCCUUCACCCCCUGCUCCACCAUUACUCGUGCAGCGUGCUUUACACACAGACAGCCAUACCACGGGCAUUGAUAUCAAACAAACGAUCGAAUUGUGAGAAAUCGAGGUUAAGUACGGUCUGAUCAGAGGGACUUACUAUGCUGGCGUUGCUAAACAUGAUAUCAAGCUGGCCAUAGGUUUGAACCGUCCACUCCACCAAGGCCUUGACUUGAUUUUCAUCACUAACAUCACAAUGGAAAUAGCUGCACUGGUGUGAACCAAUGGAUUCAGUGACGAGUCGGCCCUUGUCAUCUUGUAUAUCGGCAACUACAACAGCCUUCACACCAUUUUCAGCAAAAAGAUGUGCUGUUGCUUCCCCAAUUCCGCUGGCUCCACCGGUUACUAUCGCAACUUUGCCUUCUAGCUUUUUUGUUGCUAAAGUCGAUGCUGGUUCUGUCAUUUCCUUUAAUCAGAAUAGGCCAAAAAUGUGGAUGGUGUUUAUAUGUUCCGCAUGUUUUGGCUCUUACAAGUGAUCCUACUAGGUUUUUAUUGGCCACAAAUAAUGUAUCCAGAUUCAGAUAUCAUAUAAUUUUCUACGGUAAGGCAGGUCCAAACCCCACCAUGUGUCACUUACUAGUUGGUUUGUGUCAAACUCUUGUAACAUGGUUGCAUUUAGAGGGAGAGGGGACAUGAGCAGGUGCUGUUGUGUUUUAAUGUGGUUGGAUCCGAUUAUUUUAUUUUUCAUAAUAAUUGAAAUUCGACUUGUUUCUCCAAAUUUCCAUUCAAAGCAUUUGAAAUUCGACUUGUUUCACAACUUGAACACUGAUUAGGAUUUGAAGUUCGACUUGUUUAUGAAAGCCUUUGAUCAAACAAGGUUGGCCUAUGGACCACAUUUUUUUUUUCUCUUCCCUUCUUAUGUGUCUCUUAUAAAUACUCUCCGUUGAUAGAUUCAAAUUUAGGAGUUACAAGUCCAGAUAUUAAGUAGUCUGAACACAGAUUUUUCAGGUACAGAUUCUACGUACAGUCAAUAAUGGUCAUUAUAUCGUUAAUAGGAUUUUUACAACCACUGCAUACUUUACACAUUUAUGAAAAGAAUUGUAACUGAAAUUUCUUAGACAACUUUUGGUAAUAAUCAUAUUUGUCCGUAUUCAUUUUAUAAAAGGUCAAAUCGACAUUAAUAUGACUGUUACAACCUUUAAAAAUAUUCAUAAUUUUUUAAAUGAAAAUAAUAAUUGAAAAUCUGAUUAAAUUAUUUUGAGGUUUUGGUUUUUUUUUUUUUUGAUAAGGCAUUCUAACACCAUGUGUAUUCUAUGCUUGAAAAUCACCUGUCCGGCCUCCAUUUGAGUCCACAGUCAUCAUGAAUUGAGGUUAACAUCUUGUGUUGUCUUAUUUUUCAUUCUUGGUUGCUUUUUGCCGAUAGUAUGUAAUGACAAUUGUCAGGUUUUCUCGCCGGACGUCAGAGAAUCAGGAGCCUUGGUCUGGGUAGGAUUUUAGGCAGCAAAACAUCAUCCAGUAACCAUGAUAACCAAAACAAUCAAGGAAAGCCUAACAAAGCCAUUGCCAAGAGGGCAAUUGGAGAAAUAAGAAUAUGUCAGGGUAUAAUUUAACCAAGCUACUCGACUCAAAUUCACGAGUAGCUUAGUUCAAGAUUCGAUUUGAAUUUGAUGUUGAUCGAGUUUGAGUGGAAUUCGAGUUACUUGAUAAGGUAUUCGAAUCAAGUACAAAUAGCAAAAAUCAAAGGGUUAUUAUCACUUUAACCCCUUAAUAUUUUGUACCUACAUUACUUUUUAGUUAUUUUACCCCAAGACUAACUGUCAAAUUUAACGAAGUUUGUUAAUCAAAUGAAAAAACAUAUUUAGCUCUUAAAAUUAGUAUUACUUUACCUCAUAAACUAUAACCUUAUUAUCAAUUUAACCCCUAGAGUUAUUUUUUAUACAAUUUAUCCCACCAUUAAACACACAUAGCAAGUUGAAGAAUUUUAGAAGAAAGUACCUUCUUUUUUGUAUAAUAAAAAUAAUAAAACAUUUAGAGUGGCUUUUCUCUUUUUUAGUAUCGAAACAAAAAAGUCAAAGUAUUAAUCUCUUUCUUCUUCGCAAUCUUAUUAAUAUUGAAAAAAUAGAAAGAUGGGGGGGAAGAGAGAGAGACAGAUCAAUUCUUUUUUGAAAAAAUAUAAAUAAGAAAUUGAUAAUAGUGAUAUAGUUUAAGAAAGUAAUAUAUUGAGUUGAAUUACUUAUGGGGGUAAAAUGAUUAAAAGAUAACAUUGGAGAGUAAAUUGAUAGCAGUGAUAUAAUUUAAGAGGGUAAAAUGAUAAUAAACUAAAAUCAAAACUCAAGUACUUAUUAAACCUUAUAAGCUAAAAGUUUAUGAAAUUUACCCCAAAAAAAAAAUCAAACUUCAAGAUUUGAUUGAACUCAAUUGAGUUCGAUUUAUCUUCUGAUUAAAAUAAAUAAAAUACUUAUGUUUGUGUUAAAAAAAAAAUCUUUUGAUUGAGCUUAAUUUGUUUGAAACUCAAGCUCGAGUCUCAAUUUUUAAGAAUUCAACGAGCGACGAGAUGGAGAUCAAGUUAAAGAAAUUUUAUUGAAGCAGAGUUCGAACAGUGUAGCCCUAAAUGUGACGUUGAAGGGUGGCACUAAGAAUUCAAUAACUCUUGGAAUGACGAAUGAUCCCCUUUCCAAGGCUACAUGAGUGCCCCCGUUCCGCAGCUGUUUUCACUUUUCAGCUAGUCCAUCACCUGCUACCGGACAAAGUUGGCACAAUCAGUGCCCCCACUACAUCUCCACCAGAUUGCCAGCUUGACUUGGUCAUUGCAAGUCAUCCCUCCGCCCAUGGCCGGCUCCUAUUGUGGUCUCAUCUCAUUCCUAAGAUCCUUGCCUUUUGACUGUCGCCUUAGUGGGGUACGAAAGCGAUGAUGAACCUCUGUUAAUUAGUUCAGGUUUUAUAAAAAAUAUUUAUAUAUAAUAUAAACGUGUUCUAGUCUACACAAUACCAAGGUUGGACCAUAAGUCCAAUACUAUAUGACCUUAUCGAAUUUUAGAUUGGACAAGGCUCUCAAUAUAUUUGCACAUAGAUGGAGUGCCAAUAGAUUUGUUAACAAGGAUCUAUACGUAUAGAAAAGGGAUGAAUUCACUCUAUUUAAUUAUCCUACCUCCAAAUUUUGAAAAUUACAUUAACCUCUUUUGAGGUUUAUUAUCUUGUAACAUUUAGAUCCAACUAACAAUUAAAAAGUGAUAUUAGGAGAGGGAGAGAGAGAGUAUGAUUCCACCAUUGCUUUUGAUCUACUAAAUUGUUUAAUUAAUGUAAUACCAAGCCAAACAUUAAAGAAAAUAUUAGAAUUUGCUAUUUAUUAUCAGGCAAUGUUUUAAAAGGCGAAAGUGUUGGGCAGGGCAUUUGGUAUCCGUCCCAACGAGGUAAAAGCCCCACAGCGUGAGGCGUAAGCCCCACGAAUUUUUAUUUUUUAAAUAUAUAUAAAUAUGAUAUAUAUAUUAUAAAAGUCAUUUGAAGAUAUAAAUAAAUAUAUUAAAAUUAGAUAAAAUUAAGAAAAUUUAUACAGAAAAUGAAUUAUUAUUGUAUAACUCUAACUAAUAAUUUAAGGAAAAUAUAUAUAUUGAUAUUAGCUGCACAAAAAGUAGAAUAAUUAACAUUACAAAAAGUUCAAUCUUAGAAACAACUAGUCACAACUUAGAAGUCACCACAUUAUCAAGCACUUAAAUCACAAACACAUAAAUUCAAGUAAACACAAAUUUCAAAGGUUAAUUGUUUCAAUAAACACACUUAACUAGUAUGAAAAAUAGAAUACCAAAUUAGCAACCAUAUUGCUUAAUUAUAAUACAUAACAAGGAAUAGCACCAAUAAUUAGAAACAAACUGACAAAUAAAAUGAUACUAUUCAUCAAAAUCAAUAUCAUCCAUGUCAUCAUCUUCAUCUAGUGUACAUACACUAGGUAAUUUUCUUCCAAUAGUUAAUGAUAGUUCCGAAAUUUUCAUCAUAUUAUAGGAUCCAAUCUACAGGUAAUAAUCUCUUUUCCUUUACCUUUCUUGCCUAACCAUAUAUUAUAUUUCAAAUAAAUUCGUCAAAUUCACUCUAUGUCUCAAUAUAAUAGAUAGUAAAUUAGUAAUAAAGUUGAAUAUUAAAAGUUAAAAACUUAAUUGAUGAAGUUAAAUCUUUUUUUCCUUUUUUUAAAGAUAAUUUGUGAGGUGCAUGCUUUUAACGCUCCACUUCAGAGACACACCCAAACACCUGGAUGCAUGCCAUAGAACACUUUCGCCUUUUACGACCACCCAGGGGCAGUAUUGGAACGCUUUACCCUGACACUCACCUUACGAACGCCUUUUAAAACAUUGUUAUGAGGAAUUAAAUCACAUAUGCUAUCAAAUAUAGUAUGUCAUUCUAUAUAUUUCAUUUAAUGUAAGAUUCAAAGUGCUCUUUUUAGUUACAAAUCCAUUGUCAAAUAAGAUCAACAACAAAUAAUUAAAAGAAUCUAUAAUCAAAAUAUUACAAAGAGCAAACUUUAAUACCAUAAAAAUCUCAACAACUAACCUUAAUAUGCUGACAAGAAUAUUUAUGAUAUUAAGUUUGUUCUUUGUAAUAUUUAGUCGCAAAUUUUUUGAUUAUUUAUUGUUGAUCGUGUUUGACAAUGAGUAUGUAGCUAAAAAAAGUAAUUUGGAUCUAAUAUUAAGUGAAAAAUAUAACAUAAUAUACUAUUUUUCGAUGCUAUAUAAGAUUUGAUCCCUAAUAAUAAAUAGCAAAUUUUAGUGUUUUUCCUUAAUGUGUGGAUUGGUAUUGAAUUAAUUAAAUAAUGCCAUAGAAGAGGGGCAAUAAUGGAAUCAUAUUAUCUUCUCUUUCCUAAUUUCACUUUUUAAUUAUUGAUUGAAUCUAAAUGUUACAGGAUAAUUAAUCAAGUGAGGUUAGUGUAAUUUUCGAAAUCUAGAGGAAGGCCAGUGAAAUAAUCAAAGGUUUUUGAAAUUAUCCCUGUAGAGAGAGCAAGAGAAUCACCUUGAUAAUUAAGAGAUCGAGCCCGGAUCUUCUUGCAAGUGAGAAGGUCUUGGAUAGACGGCCAACCUCUUGAAGAGACUGAUGUGCAGGAUCAGGUGAUAAGGAUGCAGCUUCGUGGAUUGAGUAACCGUAAGAACUUGCCCUUGAGAGGGGUACCAAAAUGUGAAUUCUUGGAUGGGCAUUUAUUUAUGGGCUUCCUCAAAAGAGGAAAAUAGAACUUCGCAAAAUUUCGAGGAAUUCAUAUUGCAGCACAUACAUUGGUGUUGAGAAUGUUGCAUUAUUGGCAAAAUGGCUUUGCAGGUGGGCAAUGUGGUGGUGGUAGAUUGCAGGAAUGGUGGUGGCUUGCAGAUAGGUUGCAUGAAAAAGAAAGGGACGUUUUGGUCCUUUUAGUUGACAAACAACAAAUUUUUACUAGUAUUUUCUUUGCAAAAAUUUGAACUUUUAACACUUACUUAAAUAUUUUUACCAACUAUUUAGUUAAAUGAUAUAUAAAAUGCAUCUUAUUAUUAGUAGCAUUAGCAUUAUUAUUGAAUUUUUAAGACUUUAUUUAUUAUGUCAAGAAAAAAUUGUUUAAUGUUAAACUACAUACGCCUUUUGAUUAAUUGUUUGAUUUUAAUUUUAAUUUUUGAUCAACCAAAUUUCAAAUUUAAGUACUUAAAUCUACUACAUAUGAUCUUCUAAAUGUGAAGUUGAAACUAAUAGAAUUUGUAUACAUUCAAAGUUGUCUCUGUAAAUAUAUAAAACCAACAUUUGCAUCUAAUAGUAAUAGGGUUAAUUACCAUAUAUCCACCUAAUAUAUAUCCUAUUUGUCUGUUUACCUCUUAACUUUCUUUUUAUGUCAUUUAACCUCCUCUAGAAGAACUCUACCACUCUAUUAUGUCGAUAUUUUAUUUCUUUUCUCCUUUCUCUUUUCCUUUUUCCUUCAAAUCAGUAAUUUUUAAAUUCUUAUUGUUAAGUAAAUAAAAAAUUGUUCUAUAUAAUAUAUUUCUUUGUUAAAUUUUGUAUUCAAUUCAAAUCUUAAUUGAAUUGAUUUUUUUUUCAUUGUUUUACAUAUCACAUUUCUAUACUAAUUUGUGUUCUUUUAUUUGUCAAAAACCAUCUUGACUAGUUUUAUGUUGUUUGUUCUAUAACUGCAUGGAGAAACUAUACAUACAUAUACAUACAUACAUAUAUAUAUAUAUAGACACACACACACACACACACACACACACAUAUAUAUAUAGUAAAUUACCAAUCAAUUGUAUUUAUUUAGUAUCAUUAUAAUUAGACAAGUUGAAAUAAAAGAUUAAUUUUUUGACAAUCAUGUUAACAAGCUAAUUAUUUGAACAUCUUUUUGGUCUAUUUCCUUUAUUAAAUAUUUUCUUAUAAUAUUACUUUCUUUACUAUUUCUUCAAAAGUAAUCAAAUAUUAAUAUGUUCCUAGUAAAUCUACUUCUAUCUUUUGGUACUUUACCACUACAAAUUAGAGUAAUCAAAAUUUAGCCACAAUUUAAGAUUAAUAAAGAAAAGAAAGAAGAAAAGGAAAACUAAAAAUUUAGCAUAAUAGAGGUGUAGUAUUGUCUCUUAGGGUUUAAAUGAGAAAAAAAAUUAGGGGUAAAUUACAAAUCUAACUAUAACUUAAGGGAAGUUUUUGUGAAAAUAUCAUCUGUCUACUUUCUAUUUGCACUUUGAGAUUUGAUUGCUCUUCAAAGUUUGAUAGUAGAAAAUAUUCAAAUAUUUUUUUUCCCUUAAGACUGUUAGAAUGAUAAGAUAUAAUAAUGAAUAAUGAGUUGUUAUAGAUAACUAUUGCUCAUUUCAAUUUAUUAAUAAAUAUACAAAUUCCUUAACAAAGUUCUAUACAUUUAAGUUAAAAUAAUCUAAUGAUUAAAAAAAGACUUCUUGAUAUAGAAACUUAAUUUGAAACUUUUUAUUUUGGGUGUAAUAAGACAUCGAGAUUGGAUAAUUAAGUGUCAAAAAUAGAAAAGAAUUAUCAUACAAUCCAAAAAUCUAAAUUUCCACUUGCCAAACUACAAUUAUCCACACACACACACACACACAUAUAUACAUGUCACUUCCCCUCCGCCUUAGGAUAAAACCAAAAUCCUGACUCAGGGUUCUACAGCAUGUGUAAAUACAUACAAACUAUACAGGGAGGUGUACAAUGUACAUGUUAGUCGUAGGGAGUAUAAAUUUUUAUAUCUUUGUUUAUCUGUUUAGUCCACAAUUCGGUAUAUAUGCUUGUCUAAGUGCAUUUUCGGGGGCGAGGUGGAAUUACUAGAAUAUAGGAAAGUGAGGCAGCUCUAUGGUUGGUUGCUAAUAACUGACCAAGUUCUUCUCCAUCAACACCCUUUUUUGAGUUGAAUACAUAUAGUAGUUGAAAUGACACUAAAAAGCACCAAUUCCUCAAAGUUAAACGUAACUAUUGGUGCUGCAGCGUUUUCCGUGACCUUUCAACAGACGCGACUGAAACACGGUGCAAGAAAAUUGGAGAGUACUAUUGACCUUUUCUUCCUUUUCUUCUCUUUCUUUUUUCUCUUUUUCAGUUUUGUUUUGUGUGCGAAUUAUAUAUAACCUUUAAGCAGAUGCAUAUUUUGCUCAUCCAAAAUUUGAAACUUGUUUCAGCCAGUCCCGAAAUUUGCCCACUUAGUUGCACUUGUUCCAUUUGCGUUUCUGCAACGUCCUGUGGCUCUUUUAUUCCAAUUGUCCCCAGAUUCUUGCAUCAUCUCCUUAAUCAAAUUCUUGAUCAUAAUCGUAAAAACCUGGUUCUCGUCUCCAAUUUACUCAUCAAUCCACCAUGUAAAGUUUCUAGCGUGUAACAAACUGGAUAACACCAUUCUUUCUAUUCCGUAGCUGCACAUUUAUAAAAAACUUGUUCAGCAUGUAAUUUUGAUCAGCUCCAUAUUCGGCUCUUCCAAAACCAAAAAAAAAAAAAAAAAAAAACGUAGUAUCAGUUUUUUCAUUUAGGUACCUUGUUUCCCUACAGUAUUGUGCUACAGAGCUGGCUGGGCGUGGCUCAGGAGCUCCUGUAGCCAAACCUGUAUAAAAAUCAACAAAUCACGUAAUAUCGUUCUCUCAAGUUUCUUAAUCUAGGAUCUAAUCAAUCUCCCAAAAAAAAAAAACUUAUACUUGAAGUUUUGAAGAAGAAAAUGGCACAAUCAGCGCCCGGAAGUCCGCGAGGGACGGCGUCUACAACGCCAGGGAGUACUCCAACACCGCUGUUUACCGCAGUGCGAAUUGAUUCAAUGGCUGAUGAUCGGAAGCCAAUGCCUGCGUGCAAGUGCUUCCCAGUAUUGGCUGGACCUCAAUCGUGUAUCACCAACUUCCCCGCGCCAGAUAUCUCGCUCCCCCGCAAGGUAUGACUUCUGCCUUUUCUUGUUUUCUAUCCUUCUUCCUCUCCUUGUAGGUGCCAUGCAUGCGCUGUACAAUAUUCUCAUUCCAUCCUAACAAGUUCAGCAGAGAUUACAUUCUCAUCUAGCAGUUUUAUAUAAAUCCACAUAUUAGUUCGUGGAGAGCAUACAGAAGUAAUUGAGGAAGAUCAUCAUUGUUCUUGGUUGAUUUUGCAACGAUUCUUUUCUUUCUUGGUUUUACUUUUCAAAUGUAUACAACUAAUGCGCAGUAGUAGGAUCAAUAUUUAAUAAGUUACGGUUGUUAACAUUGCAAUUAACUCACAAAAUUGAGGCAUAAAAACUAAGGAGAUGUUUGAUAACCCAAUUCAAUACUUAAUAGAUUUAGAUCUUAAUAUGUUUAGACGCGUUUGAUAACUAAAAAUUGAAUAUUUAAAUUAAUUAAGUAGUAUUAAAUUUUUUAGGCAAAACUUGUUCUAAAAAAAUAAGUGACAAGUUAUUCAUUUAUUAUUACUUAAUAUAAUAUACAUUCAAAUAUAUCAGAUUUAAUAUUUAAUAAUUCAAUAAUUUAAUGGAUUCAAAAUUCAAAUUUUAGUUUUCAAAUUUCAAUCUUAUCAAACACACUCUAAAUUCAUGAUUAAAAUCCCAACAUCUAAUGUCUUAACCUUGGUUAUUUAACCACGAUUAGUUGAAGACGUCAUUGAUAACUGUGUAAAAGUCAUGUAUUACUGAAUUUAAACUUGAUACUGGUGGCUAUGAGAGGACUGUUAAAAUUACCCAAUCCUAAACUUGACUGUUGGAGGUUGGAAGGAUGUAAGAAAAAUAAAUAAAUGUCAAUAUGCUGGUCUUAAAAUUUACCUUCAAGGAUAAUGUAGUAAAAAAAAUGUGGUUUAUUAUCCGUGUACACUUUGUAAAUGGAAAGCUCAAAGUGUUUGAAUCAAUCAACUCCUUUAGCUACAACAAGUGGGAAGAACAGGACGAGAUCCAUUUGUUGACUUGCAGUUUAUAUCACUUCCAAUCUCAGUAAUGAUUAAUGGAUACAAGAGUAUAACUUAACCUUGAAUUGGAACUUUUGCAACUGGCGAAAUAUGAAUACAGGUGGGAGCAGAAUUCUUGGGGACUUUCAUCCUUAUAUUUGGAGCCACAGCUGGACCCAUUGUAAACCAAAAGUACGACGGAGCAGAAACGCUAAUAGGGAACGCAGCUUGUGCGGGGCUAGCAGUUUUGAUAGUGAUCUUGGCAACUGGGCAUAUCUCGGGAGCUCAUCUGAAUCCCUCCGUAACUAUUGCAUUCGCGGCACUUCGCCACUUCCCAUGGGCUCAGGUGCCUGCCUACAUAGCAGCUCAGGUUUCAGGAUCGAUCUGUGCUUCUUUUGCUCUCAAAGCUGUUUUUAACCCCUUUAUGUCAGGUGGUGUCACGGUUCCGUCCGUAGGCAACGCCCAAGCCUUCGCCCUUGAGUUUAUUGUAACCUUCAUUCUCCUAUUUGUUGUUACAGCGGUCGCCACAGACACUCGCGCAGUAAGCACAUCAUCCUUGCUCCUCAGACUUAAUCUGUUCAACUGCGAACCUAUAUAGCCUUCGUAGGUUAGCUAUGAAUUUUGGCCUCUACAUAGUUUAUUUUUAACAUGUGCUCAUACUGUCGCUACACAUGUAAAUAGGUUGGAGAACUGGCAGGAAUAGCAGUCGGAGCUACAGUCAUGCUCAACAUUCUUGUUGCCGGGUGAGUUUUGGCUAGGGGUUUAUUUGAUAACUACUCUACUUAAUGGUGAAAAUUAAUUCAUUGAGAACUUUUUGAAUUCAACGUGUUUGAUUGCAGAAAUCUCCUAUCGCCUAUAGUAUAUUAAGCAUUGUUUAACUAGUGUACAAACUUUCAAGUGAAAAAAUUUUACUGAAUUUUUCGAAUUGACUAUACAUGCUAUAACUCUCACACAUAUAACACAUUCUUGUACAAUCUCUCGUACAAAGUACACCUCUUUUUGUUCACACACUUAUACACAUUGCAAUAUACACUAUCACACAACCACUAGGCCAUUGGCUUAGUGGCCACCACCAAAAUGCCACAUUUAAGUGGCUUGUUUCCAAAAAAAAUCCAGACGGGUGUGCUGUGCACCCGUCUGAUCUGGUGGUGGUUCAGUCCCUUUCGAGUUAUCCCUAGGUCUUCUUAGGUCCGCCCCCUUCCCCUUAGUGUAGGAUAGAUUAGGUUUAUCGUCUCCGGAAAAAAAUAUAUAUACACUAUCACACAGAAUUAUGCACGCUUAAACACCACCUCUAACUUUUUUUUUAUCACACACACAAGCACACACAAUUUUUCUCUCUCUAAAUACACAAAUAAAGGUAAUUUUUUAAAGAUAACAACAUAAUAUUUCUGCGAUAUUUCAAUUCAGCAUUAUAAUUCUGUUAAUUAUUAAAUAGAUAUAAUCUAAUCAAUUGAGCAACUUAAUACUGAAAAGCACUUCAUUUUUUAGAUUUUAAAAAUCAGAUUUCAGACUUCAAUUUUAUAAAAAAGGGGCCUAAGUAGGCCAAUGAAUUAGUGCUUGUUACAAAGUAAAUAAAGAAUGGAAUGGGUUCGCUUCAUAUGCACCCACGAGUGGUUAAUAAAGGCUGUAAGAAUUUUGCUACCAGAGCAAUUUUGUCUACGAUGACCGAAUCACCUUUAUAGAUCAUUUUAAAAUUCAAACUUCCAGUCCAAUCUGGAAGGAUAACUACUGAGUACUAACUUCUAACUAUUUGACAUUUUAGUAUUGGUUUAUUGCAUUACGUAAUUGGUUGGAGUUUGGACAGCAAAAGUGGCAAGAUGCAAUAUUGACUUUUUUUUUUUGUUUAUUUAAUGUGAUGCUGAGUUGAUGAUUGAUGUGCUGAUUUUUUUUUCAAUUGAAUUUUGUUGGAAAAAACAUAUGGAAUAUUAUUUUGGAGCAAUUUUUUUUUUAGAGAAAAUUGAAAUAUGUUAACUUACUAUUGGCAUUUUGGAUUUCGGAUAUUACCAAAUUACUGGUUCUCCGGCCAAAAUCCAAUUACCGGUAUCCAAUUUACCAAACUAAAGUUUGGAUGCGAAUCGAAUAUUGGUGUUGACAAACCAAUUACCGAAUUCCCAAAAUUUUUUUACCAAAUUUUCGACCACCACCCAAUAAACACCCCUAUCUGAUCCAUUCCUCUUUAUGGGCAAACUAAUUCAUCGUCUCCAUUUUAAGAAGUCUACAAUAGUGCACUUAGGAGCAAUUUGAAUGCUUCUGCUAAUGGGAGGAUAUGCUACGAUUGGAAACAGAAGCACCUUCAUGAUAGUAACUAAAUUCAGUGAAUUUUACCCCAAAAAAAAAUUAAAUUUAGAGAAAAAGACAAGAAACUCAUGUGCUUGCAAUAAUAAUAGGGAAAAUAGGAAUAUAAUAGAUGCUGUAGUUUUUUGAAAGUUACACACCAUUUUUAACCACUAAUUUUCUCAAGCCUAUUAUUAUCCUAUCUUCUAAUCCCUAUAUUUUAAAUAUUUUUCACCCUUGAUCCUAGCCCCUUUUGCGACUAUUUAAAAUCCAAAGCAAUAAAAGCAACAUUUGAAAGAAUUUUAUGUAUGUCUAUUAACUCAGAAUUACAUUGUUAUGCUACUGGAAUCCUACUAACAUACUUACAAAACAAGCACUGACAACAUUGCCGUGGCUGUCGGCAGGCCAGCCAGCGGCGGUUCAAUGAAUCCUGUCCGAACUCUGGGACCAGCCGUCGCUGCUGGAAACUACACGUCAGUUUGGGUAUACUUGGUGGCUCCUACACUCGGGCCCUGGCGGGAGCGGGGGCAUAUACCAUGGUCAAGCUUCAAGGAGAAGGGCGUAAUGCGGCUGAAGCUCGACAGCAGUCCCGGAGUUUCCGUCGGCCAAGCUAGGCCUACUGAAGUUCAAAUCUACCUAUCUAUCUAUUACUAUCUAUCUGCAUGGCAAGUACGUUCGGAUUACAGGAGGACUGCUUCGUAAGCCCAAAAAAAAAAAAAAGCAGCAGCAACAACAAUUUUUAGUAAAAAAAAAAAAAAAAAAAAACAAUUUUUAGUAAAUUAAGUAGUUCGGUUGGAAAGCUUAAAACUCAUUACUUCUUAUAUACUUCCAAUUUAACGAAGAAAUCGAAGGUCUAGAAGAGGAAACUAAACAUUGUACUUCCCCUGACAUAAUAUUGUGCUGUGCUUAUUAAGGUUUAUGCAAGAUCAUCAGUACUAAAUCAAGUGUGUCAUACUUCAGUGUAUCCACUACUCCCUUAUUUUUUCAGUCACUUAAUCUUGUAAAGCUCAAACAGCGGAAUUAUCUAUGGAGGGUUUCGGUUUAAAUAUGUUUAUCACGGCUUGUUAUGUAUUGGAGCUCCUACAAGCGUAGUUUUGAUUGUAUGGUGCAGUUAAUAUUCGGGAUGAGUUUAAUUUCGAAUUGCGGGGAUGAAAUUAACUGUAGGACACAAUUUUCAAGAAGUGAAAAAAAAAUUAUUAUAGUUUUUUUGCACAUUAUUGUUGUAGUAUAUACAUUUAUUGUUUUAGUAGUGUCUAAACAUGUUGUAUCAGUGUUUACACUGCACCAUAUAAUUGGAACUGUAAUUAUAUUAGCCCUGCAUCUGCUUUGAUUCGGCUUGUGUUGGUAGUGUAAUAUAAGAACUCAAAAGUAUAUUAGAUUUGAAAUGUUAAAUUUUCUUACUUCUUUUAUACUUAACAUGAAGUACUUGACCUGUGCAAAGCACAGCUUGGACCCCUAGAAAUUUAGUCGAACACAUAACAUCAAAUUAUUUUGGCACAUGAUGAAUGAAUAGAAAUAUAGGAGAAAAAUUGAGCAUCAAAAUAAUUAAAAUUGACAAAUGUUAUUUGAACUCUCAAUUUUUUUUAAUCACACCUUCGCUAUUAUUUUUAUCAUAUAGUUUUUAUUUAUUGUAGGAAUACAAUUAACAAAAUAUGAAGUAUAAAUAAAAUUUCCCUCAAAAUUUGUUGUGAAGAGAAAUUCCAUCUAUGAAGUCAACCCCCCUAUUUAUUGUGAUUUGAAUAAAGAUUUUUGAACCACUAUUAUGAUGAUACCCAAAAACGGGAGAGAAUUAAUACACUAUAAGUGCAUUGUUAUAUUAAUAGCAGCAUAGUUUUAGUUGUAACUAAAUCAAAAGUAGUUAUAACACUUCCAGUACUUUAAUAAUGAGAAAAAGUUUAGAAAGCCACUAAGACAUGGCACAAUCUUCAACAUCAAUAUAGUUUACUAUAAACUUUCACAUUUUUCUUGCUUUUGAUUGAAGAAGUUAGUUCAUCUAUAUAAAUCCCGCCUAAUGAUGAUAACAUUAUCCUGCAGCUCCAAAAUAUAAAUAGCAAGGUUAGAUAAAAAUAUGAAUUGCUACAUUUUCAAAUCUACAUUUACAAAUUAGAAUUGAACCAUUUUUUUUAUUGCAAAAACAUCUUCCUAAUCAAAAUUAAAUUUUCUAACAUUUUUUUGUCAAGUCAUACUCUAGGCUGAAAUCCUCAAUUGUGACUUCUAUCACCAACUACAAUCCUUGUAUGCCAACCCAAUUGAUACUACAACACUUGACUAAUUAAAAAACAAGCAAAAAUUAACAUUAGUUUAAAUAUAUACAAAAUCUUAUUGGAUCCUUCAAUUAAAUUGAAUAGACCAUAAAGUAAUUGCAAAACGGGGGCAGGGGAAAGAAAGAAACAGAGAAAAAUAGAGGUAGAGGAAUGCCUAACUAGAUUUAUCUUGGUGGAAAUAUCACAUAAUAUGUCUUUUCUCCUUAAAAAAAUACACAAAAUUGUAGAUAAUUACAAGAUGUAACCAAAAAACAAAGAAAAGGAAAAAAGAUGUGAAGUAAGAACUCAAAUCCUAGGAGGAGAAAAGAAAAGAAUGAAUUUUUGUUUUAUUCUUCAUAGAAGAUGAUCACUAGUAUAAAAUGAAUUUUAAGAUCUUUUUACCUAUUUUAAUAUUUCACCUUUAUCCAUGAAGAAAUACCAAAUAAAAACAUCAUCCUAUAAAUUUAACAAACAAAUGCCAAUUGGCUAUAACAUUAUGAUUGAAGAAUAGAGCAACAUGAGAGAUUAGAGAUGAAGAAAAAUGGAAGAAAAGAAAAUGUAAAAUGGGAUCAAAAAAAUAAUAAAGACUUCUCAUUUCUAAGUAGCUAAUCAUCUCGACCAAUAAAAAGAACAUGACAACAAUCAUAGUUAGAUUAGUUUUAAAAAAUAAAAAAUUAAAAAGGUGAGGGAUGACAGCAAUUGCCACAAGGAGGGAAGGAAAAAUUUUGCUAAAAUGACCAAGAUUCCAAUUGUCAAAAAUAUAUGCAAUACAUGUGUCAAAAAGAUGAGCAGCCGCAGUAACUUGGCCUUUUCUUAUAUAAAGGUAUAUAUUCUCCAAUUUGACAAGGAAACUAAUUUUAGAGAAGGGAAAAUACAAAUCAUAGUCUCCUAAACUAGGAUAGGUAUAAGAAUUCAUUAGUGCAGAACCAAGUGCAAUGAUCGUAUGUGGGCUAAUAACCCUUUCAUUUAUGCUGCAAACAUAACCAGAACGUGUAUGUGAAGAGUGGACUUUAGCAGCAUGAGACUCUAAAAGGACACUUAACAGAGACAAUGAUGGCCUUAAAGGAUAAGAGGUUUUGGCCUAUCUUUGAUUUCUUCUUUGCACGUUGGACCAAACACCUUGUCACAAUCACUAGACGAAGGACUUGGCAAAUUACGACUGCUUUCAGUGCCGUGCGCGUCAGUUGUGUUUCCAAUUUGACUAUAGGUGUCCAAUUUCAAUUGAUGUGAAGAAGCACGGCACCUAGAGCUAAGAUUCCAAUUGUGACCGGAAAUGGUUUAUUAAUUAUUAUUGAUAGAUAUGGCCCAUUGUAAUGUAAGAAUGUGUGGACGUUAUUAAUUUAGCAGAUGAAACAUCUGAAUCACUCGCUACACAAAACAUUUUUCUUUUCUAACAAAAUUUCAAUUCACUCAAAAUAUCCAAAUUGAAGGUGUUAUUUACAUUAACAUGAAAGUGAGAAGCAUAUAAUGAAUGACACCACAAGGGAAUUUAGGAUUAUCUGAUUUUUAUUCAUUGUUUAGAGCAAUAUACUGUGAACGUGAAUUUUUAUGUGACCUGACCUCAGAGAAUAAAACAGCACAAUUUUCAGAAAAAGAGACGUAAUUGUUCAAGAUAAAUAGAUAAUCUCAUAGGCACAUAAUUGUUUGGCCUUUUUUUUUGGGGGGGGGGGACAUGGUUAAUUCUAUUUUGUACCCUUGAGUUGUACCCUAAUUCUCACUUGAUCCCUGAGCUAAAAUAUAGAUAUUUCACUUCCUAGAUCUUAAUAUCGUUCCACUUUAAUCCAAUACUUAACAGAAUAUUCUAAACUAUUUUGUUAGUUUGUGUACAUCUUGUUGACAAUUGAAUUAAAAUGAAAAGAAUUUAAGAGGUUGAGGAAUAAAGUGUUUCAAACUACAGUUUAAGGAUCAAAGUAAGAAUCGAGAUAUAAUUCAAAGGUGCAAAAUAAAAUUAACCCCAAAAAAACAAGAAGAACGACUUUUUAAUUGAACAACUUAUAAUACAACUUGAAACAUUUUGGGUAGAGCUGUAGGCUUUCAGAAAGUUAAGAUAGAACCUUAAAUUGUUCCUGUGAGAGAUGACUAUCCAUCAUCAUCUUGAGCCACCAUCGACGAGUAGGUCCUGGCCAGUGAUACAUGAAGAAUCAUCGGAGGCAAGGAAUAAA